GAUUUGGUCGGAGACACAUCACACUGUCAACCUCAGGAUUUCGGUAUAUAAAGAAACUUUAUUUUGGAAAUCAAUGGCAUGUAUAAGCUAACAAAGUAAAUGUUAACGUGAAAUGAAUGUAAAGUUAGCCAUUAGUAUGGUUAACAAGCCUGGUUUUAUAUAUGUGAUGACGUUAUCUUAUAAAUAUGCAUGAAUUUAUCUUGAAAAUAUGUUGAAUUGAUUUGGUUGAUGUGGAUUGGUCUUGAUUUAAUAUUGCAGGGAAGGUUAGAUAUUUAUAAAUGGGCUAUAUUGAAUAUAAAAAAAAUUUAAUUCGUAAACUCCGGUAAUGCCUCGUACCCUAUUCCGGCAAUGAAUACGGGUAGGGGUAUUACAUUUAUUCAUAUUUAAACAAAUACAUCCAUAGCUUGCAAAUUGGAACGAUACUUUACGUUCGACGAUCGGGCACAACUACGACUCAACUCACCGUUUCGAGGCGAGAUCGUAUCAAGUGUAUGGGACAUGCACCUCAGUGGGCCGAUGUUCGAUGCUGGAAAAAUGUACUGAAGAAUGAAAUUGAUUUCUAGUGGUUGGCAAUCUACAUCUGAUUGGGGACGUUAUGAAACGUCCACAAAAAGGGAUGAUGUACUCCCUAUGACGUUCACUGGCGAAGGGACCUCAUUCGUUGCAGAUGACUGUGGGUUGGAUGAUGAGUCUGAUGUGGAUCCACCUCGAGAGCCUGUUCCAUUCAUUCCUAAAGAUUUUGAACGGGGUUCAGAUAAAGAAGAAGAAAGUCUGCGAUUCAAGGCGUAAUCGCCUCCAGCCCACAUGCAUAAUGUCGAUCUAUUUCAAGAUGAUGCGUUAAAGUUUCCAGAUCUACCACACAAAAGGCAUGACCAUACAAGUUCGUCAUUGAAUUCGGGUGAAUUGGAAGUUGGUAAGGAUUUUUCCAAUAAGGAUAGUUUUCUUAGUGCAUUGAAACAACAUAGCAUCAUGAACCUGGUUAACUACAACGUGGUUAAAUCCAAAUCCGAUAAGUUUGAGGUCAAGUGUGCAGUGUAAGAUGGUAAUGUUCAUGAAAAAUCAUGGCCUCAUUAAGGAAAAGGAAAAGCUUGUGGGAGAUAAAAAAGUACAAAUGUCAAUAUACAUGUGUUGGCGGUACAGUAUCACUAGGUGUUUAGGGUUUUUGAAUAAUAUUGUUAUUACGUAAUGUUGCAUUAUUUAAGUGACGGAGUUUGACAGACUGAACCAAUGUAUUAUUAGCAGGCAAUAUUGUGUACAUUUGAGAAAUAGGACCUGCAAUUGUAGGAGGUUUGACGCACUUCAUUAUCCAUGCGCUCGUGUAAUUACAACUUGUCAGAAUCUCCGUCUGGAUCCCAUGAGCUAUGUCAACGAAGUAUACAAAAUACAAUACAUGUACAAUGUGUGGAGACACGUAUUCCCACCGGUCCCAGAUGAACGUAAGUGGCCAUCUGUAUCGCUUGCUCCGUUUAAGAUGUUAUCGGAUAGAGAAUUGCGUCGCAAACCAGAGGGUCGACCUUACUCGACUAGAAUACGUAACAAUAUGGAUAUCCGAGAAACAACCAACCAACAAAAGUUGUGCGGAUGGUGUAGGAACCCAGUCCAUACAACUCGAUUAUGUCCAAACCGGAAUAGCUGAUAGUUGUUGUAAUAAAAUUAUGUUGUAUUAUUUAUAUUUUAUUAAAAAUAUAAAAAUAUUAAAAAUACUGUCUUAUUCAAAAGAACUUUUAUUUUAUUAAAAAUAUAAAAAGUAAAUUACAAUUAAAAUAUUAAAAACAACUUUUAUUUUAUUAAAUGAAACAAUAUAAAAAGUUUGUACAAAUAUAUUAAAAAUAUUACCUUAUUAAAAAAAACUUUUAUUUUAUUAAAAAUAUAAAAAGUAAAUUAUAAUUAAAAUAUUAAAAACAACUUUUAUUUUAUUAAAUGAAACAAAAUAAAAAAUUUUAUACAAAUAUUUUAAAAAAUCAAUGUUGGUGCCGGUCGGAAUCAGUGCCACAUUGGGGUCGUCGACCGUUACGCGUUGAAUUCCUCCUUGGUUCAGCUUCCAGCGAGGGUUAUGGUUGCUCCGGCGGGUAUUGUGGUUCCUCCGACAGGGGUUCUAGUUGUAAGUGUUGGGAGGAUAACCCACCUUGAUAGAAUAAUGAUUGCGAAGGUGUUUGUAUCACCCAUGGCGGAGGUGUUUGAAUCCCAUAAAGCAAUGAGGAUUAGUAAAAAAAAGAGCUCCCUAACGGCGCCUUAUGUGAUCCCUCAUUCAACGACGGCCUAUAGAUCGGCGGUUGACUCGGAGUAAUCGAAAACGGAGAUAAACUGGGUAAUGCAUUACAACCUACCAUAGGAUUGGGAAAAGGAAACAUAUAAGGGUUAGGAUAUAUAUAAGGGCUAGGAUACGCACCUGACGUAAUCUGAAAAAGGCUGUGAUAUAGGCGUCGUCGGUUGAAGUGUUGGGCCUGGUGACUAUGUGGGCGCUGUUGAUGGGCCCUGUGAUUGUGUGGGCGUUGUUGAUGGGCUCGUGUCGUCAUCCCUUCUUCUUAGAUUUAAAGGGCCCUAUCGUUUUGUUUGGACGCGAAUUUGUCGUCGCCUCUCCUCUUCUGACAGUAAAUAUGGCUUGCCAUAGAUCCUAAACCGUGGCAUGCAUUCCAGCACGCACGCUAACUUAAGAACGAUGAUCGGUUCCCAAGUAGGUAUAUAAUCAUACUGAUUUCCCCACAUUUCGAUAUAUUCUAACUAGUAUCUCGGCCAAUUCGUAUUCAAUUGCCGUAAGUCAACUUUGUGCUCAUCAUCGAGCACAUGAGGUGCCACGGGAAUCAGUUUUUGAAAUCACAUUGCCGCAAUACUCUAUCUGACUGGUGCAUCUCCACGAUAGCAUAGUUGACCAAUGGGACCUUCACCCGCCAAAUGUUUGGAUUUUGAAAGAAUUCAUCCUGAAUUACUACCCGAAUUGCCGGAUCCUCGUAUGGUAUCCAUUGAAACUAUGAACAUGAUAAAAAUAUUAGUUAUAUACAUUAUACUAAAUACUAAAUACGAAAUGACUAUUUUAUUAUGUAUAUAUAUUUUAUUUAAUACUUACUUGUGCUUUCGACAGUUGGUCUAAUAGAAGCUGUAUAUCUUCAAGAGAGGUAGGUAUUCCAACAUAACUCGCCGAAUGGUUCCAUCUAAUUAAAUAAAUUUUUAGCAUACAAUUAUAUUUUAAAUCUACGUAAUAAUUGUAAAAUCUAAUAUAAAAUUUAUCUCGUUAUGAGUGGGAAUGUAUAUGGGUGGUCCACUCGAUGACGUAAAAAUAGAAAGCGAAAUCGUGCCCAUGAUUGCAAUAGUGAUAGGCAACCUCCAAUUUUGGCUUUAUUCGGUUGCGUCGCCUCAUACAUCUCCUUGUACAAUGUUGCUAACACGACAGACGCCCAACUAAAUUCACCAGCUGCUCUAAAAUCAACGAGUUUCAGCAGCCAUCUUAGAUGUACGAGGAUUCGUGACAAGUCCGACAUCAGAUAACCUCCAAUCAUCUCGAGAAUGUAUGCCCGAGCAUAUUGUAUUCUUUCUAGUUCAGUCGAAUCAUUAUCCGGCUCCGGGAAUGUGUCUCGUAACCAGCCCAUCCCGAUCCGACCUCCGUUAAUAUUAUCCGAAAUAACACCCAAAAGCUCAUAGCAUACGGCUCCCUAAUUAGCAGAUUGAGAGGACUUGGUGACUGCGUACCCAUCCACUGGCAAUCCUAAUUGCAUCUGCACGUCUUCCAAAGUGAUAGUAUACUCUCCGCAUGGAAGAUGGAAAGUGUGCAUCUUGGGUCUCCACCUCUCUAUCAACACACUAAUUAGUUUUAGGUCCAACUUGCACCUUCGGCCUGUCAUGGCCAUGUGCCAAAAAUCCCGCUUCCUGCAGGUAAUUCUCUAUCAACGGUGAUGGAGGACCAGACAUAUUACGAAUAUAGCAUUGCAACACCCUAUCUACAGACUGUUAUAAAAAAUUAUAAAAUAAAAAUUAAUUAAAAUUGCAUAAAUGAAAAAAAUAUUAAAUAAUAUUGAAAAAUUAAAAUUAACACUUACCAUUUUCAUUUGUUCGACGGAGAUGAGUUUAUUAUCGAGAUGAAUUAAUUCUCCGGCCAUUGUAAACACUAUCGAAUAUUUUUUAAUUUUAAAAAAUAAUUCAGAAAAAUUUUAAAUAGAGCUUUUUUGAAAAAAAAUAAACAGAGCUUUGAGAAAAAUUUGAGAGAAAUUUGAGAGGAUUUUUGUGUGAAAAAAAUCAAAAGGGGGUUUUAUAUUAUUUUUUUGACUGUUGGAGCCUAAACGGUAAAAAAAAUUAGCCGAUGGGAGGUUUAAAAAAAGGGGCAAAAUGUGUCCUUAGGGGAGCAUUUUGUUGACACAUCACCUGAGAUCGCGUUGACGUGGACACAUUUUCGAGAAAUUCGGCCCUUUCCGGUAAAUAAUCACAAAGUUGGCCCAUUUCUGGAAAUAAUUUUAGAAAAGGACUUUUUUGGGCAAAAUAGCCCAAAGAAGGAAGGUCCUCUCUUCUAUAUAUAUAGGUAUAGUAUGGUUUUAUAACGCAUCACUUAAGUUGUUACGCUGUUUAUAUUUUUAAAAUUUAAUCUCUACAUUUUUAUUUUUUAAAAUUUAAUUUUUUUAUUUUUUAAAUUUAAAAAUUUAGGUCUAUUUGUUAACGUUAUUAUAAUCUUUUUGUUAAAUUUAUUGGCAUGACAUUUUAAAAUUAAAAAGAUAUUUAUUUGGUAUCCAUGUAACAAAAAAAAAUUGUAAUAAACUUGAAUUUAAUAGAGAAUUUUAAUUGUGUUAACAAUCCUUAAAAAAUCACAUAAGCAUUUUAAUCAGAGUAACGUGUUUAGACUAACAAAUGAGGCGCCAAAUUAUUUCAAAAUUAAAGUAUAGAGAUUAAAUUUCAAAUUUGAGUGAAAUAUAAAGAUCAAAAUUAAAAUUUAACCAUAUUAAUAUAAUUUCAAAAAAGUAAAAGGAUUCAAGUUGAAAUUUGACCAUAAUCUUUUCUUGUAAAAAAAUGGGGGAAAGGACAGAUGGCAUGAAAGGAAGGCCUUAGAUUACGAUAUUGGGCCCAAUCCAUCUUAUCUACUAAUUUUUUAAAAUAAAUUAAAUUAAAUAUUAAAAACAAAUAUUAAAAUUUUAGUAUAAAUAUUAUAAGUAUGAAAUUUAUAUUAAAAAAUUGCCCCAUACAUUAGUAAAAACUUGUUAAAUUUUAAUAAUGAAUUAUCUUCCAUGUGCAUAUCAUAUUAAGUGGUAGAUUUGCCAAUAAUGUGAUCUUCACCACUUUCUUAGAAUAUUUCUAACUGUAUCAAUUUAUUUUGAAGUUUACUAAAUGAGUAAUCUAAAUGUUGUCAACCAUAAAUAAAAAGAAAAUAGUAAAUUAAUAAUUUUUAUUUUUAUGUAUACAUUAAUUUAAGUAUAAAGAUAAUAAUAAUUUAUUAAUAAAAAUAAUCAAAAUAUUUUAAUUUAAAAAAGACUUCAACAUGGUAAUAAAAAUAAUUAAUAAUUUACUUAAUAAAAAAAAUCAGUGUUGUUAUUUAAAUUUUAAAGGAUGUAUUUGACGGCCUCAACAUUUUUUUGGAAGCUUAAAAGAUUUGAUCCUUUUUUGGGCUCAUGCUUGGAUGGUAGUAGACUUGCUUAUGGUCAGGUGAAUCAGUUUGACUCGAAGGUUCAUUCAAAAAGUAAAACGGUUUAGACAAAAAUAUAGAGCCGAAAAAUGGGCUUGGAAAAAAAGUAAGGCUCAUUCAAAAAAUAGACUAGGCCUCGAGUAACACAUUUUUUGCACGGGCCUGGACCAAAUUUACAAAAGGACAAAAAAAUAGCUAUUUAUUGUUGUUUUAAUUCUAUUUUCUUGUUGUUUUCACCCUAUUUUGCUACCAUUUCACUAUUAUGUUAUUACUAUUUUGUUGUUGUUAUUUGAAUAUUGUAUAACACUUAUUUUAUUGUUAAUUUUAUUAUUAUUUUAGAGGUAUUUGCUUGUUAAGUUGCAUCUAUCUUAAUGUUAUUUAAGUAUAUAUAUUUUUUAAAUUUUAUUUUUAAUUUGUUGAGAAAUAUUUAUUUUAAUAUAUUAUAUAUAUUUAAAAAUUAUAUAAAUAUUUAAUACAAACAGGCCAGCCCAAGCCUAGAUUUUAGCAUUUUUAUUUGAGCCAAGCUUGGACAAAAUUUUAUAUCUAUUUUCCAGGCUAGGCCAGGCUCGGGCCUAACAAAUAGAUCUAACUUUUUGAUUGAAUCUGGCCCAACCCAACCCAUAAGCACAUCUAGAUGGUAAUAUGCUAUUUUUCCAGUUUAGUUUUGAUCUUGUUUAAUUGUUUUCACAUUAAAAAAAUUGAUGAAUAAUUUAUUUUAUUAAUGUAAAUAUAAAAAAUCAAUAGAAAAUAUAGAUAGUAUUCAGUAUAAUAAUACAUUAUAGAUUAUUAUAGUUAAAAUUGUGACAGGAAAAAUUGUAUUCUUUUAUGUGUUCAAAAUUUUGAUGACCCAUCUGGCCAUCCCUAAGAUGCCUACAUUUUUAAGUUAUUAAAAUUUUUUUCUCCUUAAGAUAGGAAAAAUAAAAUGGUUAUUCAUUUAUCUUUUAAACAAAUAUAUAGCAAUUCUGUUAUGUGAUUUUUCCUUGUAAACAAACUAAAACUCGAUUCCACUAUGUCUUUGCUUUAUUUGAUAAAAUGUCUUAAGCAAGCUUCUUUAAGGUUUCGUUAGGCUACGCAAUGAUCAACUCUCUUCUAUUCCACCAACAAAAGAUUACGAUCGUAACUCGAAGUUGCAUACGGGCCUAGGUGUUUGUUCAGUUUAACAUAAAUGCUAACCAUCAAGCCUAUUAGAAUGGGCUUAAGAGCCCACUAGAUAUCCCUCCAACACAACAUGUAAUCAAACGAUGAUAUACCACUAUGGCUCUCCUCAAGAUAACCAAUGAAUUUUUUCUUAGAUCCCUGUCGGCCACUGAAGAUAUCCUUUCCAUUUGGCUUUCAUUGAUAGGAUGAGUAAAACCCAGAGUCAAGUUAUUACGAAUGUCGUGGAAAUCGAUAGGAAGAAGUGCGAGGUUAGUGAAGGAGAUAAGCACGAGGGCAUUCCAUAGUAAAUGAACAUCGAAACCAGGUAUACGCCAACCCUGUUCACUAUCCACCACAUCAUUUACAGUUGCUUCCUCUUGCGUCUUGUUUGACUUUGUGUUUACUCGGCACUGAUCACUGACGACUUGUUAAACAAGCAACACUGUUUUGUGCAUAAAAACAGCUUCACAUCGCAUCACUUCAGUCUAAUCGAUGCUUAGUGUGGGAACUGCACGCAUUUUCAAUGUAAAACCCCUUAAUCUCACUCUCCUUAAUUUUUAUCCAUGUAGAUUAUCGGUCCUAUUCACUCUCCCACUUUCUGAAGGGGGUCGCUUAGCUACUACUAGCUUCGAAUUUCAGCUUUUGCUUUCUGCAUGCAGGAGUUCCACUUCCCUGAGUAAUAUUAGUACUGGGAAGCAAAAAAAAAAAAAAAAUUCAUUCUUCACGCAACUGAUGCCUCAUUAGAGUCAUAUGAAGGGUAUUACUGAAAAGACAAAUCUGUUCUUGAUAUAUUUGUCGUUCCAAUUUUCAAAGGUAGGAUUGGAGCAAUUGACGAAUGAAAUGAAUCUCCCUUGGAAGCUAGGAUGGUCUUAUGUUGUUUUCAAAGGUGAGACUGUUUGUCAGAUCUUAGAGAAACUAUGCUCCCUUAUGCAGUUCCAUUUUGGGUUCAAUCUUUAAGGCAAUACUAACAUUCCCCUCGCUGGAAUCCCAAAAGGGUAUAACUUUAAAUUCAUCAAUGUAUAAGUAUCGCACCAUGCACUGCUUUUAUCUUUAAACAAAUGUGCCGGUUUGAGUUGGCCCUUGAUUUCGGGAGCAUUUUGGCACUACAGUACAAUUCAUUCUACCACUACAGUGUAAUUUAUUUUAGCAUUACGAUAUAAUUUAUUUUAACACUUCAUUGCAUUGUAUUUUGUCAGAGAGAGUGAGUGUUCAAUUGAAUUGAGUCAAAUCAAGUAAAAAAAUUUUGAGUUCACGAGUUUUAUUUUAUCAUUUUAAUUUGAUUUGAAUUUUUUUCGAAUCGAGUCAAAUCAAAUUAAAAUUCGCGUCGAGUUGAAUCAAAUGAAAUUAUUCGAGUUAAACUAAAAAACUAAACAUAUCAAAUUAAAAUAUUAUUACCGUAUAAAUAAUUCCAGGUUAGAGCACCUAAAUUUGAAACCACAUAUAUUUUAAAACUUUUUCAAAGUAAAAAAUAUAUACUUUAAUAUAAUAAAUUUGAAUAAUUAAUUAACUUAUUUAGAUUUUCAUAAUUAUUAUUUUAGAAAAACUUUAAAAUUUUUUAACUUUCUUUAUAUAUUUUUUAGAAUUUUUAGAAUAUUAAUAAUUUUUUAAAAAUAUAUAAAUUUUGGAAUUUUUAUAAAUAUUUUGAAUUUUAAAAAUUAUUUUAAAUUUUUGUUGAGGGAGACCAAUUUGCUCAUUUUCAAAGUUGAUAAGGACCAAAAGAGUAUUUACACCAAUCUGUUAUUCGAAUUGUAAAAUUCAACUCGACUUGAACUCGAAUCGAGCUUGAUUCGAUUAACUCGAAAUUUAAUUUUUUUGAAUUGAAUCAAAUUUUUUUCACCCCUAGUUAGAGGAUUAGUGUCUUUAUGCAUGAUUAACACUUUGAUUCUUAUUGUGGAGUGUUUAAAUCCACAUACUCAUACUUGUAUCUACAUCCAAUUAGUAAAGGCUAAAAGAAAAUGUUUAAUAUGCCAUUUUGAUUCUGAAAAUGAUAUUAUAUAUUGAUUCAUUGAUAAAAAUAUCAUCUUGAAUUUGAUAAUCAAACACUAGGUUGAUUCUGUUUAUGAAAGGUCAUUCUGAGUAUAAUAUAUGACAAUAAUCCUGUUGAAAUGAUAUUUUGUGAUUAUUAACAUUUUGAAUUCAAAUUAUGUUAGUGCUAUAGAAUGUUCAAUACUCAACGUACGAUUUUGUUUGUUUCUGUGCACAGUCUUGUCUUAAGUUUUGGUGUGUUCGUGAUCUUGUCAGCAUCCAAGCUAUCAGUACUCAGCUCAACCAUCAAUUGUAACAUUUUCCUAUAUUCAAUUAGAAUUGGCAUGUACCUAAGUCAUUAGAAAGUGCUUUGAAGUCAUUAUAUCAUUUUGAUUUGUAAAUAUGUUAAUGAUGCAUGCCUUGGUGACUGGUUGAGUGAUUUUGUAUUUCACUUAUCUUUUGGUGUAUAUAUUUGAUGGAGUAAUUUUGAUUGAAUGGCUAGUUGUGCAUAAGUUAUUAGUUAGUUUAAUUAGGCUAGUUUUGUUGGAAUAAAUAAUAUGACCCUUAGGUGUAAUGCAUUUAUAUAAGUUAAGUAUGUGUAAAUUAGAUUGAUAUAAGCUAAAAUGGUUUUUGUGUUGGUAGAUGUUGACUCUCUACUUGGUUUAAAUAAUUAAAGUAUGUAUUUAGUUAAUUUAACUAUCCAUUUACUAAUAUUGAAAUAAGACAUAUGAAAUACGAGAACUUUAACAUAUUGAUUAUGUUCUUAUAUGUCAAUUGGUUACGAGAUUGAAGCUCGAUUCACGAUUUUAUGUUCCCGAUCAUCUAAAUAAGUAUUUGCUUGAAUAAUGGUAGAAAUAUGAAGGAAAAAUAAACAAAAGGAUAAACUUUAAUAUAACUCACAAAUAUAAAUAAAUCAGAAAAGAAUCGACGAUAUAUAACAACGCAACCUGUUUUCUAUAUUGUUGUUUAAUACUCGAAAGUUUAGAAAAUGAUAGAGAUCUUGACCCGCUAUCUAUAAUGAAAUAAGAACCAAAGGUAUGAUGUUUUGAUCACCACACUUUAAGAAGGUGAUAAGAUUGGAUUUUAGAGUAAACACCACAAGAAAGAAUGAAGGGCUUUUACUCUAAAAUGAUGUAAUAAACUAGGACAUAAUUAACUCACAUAUUAAACAUGUAAUGACAAUAACAUAAUAUUUUAAAACAUAUUUAUGAUGUUCGAAUAAAACAUAAAACAAAGUUGUGGAAAUUAAUAGACUAAUUAAAAUUGAACAGUUUGGGCCUUAAAAGCCCUCAAUUGUCUCUUUAGGUUUCUCAUCAUAGCCCACUUUUUAGGCCCAAAUGGCAGCUUCGACCUUGACCCAAUUAAGGGACCCGAUAUCACAUCAAGUUUGGUAUGAUUUAGGAUGUGUUUUGGCAUCAAUUAUUUAUUGGAAAGUUUGCAUUUUUGACAUUUUGGCAGGAUGGUUUCAAGAUACAUUGGUUAUGUCUCGAGACAAUAUGAACAAAAAUGAUUAAAUUGUACAUUUCUAGGUAAUUGUCUCGAGACAUGUUGAAUAAAUCUCAAGACAAUAAUCGUAGACCUCGAGACAUGUACCCCAUAGUCUCGAGAUGAGUAAAUAUCGAACCUAAAUAAGUUUUUCCUAUUUCAGGUCUCGAGACAUCCAAACAUCGAAGCUAGAAUAGCAAAACAAGAGAGAUUUAUCUCGAGAUUAUCUACAGACUUGAGAAGCUAUGCUUCGAGACAUAGAUUUUAAUGUCUCUAGACAUGUCAUCAUCGAAGAAAAAUUUUUAAAAAAAAAUUGUAUCCUAUCUCGAGACAUCAUGUUGAAAUUUAAUGAAUAGAGUUUAGAUUUUAAUCUUAACUCCGUAAUUUACUCUGUUUAAUUCUGAAAACACUUUUUGUGAGUUCAUUUUAUAUGAAUUAAACAUGUUUGUUCCUUAAGUUGACUAUGUGUGAUUUAUAAUAUGAUUGAACGUUAAUAUUAUUGUUGAAAUGAUUUGCCAUGGUUCCUCGUUACCAUCACCAUAGACAGCCCCGCAAUUUCUUCCUCCAUACACAGACAAAACGUCAGAACCCAAGCAGACAAAUAGACGAACCAUCGACAGAACGAAAGCAAACAGAUAGAAUCAUGACGUCCCAAAUAAGCAAUUAUCCGACAAAGAAACCAACAAAGAAAACGAGGAAAAGGAAAGGGUUCAAAGGCAUGCCACAUGAGAAGACGAGAGUGUGCCAUUAGGCAGACUAAGUCUAUUUUUUCUUCACUUUGUUAUCUAUUAUAUUUUUAUUUUUAAAGGCAUAUUAUAUAUAUGUAUAGAUGGGCCUGUACUUUGGAUUACCACAAUUCAAUUUCAAUUUGGUGUGCUUUCUCCAUUUUGUUUCUUUCUUUGCAUGCGCAAGGUUGCGCAAUUUCAUUAUUAAAUUUUCUUUCCUUCAUUUUUUUUUUACUUAAAUCUGCGUAUCAUUUAAUUUUAGGCAGAUAGUUAAUUUGGGAGAGAGUUGUGAGAUCCUAAAUCAUAUCUAAAAAUAUUUAUUUAGUAUUUUUUAUUAUUAUUUAGGAGAUGGAUAUUAUCGUCUUAUAAAAUUGUAUUGAUAAGAGUACAAUUGGAAGAACAGAAAUGAUUGUCUAGUGUAUUCAGUCUAUCGAAUAAUACAUUGGUAUGUUUAAUUAAGUGAUUGGUUGGAACAGUUAAAGGAAAUAGUAAUUGAAUUUAAACCACCUGAGUAGUUGAGGCUAUCGGUUCGAUUGAAGAGCUAAAUCGUGGACGCGUGUUUUAUCGUUGUUCAUUUGGUAAAGAUUAGUUGUUAGGCAUUCCCGCAAUUAAUUUACAGACGAAAGGGUUGGUAGUCUAAGGUAUCUUCAAUCUCUAUAAUUGACUUAUUGAUUGAAGGAGAAGACUUAUUAUCAAGGACCGGUUCGAAACUUGAAGCAAAAAUUGAGCCUGGAGCUAGAAUAUCAUCAUAUUGGUUUAUUCAAUUUAAUUUCUUUUUAUCUAUUUUUACUGUUAUUUCGAUUUCAAUACUUUUAUUAGAUUUAAAUUCUCACACUGUCAUACAUUGUAGGCAUGACAGUUGCUUGGCACGCAACCUGAUUAAAUCGAAUAACAAAUUUAAAUAUCUCAACUUUUGUGAAAUCGAUCUUACUCCUUAUACCACUAUUUAUAUACUUUUUAAAUGUAAAAAUUUAUUUUUGAUGGAUUCAAUAUAGAUUAAAAUUAAUAAAAUUUUAUUAUUUUUUUAAAUGUGAGGAAUCUUUGCAGUCGAAUGGUUUGGGAUAAAGUUGAUUUUGGGAAGACGAGUCCCCGCGACCCACCCCUCCUUCCUCGCUUCUCUGCUCCUUUUCUUUUUGCUUCUUCUACAUGCGAUAAUCAUCAGGCAUAUACAUAUGUUGGGUAUCCACGUACUUUAAAGGCAGAUUGUUUGCUUCGUUAAACAGAUGCUAUAUAAAGUGCCCAUUUUUAUCAGCCAUGCAAGCAUCCACCCCCACUCGUAUUUUCUGUCUGCUAUGCACGUCAACCAAAGUUACAAUUUUCAAUUAAACUUCUGAUAAAGGAAAAAAGAAAACCCUUUCAAUUAAACUUUGAUUUAUAGUCUGCUUUAAAUUUGGACCAAAACACGGAAAAAGUGUAUAUAAUUCUAUUUUUUCUUUCAUCUAUAUCAAAUCUGUUGCACAAGCUUUAGCAAUGCCCAAUUUGGAUCUCAAUCAACAAAGUGGAGAUUACUCAUUCAAACAUGAUUCUCCAAGUGUAACUAAAAAUUAAAAAACAUUACAAAUAAGUAUAAAAAAUGGAAUGUCUUAUAUGAUAAAUAUCAAACCCAAGGCAAAUUAAAUUUGGAUAAAUAAUAAAAAGUUACAAAUUUAUCUUUGAAUCAUUUGAUACUUACAAGUUGACCAUUGGCCUGUUAAGGUACCUUAGAUGUGGAGACAAUUAAAUUUACAAUUUGGCCAAUCAAUUAUUUAUAAGUUUACAAUUUAGUCAUUUAAUUUCAAAAAGUUACAAGUUAGCUUAUAAAUUAUUUGUAAGUUUACAAAUUUACAUUUUGCUUAUUCAAUUUUUGCACCACUAUAUCCUAACCCGAUAAUCUAAACAGUAUCAACAAUAACUUAAGCCCCAAACCGUAACAAAGCCAUUGUCAAUCUUAUGCCUCACCUUUUAACUCAAUCAACUGGCAACCAUUUAUUCUUAACCUAUUCACUAUUUUCCCUUCAACUAAAAUCAUGAUUCAAAGAAAAUCCACUAUCAAAUGAUUCAAACACCCUUUUCUUGAAGUAAAGGGAUAGAAUAAAAUCAAAUAAAAGAGAAUUAAUCAAAAUAGUAAAAAAAAACGACUAAAAUGUACUAGAAUCAGUUAGGAGUUCUAGUCAAAGAGUUCCAAACAACGAAGGCUCAACCAAAAAGAUCAAGGAGAAAAUCUCAUUAAGAAGAAGAAAAUAUCGGAGUUAGGCAACCAUCUGAUGACAACGGUGAACAUAGAUUGAAAAGAGCUUCUUCAUUAUUAGGGUUUUGGUUUUAAAUCAAUGAACUUUCAACAAGAGCUUCUUCGUGCAUUAGUAAUAGUCUCCCUUCGCUUUAAGCUCGUGAAUAAUCUAAGUGUUUUGCUGUUGCUCACUUUACUGUUGGUUAUAUUUCUUCAACAAGAAACUGAAUUGUUCUUGGAGCUCUACAUAUUGUUGUGUCGUUGGGAUAUUAUUUUGCAUAGCUGGGUUCUUUAACCUCUUGACCUUGCGGUUGAUGAUUGUCUCCCGCAAGAUUUGGUUGGUUAUAGUAUCUUGGUGGUAGUUCUAUUGAGCCUACUGUUAGUAGUUUCCUUGGUCAUCCGGUUGGCCAUGUUGACUGCCAUAGUAAUAUUCUACUUAUUAUUGUUGAUAGUAUUGUUCCUGAGAAGAGGUUUACCGGUAAUAAUCACGUUUACCAUACUGUUGUAGUAUUGAUUUUCUGAUAAUAUUGGUCACCUUGCUUGUUGUUGACCUUGUUGAUUUGUAUUUCUAGGGUAUUCUGAGUCGACUAAGUCAUAACUUUUCGUCCAAAAUUCCCACAGACAACACCUUAGGGGAGAGGGUAUUGAUAGAUGGAAGAAGGCUUAAAGUAAAACUCUUAUUUUAUGAUUACCUCUUUUAGAGUUUAAAUUUAAAACUCUUAUUUUAGAUUACCUCUUUUAGAGUUUAAAUUUAGACUCGAAUUAGGGUAUAGGUUAAUGUGGCUACCUUGGAUGUGGGUAAGUUUAAAAAAUUGAAAUUAUUGAAUGAGGUUGAAUUUGAUGUGACGGUUAUUCUUGAUGAUUUUUUGGUAUUACUCCAUGUCUAAACCACCCUUUUUUUUAAAAAAAAAACAUUUAUAUUUAAAUUUGAUAAAAGAAUGGGGGAAUCGAAUUUUUGAAAGUAAAAUAUGGAGUCGCCACCGAUUUUUUUGUUUGGUGUGAUCGGAUCACCCAAAAAUGAGGUUAUUUUAAUAAAACGUUUUUGGUUUAUUAAAACAAAGAUUUUGAUCUACGAACUUUUGAGAAAAAACGGGUUCGGGAGUCGGUUACGCAUGAGGAAGGAUUAGCACCCUCACUACACCCAAAAUUGGUACCGAAUCGAUUAAAUGCUAUCCUUAUGUCUAAAAUUUAAAAAUGUUUUUUGAAACGUGGUUCCUUUUUUAUAACAUUUGAAUAACCCGAGUCGGUGGCCAGAAAUCUUCUUGUUUCGACAUCCGAAAAUUUUUAAUUUGGAAAUCACAAAAGGACGCUCACUAUUUAGUUCAACGGAAAACCGAAACCCAGCACAGUAGGGCACGAUUCCUCGAAUUUCCAAACAUUGACCAUUGCCUUGCCUUAGAAAAUAUGAGUGAAAUUUUGAAGAGAUACUCGAUUAUUUUGAACGAACGGGAGAUUGCAACCCAGCACGAUAGGGCACUAUUCCCCGAAUUGCCAAACAUCGAACAUUUCUUCCGUUUUCAAGAGUUUUUAGAAAACGUGAGUGAAAUUCCGAAGGGAUCUUCAAUUGUUCUGAACCAAUGAAAAAGCGCAACCCAGCACGAUAGGGCACGAUUCUCAAAUCGCCAAACAUUGAACAUCAUCUUCGUUUUAAAGUGUUUUUAAUAAACAUGAGUGAGAAUAUAAAGGAAUAUUCGAUUGUUUUGAGCAAACGAAAGAUCACAACCCAACACGAUAAAACAUGAUUCUCGAAUUGUCAAACAUCGAAUAUUGCCUUCGUUUUAAAUAAUUUUUAAAAGACAUGAAUGAAAUUUUGAAGGGAUAUUUGAUUAUUUUAAGCAACCGAGAAAUUGCAACCCAGCACGUUAUGGCACGAUUCCGCAAAUUGCCAAAUAUCGCACAUCACCUUCGUUUCAAAGAAUUUUAAAAAGGCAUGAUGAAAUUUUGAAGGGAUAUUUGAUUAUUUUGAGCAAACGCGAAAUUGCAACCCAACACGUUAGGGCACUAUUCAGCGAAUUGCCAAAUAUUGAAUCUCGUCUUCGUUUUAGAGAGUUUUUAAAUGAAUACUUAUAAAAUUAGCUUAAAACAUAUUAAUGCAUUUUUUGAAAUGAGACGGAGUUAAUCAUAAAGAUUUGAAUUUUAUAAAAACCACAUUUCGCAAACCGAGUGAAAAAUAAUGAUAUGUGAUAACCGGCACAUACGAGAUGCAAUCGAUUAGCAAACUAAUAAUUAAAUAUAGCUAACCUAAAAAUGCAACCCAAUUACAAUAGCGCAUAGAGGAUAAUUGACAUAAUAAUAUAAUGAUGAAAAUGAUAAUAUAACAGUCAUACAAACAAAACAAUACAUACAAUAAUAUGCCACAAUGAUAUACAUAGCAUGAUAUAUAAAAACAACAUAGCAAUUAGAAGCCAAUGCGCUAUAAAACGGUUUUAAAAUAAUAACGAAUAAAUGGACCCAUACAUAAGUUGACAAAUUUGCAUGAAAACUAUGGGUAGCUAUAUGAUUUUUGGAAUAGAUGUUAUAGAAUAAAAAUCAAAUUACACGUAAAAUAUUUUAAACACGAAUUUAUUUAGAAGUUAACAAAAUAUAUGAUAAUAAUAAUAAAAAAUAUGAUACGAAAAAUACAUGACAAAAUAAAAUGCCCAAAAUAGACUUGUAAAAAAAAACGUACAUAUAAAUUUAUAAAAAGAAUGAGAUUAAUAAUAAUAUAUAUAUAAUUUUGGUUGGUCUAAAAACCAUACAUAUCCUUAUAUCAAAACAUUUAAAUAAUAGGCUAUAUAAAACACAAAAGCAAUAUAAUAUAAAGAAAUAUUCAAAAAAAGAUAACAAUAAUAAUUUUAUAAUUAAAAAGCUUUUAAAAUUAUUUCAUAUAUACAUAAAGAAAAUAUUUGGUAAAUUACAAAGCGAAAGGUGUUUUAAAAUAAAAAUCUAUUAAAGUAAUAAGUGUAUUAAUGUGUAUAUGUAUAUAUAAAUUUUAAAGAGAACACAUGCAAAUUUAUAAAGAAAUGAUAAUGUGUAUAGAUUUAAUAAUAUAUAAACCGAAUAUAUGUACUAAUAUAAGCAAAUAGAAAAAUAAUUUUAUGCAAAAUAUAUAUGUAUAAACAAAAUGUAUUAUCGUGGCAAGAUAUAUGCUAAAAUACAUAGUUAGAAUAAAACAUUAUAUGUAUGAAGCAUUAGGAUUAUUAUAAAACAUGUAUAUGCCUAAUAACAUGAAAGAAAUAAACAUUUAAGAUAUACAAAGUAUGAUAAUAAUAUUACAAAAAACGAAUCUACAACACUAAAAAAAUGAUUAUCAAAAUUGUUUAAAAUAUACAAGUAAAUAAAUGAAAAAGAUUAUAAAGUUAUAAAAUAAAAAGACCUAAUUAAAAUUAAACUAAAACACACAAGGUAAAUUUGAAAAUAAACAGAAACAAUGGAAGGACCAAUAGCCAAUGCGCGAAAACAGCUAGGGACUAAAACUGGCAAUGUACCAGAUCCCAAAAGGCUGCGUUCAGGCGCGGGUCCAUUUGCAAAUGAGUGUAAAUCAUCAGGGUCAAAUUAAAAACAAACAAGGCAAGAACAUGGGUUGAUUUAAAUAUGGCGCGAAAGGGGAGGGACUUGCGUCGAAAAUAGCCCAUCCGUGACAAGACAAGCGGAUCUUGAGCGUGUGCGGGUCGGGUCAUCGGGCUGCAGCUUUGGACGCAGUCGUUUUGAGGCCAUUAAUUCGGCCUAAAACGGUGACGUUUGGAGGGCCCUUUAUGGCCACCGAAAGAAACCCUAAGAGGGUCUGCAGCCAUUUUCAAAUAGCAAGAAAGAAAAAAACUAGGGUGCCUUCGCCCUUCGCCGUUUAAUCAGCCUUUCGAAGGCCUGUUCUCCUGCCUAUCCUUUCGACUCACUCAAGAGUCAAUCCAGGCUUCAUCGAACUGAAAGAUUCGCAUGUCUUGCUCACGAACCCCGAAUCACCGCUUGGUUUCAAUCGUAGCGAAGCAAGCGAGGAUUCGAAGACAUCAAACGCAAGUAAGUUUCGUUUCUCUUUUCAUACAUUCGAUUCAAAAAAGGUAAAAUGAGAGAAGAAAAGGAAAAUAAGGGAGGGAGAUUGUGAAUGAAUCACCUUUCGAUUCGUCUAUUGCUUUUCUAUUGCGUAUAUUGUCUGUGUUUGUAUUCGUGUUUUUUGUUGCGUAAAAAAAAGGAAGAAAAUACAACUGCUAUUACACGGCUUUUAUAGCCGAAAAUAGAGAGAAAAAGAAAUGAAAAAGAAAAUACAAGUUUUGUUUCUUUUCUCCUCUUUCUUUGUUGUGCUGGUGUUUUUGUAUUUGUUUGCAGGUACGGAGUCCACUGGCAUCGUACGGAGGUGCGGGCAUGGCGUACGAGGGCCGUGUGCUGGUGCUCGGGUACUGGGUGUGGCGUGGCUGUUGGAGGCAUAGAGGUUGGGAUCGGCUGUAGCGCUAGAAAAAAAAGAACCCUAGGGUCUGUCUGUUCUAAAAGCAAUGGGCCUAUCGGGCCUUGUAAGUUUGGGUCCGGUUUUAAAUGGGUUGGUUUGGGCUUGAUUUUUUAUAAUGGACUGUAAUGGACAGUGGGUUUUUUUAUUAUUAUUUAUUAUUGUUUUAAUUUUUUUUUCUUUAUACGGGCUGGGCAAAUUUGGCCCACUACACUCCAUAUUUAUAUUCACCAUGGCUUGAGAGAUCUUGAUGUUGAUGAUGGUAAUAACUUUUUUAUCUGGAAAUUAACCAUUAAAAUUUGGAUAUCACCAUCCCACCAUUUUCAUCGAGAUUAUACGGCUUAAGAAUUGUCUUUCACUUUAUCAAAGUUUAGAAGUUUUCAUGCUGGACUUUAAGGAACAAGAAGCAGUUGUAAAAUAAGAAAAGCUAGCGAUGGUUAAAUAAUAGGCAGGGCAUGGGAAUUCCCGGGUCCCCAUGCAUGCAGUACUAUUGCUCCACUAAUGUCAUGUCAGUCUGUCUGUGGAUCUUGAUUCCUCAAGCUUUAUGGAUUCUCUUUCAACCUGUAACGUACCUACCGUCCAAAUAUGUGACUAUUUCAAAAAAUUAGUAGUCGUUUCAGUUUCAUCACACAAUCAAUAAGAAGCUCACACGCCCCCGCAGGGCCCCCACCAUUGCAAUUGUUUUUGCCUGCCCUGCAUGCACCCCACCCAAAAUAAACUCUUUGUUUUCAUUUUGUUUGACUGUUGAAUUACAGUUUUGACAGUACUCACGUCACACCUAAUUGUUGCCUGUUUCUAUGAGUCGGCAGUUUUGGCUUUAUACGUAACACCCAAGUUGAAGCUGGAAUUCAUCCCCCCAUUUGAAAGCAACAAAUGCUUGUAAUCUAGUUUUCACUAACUAUGUUUGUUGACAAGUCCAUGUUCCAGAAUCGGAAUCCUCAAUUUGAGGAGAAGAAAAAGAAAGGGUAUAGGGGUCCCCCCUUCUUUAGCACCUAACCCAAACUGGCUCCCUUGGAGUAGAUAUCUUAGCUACCAUAUUCAAGGACUUUACGGCAAUUAUUAUUGUUAUUAUAAAUUCAAACCUGUUGAAUGUGAAGAGAUUGCUCAAGCACUCAACGAUGUUGCGGAUUUAGAAGUUUGAAGUUCCAACAUAUUUCAGGACUUAGUAAGAACCAGAUCGAUCUAAUUUGAGAGAUUAGUUAAAGGCUUAAAGUCAUAAUUGAAUUUUGCGAUACCAAAUUUCAUCCUCAUUAAUUAUUUCCGAGUGGUUAAAUGCUAUACAUUUAGAGCAGUUUGUUGAGCCACCCCGAUCACAUUAAUCAUUACGUGGAUAGCAUUGAAGUGAGAAUCAUAGAAAAUAAGCUAGAAAUAUUAGCAAGGAAUGCCGAUUUUCUUCUAUGAAUUUUUCUCUUUAUAUUAUCACAAGAACUUUUAUUCAUGCUUUUGAUUUACAUUUGAAAUUCCAUUAUCGAAAAUUUGAAUUUUAAUGUAACUAUUUUGUAAAAAAAAAUUAAUACAAAUAUUUUAAAUGUAAAAAAAUAAAUGUUUGUAUUAGAAAAAUUAUAAUACAAAUAAAUAAGGAAGAAAUUAUUACACCUUCAGUUUUAUAUAUCUAUAUAUAUUUUUUGCUUCUGACAGUUUCCUAAGGGUUGGUUUAGUCUAAAAGUUACGCCCAACCUAACCUCUGCACAAAAAAUAAUUACCAAAGCUAAGCACCACACAUUACUUCAAAAUUAGCAUUCACAGUUGAAUGUCUUCAAUGCUUGGUGAUGAUAAUAGCUGAAGGAGGGAUCUCUUGAAAUUUGAAACCAUAAAUUAGCCUCUUGAAUGAGAGUAGGUUUCGGGUUUUUAUUGGGAUUCAUUUGUCUUAAAAAAAGACAUUAGUAGAUUAGAUCGGUCUUUUGGAAAUGGCAUGGUUACUUGUGAAUUAAGUAAUUUGUUAAUUAAAAUUCGAAUUUACAUUCGGUAAUAUAUACAUAUAUAUUACCCGAAGGGGCGAUUUUCAUUGCACAGAAUAAUCAAACAAACUAGCACCCAUCACAUUACAAGGAAUUUUAUCUUCUACAAAAUGGAAAUGACAAACUGAUAAUGCAAUUUCUUCCUUUUCUUUUGUUUAUUUAUUUAUUUGGAACUCCUAGUUUUGCUGCAAUUUACAAAAGGGACUCUCAGGUGUAGCCUAGGAGCAAUGAAACUUCUAGUUCUACACUCAUAAACUGAUCUCACAAGUAAAAAAACUUCACGUUGAGACAUGUCAAUUACCAAGUAUGAUGGUAAAGUAAUCCAUUAUUACCUUGUAUUUUAUUUUCGAAAUGUUUUCCCGAUGGAAUUUGGAAAAGGACACAGUAACAACUAGGUCAUGGAUGCCUUUUCGAAGCUGGACUUUUUUCAUUUUAGCAGCUAGGCAUUUAAUUUGAGGUGAGGCAAUGAUAUGCCGCGAACAUCUGGAAUGACAAUAUACAAUUUGUACCUGUUGCAAUGGGGAGAAGUCAUGUACAAAGUAAUCAGACAAAUGAAUUUAGGAUAAGAAAUUAGAUACAAACUAUAAAAAGGACGGACCAACCUUCCUCUGGACUGCAGCCACGAGUUCGUUGUUAUUGCCACCGAGGUACAGAUUCCACAGGGCAUCCCACCUGUAAAAUGAAGGAGUAAUCAACGGAUUAGAAAAAGCAGCAGAUAUUCUCAAGUUGAUCAAAACACUUUUAACAGGGUAAAAAGGCAUUAUUUACAGCUGCAGUACCUGGCUAAUUGAGGAGAGAAUUAUACUUUCUUCAUGAAACCUUUUAUGUAUUACUAACAUGUCCUGUCUCAUUUUCCUCAAGCAUGUAUCAUAGAAUAUGGAUUGGUAGAAAUUAUGUCAAAAGAAGCUGAGUUCUGUGUAUCCAUGUGACAGUGGCAGCAGCUCUUCAACCUCGAUCCUGGCACUGGAACAACUCGAGUUUUUCCAGAUUCGGCUAUGGUUAAUAGACACAACCUCUGCUGAAAAUACACUAUAAACAGGCCUAUGAUCUGAGAACUUUGACUCCCCACGAACAUAAGAUAACUGACAGAGGCCUCUUCCAUACCACAGUAUACGGUCACACCUUCACAAAUAUCAGUUCUUUAUAAAAGCAAAUUUAUGUGAAUUUCUUCUCAUAAACAUAAAAGUUCCUCCAAUUGCUUAAAAGAAGGUAAAUAGGGAGAUUACCAUGCGGGAGUUCUUCUCUUCUCCCUUAGGUGCUGGUCCUCCCCAGCAUAUCUGUCUGAAUUAUUUGAAUACUUGUAUGUGGGAGGGAAAUAUAUUCUUCCUUCACUCCAUCCUUUGAAAACAUGGCCCCGUCUUUGCUCUAUACGAAGCUGGAAAACCAUCAAUGUGUAAGUCUCAUAGGAAUUAAAUUGAGAGCAGUGCAAAGCUCCUUGAGAAUUGGACAUGAAAAUGUAUCAAGUAUAACAGCCUGGUCAUUCUCUAACAGGGCUUUCCAAUUGCACAUCUCAACUAGAGCCUUCGCAAAACGGUAUGACAGAGCAAUCCGAUAAUUCAAAUCCCCAAGCCAUAUGAUGCGACUAUGCCAAGACAUUUAAAACUUGCAAUUUAUACCAAAGGCUAAGACUAAAUUUCUGGCAAAACAAUGCAGUAUCUUAAUCUGACAAGCAUGAAUAGAGUCCAAAUUUAACAUAUAAAGGCUUACUCGUGUUCCAGAAUCAUUUGGGGAGAAUUGUCAUCCCCCAUUCCAUGAACCCUGGGAAAUCUCGUCUUUCUGAGGAUCUCCAUAACAUCAGAGUUUCUUCGCAGUUCAUCACCUUCCUUUUGCCCAGAGGUUAAAUGACUACAGAUGAAGCAAAAGCUGGUUUGAUGCAAACACAUGCUAAUAGAAAUGGAACCCUGGAACAUCCGAGAAUGAGUAUGCCUCACUUAUUCCAAGUUCAACAAAUAUUCUCAAAUCAGAGAAAGUUUCAUAAGGCAAAAAUGUACCUUGUUUCCAAGAUAACCCAUCAAUCCUCUGCCAACACAGGACACUUUCAUGCUGUGCACAUCAUCUCUAAGAUCACUCUUCACCCAUAUAGUUAGAAAUAUUCCAACCAUUUGUUUGCUGGCCACCAAAGAAUACCUUGAAUGCCCCAUCUGUCUAUUGCUUUCCUCUGCCGAGAAAAAUCCACCACAGGACAUUGGAGAAUGUUGCGAAUACUGAGUGUUACUUGGUGAAUCCCCAUGUUCAUUCUCGUCAUCAGAGAUAGAGGAACCCCAUCUGAAACUAGGAUCGUAAUCACUUGGUCUAUGCCCAAAGAUAACACGAUCACAAACACUGAACCGAUGAUCAAGCCGGGGUUGUGACAUCUCCAUGUUGCUAUGACUCAAGGAUUGAAAUGAUCGUCUGUGGAAGAAAGAUGAAGCUCUUUGCCUUGUCGAUCCUUCAAAGUCAGCAUCCAAUUCUACGGGUGGAUCUGGUAUUAGUGAAGGUGAAGGUGUAUGGCAUCCACCACCGGUGCUGGGAACACUAUUCAGGGUCUUCCUAAUGAGAGCUAGCCAUUUCCUAGCUGGUCCAUUGUCUUCAGUGCCCAAAACAUUACCAGCAUUUAAAGGAAUGAUUUCUUGAAACCUAAAAGGCCAAAUUAAAGGAUCAUAGAGGCUUUAGUUACCAUCAUCAAACUAGUUUUUCCAAGAGGAUGUAGAAGAAACCUGGACUAGUUUGACAUACCCGAGAACAUAAAUGUCAGCAGGAGGAGAGGUAUGAAGCCAAUCUUCGAGAUUCAAAUAACUAGGAGGAGAUUUCCCAGCUACAUUCCAUGUAGCUACAAAGACCCUGCGCACAUAUAGAACCAAAAAUUACUUAUUCAACAACACAACUCAAAACCAGAAAUUAAUUAAGAAUGCAACAUAUAUAUACCUAUAAUUAUGGACAUCUAUAGCUUGUGAGCCAUCAAGGUCAAUCUUACUUAGUGGAACUCGAUCAGAAUACCUCUUGCUCAAUCUCUCUAGCAUCCAUGUAACUAAUUAGAAAAAUUUGCAUAGAAGAGAAACGGAACAGAUUGAAAUAAUAUUAAGUUCUAAACAUUGGGUUUUAAUUAAAAUUUUUGGGAAAAGGGAGAUUAAAGAAAGAUGGUGCAAAGCAAUCAGGAACCUGUUUUAAUUUUCUUAAUGGUGCAUGCCUCCCUCUCAGAGAAGUUGCGUCUCCAAUGUUCAUCAACAUCUGAAAAAGAAAACACCAUAUAAAGUUGUUAAAGGUCAUCUUUCUCUUUAACUCUAUCCGCAAACAGCGUAAAAAAAAAAAGCAAAAGAGAAGAAAACAAAUUCCAGAUCUUGAACUGCUAAAGGAAAGCAUCAAGCCACUCAAAAUUAAGAACAAAAAAAGAUACAUUUUUGUAUAAAACAAAGAGUAAAAUCAUAGAAGUAGAAUAACCCCAAUGUCCAAGGCCACAAAGAAUCUAAAAUCAAGACACUUUUCACUUUCAGAAAAGAAAGACUAAAACAGAAUUAAAAGCCACCUUCAUAAUCAAUAUCAUUAGCAUGAAAGUCCUCAGCUUUACUCUUGAUGUUCAACCACUUCUUGAUCAAUGUCUUGGGCCAUGAAAUCUUCAUUAGGGAAAUACACUUGACAUAAACAGCAAUCUCAUACUUUACAAAAAAUGACAGAAGAAUCAAAUGGGUUUCUGGCUUGUCUCAAUAUAACCUUGCUCCUUCUUAGUGUUCCCAUCUCUCAUUGUGCCACAGCUUUCAUAUAGCCUUUCCAAGCAGAAAUUAUUAUGAUUCAGUGAAGUUGCUUCUUUUGGCUCAACUAUGACAUGUUAUUUUCGUUUUAAAAAACAUAAACAAAGACAAACAGGAAACGUACAAAAGACAAACAACAAUCUUGAAAACAGGGCUUUAAAAGAAACAGGUGGGAAAGUUCAAGCUUAGCGCUGAAAAUAAUGGAAGAUACAAAUGGUUUAAUUUUGAAUGAUAGCAAAAGAGAUGCAAGAGAACUAGAGAAGGGCAUUCCUCUGUUCCCUUAGGGAAUGAACAGAAAACAAGAAAGGGAGCAAAGGAAGUUCCAGUCUUUUUUAAUUUGCAUUAAUAAUUUAUCUUCAACAAGCUGAAAGCGAAAUCCAAAAAAGUCCAGUUGGGCAUUUUCCCCAUCUUGUUUUCUUUGGUGUUACACUAAUUAAGUUUUUCUGCUGGAGAAGUCGAAGAUAUAACAGACCAAAAAGAGAGGAAAAAUGAAUGAACAGAAGAGGGGGCCAGACAACAACUGAAGUGUGGAAGCCAAGACGGGAUUUUUACUAAACUAAGGACAAAAUAAAAAUAAAAAAAAUAUCAAAAUAAUACAAAUAAAGUUAUGUAUCAAAAUGGUACAUUUGAGGUGGUGCCGCCUAUGAGAUGUGACCACCCAUGUCCAAUCAAAAAUUAUUGUUGCUGUCUAUUAAAUUGCGGCACAGGAUUAAAUGUAAUAAUAUAAUUUAUUCAGGGAUCUAUUAUGCAAUUGUUUCAUUUAGAAUGACUGUUAUAAAUAAAAGGAUAAGGGUGCCGGCUGACAAUUGGCGACACUAAACUUAAAAUAUGGUUAAUUUCCUUGUUAGCUCUCCUUAUUUAUUAUUUUUUUUUAUUUCCCUUCAAUUCAUUAUAUUGUUUUCAAACAAGUCCUUAACCUAUUUUUGUAGUUAAAUAAGCCAUUAACUUUUGAUUUUUACUCAUAAAAACCCUUCAUUUUAAUAUUAAAGUAAAUAUAUUUUAAAUUUCAAACUUUUAUCUUAAUUUUUUGUUGAUGUAAUAAAAAUUAUAUACACUUUAACAUCAACAUAAAAUCUAAAAAAGUAAUCAAAAUUUUUGAAAGAGUAGUUAAGAAUAUCAUGUAUAUAAGCACUCUUAAGAAAUUUUAAAAUUUUAUUUUUUAUUUAAUAAACUAUUCACAUCAACAUAAAAUGUGAAUUAAUUUAUAUUUUUUAAAUAGCUUUACUUUGGGUAAAAUAUAUUUACUUUAAUAUUAAAAUGAAGGGCUUUUAUGAGUAAAAAUCAUAAGUUAAGGGCUUAUUUAACUACAAAAAUAGGUUAAAAGCUUGUUUAAAAAUAAUAUAGUGAAUUGAAGGGAAAUAAAAAGAAAAUAAUAAAUAAGGAGGGCUAGCAAAGCAAAGAAAAUAAUAAAUGUGUUUUGAAUUUUAAGUUUACUAUUAUAAUCAUCUAGUGCUGUUUUUAUUUAUCAAAAAGUAAUAAUAAUGCAAUCCGCAUCAAAAGAGGAAACAAUGAUGACUUGAUUUAGAUUGUGAAUAUGGAUAAUUUGUGGAGUAAAUUGUAAUAGUUAAUAGAAAAAUGUCAAAUUUUUAGUUUUUUUUUUUUUGAAAUUUGUGGCAAUAUUUUUACUUUUUUAAGAAUUUUAUGAAUACUUUAAAAUUUCAAGAAUCUUUCGUAUAAUUAUAACUUUAUAUAAUUUUUAAAAAUAAAUUAUGAAUUUUCAUUUUUUAAGAAGUUUAUAUAUAUAUAUUUUAGAUUUACAUUUAAAAACAUUUUAAAGUAUGAUAUUUUAGUGUUAUAUAUAUAUAUAUAUAUAUAUAUUUAAAUUUAUGAUGAGAAUGGAAAGGCAGCUAAAGUUCCAAUGGAGUUGGUGCACUUUAAUGUGUUCAGACCAAUAAAGCAGCCAUGAAUUAAUGGAUUCAGGUAAUAUGUGUGGGUAGACUUUAUGAAAGAAAAAUCAAAAGAUUUAUUAAAAUUUAAAAAAUUUAAAAUUCUGGUCAAUAAGAACUUAAUCAAAGUUUAUGAUAUCUUCGUAGUAAUAACGAGGGAGAACGCAAGAGUUUACGGGCUUCCUACAACAGAACAAUAUACGAAGACAACUGACAUGCCCAGCGACCUCGCAACAAAAUGGGAUUGCAGAGCGAAAUAAUUGACACUUGACAGAGACUUGCCAAAGGACGUUACAUGCUAAGAAAGAAUGUGCCACCACGUUUUUGGGAAGAGUUUAAAAAAAAACGACUGCUUAUGUUAUCAAUCGACUACCGCAAGCAAAGCUCAGUUUCAUGACACGGUACGAGAAUUUGGAAAAUCAAGUCUACGGUAAGUCAUUGUCAAGUAUUUGGUUGUGUAUGCUAUGUAUUUGUGCCUGACCUCUGCGAAGUUCAGUAAAAGGGCAAUCAGGUAGGUGCAUAUUCGUGAGCUACGAUGGACACCUUUUCCAACCAAAUCUGACUCCAAAACUCUCUGAAAACGAAAAUGGUGAAAUAAAAAAUUUUGGGAACAAAGAUUUGUGUUCUUAUUAUUUAUUAAUCUGAGUUGUUGUUUUUAACUUACAGCAUGAGCUCCUUGCUUAACCAGAAUGAGGGAACCAUUAUUUUGAUAGCAUCAGUCGUGGAGGGAUUAUGGUAACGGAAUCUUUCAUUUUCCAAAUAUUUUGGAGCUUUUGCGGGCCACCUAAUGAUGAUUGAUAUGGAUAUCCAUAAUUUCAAUAAUCCAAUAAAUUUGGGUUAGGAUAUUAGAAGGUUUUUUCAUAUAUACCAAAUAUAAACUUUAUUUAUUAAAUUAUUAAAUUUCAAUCAUUUAUAAUAUCUUAUGGUGUUCGUUAAUAUUUAUUUAUUUAUUUAUUUCCAUUAUUAAUGUAUCUCCAAAAGUCGAUUUCCAUAGGGAAAAUAAAAAAUAACACAUACUAAUUCAUAAAAAAAUAUAUACAAAUUUAUAGAUCAAAUUUUCACACAAGUUCUAAGAUUAUAAACUAAAUUGAUCGUCUCCCUCGUCAAACAAAAUUAAUCUGAUCACUAAUUUUGUGAGGCUAAGCUCAAACAGUAUUCUUUUUCUGACAAACUAAUUAAAAUUACAUCAACCAAAAUCGAUUAAAUUUGAGUUCAUUUUUAUGUACCACAAAAUUAUCGAGAUGAAUCUCUCUUUCUUCCUUCAUGCUAUAAUAAAAAAGGAAUCAUGUAUGUACGAAAUAUAGACCUUUAGAUAUAUACAUGUAAGAAACAUGCAUGAUUAGGUUGAAGCAUUCAUCAACAGGUUCUCCAUGGUUGGUGUCAUGUUCAUAUGCGCAAAUGAAAUCAAUGACCUCGUUAUUGAAAGAGGACCAAGUAGAGCUUAAAAUUUAAGUGCACCGUGCAUAUGUACGGGCAAAAGAAAAAGUGAAUUGAGGGUAACAAAAUAUCAAGGGCCUCGGGCAGAGAAACAGAAACAGCCGGAAGCUUGGUCUUCAGGUAUCAUGCCACCUCCCUUUCUUGUUUCUAUAGCCUCUAGCGAUCUCACCACCUCAUCCAUGUCAGGACGUCUUUCGGGAUGUGGAUCCCAACAUUUUCUCAUUAUGCUUGCCAAUGCACUCGGGCAACAUCUCGGAAUUUCUGGCCGUAAAUUCUGCAACAUCAGGAGUAGGCAUCCAUAAUGCAAAAUAUAUAUAUAUAUUAAAGCCCCAUUUUAUACAAGAUAUAUAUCGAUGUGAUGUUUCAAAUUCAUCCAUAAUGUAAGAUACGAUGUUUUUAAGUCAUACCUGUCGCACUACUGCUGACGUAAAAUCAGCAAAACUAAGGUUAGCAUAAGACAUGUCGCACCAGUAUAUUUCCCAUAAGCAUAUACCAAAGCUGUAGACAUCGCAUUUCCUAUUGUAAGGUUUCCCAUCGAGGACCUACACAAGACAAGCAUUAGGUUCGAAAAGGGAGGUGAUAAGCAGAAAACAAAGGAGGAGUGUUGAGGCAUUUAGGUGACCCAAUUGUUGUUGCAGUUUAACAGAAAAGUUUUGCACCAUUAUUUGGAGAAACAAAUAACACAACAAUGGAGUGGAUACCUCUGGAGCCAUGUAACCAAGAGUGCCUGUUUCCCCAGUCAUGUCUUGUGGGUUCUGAGCUUCAACUCGAGCAACACCAAAAUCAGCAAUUUUCAAUAUUCUACGAGCAUCUAGCAACAUAUUUUCAGUCUUGACAUCACGGUGCACAAUCUUUUUGGAAUGAAGAUAGCCCAAACUACAAAUGGUGAACCAAAAUCAUUCAUUACUUUUACAAAGAGUAAUACUUUGGAAAUCCUAUUAUAGUUCAAAAACUACUCACCCUCUGGAGAGGUCCAAAGCAAUUUGAAUCACAACCUUAAAGGCUAGUUUCUUCCUCCUGUUUCUUAUCAAAUAAUUCUUUAACGUCCCACCUGCAACGUACUCAACAACAACACAACAUGCACUGGAAGGAAGAACGCUAUUAUUCUGGCUUGUUGCAUCUUUGGUUCGUAUCUUAAGGUUGGAAGUUCCCAUGAAGCUCCAAUAAACUGCAAGAAGCUGCUUAUUCAUGAUUUGAACAUUGGAAUUUAUUGGCAAGCAGAAUAGAAGUAAUAACACUAGAAGAAGCCCCCAAAAAAAAAAAGGAAGAAAGCGAGCGAGCCAGAGAGAACCAAAAACUGAGCCAUGUUUCCGUACUUAACUGCUAUCAAUGAAACCAAAUGCAUGACAUAGCUAAAAACAUUAAUUAAUUUAACCUUUGUAACAUUUGGGUGAUCAAGUUUAUGCCAAACGGCAACCUCUUGGCAGAAUGAUGACCGAAUAGCAGCAGCUUCAGCAGCUGUGGCAAUCCCAUCCUCCCCCCAGUUAAAUACCUUCACUGAAAAAUUAAAAGCUUUUUGCAAUUAGAAUUUCAGCAUGCUGGAGCAGGAUUGUUUUUUAAUUUUUAGUGUUGCAGUAGGCAGCAAGUCAUAUAGAGGCCAUUGUUUAACAUUACUGCACCUAGACACAUGUUAGAACCAAGCAUCAGAAAGUAAAAAAGAUUGCAUUCGUAACACUCAAGUUUCAGAUUACCUGAACUUAAUUCAGAAGUUUAACUAAUGCCAUCUAAAUAACUUUUAGAAGAUAAAGCAAUUAUAGAGCCCCAUGGAAACUCUGCAUAAGAUGAAGCUGGAUAUACCAAGCAAACGUAAAGAGACAAGGCAGCUCUAGUUCUUGACUGAGGGUUCUAUUGCAGAAGAAAUAGCCACUGAAAUAACUCUUUGAAGAUAAAGCCCUAUGGCUUUAUCGCUUGCACAUGAGCUUGAUUAGACAUUCAUAUGCAGCAUCAAGACGAAUGAAAUUUACCCAAGUCUGUCCAAGGUUUUUCUUUGCCGAAAGUAAAGUUACCGAAACAUAACCUUUUAUUACACCUUCAUUUAAAGAACAAAACUCUUGAGGAAUUUUUUUUAGUAAGUUAUACCUCGAAGCAAUAAAACUUACGGUCAGAGUUACUUGAAUUGAUGCCACAUGGCUAAACCUGAAGUUCCUAGUAUCAAGCAUGGACCUUUUAUUGCACAAAAUAUUCCAUCUUAUAUCUUAGAUCCUAGGCCUAAAAUCAUAACCAAAAGAUAUGAAUUCAUUACUACAUUAUCAUAUUCUACUCUUAAAACGGAAAGGUUCAUUCCAAGGGCCAAUUACAUAUAACAUCUUUAUAUCAGUAUAAUUCAAGAAGAUAGAAAGAUGGAUUCAGAAACCAGGCUACAGAGAUACCUGAAACAUCUUGGGUAUCAUAAAGGCCUCGGUAAACGGUGCCAUAAGUUCCAUGAGCUAUGACAUUCCUUAUAUCAAGUUUAGCCAAAUCAAUUUCCCACUCUUCCUUCUCUAUGGUGCUUGAGAUACCCCUGUCCCUGGACAAGGCCCUGCGCAGGUGCUUAUCCAGUUGCAAAUCCCAGCUGUUGAAAUCUAUCUUAUCGGCUCUUAGAAACAUGUCCUUUUUUUUCCUCACGUUUCCUACAGACCCCAACGCCUUUUCCUUUGGUGGGGAUGUCUCCGGUUUUGUUGCCUGUUGCCAUCUUCAUCUUCUUUUCUAUUUAUGAUAAACGGAAAAAAUAAACCCACAAAAACAAAUAAAAAGAAAAUGCAAUGAUCAAACCAAAGAGAAAGGGUCAACAAAACAUUGGUAUUAAUAAGGAAAAAGAGAAAAAAGAAACAAAGGGAAAUAUUUUAUACAGUUUACGAGAAAAAACGGAUGAUUGUUUAUUUGAUAGUCUUUUCUUUAAAAAAAAAAUUAAGAAAAAAGUAGGGUUUUGUAGAAGAUGAUAGCAGAAAGAAUUUUAGUUGUUGAAAAAAAUUAAGAAAAAGGGAGGAGGUGAGGCUUAAAUUAAAUAUAUAUAUAAUAUAAAACCAACUAAUUAAGAAUAAAUAGUGAUAAUUUAAGAGUAAUUUAAAUGUUUUUUUAUAAAAGCUAAUUAAUUGUUUUAAUUAUUAUGUGCUUGUGAGUGUUUUUUGAUUUGUUGAAAGUUUUUUUUAAUAUUUAUAUUUUAAUAUCAUAUUUAUUAUUAAAUUAUUAUUAUAUUUUUUAUUUUAUUUUUUAACAAUUUCAUUUUUAUACACAUGCAAUGCAACAAGUUAAAUUGAAGUCUUUUUAAGGUUGAGAAUAUGAAUAAUUUUAAAUUUUAUUGUUAAACAUAUUAAUUUAUUAAUUCAGUAUUCAUAAUUCUUUAAUUAUGACCCAUGUAGGAGUAAAUAGGGGUGAAUUUGAUUAUAAGAGAAGUAAAUAGGGUCAAAUUUAUUUUAUUUUUUUUCUAUUCAAUAUAGUAAAUAGGGUCAAAGCUAUCUUUUUACUUUGUUAUUUUUUAUUCAAUAUAUCCCAAUUAACUAUUUAUGCGUUUACAAUAUUAAAUUUAUAUUAAGUUUUGAAAUUUAAUAUUAUUAUAUUAUAAUAAUAUAAUUAAUAAAUUUUUUACGUCAAAAUUAUAUUUUGUUUAAUUUUCUACUUUAUCCAUUAUAUCCAAUUAAAUAUUCCUAAAUAUUUGUAAUGUUUUACCAUAUUCUAUUUAUUCUUUCUUAAUUUUUAUCUUACAGCAUUAUCUAUAUCUAUAUAAAAUAUAAAAUAUAUUUUUAGGAAGAAUUAUGAGAUAAAUUGCAUGAAAAUUGACCUUUUAUUUUUUAUUUAUUCUACUUUUGAUUAUGGUUUUAGUUAUAUUUUAAAUUAAGUUAAAGGUAUAAAAAUAAUCAUUUUUGUUUGUCUCAGAUUACAUUUUAACAACUUAUAUUUGAAAUGUUACAUUUAGUCACUUACGUUAUCGUUUUGUUACGAAGUGGUCUCUGUUACUUCCCUAACGGCGGUCCUACGUGGUAGUCCAAAUAGGUUUUAAAUGCCAACUUAGAUGUACUACUUGACAGUUUAAAUUAAAUUUAUUUAAUUAAAAACCUAUUUUCAUUCCAGCAAUUAGACAGCUAAGUUGGCAUUUAAAACUCAUUUAGACUAUCACGUAGGACUGUCGUUAGGAAGGUAGCAGAGCUUAAUGGUACAGUGACCACUUUAUAACAAAACGAUAACAUAAGUGACUAAAACAUAACAUUUCAAACAAAAGUGACUAAAAUACAAUCUAAAACAAACAAAAGCGACUAUUUUUAUAGUUUACUCUUUAAAUUAAUAUUAAAUCACUAAAUAAAAUAUAAUUAUUUUUAUUUAAUAUCAUUAAUGCUUUAAUUACUCUUCAUAAAAUUUGAGGCUAGAAUCAAUUUAGAUAUUAUUUUUUAUAUCAAUUUUUUUCUUAGAAUAAAUAGAGUUUUAGUUCCAAAAAGACUCAUAUUUUAGAAUAUGGAAUAUGUGGAUAGUCUUAUGGUUUAUAGCCAUAUUUGACAUUUUAACACCAUACAUAUUCUAAUCUUUUCAUCAUCUAAACAAUUUUUUUUAUUUUGUGUUUUAUUUUUUUAAAAGUUUGAUUUGGUGAUUUUUAAUUACAAAAAUAUUACAAGUAAAAUUAUUAAAGUGUUUAAUAUUUUAAAUAUAUUGAUAAUUAUAAAUUUGAAUGUCUUACUGCUACAAUUUUGAAUUUUAUAUAAAUGGUUGUAUUAUUUGUAAAAAGAAAUUAGGUUUGUAGAGUCCUCUACUUUUUAUAGGACUUAAUUAAGCAUAUCAUCUAUUUCUUUUAUUUUAUUUUUAAUAAUUUUAAUUAUAAAUAUAUAUAUAUUUGAAAAAGUGUUUUUUUUUCUCUCCGUCAUUUUUUUAUUGCAUUGUUUUAUGUUUUUAUUUUAUUUUAUAAUUUGUUUUUUUUGUUCUAAGGUCCAUUCUGAUGUUAAUUAAGUCACUCGAAUUUGAUAUAUUAAACUUCAAGAUAAUGUAAAAAAAAAUUAUUUAAUUUUUAAAAUUUUCGAGAUAAAAAUUUAUUCAAUAAUUUUAAUUUUUUUUUUGGUUGGGAAGAAAAUUGAAUAAAAAAAAGGGUAAUUUUGAUAUGAUUUGUAGUAAGCUAGGUGUUAAAACAUUAAUAUAGAUAUAUAAUUUCUCUCUUUUAAUCUUAACCUAAUAGAACAUGAACUUAGAAUGUAUUCUAAUAUAUUAAAUUGAUGUAAUUAACUGUUAACAAUUGGUUGUUUCACUUUUUUUACUAAUAUUAUAUUCCAUUAUAUGAAUAUAUAGGCUCGAGAGAUCUUCAACAAAUUAAAAUUCAUCAAAUAAACCUAUUAGGAUAAUUUGAAGAGAGGAGUUAUUCACUAAUAUCAAUAUAUAUUUUUCUUAACUUUAUUAUUAAUAUUUUAAUAUUUUUUAUUUAUUUAUUAAAUUUAGUUGUUUUUAUUGAUUUAGAUAAUUAUAUACAAAAUAGAGACAUGGAUAAGUAAGUAGGUGUUCAAAACUUUUUGAUAAAUAAAUUACUUUAAAAUAAUAAAUUGUAAAUUAGAUCAUCAACAUGUUGUACAUAUAUAUAUAUAAUGAUUAAAAAAUAUUAUAAAUAAAAACCUUAUUUAUGAAUAUUAGAAAAUUAAUCUUUUCAAAAUAAAGGAAUUGAAAAACGCUUCCAUCUUUAACGGGAUUUUUAGGAUCUUAUGUGGAUAAGAAUAUGGGUUUUCCCUAUCGAUUUUACGAUAUUACCCCCUUUAUUCUCUAUAAGAACAUAUUUUUUAACACUUUAUUAUUAUUAUCCUUGAUAAAGGCUAGGGUAAGGGUAUUGAUUCCGAAUAUUAAAUAAUUAUUUUUAACACACAAUUUAUAAGGCAAGUAACGUGACUUUUUGUAUCUAAGCUCUUAAUUUAUCUCGUAAGUAGUAGUGGACUACUUAUUUCCGGAAAGGACUCUUAUAGUUGUAGUAGUAGAAGCAAAUGAUAUCUAAACCACAAAAUUGAAGGCAAAGCCAGUGUGCAAUAUAACCAAAUUGCUAUGCUAUGGAAUAUUAAAGAAAUGAACACACAGUCAAAUAAUGUUUAAAUUUAUAUGAAGUUUUAUUUAAGAUGUUUUGUGAAUAGUAUCUCCACUCCGAAGCUCAUCAUUUCACCAAUGACAUGUGUCAUCCAUUACCAUUCAUAAAUUUUGCACCUCAGACUAAAGGUUGACAAUAAUGAUCACUACUAUACUGUUAGCAAAUAGGUUCAAACGUUACGAAAAGCCCAUGCACAUGCAAUCCUCUUUAAUACAACAUCACAAGAAUGAACCCUAACCCCUAAACCCUAAUUAUCAGAGUUGAGCUAGUAAACUCAGAUGCCCGAGCUCUCACGUAAGAAACAAUACACUACAAUAUUUAAAUCCAUCACAUUCAAUAUCAUCCUAUUCAGAUCAACAAUAAUAAUAAGCACGUGACGGUUCGAGCUUCUUAAUUGUGCACCGCUGAGAAUCACCACCCCGAAACGGUAGGGCCGUUUCAUUAACUGAGUUGCGCCGGGGACCCCCUCGUCUGCCAUUUUGACGUGGAGACUCUCUUUGUAGGCGUCACUGUAACCGCUUUGCUGUCCUCGUGAUUCUGCAUGCUGUCCCGGUUUGCCGCUGCUGCAGUGAAGUCGUUUCAAAGUGAGCGUUAGAUAGUAGCACUACCAGACGGCGGCGAAGAAACUUCUGAACAGAGGAUUGAUGCCCAUAAUGACAUCGUUAAACGGUUCCUGACUAGAAGUAGAAGGAACUGUUGAUAAGUAUCGAUUAUUUCUAUAUAAUACUUCCAAAAUUUACUACAGCCUGGUUUUCUAUAAUCUUCUUUUUCAAAAUUCAAGCGAUUUUCUCUAAUAAAAUAAAAAGAAGUGGUAUAUUCCUGAGGAGUGGUCGGGGUCGGAGUAGCGUUUUCAUGAAUUUUUAUCAUCGUUGGGCCUGCAUGGAUUCAAUUUUUUGCUCAAUUAUUCCUUUAAUGUGAUUGGGGUUGUGAGAAUCUGGAAAUUAAUUAUGGAUUGGGAUGGACCUUUUUGGGCUUACUGCAACCCAUUAAAAUUUUAUUCUCAGAUCUACCAAGGUUGAAGGACCAACGAGUCAAGUACCAUUAGAGAAGGCCAAUUUAUAGCUAGUAUAGUGAUUGAAGUACGUUUCAUCUACUGAACUAAAGCUUAUUCCCACAUAUUAAACUCUCUUAAUCUUUUUCAGAAAAAGAGCAAUGUUAUAUUUUAAAUCUUAAUAAGUUGGUAUCCCCUUUGUAUUUUGAAAAUUAUUUAUCAAUCUAUUUAUAUUUAAGUAAUUUAUUAAGUUGGUAUCACAUUUGAUUCAGCUUCCAAAUCAUAUUAUGAUGAUACUCAUAGUAUUAAAGUAUAAGUUUCUUACCACUCUACCCGUAUUGAUUACCAAAUAAAUUUAAAAAAAAACACAUACAAUAUUUCCUUUCACAUUAAUAGUAGAUGUGGCAAAUCUAAUAUUUUUUUUAAAGGAUUUAAGGGUUGUAUAGUAUAUUAUAACUUGUCUUAUCAACUAUAAUUACAAUUAACUUGAUUCAAAACAUAAUUAAUUAAAAGAUAGAAUAUAUUUAGAUCUAAAUCAAAAUAAAUUUGAACAAUAUUCACAUAUGAUGAACUUAAAUUCAAAAUAAUUUAAGAGGAAGCUCACAUAUAAUAUUAUUUGUACAUGAUAAAAUUUGAAUUUAAGAUGUCAAAAUCUCAACCUUAUCGAUAAUUUAAAGAAAAAUGCAGAAGUCCAGGUGCGCUGGAAAACUCUCAAAUGGCCGGCGGGAAGAGGUGCGGCAGUUGCUUUCUCCUUGACAAUCCGCUGGUAUUCUCCACACAUUUCUUCCCGAAUUUGAAUUUUCAUCCAAGGGAAGAGACCCAUUUGUUCUCCCAUUUCAUUGUUGCAUUCUAUUAUCUGAACAAUUUGUAUGAGAUGGUAAGUGAAAGAGGGUGGCCAAGGGUCAGGAUUUGCUGACUUGGUCCUUGGGGGGUGCAUCAUGACGGACAGAGUAUUUGAGGGUGGCUAUGACCUUUUUACAACUCACCCAUGGCUGGAAAGCUCCAAGUAGAAGGAAGCUCCUGCCUGGCUUUCGCUUUGCCUUCUUUCUCACUUAUUUACAACUACCACUAUAAUUAAUUACAUACCACCGUUUCAUUUUUGGGGGGGCUUAAAUCCUGCAGUUAGAGAUGCAACCGCUUUGUGUUUCCUUAAACCAUUACUGCGGAUUGGGACCAUUUAUUUUUAAAGGGAAGAAGAAAUGUAGCCUCAAAAUAGCAACUUAAUUAAGAGUUAGAUUAUGGUUCUAAUCAUCCUUUUAGUGAUGGGAUAGUGGAAAAGGGAAAUUUGCCACCACUCCAUACCUUUGUUUCUAAAACCUCAACUCGAUAACACGUGUUUUCUUGGGAUUGGGAUGAUAAGAUUUCUUCAUUAACAUCAACAUAUGACUAAUCCAAAUGGUAAACAAAAAAAGCUUAUGAAUUCCUACCAAAGCUAUUUUUACUUCACUCUUAAUCUUGGAAUUUUCACACCAAUACACAUAGAACUAUAUAUCUAGUAGAUUAAUAAUGAAAAAUUUUAACUUCAAAAUUAUUUUUUUAAAUUUUUAUUUUUCAAGUAUCAAUAAAAGGGUAAAAGUACAAUGGAAGCCUAUGUAUUAAGAGUUGGAUUAUAUUUUGCUCUCUCUAUUCAAAAAAUAGAUAAAUUAGUUAUUAUACAUUGUAUUAAAGAGCAAAUGGGUCUUUUCCGUUAAAAAUUUCAUUCAUUUGUAUGUAAUUGACGAAAUAACCAGACAUAUGUGCACAAAUUAGUUAUUAUGCAAUGUGCCACGUGUACCUCAUAUUGACGUAUGUUGACUAAUUUUUAAAAAUAUAAAUAGAUAAAUUGAUUUGAUCAUUAAUUGAUGUUAAUGUAGUUGAUAGAAGUAAUGAGAAGCUGAAAUAUGGCAUGCAAUGUGAAUAAGUAUAUAUUUAGAAAAUUUUAAAAAAUGAGCUUGUGGAAUGAAUUUGAAUAAUUUAACUUUAUUUUUAUUUGAAUGUGGACAUCUAUUUGUCCAUAUUAUUUUGGACGUGAUUCAAAAUAUUGUAAAAAUUAUAGACAAAUUGGAAAAUUAUAGUAAUUGUUAAUAAUUAUUAAAAAUUUUAAAAAUCUUAAUUUUUUUAAAAAAUACAUUAAUAAUUAGUAAAGAAAUUUAAAAAACUAUACAACUUAUAAAAAAGUAUAAAAUAUUAUCAGAUUACAAUAUUAGACAUUAUUGAGAAUUAAAACGAAAUUUGACACAAAUACACAUAUACAUAUACAUAUGAGAAAUUAUCAGUACAUUAUUAGUGGAGAUCUUAGAUUUUACAAACAAGGUUAGAGGUUAACUGAUGUCUUAUAAAAAUAUACUAAAAUGUUAAAAGUAGAUAAUUAAAAAAAAGAGAGACACAUAUCUAAUUUUCAAGACCGUUUGUAGAAUAAAAAUAAAAAUAAAAUCUGUUUUUCUAAUACUAACUCAUAUAUUAUAUAUGUAUGAUAAAAAAAAUAUUUUAAAAAAAAAUUAAAGGUAGGAAAUCAACAAAUAUCAAGUUCUUUCAAUUAAUUAACUUAAAACAAAGAGAUUCACACCGCCACCCAGAAGCCAGAUGACCCAAGUCAUCGCCUCCCCUCAUCAUGUUUAAUCACCGAUAAAAAAAAUAUUUUGAAAAAAAAUUAAAGAUAGGAAAUCAACAAAUAUCAAGUUCUUUCAAUUAAUUAACUUAAAACAGAGAGAUUCACACCGCCACCCAGAAGCCAGAUGACCCAAGUCAUCGCCUCCCCUCAUCAUGUUUAAUCACCUAAUGAUUAAAUUCAUCUUCACCAUUGGGUUUGCCAAAUAUAUGUUGAUGUUUAUGCAGUAUGAGCAAGUGAGUACAUAUUCCUAUCUUUAGCUUCCAUUUCCGAGUCUUUGCAAUUAUGAUUAUACAAUUAAAGGUGAUCAUGGGUUAGAUCGGGUUGGGUCGGAUUUAAGUCGAGUUCAACCAAAAAUGUAGGCCCUUUUAUUAGGUUUGGGUUUGGCCCGGCACAGAAAAUGAGUCUAAAAUUUUAUCCAAGUCUAACUUGGAUAAAAAUGCUAAAAUUUGGGCCCAACUCGGUAUUAAUUUUUUAAAUAUAUUUAAUAUAUCAAAAAUACUAAAAACAUUAAAAUAAAUAUUUCCUAACAAAUUGAAAAUAAAUUUUAAAAAAUAUGUAGAGUUAAAUAACACUAAGAUAAAUACAACUUAACAAACAAAUGCCUCUAAAAUAAUAAUAAAAUUAACAAAUGCUUUUAAAAUAAUAACAAAAUUAACAAUAAAAUAAAUUUAUACAAUAUCCAAAUAGUAACAACAAAAUAGUAGCAACAUAAUAGUAAAAUGAUAGCAAAAUAGGGAAAAACAAAAAGAAAAUAACAUUCAAAAACACAAAAAAAGAGUAAUUUUUUUUUUGUCUUUUAAUAAAUUCGGGCCGAGCCAGGUUGAGCCCAAGCCAAAAAUACCUUACUCAAUGCCAGACCCUUUUUUUAAACCGACAUUUUUUUUAUCGAAACUUUUUUUUCGAGCCUAUAUUUUUAUUCAAACCCUCCCACAUUUUAAACGGCUGACUCUACCCUUCUACGUCUUUAUCCUACCAUCCGCCUUUUUUCUCAUCAUAUAUGAUGUACCCAACAUUUAGAAAUUUGGUUGAUUUCAUUAUUUUGUUUUCUUUUGUCUAUUUUCAACUAAAAAUCAAAAUUAUUCAAUAAUUAUUACAUUUAAAUAUUUGGAUGUAUUUAGUAAGCUUGUGGAUGUAGUCUUUUGCUUUUUCGUAUUUUCAUCUAUAAAUUUAUAUUUACAUUUUUAUUUAGUUUAAAAAAAUAAUUUCUUAAAGUUGAUUUGGAAGACAUAAAGUAAUUGAAAGGAAGUGUAAUUACACUUUCUUGUAAUCAAAAGAACUGUAAUUUCUUUAACAUGUUUGGUUAACAGAAUAUAAUCACAUCGUAAUUUUUCAUGUCAAGUUUAGUAGUUCAAAUUGUAAUUACACAAUUACAUGAUUUAUAUUUUUUAAAAAUAUUAAUUACUAUAAAAAAUUAUUAGUAUGAUAAAAUGAUUUUUAAACAAGUAACAAAAAUUAAAAUCAAAUCAUCAUAUGUAUUAUGUCAGUUUAAAAAAAUAGUUGAUAAUACAAUUAUUAAUAAAAAUAACAGUAAAAAAUAAUAUGAUAUGUAAAUUUUUUUGAAUAAAAUCGACUAAUAAUUUAUUGAAAGUAAAGAAUGUAAAUAUAACUGGAUUCUAAAAACUGGGUUUGGGCUUUUUAAGAUUUUAGCAUACUUCCGGCCUUCCCAUUAAAAUAGAACAAAAUUCAAAAGAAAAAACAAAGCCUAGGAAAAUACAAUUCAUUUAAAGCUACGAAAAAGGAAACCUAGAGUAAUUAUUCUAAUCGAUUUCAAGAACAGUUGGACGCCUCCUUCCAUCGUCUUUUCACAUUAUAUGUCCCAUCUGUUAUGUUGAUAGUUUUUCCCAUAUCUUGCAUAAUCUGCUAUCCGAUUCUUUUUUUCUUCAUAAAACAAGUCUCAGUCUGGGUUCCGUCUCCAACGUCCCUCUGGAUUCAGAUGAUAAUGAUCCAAUGUCGCUCUUACUAGGUGCGUUUCCUCUCCCUUUCUUAAAGGUUCUUCUGCGAUUUUGUGAGCGUAGACUUUCUCUGUUCUGUUAAUAAACUGGAAAUUGAUUUUUUGAAAGCACAUAUUCUUGCUUUGAAUAUCGUUGAUGAUCGCUCCUAUAACUGAUUUAUCUUGCUUCAUUGUCUAGUAUUUCUUGAUGACUGUGCGUGAAUCUGUAACGCCCCUAACCCGAAUCAGUCACCGGAAUAAAGUUAUGGAGCAUUAUCGAAGUUACCGAUUUAUUUAUCAGAUAUUUCAUUAAUCCGAUAUCUUUUCUUUUCUAUUUUCAAGUCUCGUAUUCGAGUCAUUCGAAUCUUUAUAAAGAAAUUUGAUCGUUGUUUUCAUUUAUUUCAUGUUGUAAUACAUUCAACUAAUGCUCUAAACAAAAUUACCAUUUUACCCCUAAACUUUUAAUUAAUGACGAUUUCAUCCUUAGGUUAAAAUAAAAUAAAAUUCUUGCAAUUUAAUCAUUAUUUCCAGCCGUUAUUCUCAAAUAAAUUGAUAACAACUCGUGAAUUCUAUAAAAUAUCAGAAUAUUUCAUAAUUUCAUCACUUUUCAAUUUAAUCCUUAAAACAUGUUUUUCCCUGAUCUUGAGCUAAAUUAAUAAUUUCAUUCAAUUUUGUAAUUUUAAAUAAUAAAAUAAUCCAUUUCAUGCAAAUUGGUCAUUUCUAAUAUUUUUUUUACAAAAUUACCCAAAAAAUUUUACUUUUAUUCAAUUUAGUCUAUGAGCCUAAAACAUGCAAAUUAGCCAUGCUAGCUGAAUAUUCAUACAUAUUUUCCUCCUCCUCCUCUCCAUUCCACAUCCUUAAUUUAUAUAACAUGCAACAAGUAACAUUAUCAAUAAUUUCACUAUUUACUUAUAUGUAUAUUUAAAACUAUCCAUUUGCAUCAUAGUCACUAAAUUAUUUAUAUCUUAAGCUACAGAACUCGAAAUUAAGAUCCGUUAAUUUUCCCUGAAACUAGACUUACAUAUCUUAUUACCAUAAAAAUUUCAUUAUUUUUUGUUUAGCCAAUAAGUACAAUUUAUUCUUUAAAGUUACCCAUUUUAUGCUGUCUGAUAGUUCCGACCCUUCUUCACUAAGAAUUAAUUAUCUCAUCGUACGAGAUUCGGAUAUGUUCCCACUUAUUUAUAUUGAAAAUAGACUCUUUAAGGAUUUUAAACAUAUAAAUUUAAUCCCUUAAUUAUUUUUCUCCAAUUUUUGAUGAUUUUCCAAAGUCAGAACAGGGGAACCCGAAAUCAUUCUGACAUUGUCUCACAAAACUUAUUAUAUCUCAUGAUUUACAAUUCCAUUGCUUACACCGUUUCUUCUAAGAAACUAGACUCAAUAAGCUUUAAUUUCAUAUUUUAUUCAUCCUCUAAUUCGAUUUCUAAAAUUUUUUGUGAUUUUUCAAAGUUAGACUAUUACUGCUGUCCAAAUUUGUUUUACUGCAAAAUGUUGAUUUUCAUUUUGCCCCAAAUUUUACAGUUCAUACAAUUCAGUCCUUACUUAAUUAACCCCUCAAUUAAGUUAAUUGUCGAAAUUAAUACUUUUCCUAUACAUUAUAAGUUAUUUCAUAACUAUUGAAAUUUAGAAUUUUCACAUAAAACUCUAACUUCAAACUCUUUUACAAUUUAGGUCCCAAACAUUCACUUUCUAUUCAAUUCUUUCAAUAAAAUUAGCAUAUAAACAAUUUUAAGCUCUAAUUACAUGCCAAAUCAUCAUAUAAUUCCAGCACAUAUUUAUAGAAACUUUCAAUUUCUUUCAUAGAAUCAAGAACUAAUGAAUUCAACAAGUGGACCUAGUUGUAAAAGUCACAAAAACACAAAAAUUUCAAGAAAUAAUCAAGAAUUGAACUUACUUGCAGUAAAAAUAUGAAAAACCAGCUUAAGGGAACUCUUCCAUGGUGUUUUUGCUGAUGAGAAUGCAGAAAAAUAAAGAGAAAUCUAGAUAAUUCCACUUUAGUCCUAGCUUUUUUUGUAAUUUUCCAAUUUUUCCUUUAAUUCCCCUUAUUUUCGUGCUGAUUUCAUGCCCUUGCUGUCCAGCUCAAAUAGACCUACCUUUUAAACCCUCUUUCUUUUAUCAUUUAAGUUAUUUAAUCAUUUUCCACAAUUUUGCAUUUGAUACAAUUUAGUCCUUUUUGUUCAAUUAGCUAUCAGUACUUUAAAAUUUCUUGACGAAACUUUAAUACUAACUUAUUAACACUACAUAAAUAUUUAUAAAAAUAUUUUUGGCUCGAUUUAAAAUUCCCGAGGUCUCGAUACCUCGUUUUUUAUUCUAAUUAUUUUAAUAUAUAUAUUUUUUAGUACGCUAUUCACUAUUUCAAAAUUUUUCCUAACUUCACAUUUAACUUAUACUCACUAAAUUAAUAAUAUUUCCUACUCAUUUUCUAGAUUUAGUGAUCUCGAAUCACUGUUCCGACACCAUUGAAAAUUAGGCUGUUACAGAAUGCCCCAUUAACAUUACUAAAAGAAAGCCCAUCGAGAUUCCUAGCUUUAUAGCUUGAAGUCCUGCAUAAGCUUCUGCUGCAAAUGGAGAUAGAACAUUUGUAUUUAAAAUAGUCUUCGUUGUUAGGACUUCCCUCGUCCGAUUCCAAACCACCAAACUCGUUGCCGAUUUGAAAUUUUUUUGUCAAAAGUCGUGUCAAAUUGAACCGUCACCCUGGUAUUAGCAUCUGGCUGACAAUGGCUUCUAUUUGUGUUCAAGGUACGCUUUCAUUCUGUCAAACCGUCAAGUUCAGCAUAUAACUUUAAACUUUUUGUGAUAACUCUCUUCCUGUCUAAGAUUUUCUUUCAUGAAUGAGUUUGUUUCUCGAGCCCCAAAUGAACCAUAAUCCGCAGCAGAACAUUCGACACUGUUUGGAAGUGCUCCUCUUAAAAAUCCAGGUAAUCCAAUCCUAGAAACUUUGAAUCAUAGUGUUGCUAACCCAAGAGAGGUCUAACAUUCGCCAUACCUCUGAUGUUGUAGGAUAGUGCCGAAAGACGUGAGAGUUGUCUUCUUCCCCAAGACUGUAAUGAGGACAUACUGCAUUAUCAGCCACUCGUUUAUACUUUAGAUUGACUAGAGUCGGGAUAAAAUUCCAGGAAAUUCUCCAAAUUGUAAUUGUAAUUUUUUAGGGUAGCUGUAGAUUCCGGAGCUUUUUGUAGAAAUCCUUUAAAUUGGCCUAUAUUAAAAAGUUAUUAGGAUCCGAACUAGUAUCUUGUAAUAGUUUGUAGACAUUUCUGACUGAAAAUUCACCCGAUGGUUCUCCCUUCCACACUUAAAAAUCAUCAUGGUGAGUUUUCGCAAGAGGAAUUGCAAAAUCUUUUGAGCGAUAUUUGCUUGAAAGGUACUGUUAACUAGAUCUAUUUUCCAAGUUUUAUUUGUAGCAUCAAUUAAAUCAGAGACUAACUUUACUCCUUCAUUGUCGUUUUUGUUACUCCAGUCAUCUGUAUCCUUACUUGGGAUCCAACGGUCAUCCCAAACGGAUAUUCCAGUUCCCCCUUACUCUCUAACAUAGGCCGUUCUAUAACAAGCCCUUUGCAGCCCAGACACUUUUCUAGGUAAGUGAAUGUAGGUUCCCUAAUUGUGCAUUAAGAAAGUCUGAAUGUGGGUAAUAUUUAGCUUUAAGAACUCUCGCUAAUAAGGAAUUCAGAUGAUUAAUGAGACGCCAACCUUGCUUGGCUAAUAAUGCAAUAUUAAACUGGCUAAUAUUUUAAAAACCGAGACCUCCAUUCUCCUUUAAAGUACAAAGGUUCCUCCAUGCACACCAGUGUAUUCCCUUUUUGCCUUGUCCCUUCUGUGACCAAAAUUUAGUAAUAAUGCCCUCUAUCUCAACACACAACGAUUUAGGUAAAAGGAAAUAGACCAUUGUAUAGGUUGGAAUUGCUUGUAAAAUAGCCUUAAUGAAUACUUCAUUCACACCUUGGGAUAGAUAUCUAGUGCUCUAAUUAUCAAUAAGUUUCUUAAUCCGAUCUUUUAAAUUUUGAAACGACUCUCUUUUCUUUCUUCCAACCAUGUUAGGCAAUCCAAGGUAAGGCUCCGGUCGUUUGAACUUUGCACUCCCAAAAUGUUGACAACCACUAUUUUGUCGUCCUCUGAUGUAUUCUUGCUAAAAAAGACGGUUGAUUUAUUGAAGUAUUGCCCUGAACAAGUUCUAUAUUAUCUGAGAUUUCCUUUCAAAAGAGUAGUUCCUCUACUAGUUACCUCACUAAAUAAAAUGCAGUCAUCUGAAAAUAAUAAGUGCGAUACCUGCGAACCACUUCUGCUGGCUUUUACUGCUUUCAAUAGCCCUUCUCUAGUUGCAAGUCAUAUUAAGCUAGAUAAACAUUCCCCACAAAUAAGAAAUAAAAACGGACUUAAUGGAUCUCUUUGACGAAGUCCCCUUGUUGGUCGAAAUUUUUCUUUUGUGAAUCCAUUAGCUAUUACCAAAUAAGAGACAGAGUUACGCAUUUCAUAAUAGUUUCUGUCCAGUUUAUAGCAAAGCCCAUUCGAACCAUUAUUUCUUUUAUAAAAUUCUAUUUAACUCUAUCAUAUGCUUUACUCAUAUCUAAUUUCACUGCCAUAAAUCCUUUUUUCCCCAGCCUCUUUUGGUUCAAUGUAUGAAGGAUUUCAUAAGCUAGUAAUACAUUACCUGAAAUUAAUCUCCCUAGUAUGAAGGUGCUCUGAGCCAAAUCAAUACAUUUCUCGAUAACUCCUUUAAACCAAUUUGCAAUAGCUUUUGCAAAAUUUUAUAGAUCACGUUGCAUAAGCUGAUAGGCCCGAACUGCUUCAUAUUAGAGGGGUUGGAAAUUUUUGGAAUGAGUACUAUUGAUAAAUCGUAAUUUAUACAUAUUUUCCCCCAUGCUUAACGCAUUUUAUGGAUGAUUUUCCAUUAGAAUUGGUGAAUUCGAUGUUCCUAAUGCUUUAAUUUCAUGUUUUACACUUAGGAGAGCAUAGGAGAGCGAAGGGAACGAGAAACGGGCCAAAAACAGAUAAAAUGAGCCAAAGUAUGAAAUCAACACGGCCAUGACCUCCUCACACGGGCGGCCACACGGCCGUGUCAAUCUGGCAGAAUUGAAGCACGACUCACACGGGCGUGUCCCUGCCGAGCCCAAGUUAAGUCCAAUUCGGAAAAGGCCACUUUUGAGGGCUUCUAGGCAUUCCAAAGCCUAUAAAUACAUCCUAGAAGAGGAGAAAAAGGGAGACGGAGAAGGGGGUAAGGAAUUACCCCAAGGAAGCCGAUUGAUCCAUCUCAGAAGUCGGAUUCAUCAUCAAGACUGAAGAUCUCUCCUCAAUUUCCCUUUAGGAGUUUUGGGUUUUCUUUAUGUUUUGUAUUCUUUAUUCCUCGAAGAUGUUUUCUUAUUUAAUAAUGAACUAAAUCCCCUAAAUACCUAAGGGGAAUGAAACCUAAGACGAAUCUUGUUAUUAUUUUCUGAAUCGUAUGAUAAAUAUUUAACUUGUUCUUAAUUAGGUGUUCUUAAUUCUUAUUUUGAUAUCCCAAGAUACUGAUUCAAGACAUGCUCUUAUUCAGAGGAGGAAUAGACCCUGUCUAAAAGUACUUUUGUCAUAAUUAAACGGAGUUGAUUGCGCGCCUAGAAAUAGGGUGACAUGAUUUUGUCGGAUUAUGGUGAAACCUAAUAAGGGGAUCCAUAGAUCGAGUUAAUGCAACCCUAGAGUGUUAAUUAGAGAAAAGUCUCGGUUAUUCAAUCUAGGGAUUAGACGUUAUUAGUCUUGAAUAGAGAUAAUAACAUAACUUAGGAAUCCCUACAGAAUAAGUUGAAUGAAUAAAUCGUCCGAUUUGGAGCCUGAAUAACAAGUAAAGUCUAGGUGGAUUUUUCCUUAGGUAUUGUCUCAAGUCAAUCGAUUUUCCCAAAAGCAAUUCCCCAACUCUUUUCUCUGUGCGUUCUUAGUUUAGAUAAUUAGUUAAAUUAAAACAAAACCCCAUUAUUCUUAGGCUAGAUAAUAAAAAGACAGUUAUUACUAGUACUUUUGGUUUCCUUGGGUACAAUAUCUUGGUCUUGCCAUUACUAUACUGUUGUUCGAUAGGUGCGCUUGCCUUUUCGUCGUGAUAAUAGUUAGUCUAGGUUUGAUCUUCAUUAUAAAUAUUUAUUACUUGUUACGAAUCACGCGAUCAAGUUUUUAGCGCCGUUGCCGGGGAACUAAAAUAUUAGGAACGCUAAAUUUUUAUUACUUUAGCCAUUUAUUUUCCUUGCAAUUUAAUUUAAUUUUAUUAUUUUUGUUAUUUAUUAAUUUACUUUUUACUUUUCUUGGCAGGUUUUUAUAGUUUAUGACUAGAAGAAACCCGUCGGGACCAUUACUUUUUGACGAAAAAAUCGAUCGUACAGUUCAUAGAAAUCAAAGAGAGAUAAGGCGCAGCUUACGAUACACGGAGAACAAGCAAGAAGACGAUACUCAACUCCCAACCGACGAGAUGGUUGAAAACCAAGGCAAUCAGCUACCUCCUGCAAUUGCAGCUAAUCAAAAUCCUGCUCCACGUACUAUGUAUGAUUAUGCUAAACCUUCUCUAAUAGGAACUGAAUCUAGCAUAGUUAGACCUGCUGUAGCUGCAAAUACUUUUGAAUUAAAACCUAACACUAUUCAGAUGAUAAAGCAGUUUAUUCAGUUUGAUGGUUUGCAGGAUGAAGAUCCUAACGCUCACUUAGCAAAUUUUCUGGAAUUUUGCGAUACAUUUAAAAUCAAUGGCGUUUCUGAUGAUGCCAUUCAUCCUCGGUUAUUUCCCUUUUCACUGAGAAACAAAGCUAAACAGUGGUUGAACUCGUUACCACGAGGGUCUAUUACUACUUGGGAACAAAUGACCGAGAAAUUUUUACUAAAAUAUUUUCCGUCGGCUAAAACAACUAAGUUACGUGAUGAUAUCUCUUCUUUUGUGCAGAUAGAUUUAGAAACACUUUACGAUGCAUGGGAGAGAUACAAUGACUUACUGAGAAGGUGCCCUCACCAUGGGUUACCGCUUUGGCUUCAAGUACAAACAUUCCACAAUGGUCUGAAUCCCUUGACUCAGCAAAUGGUUGACGCAGUUGCUGGAGGAACUAUCAACAACAAAACACCUGAAGAGGGUUAUGAAUUUAUUGAAGAAAUGUCACUGAAUAAUUAUCAGUGGCAAGUCAUGAGGACUAAGCCAACAAAAAUGACUGGCGUUUAUAACAUCGACUCAGUUACUAUGUUGUCAAAUUAGGUAGAACUUCUUAAUAAAAAGAUUGAUGGUUUACUUGACUCUACGCAGGUUGUAACACCCCAAACCUGGCCCAGACGUUACGGCAGAAUCUGGCGUGUCACAUUAAAGCGUUACUGUAUAGGUCAUGUUUUAUCUAAAGUCUUUCUUAGUGUUUAAAGAAUAUCUUCAUUAAAGAUUAAAGUGAAUAGAAGCUGUGCAUCAGAUAGGAUGCCAGAAAAGAGGAGGUGAGUCAAUUAGACUACUUAAGUACCCAGCUCUUCACGGAUCCAAUCCUAGGCAUGCACACAACCAUUGCCACACUUUAACUGAGUGAUUAUUCAGGGAAAACCAAUUCGUUUAAAACCAUUUGAAAAGGUUAUUAAUUUUGAAAACGUUUUCGUUGCGGAAGCCUUGCUUUGUUAUCGCGAUAUUUUGAAAUCAAGUAACCUUUUUGAAACGCGCCCUAGAGCUAUUCAAUUUCAAAUAGUUAAAACAAUAUCAUAUUUAAGCUAACAAAACAUACUAAAAACAACUAAAAAUAAUUAAAGCGGCCUUAUUACAAAUUAAAACUCGAAAACAUAAAGGAAAUAAUAUAAAAUAAAAGUGAAGGUAUAAACACUUAUUUUAAACAAUCCACAUGGCCACUCUGAAUCCUUCUAGCUCCAAGUCCACCGAUCUAAGGCUCACCUGCAAAGAUGGGAAAAAGGGGGUGAGUUUGGAAAACUCAGUAUGUAAAGUAUCCCAACCAGAGCCCAAAUCAGUUCAAGCUUUACUGGGCCUAAGCCCUAUUCAGAAAUCAGAGUUAACUGGACCUUAGCCCAGGCUUUAGCCCAUAUUAAUAUUAAUCUGGGCCAUAGCCCCCUACAGUAUCAGAGUAUACUAGGCCUAGCCCAUGUCAGUAUCAAUCUGAGCCGUAGCCCUAUUACAAGUCGAGAUAUAUUAUGCUUUGCCCAUAUUAACACAGUUGGGCCCAUUUUAAUACAGUUGGCCCAUAACAAAACAAUCUCAUAUGAUUAAUGCAUGAUAACCCCAUCCAACCCUGUACUUGCCUCCGUCCAUCCCUACACUUCCUGUGGGGAAUAAAUCACCCAUGCCAUCCCUACACUUACAGUGUUAGCACUAGUUGUGGCACUAACUAUAAUCCGUAGCAAAGCUGCUGAUAUUAGAAUAUAUGGCACAGCCACCAGAACGGGUUCUUUCUUCAUAACAAAACCCAACCCCAUGCAGUGUGACAUGUAUGCAGAAUAUAUAUAUAUAUCAUUAACAAGGCAUGCUUCAGAAAGACAGUCAGAUUAUAGCGUAAGAACAGCUAUUUAUCCUCGAGGGGCGUAAUCGUAAACUUACCCCUUUAGUGGUAUUACGAUAAUUUUACCUUAUAGAGGUAUUUCAGUGAUUUUAUCAGUCUUUUUAGGGUUUCAUGCUCAUUACAAUUAUUAACGUGUCUUCAGAAUACUUACUGGACGUUUUUACCAAAAUGGGCCGGUUAGCCCAUUACCCAAUUUCGGCCCAUCGUAGCCCAAAUUCACCAAGGUGCACGAAAUUGUGCACUUUGCAAUCUUACUGUUGAAGUUACCAAAAUUAUCAAUACAAACAAUCCCACGAGCGUUCGCACACUCGCAAGUUCUCGAAAUACCGACUUUUCGGUAUUUCGGCAUUUCAGCUUUUGCCGAUCUAGUCUACUAGUAGGUGUCGUUUACACACUUGAUUUGCGACAACUGCUACCCAAAUCUCCCACGAUAUCCUAAAAUCAGUCACUAAACAUAUCAGAUCCAAAAUAUAAUUGCAACCAUCAUAAACUUAUUUACCAUAAUCGGCCAUCAAUACAUAUGGCCCUUGAGAUCCUACCUUUGCAAAACUAGUGACUAGAUCUCGAUCUAGUAGUUUCACUUGUCCAAGCCUUCGAUCAGCAACUUUUAGAUCACACUAACACCAAAACAAAUCAAUUGUUACAACCCUUAGAGCCUUAAGCUCCAUUCGACAGCCUCCCUAUGCCUUUAGGGAUUUCGGCUUUUCUAAAACCCGAAAUAAAGAAUAGAUCUGAAUACUUACCACAGGUUCUUUCAACCAAAACGAUUCCACUUCAGUUUCUACUCAAAUCUGAUGCAGAUCCAGCCCUUAAAUACUUGCAGAAAUCGAAUCUUAGAGAUCUAAAGAUUCGGCUAUAUGUCCCUAAAAACUAUAGUGUUUUCGGCUUUUGGAACUGUGAAGAGGAAGAUGAUUUGGUAUGGUGGUUUUUGCAGUGGUAUUGCCGACAAUGGUUGAGGUUUAGAGAAUGUGAAAAUCGACCAAAAGAGAUGAAGAAAAUAGGAGGAUUUUGGCCAGAAGAAAUCGGCACAAGAAACAACUUUUGGGAUUUCGGCUUUUAUGGCAAUCGGCUAUAGAGGUUUAGAAAAUAAUGGGAAUGAAAGAGGAGAUGAGUAGAAUGGUAGGAAUGUUCUGGCUAGAGAAGAAAAGAAAGAGAAAAAUAAAAUAGAAGAAGAGAGGAGAAGAAAAGAAAGAAUUCGACACUCAGGAGAUCUAACUUUGCGUUUUCAGCUUUUUGAGAUACUGAGAAGAGAAUAGAAUGAAAGGGAAGGCUCUAGAUGGCUAACCCUAAUUCGACAAAACAAAAAGAAAAUCAAGCUUGCCCUAAUGGCCAUUCAGACCCAUAGCCCAACCUUCCUAAAGUCCUAGCCGAAUUUCCACUUAAACUCUAUCACAUGCCCGGCACAUGCACACAAAAAAUAAAAGUAACAACACGCUUACGUUGUGACUUGAACUCUGGCUCACCCUAAACAUCCACACGUCACUCCCCAAACACCUAGGUGGUGCCACAUGCCACUUUACCACAGAUCUUUUUGUGUCCUAUUUUACCAACUCAACUUUAAAAGCCCAUAUCGCCAGAACCCUCUCUUCCAAAAUUAAAAUUCAGGAAUUGCCUCGAAUUAAAUUUACUCUUGGGCCUUUUUUUCCCACACCAUAAACCCUUCAUAAUUUAUUUAAUUACUAAACUAAACAUACGAAAUAAUAAUAACAUCAAAAUUAUUCGGGCUGUUUUCCACUCGAACUCAGAUUCAAGGCCCAAUACUUCCAGGCCUAAAAAUCGGGGCAUUACAUAGGUACAUCCAGUAAUGAGGUGUAACGCAAGUGGAGGAGGUGUGCAUACAGAGUAUCAACCCUUCAAUCCCACAAUCGAAGAGGAACAAGUCAACUAUAUGGGUAACAAUAACUUUAGAUCUCAACAUAACCCAUACAGUAAUACUUAUAAUGUAGGUUGGAUGAACCACCCAAAUUUCUCCUAGGGUGGUCAAAGGAAUCAAAAGCCACAAAAUUCUCAGGGUUUUCAACAGCCAUCUUAUCAACAAGAGAAGAAACCAAACCUUAAGGAGAUGCUCUCAAAGUUCAUAUCAGUGUCAGAAACCCGUUUCCAAAAUACCGAGACAGCACUUAAAAAUCAAUAAGCACCAAUCUAAAGACUCGAAACUCAGAUAGGCCAGCUUUCCAAACUGAUCUCCGAACGACCCCAAGGUAGUUUGCCAAGUAAUACCGAACCUAACCCAAGGGAACAACUCAAUGCAAUUAAUAUUCAAGAGCCUGAACCAGAACCGAGGCAAGAAACUGUGUAAGCAAAUGGAGAGAUGAGGUAGGUCAAAAUACAAACAAACCAAUGACUGUCGAAUAUAAACCUCGUGUGCCAUACCCUAACGCGACAAGGAAAGACUGCUCAGACGAACAAUUCGGUAAAUUCCUUAAACUUUUGAAAAAAUUACAUACCGUUUAUUGAAACUUUGUCGCAGAUGCCAAAUGCAAUGAAAUUUUUAAAAGAGAUUUUAGUAAAUAAGCAUAAGUUGGACGAAGCGUCGCAUAUGGAGCUAAAUACAGUCUGCUCAGCUAUUCUACAAAAUAAGCAAAGAUCUAGGGAGUUUUACAAUUCCUUGCUUAAUUGGUAGUUUAGAUAUACGUCAUGCAUUAGCUGAUUUAGGGGCUAGUAUUAACGUAAUGCCUUACAAAAUGUUUAAGCAACUAGGUCUUGGGAAACCUAAACAAACUAGGAUGAGCAUUCAAUUGGCAGAUAAAACUAUAAGAUUUCCUAGGGUUAUUAUUGAAGAUGUACUCGUAAAAGUAGAUAAGUUCAUAUUCCCCGUUGAUUUCGUUGUUCUAGACAUAGAGGAGGAUAAUAACACCCCUUUUAUUUUAGGAAGGCCUUUUUUAGCAACUGCUAAAACAAUUAUUGAUGUUGGCACAUGAGAGCUUACACUUCGUGUGGGAGACGAAAUGAUCACCCUUCAAGCUCGUAAUUCUGGCAUCACAUUGAACAUUGAAGGUAAUAGUCCACACCAAUUUACUAAAACUAACAAUAUGACUUUGCAGAAAUUAAGCUUCAAAGAAGUUCACGAGCCAUGUUCCAGAAAUGAUAGAGGACACAUUCAUGAAAAAUGAAGGCUACGGAUAGAGGAGCUAGAUGAAUGGCGAGAACACAAACUGAGAACACAUGAUAAACCGAAAAUAAGCCAAAACAAGCCCGAUACCUCUCCUAAUCAACUUAAGGUUGGCGAUAAAGUCUUACUAGAUACCGUAAAUCCUUAAAUUGUCACUACCACACUGAAGGAGGAAAUCCCUCUUACGGUACUCAGUAUUUUUCCAUUCGGUACGGUAGAGGUGAGUCACCCCAAGUUCGGCACUUUUAAGGUAAACAACACCCGAUUAAAACCCUAUUUUGAUGAGAUUGAUAGCAUGAAUAAAGAGUAUAAACUCUUCGAACCACUCUGACCAUUCACCGGAGAGGUAAGUUGAGCUUAGACUAUAAAUAAGCGCUUCUCGGGAGGUAACCCGAGCACUAACAUAUUCUGAUUUCUUUAUUUUCAAUUUCUAACACUUUAAAUCAUUAACUUUAUCUUUGAAUUGCAAAAUUUCUUAGCACACACGGACAUGCAUACGGGCGUGCCUAAAACCGUGGCCAAGCAAAAGAAGAAACACGGUCGUGCGAUACGACCGUGUGGAAGCAAGACAUGAUCUCCUCAAAAUACGGGAUGCGAUAAAUCCCCACGGCCGUGCAACAUAGCAGUGGGUGAACUUGAUUGGUGAACACGGGCGUAGGAAUAGAAAAACACGGGCGUGCCAGGGGCAAGGCUCUAUUCUGUUUCUUCGACACGAGUGUGAGACACGCCCGUGCAGUGAAGCCGUGGACAACAAUACACGGGCGUGGUACCCUAACACACGGGCGUGUGAGAAGCAAACAAAGCUAGGCAUGACCGUGCGACAUGACGUGUGCCACACACGGCCAAGACACAUGGGCGUGGAUAGUAGCCAGACACGGCCUAAAUUACAAAAUUCGAAAAACACGGGCUCACAUUCAGAGUACACGGGUAUGGCCCUAGGCCGUGUGGCCCUCCCCUAUAUAAGCAAACCACUGUUCAUCUUCUUUCCUCUUUCAAAACCCUAGCCGAAAUCUUCCCUUCUCCACUCCCUAAUCCCUAUCCCGGCCACCAUUUCCAAGCUUUUCAUUUUUCCAACCCCCAAACCAUCUUAAUAUCCACUUCCCCUGCAUUAAUCCUCACUUCUCCAUCUCUUUUCCCUCUCCUACAGUUUCCACAAGGGCCCCAAGAAUAGCUCUUCCAAAUACUUCGGGCCCGACUUUUAGCAGCAGGCCACUGCAUCGACAGGGUAGAUGUCUCCACAAGGCAUCUAGAGUAUGCUUAACAUGAGGAUGAUCGAGAGGAGCCGAGGAACCUCCCCUCCCCAGUAUCAUCUCGCCCAAUCUACUGAGGAAAAGGCCUACAAAGACAUUCCUAAUGAUGUCCCCCCACAGCACGAGGACCCACCGACUCAGCCCACACCACCCUCUCGUCCAGUUCAUGCGGCGGCUUCAUAUGCUGACAUCUCUGAGCUCCUCACCCGAUUCGAGUAGCAGUGUUUUCAACGAUUUGACAACAUUGAUGCUACUCUACAGCAGAUUUGUCAGCACAUCCACAUCUCAUCGCCAGUCCCACCUUACGAACCAUCUAGCGAUGAAGAUGUUUAGAAAUAUUUAUUUAUUAUUUUAUGUUUUUAAUUUUUAUUAAAACUAUUUUUUAUUUUUGUUAGAUUUUAGAAUUUUAUUUUUUUAUUAAUUUCAGUUAUUUCUUUUCGAGUACUUAUUCUUCCUAAUAUCUCCUAAGAAGUUCCUAAUUUUAUCACAGUUAUAUAGAGCUCUUAAGCUCAUCAUCACAUAAGAACUACAAUUCCACCGGGAAAGGUUCUCCACGACUGCCAUGUCCUGCUCGACCACGAACAUAGCUACCACUAGAUAUAAUAUUCUUUUGGCACAGGACUUAUGCCCUAAUGAACCUCUACGACCGCCGGAGUAUCUUCCUUCACUCUCAAACCGAUCACUCUCCAAAACUCUAGUUCGAGGAAUUCAUCAUACAAGAAGAUUUACUUCUCUCCCUAUCUUAUUUUUAUACUCUAACAUCUAUCUUUGUACAUUGAGGGCAAUGUACAUCUUAAGUGUAGGGGGUAUUUAUUUCAUUAUCAGAAAAAUCCCUGAAUAAUCAUCUUCUUCUCUUGAAAAAAUUCAUAUCAUAUUUAGGAUAAAUUGUAAUUAAUUUAUGAUUUUGAUUGAUAUAUCUUGAAUUAAAACAUAGGGAUUUAUGCAUUGAUUAUUUAAACUUUAAGACAAUAGAGAGUCAAGCAUGAUGAGUUGAUUUUGUAAGAAUUCAAAAUUUUAGGCUAUUUUCCCAAGUCUAGGUAUUACUUUGAAUUGGAAUUCACGAGUCUAAACAUCAAAAAGCCAUAAUUUUCGGGAGAUUUUUGAGGCUUUUGACCAUCUAUUCAUCAUUUCAUGCUCACUUUUAUUAUUGCUUUGAGUGCGUCAGUAUUGAACUGUUAUUCUAGAACUUGCUUGAUUAUGCAUGUCGAGACCACACCAUUUGAUUUGAUAUAUCAAAAUGAUUAAGGCACUUAGGAUUAACCCACUCAUGCCAUGAAAAGCCUACCUCCACGAUUAACCCCUAGUAAACCCCCUUGAGCCUAACAAACCAUUUCUUGUAUUACCCUUAAUAUUAACCUUUAACCCAUUAUUGUUGAAAUCCCCUAAAUUAAUCCCUAUUUUUGUCGAGAUUUGAGUUGAAUGGAUUGCCUAGCUAUGUUUUUUUCUUGAUAUUUAGUCUAUAUUAUUUAACUUGUUCUUAAAAAAAAAACUAUGUAUGCAUAUCUGUAAUUCCAUAUUCUGAGAGAAGCUCUGUUGUACGUAAGUGAAGAUUAACUCUUUUUCUAGUUAGGCAACUUUUCAAUUCAAUCUCGAUUCUAAUCCUUUCUUUUAGCUUGUGACCACACCCCCUAACCAAGUCUCAUUACAACCCUCUAAAGACCUUUUGAUUGAUGUAUCAUCUAAAAUUAAAGUGGUGGAGAUUUCAUUUUCAUGUAAGCCUAUGGUAAUGACUUUCCAUUAUUGACUAUUGAGUGCUUCUUUUAUUGUCCUUAAAACACCUCGAGUAAUAAUAGUGAAUCUUUAGUAAGGAUGUAAAACUCUGUGAUAUUCUGAAUUAAAAGUAAUUACUUAGAUGAGGGAAGACACCUAUGUUUUCGGAAUAAAAUACUCAACUUGGAAUGAUUGAAACUUUUAUGUUCUUUUAGUUAAAUUCUCAAUGUAUGAUUACCUAUGGAUCAAUUUGAGAUAUUAUUGAUAGAAAUUAUAAGUUGAGAAGGAUUUAUUUUGAUUAUGAGUUGAGAAUUUUGCUUAAGGACAAGCAAAUGCUUAAGUGUGGGGGUAUUUGAUAAACCGUAAUUUAUACAUAUUUUUCCCCCAUGUUUAACGCAUUUUAUGGAUGAUUUUCUAUUAGAAUUGGUGAAUUCGAUGCUCCUAAUGCUUUAAUUUCAUGUUUUACACUUAGGAGAGCAUAGGAGAGCGAAAGGAACGAGAAACGGGCCAAAAAUAGAGAAAAUGGGCCAAAGUACGAAAUCAACACGGCAUGGACCUCUUCACACGGAUAGCCACACAGUCGUGUCAAUCUGGCAGAAUUGGAGCAUGACUCAUACGGGCGUGUCCCUGCCGAGCCCAAGUUAUGUCCAAUUCAGAAAAGGCCAUUUUUGAGGGCUUCUAGGCAUUCCAAAGCCUAUAAAUACACCCUAGAAGAGGAGAAAAAGGGAGACGGAGAAAGGGGUAAGGAAUUACCUCAAGGAAGUCGAUUGAUCUAUCUCACAAGCCGGAUUCAUCAUCAAGACUGAAGAUUUCUCCUCAAUUUCCCUUUAGGAGUUUUGAGUUUUGUUUAUGUUUUGUAUUCUUUAUUCUUCAGAGAUGUUUUCUUAUUUAGUUAUGAACUAAAUCCCCUAAAUACCUAAGAGGAAUAAAACCUAAUACGAAUUAUUAUUUUCUGAAUCGUAUGAUAAAUAUUUAACUUGUUCUUAAUUAUGUGUUCUUAAUUCUUGUUUUGAUAUCCCAGGAUACUAAUUCAAAACAUGCUCUUAUUCAGAGGAGGAAUAGACCCUGUCUAAGAGUACUUUUGUCAUAAUUAAGCGGAGUUGAUUGCGCACCUAAAAAUAGGGUGACAUGAUUUUGCCGGAUUAGGGUGAAACCUAAUAAGGGGAUCCAUAGAUCGAGUUAAUGCAACCCUAGAGUGUUAAUUAGAGAAAAGUCUCGGUUAUUCAAUUUAGAGAUUAGACGUUAUUAGUCUUGAAUAGGGAUAAUAACAUAACUUAGGGAUCCCUACGAAACAAGUUGAAUGAAUAAAUCAUCCGAUUCGGAGCCUGAAUAACAAGUAAAGUCUAGGUGGAUUUUUCCUUAGGUAUUGUCUCAAGUCAAUCGAUUUUCCCAAAAGCAAUUCCCCAACUCUUUUCUCUGUGCGUUCUUAGUUUAGAUAAUUAGUUAAAUUAAAACAAAACCCCAUUAUUCUUAGGCUAGAUAAUAAAAAGAUAGUUAUUACUAGUACUUUUGGUUCCAUUGGGUACGAUAUCCCGGUCUUGCCAUUACUAUACUGUUGUUCGAUAGGUGCGCUUGCCUUUUCGUCAUGAUAAUAGUUAGUCUAGGUUUGAUCUUCAUUAUAAAUAUUUAUUACUUGUUACGAAUCACGCGAUCAACUAUAUGAGUAGAGUUGAUAUGUUUAAACUCCUUACCUUCAUUAAUGAUUUGUAAGCAAAAUUUAAUGACAUCAUCCCCAAUAAUGUGCCAGCACUUUUGAUAAAAUAAAACCGAAAAUCCAUCUUCCCCUGGGGCUUUUAUGGGACAUAUCUCGAACACUGCUUCUCUAAUAAUUUUCUUUGUGUAUGGUGCCAUAAGUAUUUGAUUAUCCUUCUCAGAGAUACAUCUAACAAUUCUCGGCAGCAAAUGAUCAUGGCUUCCUCUUUCUUUUGACAUAAAUAAAUUUUAAAAAUAGGAUCUCACGAUGCCUUCCAUUUCCUGAAUGAGCUCCAUUUAUUUCACUUCAUCAUCUUGUAAUUUAUGAAUAAAGUUUCUUCUUCAACGCUGCAUUGCUUGACUAUAAAAGAAAGCAGUGUUCCUAUCUCCAAAUUUUAACCAGUUUAUUCGAGCUCUUUGUUCCUAGUAGCGCUCAUCCUUGUUAAUUUCAAAUUUUAGUUGAAUCUUCGUAUCAAUCAUUUUAGCAAAAUUGGAGUAAUCUCUUUUAGCUUCUUUAAGUUUCGAUAAUUUGGCUGUAAGAAAUUUCUUUCGCCUCCGCUUAUCAGUUUAGAUCCGAACAGCCCAACUUCUCAAAUCGUACUUUAAAUUAUCUAAUUUCUGCAACAAAUUCCCUAAUGAUGUCCCCCAAAUACUUCUAACCUCUUCACCAAAUGAUUCCUCCAGUAUCCACCAGGCUUCAAACUUAAAUGCUUUCUCAGUCGGCCAUUUCUCAUCCUUUUCUCGUAUUAAUCAAAAGGGAACAAUGAUCAGAAAAAGAAUGGGUUAGAUGUAGAAUAGUUACUUCAGGAAACAUGACCAUCCAUUCUUCAUUUGCAACUCCUCUAUCAAGCCUUUCUCUAAUAUUUGUCUCAGGUAAAUUUCCUCUCUCCCAUGUGAACCAAUUUCCAGAAAACCCCACAUCCGUUAAAUGACAAUUCGCCAGAACAUUGAGGAAUAAUUCCAUUCUCCUUUCAUCUCAAGGUAACCCUCCAUUUUUUUUCAAAUCCAUACAUGAUUUCGUUAAAGUCCCCACAAACAAACUAAAGAAUCCUCUCACCAGUGUAUAAAUUCCUCAACACAGCCCAGGAAUUAUCUCUAUCUUGUACAUAAGGGGACCCGUAGAAACCAGUGAAUCUCUAUUUUCCUCGUACUUCAUUAUUGUCAACCACCACAUCAAUAUGUCUUUUUGAAUAGUUUUGAAGCGUGACACAGAUCUCAUUUCUCCACGCCAAACAUAAUCCUUCUCUAGUACCCUCUGGAUCAACUUCAUUCCCAUUUGUAUAACCACAACUGUAUUAAACUCUUUUUAUUUGACUUUUAUUUAAUUUUGUCUCUACAAAGAAGACCAUUUGGGGAUUUUGUGUCUUCAGCAUAUGCCGAAGUCUUCGAACUAUCCAUGGACUUCCCAACCCACGGACAUUCCAGUUUAAGAUUUUUAUUGCGUCUGGUAGGCUUACCUCUUGGCAGCCGCCGAUAAAAAGUGAUUAGUCUCCAAUAAUCUCCUGUUUCUUAGUUCUCUCCCAUUGCUAUUGAAUCCUCCAUCUCCUCUCUAGCCCUCUUCUUCCUUUCAUCUCCAAUUAGGACACCAUCUUCCAGAUCAUACUCCAUAUCAGUUAAAGCUUGAUCUGUAAAUAGUUUUUCCCUCGAGUGACUCCAUAAAGCCUGCUUGUCUUCCAGACUGAAUCCCAAUACUAGAUCAAAGAGUUGUCCAUACCCUGCUUUUCUAUUUUCAACGGCCCAUAAAUUAUUUCUUUUCAUAAGAUUAUCCUCUCUGUUACCAUUCAAUUCCCUAUCGCCUUCUUCUCUCAACCACACACUAUUUAUCGCUAAAGCCCUUCGAGAUUGAGCUCACAGCGAUAGAUCCCAGCCCAUUUUAGUAAUUUCCACACCUAGCGCCAUCUUUACUUCAUAAAAAGAGUCAUUAUAGCCUAAGCGACCACAGUAAAAAUAGAAUAGUGACAAUCUUUCAUACUUAAACCUCACAUAUGUGCAAUUUCCAUAAUACAUAAUCUACUUUUUUCUUUUUAACGGACAUCGUACGUCAAUCUGCACUCUUAUUCGCAUAUAAUUUCUAUUUUCUUUCCCCAGAUUCGAUCUAUCAUAUUCUAUAAAUUUCCUUAUAAAGUUGCCCAGUUGCACUACCAAAUUUUGAGAAAAAAAGCCAAUAGGAACAUCAUGGAUCUAUACCCAAAAAGGCGUCAGGAAUAAUAGGAUUUUGAAUGGAUCCUCCCCCCAUUGUAACUUAUGUAACACUAGUGAAUGAUUAUUAAAUGUCCAUGGAGACCCUUUUAAAACCCUAUCCAGAUCUAUAACAUGAUAAAAUUGGAACAAAAUUUGUUUUUCUCCCAGAUCUCGAAUAUGAACACCCCGAACAAGGUGCCAAAGGUUUGCCAUAGUAUUUUUCAUUGUUGGGAAGUGAAUAAUACUAGCUGUUAAGAAACAAUCCACUAACCUGAAAACCUCCGCUUCUCGUUCUAUAUUCGACUUCUUUUGAAUCUAUAGGACUGCUUCUUCUUCUUCAUUAAGUGUUAAUCCCGUUAAUUCAGUUUCCAUUAAUUUCAGGAGAAAGUCUCGAUCUUGAAUACUGCUUUGCUGUGCAAGAACACGAAAUUUUUUAGAGUUCGCCGCCAUCACACAAACUAUUAGCAAGGACAAGAGAAAGAAAAAACCUAAGAAAAACGUGCCAGAGAAGGCAGACUAUUUCGUGCUAGGGUAGCAACAUAUCAUAUGUAGUUUAAUCUAAUUGUUCUAGUGCAUAUUUGUUGGGUUAUUCCAUCUUUAAAACUUAACAUACGCUUCUUAGCAUUACCGAGUUUAUUAUCAUAUGAAUUUGAAUAUGAAUCAUUAAGAUUAUCAAGAUAUCUUUUUCCAUGUAUUCUUUGAAGUAUGGAUCAUCUAAAUUCCACCUAUGAUUUGAAGUUAAGAAAUAUGCAACAUGCUUGUAUGAUCCAACCUUUUUUUAUAUUAUACUAAGGCGAUGUUGUUAAUAAGGAAAAUAUUUUUUUAUGUAAUGACCCAAAAUUCACGGGCAUCGAAAAAAGUACAUUAUAGGGUCUCCGUCUCAGUAAACCAAACCUGUAAAUAAUUAUUAGAAAUACCUAUGAGUCUAUUAGUAUGUCUAAUUAGGUUUUAAUUAGGUAGCUUAAUUAAGAGUAAUUAGGAAAAAAUACUAAAUUGAAUAAGGGGUAAAAGUUAAAUUAUAGAUUAAUAAAAAGAAAGGGGGACCAAAAUGGCAAAUAUGUCAUUUGAUAUAAUUAAGGUGGCAAUUAGAUUGAAAAAUCUAAGAUUUUUGUUAGGUAUAUAUAUUAUAUAUUAUUAUUAAUUGAUUAUAUUAUAAUUAUAUUAUAUAUUAUGAAACAAAUUAAAUAAAUACAAAUGUAUGGUAAUAAAAAUAUAAAUGUGUAAAAAUUAUAUUUGUACAAUUGUAAUUUAAAUACAUAAUUUACUCAUAAUUUAAGUAUAAAGAUAUUUUAUGAUUAUUAAUUAUAUUAAAAGAUUUUUAUAUGAUAAAUAAAUUAAAUUCAUGAUAAGUGGAUAGUGAUGAUAAUAUACAAAUGUAACAAUGUAUAAAUGUACAUUUGUAACAUAUUUAUUUGUGUAUUAAAUAGAUACUUAUUAUAUUUAUUAUUAUUUAAUUGAUAUUAUAUUAUUAAAUUAAUGAAUAAAUUAAUAAGUUGAUAAAUGUAAGGUGAUAGUAAAAUACAAGUGUGAUAAAUCAUGUACAUACAAUUGUAAUAUUUUUUAUUUAAUUACUUUUUAUUUAAGUAAAUAGAUAAUUAUUAUUUAUUAAUAUUAUAUUAUUAUAUUAUGAAAUAGAUUAGAUCAAGACAAAUGUAGAGUGGAGAUAAUGUACAAUUGUAACAUAUAUAUUUGCUAUCAAAUAGAUAUUUAUAAAUUAAGUAGUUAAUAUAUAUAUUAAGUUAUAAUUAUAAAGUAAGUAAGAAAAAGAAACAAAUAAAGGAAAGAAAGGAAAUAAAACAUAGAAAGAAACAGAGAAAGCCAUUCGAAAGUGGGAAAGGAAAGAAAGAAAGAAAAGAAAAGGAGAAACUGAGGUUUUAAAGCUUGAAGUUUAAUUUGAUAAGUCAAUUAAGCCAUUUUCUCUUAAAUUUGAUGUUUUAAAAGCUUUGGAAUAAAGUUUUGAUGAAAUUAAGUUGAGAUUUUGGAAUUUUUAAGGUUUUUGAAUAUAGUUCAUGUUGAACAAAAUAGUGAAUUAGGGAUUUAAUUGAAUGAAUUUCAAGUUAGAAUUGAUAAAUGGAUUAAAUUGUAAAAGAAGCUAUAAGUUUUGUGAUAGAGGGAUUAAAUUGAAAUAAAUUUUAAAUUAGGGUUUUGUUAUGAAUAUUGAAUAGUUGGGUUUCAUAUGGCAAGAAAUUAAGUAGAAAAGAAGUAUGAAUUAAGUUAGAAAAGUAAGUAAACUUAGUUAGGAUUAAAUUGAGAAUAAGUAGGAAUUGAAUAAAAUUCAAUUAUUUAUCAUAAUUUAAUGCUGUAAUUAAUAGUGAAAAUUAUUAUUAUUUCGUAGCUAGCAAAGAACCCGAGGCAUCGGUAUCGAAAGAAAAGGAAAAGUUAUCGAUGAGUAAUCAAACAAAUCCAGGUUUGUAUUACUAUAAUUCAAAUUAUUUAUUUAUUCAUUAAAUGUUAAAUUAAAUUAUGUAUUUGGUAAAUAAAUUAUGAGGUAAACGUUGCUAUGGAAUUGAAUGAUAAUUGAAAUGGUUGUUAAAUAAAUUUUAGUAUUGGAUUAUGAUUGAAUUGUUGAAUUGAAAGAGAAUUUGGGAUUUAAAGUGAAGUUGAAUUGAAUGAGAAAUAUGUGUUAGUAUUGAAUUGUAUUUUGAUUGGUGAAUGGAAAGUGUAUUUGAUUUUGAAAGUGGAUUUUUGAAAUGAAAGUGAAAUUGUGAUUUAAGUGGAAUUGAUGUGAAUAUCGAUUGAAACAGAGAAAGUGAAUUAAAUACCCUAUUAACUAGUUGGGCAAAGUCAGAUAUAGUUGGCAUGUCAUAGGAUUUGAAGUGUUCAGGGAUACUUCGACCUUGAGUCGAUGAGACACUGGGUGUCACUAUUGUACUUCGGAUAGAUUCGAUGAGGUACUGGGUACCACUUUACUUCGGCUAGGCCGAUGAGACACUGGGUAUCAACUUUGCUUCGAACUAUCUGAUGAGGCACUGGGUGCCAUUCUGGUGUGUUUGGUUGGAUCCGUGUAUCCACCAAAGUCCAGGUUUGUUAAUAGAGUGAAAAACUGAAAUGAGAAAUUUAAAUUGUGGAUUGAAAUUGAGAUUGGAAAUGGAAGGCAUGAACUAAACGUUGAUGUAGUGAAUAAAAUUGAAGUCUAUGAUAUUUGAUUGAAAUUUAUAAAUAGUUGAAAUUGUGUUACUAUUAUUAACGAAUGAAGUUUAAGAACGAGUUAAUAUUUGAGAAAAUUCAAUUGUUAUAUGUUUAAUAUUUAUAUUUCAUUAUUGUUAUUAUAGUUUGAAUUAUAGUAAUACCACCGAAUAUGUCUAUACUCAGCGUACGGUUAUUUUCCGUGCGCAGGUCAGUAGGAGUCAAAAUCGGGUCCAGCAUCCGAACCAAUCCCGAUCUCAGCAACCUUGGUGAUGUAUAUUUUAUUUUGGUAUAUGUGGCAUGUACCUAAGUUGUAUUUUGAGUUAAUGUGGUUUUAGAUCGCAAGGAUAAUAUGUGAUGGUUUAAAUUGAUAAAUGAAAGAUUAAAUAAAAAAAUUAAAAAUUUACGAAAAUUUUUUGGGCACCUGGAUAAGUCCCGAUCCAUUUCUAAUACGUGUUUUGGGCCUCGAGGGUCCAUUAUAGGGACUUAAGGAUUAAAUUUAUACUUUGUAUGUUAAUUAUUUGUGAAUUAUUCGUAAUUUGUUCGAUAUGCCCGGUAAUGCUCCGUAACCCUGUUCCAAUGACAGUAUAGGGUUAGGGGGUGUUACAUUUUAUAACAACAAAUGUUUUUGUCAUCCACAUUUCGAAACUUUGAAUGAAUCAAAUUAAAGAGUUUACGAGCUGUCUAUGGUACUUGUGUUUGGCAUCAUUCUCUCAAGUGAUAUCAUACCCCCAUGAUAUGGUGCAAGAAUUUUUUUUUUAUUUGUAUAAUUAGCAUCGACCUUAUAAUAAUUGGAUUCACAAUCCAAAUAAUUUGUAGCUUUAAUUAUAAAAACUUAUAUAAACUUAAUUUGGAAAAAAACUUAUAUUAAGUUAUACAUCUUUUUAUAAUAUGUAAACUAAGUAAAAACUAAUAUAAAAUUUAUAAUAUAUAUAACCUUUAUAAAAAAUGUUUUAUAAAUUGUCUAAAAUUUUCAUAACACUUAUAAAUAAUAUGUUUUUUUAUCAUUAAUUUAGAAAGUUAUUUUUUAUAUAUAAGUUAUGCUACAACAUUUUUUUAUGAAUAAGUAAAUUAUUUUCAUAAUAUAUAGUAUGGACUAAGGGUGGAUUUAGGGAGGGGCUAGCAGAGCUUCGACCCCCUUAAAAUGGAAAGUUUUUCAUUUAGGCAUUUUAUAAUUUAUACAAAUUUAAAUUAAUAAUGAUCAAAAUGCAUUUUGCCCCUCUCAACAAUAAUAAAAAUUUGAUUUAAUCUUUUAAAAAUUAUAAAAUAUAGGUUAUUAAAAUAGAGAAAUUAUAUUUUUACUAUCAUAAAAAUAUAAUUUAAUUUUAUCCCUCCCCCCCAAAAAAAAAACUUCGCCCCUGCCCCCAAGUUAUAUUUCUAGAUCUGCCACUGAUAUGGAUACAUAAAUAAAUCAUGUUUAUACUUCUUAGCCAUAACUUUUUAUAAAUAUAUUAUAACACUUUUGUAAAAUAUAAAUCAUUUUUUAUAAUAAGCCUUUUUGCUAUAACUUUAAUUUUUUUAGGAUUUAAGUAAUAUAAUUUUUUAUAUAAAUUUAUAAAAUACACAAAAUAUGUUUAUAAUAUAAUUUUUUAGGAUUUGUAAUACAAUUUUUUUUGCUAUAAUAAUUUUAAACACUUAUAAAUUUUCAUGUUUAUAAUAAAAAAUUUAUAACUUGUAUAAAAAUAUUUUUUUUUAAACUAGACUUGGUUGUAAUUAGCUGUGUAAUUACUUCAAUUCUCAUUCUCUUUUCCUAAAAAUUGAAAAUUGAAAUUGAGAGCUCCAAUUACACCCAAAUAAUGAGAUUACCAAUUACAAUAAUUAUGUCAAUAUAUCACUAAUUAUAAAUAAUUACACUCAAAUAUACAUUUUUUAAGUUUUAUUUGCCAACUUCUAACCAUCUCUUUUUCACCCUUUUUAAAGAUUCCAACAAGAAAAAGAAAUUGGAAUUGAAUAAAUCUGAAAGCAUGAAGCAAUUGAUUGGAUUAUAGAUAUUAUUAGACACAUGAAUCAAUAAUUUAGGGAAGGAUAGCUUUUGUUUAAGAUGCCUAGCCUGUUGUCAUAAUUGACCCAUCUUCACCGCCCAACAACCCUUUUCCAUGGAAUAAAAGUGGACCCAUGUCACCGCUGGUAGUGGUAGCGGCCCUCGCAUAUCAGUUGCUGACUGCUGAAUCGGACUUGAACUUUAAAAACUAAAUAAUGAUCUGAUUUUAUAUUUUUUUCCACUAAUAAUAAUUAAAAACUGAUUGGUCUUGUUAAUUUUAUAAUAAUGAAACAACUCAGUGAAGUAAAUAAAAAUAAUAAAUAAUAAAAGCGGUAGACUCAUUUGUCAGGCUUUAACCUUUGUACACGUGGUCAUAAUUCUCCAAAAGCAUUUUUUUAGUAAUGUGACGAAAGAUGACCGUCCUCACCGCCACAGGAAUGCCGCUUUAACCAAAUUUUAUAAGAACGGCACCGUGUCAUACUUGCCUACCAUUCAAGAUUCUCGUUUACCAGAAGUACCCUUUCUUUCCUUGUUCUUUUUUUCCGCAUUGGCCUUGGUCAUUAGACAUUGAAAUUGUAGGUGGCAUUGUGAACCACCUUUUUCCGUUUUAAAGCAUUUUCACGAAAUUAGCUAGCUACGUACUAACCAACAAUUAGAAAAGAGCUUUGAAUGAUGCUACUUUUUCUUUUUUCAUACACAUCCCUAAAUCAAUUACUUGUUGGCCAAGGAAUGUAAUUAUUAUUUUAAUUAUUAACAUUCGAGGAGAGAUUAAUGGUUUAUAUAUAUAAGAGAAAAAAAGAAGAAGGGAGAGAUCAAUGGUGCAACGUCUUAUUUAUUUAAUUUUUGAUAGAAAAGGGUACAACUUUUACAUAUAGAGUUAUACUUUUGUUGACAUUUAAAUUGACUUUAUAAAAUAAUUUGGUUUGGUAUUUUUUUUAUAGUUGUGUUUGUUUUUUUUUUAUUUUUAAAAUUUGGAUUUAAGUCUUACAUUAAAAAUGUGACAUGGAUUAACUUGAUAUUUUUUAAUUACAAAAAUUGAAUCUUUGAGUUAAUUCAACACUUGUGAAAAAUUUUAUUGAUGUAAUUAGGUUUCUAAUUACCAUUAGUUAAAGCGGUUACCCAGUUGUUAUUUUACAAUAAAAUAAAAUUUUUAAAUUUUAUAUACACAAAUUUAACUAAUAUAUAUUAUACAAUAUCAUAUAAUACAUGACCAUAUUAUCCAAUCUCUUACCUCUUAUAUUGUAUUAAUAUAAUAUAAUCUAUCACCGAGUAAUUAACACUAUAUUAUUUUGUUGAUUAAUAACAAAAGCUCAUCAUUAUCAUCCUAUUAAAUUUUGAAUAGUUAUUAAAAAGGAUAAUAAUCAAAAUUAUACAUGAAUUUUUGUUCAACAAGUAAUAUUAUAUAUGAAUUCUUUUUUUAUUUUGUACAAUUUUAUACCUUGAAUGUUGAUUUGAUCCAAAAUUUACAUAUCACUACCAUAAUUAUUGAUAUAACAUAAUUUUACAUUUACAUAUCGCAUAUACAAAUAAAUAUAUUUAUACUAUAUAUAAAGAAAAUAUAUAUUUAUUUAUUUAAAUAUGUACAAUUGAAUCAAAAUAAAUAUUUCGAAACAUAUAAUUACAAAAUCAUUAUAUAAUUAUAAUAAAAAUAAGAGAGGACAAUAGCUUUCGCUUUUCAUUAAUUUUAAACAUUAAUCUUAAUUUUAUGUUUAAAAAAUUGAUUAUCCCUCAAAAAGAUACACUAAUUUUUUUUUUUGGUGAAAUAAUAGAAAACUUAAAAAAUUACAAAAACAAACAUUAAAUGAAUUUACAUUCCUAGACUUAUCCCUAUCAAGUAAGCUGCGAGUCCUCUUCGGAGGCACCUAAAGGAUUUGCAUAUUGGCCUUUUCUAACAAAGCUUGCUUAGCUAGACUAUCCGCGACUUGAUUUUGUUCACUCGGAAUGUAUCGUAAAGUUCACUUAUUUUUCUUGAGAUAAAAUAUUCUGAAUUCGCCUAAUCAAAGUGAAAUUAGAAAUUAGUGAUGACUUUCUAAGAAUGGCUUUAACUGCUUCCAAACUAUCAGAAAGGAUGAUAACUCGAUCAUAUCCUCCUUGUUGAACAAGAUUGAGUCCGUCGAGAAUGCCCAAAGCUUUGCAUCAAAAACCAAAUAUUUACCGGGAAAUCGAUAAAAUCCAACAAUCUACUUUCCUUCUUUAUCACAAACACCGUCCCCAGCUGCAGCAUGUCCAGACAUCAUUUACAUUGCUCCAUCAGUGUUGAGGAAUACACGUUCCUCAUUGUAAUGAGUUUCGGAGAGAUGAUCGAUACACUGAAAUUGUUUAACAGUAGAAUGGAUAAAAUGGACUGUUAUGGUAACACAAUCUCCUUCUUCUUGUCUUUUUUUUUUCUUUAAUUUCCUAAAACGAAAUUUUAUCAAAACCCAACAUAGAAAGAAACACGAGGAACAGCAGUUAUGAAACCUUAAACACAAAGGGACAAAACCGUCAUUUGCUAUCCAUUAAGCCGUUUGAUUCUUUCUUCCCUGUUAAUUUUUCUCUUUCUUCAAAAGGCUGCAAUAAAAUUAAGGCUUCGUUUGGAUGGGCGAUUGACUGUGGUGCGGUGGGUUUAGCUUAUUUUUUAUCUCACGCUACAGUAUCACUACAGUAUUUAAUCUCACCGCUACCACUGUUAUUACACUAACAGCAGCUAAACGCACCGCCUAUCCAAACUCACCCUAAAUCGAAUAGAUACCUAUUCUUUUUCAUUUCUAUUUAUUUGCUUAAUAAAUAUUUAUUUUUGGUUUACUAUUUUUAAUGGGUUUUUUUUGUCCUUGGCCAUCCUUUUUUUUUUUCUAUUCCACUUUGACAUCCUUCUCAAAUAGCACCAAAUUCCCAGCGUAAAAAAGCAGCCAAAAUCAGCUUAGAUAGAGAAAAAGAAAAAAUGAAAGGGAGAGUUGUAGCAGAGGAAGGUCACUUGGAAAUGGGUUGAAACAGGAAAAAGCUGAUUUUUUGUUCAUUAACAGGUGCUUAUGAUCAAAACCCAGAAACCAUUCUUUUAAAAGACAAAAAAAUUAUAGUAAGCUUUUUAAUUCUACUCUACGUUUCCUGUGUGCUGUAUUUAAUGGUUUUGUAUAUUAAAAACAAUAAUAGUAAUCGAUGGUUUUUGUUAGUCUUUAUUUUUCUUUAGUUAUGCAAGCUUUCUCAGGUAAUUUAGCUGUUGAACUAUGCUCAAGUUAAUAAAAUUUAACUAAUUUCAUGACGAUCAGAUGGUUUGUGAUGUUCCCUAUGUUAUGCCUAAGUUUAAGCAUUUUUUUUGGAUUGAUCAGAUUCUACCUUACCUUUUCAAACCACCUGUUCUAAUAUGUGUUUUCUUGAUUAGGUAACUUGUGGCUUUUGGAUACAACAGUUACCGGUUACCAGGUUGCUCCUUGACAUAUUUGGACUGUUGGAUUAUAUCAGGUUAUCUUUCUGCCAUUUCUGCUUGAUCUUUUGGAGUUCCUGAUCAUGUUAAGUAAUGCUUUUGCUUCAUGUCAAACCUGAAUUAUUUGGUUUUCUGUUUGUUGGUUAUCAGGAAUAAGCACAAGGGCUGAGAGAUUUCAAGACUUCAUUUAAUUUGUCAAUAUUAGAACUCGCUACUUUGCAGUCGAAAAAACUUGCUCCUGGCUGAUCCAUCACCUAGUUCUCACAAUUGAGAAUUCUAAUCCGUGGCCAGAACCAGGAAGUGGUGUUGUUGAGGACUGAAGCCAUGGCAACUGCGAAACGCGCAGAUUCUAAAGGCAUGUACUCAUGGUGGUGGAACAGCCACAUAAGCCGGAAAAAUUCUAAAUGGCUACAGGAGAAUCUCACAGGUACCCUGAUCGAUGAUCGUUGCCACUAGAUUCAAAAUAAAUCAUUACCAUUCUUGCAAUUAUUUUAUUGUUGUAAGAAGUAAUGAUGUGAUAGAGCUAUAAAUAGUUGAGUGGAAACAGUUAAGUUAAAAUGUGUAUGGGAGCUUUGUUUAGAAGCUUGGUAUGUUAUGUGAGUCUGUAUUAGGCCACAAGGUAAAGCGUAUAGUCAUCUUUGCUUGGUGGCUUUCAUUAAUCAAAUCAAGUUUGAAACAGCUAAAUUGAUUAAUUAAAGGGCAAUGAUAUUGCACUUUCUCUGGUUUUAUAAUUUUGUGCAGUUUGCAGUAUUGAAAUAUUCAUUCUUUCUCCGUAUGCCUGUUUUUGACCCGUUGAAUAUAUUCUGCUUGAACAGAUAUGGAUACGAAAGUCAAACAAAUGAUCAAGCUCAUUGAAGAAGAUGCUGAUUCCUUUGCCAGGCGAGCAGAGAUGUAUUACAAGAAACGGCCAGAGUUAAUGAAAUUAGUUGAAGAGUUUUAUCGAGCAUACCGUGCAUUGGCUGAAAGAUAUGAUCAUGCAACUGGGGUGCUUCGUCAGGCUCAUCGGACCAUGGCUGAAGUAUUUCCGAACCAAGUUCCCAUGGUGUUUGCAGAUGACUCACCGGGAGGUUUUGCUCCAGAGGUUGAUCCCUGUACACCUGAGAUGACGCCACUUGUACGAGCAUAUUUGGAGCCUGAUGAGCCGCAGAAGGAUGCUGUGGGAAUCUCUUCGCAUGCUAUCAAGAGGAAUGUAGCAUUCUCAGAAGAAUCUGAAUCUCCAAUGAGCAGAAAGGGUCUGAAACAUUUCAAUGAUGUAUUAGGUUCCGAAGAAUCUACAAAUCAUGUCAAGUUUGCGGAAGGAAGGGCUAGAAAAAUCCUCAACUUUCAUGAUGUAGAGAAGAAAGAAAGAAGUCUGCAAGACGAUGAUGGUUCUGAUCUCAGGGUUCGAGUCCCAUCUGAGUCUGAACGUGCAAGUAAAGCUGAGAUGGAGAUUUUAACCUUGAAGAAUGCUCUUGCGAGAUUAGAAGCUGAAAAAGAAGCAGGCCUACUUGAGUACCAGCAGAGCUUGGAUAGAUUAACUAACCUAGAGAGAGAAGUCUCUCGUGCACAAGAGGAUUCCAAGGGAUUAAAUGAACGAGCAAGUCAAGCUGAAGCUGAAGUCCAGACUUUGAAGGAUGCCCUCACCAAAUUACAGGCUGAAAGGGAAGCUAAUCAUGUUCAAUACCAGCAGUGCUUGGAGAAGAUAAAUAAUUUUGAGAGUAGUAUUUCUCAUGCUCAAAAAGAUGCUGGAGAACUGAAUGAGCGAGCUAGUAAAUCCGAGACAGAAGCUCAAGCAUUAAAGCAGGACCUUUCUAGAGUAGAAGCUGAAAAGGAGGAUGCUCUUGCUAGAUACAAGCAGUGUUCAGAGACAAUAAGCGAUCUAGAAGAAAAAUUGUCAAAUGCUCAAGAAAGUGCCAGAACAAUGACUGAAAGAGCUGAGAAAGCUGAAAGUGAAGUUGAAACUUUAAAGCAAGUAGUUGUUGAGCUGACCAAAGAUAAGGAAGCAGCUGCUCUUCAGUACCAGCAGUGCUUGGAGACAAUAUCUAUCCUGGAAAACAGACUUCGAUGUGCCCAGGAGGAGGCUCAAAGGCUCAAAAGUGAGAUAGAUGAUGGGGCUGCAAAGUUAAAAGGUGCAGAAGAAAGGUGUAGUCUGUUGGAGAGAACCAAUCAGAGUCUGCAUACUGAGGUGGAGUCUUUGGUGCAGAAGAUGGGGGAUCAAAGCCAAGAACUAACGGAGAAGCACAAGGAGUUGGGGAGGCUUUGGGCCUCCAUACAAGAGGAACACCUGAGAUUUAUGGAGGCUGAAACAGCAUUUCAAACUCUGCAGCAUUUGCACUCUCAGUCUCAGGAAGAACUCAGAUCUCUGGCCAUGGAGCUUCAGAAUAGGGCUCAAAUUUUGCAGGACAUUGAAACUCGUAAUCGGAGUUUAGAGGAUGAGCUACAGAGGGUCAAGGAGGAAAACACAGGGCUGAACAAACUCAGUUUAAGUUCAGCAAUGUCCAUACAAAAUUUGCAAGAUGAGAUAUUAAGCUUAAGGGAGACUAUUGCAAAACUUGAAGCAGAUGUUGAACUUAGAGUGGACCAAAGAAAUGCACUUCAGCAAGAAAUUUACUGUUUGAAAGAGGAGCUCAAUGACUUAAACAAGAGACACCAGGAUAUGACAGGGCAGCUUCAGUCAGUUUGCUUAGAUCCUGAAAACUUUGCAUCAUCUGUGAAGGAAUUGUGGGAUGAGAACACAGAGCUAAAAGAUGUCUGCGAAAGAGAAAGAGAUGAAAAACUGGCCCUCCUGGAGAAGUUGAAAAUCAUGGAGAAACUUAUUGAGAAAAAUGCCCUUUUAGAGAAUUCACUCUCAGUUUUGAAUGUUGAGCUAGAAGGUGUUCGGGGGAGAGUAAAGACAUUAGAAGAAUCUUGUCAAUCGCUUUUGAGAGAGAAAUCCACUCUUGCUGCUGAGAAGGACACACUCAUUUCUCAGUUACAGACCGCAACUGAGAAUAUGGAGAAGCUUUCUGAGAAGAAUAACUUUCUGGAGAAUACCCUUUUUGAUGCUAAUGCUGAACUUGAAGGAUUGAGGGAAAAAAUAAGGAGCCUAGAAAACUCAUUCUUGUUGCUUGGUGAUGAGAAAUCUGGCCUGAUAACACAAAGAGAAGGUUUGAUUUCUCAGUUGGAUGUCAAUCAGAAAAGGCUGGAAGAUUUAGAGAAAAGAUAUAUGGGACUAGAGGAAAAACAUGUAGGUCUGGAGAAAGAGAGAGAAUCAACACUUCGUGAAGUGGAAGAGCUACAAAAGUCACUAGAGGCUGAAAUGCAGCAACAUGCCAGUUUUGUGCAGUUGAGUAGAACCCGAGAAACUGCUAUGGAAUCACAGAUCCAUGUCCUACAAGGGGAAAGUCUGCUCAGGAAGAAAGAAUAUGAAGAAGAACUGGACAAGGCCAUGAAUGCUCAGGUAGACAUUUUCAUCUUGCAGAAAUGUGCACAAGAUCUGGAAGAGAAGAAUAUGUCCCUAUUGCUUGAGCGUGGGAAACUCUUGGAAGCCUCCAAAUUGUCAGAAAAACUUAUCUCUGAAUUGGAGCAUGGCAAUUGUGAAAAGCAGGUGGAGAUCAAAGCCUUAUUCGAUCAAAUUACCAUACUGAGAAUGGGGCUUUAUCAGAUGUCAAGGACUCUUGAGAUUGAUGAUAUCCAUGGUUGUGAUGAUAAGAUCAAACAAGACCAAUUAGUUCUUGACUGUGUAUUUGGCAGACUACAAGAGAUGCAAAAUUCACUUUUGAAGUCUCUGGAUGAAAAUCAGCGGUUCAUAAUUGAGAAUUCAGUUCUUAUUGCACUGCUUGGGCAACUGAAACUAGAGGCAGAAACUCUUGCUGCUGAGAAGAACUCAGUACGGCAGGAGUUGAAGGUUCAGUCUGUGCAGUUUUCGGAGCUGCUGAUCAGAGCUGAAAAACUUGCGGAUAUGAAUGAAGUACUGAGAUCAAAAGUGGUAGAGGUAAACCAAAGAGAAGACGCAUUGCAGACUGAAUUGAUAAGUGUUCGUGGGCAACUGUUAGCCUUGCAAAGGCAAUAUCAGACUUCACUGGAAGACAACUGCAAGGUACUAGAUGAGAAAAGAUCUUUGAUGAAGGAAGUUUUGGACUUGGGCAAGCGGAAACGUAAUCUAGAAGAUGAAAAUCAUGCUGUAAUUUGUGAAGCAAUAUCUCAAAGUAACAUUUCUCUUAUUUUGAAGGAUAUUAUUGCUGAUAAUUUUGAGGAAAUAAAGUAUCUAAAUGACAAUCUGGGUAAACUCAAAUGUCUGAAUAAUGAUCUUGAGGGAAAACUGAAGAUGAUGGAGAGGAAAUUUGAAGAUUUGCAAAUGGAAAAUUCAAAUCUCAAGGAUUCAAUGAAAAAAUUGGAGAAUGAACUGGUUUCAGUUAGAUCUGUUGGUGAUCAACUAAAUGAUGAAGUUGCAAGGGGGAAGGAUCUGUUGUGCCAGAGGGAGAUUGCGCUAUUGGAAGUAGAGAAAAUGCUCAGUGCGAGUCAAGAGGAGACAGCCCAACUGCAUAAAGUUUUGGAGGAUCUGCAGACUAAAUUUGAGGAGGUCAAGCUGAUAGGAGAAGAUCAAAAGAGGCAAAUUCUGAAACUAUCUGGGGACUAUGAUCAUCAAAUUAACGAGACUGAAAGCAUUAGUCAGGCUAAUCAGAAACUUGAGGUUGAAUUGUUGAAAUUGAAUGAGGAGCUUGAAGAAAACAAACACAGGGAGGAGGGUUUGAGCUUUGAACUACAGAAGGAAAGAAUUAAAGUUGAAAUUUGGGAAACUCAGGCUGCUGCAUGGUUUGAUGAGCUACAGACUUCAGCUAUACGUGAAGUAAUUUUUGAAGAGAAGGCUCAUGAGCUCGGUAAGGAAUGCAAAUUCCUUGAAAGUACAAGAAAUUCCAAAGCCAUGGAGGUAGAAGAGCUGGAAAGAAGUGUUAGAAGCUUGGAAUGUGAGAAUGGAGGACUUAAAGCUCAGUUGGCAGCAUAUGUUCCUGCAAUUGUUUCUCUCUUGGAUAGCGUGACAUCUUUGGAGAGCCGAACUCUUAUGCAUCCUAAACUUCCUACAGAUUAUAAUGAAGAGGUAAUAUCUGUUUGAUUGCAUUUUAAAUUUUAUAAAGUGAAAGCAAUAUGGACCUCCUCAUGCUAUUUGGUUGAAUAUACAACUUAUGUUCUAAGCUAACCACUUGUCUUUGAGUAUGUAAUGGUUUAUUACACUAGCCAAUUUUUGCCCUAAUUCUCCAAGUUGGCACCAGAAUAUGUUUACCAGCUAUAUUUUUUGAAACUUCUUGUUCCUAAGGUGAAAUUUAUUUAGUAUUUUUGUUGAAUUAAUGUUUGGCACCGUUGUUUCUAUGACCUUUUAGAGGCCAUAUUAGCGGUUAGCCUGUGACCAUAUAGAAAAAUUCCUCUUCUUGUUUUCCCCCAACUAUUUGUUUUCUUAAUCUUUGUGUUAACUGGGAUAUGUGUGUUUCUGGGUUUGUUUUACUUGUGCAAGGCCUAGCUAGUUCUAUUUAGAUCUUAAUAAGUUGGAUGUAAAUGGGACUUUGUCAGUAAGUUAUCAUCUAUGUUAACAGUGCCAUGGAUCUUGAAUGGCUAUGAACUUUGAAUCUUUGACUUACAAUUGUCUUGUUUUCCAGGACCCCAAUCUGGGGACUGAAUUUCAUGCUGAAAACUGUCAACCAACAAGUGAAGGUCAAAUUGGCUUGGUUCCCAAUGCCUUUUCCGACUUGCAGGGUAUCCAUAUGAGAAUUAAAGCUAUUGAAAAAGCAGUUCUGGAAAUGGAAAAGCUUGCAAUGCUGGAGAACUUAAAUCUCAAUUCCAAACUAGAGACUGCAGCAAGACAGAUUGAGGAAUUAAGAUAUGGAAGCAGCUCUAGUGGAGAAAGUGUUAGAGCAAAGAGGCACGUAAGUGCUAGACAAGAAGAGGAGGAACUUGGCAAUGGGCUCAGUAACAAUGUCAACAUGCAGAGACCAACACCUGAAAUAUCUGAAGAAAAUGAGAUGAUGACAAAAGACAUUAUACUUGAUCAGGUAUCUGAGUGCUCGUCUUAUGGGUUAAGCAGGAGAGGAACUGCUGCAGAGGUUGAUACUGAGACGCUUGAGUUGUGGGAAACUGCUGACCAUGAUGCUAAUGCCGACCUGAAAGUCAGCAAGGCCCAGAAGAUGGCCACUGCACCAACUGAUUACCGACAGAUUGGAACUGUGACGACAGGCAAGGGCAGAACUCCCUCUACAGAAUCUCUUGUGAAGGAGUUGGGUGUAGAUAAAGAGAGCUCUAAGAGAUUUGCAGAGCCCAACAAUAACGGAAGCAAGAGGAAGAGUUUAGAAAGACUUGAUUCUGAUGUGCAAAAGUUGGCUAACCUUCAAAUAACUGUGCAGGACCUUAAGAAGAAGGUAGAGAUAAUUGAGACAGGCAAAAAGGGGAAAGGAAUUGAAUAUGGUACAGUUAAGGAGCAGCUAGAAGAAGCUGAAGAAGCCAUCACGAAGCUAUUUGAUGUCAAUCGCAAAUUGAUGACACACGUUGAAGAUGGCUUCUGGUCGCUUGAUGGGAAAUCUGCACUAGAACCAGAUGAGAAUGGGAGCGUGACGAGACAAAGAGUAUCAGAACAAGCAAGAAGAGCGUCCGAAAAGAUUGGCCGGUUGCAGUUGGAGGUGCAGAAGAUACAGUUUUUCUUACUGAAUCUUGAUGAUAAAAAAGAAAGCAAAGCACAAACCAGAAUAACUGAGCGUAGAAAAAGAGUUUUGUUGUGGGACUAUCUAUAUGGUGGGGUAAAAAGUAGCCAGAAGAAGAAGAAAUUGCCCUUCUGCGCAUGCGUGCAUCCCCCAACUAACGGAGAUUGAGGCAAUUGCUCAUCAUCAGCACAUUUACAUUUUCAGUAGUUACCAGUAUUUUGACUUUAGUUGCAUCGUGUCUAUAAAUCUGCCUUACUAGUUGUGUUUCACAUAUAUACUUUCUUAUACAGGCUUGCUUCUUUCAAUUUAGAGAUCCAUUUCUGCUGUAUAUUAAAGGCAGGCAAUAUCUCUGAUCUCAUGGAAGAAGAUGCACUUUUAUAGCCUAAAAGUUCCCUUCUGUAUAUGUUUGUUUACUUUGGCAUAAAAUUUGGAUUUCAAUGGAAAUGGUUUUCUUCAAGGUCAACAAAUAUUGUUUUCGUAUGCUUUAAUCUUUUGUGUACUGCACUAAGAGCUGUUUAUUUAAGUGUUUCACUCUGAAGUGAUGUUAGCUCACUUACAAGGAAAUUUAGGAAACACCACGCUUGGAAAUUGGAACUGUGGCCAAGUUGCUGCAAUUGCUGUGCUCAAAUUGGUACAUGUCAGAUGGGUUUGGUCUUAUUUUAUUAUCCAAAGCAAGCAUCAAUGUUGCUACAAAAUUACAGCAAUUAUACAAAAUCAAUGUCAAGUUUCCAAGCAUUCACAAGUUUUAGAUUUACUGUGUCAUAAACAAUGUUUGAAAAACCAUAAAGAUGCAUGUUGACUUGAUCAAGCAGCUGACUCUCUGAUCCCCUGAGUUUGUUGUUUCUCCCCCUCCAAAUUAAGUAGAUGAUGAAGUAAAGGGAAGAAUGAUGGAUAUAGCAUAUCUUUCCCAUUAAGUUUGCUAUGUAUAAGCCCACUGUAGUUCCCUGCUCCUGUUAGCCACUUCUUGCUUAUAUGAAAGUUUUGUUUCGUUGUGUUGGGACUAACAAAUCACCGUGGAACUACAAUGGUCACCCAGCUAGUAGUAAAGUUACUACACAUAGUGAGCUUUCCUACACAUAGUGGGACCCAGUGGUCACCCAGCUAGUAGUAAGUUUACUACACAUACUAUAAUGGUCAGCCAGCUAGUACGAGGGCUAAGUGAACUUUCCUACACAUAGUGGGACCCAAGACCAAACAUUUUGCCAUCUGGUUCUUUAAGUAAUUGCAGCCAAGAAGUAGGUGACCCCAUAUCAACCUGUGCCAUCUCUCAACAUGCAUCAUAUUGUCACUUGAUUUGCUGCCAAAAUGGUUCUAACCAUUGCUUGAGUUGCGAAACUUGCUCAGAAAGCAAAUUACUUAAUUGUAUUGUUGUCAACAGCAUUGAGCAUUCCUUUAUGCUUUUUUUUCUUUUUGUUAAAAACCUUCAUUGCCAUGAUAUGUAUCACUCUACAACUUGCAUAUACCUGGAAGAGGAAAAAUAGCCCUUUCACUUCCAAUUGAAGCAUCUCUAAAAGCCUAACUUCACAAUUGGGUUAUUUCUUGUUGAUUCAGCAAUGCCUAACAUCAUACAUUCUGAUUCUCUAAUGCAGAAGCGAGUACUAACCGGUACAUACUUGGGCUUUAAUUUAAAAGAAAAUUUAUGUUUCUGGUGCAUAAAAAAUCUAUCAAGAUUAGACAUUGUUCCAUGGUUGCGAGUCCUCAUUGGUGGUGUCUGGUUUGCAUGUAUGAAGCUUGUAAUUGCAGGCUUCAACAGCUUCUCCUACUGUCAAGUAUAUCCAUUCUUUACCUAUUGUCUCUAUGAACUUCGAUUUGUUCAGUUUCUUCAUCACUUCAGCUCCAGGGUUGGCCAACACAAGCUACAGAAGUAGAAUGAUAAAUUUUGUUAAGUUUGUCCAUUAAUUUUACACAAUAUUACAGUAAAUUGUAGGAGGGAAUACCUUGAGCCCCCUUCUAUCAGUUAUUUUCUUCACUUCUUCGAGCAUGCUUAUUCCACUGGUAUCAAUGUUACCAACAGCUGUGAAACCAAAAAUGUAAACCCCCGUUAGAUUAACUUUUUCUUUAAUAUUUGCAAAUAGCAUGCCACAGUUCUUGCUGGAUCUAUAAAUCACUCACCACUCAUAUUAAAUAUAACAUACUGUAAGCUAGUUUCCCCUGUAGAUUUCAACUUGUCUUCCUCUUCAUCAAUCCACCUUGAGAUCCUGAUAGAUCAGCAAUCUCAUGAUAAGGGUAACUUCAAUUUGAUCAAAUAAUGAUGUCUGAUUAUAACUUUGAAAUUGAUUUGGUACUCGUUUUGAGAUAGUAUUUAAGAUAUCAAAUUCAAGUACCUUUCUCUUAAGUAGCUUGAAUUAGCAAAGUAAAUUGGAGCAUCUAUUUGAAGUAUAAGAAUCCCAGGAACAUCGUUUGUAGUUGGAUAUUGCUCAACACUCCUAUAGAUGGUUGAAUUCCGAAGGUUUCCAAGAACGAAGGUCCUCGGUCUCGCAACAAACAGCAGCAAUCUCAGAACAGAGAUAGCAACCUGCAUUUUACACCAAAGGAUUAUUACAGAAUUUUGUUGUUUGGAUGAAGGAAAUAAGUUCAUUUCAUUUGUGUUUUCGUAGAUAUAUACCGCUAUGACUAAUCCGACCUCCACACUCGCGAAAACAACACCGGUAUAUGCACCCAUACACACCACGAAAUCGAAUUUAUCGACUUUCCAAAGAUGAAUUGCAGCCUCGUAAUCAAUGAGGCCAAGCAUUGCAGAGAUUAUAAUUGCAGACAACACUACGAGGGGAGUAUAAUGGAACAAUGGUGUUAAGAACAGCAAUGUGAACAUAACUGCAAUGGCCAUUACAACGUUUGACAUUGCUGUUUUACAUCCCGCAUUGAAGUUAACAGCUGAUCGAGAGAAUGGCCCUGAAAACAUGCAACACCAAUGCCAUAAUUAGCAAAUUAAAAGCAGAAUGAACUUCAAAACUUAUAAAAGAAAGGAAAUGGGAUUUACCAGUUGUGAGAUAGCAAGAAAAGCAAGAACCAACAAUGUUCAUGGUCCCAAUGGCUACCAUUUCUUUGUUCCCAUCAAUGUUGUAGUGCUUGAACAUUGCAAAACUUCUCCCUACUGCUAUUCCUUCCUGUAUUAACGAUAACCAACAACUAGAAUUAGUCCAUGUUUUGUCGUUAAAGUAAUGAAAACGAAAAUGUGUAACAUUUAAAGAAGAGAUAAAAGUUAUAGGUCAGAAGGUUAGGUUACAGCAAGAGCAAUGAUGCCAGUGAUCAUGCCAGUCUUCACAGCUGUUGUCAAAUAGGGAGAGGUAAAUACGAAAUCCCCAAAAGAAGGUGGAUUCAACCCUUUCUUCAAGUUUCCAAUCUGUCAUUGUCACAUCAACAAGGUUGCAACAAAGUCACAACUCUUCAUCUUUCACCAAAUAAAAAAGAACUAAAUUGUAUGGUACGAAAUAGACAAGUAUAAUUUUUGUAGUUGAUCAUAAAAAUGUUACAUUUUCCACUUCCUUUUGUACUUUCUUUUAAGACAAGAAAUAUAGAGAAUUUUGAUCAUAUAAUUUAACCAAAACAGCAAGAAACAACAGGAAAUCAAUUGAUGGAACGCAGCAAAAUUCAUUUAAGAUAUAACUUUACUUGUUCUGGUGGUCCAGUAUGUUGGUUCUUAUUGGACUGUUUUGUUGCAGUUCAUUGUGGUAAUUAUUUUUUUAUUGGAAGUUUCGUAACAUAAAAUUAUAUAUUACAAAUUCUAAUGACCCUUUUCGUCUGCAAAAGCUACAUCAUUAUAUAGAUAUAAAAACUUAAAAGUAGACAGAUCCAUAGUUUAAAAGUGAAAUAAGAGAAAAGGGUCGUGUAAUGAAUCGUUUAAAUAUAAAAGAAUAAGAAAAAGACAAAAGGCGGCUUACCACAUCAACACCGUGUUUUUCAGCAUGGGUCAAGUAAACGAGUAGACUUCCAAGAAUGACCGUUGUCAAAGGUGCCAUUGCUGAUAUCCAGAAGAAUUUGGGUCGUCUUUUACUCUGCUUGUCAUCCACCAAUAUAUAUUAUAAGAUUUCUUCAUACAAAAAGGCUAAUUAAACAUAUCCAUCCCUCUCAGAGGGAGCUGCUUUAGAUGCUAAAAGUUACACCACUCAACAACCCCUAUAAAUCAUAAGAUUUACUUACGAAGUAUCUGCUGAGGAGGAGGAAGAAAAGGAAAACAGCGCCCAGCACACCACUCUCCCAUCUCCACUGUAUAGAUAUUACAAAUUACGGCUGUCAGUCAGACAAUCAUAUUUUUACCAAAUAAAACUACCGCAUGCAAACCAUCUGUCAUAAUAGUUAGCACAUAAAAAAUAAUUUGUUUAUAAUUAAUUCUAUAUAGCUGUGACCCAUACCAUAUAUUAUAUCAUAUAAUAAAACUUUUAGUUCAGAUUUAUAGAAAAAAAUACUAUAUAAUAAAAAUAUUAAUUUUUUAUAAACACAAUUCAUAUAGGUUUCUAAUGAUAUAUUCGAACUUUGGAUUUAAGGAAAAUGUUAUAUACGCAUAUUUCCAUACGAAUAAAUUAUAAAAACAGGCCUUUUAAAAAAAAAAUUGUUUCUUCAAUUUCAUUUCUAUAUGGAAUGAAAUUAUAAAAGAUAUAUAGAGAAAUAAAAAUAAAAGUUGACCUCAUGAAUCUGGGAAAACACAGAGCGCAAGACGGAGAUAAUAUCAGUAGAUUGAGUGAAGUGUUGAAGUCCUAGAAUUCCCUUUAGCUGUUGCAAUAUCACUACGGUGGCUGCUCCUCCCAUGAACCCUACUAUCGUCGCAUGUGAAAGGAAAUCGACUAUAAACCCUACCCUGCAAAAAACACCACAAAAAAUUUUAAGUAAAUUUUAGAAUUUACCAUGAAGAAAUAGAAUAUCAGCUAAUUUAAUUAUUAUUUCUACCAUGUAUUUUCUUUUUUUUUAGGCUUUUUUAGUUGUAUCAAACAAUAAAUGACAAUUGCGAUUGUGAAAACAAUGGUUCAAUCGUAUUCUGUGUAGAUUCUCUAUGACAUAUAUAGCAAUAAUUCCUUAAUUUUUUUAAAAUUCUUACUGGACAUGAAAUUUUUUAGAAAAUACAUAUCCAGCCAGCCAGCAGCAGAGGACAAUAAUUCCAGCAGCGAGAAGACAAAGUACGUAUGUUGUGCUGUAAUCCCUUCUGUUUUUUUGUCAAAUUUAAGACGCUAUAACAAAAAAUGCCGCCUUUCUAGAUCUUGUUUUUAACCCAUAUUGGCAUAUACUUUACUUAUAUUUUAAGUGUAAUUUUCAUUAUAUUAUUAACCAAUGUCCUCCAAAACGGGAAACAAGAGAGUAAGUGGGUGGCUGAAUUAAUGUACCUUAAGAGGCCUAAGGAAGCUUGCAGAAGGCCGGCGAAAAAAGUUGCUGUGAAAGCAAGGUGAAGAUAAAGCGUAGGAUUCUCAGUAGCGUUUACUUCGUCCCCCAACAUAGAACCUAUGAGAAGUGAUGCAACUGCAACAGUCCCUACUGCCAAAUCUCUUGAACUUCCCAUCAUCGCAUAAAUCAGUGGUGGAAUAAAGCUUGAAUCUUUAUUUUUCCCACCGAAGAAAAAGUUGAUCAGUAAAUUACUAUUCACGAGUCAACCCACUGAAACAAAAGAGUUGUGUGUAGUAAUCUAUUUAGGUUUUUAAUAUUUAGGAACUUACAUAGGCCGAGUAUAGGCGGCAAGUUAGCUAGCUUUGCAUAGCUAAUACCCUGAGGGAUAGCAAGACUGGCUAUGGUGAUCCCCGAAAUGAGGUCAGAUUUCAAGAACUGGAAGGUGUAACGAGGACCCCAUUCAAGAAUGGGCAAGAAAUAUUGCAGUCCCAGAAAAAACUUCCGAGAGGGUGUUUUGUUCUUGAAUUGUCGAAGAGGGUCAUCUGGGAAAAACGUCUCCUUGAGAGAGUUUUUGAAUGACUUGAAGAAUGGUUGUGGCGGAGGAACCGCCACUGGGUGAGCACAUUGACGGUACUCAUUGGUGGAAGGGUACAGAUAAUCAGCGUUGCCCAUCAAAGUAUAUGCUGUUAUUAAUUGAGUUUAGCAGCAGAGAUAUAUGUGUGUGUGUGUGUGUGUGUGUGUGUGUGUGUGUGUGUGUGUGUGUGGAGGAGAUUGAAUAGAAGAAAGAAGAUGGAAAGAGGAAGGGAGAGUAAGUGCUGGGGGGAUGUGAAAUGGGAUACCUUAGGUGGAUGUAUUUAUAGAAGGGGCAAUGAUGCAAGAAGAGGAUUCAUUGGAUUCAGUAGGGUGAGUGGGUUAAGGGGCCCGCCUGAAUGUUAAGUCCCUCUCUCCUUCACCAAGCAUUCAAAGUUUAUUAUAUUUUAAUAAUAAAAAAUAUUGGGGUUGGCCACCUCGUGCAGAUUUUUUGUGUUAAGGGGGAGGUCUGUUCAGCCAGCUAAAGAUGGAAUGGAGAGCAAAAUCCUGGAAGUUCACGUUUAUUUUAGUUUCCAAAUUUCUACUUUGGAAGGAAGACUACGUUAACGGCGACGCCAUGGUACGUGUUAACCUUUCAUUGCAAAUCUACCUAAACAAGUCUGCGCUUGCCACGUAGAAAAAUUGCAGUUAAUUUCUGGUGAUUCUGUCUUACGAACCUACCCUAUAUAGAAACUAAAUAUCCAUGCUAAUAUUUAACUAUGCGAGUGAAUUAAUGUUAUUAACCCAGUUAAAUAUUUUUUUAUAAAAUAAUAUUAUAUAUUUUAAAUAAAUUAUAUAUGUAACACCCUAAACCUCGUCAGGAAGAUUCGACCCGAAUCCGACGUGCCAUAUUAGUAACUAAAGUGACUCUCUGGUAAUUUCAAACCUAACCUCCAAGACACUACUUAUACAUAGCAUGCAAACAUAGUGUUACUCUUUAACAAAGCAGCGAAAAACCAUAUAUUCAUAAAACACAAGGGUUCACAUGCAAAAUAAAUCAGAGUUCACUAUUAUGCAAUACAAUAAUUCCAACACUUAAAAAAUAUUUAUAGAUUCACAUCACACUUAAAGGCUUCGCAUCACAAUUAGACAUAGCUCGCAUGCCUUAUCAUCACAAGAGAUUGCAAACCAACACACAAAUAUAAGUUCGCACAAAAUUACAUGAGUUCGCAGGAUUUGAUAAAUUGCAUACAGUAAUUUUGAAUAUUAAGUUCACAAAAUAUUAAUAGUUAACUUAACACCUAAAUAGCUCAUACAUCAUAGCUUCACUAAAUAACAUGCUUCACAAAAAAAGGAGAAACAUGCAUGCAAAAAAGUAUCAUAUUUAAACAAGGUUCGCAUAAAUUUAUGGGUUCACUGUAACAGUCCGGUUUAGGUCCUAGUCGGAAUAGUGGUUUCAGGACCACAAAUUUGAGUUCGAAAAAUAUUUUAAUAUUAUUUUCUAUGUCUGUGAUAUAUGAAUUUGUAUUUGUGAAAUUUCUGUGAUUUAAUUUGUCUGUUUCUGUGCUCGAUUUUACAAAAAAGAUUUAAUCGCAUAAAAGGUAAAAUUAGCAUGCUACAUUUUAAUGUAUGUUUUUGAAAUGGCUUUGGACUAAUAAGUCCUUAUGUAGUUAAUUGACCAUGUAAUGUAUUAAAUGACCUUGUUAGACAUUAGUAAAUAGUUUAUUAAUGUUUAAAAGACAAGGGUAAAAUAGUAAAAAGGUAUAUUAAGUUAAUAUAUAUAAAAAAAACAUGAAAAUGGCCAUAAACACAUUGUUUUUACCAAAAAUCAAAGGAAAAAGAAAGAAAAAGGGCUUCCUAGGGUUUGGCUCUUAUUCACCUUGAUUAAGAUACAAAUUUUUGUUUGUUUUUGAUAAUUUCUACGUUUCUAUGAUCGUUGCUUUGUGUUCUUCAAAGCCCAUGUUUGAAUUUCUAUUUCUGUUAAAGAUUUCAUGAAAUUCCAUUGUUGAUAUCAUGAGUUUUGUAAUGUUCUUGGAUGAAUUAUGAAGGUUUAGUAGAUGAUUUAUAAGCUUUGUACUUGAAUUUUUUAUGAAAUAGAACUAUCUGGGCUAAUUUGUGAAAAUAAGGUUUUGAAGGACUAAAUUUUGUAUUAAAUGUGUUAUUUGGGCUUGUAUGGAAGCCAUGUAUAUUUGGCCAAGCUAUAAUAUUAAUGAAUUAUGCAUAUUUGUGAUUUUGUGAAAAAUGAACUAAAUUGUCAAAGUGUGAAAAUAUAAGGGCUAAAAUGUAAAGUGCCCUAAAUAUGUGUUCAUGGAUUAUUUUGAAUGAAAUGCAUGAUUGAAUGGUUUAAUUUGAAUUGUAUUAGAUCAAAAACAAAGAAAAUCAUACUUAGAUCGGGGGAAGUCCAAAAUAGUUGAAUAGACGAUUCAUUUUAUCAGAAAUCCGUACGAGGUAAGUCAAAUUACAAUUACGUGUUAAAUUGACUAAAUUUUGCGCAUAUAAAAUAUAAUCUGUAUUGGAUGGCUUUGAGAGCUUGAUGAAUGAACUCUGGGUAAAUUCUGAUAAUAUGUUAGUAUCUGAAAAGUAUCUGUAUGCUUCUAAAGGAACGCUGACUUCGAUCUAAAAUAUCGUGUAAGACCGUGUCUGGGACACAGGCCUCGAUUUGAUAUUUACGUGUAAUAUCAUGUCUGGGACAUUGACAUCGUAUUUGAUUUCGAGUAAGACCUUGUCUGGGACAGAGGCAUCGAUAUUGAAUUACAUUAAGACCACGUCUGAGACGUGGGCAUUGUACUCCAUUAUGAGUAUUUGUAUCACUUCUGAACCGUCUGAUGGUAGAGUACAAGAUAUGAGAAUGUCUAUAUAUAUAUGAAAUGUAUAAUCUUUACAGGUACGUUUGUAUCGUACUGAAUUUCUGAAUAGAGAAGACUCUGUUACUAUGAAUUGACUAUGAAUUCUUGCUAUUGACUUCCAUUUAUAUGCUUUAAUAGUUAGAAUAAUUGUAUUUGGCUUACUAAGCUCUUUGUAGCUUACUCUAUGUGAUUACUGUCUGUUUUACAAUUAUCGUAGCUACUGAAGGCUUGGGGAUAGUUGAGGAUCGUCACCACACUAUCGAUCUCAGUUUGGUACUUUUGAAAGUAUAAAUACUUUUAAGUAUGGCAUGUAUAAGCUAGAAUAUCCAUGUAUUAAGUUUUGAAUUGUUUAUAUGUUAAGCAAUGAGAGUUGGCUAGAAAAUGGUAUGUUUGUGUUAAGAUUUGGUAUGGUUUUGAAUGGGUUGUUGAAUGAUGAUGAUAUAGUUGUAAUGAAGCAUGUUUGGAGCAUGAAAUUGGCUGAAAAUUUGUUGUAUGAAUGUUGCUUAGCAUUGCUUGUAGGUUUGGCCCAAAGAGAAGUGGCAAAUUGGCUUAAACCAAACCUGCAUUAUGCCGCACGGUCAAAGGACACUGGCGUACCUUGUGGCCGUGUAAGAAAAAUAGUAUUCACCUAAAAAUCACACGGCCUUGACACGAGCGUGUCAUAUGGCCGUGGGCUAAAGUCAGUAGCUAGCUAAGUAUCACACAACCAUAGUACACGGGCGUGCCUAUUGGCCGUGUGAAAAAGUCAGUAUAAGACCUAUUUUUGGCACGGCUGGUUCACAUGGGCGUGUCUAGUGCCCGUGUGUGACACACGGCCUAGUCACACGGACUUGUGGAUUUGACAGUUUUGAAAUAUUUGGUUAAGUUCAGAAAAUUCUGAAUAGGUUCGGUUUAGUUCUGACCUUUCCGUAAAUGUAUGUUUUAGGUCUCGUAGACUAUAUUUGGAGAUGAUUGCUUAUGAAAUGAUGUUAAAUAAUAUCUAUGAUAUUGAAUUGGUCUGAAAUGUUCUGUCUGUCUGGUAAUGCCUCGUAACCCUAAUCCGAUGCUGGUUACGGGUUAGGGGUGUUACAUUCACACACAUGUAAGGGUUUGCAAAGUUAAGGGUAAACAAGUUAUUGUGAUGAACAUACCUAGGGUUUCGCAUAUCAUAAAAUUAUUGCAACAGGGGCAUGCUAGCCAUUAUAGUUUGCAAUAUCCAAUAGUUCGCAUGUAAAUAAUACUACACCACAAGGGUAUGCAAGUAAUUUACAUGCAUGGAUUGUGAAGUAACAAAAUAAACAUAAAUGAAAAAUAUUGAUUUAUUAAUUAUGAAAUAGAAGGAAAAAUCCAUAACAUGUUUUACAGAAAUAGAGUAAACUUAAUAGCAUAUCAUAUUGUACUUUUAUACCAAGAAAAUAAUUCGAAAAUUAACUAACAAUGUAAUUUAUUGUUUUAAAUAGCAUAAAAAAAAGCCCAUCGCCCAUCUUUAUGGUUCGUCUAUAUCAGUCAGGUGUCUCACCAGAUCAUCGAUCUCGUUUAUGUUAUCCGCGAUCUACUUACCUAAGAAGUAAGAGAGGAGUGGAUAAGUUCAGAGAGAACUCAGUGCAUAAUCGGAAACCAUUAGAUCAUGCCUUAAAGCAAUAUUUGAAAACAAUAGAAAACUUUAGUUUGGACAUGUUUCGCGUGCUAGGUUUGCAGGUGAGAAUGUGAGACCCAGCUCGCAUCUGAAAACAUAUUUUGUAAAAAUAGUUUAAAAACAAUGCUUACAAAUCCUUUCUUCUAAAAACAUGCUUUACAAAAGAGACUCGCAUUAAAAUCUUGUGAGGCCAUAUUGUUUUUCAAAAACAAAACUAAAUCUGAGUUUAAAAUAAAGUCGCAAGACCAACUCACACAUAACAUAAUUCAUGAAUAGAGUUGGUUUUAGGUCACACAACUGGUUCGUCAAAUAGAAGACAUGUCUCAUUGAAUAAGUUAUAUCCAACCUAGCUCACAAAGAGCAUGUACAAUGAGACAUAUCACAAAACUCACAAAAGCCCAUGCUCUCGAGGAGCACACAGAGUGAGGCUUACAAAAGCUCAUGCUCCCAAAGGAGCACACAAAGUAAGACUUAUUUAUGGGUGAAUACUCACACUAUUGGUAUACCAAUUAGGAGGCUCACUAAGGAGCUCACAAAAUAGAAAGCUUGCACCGAGCGAACUUAGCAAAGAGCUCGCAUAAAGCAGAGCUAAAACAUUUGCUUAUAAAAAUCUCGCACGUUAAGUGCCUUUAAAAAGACACAGCUUAAAAUCGUUCUUUCAAAACAUUCUUAUUAUCAAAAGCUAUAGAAACUCGCAUAAAAAUGUGUUUUAAAAUCAUCUUUUUAAAAUCAUAAUUUUGAAAAUAGAGUUCAUAACUUAAAAAUAGAGUAUCAAUGGUCUUCUAGAAAACUUACCUUUGAAACUUGUUUUUCGAAAAUAGAGUUCUUUUUAGAGAAUCAUAACAAAAUAUCAUAACUUGAAGAUAAUUGAAAUAAUCUCAGACCACUCACCGAAACAAAGAACUUAAACGAUUUUGGCUUUGCCUUUAACUUUGUUAGAAGAUGGUCAGACUAGUUUGCAACGAACAAACAUAUUACUAACAGAACAUUCAAAAUCCACAUAUGCAUGCGAACCUAGCUCUAAAUACAAUCAACCCUAACAAGACAAGGACCUACCCGGAUUGCUACGAACAGAAUGUUCAGAAUAGAGGCUUGACAACAGAAUAUUCAGUGAAGAUUUUCACCGAAUCAAGGGUCUUAUUUAUAGACCUAAGAGUCCUAGAUAUCUUUAGAUACUUUAUCUGAUUUAGGAAAUGCAUUACCUGCACGUAAAGUAUUCCUUGUUUCACAAAAUCAAUUUUUUCCUAACUUGAGUCUGAUUGUAUCUUUGAUCGGCGAAUCCAGUUUGCCACACAAAUUGGCGAACCCAGCUUGUCAAACAAACUAGUGAACCCCUAGCUUGCCAACAUAUUAGCGAACUUGGCUCGUAGUGAGACUAGCAAACCCCUUACCACUUCUUUUGGCGUACUCUGCUGCUCAGCGAACACCCUUGUUGAAACUUCCUUAGCAAACACCUAGCUUGCUUGAAUCUUAACAAACCCCUAGUUCGCCCAACUGAUUGAUGAUCCCAGUUUGUCGAAACACUAGUGAACCUUCACUUCGCAUCGCCAAAACUUUCGGCCCCGAUCUUGGGAUGUGAUAAUAUAAUUGCAAGAGUAUUUAUAUUUUUUUCUUUUUUAAUAAAAAUCAAUAAAAAAUUGUGGAUAUUAAGGUUUGAAGUUUGAAUCCACUAGCAUAAUAUUUUUUUAAGCACUUCAUGUUUUAUUUUGAUAUUUUGAUAUAUAAAAAGACCCACAUUAUUUAUAUAUAUAUUGGUUCAUACAUUGUUUAUAUAUAUUGAUAAUGUCGUUAAUUGAGUUAGUGUCACAAGUCAAUUCCAUACCAAUUUAAAAAUAAUGACAAUACCAUGAUAAACAAUUGAAAUACAUUUAAUAUUCUUAAUUUCAUGUAUUUACCUAUCUAAAUUUCCUUUUAUUUACCAUUUAAUUUUUUUAAUUUUUAUUUCAUAUAUAUUAUAUGUAUUGUUAUUCUUAUUAUUUCCAAACCUUACAUUUCACUAUUAUUUUUAAACUCAAACCUACAUUCUAAGUAAAGAUAAGAUGUUAAAGAUUAAGAUGUUUUAGGUUCAAACCUCAUCAUAUGGUUAUUUUCUAUAAAUUUUAUAGAAAAUAGAAAAAGGCAAAAAUACUCUCAUUGUAAUAUUUCUUAUUCUGUAAACGAAAUGUGUUUUGGGUAAAUUUGCAACUGAGUUGAGAUUCAAUUGAUGGGUGACACCAACUUGGUCAAAUACUUAAAUAACAACAACAACAAGAACUAAGUUAUGGCACACCGCUAUAUGAGUGAAAAUAUUUAUGUAACAAAUUUAUAAAAGAAUUAUAUAAAAAUAAAAUAUAGUUUUAGUUGAAAUGAUAAAGUUGAACCGGUAUAAAUCAAAAUGUUUGGGUUCAAAUAUUGUGAUUUUCAUUACUUGUGUACUUUCUAGAUUUAUUGAAGUAUAAAAAUAUACAAAUAUCCUCAAAAUAUUAUUUGUUGCUUCGUAAAAGGAAUGAGAUUUUGAUAAUUUCAUAACUGAGUUGGAACUCAGUUGAUGGGUAAAAUCAACUCAGUUAAACUCUUAAUAAUAACUAAAUUAUGGCAAACCCAUAAUAUAGGUAAGAAAAAAUCUAUUUAUAAAAAAAUUACAUUAAAACCAUGUGUGGUCUUGGUUGCAAUGGCUAAACUAAAAGGUUAACUCGUUUCUCAAGUUAGCUCCAAUGAUUAUAUUAUUAUAGAUAAUUAUGAGAUACAAUCCGUCUGAAUAGGAUAAGAGAAUUCCUACUAUUAUUUAGUAUUUUACUACUCUCUUUUUUCUUAAUUGAAGAAAUAAUUGGAAAACAAAAUAGCAAGUAUAAAAAUGAGUAAUAACCCAAAGUGGAAACUGGUACGAUUCAAUUCAAUAUUUUGUUUGUUCGGGUUUGAUUGUGUCAUAGCUCUAUAAUUAAUCCGAAUUAGGUUUAUCGUUGGUUGAACUGCAUUGUUGAUAUUGACCCCAAAAAAGAAACGGUAGGUACAACUAGUCUAUAAACAGCCAACCAUCAGCACUGUAAAAAUUGGAUAGGUUUAAUCCAUGGUCAUUAGGUCCUCCUAAAAAGAUCUACUAAAUUCAUCGAGUUGUUCCAAAGAAUCAAAAUGGUCAAUUAUUAAUGGAAUUCUUUAUUGGCUCUCUGCAAAAUACUCGUUUGGAUGAGGGCUUCCAAACACAUCAUAAGCUAAACAUGUGCUGACGAAUAACCAACCCGCGAUGAAUAGGGAAGGUAUAGUAAUACUUAAUAUUUAUUACUUUUUAUAUAGAAAGAUAUUUUUAUAUUUUUAAAUUAAAUUGGUCUCCGAUUAACUCGUGGCACUAAUUCAAUUAAAAGCUUAAUAUAAGUACAGAUAAAGAUAGAGAUACAAAUAUGAGAGCAGAAAAUGAUAAAUGAAAUGAAAAAGAAUAACAAAUAUUUAUAUUAUUAAAAUAUUCAUAUUUAUUUAUUUAUAAUUUGAACCAUAUAUUUAUUAUUAAAAUAUUAAUUAUAUAAACAAUAAAUCUAAAUACAUAUAUAUUUAUAUAUGUGUUUAUAAUAUUCAAAACUGUAAUAUUUGAAAUUAAUAUUUUUAAAAAACUUUAACCAAUCAUGUCAUUUAACCAAAUAAAAUAGAGAGCCAAAUUUUAAUGAAAAAUUAAAGAUACAUCACAUGAUUUAAUUGAUCAGUUUUUUUUGGACGAGAAUUAAGUUUGGAGUAAAUAUCAUAAGGGAAAAAAUACUUUAGGUAUAAAAGUCACAAAAAAAAAAAAACUAUAAUAAGAAAACAAUGUACUUUAAAAAUUAAAACGUGGUUCAUUUAAACCAUUUAAAAAAGGCAAACACUUGCUUGAUCCAAUUUGUGUUCGUAUAUGUAAUUUUGUUCAAAAACAUAACACUACAUCUAACUUGGAUUGUUUUGGGCGUCUGAUUAAUGUAUUUAACUAAAAAUUGAAUCCUUCUAGAUGCUUUUAUCUUUCAAAAGUUAAUUUAUUUCUUACAAGACUUUAAUCCUUUUGCUGCAAUUUUUUUUGGUUCUAGCGUCUCGCAUGCAAUAAAACUCCAAUAUAAGAAAUUAUGAAUUCAGUCUUUUCUUAAAAAUUAAAAAUCGAUUGUAUCUUAAUUUAAUUUUUAUAAAUAUUAUUAUCAAUACAUAAAAAUGUAAAAUUAAAUAUGCUGAAAUAUAUUAUCUAUUUAUAAAUUUAAAAAUUAUAAAUAAUUUUAAACAUUAUAUUAAUAUAUAUAAUCAAAAUGCAUAAUUCACCCGCUUGGAUGGUGUCAAAUUAGCCAAAAUAUUUUGUCACAGUGAUGGCUGACAUGACAUACAACAACGUCGGUAAUAGAUAGCCCAGGUAUUUUAUUUUGUGUAAACUUAAAAAAGAGUCCAAACCCAACACAAAUUUGAAUUGUUUGACCUUAGCCUCUUGUAAUUUUAGGGUUAAUCCAAAAGUGACGUUCGCAUUAUUAGGUGUGCACGUUGUCAUUUGAUCUACAAUUAUUGCUUAUUAAUGUGAAUGGCUCCUUUUUUUAGAUACUAUAACAUUGACCAAAACUAAUACCAAAUUCUAAUCUCGAACAAGUUUCCUCUUUUUCCAUUAUUUCAAGGACGAAAACAAUGUAUGUUUAUAUUUUGUCAUCCCGGCUUAAGUUGCAAAGACACAAAUACUAACAACAUGUGUGUGUGGAUGUUUUUGUUUGUUUAUAGUAACAACAUGCAUUCAAUUGUAAUUGAGUCAAACUUCAAAAGUUAGUUCAAUUGAGUAAUGUUGUUAAACUUUAUUAUUGAAUUGUUGACUUCAAAUUUAAUAAUUUAACAAUUUAUAUGAAAUAAUAAAAAAAACUAAUAAUUCAAUUAAUUUAUAUAUAAUAAGAAAUUAAUAAUUUCAUGUUUAUAUAUUAUAUAUAUAAAUAAUUAUAUUUAUCUAAUAUAAAAUAAUUUGGUAUAUUUAUUUUUUUUAAAUACAUAUAAUUGAAUUAAAAUUAAAAUAUCAGAUAUUUAUUUGAACUAUAAUAAAAGUUUUAUAAAUAUAAUUACACCAAAUUAAAAUUUAUAUAAUAAAUUAUACAUAAAUUAAAAUUAAUAUAUAAUUUUAAAAAUUUUCUCUAAAUUAAAUUAAUUCUUUAUAAUAAAAAAAAGAGAUUAACAACAUACAUUAAAUGCAUGGUGGAGGGCACUUGACUGUUGACGCUGCUGCACACUGGCGGUUGCUUUGCUAUCCGGCCUAAUGAAAUGGAAUCGAGGGUCAUAACCCUAGAAGUCUCCCACGUGUCAACAUCACGAUUGCAGUGACACCACCUAAACUUGCAUUGACAUUAGGGAGAUAAAAUCUUAAAUCACCCCUUGAAUUUUGAAUUUUGUCUUACCUUUUUCCAAUAAUAAACGCCAAUAAAUUUUUUGGUGACCAUUUUACUCAUUUCUUACUUUAUUUAUGAAAAUGAGUCACUUUAUUUAUUAUUAUUUACAAAAAUGAGUCGAAAACAUUAAAACGCGUCUACGUAGAAGUGUUUUAAGGAGAAAUUCUAGCAAAACGCAUUUAUGAAGGAGUGCUUUUGCCAUGUCAAUAAAAAACGCGCUGAUGUAGAUGCGCUUUGCUAACAUGGCAAAAGCGCUCCCUCAGGGACGUGUUUUAGCCCGUGUUUUUUUAGGGUUAGGGCUAUUUGUAUGUUUAGUGCCUAGGAUUUAUGGGUUUAGGGUUUUAUUGAUUUAGGGUUAGUAUUUUGUUAAAAUAAUUUUGAAAUUUAUUUGUUUAGGGUUUAGGAAUUUUAAAAAAUAAAUCAAUGUUUAAAAUUUUAAUAAAAUUAAUUAAGUUAGGUUUUAGGGGUUUAAAGUAAAUUAAUUAAAUUAGGGUUUAAGGUUUUUUAAAAAUAAUUUUGUGUUUUGCUUUUAGGGUUUUUGUAAGAGGGUUUAGGGUUGAGUCUUGAAAAAAUUAUAUUGACAAGAAAGAUUUUUUUUUCUACAGUCGUUUUUGAAAAAUUAAUUUUGAGAAGAUGGUUCUGAAAAGAUAGUAACAAAAACGCUUCAAGCAGGAUGCACUGUCAGCAAAAGUACUUAAAAAAGCUCCCACAUGGACGCUCUUUUUCUACAGUAGUUUCAAAAAAAAUAAUUUUGAGAAGACGAUUUUGAAAAAAUAAUGUCAAAAACGCUUCAAGCAGUAUGCACUAUCAGCAAAAGUACUAAAAAAACUCCCACGUGAACGCUCUUUUUAUACAGUAGUUCCUAAAAAAAUAAUUUAGAGAAGACGGUUUUGAAAAAAUAAUGUCAAAAACGCUUCAAACAGAUGCACUGUCAGCAAAAUUACUGAAAAAAUCUCCCACGUGGACGCUCUUUUUCUAUAGUAGUUCUUGAAAAAAUAAUUUUGAGUAGACAGUUCUGAAAAAAUGGUAUCAAAAACGCUUUAAACAGGAUGCACUAUCAGCAAAAUUACUGAAAAAAACUCCCACAUGGACGCUCUUUUUCUACAGUAGUUCCUGCUUAGCCUUAGGCUAUAAAUGAGCCAAAUUUCAUUCUCAUGUUGUAUAAGUUACAGCAAGAAAAAUUAGAGAGGCUAAGCAGAAUAGAAAUUGAAUAUUAGUGAACGUAAUAGUACUGUUAUUUACUAUGAUGGUGAUGCUCGUGACACCGAGAACGAUGUUAUUUUUUAUCCGAGAACACAGCACGACUAGUUUUUAACCAAAACAUAGAUUUGACAAAACUUCGUAAAAGAAUUAUGCGCAAAAUUUUUAAAAUGAUGCCAAUGAGAGUUUCGUCUAUUAAGUAUCGAUUUUGUGCUUCGAUUAAUCUCGUGACAUAUGAAUCAUUUGAUAGCAAAGGUGGUCAUAGUUGGAGGCGAUGGUUUAGACUCAUCUCGCUAUUGGAUCACCCUUUUUUGAGUUAUAUGUACAAUUUUCAUUGUCAAAUAAAGUAUUUCCGACUUCAACAUCUACUGCUGUUCGAGAGGAAUACACGACCCUUAUCUGACACUCCGUUAGUGAGUGGCAGAAUAAGGAAGCGCCCGUGUUAAAUGGCAACAUGAAAUACACAACUCCUACAUGACACUCGGUUAGUGGAUGGGACAUGCACCUCUGUGGGUCGAUGUUCGAUGCUGAAAAUGCAUACUAGGGAAUGGCAUCAACUUCUAGUGGUUGGCAAUCCACAUCUAAUCGGGAACGUUACGAAACAUCCACAAGAAGGGAUGAUGUACUCCCUAUGAUGUCCAUCGAUGAGGGGACCUCGUACGUUGUAGAUGAUAGAGGGUUGGAUAAUGAGUCCAAUGUGGAUCCACCUCGAGAGCCUGGCUCCGAUGGUGCAGAAGUUGCAUUAUUUUCUAAACUGGAGAAUGAUCCAACCGAACCUGAAGACGGUGAAGGGGGUUCAAAUGAAGAAUAAGAAGAUUUGCGAUUCACAACAUACUCGCCUCCAACCUACAUGCAUAAUGUUGAUCUAUCGGCAGAUAAUGUGUUGGAGUUUCUAGAUUUACCACAUAGAAGGCGUGACUGUACAAGUUCGUCGUUGGAUUCGGGUGAAUUGAAAGUUGUUAAAGAAUUUUCCAGGAAGGAUAAUUUUCUUGGUGCAUUGAAACAAUAUAGCAUCAUGAACAGGGUUAACUACCACGUGGUUAAAUUCAAGUCUAAAAAGUUCAAGGCCAAGUGUACAGUGCAAGACGGUACUUGUUAAUGGAAAAUCAUGGCUUCAGUUAGGAAAAAGACAGGGUUGUGGGAGAUAAAGAAGUACAAAGGUUCACAUACGUGUGUUGUCGGUACAGUAUCACUAGGUGUUUAAGGUUUUUGAAUAAUACUAUUAUUACUUAAUGUUGCAUUAUUUAACGUACUUCGUUGACAGAUGUUUCACAAGAUCAUCUCAAUAUGGAUUCAGAUAUGAUAGUUGGCUUAAUACUACUGAUGGUAAAGGCAGAUCCUAAGACUUCUGUGUCAAUUUUAAUUGCUAAUAUUUGUAGCCAAUUGAGGUACAUGCCCUCUUACCGCAAGGACUAGAUAGCUAAGCAAAAAGCAUUGAAAAAGAUGCAUAGUGGAUGGAACGCUUCAUAUAAUGAAGUGUGAAAGUGGUGUCAGGUGCUGGAGAGGUACGUCUCAGGUUGCGUGAUAGACCUUGAAAUGGGCCUUGCGUACUACAACGACCACUUGCUCCGUGGAUGCCAAGUGUUCAAACAUCUGUUCUGGAGCUUUAAGCAAUGUUGGAACGCUUUUGUGUACUGCAAGCCAUUGGUACAAAUUGACAGUACCUUUAUAUAUGGUAAAUAUAUCCAUCGGCUAUUGCUAGCUGUGACACAAGAUGGCGAUGGGAGAAUCCUUCCAAUUGCGUUUGCAGUAACGCUGGGGGAGUUAGGUGACGACUAGAAUUUCUUUCUUUUUAGGUUGAGGAGGCAUGUCUGCCCCUAACCUGAUAUUUGCAUUAUAUCGGAUCGGGGCACUGGAAUACUAGCCGCAAUUGAGCGACAUGAAAGCCUAUGGGAUCACAUACAUCAUCGGUAUUGUCUAAGGCACGUUGUAUCUAAUUCAGAUAACAUUAAAUUUUAUUUUAUUUUUUAUAUUUUUUAAAUUUUAAAGAAAUUUUUAUUUUGGUUUCCCAAUGCCGAAAUCGGCACAAUUACAUACAUAAAAUUAGACCUAUAAUAAAUUAUUAUUUUAAUAUUAUUUCCGUAAAAUUUCCAAAUGUUUUAAACAAAAAUUUUGUUUUCUAACAGUAUAUUCUAUGUUCGAUACAAUUUUUGGUGGGCCCAACUUAAAGCUUAUUUAGAGCAGCAGUGGCAGCACCUAAUCUGUCUUUCCUCUACUAUUAUAUAUGUUCCGGCCUCUCCCAUAUAACGAUAUACAGUACACUCCCUCUAAUUUCAAUUCGGUCCUGAUUCAAAUCCCACUAUAAAUAAUUAACAUGAGCUUUUCUAUCCUCUAAACUUAAGUCUAUUCCUACAAUUAUCAAAGCUGCUAACGAAGGUUUAAAUUUCAAGAUUUAUAAUUAUAUGCCACCAACCUCAUUCAUUAUAUAUUAGAAAAUCCUUAAUAAUAUUUACUAAAAUUAGUCUUAAUAAUAAUUUAUGUCAGUAUCUCUGCUGCAGGUAGACAUAGAAAUUGCUGAUCCAGUCCCAAACAAAUUGUCCCAUCUACUUUGUUGACAGUGCUGGCAAAAACAAAGUUGCAUUUGUCUUCCUGCCAAUCUGCAUGCUUCAUGCACAGUUUCUUUACUCGGGGGAGUUUCCCCUACAUCGUCAGGUUUUUUUUUCUUUUCUUUUGGUAUACAAGAAAACCCUCCAAUAAUAAUAAAAUUAGAGUCACAAAUCCGGUUAAUAUUACUUGUUAACAUAAUUAUUUAUGAACUAAUUAGACUAUAUCCUGAAUUCAAAAACCAUCCACUUUAGUUUGUGAUAUUUAUACAAUUGUUUAUGCAUUUCUGUUUACGCAAGUAUUAAAGAAGGUUAAAAAUACAGAAUCAUGAAAAAGUGAAGAUUAACAAUCCAUUAAGAAUAUAAAUAGAGAUUUUUGAGUAUUUUACGGAGAGAAAGUACGUUUACGAAGCGAAAAACAAAUUGCAAGCACAUAUUGAAUCAAACCAAAAGGUGCGUGCGUAAACAUCCACAUCCUACUAGUAAUGCACAAGACAGCAGUGAUGCGAAUGCCAGUAGUGGUAAUAUCAAUGUGUUGCUGUAGCUGCAAAUAAUCAUAGUGGGAAACUUAGCCUUCUGGGAGGCGUGAUAUAAAAUAGCACCGGCCACCAUUUAUGGUUGGAUUUUCUCUGCUGGGUGCUGCAGAGAAAAUGAGUGGUGCUCAUAUCAAUGUCUAAAAUGUGAAAUGAUUGGGUCAUUCAAAGAGAGUGACACCCGAAAAACUGAAAAUGCAAAAGUCGAGUAAAGAAUAUAUUCAUGGUUCAAUUCUGUCAUCAUCGCUGAGUUGACCUAAUUAGUGUUGGUCCCAGAUAUAAAUCAAAACUAUGAUUACAUGGUUUAUGGUUAGAAACAACAACAGUUUUAAAUGAAAAUUUCAAUCUGUUUCUGAUGACAAUGCAAAGGGUUCUUACAUUCUUUACCUCAUUAAAAAAAAAAGAAAAAAAGAAAACAAAAGCUUAUAAUUAAGAUCUCAGCCCACUGGCCAAAAUGGUGUCUGAAAGCAUAGGUUGAAAUUGUCCUUUUUGAUCCUCUACAGGUUUUAUCCUCAAGCGCGCCUUUAAUUUACGUGUAGUAAUGAGUUUGAAUCAGCUUUAAAGACAUAUUUAAGAGUGGUAAAACUUUGAAGGUGCCCAAAAAGAUAAUUACGACACAUGUCAAACCCAAUAGACUGGGUAGGGUCGAGCUACGUACUGCAUUUGGAUUCGACUAACCAUCUGUUUACAGUAAUGAGUGAAGGGAUUAGCCGUAAGCAAAAUGAAAUUAUUUGUUGCCAUUUAUCCUUCACUUUCAAUUCUGAACAACUGUCCUAAACAAACAUUCUGGAACGUCUAAAUGGAUUAUCAGCUUCUUUCUUCAGUUUCUUGGUUUUUACUAAUUGGAUAAGCAUAUCCUAAUUAUUUUGGCAAGUGAUAAUCAUUGAGGCAUCUGGUUAGUUUUUCUGAUAGCUUUGAAAGCUGAGAUUCAUCCCCUCAAACCACAAGCUUUAUCCAUACAUUAUUUGGCUAACAAAUAUUGGCACUACACACAAAUCAUAAUACCUUUGACUUGGCAAGAAUUUUAGUAGCUUCCAAUAAGAACAGGACAGUAAAGUUUCAAUAAAAAGUGAGGUGAUCAUCUAUGCCCACGGAUCAUGAUCAUGAAUAAAGAAGGGAAUGAUCUUAAAAGAAAUAAUAAAAGAAUGUACAUAACUGUAGCUGAAAAAUCGAAUUUGGAAACACUAAGAUGGAAAGAAACAACCACUUGUUUGCUGAUAUAUACAGCCAUCUCAUUACACAUGUUCAUGUUUCCUCUUUUUCUCAUCACACACAGUGUGUUAGCUAGCCCACAUGUCCAUACCACUUCAAACUUUUUCCUUGACUGCUACAUAGGUGCUUAAUUUCUUGUCCACCUCUGAAUAAAAACCAACUUUUUUUUCCAUAUUGGACUCCUCUCUAGGUCUCUCCAUUGUAAACCCUUUGUCCUUUUACAGGUGACCACCCACGUUCAUGAAUAUGUAAAUACGCACCACGGAGACAAUAUAUGGAUAAGAAUAUUCCUGUGGUCCAAACUAGAAAAUGGUAUAGGAUCUUGUAUUCUCUCUAAAGAAAGAAGAACCCAUUCCACUAACAUGCGUUGCCUACUUUAUAAGCAGCUUUAAUCGUUGUGCGAUCUAGAAAUGAAUCGUUUUGACCCUACCUCCUCAAACUAUGGUUAUCACUAGUCAAUAUUGAGCAUUUAUGGGAUGGUUAAGUUAUAUCUGUCUAGUUUAAGUGCAACCCCGACUGGUUGAGCUACCAUGGAUACUGCACCUUCAAAUUGGGAAUUGGCAAAUGGGGCAGCCCUGGCUCUUCAUGGAACAUGAUAAUGUUGUCUGGCGACAUAUUCGGGCAAUUGGAAACAAACAAAAAAACAAGAUGAACCCAACACGAGUUUGCAACUUGUCUUGUUCCUUAAGUCAACGGAAUAAUAUUUUCUGUUAUAUGCAGAGGCCUAUCUAUAAUAGGUUUUGGAACAAAAUUCCUUGUUAGAAGGCAUCACAGUUUUAACAGAUCUGUCACGAUUGUACACAUUUUUGUACUGUGCAAACCGCAGCCAAAAACAUUUUUUAUUAAUGAAAUACUUGGUAAGAUUUUCUUCAGUUUUUGAUGAAUUCUUCUCACGGCAUCUGAGGCCAAAGCUGCAUGGAGGAUCAAUACAGUAGAUGUUGACAUAAAGAGUAUGCCAAUUCCUAGUUUAAUGAACCUCCUUUUCAAGAUUCCUGUGUGUGGUGAAAUCUGCUUUGAGUUGUCCCACGCUUUUCUUCUAGUCAACUUCCUUUAUUUUAAUUUGAUAACCUUUUCUUUUCGUAAGUAUCACUAUUGAUCUGUCUUUCUCGUAUAGUAAGUAGAGUAGCAACUUGAGAGAGAUAAGCAAGGAGAGGGAUUAAUCUAAGCUCACAAACAUUCGUAAAAUGGAACUUAAUAUAUAGUUAAAGCAACCAAACAUUUAAAACUAGAUUAUGAUACCCUUAAAUUAUAUAAAAAUUUAUUAAAAUUAACAUAAAUAUUAAAUAUUAUUUUAAUUGAAACAAUAAAAUAUGGGAGUAACUUACAAUUAUAUAAAAACUGAGGUUGUUUUUAGGCACUAAUAAAAUUUUGUCACAUCAUCAAAUCUUAAAAGACAUGAACACUCAUCCAUAAAAAAAUUAUUUUAUGGAACCUUCCCACCAUAUUAUUUAUUGUCUAUUUUCAAUUAUUUAAUGACAUUUCAAUAAAUUUUUUUAUAUCAUUGACAUAUAAUUUUGAUAAUCUUUUUAUUAUUAUUAUUUUAAACUUCAAACUCGUAACCUCAAACCUUUGAACAAUGAACCUAAACUAGUAACCUGUAACUCCAAACUCUUGAACUCGAACUCGAACCAUGAACCCUGAAACCUAAACCUUAAAUUCCAAGCCCAAACCUUUAACCUCAAGGUUCGAGUUCAAGAUUCGGAGUUCAGGGUAAAAUAAUUACCAAAAUUAUGUGUCAUUGACAUGGAAAAAACUGCACAAAAUUACUAUUUUUUAAAAAAAUAUUGGUUGCACAAAAAUAAAAAAUUAUUAACUUAUAGAAAAAAAAACAAAAUGAUUGAAACUUGUAAAAGAAGAAAAGAUGUUUGUUUAUAAUUUAAAAAUUAAUUAUUUUAAAUAAUUUAAUUAAAGUUAAUUUAAAUGGGAGAAGAUAUUAAAUAUAGAUGAGUGUAUAAAAAUACUUUAUUAUCUUUAAAAUUUAAUAACGUGACACUAUUUUAUUAGUACCUAAAAACUACACUUUUUAAAAUCAUCUUAAUAUAAUUUAUUUCCUAAAAAAAUAAAUCAAUCAAAAUUUUAUACAUCUAUUUAAUAGAAAAAAAGAGAGUCAAAACUCAUCCUUCUUUAAUUUCAUUUCAUUUUAAAAAUUAGAAGGAAAAGUCCCUUCAUUUGAAAUUAGAAAUUAAGAAAGGCCCACCCAAAAAAUACGAAGGGUAUACAUUUAUUUUUUUGCAAUUUUUGUAACACGUACAAUUUUCUAUAUUUAUUGAAAUAUAAAUAUAUAUAAAUUUUCUUAAAAUAAUAUUUAUUACAUUGUAAAAUAAAUAAGUUUAUGAAAAAAUUACAAUUGAGUAGGAAUCCAGUUAAUAGGUAACAUCAAUUCAAUUAAAAACAUUAUAUAGUUUAUAAAUAUACUCUCAAUUACAAACAAACAGUUAGAAGAAGUGGAAGUGGAUACAUUUCCUAAACAUUUGGAGACCAAGUUCAAAUUAUGAAGUUAUUAUUGUAGAGAAGGUUUUACUUAAAUAUCGUCUUUGCUGGAUUAAAUUAAGUAUCAAAUUUAAGUUAUAAAAUUUGUUUGGUAUAUUUCUUAAAAUUAAGUAUAAUAAAUGUAAUUUUUUAAACCUUAGUAAGUUAUUUAAGGAUUAAAGUUAAAAGAAAUAAAAAAAAAGAAUUAAAAAUUUGAUAUAUUAAGUGAUAAGUAGCUAGUUAUCUACUUAUUAUUUUCAAAAAUUUUUCAUUAAAAAAAUUCUAUCAAUUGCUUUUUAUUUUGGAUUAUCAAACAUGUUUAGAAAUUAAAUAUUAAUUUUAAGUUGAGUGUUGUUUGAUAUGAAAAAAUAAGUGUUGAAAUUUUAACAACUGAAUUUAGGUUAUAAAAUAUAUUUGAUAUUUUACUAAAAAUUAAUUAUGGAAUAUAAUUAAAUUGUUUGAUAAAUAUAAAUUUUAAAGUAUAAAAAAUUAUAUUCUAAAUUUUAUCCUUAAUUUUUAAAUAUUUUACUUUAUUCUAAAUAAAAGUCAAAUUUUAAAGUAACAUUUUUAUAAGAUAAUAUAAUAUUAAAAUAAAUAAAAUUGAAUUGAAUUAAUUGAAAUUGUUCUCUUAUUUACUUAUAAUUUCCAUACUUUUUUAUAAAAAAAUAUCAGAUUAUUUUUUAUUUUAAAUUAUCAAACAAAUAUAAAAAAAUAAAUCAUUAAAAUAUCAAAUUUCAAUCAAUUUAAUUUAUUCAACCGUUAUCAAACAGUUAUAAUAAGCCCAAUUUAAAUGUAUAUACAAGGCCUGUAUCAUCAUCAUCAUACAUGUCCCAGCAAGAAGUAAGGGGUGGAGGGGGGGGGGGGGGGAUCUUCUAGCCCGUUUCUGAAGCGGUGAAACCCAGUUUUAAGGGCAUCAUCAUAUCGUUAUGAAGAUGACAUCACUAAAAAUUGUAGGAAAGAAAGAGAAAACUUUUGCAAUUACAUAAUGUUGAAUCUGUUGCUGCUAUUAUUACUUGGGGACUUGGGGUAAACGCAGAGACGGGUUAAGUGUUGAUAUGCAUUAACUAUGGGUUUGAAGUGUGAUGAAGCAAAAUCAGUUAUUAAUUAAGGGUCAUCUAAUCUCCAGCCAAGGCAAAUAAUGAUCCACCAAGCUCUAUGCCUAAAGUUAGUGUAGGUUCCAAGGAAACAUUAUUCAAACUUUAAUACAACAAUAACAGUAUUCAGCUGAGUGAGUGUCGGCUACAUUCCUACCAAAAAGAUGAUUUCACUUUUUCUAAAGUACAAUAUAAAGUAAUUGAAAAUACAAACCGUUACACCUCUUUUUAUAAUCACCACCUUUUACAUUAUAUUACAAAAUAUACUCAUAUCAAUAUUGUAUUUUAGUGAUCAUUUUUAUUAUUUUUUACAAAAUAUCUAUUUUUUUCUAUUUUCUUCAUUUCACUGUUUCUCUCUCUCGUGUUUUAUCUUGUCUAAAAUUCUUCCUCUCUCUUAAGAAAAGAGGAAUGCUGUUUGUUAAUUUUAUAUUUUCUAAAAAUUAAUUAAGGAUUAUCGUGGGCAAUUAUUGUCAGGUAUUAUGUAUCACUUUAAGUUGGUAUUCUUUUCUUCUCAAAAUUUAAAACUUAAAUGAUCUCAAUUUUUUCUAAAUAAACUCUUAUAAUCUUAUAAAAUUAUUUGAAUUACAUAGUAGGAUUUAAUAAAAUUCUUUUAAAUAAUUUAUUCUUAUGAAUCCAAAUAUUUCAUAGUGUGCUUGUAAUUAAUGUAACGCCUUCGCAAAUUCACAACUCAAGAAUAGGUGAUCCAAUGAUUUGCAAGCAUCAUGACAGAGCAUUGUUCAUUCUCAAUUGCACCUCAACUUUAAUGGGCGUUGUUGUCAUCUCAUCUCGUGUGAGUAACCAAUUUGGAGACAUAUCAAAUUGAGUAACUGAUGUGAGGUGCUUAGGUUGUCAUCACAUCUCACGUAAUAAGAUUCGACCAUGUCCCAAACUUGUUUAAUAAUUUGAUCGAAAACAAUUGUCUUGAAAGUUUUAUUGAGCUUCAAUUUAUUGAAAUGGUUGGUUUUGCAUAUUGUUAGAAUUUUAUAAACACUUGUUGGUUAAAUUGAGCAAAUUCUUAUUAAUGCUACACCUAAAUUGUUUGCAUUGCGCAUGACUGUUGAAUAGGGCUUGAUUUCGGGGAAAAUUUUUGAAUGGUUUCUAGUAUGAGAAUGCAUAGCAUGCUUGAGGAUAAACAUCAGUUAAGUAGGGGGAAUUUGAUAGCAAGUUAAUUUUUUAUGUUUAACGUACCUAAUUUUGGUCAAUUUUUUAAUAGAAUGCUACUAAGCUUGUGAUUUCUUACUUGCAAUUGGAGUGUCGAAGUUCAAAAAAAGCAAAAAAGGGCUAAAUUGGAAUAAAAAGCAAGUUGUGGGUUGAAUUGAAAAUUAUGGAAUUAUUUUUGGGCUAAUAAAAAAUAUAAGACUUUUGACUUUGGCAAAUUCUAUAUUUAGAAAAAAUCUGAUUUAGUGGUUUGUUAUUAAGCAUGAUUCUAUGCGUAAAAUCAUGUAAAAUUGGUUCUUUGGGUAGUUUAUAUAAAAGCUUGUAAUUGUGGCAUGAGAACACACUUGAAUUUAAAAGACAAUUAACACAAUCUUCCAUCGUAGCAUUUGAGCAUUCUGCCAUUUCUUUUCUCUUUUUAUAUUUUGGUACAAUUGCCCUUUUAGUCCCCUCCCUUAUUCAUCUAUUAUCUUUCAUUAAAAUCCACUUUUAUAAUCCAAUCAAGUAUGAUUAAUUUCAUACUCAACUAAUUUUCGUUUAGCUUUAGGUAUGAUUAAUUUCAUACUCAACUAAUUUUUGUUUAGCUUUAGGUCGGUUAUCAUUUCGAUAUGGAAUCGUGAAAAAUGAACCCGUACUAAAACCUUACAACACGAUAUUCAUUAUCUCUCUGGAAUAUGGGAUGGUUACAAUCGUCCCUUAAAGCUAAAUCAAUUUCAACUCAAAAAGCACGCAUUAGGUUGGAGUUGUUUGGGGUACAGUUGGAAAAACAAGUUGGUUGUCUGCCACAUUCGAGGUCCUGUGAACAAAUUGGCAUGUCCAGGUGGGAAAAGGUUAGUUAGAUUCCGUCAAGGGAUAUAGUGGUCGAAAUUAAAUGACCCUUGCAAUUGAGGUUGUUAAUUUGAGUUGGGCUCUUUUAGAUUGCAAGGUUGCUGAAACCUUAAAUUGCAGACGCGUGUUAUGCGAUUAGAUAUUCGAUAAGGGUUGGUUUGCAAGACGUCCCAAAAUCAACUACACAAGGAAAAGUUGGCAGUUAAAGAAUUCUUAAUCGCUGUUACCAGCUUACCGUUUGGAAAAAAAAUUCACCUUCAAGGAUCGAUUCAAGUUUGGAAUAUACCGAGUCUAAGGCUAAAAUUCACAUAUUUGGUUAUCUAAUUUAAUUUUAUUUUGCAUUUAUAAUUCAACUAUUAUUUUGUUCUAUUUAUUUUUAUAUUUUUAACCCUCAUCAACUAAAACCUCAUUCGUUCUAUUUUCAACACAAAUGCUACAAGUCGUGGGUAUUGUAACUGUAACAUCCUCAAAACCCCAUUGGUCGUAAAUAAUAUAAGAUAAAAUUUUAGCAAAAUAAGGUAUAAGAUCCAAAAAAAUGAAAGUUACAAUAUAUCAAAAGAGAGUUAAAUCAAGAAGCAUGACAUGAUGUAUUAAGGAAGGGACUAAAUUGUAAAUAUGCAAAAAGUUCUAUGGCACAUGCAUAAAUGUAACAUGUAACACCCCUAUACCUAGUUCGACCCAAGGAACCUGAUAUAGGAAUAUUACAUUUGAUGCCAAAGUGAUUUUGGCUAAUCACUAAUAUAUUUGAACAUUAAAAAAAAUAAAGUUUUCAUAACUUAUAUUUUAGUCCCUACUACUUGGAACACACUUGAUAUUUCUAAGUACAUGCCAUUCUGUUCAAAAUUUUGAAACAUACCCUCUUAGCACUUGGAGAUGUGAUGAGAUGGAUGUCCACGACCUCAACUACGACUCUUCAAAAUCAUUUUACCUACACGUUGAAAAUAAACGCGUUAAGUCGGUAAAGACUUAGUAAGUACCCAUGAUAUUUAAUUUUUAUUAAAUUUCUUAAUUUCCAAUAUCUCGUUUCUAUUGUUUAUAUAUCAUAUUCAUUUGUAAAUUUUUACUUAUUUCACAAUUUAGUCAUUAAGUCCUCAAAUCAACUUAUAAAAAUUACUACUCUUUUUAUACAUGUAUCAUAUUUCACCAUUUAGUUUAAAUUUUUAUGAUUUUCUCACUAUUUCUUUCAAAAUUUAUUUUUACAUAUUUAACUUACUAGUCAUUGUCUUUUUUAUACUUCCUUAAAGACAUUCAAAUUACUUACGUCUUCACUUUACUAAUUUAAUAUUUUGAAAAUGAAUCGGAGAUAAACCUUUACCUUGUAACGAAAAUUGUUUACCUUUUUAGUAGAGGCCCAGUGGACUAAACAGAACACUUAGGAUAUACGAAACUGAUACAGAGGUGCAUUAUUAUGCACUAUUAAACAAAGAGCACUAAAGUGCUAUACAAAGAGCACAAAUGUGCUAAACGGAUAGCACUAAUGUGGUAAUAAUCGGAGAGCACUAACGUGCUAAUAAUCAAUGAAUGCGCUAAGGUUCCUUAAUGGCAUGCCACUAAUAUUGUAGUAGUUCUAAUCUCGUCUGCUUGGGCAAAUUAUAUCAUGCACACAUAUCACUUUUACACUUUUCAUGGAAUGCUUUACAUACUUUACAAUUUAAUCCUUGCACUAAUAAUCCGUAUACUUAUAUCUUCACUAUCUUUAAUACAUGUAAUGUAUUUCUAAAUUCAUUAUUCAUCCAUAAUUCACUAAUAAUCCUUAUCAUGUAUUUCACAUAUCACUUAUAUAUAUUUUGUAAUUUAGUCCUUAGUACAAAAUUUAAUGUAGCAAUAUAUUUUACUUUUAAUAACACAUAUAACAUAAUUCAGUACUUAUUAAUAUUCCAAAAUUCACUACAACAUCAACUACACUUUUCUAUUUCUAAUAUAAAAUUUCUCAAAUUUACGAUUUAACCCUUAAUUUCCACAACUUAGGAAAUAAUUGUAGUUUUGAUCACAAAAUUCAUAUAUUCUUUUAUUUUUCACUAUGUGCUUUAUUAUUAAUAUUUCCUUGACUUUUAUAACUUUCCAAUUUAAUCACUUUUUUCAUAAAAGUUCUUUAUUCAUUAUUACACAAUUUUUCUUUGACAUCUCACUUAAUUCACAUAAUUAAUUACACUAUCUCAUUUUUCACAUCAAAUUUUUAUGUAUUUCACUUGUAUUAUUUCUACCACAUAUAUUUCUCAAUUCAUUCAAUUUAGUCAUUGUUUCCAUAAAAUUUCACAUUUUCCCAUAAUUCCACUUAUCUAAUACUUUGUAUAUUUUUGUUAACACAUAACCCAACUAUUAUACUUUUAUUAUAAUUUCCUCUUUCACUUAAGAAAUUAUUUCACACUAUAUAUAUUUUACUUAAUUACCACAUACUUUCUAAAAAUCACAGUUUACUUACCUCUUUUCUAUCAAAAUCUAUUGUUUUUCUCUUCUCCUACCACUUGAUUCACUUACUCAACUUCUCUCUUCAUCAAUAUGUUAAAAACACAAUAUUUCCUAAUGAGAAAUCUUUACUUAAAACCAUUCUUAUGCUUUUCUAUGACUACUAAACUUAAAAAUAACAUAAAACCUUAACAUCCUACCUUAUUCUCUUGAAACCAAACUUUAACUUGAUUUUCUCUCUCCUCCAACUUCUAUUUUCUUGAAUCUAACUUGAUAUUCUAGCUCCCCAUAGUCUCAUUGAUAUUUUUCUCUCUUAAUGGCUAUGGAAAUUCUUUUGAUUUCUAAGUGAAAAUGGUGGAUUUUUGGUAAAAGGACCAAAUUGUAAAGAAAAGAAAAUUUCUUUCUUUCUUUUCUUCUUCUCACGUUAGUAGCAUGGAAAGAUGAAGAGCGUAACACCAUCUAACCCUUAUCCAUCACCGAAACAGGGUUACGGAGUAUUAUCGGACUUUUUAGAACGAUUAUUGUCGAAAUUAUUUUUUUGAAAAAUGGGGUCGACUUUUAUUUUUAAAACGAAAACUAACAGGGAAGUCGCCACCAAUAUUUUUUUUAUGAGGUGUGAUCGGGUCACCUUGUGAUUAAUCAUUUUAAUAAAAAGUUUUGGUUUACUUAAACGACAAUUUUGGUCUAUGAAAUUCAAGAAAAUGUGUUCGGGAGUCGGUUACACACGGGGAAGGAUUAGCACCCUCGUAACGCCCAAAAUUGGUACCUAAUUGAUUAAUUAAUGUCUUAAUGUCAAAAUUUAAAAACUCGAACAAAAUUUAAGAUACAAUCCUUUCUUAUUAAUGUUGAUUUUUUUUAAAAAAAUUCCCGAAUAAAUUGAAACGAGCAUUAAAGGCCUUCUUGUCUCAAAAUAACAAAUGUCACAUCUCGUAAGUUAGGGCACGAUAUUUGAACCCUUGAAAAAUAAGCUUGCCUUUUAAUUUUUUUAUUUUAAAAAUCGUGCUUUGAUUUUUGAAAGGAUAUUCGGUCAUUUAGAUCCAGCGAGGAAAAUCAGAACCCCGUAAGUUAGGGUGCGUCUUUCUCGAGUUUCUAAACGCGGAAUACUGCCUUUAUUUUAUUUAAAAUUCAUAUCUUUUAAAAUUUUAAAGGAUAUUUGGCUAUUUUGGUUCAACGAGAAAAAUCAAAACCCCGUAAGUUAGGGUACGAUUAUUCAAAUCUCCAAAAUGCGAACAUUGCCUUAUUUCAAGAUUUUCCUUUUUACAAAUUUGGAAAAAAAUCUAUAAAAUAUUUAAAAAGAUAUACGAUUAAUCGAUUAUAUUUAAAAAAUCGUUUAAACCGUAAAAGGUUAUGCGUGCUAAUAAUGAUAGUGCCAACAUACUUUGAGAAUAAUAUAUUAGUAAUAAUAUAAUAAUAAUAAUACUAAUAAUAAUAAUAAGAAUAAAGUAAUAAUAAUAAUAAUAGUAAUAUAAUAAUAAGAAUAAUAAUAAGAAUAAUAAUAGUUACUAAUAAUAGUAAUAAUAAUAGUAAUAAUAAUAAUAGUAAUAAUAAUAGAAAUAUAAUAGUAAUAAUAAUAAUAAUAGUAAUACUAAUAAUAAUAGUAUAUAAUAAUAGUAAUAAUAAUAAUCAUAAUAAUAACAGUAAUAAUAAUACUAAUAAUAAUAGUAAUAAUAAUAAUAAUAAUAAUAGUAAUAUUAAUAAGAAUAAUAAUAAUAAUAGUAAUAAUAGUAUAAUAAUAGUAUAAUAAUAUAAUAGUAAUAAUAAUAGUAAUAAUAAUAGUAAUAAUAAUAUAAUAGUAUAAAUAAUAGUAAUAAUAUAGUAUAUAAUAAAAAUAAUAGUAAUAUAAUAAUAGUAAUAAUAAUAAUAAUAUAAUAUAAUAAUAAUAGUAAUAUAAUAUAAUAAUAAUAGUAAUAAUAUAGUAAUUAAUAUAAUAGUAAUAAUAAUAAUAAUACAUAAUAAUAUAAUAAUAGCUAAUAGUAAUAAUAAUAAUAUAAUAUAGUAAUAAUAAUAGUAAUAAUAAUAAUAAUAUAUAUAAUAAUAAUAAUAAUAACAUAAAUAAUAAUAAUAUAAUAAUAAUAAUAAUAACAGUAAUAAUAAUAAAGUAAAUAAUAAUAAUAAUAAUAAUAAUAAUAAUAAUAAUAUAAUAAUAAUAAUAAUAAUAAUAAUAAUAAUAAUAUAAUAAUAAUAAGAACACACAACAACAUAGGUAAGAACCACAAUAAUAAUAAUAAUAUUGAAAUCUAAAUUUUUAAAUAUAUAUUGAAAAUAGUAAAUAAGCAAAAUAAAUAAAAAAAUAAAAAGACAUAAUAAAAGAAAAUAAUAAAUUAAAAAUUGUGGAACGAAAUAAGGGAAAUAUUAAGCAAAUAAAAUAAAUAAAUAAGACAUUUGAUUAAAAAGGAACUAAACAAAUAAAAUUAAAAUUUAAAUAACUAAUAAUAGAAAGAACGAGUAGAUAAUAUUAAUUUUUAACAUUUAAAAAGUAAAAGAAUAAUAAGAAUAAUGAAUAAAUAAAACAAAUAUACGUAACAUUAAUAUUUAAUAAUUAAAAAGGUAAAUGAACAAAUAAAUAAGCAAACAAUUUAAAUUAAACCAACAACAAAUAAUUAAAGGAGUAUUAAAAUUACAACAAUUUAAUAAUAAUAAUAAUAAUAAUAAUAAUAAUAAUAAUAAUAAGGGGAUUAAUUUGAAAGCUAAACAGGGUUUUGGGGUAAAAAUAGAAAUAAAAUAAAGCAAAAAGACCGAAAUUGUAAUGCGCUAUUAAAGGGGAGGGACCAUUGGGGAAAUUAUUCCCCCACCCCAAAACACGUAGCUUCACGGAGAAAUAAAUUGAAAACAAAAUAAAAUUUUAUGGUAUAAAUUAAAAAAAAAAGGAUUUGAAAACCAAGAAAAUGCGGGAAGGCUAAACGUGCAAAUAUCCCAUUUGAACAAAACACGCGGAUCUGCCCUUAGAGCGGGUUGGGUUUCGAGUUAAGGGAAAAACGACGUUAUUUUGGUGCCUGGAGAAAUAGGCCAAAACGACGUCGUUUUGGAACCCCUAUAUAAAUCAAUUUUUUUUCAAAAAAUCAUUCCACUUCUCUUUUUUUAAAAAAAAAACUUCUGAAAAACUCUCUCCCUCCCCUGCAAGUUCGACGAUGGCUCCGACCGCUGGACCACUGUGGCGGUCGCUGUCUGCGGUGGCCGGAAAAUAAAAAAAUUCUAUUUUUUGGGCUUUUCAACUUCCCGGCCUAAAGAAAACGUCGUUUUUCAUUGGAAACGACGAACCUCGGCCUCCUACGGCGGCGCGGUUCAAAAAAUCAGGUAAGUUCGGCCCUCUCUUUUUAUACUUGUUUAUUAUUUCUUUUUUUGUGAAUGAAAAUGAAACAGAAGACGAAGUGAAGAGUAGAAUAAAAAGAAUAAAGAAGAUCAAAGAAAAAGAAAAAAAAAGAAAACACCUUUAGAAAACAUUCUCUUCUGUUUGACUACUGAGUUUUUUGUAUUUUGAUUUCUAUUUCAUGUAUUCGUCCGUAAAAAAAAAAGGGAGAAUACAUUUGUUUUUUUUUUGGCUUUUUAUAGUCGAAAGAAAAGAAAAAUACAAUCUUUUUCUAUUUUUCUACUGUUUUUCUCUUUCUCUGUGUUGUCUUUGCAGGACGGAAGAGACAACGUGGCCUGCGGUGGCCGGUGGAGGCCGUACAUGGGGACAACAGCGGCACCAAGCUGUUGGGGCUAGGGUUUGCUGAAGUCAUUUAGGUUUUGAGCCCUUUUGGGCUUAGGGUUAGUUGGGGUUUGGGUUUAAUUGGGCCUAUUACAAUUACAAUAUUAAAUAAUUCAAUAAGCAUACACAUCAUAAAUUAAUCAUAUUGUCCCUUUUAUAAGCCUUAGAAUAAUAAAUACAAAUUAAAAAUAAAUCAGGACUAAUUUGGGUUCUCUGAGAAUUUUUUGUGAAAUUUCAAAAAAAAUUUCCUAGGUACAGGGCACACACGCUCGUGUCAUCAAGGGACACGCUCGUGUGACCUUGUGACAUGCCCGUGCUUUAGGCCAUUUUCUUUCCCGUGUAACUCCAUGACUUACCUCACACGGCCAAGUCACAUACACGUGUGCUAGGCCGUGUUCCUCACAAUGCUGAGACACACGCCCAUGUGUGGUAAUACUUGAGCACUUUGUUUUGAAAAUUAAAAGUUGCAGGGGACACACGGGCAAACCACACACCCAUGUGAUAGCCAUGUGUCUCACACAAUCUGGUCACAUACUCGUGUGUCAGGCCAUGUGGACUCAAAAUGAGUUUUACACAUCAAGUAUACAAUACCCUACAUGUAACACCCCUACCCGUAUCCAUUGCCAGAAUGGGGUUACGAAGUAUUACCAGUCGAGACACAAAUUCUGAACGAUCAUAUGCAUACACUUGCACAAACUUUUAAACUAAUCAAAUAUUAAUAUAAAUAAUCGAUUUAAUUUCUUUGCGAAUCAUUUCUAAAAGUGCAACAGUCCGGUUUAGACCCUAGUCGGAAUAAUGGUUUCGGGACCACAAAUUCGAGUUAGAGAAAUGUUUAAAUAUUAUUUUCUAUGUUUAUGAUGUGUGAAUUAGCAUGUAUGAAAGUCUCGUAUGAAAAUUUAAAUGUUUGUGUGCUUAAUUUAAUAAAAAAAGACCUAAUCGCGAAAAAUGUAAAAGCUGUGUGUUAGAUGUUAAAAGUGCCUAUUUGACUUGGCUUUAUAAUUGUGAGGUCCUUACGUGGUUAUUUGACCAUGGUUUUGAUUAAAUGACAUUGGUGAACAUUAGUUGGUGGAACAUUAAUGUUUUAAUGCAAGGGUAAAUUGGUAAAAUGUUUAUUAAGGUAAUUAUAAUAAAACUAAAGUAUGAAAAUAGGCCAUAAUAUGUUCUUAUAAUUGAAAAUAUCAAAGAAAAGAAAAGAGAAAAGCUUACCUAGGGUUCGGCACUUGCAAACUUUGAUUUAGAUCAAGAAAAGAGGAAUUCAGACUUAGACCAAGGGAAGUCGAAGAUUAUAGAGUAGAUGAUUCGAGUCGACAAUUUCGAGUAUGAGGUAAGUUCGUACAUAAAACAUGAUGUUAUAAGUAUGUUUUGAUGCUUUGUUUAUACAUAGAUUGUAUACACAUUUAGUUUGGAUGAAUAUGAUGAUAAAUCAAUGGUAUUUGGCACUAAGUGUGCGAUACCGAGAAAACUUCGGUUAAUUGAGAAAGCACUAAGUGUGCAGAAUUAUUAUAGCUUCAGCUAAUAUUUAAAGCAGUAAGUGUGUGGAUGUUUAAAGUAUUGGUAAUCUUUGGAAAGUCUUAAAAUAUCCGAACAAGAGGUGAGAAUGAAAAUAAAUGAAUGCGGGAAUGUUCAGGUAAGUAUAAUACCUAUGUGGUAGAUGGUAUUAUGCAUAUAAAGUUUAUUGAAUUGGUGUAAACAUAUGGAUGAUGUUGGCAUGAAAUUGUUAGAUGAGUUAGAAAUUUAUAAGUACUUAUGUGUUGAUGUUUCAUAUUUUAUAUACUGUUGAAGAUUUUGGUAUGAACUUACUAAGCUUUUGAAAGCUUACUUUGUGUGUGUUUACAUUGUUUUAUAGAUAUCGAAGCUACUGUGAGCUCGGGGAUCAUCAAGGAUCAUCACCACACUAUCGAACCUCAUUUUGGUACUUUUGAAAUGUAUAUAUUAAAGUAUGGCAUGUAUAGGUUAGAAGUUGUGGGAUUAUGUUUUGUGAUGUAUAUAUUUAGCCAUGUGAUAUGGCUUGGUAUGGUUGUGGAUAUGUCAUGGUUUUGGUAUAAGAUAUGUGAUGCAAUAUGAUAUAUUUGAUAUGUUUAAGUUGGACAAAAGAAAUGGUAAAUGUUGGUAAGUUUUGGCAAGUUUUAACAUGAAAUUGAAUGAUGUAUAAAAGGAAAUGUUUUGUUAAGCUUUUGACUUAUGUUUUAAUAUAGAUUGGUAAGGCUUAUGAGUAUGUAUUUGAUUGGAAUAGAAAUGUCAUGAGUGGCUUAUGUUUUGGUUUGGAAUUUGGCAGAAUUGGUUAUGCAUAUAUGCUUAUUUCUUUGCUUGUAGGAUGCCUCAAAUUGGGGUAGAAAAUUGGCUAUUCAAAUGGCCUAUUUUUGUCCAUACAGGCAGAGACACAGCGUAUGUCUCAGCCAUGUGUGACACACGGUCAAGUUACACAACUGUGUGUCCUCUGGGGUACCCUACGAAUUUAAGGCAGUAUACCCUCUAGUUUUGACAUGGCCUAGACACACGGGCGUGUUUAUUGGCCGUGUGUGGCACACGGGCUAACACACGGGCGUGUGGUUGGCUGUGUGGCCAAGUCAGUAACCUUCCUAAUUUUCACACAGCCUGGCACACGGGCGUGUCUUGUGGCCGUGUGGACAAGUCAGUAUGUAUGCCCUGUUUUGCCAUGGCUUAGACAUACGGGCGUGUCUAAUACCGCGUGAGGCACACGGCCUGUUCACACGGGUGUGUGACCUUUUAAAAGUUGAAUUUUUUUUAUAAGUUCUGAAAAGUUCACAUGUUAUCGAUUUAGUCCUAAAUGCAUGGAUUAGACCUUGUGAUAAACCAUAAAUUAUACAUAUUUUUACCCCAUGUUUAAUGCAUUUUAUGGAUGAUUUCCCAUUAGAAUUGGUGAAUUCGAUGCUCCUAAUGCUUUAAUUUCAUGUUUUAUACUUAGGAGAGCAUAGAAGAGCUAAAGGAACGAGAAGCGGGCCAAAAACGAAGAAAAUGGGCCAAGGUACGAAAUCAACACGGCCUGGACCUCCUCACACGGGCAGACCACACGGCCGUGUCAAUUUGGCAGGCUCGAGCACGGCCUAAAGUAAUCGAACAAGGGCGUGUGCCACGGGCUUGUCCCUGCCGAGCCCAAGUUGAGUCCAAUUCAGAAAAGGCAAAUUUUGAGGGCUUCUAGGCAUUCGAAAGCCUAUAAAUACACCCUAGAGAAGGAAGAAAAGGGAGACGGAGAAUAGGGAGUAAGGAAUUACUCCAAGGAAGCCGAUUGAUCCAUCUUAGAAGCCAGAUUCAUCAUCAAGACUGAAUAUCUCUCCUCAAUUUCCAUGCAGGAGUUUUGGGUUUUCUUUAUGUUUUGUAUUCUUUAAUCUUCUGAGAUGUUUUCUUAUUUAGUUAUGAACUAAAACCCCUAAAUACCUAAGGGGAAUGAAACCUAAGACGAAUCUUGUUAUUAUUUUCUGAAUCGUAUGAUAAAUAUUUAACUUGUUCUUAAUUAUGUGUUCUUAAUUCUUGUUUUGAUAUCCCAAGAUACUGAUUCAAGACAUGCUCUUAUUCAGAGGAGGAAUAGACCCUGUCUAAGAGUACAUUUGUCAUAAUUAAGUGGAGUGGAUUGCGCGCCUAGACAUAGGGUGACAAGAUUUUACCGGAUUAGGGUGAAACCUAAUAAGGGGAUCCAUAGAUCGAGUUAAUGCAACCCUAGAGUGUUAAUUAAAGAAAAGUUUUGGUUAUUCAAUCUAGGGAUUAGACGUUAUUAGUCUUGAAUAGGGAUAAUAACAUAACUUAGGGAUCUCUACGGAACAAGUUGAAUGAAUAAAUCGUCCGAUUCGGAGCCAGAAUAACAAGUAAAGUCUAGGUGGAUUUUUCCUUAGGUAUUGUCUUAAGUCAAUCGAUUUUUCCCAAAAGCAAUUCCCCAAUUCUUUUCUUUGUGCGUUCUUAGUUUAGAUAAUUAGUUAAUUAAAACAAAACCUCUUUAUUCUUAGGCUAGACAAUAAAAAGAUAGUCAUUACUAGUACUUUUUAGUUCCUUUGGGUUCGACAAUCCGGUCUUGCUAAAACUAUACUACUGUUCGAUAGGUACAGUUGUCUACAUCGUAAUAAUAGUUAGUUUAAGAACGAGUAAUUAUAAAUAUUUAAAACCUAUCACGAAAUAAUGUGAUCAAGUUUUUGGUGUCAUUGCUGGAUAACUAAGAUAUUAGGAACACUCAAUUUUUAUUACUUUAGCCAUUUAUUUUUCUUGCAAUUUAAUUUAAUUUUAUUAUUAUUAUUAUUUAUUAACCUACUCUUUCUUUCUCUUAACAGGUUUUUAUAGUUUAUGACUAGAAGAAACCUGUCGAGACCAUUACUUUUUACGAAGAAAUCAGUCGUACAGUUCGUAGAAACCAAAGAGAAAUAAGACGCAGCUUAAGAUACACGGAGAACGAGCAAGAAGACGAUACUCAACCCCUAACCGAAGAGAUGGUUGAAAACGAAGGCAAUCAGCUGCCUCUUGCAAUUGCGGUUAAUCAAAAUCCUAUUCUACGCACUAUGUAUGAUUAUGCUAAACCUUCUUUAACAGGAAUUAAAUCAAGCAUAGUUGACCUGCUGUAGCUGCAAAUACUUUUGAAUUAAAACCUAACACUAUUCAAAUGAUACAAUAAUUUGUUUAGUUUGAUGGUUUGCAGGAUGAGGAUCCCAACGCUCAUUUAGCCAACUUCUUAGAACUAUACGAUACAUUUAAAAUUAAUGGCGUUUCUGAUGAUGCCAUACGUCUUCAGUUGUUUCCCUUUUCAUUGAGGAACAAAGCUAAACAGUGGUUGAACUCGUUACCACGAGGGUCAAUUACUACUUGGGAACAAAUAAUCAAAAUUUUUUUACUAAAAUAUUUUCCGCCAUCUAAAAUGGCUAAAUUACGUAAUGAUAUCUCUUCUUUUGUGUAGAUGGAUUUACAAACACUCUACGAUGCAUGGAAGAGAUACAAGGACCUUCUGGGAAGGUGCCCUCACCAUGGGUUACCACUUUGGCUCCAAGUACAAACAUUUCACAAUGGUUUGAAUCCUUCGACUCGGCAAAUGGUUGACGCAGCAGCGGGCGGAACCAUCAACAAUAAAACACCAGAAGAUGCCUAUGAGUUUGUAGAGGAGAUGUCACUGAAUAACUAUUAGUGGCAAGUCAUGAGGAUAAAGCCAACGAAAAUAGUCGAUGUUUAUAACAUCGAUUCGGUCACCAUGCUCUCUAAUCAGGUAGAACUCUUGAAUAAAAAGAUUGAUGGUUUUCUUAGUUUUUCACAGGUUCACCUAGUAAUGCAGUACGAAGCAAGUAGCAGUGGAACAAACCAUUCAGAAUACCAACCUUAUGGCCACAGCAUGGAUAACGAGUAAUUAAACUACAUGGGUAAUAAUCCUCGACCUCAAAACAAUCCAUAUAGUAACACUUAUAAUGCAGGUUAGAGGAACCACCCCAAUUUCUCGUGGGGCAGUCAUGGAAAUCAAAGACCACAACAUCCUCCGGGCUACCAAAAACCACCCUACCAACAAGAAAAGAAGCCAAACCUUGAAGAGAUGCUCUUAAAGUUUAUAUCAGUGUCAGAAAUCCGUUUUCAGAAAACCGAGGCAGCACUUAAAAAUCAACAAGCGUCGAUCCAAAGCCUUGAAACUCAGAUAGGCUAGCUUUCCAAACUAAUCUCUGAACGACCACAAGGUAGUUUGCUAAGUAAUACCAAACUAACCUAAGGGAACAACUCAACGCAAUUAAUAUUCAAGAUGACGAAGGAGUCGUUGAGCCUGAACUAGAACCGAGGCAAGAAACUAUGGUAAGCAAAGGUCAAGGUGAGGUAGAUCAAAAUACAAACAAACCAGUGACUGUUGAAUAUAAACCUCGUGUGCCGUACCCCAAUGCGACAAGGAAAGACCGCUCAGAUGAACAAAUUGGUAAAUUCCUUAAAAUCUUAAAUAAAUUACAUAUUAAAGGAGCUUUUAGUAAAUAAGCGGAAGUUGGACGAGGCGUCGCAUGUGGAGUUGAAUGCAGUUUGCUCGGCCAUUCUCCAAAAUAAACUACCCAACAAACUAAAAAACCCAGGGAGCUUUACUAUUCCUUGCUUAAUUGGUAGUUUAGAUUGUAAUCAUACAUUAGCUGAUCUAGGGGCUAGUAUCAACGUCAUGCCUUACAAAAUGUUUAAGCAACUAGGUCUCGGGAAACCCAAACAGACUAGGAUGAGCAUUCAAUUAGCAGAUAAAACUUAAGAUUCCCUAGAGGUAUUAUUGAAGAUGUGCUAGUUAAAAUCGAUAAAUUUAUAUUUCUCGUUGACUUUAUUGUUCUAGACGUAGAAGAGGAUAGCAACACUCCCUUAAUUCUAGGAAGGCCCUUUCUAACAACUGCUAAAACCAUCAUUGAUGUUGGCACAGUGAACUCACACUCCGGGUGGGAGACGAAACAAUCACCCUUCAAGCUCGCAAUUCUGGAAACACAUCAGGAAUUGAAGGUGAUCAUUUAAACCAGUCUACUAAAACUAACAAUGUGGUACAACCUAUUUUGCAGAAAAUGAGUCUGAAGGAAGCACACGAGUCGUUAUCAAGCACCAGUAAAAGAUCUGUUCAUGAAGAUCGAAGAUUAACAAUUUAGGAACUCGAUGAAUGGCGGACGUACAAACCAAGAACACCUGACAAACCGAAACUACACCAAAACGAGCCUGAUACCUCUCCAAAUCAACUUAAGGUUGGUGAUAAGGUCUUAUUAGAUGCCGCAGAUCCCUACAUUAUCACUAGCACACCGAAUAUGGAAAUCCCUCUUACGGUACUCAGUAUUUUUCCAUUCGAUACGGUGGAGGUGAGUCAUCCUAAGUUCAGCACUUUUAAGGUAAACAAUACCCGAUUAAAACCUUAUUUUGAUGAGAUUGAUAGCAGGAAUGAGGAGUAUAAACUCCUCAAACCACCAUGACCAUUCAUUGGAGAGGUAAGUUGAGCUUAGACUAUAAAUAAGCGCUUCUCGGAAGGCAACCCGAGCACUAACAAUAUUAAUUUCUGUAAAUUUUGGUAUUUAAAUCCUAACUUAUUAAUAGAAAUCUUCAAAUACAGGUGUUUCCACAGAGACACGGCCAAGCACACGGGCGUGCUUAAGGCUUUGUGAAAAUAGGGCAAAAGAUUUUCCCCAACACGGGUUACGAUUAAAUGCCACGGCCAUGCGAUAUGGCUGUGGUCGAGCCUGCUAAAACAACACGGGCGUUCGACACACCUAUGUGAAACACCCGUGGUCGAACUUGUUAAAUUAACACGGGCGUGGGGCUUGCAGACACAGGCUUGGGAGAAGCGAACGAAGCUAGACACGACCGUGUGACACAGCCGUGUGAACCUACAUGCCUUAGGAACACGGGCGUGUACUAAAUGUCAGACGCACCCAAAUUUGAAAUUCGCGAAUCACACGAGCUGAAAUUGGGGAACACAUGCGUGUGUCCUGGCCGUGUGGCCCAAAAUCUAUAAAUACCCUGCACUAUUCACUUUCAUCCCCAUUCAAAAACCCUAACCCUAGCUGCUGCAACUCCACAUGGCCUUCCUGCCAUGCCCGUGUGCCGCUUCCCACUUCAUUUUUUACUCUCAAUCUCUUUCCCUUAGCGUUUGUUUACUCCUUUCACUUCUAUUUUACUUAUUUCUAAUGCUUAUUAUCAACAUAAACUUCAUAUCUUUUGAACUAUUUUUCAUUUUUCUAUCAUUUAAUUUGCAUUCUUAGGUUAGUUAUAAUACAUUUUGUGUUAAAUCAUGUUAGUAGGAACACCUCAUACCCAUGACAUUACUAUGUUUAUUCUCAUGCUAUUACCAUGCCAACGUAUAUAAUUUAAUUUGCAUUCCUAAGUUAGUUAUCAUACAUUCCGUGUUAAAUUGAGAUUAGGAAAACCUUAUACCCAUUACAUUUCUAUUCUCAUUCUCAUUGUUAUUGUGGUUGAGUUUGCUUCAUAUUAAUAGUAUUGGCUGAAAUUGUUAGUUCCAAAUCCAUGCCUUUUAUUCGAAUUCGUUUACCUAUUAUUAUUAUUCUUUAUAUUACAGGCUUUUGAUGUCGUCUUCACGAGGAAAGAAAACCGCCGUACCUGCCUCAAAGAAGAGGAAGGGAGCGUCCUCUUCUGCGGGUCCCACUGCAAAAAUUAAUCACCCUCUCUUACAGUUCCCUCGAGGGCCUCAAGAAGAACUAUUCUAAAUACUUCGGGCCCGACCUUUAAUUGCGGGUCAUUGCAUCGACUGGGCUGCUGUAGAACAGGUUCAGUUGGCUGAUUCGAUUCGAGCCCUCCUAACCACCGAGCUUUGGGAGCUAUUCUUUGGGAUUAUCGAGCCGACAUACCUUGAGCUCACGAUGGAACUAUGCUCAAUGUUCCAUCUUCAGACCGUAAUGACAUACUACUAUGAUCCCGGCACAGUUCAAUUUCGCCUAAGCAGAUUAAUUCGCCAGCUAAGCGUCCCAGAGUUUGGCACUGCACUAGGCUUAUAUACGGCGGAGUUCAAUGAGGAGAAUGAACUACAUGCUCUCAGUCUCCAUAUACAUUUCUCUCCCUCGAAGUGCUGGCACACUUUGGCCCCUAGCACGGACUCCUACAGUCCUAGCCGCUCCAAGGCAUCAGUUUUCCCACCAUCCCUGAGGUACUUACACGAUAUUUUAGCUCACACGAUUACAGGAAGGUGGCGUCGUCAACACCCACGACGUCUACUUCUUAUGGUGCAUGUCGCAAGGGCACGUCAUCGACCUUGCCUAUUUCAUCGCCCUUGCGAUUCAGCUCUAGAUGGAGCGGCAUCGGAAGGGGGUUAUCUCCAUUGGCCUCUACGUGAUUCGACUGGCGUGACACUUCGGGUUCCUCAUCACCGCGGCCCAAGAAUCAUCCCUCACCCUCAUCGGCUAGAUGUCUCCACAAGGCAUCUCGAGCAUGCUUAGCAUGAGGAUGAUCGAGAGGCGUUGAGAAACCUACCCUCCCCAGUAUCGUCUCGCGCAAUCUACUAAGGAGGAAGCCUACGAGGACAUUCCUGAUGAUGUCCCCCCACAGCACGAGGACCUACCGACUCAGCCACCACCACCCUCUCGUCCAGUUCAUGCGGCGGCUUCAUAUGCUGACAUCUCUGAGCGCCUCACUCGAUUCGAGCAACAGUGUUUUCAACGAUUUGACAAAUUGAUGCUACUCUACAGCAAAUUUGUCAGCACCUCCACAUCUCAUCGCCAGUCCCACCUCGCGAACCAUCCAGCGAUGAAGAUGUUUAAAAAUAUUUACUUAUUAUUUUAUGUUUUUAAUUUUUAUUGAAACUACUUUUUAUUUUUAUUAGAUUUCAGAAAUUUUAUUUUUAAUUAUUAAUUUCGGUUAUUUCUUUUUGAGUAAUUAUUCUUCCUAAUAUCCCCUAAAAAGUUCCUGAUUUUAUCACAGUUCUAUAGAGCUCUUAAACUCAUUAUCACAUAGGAACUAACCCUCCACUGGGAUAGGUUCUCCACGACUGCCAUGUCCUGCUCGCCCAUGAGCAUAGCUACCACUAGAGAUAAUAUCCUUUUGGCACAGGACUUAUGGCCUAAUGAACCUCUACGACCACCGGAGUAUCCUCCUCCACUCUCGAACCGAUUCCUUUCCAGAACUCCAAUUCGAGGAAUUCAUCAUACAGGAAGUUUCACUUCUCUCCCUAUCUUAUUUUUACACUCUAAUAUCUAUCUUUGUACAUUGAGGGCAAUGUACAUCUUAAGUUUGGGGGGUAUUUUUUCAUUAUCAGAAAAAUCCCUGAGUGAUUGCCUUGUUCUUUUGAAAAGCUUUCAUACAUAUUUAGGAUAAAUUUUAAUUGAUUUAUGAUUUUGAUUGAUAUAUCUUGAAUUAAAACAUAGGCCUUUAUGCAUUGAUUGUUUAAACUUUAAGACAUUAGAGAAUCAAGCAUGAUGAGUUGAUUUUUAAGAAUUUUAAAUUAUAGGUUGUUUCCUCAAGUCUAGGUAUCACUUUGAAUUGGAAUUCACGAGUCUAAACAUCAAAAAGCCAUAAUUUUGUGAGAUUUUUGAGCCUUUUGAGCAUCUAUUAAUCCUUUCAUGCUCACUUUUAUUAUUGCUUUGAGUGCGUCAGGAUUGAACUGUUAUUCUAGAACUUGCUUGAUUAUGCAUGUUGAGACCACACCAUUUGAUUUGAUAUAUCAAAAUGGUUCAGGCACUUAGGAUUAACCCACUUAUGCCAUAAAAAGCCUACCUCCACGAUUAACCCCUAGUAAACCCCCUUGAGCCUAACAAGCCAUUCAUUGUAUUAACCUCAAUAUUAACCCUUAACCCAUUAUUGUUGAAAUCCCCUAAAUUAAUCCCUAUUUUUGUUGAGAUUUGAGUUGAAUGGAUUGCUUAGCUAUGUUUUUUUCUUAAUAGUUAGUCUAUAUUAUUUUAACUUGUUCUUAAAAAAACAUGUAUACACAUUAGUAGUUAUCUUCUGUUUGUAAGCUUCAAAAGUUAAAUUCCAUAGUCUGAGAAGAAGCUCUGUUGUAUGCAAGUAAUGAUUAACUCUUUUUCUAGUUAGGUAAUUUUUCAAUUCAAUCUCGAUUUUAACCCUUUCUUUAAGCUUGUAACCACACCCCCUAACCAAGCCUCAUUACAACCCUCCAAAGACCUUUUGAUUGAUGUAUCAUCUUAAAUUAUAGUGGUGGAGAUUUGAUUUUCAUGCAAGCUUAUGGUAAUGAAUUUUCAUUAUUGACUAUUGAGUGCUUCAUUUAUUGUCCUUAAACACCUCGAGUGAUUUGAGUGAAUCUUUAGUGAGGAUAUGAAAAUCUGUGAUAUUCUGAAUCAAAGGUAAUUACUUAGAUGUGGAGAGACACCUAUGUUUGCAUGAUUAAAUACUCAACUUGGAAUGUUUGAAAUUUUUAUGUUCUUUUAGUUGAAUUCUCAAUGUAUGAUUACCUAUGGAUUAUUCUGAGAUAUUAUCGAUAGAAAUUAUAAGUUGAGAAGAAUUUAUUUUGAUUAUGAUUUGAAAAUUUUUCUUGAGGACAAGAAAAUGCUUAAGUGUGGGGGUAUUUGAUAAACCAUAAAUUAUACAUAUUUUUACCCCAUGUUUAAUGCAUUUUAUGGAUGAUUUCCCAUUAGAAUUGGUGAAUUCGAUGCUCCUAAUGCUUUUAUUUCAUGUUUUAUACUUAGGAGAGCAUAGGAGAGCGAAAGGAAUGAGAAACGGGCCAAAAACGGAGAAAAUGGGCCAAGGUACGAAAUCAACACGGCCUGGACCUCCUCACACAGGCAGACCACACGGCCGUGUCAAUUUGGCAGGCUCGAGCACGGCCUGAAGUAAUCGAACACGGGCGUGUGCCACAGACGUGUCCCUGUCGAGCCCAAGUUGAGUCCAAUUUGAAAAAGGCUAAUUUUGAGGGCUUCUAGGCAUUCCAAAGCCUAUAAAUACACCCUAGAGAAGGAAGAAAAGUGAGACGAAGAAUAGGGAGUAAGGAAUUACUCCAAGGAAGCCGAUUGAUCCAUCUCAGAAGCCAGAUUCAUCAUCAAGACUGAAGAUCUCUCCUCAAUUUCCCUAUAGGAGUUUCGGGUUUUCUUUAUGUUUUGUAUUCUUUAUUCUUCUGAGAUGUUUUCUUAUUUAGUUAUGAACUAAAACCCCUAAAUAUCUAAGGGGAAUGAAACCUAAGACGAAUCUUGUUAUUAUUUUCCGAAUUGUAUGAUAAAUAUUUAACUUGUUCUUAAUUCUUAUUUUGAUAUCCUAGGAUACUGAUUCAAGACAUGCUCUUAUUCAGAGGAGGAAUAGACCCUGUCUAAGAGUACAUUUGUCAUAAUUAAGCGGAGUUGAUUGCGCGCCUAGACAUAUGGUGACAAGAUUUUGUCGGAUUAGGGUGAAACCUAAUAAGGGGAUCCAUAGAUCGAGUUAAUGCAACCCUAGAGUGUUAAUUAGAGAGAAGUCUCAGUUAUUCAAUCUAGGGAUUAGACGUUAUUAGUCUUGAAUAGGGAUAAUAACAUAACUUAGGGAUCUCUACGGAACAAGUUGAAUGAAUAAAUCGUCCGAUUUGGAGCCAGAAUAACAAGUAAAGUCUAGGUGGAUUUUUCCUUAGAUAUUGUCUUAAGUCAAUUGAUUUUUCCCAAAAGCAAUUCCCCAAUUCUUUUCUCUGUGCAUUCUUAGUUUAGAUAAUUAGUUAAUUAAAACAAAACCUCUUUAUUCUUAGGCUAGAUAAUAAAAAGACAGUCAUUACUAGUACUUUUUAGUUCCUUUGGGUUCGACAAUCCGGUCUUGCUAAAACUAUACUACUGUUCGAUAGGUGCACUUGCCUACAUCGCAAUAAUAGUUAGUUUAAGAACGAGUAAUUAUAAAUAUUUAAAACCUAUUACGAAAUAACGCGAUCACCUUGUAUGCUCGAUAUAAGUUCGUAAUGAAAAUGAAUGAAUGGUAUUUUAUUGGAUUGAGAUGGUAUUUAAUAUUUGGUUGUUUUGAUCUAAGUUACGAGUCCGAUAAUGCCUCUUAACCUAUUCCAGCGACGGAUACGGGUUAGGGGUGUUACAAAGGAAAUUCAAAAUUCGUAUACAAACAACUUCAGUACUAAUCUUGUUUGACCGAUUAAUAAACUUAUUAAUCAAUCAACUUAUGACCAACAUUUAAGAACUAACCUAUACACUACUCAACAUCCAUUUUUAAUCAAGUAGGACAUUUAAACAUCACAUAAAACUCAUAUAAUCUUCAUGAUUUACUAAUGCACAAGUCACUAUUCAUUUGGUCAUUUUUCAAUGCAUUAGCCAAUUAAAAAUAUAUUUAACUAAUAUGCUUUAACAAUUGUCCACUUUCAACUUUAUUCAAUCACUAUACAAGUCAAUGCAUUCCAAAGAACUAACCCAAUAUAUAUAUAUCAAACAUAAUUUGUCUAAGAUUUAUGUCAUAUCAAACUUAUUACAUCAUAUACAUAUACAUAUGCCAAAUCAUGUUAAAUACAUAUACUAUACAUUUACCAAAAUACAACUCAAGACCAACUUGCUUCUUAAUUAUUCGGUAAUAAUAUUAACCAUGAAAAUCAUAUAAGUUCUAAUACUUUAAAAUAAGCCAAUACGUCUCUUAUAAAGCCAAUAUACAUAUAAACAUCAUUGUCAUUUUACUACAUUAGUAAACCAAAUCAAUAAACCAUUCAUAAAGACAAAUCAUACGACAUAACAUGCACAUCAAAAUGAACUCCAACCAUGUUUGGAUAUAACCUAAUAAUCUUUAAUACCAAUUCACAUAAUAAUGCCUUAACUAAACAUAUCAAUCAAAUUCACAUAAAUGUUUAUCUAUGCAUGAACUAUAACUGAAUCAUCCAAACAUAAUACCAUGCCGAUUCAAUCAAACCAAUCCAAAAUCACCAACCAUUCUCAAUAUGUAAAACACAUAUAAACUUGACUUAAGUUUCUUAUAUCUCGUAGCAUAUUAGCCAUUUUUGCAUGGCUUAAUAUAUACAUAACUUCGAUCUUAACAAAAUAUAACCUAGCUUAUACAUGCUAUAGGUUUGAGUUUAACUUAUCAAAUACCAAAAACAAUCGAUAGUGUGAUGGACUUUGCUGACGAUCCCCGAGCUCGUAACUGAUCUCCAAGAUCUAUAAAAUAGAGGUAAAUAUACACACACAAAGUAAGCUAUCAUAGCUUAGUAAGUCAUAAGCAAAUAAACAACUCAAUAACAUAAUCAACUCAUUUAAAUCAAACCAAACUAUACUAUCAUAAUCAUAUUAAAUCUCAAAUUUAAGAUUUCAUGAAUAUCAUAUACUUUCACAUAUAAACUUAUUCAUGAUUGAAUGUACAUAUAUAUAUAACAAAGUAUCUUUCAAUUUCAAAGCUAAGAUAUUAUUAUAACUAAUAUAUAUAUAACAAAGUAUCUUUCAAUUUCAAAGCUAAGAUAUUAUUAUAACUAAGUACACUUAUACACAUACUCAUGAAUCAAAUAUAACAUUACAUGCAUAUACAUAACAUAUGGACGAAUAUACUUUACAAAUGCACAUAUAUUCACAUUAGUAACUUAUAUAAUUUGCAUCACAUAUCUAAUGGUCAACUUACCUUAUUUUCAAAUAGGUAAUCAACUAACUCAUACCUGAUCGUUUUAGCUCGUUUUACACCUUCGAUCACAACUUAUCAUUACCCGUUGAACCAUUCGAAAUUGAAUAGGUGAUGGUUGCUAAACUAACUAAAAAUUUGACGAAGGCAAGCGCACCUAUCGAACAGUAGUAUAGUUAUGAUGAGACCAGAAAUAUCGUAUCCACAAUGACUAAAAGUACUAGUAAUUACUAUAUUUUUAUUAUCUAGCCUAAGAAUGAAAGGGAUGUUUUUAAAAUAAGAUUUACUAUCUAAUUAACUAAGAACACGACAAAGAUUAAAGUUAGAAAAUACUUUUGGAAAACUGAUGGAGAAGACAAUAUCCAAGGAAGAAUCCACCUAGACUUUACUUAUUACUUCUAAAUUAGACGAUUUAUUCACUUGACUUAAUCUGUAGGAAUCCCUAGCUUAUGUUAAUAUCUCUCUCGAGACUAAAAACAACUGACUCUAAGUUGAUUAAUCGAAAUCUCUUCCUAAUUAAACCCCUAUUGUCGCAUUAACUUGAUCUAUGGACUCCCUUAUUAGAUUUGACUCUAAUCCGACAGAUUUAUGUCGUCCUAUCUCUAGGAUUGCAUGCAACUCAACUUAAUUAUGGAAGAUCUACUCUUAAACAGGGAUUUUUGCUCCACUGAAUAAGCACAUCAAAACCUGUAUUAAUAUCCUAGAGUACUAAAAUAAGGAUUAAAACUCAUAAUUAAGAAUAAGAAUAAGUAUUUAUCAUAAGAUUCAAAUAGUAAUAAGAUCUAUCUUAGGUUUCAUCUCCCUUAGGUAUUUAGGGAGUUUAGUUCAUAACAAUUAGGAAAAACAUCUCAAAAUUGGGAAAACAACAAAACAUAAAGAAACCCAAAGAACUUCUAAGGAAAUCAAAUGGAGAUGUUCAAGCUUGAAGUAGAUCCUGCUUCCGAGCUGAUUCCAUUGGCUGUCUUUGAGUAUUUUCUGCUUUCUACUCUCCGUGUCCCAUUUGAUCCUUUUCUCUUGUGUUUAAAUAGACUUUGGAAUGCCCAAAGUAGCCUAUAAUUAGCCUUUUUCGAGUAGAAUUGAAAUAGGUCUUGACAGGGGCACAGCCGUAUGGCACGCUCGUGUGGUGGUGCUCAAGCUGUUUGCAAUUUUAAUAUGAUUUUAAGUUGAAACGACCAUUACACACGGGCGUGUGGUCUAACCGUGUGUCUAACACAGGCUGGUGGAUUACCCGUGUGGAAGUGUCUGAGCCGUGUGCAGGACUAAAAUCAACCUAUUUUGUCCGUUUUUGGCCUUUUUCUGGCACUUUUCGCUUUCUAUGCUCAUCUGGAUAUAAAACAUGAAAUUAAAGGAUUAGGAGCAUCAAAUUCACUAAAUCUUAUGAUAAAUCAUCUGAAAAUAUCCCCACACUUAUGCAUUUGUUUGUCCUCAAGCAAAAUCCUUAACUCACAACUAAAAUGUAUUCUUCUCAACUUAUAAUUCUUAUAAAAAAAAUGUUUCGAAAUAAUCCUACAGAUAAUCAUACUUUGAGAAUUCAACUAAAAGAACAUUAAAGUUUCAAACAAUCCAAGUUGAGCAUUUUAAUCAUAAAAUCAUAGGUAUUCCCCUUUAUCUACGUAAUUAUCUUUAAUUUCAAAUCGACAAGGGUUGACAUUCACACUAAAGAUUCACUCAAAUCACUCACAGUGUUUAAGGUUCAAUAAUUAAGUACUCAAUAGUCAAACAUGAAAAAUUAUUACCAUAGGCUUGCAUGAAAAUCAAAUCUCCACCACUAUAAAUGAGAUGAUACAUAAAUCAAGAGAUCUUUAACAAGGUUAUAAUGGGACUUGAGUUAAAGGUGUGGAUAAAGGCUGAAAAAUAGGGUUAGAAUCGAGAUUAAUUUAAUAAAUUACCAAACUUAGAAAAAUAAAGCUAAUUACUGAAUUACAAACAAGUGCCGGGAUUAAAACUACCCGAAACUAAUGAAGUGAGCUUUUUUUUAAAAUAAUAACUUUAACUUAUCCAAGCUCUUUGUAACAAUAUGUAAUUAUAUGAAUAUAAAUAUACAUUUUUUUAAGAAUAAGAACAAUAAUGGAAAGUACAUAAUAAGGAACAAUUUAGCAACUGAAAUAGAUGAACAUAGUUAGGUAAUUAAUCAAAUCAAAUCUUGAUAAAAAGGGAGUCAAUAAAAAGAGAGAAAUUCUUAACGAGUUAAAAAGGGUUAAGUUAUGGGUUAUCAUUAAGGGAAAAAUCAAGAAACAAUGAUUAAGGCUCAAAGGGGUUCACUAAGGGUCAAUUAUGUGGGUAGGCUUUUUAUGGGGUAAGUGGGUUAAAACUUAAGUGCCUUUAUCAUCUCAAUAUAUCAAAUCAAAGGUGUGGUCUCGACAUGUAUAAUCGAAGCAAGUUCUAGAAUAACAAAUCAAUGUUGACGCAUUCAUAACCAACAAAAUAAGUGAGCAAGAAAGAUAUAUUCUCUAAAAGGCUCAAAAUCUCACGAAAAUUAUGGUAUUUGAUGUCAAUCCUGUAAAUUCAAAACUUCAAGAUAAUACCUCAAAUCAGGGAAAAAACCUAGCAAUUUUAAUUCUCAAAAGUCAACUGAUCAUGCUUGAUUCUCUAAUGUCUUAAAGUUUAAAAAAUCAAUGCACAAUUACCUAUGAUUUAAUUCAGAACAUAUCAAUAAAAAUUAUAAACAAUCAGAAUUCACUUUAAUAAUAAUAAUAUGAGAAAAUUAUUUGACAAAGAGAUAAAAAUUAUAAAAAUUCAGUGUUUUUCUAAUAAUCAUAAAUAGCCUCCCCACAUUUAAGAUGUACAUUGUCCUCAAUGUAUAAAGAUAGAUAAUAAUAAUAUAAGCAUAAUAUCAGAAGAGAGGGAGAGAAGUGAAACUGCCUUGAAUUUUUGAAUGAAAUCCUUGGAAUAGCAAAAGCUAGAAUCGUAGAUAAGGCUAAUGAAAGGCAUGGUUCUGAGUUACUAAUAAGCAAAUAAACACAACUGUAGAAGAGAAUUAAGGGAUUACUCGAUAAUAACCAUAAAGAUAAAUAUAGUUCAAAAAGAUAUAAAGUAUAAGUCUUCAAAAAUCAAUAAAAAAAAUAAAAAAUAAAAAAAUAUAAAUAGACUUAAAGGUCCUCAUUAUCGAAUGCCUCGUGGGUCGACGAUGCCGAAUGAGAGAUGUAAAGGUGGUGGCAAAUCUGUCGAAGAGCGCUAUCGAUGUUGUUGAACCGCUCAAAACACUGUUGCUCAAAGCGAGUGAGGCGCUCGGAUAUAUCUGUCAAGGUGGUAGCAGUGAGGCAGUGACUCUGUGGUGGUGGUGGAGGUGGGUCCUCAUGAAGGGGAGGAACAUCAUCAGUAAUGUCCUUCAUCCUGACCAUCAGAACGAGCUAACCGGUACUGAGGGGCUCGAAUCCAUGACGUUGCUCUAUCAUCCUCAUGUGGAUUAUACUAGAAAUUCCUUGAGGAGACAUCUGGCCUACUAAUGUGAGUGUCGAUGACAUCGUUGGUGUGUCAAAGAGACCAAAGUGUCGAGUGAGACGAGUCACGUAAGGGCCGAGAAAGAUGGGGCCCUUCUUAUGGCGUUCAGUUUGGUUUCUGUAAGCGAGUGCGAUGAGAUACACCAAAUCAAACACAUGUUCGGUAGUCAUGCUCCACAGGAAACAUGGUCAUAGGUACUAACUACUCCUAUACUCUCUCUCCGACCUGUCAAAGUGUGAGCUAGUAGGGCGUGAAUAUAUCGUAGGGCCAAAGAGAGGUGUGUCGUCUUCAAGCAACUCACGUCAUAGCUAGUUAGGCCGACCAUGAGUUCAGUCCAACAUUGCGAAGGUGAGUAAAAAAUAUGUCUAUGAAGCUGAAAAAAGUCCUCGGUGCUCAUGAACUCCUCUGUAUAAAGUCCCAAAGUAGCACCGAACUUUGGGACGCUCAUGUGCUGCACUAACCCGCCAAGGCGAAAGGUGAUAGUGCCGAGCUCGUCAUGGACUAACAUGACCUGCUGGACUGAAAAUGUGGUGCCAAACUCUAAGGUGAGCUCCGAGUAGGUGGGCUCGAUGAUGGUGAAGAACCUAUCUCACGGGGUUGUGGUAAUAAUCGCGCACAUAUCAUCAACCAAACGGAUCUGCUCUAGUGCGACCUAAUCAAUGCAACGACCCACAUCGAGGGGUCGUACGCUGAAAAGCUGAUAUAAAUCCUCCUAGUUGCUUGAUAGGAAUUAGAGCAAAGGGUGGCGAGUUACGGUCGAAGUGCUCGAGGAGGUUGCGCCUGGGCCUUUCCGCUUUUUCGAAGUGGGGACAACAACCUUGGAUUUACCUCGAGUGUUUGUCAUAAUGUACCUGACAAAGAACGAACAAAAAUAAUAAAGGAAUAAACUAAAAGAAUAAAUAGAAAAUAGUAAGAAUAAUAAUAAUAAUAAUUGAAUAAAGACAAUAAGUAAACCAAGAACUAAUAUGCUAAAACCUAAGGAGUACUAAUGAAAGGACUCGAAAGAAACAUAUGUACAAGAAAAAUCAACUUAAAAUUAAUAGCAAGACUAAUAGAAUUCAGCCAAUCAAGAGAAGUAGCUAUCUAACUAUAAAAAUAGACGAAAAUAUCAUCAAAUAAAACUAGAGACAAAUGAAAAAAUGUGAAUGAUGCCAGAUAUGAAAAUACGAGAAGUUAACAGUUAAGGUCAGUAAGUCAAUAAAUUCAUAAGAAUAAUGAAAUAAAAGAAAACAAUAAUAAUAGGGGAAAAUAAAUAAAUAAUAAAGAUCAGGGAUAAAUUAAUAGAUGGAACUAAAAGGGAAGGAGAGGAGAACUAGAUGCCGGUGGUCGGAGGGACGGACAGCGUCAGGGUCAUUGGUGGAGGAAAAUAAAGGAGGUUUAGGGGCGUGGAGGGGGUGGGGUAUACGAAGAAUAGGAAAAGGGAAAGGAAAAGAAAGGGAAAUAAGGUGUGGGGGAAGGAGGAAAAGAAAAGAAAGAGAGGAUGAAAGGAAAAGGGAAACGGGGAGAGGGAACUAGGUGGUGGUCGGACGGUGGGGAAGGAUGGCUGGAGUGGGGGCAACAAGUUGCGGUGGCUAGGGCUUGGGAGGGUUUGAGAAGAAGAAGACAAAAAUAGAAAUUUAGGGUUGGGGUUUUUAUGAGUGACACGGUUGUGUAACGGUCCGUGUUGGGCUACACGGCCGUGUCACACGCCCAUGUGGCUCGACUUCCAGCCCGUGUUCCUCGAGCAAAUUAAUAAGCCAUUCGUCACAUAGUCUUGGACACGCCCUUGUGUCCGGGAAGUGUGGUUCACACGGUCGUAUUGCACGGCUGUGUGCUACGUUGUUCACUUCUCCCAUGCCCGUGUGGUCUCCCACACGCCCAUGUGUUCAAACACACGGUCGUGUGCCUUACCCGUGGAGUUUUCUUACUUAUUUGAAAUUUGAAAAUUUAGCUCCAAUUUUCACACGGCCUAGUACACGCCCGUGUGGUUUAAUUUAAGCCCGUGUCUUUGUUGAUCUUUAGGGAAUUUAAGUCCUGUUUUCACACGGCCUAGGACAUGCCCGUGUGGGUCACGCGGCCAUGUCGCCAGGUCGUGUAACACUCUAUUUAAUCCUUGUUAGAGCACACGGCCUGUAACACCCUUAACCCGUAUCCGUCGCCGGAAUGGGGGUAUGAUGCAUUUCCAAAUAAAUACAAAUUAAACAGACUUUUCUUACAUUUCAUAUCAUCAAGAAUAUCAAAGCAUUAAAAACUUAUCAAACCCAAAUUACCGCAAUUUACUAUUUACAAUUUAAAGUACAUUAAUCAUAAUUCCCAUGCAGAAAUGAUCAUACUUUGCUGAAUGGAUAUUACAAAUAAGCACAUUCAAAAUUUCAACUAAUUCAAUUCAAACAAUAUCAAAACUCAAAUGAUCAUGUUCCAUAAUUAUCAAUUUCAAACUAAAACUUGUAUUUAUAUAUAUAUAAAACCAUGUCCACAUAUUUAAAAAUUCUCAAAGUUCGUUUCUCUAUAUCAAUCACCUUGAUGCCAUUUUUAUAAAUGAAUCAUAUCCCAUCAUCACACAUCACUGCAUACAUCAAUUAUAUGCCAUUUCCAUUUCGUUAUUUGUGUAUCAAGCAAAUCAAUUAUCAACAUCUUCACAAAUUCAUAUCAAAACCAAAUGAAAUCAUAUUGCAUAAUUUAAUAUACAAAUUCACAUGCAACUUGAGCACACUAUAACAUGGCCGAAUAUACUAAUAUUUCAUAUAUAUAUAGUACGUAACCUACCCUAAAGUUAAAGGCCAAACUUAACAUUUGAAUACAAACUAAAACAAUCAACCAAAAUAAUCAUGAAACACAUUAAUUACUUACCAUAUAACAAUCGAACUUAUCAAACUAAUAUACAACCAUCCAUCACUUUAAUUAUAUCGCAUUUCAUAGUCCCAUCAUUAACAUCUAUUAUACUAAAUACAUAUUAUACUUAUUAACUUUCAUAGCCGAAUCAUGUUACUUAAAAUCACACAUAUAUUCAAAAUUCCCAUCACCGAAUUACCAAAAGAUAACUCAUUAAACAUUUUAACUAAGAUCAUAUAAGACUAAAUUUUAGCAUAAUAAGCAAAUCAUUUUCGAAGCACAUCGUACCUAGCACAACAUUACACAUACAAGGCAUAUAACUACAUAACCAGGGUGAACACGAACCAAACAUAACUGAAUUUAACAUCAAGUCAUUUUCACAUGGCUAUUAUACAAACCAAAAUCAAACAUUUCCAAAACACUUUCUAGCCUAUACAUGCCAUAGUUCGAGUUCAAAAAUUUAAAUACCAAAGCUGUAGAUAGUGUGAUGAACUUUGCUGACAAUCCCCGAGCUUGUAAUGUAAACCCAAAAUCUAUAAAGCAGAACAAACAUAACACACAAAGUCAUAAGAAAAUGAACAUUCCAAUAAUAUUAUCAACUUAAUUAAACCAAGCCAAAUUAUAAUAUCAUAACACAUUAAGUCCAAACAUAUGAAGUUCAUAUUAUAUAUAUUAGUAUUUACAUUCAUUCUCAAAUAAUCACCUUGGCCGAAUGCUCAUAAACAUAUAAGCUUGUGUGUUACAGCAUAGUUUCAUAUUCAUAUAUUAGAUAUGAAACUAAAUACAUGUAAUCAUGCACGCAUAUAACUAAGUUUCAUAUCAAUGAUAAGCUUAAGGCCGAAUACACUUACCUUGUUUUAAGUAAACAAAAAACUAACUCAUACCUGAAUGUUUAGCUCGUUUAAAGUAUUCAAUUACCACAUCAGCAUAAAAUCAUUUAGGUAUAAGCUUAUAGUAAUUCACUGGCAUAAAGCCUGCUAGGCAUAAAGCCCGUAUCACACACCGGCAGGAGGCCUGCUAGACUCAAAGUCUGAUUUUAUACACCGACAAUAAGCCUGCUAGGCAUAGAGCCCGAUUUAAUUCACAAGCAUAAGGCUUGCUAGGAUCAAAGCCCAAAUAUCACCAUUAUAAAGCUAUCUCAUAAUUAAUUCAUAUAUCAAACAUUUCAAAUAUUGCAUAUAAUUCAUACAGACUUUCAAAUGUUAUAACUCAAUCGAGUUAAACUCAAAUACGUUAUUUCUAUAAUUUAUUACAUACGACUAACUCAACCAUAAAGCCAUUAAUUCCAAAUCAGCAUAUUAAACUAAGUUACAUUCAAAAUUAACGAUGUUUAAUUGCUUAAAGACUUACCUCGGACGAUGAAAAACCAGUACGGAUCAGCUAGUCGACAACUUUACUUUUCCCUCGAUCUAAAUUUGAUUUUCUCUUUUCUUGAUCUAAAUUAAUAUAAGUUAAAUUUAUUAAAUCAAAUAUUCAACCAAAUUCAUCCAAAAACACACAAACAGGCAAAUUACACUUUUACCCCUAAUAUUUCACAUUUUUUAAAAUUUAAUUUAAGUUGCAUAAAACACAAAAUAUGCAAAAUCUCACAACAAUAUAGUUAGGCUGAAUAUUCCUAUACUCAUACUAGUCCAUAUAUUUCAUUUAUUUCACUUUUAGUCCCUUAAUUUAUUAUUUUUACAAUUUAGUCCUAAUUACUCAAAAUUAUCAAAAACUCCAAUACAAAACAUGUUAAUCUAAAACAUAUCUUUAAUAUUUCAUCAUCAAACAUCACAAAAUACAAAUAUUCAUCAAUGGCAUAACUAAAACAUUCAUCAAAAUCAGAAAUUCUAGCAUGGGUCAGAUAGUAUUCGAAGCAACGAUCCCAAAAAUGUAAAAAUUAUCAAAAACUGAACAAAUUACGUACCUAAUUUGAAAAACACAAGGGCCGAACUUUGAAAACUCUUUAUUUCUCUUUUUCUUUGUUAUAUUCGGUCAAAUGGAUGAACAAAUGCAUGGAUGUUUUAUUUUAUGUUUUAUUAUAAUACAUAUUAUUUUACAUUUUACUAAUUUAACCUUUAUAAUAUAAUUAGAAAACCAUAUAAUGGUUUUCUUUUACCGUCCAUCAUAUUAUAUCAUGGGAAAUUGCAACUUAAAUCCUCCAUAUUAAAAGAAAAACCACUAUUCAGCCCUUUCACAAAUAACCACUAAAUUUUUAUUUUACGCGAUUAAGUCCUUUUAUUAAAUUAAGCACACAAACAAUCGAAAUUUCAUACGAAAGUUUCACACGUGCAAAUUCACAUACAAUAAACACGAAAAAUAAUAUUUAAAUAUUUUUUGACUCGGAUUCGUGGUCUCAAAACCACCGUUCCGAUUAGGGUCUAAAUUGGGCUGUUACACGGCUUGGGACACGACCGUGUGUCCAAGCGAUGUGGGUCAAAAAAACUACAUUUAAACAUGAAAAAUAGAUAAAAAUAGAUUAGUUAGUGGUGUUAGAGCUCGGGUUGCCUCCCGAGAAGCGCUUAUUUAGAGUUUAAGCUUGACUUACCUCUAUUUUGCAUGGUCACAGUGGAUCACGGAGUCGAAACUCCUCUUUCUCGUUGUCAAACCCUUUAUUUAAAUAAGGUUUAAGUCGAGUACUAUUUACCUUAAAAGUGCCGAAAUGUGAAUGGGUUACCUCGACUGUAUCGUAUGGAAAGACUUUGAGUACUGUAAAAGGAGUUGCUCCAUUUGUGUUGAGCUAUAUAGUUAUCAUUCGAGGAUCUUUUGUAUCUAACUAGACUUGGUCUCCAAACUUAAGUUGAUUCAAUUCGCCUUUAAGUUUGUCAUGGCACUGUCUUGAUUCAUCGUGUACUCUCAGUUUCUCCUUAACCUGUGUUCGCCAUUCAUCUAGUUCUUCGAUCUGUAGCCUUCGUUUUUCAUGGAUAGUCUUGUCAUUACAUGGACCGGAACAUGGCUCAUUUGUACUUCUCGAAAGUUUUUCUUGCAAAGAGGGUUGAACAACAAGGUGACUCACAUUAAAAGAACUUGUGUAAUCAUCUCAAUCACUAGUUUUUCUAAUAGAAUCACGAGCUUGGAGUUUAAUCAUGUCAUCGCCCACCUGAAGUAUUAACUCACCUAUGCCGACAUCUAUAAUAGUCCUAGCAGUUGCUAAAAAGGGUCGUCCUAAAAUUAAAGGAAUGUCACUAUCCUCAUCCAUGUCUAAAACAACAAAGUCUAUUGGAAAUAUAAAUUUGUCAAUUUUAACAAGUACAUCUUCAAUUAUACCCUUAGGAAAUCUAAUGGUUUUAUUAGCCAAUUGAACGCUCAUCCUAGUUUGUUUGGGUUCCCCAAGACCUAGUUUUUUAAACAUUUUAUAAGGCAUAACAUUAAUACUUGCCCCUAAAUCAACUAAAGCAUUGUUAACAUUCAAACUACCAAUUAAACAAGGAAUCGUAAAACACCCUGGAUCUUUCAAUUUGUUGGGUAGCUUGUUUUGUAAAAUAGCUAAGCAGAUUGCAUUUAAUUCCACAUGUGAUGACUCAUCUAACUUCCGUUUGUUUGAUAAAAGCUCCUGUAAAAAUUUAACUUUGUUUGGCAUCUGUAAAAGAGCUUCAAUAAAUGGUAAGUUAAUAUGUCAUUUUUUUAAUAAUUUAAGGAAGUUACCGAAUUGUUCGUCCGUGUGGUCUUUCCUUGUCGUAAUGGGGUAUGGCACAUGAGGUUUAUACUCUUUGCUUACCAGUUUCUAUUUAUCAUUGCUUACCUCAACCUUACCUUUGUCUACCACAUUUCCUGCCACAGUUUUGGUUCAUCUUCAGCUAACCCUUAUUUGUCGGGUAUAGUGAUGGCAUGGAGUUGCUCCCUUGGGUUAGUUUCUGUAUUACUAGGCAAGCCACCUUGUGGUCGUUCAGAGAUUAACUCAGCAAGCUGACCUAUUUGAGUUUCGUGCCUUUGAAUUGAUGCUUGCUAAUUUUUAAGUGCUAUCUCAGUGUUCUAAAAACGAGUUUCUGACACCGAGGUAAAUUUUGUAAGCAUCUUCUCAAGGUUCAACUUUUUCUCCUGUUGGUAAGGUGGUUGAUGAAAACCUGGAGGGUGUUGUGGCCUUUGAUUCUCUUGACCACCCCACGAAAAAUUGGGAUGGUUCUUCCAGCCUGCAUUGUAAGUGUUACUAUAAGGGUUAUUUUGAGGUCUGGAAUUGUUACCCAUAUAGUAGACUUGUUCUCCCUUGGUGUUGGGGUUGAAGGAUGGAUAAUCUAUGUUGUGCAUCUCUCCUCCAUUUGAAUCACACCUCAUCAUUGGAUGUACCUGAGUAGAAUCAUAUAAACCAUCAAUCUUUUUAUUCAAUAGUUACACUUAGUUAGAUAGCAUAGUGACCGUGUCGAGGUUGAAAACACUAGUUACUUUUUUUGGCUUCGUUCUCAUGACUUACCACUGAUAGUUGUUUAGUGACAUCUCGUCAAUAAAUUCGUAAGCCUCUUCAUGUGUUUUGUUGUUCAAGGUUCCACCGGCAACUACAUCAAUCAGUUGCCUUGUUAAGGGGUUCACAUCGUUGUAGAAGGUUUGAACCUGUAACCAUAAGGGUAACCCAUUGCGAGGGCACCUUCUCAAUAAAUCCUUGUAUCUCUCCCAUGCAUCAUAAAGUAUUUCUAAACCUAUUUGCACAAAAGAAAAGAUAUCAUUCCUCAAUUUAGCCGUUUUAGCCGGCGAAAAAUAUUUAAGCAAAAUUUUUUUGGUCAUUUGUUCCCAAGUAGUGAUUAACCCUCGUGGUAACAAGUUCAACCGCAGUUUAGCCUUAUUCUGUAAUGAAAAGGGAAAUAACCAAAGGCGAAUGGCAUCGUCAGAAACGCCAUUGAUCUUAAAUGUGUCGCAGAAUUCCAGAAAAUUUGCUAAAUGAGUGUUUGGAUCCUCGUCCUGCAAACCAUCAAACUGAAAAACUAUUAUAUCAUUUGAAUUGUGUUAGGUUUCAGUUCAAAAUUAUUUGCAGCAAUAGUAGGUCUAACUAUACUCGAUUUAGCUCCUGUUAAAUUUGGCUUAGCAUAGUCGUACAUAGUACGAGGAGCAGGAUUCUGAUUCAUUAGAUUUCUGGCAACCACAGCAGGCAGCAGAUUAUUUUGAUUUUCGGCCAUCUCCUCGGUGUUAUUGGUAUCAUCCUCGUGCUCUUCCUCUAUAUACCGUAGACUUCGCCUUAUCUCUCUACGAUUUCUCUAAGCCGUGUUUUCAAUUUUUUUGUCAAAAAGUAGAGGUCCUGACGGGUUGCUUCUAGUCAUAAACUAUAAAAACCUGCCAAAAGAAAAUAAAAGAAAAAUCAGUAAUAAAAACAAAAUUAAACAGCAAUAAAAAUAAAAAUGGCUAAAGUAAUAAAAAUUAAGUGUUCCUAAUAUCUUAGUCCCCGGCAACGGCACCAAAAACUUGAUGGUCGCUAAACUAACUAAAAAUUCGACUAAGGCAAGCGCACCUAUCGAACAAUAGUAUAGUUAUGGUGAGACCAAAAAUAUCGUGUCCACAAGGAAUAAAAGUACUAGUAAUUACUAUCUUUUUAUUAUCUAGCCUAAGAAUGAAAAUGAUGUUUUUAAAAUCAUAUCAGAAUUGCAAACGGAUUGAGCACCAACGGGCAUGCCACACGGCCGUGCCCCUGUCGAGACCUAUUUCAAUUUUACUUGGAAAACGCUAAUUUUGGGCUAUUUUGGGCAUUCCAAAGUCUAUUUAAACACAAGACAAGAGGAUCAAAUUAGAUAGUUAAUCUUAGUUUAAAAACAUCCUUUUCAUUCUUAGGCUAAAUAAUAAAAAAUAUAGUAAUUACUAGUACUUUUAGUCCUUGUGGAUAUGAUAUUUUCGGUCUCACCAUAACUAUACUACUGUUCGAUAGGUGCACUUGCCUUAGUCAAAUUUUUAGUUAGUUCAGCGACCAUCAAGUUUUUGGAGCCGUUUCUAGGGACUAAGAUAUUAGGAACACUUAAUUUUUAUUACUUUGGUCGCGUGGCAUGCCCGUGUGGUGGUGCUCAAGCUGUGUGCAAUUCUGAUAUGAUUUUAAGUCGACACGGCCAUUACACACAGGCAUGUGGUCUAACUGUGUGUUUAACACGGGCGUGUGGAUUACCCGUGUGGAAGUGUUUGGGUUGUGUGCAGCACUGAAAUCAACCUAUUUUGUCCGUUUUUGGCCUUUUUCUCGCACUUUUCGCUAUCCUAUGCUCAUCUGGAUAUAAAACAUGAAAUUAAAGGAUUAGGAGCAUCAAAUUCACUAAAUCUAAUGAUAAAUCAUCUAAAAAUAUGCGAAGCAUGGGAUUAAAAAUAUGUUACUUUUGAGGUUUAUCAAUAGGAUACUUGGAUAAUCACAUAUAUCGUACAAUGCCAACAUCUGGUCUUACAUGCUAUCUCAUAUCGAUGCCACUAUCCCAGACAGGGUCUUACACGAAUCAAAUACGAUAAAUACUUGAAUCAUAUGAUAAAUACUUUUUCUUAUUCUUAAUUAUGAGUUUUAAUCCUUGUUUUAAUACUCCAAGAUAUUAAUACAGGCUUUGAUGUGCUUAUUCAGUGGAGCAAGAGUCCUUGUUUAAGAGUAGAUCUUCUAUAACUAAGUGGAGUUGUAUGCAAUCCUAGAGAUAGGAUGACAUAAAUAUGCCGGAUUAGAGUCAAAUCUAAUAAGGGAGUCCAUAGAUCGAGUUAAUGUGACAAUAGGGGUUUUAAUUAGGAAGAGAUUUCGAUUAAUCAACCUUGAGUCAGUUGUUUUUAGUCUCGAGAGAGAUAUUAACAUAAACUAGGGAUUCCUACGGAUUAAGUCAGUGAAUAAAUCGUCUAAUUCAGAAGUAAUAAGUGAAGUCUAGGUGGAUUCUUCCUUGGGUAUUGUCUUCUCCAUCAGUUUUCCAAAAGUAUUUUCCAACUUUAAUCUCUGUCGUGUUCUUAGCUAAUUAGAUAGUUAAUCUUAGUUUAAAAACAUCCCUUUCAUUCUUAGGCUAGAUAAUAAAAAGAUAGUAAUUACUAGUACUUUUAGUCCUUGUGGAUACGAUAUUUCUGGUUUCACCAUAACUAUACUACUGUUCGACAGGUGCGCUUUCCUUAUCGAAUUUUUAGUUAGUUCAGUGACCAUCAAGUUUUUAGCGCUGUUGCUGGGGACUAAGAUAUUAGGAGUACUUAAUUUUUAUUACUUUGGUCAUGUGGCACGCCCGUGUGGUGGUGCUCAAGCCGUGUGCAAUUCUGAUAUGAUUUUAAGUCGACACGGCCAUUACACACAGGCGUGUGGUCUAACCGUGUGUUUAACCGAGCGUGUGGAUUACUCAUGUGGAAGUGUCUGGGCUGUGUGCAGCAUUAAAAUCAACCUAUUUUGUUCGCUUUUGGCCUUUUUCUCGCACUUUUCGUUUUCCUAAGCUCAUCUGGAUAUAAAACAUGAAAUUAAAGGAUUAGGAGCAUCAAAUUCACUAAUUCUUAUGAUAAAUCAUCUGAAAAUAUGCCAAGAAUGGGAUUAAAAAUAUGUUACUUUUGAGGUUUAGCAAUAGGAUACUCGAAUAAUCACAUAUAUCGUACAAUGCCAACGUCCCAGACGUGGUCUUACAUGCCAUCUCAUAUCGAUGCCACUGUCCCAGACAUGGUCUUACACGAAUCAAAUAUGAUGCCAAUGUCUCAGACAUGGUCUUACACGUAACCACAUAUAUUGAUGCCAACGUCCCAGACGUGGUCUUAAACGAAAACACAUAUAAAAAAUCCUAUGUCAUGACAUAUGAAUCCUAGUUAUUCCUAAGGUUCGUACGAGGCUUUCGGACGUCUUAACUCAGUCGAAAUGAAUUUGUAAACAUAACUCCCAAGCUUAUUUACAUUCGGCUAACACAUAUAUAUUUCCACAUAGUUCAUUUCAGCAUAUAAAUCUAUUUAAUCAAAUAAAUAACAUUUAUUUGCUUAUUAACUUACCUCAGACGAUGAAACUCAAAACGGCACGGCUAAUCGACAACUUUAGUUUUCCCCUAUCCAAAUCUGAUUUCUUUGGUUCUUCAUCUAAACAUAUUCAAAUUAAAAUCAUUCAAACAUAUUUUCACUCAUUUUAGUCCAAAAACACAUAAAUGGGUAAAUUACAAUUUUACCCCUGACAUUUUACACUUUUUACAAUUUAGUCCAAAUUGCACAAAACACAAAACAUGCAAAAUUUGCACAUACCAUGCGUAGGCCGAAUGUUCCAUGUGUUCACACAAGUCCAUAAAUUUCAUUUAUUUCACAUUUUAGUCCCUCAAUUUAUAAUUUUUGCAAUUUAAUCCUAAUUACUCAAAAUCAUCAAAGAUUCCAAUACAAAACAUGUUAAUCUAAAACGUAUCUUUCAUAUUUCAUCAACUAUCAUCACAAAGCUCAAAUAUUCAUCAAUGGCAUAACUCAAAAUAUUCAUCAAAAUAAAAAAAUUCAAGCAUGGGCUUUGUACAUUACACUACAAUGAUCUCAAAAACGUAAAAAUUAUAAAAAACCGAGCUAGUUACAUACCUUGAUUAAGCUAUCAAAUGGCUGAACCCUUAAAAGCUUUCUUUUCUUUUCUUUUUUAUUUAGUUUCGAUCACCAAGAACAAAAUAUGAAUGCAUUAUAAUUAUUUUAUGUUUUAUGAUAUAUUAACAUAUUAAUAAAUUUACAUAUUUAACCUUUAUUAUAAAAUAUAAAAUAAUUAUAAAUCAUGGUCAUUACCGUCCACUACAUAUAAUUAUGGUUUAAUUGCAUUAUAAAUGCUUCAUAUAAAUAAGACAAGUUCAAGUCGGCCCUUAUAUAUUAAAACAUCAAAUUUUCAUUUUACGCGAUUAAGCCAUUUUAUUAAAUCGAACACUCAAACGAUAAAAUUAAAACACAAAAAUUUCACACAUAUAAAUUCACACAUAAUAAACAUAGAAAAUAAUUUUUAAAAUAUUUUUCUAACUCAGAUUCAUGGUCCCGAAACCACCUUUCCGAAUAGGUUCCAAAUCGGGCUGUUACAACUCUCCCCGCUUAGGGAUUUUCGUCCCCGAAAAUCUUACCGGUGAAUAGGUUUGGAUAGCGUUCCUUCAUUGCAUCCUCUGGCUCCCAUGUUGCCUCUUCAACUCCAUGUUUAUACCACAGUACUUUCACUAACGAAAUUUUCUUGUUUCGCAAUUCUUUAACUUCGCGAGCCAAAAUAUGAGUCGAUUCUUCCUCAUCUGUCAUAUCAGGCUUAAUCUCAAGCUCUGACAAAUUAAUCACAUGUGAGGGAUCAGAUCAAUAUCUACGAAGUAUCGAUACAUGGAAUACAUUAUGGAUCUUUUCUAACUUAGGUGGAAACAACAAUUUAUACGCAACCGACCCAAUACGCUCUAUAAUCUCAUACGGCCCAAUAAAUCUCGAGCUUAAUUUUCCUUUACGUCCGAAUCUGAUUAUUUUCUUCCACGGUGAGACUUUUAAAAAGAAUUUGUCCCCAAUCUUAAACUCUAUAUCUUUUCAUUUCAAGUCCACAUACGAUUUCUGACGAUCUGACGCAGUUUUCAAACUUUCGUGGAUCACUUUUACUUUCUGUUCUGUCUCUAAAUCAAAUUGACCCCAUGUAUCUUGUUUUCAUUGAGCUCAGUCCAAUAUAAUGCUGUAUGAAAUUUACGAUCGUACAAAGCCUCGCAAGAUGCCAUUUUGAUACUCGAUUGAAAGCUAUUAUUGUACGCAAAUUCAAACAGAGGUAAGUAUCGUUGAUGGUCAUGAAACUAACUAAAAAUUGACUUAAGGCAACCGCACCUAUCAAACAGUAGUGUAGUUAUGGUGAGACCGGAAAUAUCAUAUCCACGAGGACUAAAAGUACUAGUAAUUACUAUCUUUUUAUUAUCUAGCCUAAGAAUUAAAAGGUGUUUUUAAACUAAAUUAAUUUUCUAAGAUUACGACAGAGAUGAAAGUUGGAAAAUACAUUAGAAAAACCAAAGGAGAAGACAAUACCCAAGAAAGAAUCUACCUAGACUUCACUUAUUACCUUUGACUUAGUCGAUUUAUGAACUUGACUUAUUUUGUAGAAAUCCCUGAUUUAUGUUAAUAUCCGCUUCGAGACUAAAAACAACUGACUCUAGGUUGAUUAAUUGAAAUCUCUUUCUAAUUACAACCCUUAUUGUCGCAUUAACUCGAUCUAUGGAUUCCCUUAUUAGAUUUGACUCUAAUUCGGCAGAUUUAUGUCGUCCUAUCUUUAGGAUUGCAUGUAACUCCUUUUAAUUAUGAAUGAUCUACUCUUAAAAAUGGACUUUUCUUCCACUGAAUAAGCACAUCAAAUUAAUUAUGAAUGAUCUACUCUUAAACAGGGACUUUUCUUCCACUGAAUAAGCACAUCAAAAACCUGAAUUAAUAUCCUGGAUUAUUAAAACAAGGAUUAAAACUCAUAAUUAAGAAUAAGAAUAAAUAUUUAUCAUAAUAAUCAAAGAGUAAUAAUAUUCGUCUUAUGUUUCAUCUCCCUUAGGUAUUUAGGGAGUUUAGUUCAUAAUAAUAAUGGAAAAAAUCUCAAAGUAUGAAAAACAACAAAAUAUAAAGAAAACCAAAAAACUUCUAGGAAAUUGGAUGGAAAUCUUCAGUCUUGAUGUAGAUCCUGCCUCCGAGGUGAUUCUGAUGGCUAUUCUCGAGUAUUUUUUGCUUCUAACUCCGCGUGUCCCUUUAAUCCUCUUCUAGAGUGUUUAUAUAGGCUUUAGAAUGCUUCAAAACCCCUCAAAAGUGGCCUUUUUUGAGUAGAACUAGACUUGGGCUCGACAAGGACACGGCCUUGUGCCACGCCUAUGUGCAAAUGCUCAAACCGUGUGUAAUUCUGAGUUGGUUUCAAGUCGACACGGCCAUGACACACGGGCGUGUGUCCUACACGUAUGCCUCAUAGGGGCAUGUGGUUUUCCCGUGUGGGAGUGCCUUGGCCGUGUGAAACACUGAUUUAUGCCCAUUUGGUCCGUUUUUGGCCCAUUUCUUGCUCUUUUUGCUAUUCUAAGCUCUCCUGAGUAUAAAACAUGAAAUUAAAGGAUUAGGAGCAUCAAAUUCACUAAAACCAAGGAAAAAAUCAUUCAUAAAUAUGCCAAACAUGGGGUAAAAAUAUGUAUAUAUUACGGUUUAUCAAUCGUUCCUACGUACCUUCGGACUCGAGAAUGCAACAUCUCAAUAUAUCCUCAAGUAUCUGAAUGAUUUGUUUAGACUGACCAUCUAUUUGUGGAUGGAAAGCAGUGCUGAAAUGUAAUUUUGUACCUAGAGCAUCUUGUAAUUUCUUCCAAAACUGUGAUGUAAACCUCGGAUCUCUAUCUGAAAAAAUAAAAAUAGGUACUCCGUGCAACCUCAUUAUCUGAGAAACAUAUAACUCAGCUAGCUUAUCAAGUGAGUAAUCUAUGCGAACCGGAACAAAAUGAGCUGAUUUAGUCAAUCUAUCCACAAUAACCCAGAUUGCAUCUUUCUUGCUCGAUGUCAUCGGUAAACCGGAUACAAAAUCCAUCGUGACUCUGUCCUAUUUCCACUCAGGUAUCAUAAUCGGUUGAAGCAAUCCAGAAGGUACUUGAUGCUCAGCUUUUAUUUGCUGACAGACUAAACAUUUUGAAACAAAGUCAGAAAUGUCUCAUUUCAUACCAUGCCACCAGUAAAGCUGUUUCAAAUCAUUAUACAUUUUCGUACUACCCGGGUGAACAGAUAACCAACUGCUGUGAGCUUUAUUCAAAAUCAUCUGAAUCAACUCUGAAUUUCUCGAAACACAUAUUCGGUUUCUGAACCUCAGGUAAACCUCCGCAUCAACUCAAAACUCUGAAUUAGCAUUCAAAUCACAUUGGCUCCACUUUGCUAACAAAUCAUUAUCAACUUUCUGAGCAUCACAAAUUUGUUGAAUAAAUAACGGUAUUGCCUUUAAGUCAGCUAUUAUCAAACUAUCAUCAGACAUAGCUAUAUGCGCAUUCAUUGCACGCAAAGCAAACAGUGAUUUUCAACUUAAAGUUUCAGCAACAACAUUAGCCUUUCCCGAAUCAUAGUCGAACACAAGCUCGUAGUCUUUUAACAACUCUAACCAUCGACGAUGUUUCAAAUUCAGAUCUUUCUGAGUCAUCAAAUGUUUUAGGCUCUUGUGAUUAGAAUAAACAUGUCAUUUCUUACCGAACAGAUAGUGACACCAUAUCUUCAAUGCAAAUACAAUAGCUGCCAAUUCUAAGUUAUGUGUCGGAUAGUUCUUUUCAUACGACUUUAACUGUCUCGAGGCAUAAGCUAUAACUUUUCCUUCAUGCAUUAAAACACAGCCCAAAUCAUUUAAAGAUGCAUCACUAUAAAGAACAAAUUCUUUACCAGAUUCUGGCUGAACUAACACUGGAGCUUCGGUCAAAAGGCCUUUCAACUGAUCAAAACUUUUCUGACAACUCAAACUUAACAUCUUUCUAUAAAAGCUUCGUCAUUGGGGUUGCAAUCAUAGAGAAACCUUUCACGAACCGUCUAUAGUAACCAGCAAGUCCUAGAAAACUUCGGACUUCAAAAACAUUUCUUGGAGGUUUCCAAUCAAGUAUAGUUGAAAUUUUACUCAAAUCAACCCGAAUACCCAAUGCUGAUACAAUAUGACCCAAAAAAUUGACUUCACGCAACCAGAACUCACAUUUACUGAACUUCACAUAUACCUGUUUAUCUCAAAAAAUCUAUAACACAAGUCUCAAAUGUUCGGCAUGCUCGGUUUUAUCACGGGAAUAGAUCAAAACGCCAUCUAUGAACACAACCACAAAUCGAUCCAAAUACUGUUUGUAGAUUCGAUUCAUCAAAUCCAUGAAAAGAACAAGUGCAUUAGUAAGUCCGAAAGGCAUAACCAAAAACUCAUAGUGUCCGUACCUCGUUCGAAAAGCAGUCUUUGGCACAUCGGAGUCUUUAACUCGCAACUGAUAGUAACCUGAUAUCAAAUCUAUCUUCGAAAACACUGUAGCCCCUUUCAGUUGAUCAAACAGGUCAUCAAUUCGUGGCAACGGAUAUUUAUUCCUUAUAGUCACCUUAUUGAGCUAUCUAUAAUUGAUACACAUUCUCAUAGUUCCAUCUUUCUUUUUCACAAAAAAAACUGGUGCACCCUAGGGAGAGAAGCUCGGUCGCGCGAAACCUCUAUCUGUCAACUCUUGCAACUGAGCUUUUAAUUCUUUGAAUUCAGUAGGUGCCAUUCUGUACGGAGCUAUCGAUAUCGGAGUCGUCCCCGACACUAACUCAAUACCAACUCUACGUUUCGAAUAGGUGAAAAACCCGACAAUUCUUCAGGAAACAUAUCCGGAUACUCGCACACAAUUGGAACAGAUUCGAUCUUUCUUUCAGUCACUUUACUAUCAAACACAUAUGCAAAGUAAGCUUUACAAACCUUCCUUACAUACUUUUGAGCUAACAUCGAAGAUAUCAUUGUCGGUAAACCAUUCAGAUCAUUAGAUUCAAUCCGAAUAAUCUCAUUAUUCUGGCGCCCUAAAUCAAUAGUCUUUCUUUUGACAUUUACGAUAGUAUCGUGCAAAGUCAACCAAUCCAUACCCAGAAUUAUAUCGAACUUGUCGAAUGGCAACAACAUCAAAUCUGCCAGAAAACACAAAUCUCAAAUCAUCAAAGGACCAUUCUUACACACUUUAUCAACCAUAACACACCGGCCCAAGGAGUUCGAUACUCAAAUCAUUAAAGCAUGACUUACUCUUUACUUCAUAAAAUCACAUAGAAUAUCCAAUGAGUUCACAUCUUAUACAUAUGUAUCACUUAAGUACCUGUAAUACUCACAAUACGAUUAUACUUUUCUCAUUAACUUAAAUUUAUAACUCUCGCCGUUGAACCAUUUGGAACACUACCGGAUAUUCCAUAGGCCUCAAUCAUGGGUAAAGUGUCGAUGCCAUGUCCCAGACAUGGUUUUACACUAGCUAUCAUCUUCGAGGCCGAUGCCAUGUCCAAGACAUGGUUUUACACUAGCUCUCACAUAACUGUGCCGAUGCCAUGUCCCAGACAUGGUCUUACACUGAUACAUCGCGUAGCCGAUGCAUGUCCCAGACAUGUCUUAUACUGGCUUACGUCCCCAAAUUGAUUUAUGUCCCAGACAUGUCUUACACUAGCAUUCGUCUCAAUGCCGAUGCCAUGUCCUAGACAUGGUCUUGCACUGGAUCUUGUAAUGUGGCCGAUGCAUGUCCUAGACAUGUCUUACACUAGCUCACACAAAUGACCCAAGUGAUACGACAUGAAAAUACGGUUUACUUCCUAAGGUCCCAACGGGAAUUCUACUAUCUCAAUGAUCACUAAACAUUCUCAAUCUCGAAAUCAAGCAAUUCAUGUCACAUCUAUUCAAUGACAAUUUAAAUAUGGAUAGUAGCUAUGUAGUUAUAUUUUUUACAUACAACUUACCUCAGAUUUUAAAAUGUAGUGACUAUACGGUUUAGUCGAUUUGCUUGGCUUUUCCCCAGUCUUAGUUCGAAUUUGACAAUUUUUUUAUCUAUAUUAGCAAAAUUCACUCAUUUAGUCAUUAAUUACAAUUAGCAAUUGAAAAUUCACAUUUUUAGUAAAAUAACCAUUUUGCCCCUAGACUUUGGCAAAAUGACCAUUUUACCCCUAUGCCCGAAAAUCAGUUUUUAUCAAAUUUCUUCGCCUCUUAAGCUUAGCUGAACUCUUUUUACUCUUAUAGCAACCUAAAAUUCCCACUAUUUCACACACUUAUUACUUAUUUUGCAACUUAUGCAAAAUAGUCCCUUUAGGUGUUUUCAUGCUAACACCUUUCACAAAAGUUGUUUAUAAGACAACCAAGACUCAUCUUCUUCCAUAAAAACUCAGCAAACAACAUAAAUUAUUUCAUGGAAAAACCCUAAACUCUUGAUCAUUUUGUAGGAUAGCACCCUCAUUUGAAAACUCAUGCUUCAAGAGUCUCAAAAGUACAAAAAUAUUUUAGAAAAGCCGUUAGGAUCACUUAAUUGUGAGUGCUUCAAGUUGCUGCAAAUUAUUAAAGCUUAAAACCCCAAAAAUGGCUGAUAUUUUCAGCUAAGAAGAAAUGGGAAAUAGGGUGAUAUCAUUUCCUUUUUCUAUUUUAUAUUUUAGUCAAAAUUGGUCACCUAAUCCAACCAAAAAUUGAAAUUUUUGACCACACAUGUCUCCUAUGGCUGGCCACCCUAUUUCUAGGGGUCUAAUUUCCCUUUAAAGCCCCCUAAUUUAGGUUCUCUAGCUAUUUAACACCUUUAGCUAUCAAUUUAGGACUCUUACACUUUAUGUGAUUUAGUCCUUUUUUUCACAAUCGGGCUCACAAAUGUCAAAAAUAACUCACCAAAUUUUUCAUGUACUAAUAUAAACAUGCUAUGACUCCAAAAUAAUAAUAAAAUAAUUUCUUCAACUUUGGAUUUGUGGUCCCCGAGACCACUAUUCUAACUAGCCCUAAAUCUGGCUGUUACAUUUCUCCUUCUUUAGAGAUUUUCGUCCAUGAAAAUCUUACCAGCGAAUAAGUUCGGGUACUGAUCUCUCAUAGUCUCCUCGAGUUCCCAUGUGGCUUCCUCAACUCCAUGUCUAUGCCACAAAACCUUCACAAGUUCUAUAUUCUUAUUUCUCAACUAUUUGACUUCUUGAGCCAAAAUCUUGACCUACUUCUCACCAUAAGUCAUGUUCGGAAGAAUUUCAACCUCUGUCGGCUUAAUCACAUGAGAAGGGUCUGAUCUAUAUCGACGUAGCAUGGACACAUGAAACACGUCGUAAAUCUUUUCCAAUUCCAGUGGCAAAUCCAAUCAGUAAGCAACUGGCCCUACUUUCUUGGUAACUACAUAAUGUCCUAUGAAAUGAGGACUCAACUUGCCUUUUCUACCAAAUCUGAGGACUUUCCUCCACGGAAAUACUUUUAAAAAUACCUUAUCACCAACUUGAAACUCAAUUUCCUUUCGUUUCAAAUCUGCGUAAGAUUUUUAUCUAUUCGAGGCAGCCCUCAAGCAGUCACGAAUCACUCUAACUUUCUUUUCAGUCUCCUUAAUUAAUUCGAACCCAUGAAUCUGACCCACUUUAAGCUCAGUCCAAUAUAAGGGCGUUCGACACUUUCACCUAUAUAAUGCCUCAUAAGGUGCCAUUUUCAAACUUGUCUGAUAACUGUUAUUAUAGGCAAAUUCAACCAAUGGUAGAUACUUUUCCCAACUACCUUGGAACUCAAAGACGUAACACCGUAACAUGUCCUCUAAUAUCUGAAUUACUCUCUCUGACUGACCGUCAGUUUGCGGAUAGAAAGCUUUGCUAAAUUCAACUUUGUUCCCAGAACCUCUUGUAACUUUUUCCAAAACCUCGAGGUAAAUCUCGGGUCUCUAUCUAAAACAAUCGAUAUGGGCACUCCGUGUAGUCUCACAAUCUCGGAAACAUACAAGUCGGCUAAUCACCCAAACAACAUUCUUUUUUUCAGGGUUAUUGGCAAAGCCGUCACAAAAUCCAUAGUGAUCUGAUCCCACUUCCACUCGAGGACCAUGAUAGGCUGAAGUAGACCCGAAGGCACUUGAUGUUUAGCCUUUACUUGUUGAUAUACCAGGCACUUAGACACAAACUCUGAAAUAUCUCUUUUCAUACCUGACCACUAAUACAUUUUCUUAAAGUCGUUGUACAUUUUCACACUGCCCGGGUGGACGGACAAACAACCACUAUAUACUUCUCUCAGAAUCUUCUAAAUAAGCUCAUUGUCCUUAGGUACACAAACUUUGUCUCUAAACAUUAAACAUCCAUCGGUACCAAUAUGAAAAUCUGAUUCAAUUCCCGACUCACACUAAGUUCUAUUGGCGUGCAAUUUCUCAUCACCUUUCUGAGCUUCUCGGACCUCUUGAAGAAAUGUUGUCUAGCUCUCAUCUCAGUUAGAAUUAUACCAUCAUUAGACAAUGUCAUAUGACAUUCAUUGCUCUCAGCGCAAAUAAUGAUUUUCUACUUAAAGCGUCGGUGACUACAUUCGCCUUUCUCGGAUGUUAGUCGAUAAUCAAUUCAUAGUCCUUUAUUAGCUCUAACCACCGUCAUUGCCGUAAAUUCAAUUCUUUUUUAAUCAUCAAGUACUUUAAGCUCUUAUUGUCGGUGAAUACCUAACAUUUCUCCCCAUACAAAUGGUGUCUCUAAAUUUUCAGUGCGCACACGAUGGCGGGCAAUUCUAAAUCAUGGGUCGGGUAGUUUUUCUCAUGUGGCUUCAGUUUUCUUGAAGCGUAAGCUAUGAGCUUACCUUCUUGCAUAAGCAUGCACCCCAAACCAUUUAAAGAGGCGUUGCUAUAUACUACAAACUCUUUGUCCGACUCCGGUUGCACUAACACUAUGGUUUCGGUCAACAAAGCCUUUAAUUUCUCGAAACUCUGCUGGCACUUUUCUGUCCAUUCAAAUUUGACAUACUUUUAUAGUAGUAUCGUCAUCGGCAUAGCUAUCAUAGAGAAUCUGUUUAUAAACCGUCUAUAGUCCCCGGCCAACCCCAAAAAGCUUCAAACCUCUGUCACAUUCUUCGGAGGUUUCCAUUCAAUAAUAGCCGAGAUCUUACUUGGGUUAACUCGGAUCCCAUCUCUUGACACAAGAUGUCCUAGAAAACCAACCUUCUUAAGCCAAAAUUCAUUCUUACUAAACUUGGCAUACAAUCUCUUGUCUCUCAAGGUUGGCAACACAACUCUUAGAUGCUCUGCGUGCUCGCUCUCAUCACGCGAAUAAAUCAAUAUGUCAUUGAUAAAGACGAUGACAAACUUAUCCAAAUAUGGUCUGAAAAUACAGUUCAUCAGAUCCAUAAAUACCACCGGGGCAUUAGUCAAACCAAAAGGCAUAACAAGGAAUUCAUAAUGCCCAUAUCUCAUCUGAAAAGCAGUUUUUGGUACAUCUUUCUCUUUUACUCUUAACUGGUGGUACCCGGAUCUUAGAUCAAUCUUGGAAAAUACAGUAGCCCCCUUCAACUGAUCGAACAAAUUAUCGACUCUUGGCAAAGGAUAUUUGUUCUUCACCAUCACCUUAUUGAGCUAUCUAUAGUCGAUACAUAAUUUCAUCGACCGGUCUUUCUUUUGACGAAAAGUACCGGAGCACCCUAUGGUGAAAAACUUGGUCUCGCAAAGCCCUUAUCUGUUAGCUCUUGCAACUGUGCUUUCAAAUCUUUAUACUCGGUCGGAGCCAUCCUAUAUGGAGCAAUGGAGAUGAGCGUCGUACCGGAAACCAACUCAAUUCCAAACUCGAUUUCCCUUACUGCAGGUAGUCUGGGUAGUUCUUCCGGAACCACAUCUGUAAAUCAUAGACCACUGGUACCGAUUCAAUCUUCAACUCAGACACUUUAGUAUUCAACACAAAAGAUAGAUAGGCCCUAUAUCCUUUCCUCAAAUAUUUUUCAGUAGUUAAAGACAAUAUUACUACAGGCAGAUUAUCAAUCCAUCUGGUCCAACUCGAAGAACAUUCCUGUCUUCACAUUUCAACUCAAUAACUUUCCUCCCAUAGUCCACUACAACACUAUGAGAAGUCAACCAAUCCAUCCCAAGGAUUACGUCAAAUUCAUUAAACGACAAUAACAUCAAGUUAGCCGGAAAACAAUGACCUCUAAUUGUCAAAGGACAAUCCUUACACAAUUGGUCCACUAAUACAUAUUUACCUAAAGGGUUAGACACUUUGAUCACAAACUUAGUGGACUCUACUAGCAUGCUCACACAAGGUACUAAUUCCAUACAAAUAUAAGAGUGGGUAGAUCCCGGGUCAAUUAAUGCAACAACAGAUAUAUCAUGGAUAGAAAAAGUAUCCGUGAUCACAUCGGGAGACUCUGCCUCUUCCCGAGCUCGAAUAGCAUAAAUCCUUGCAGGCGCUCUGCCCUCGGACCUCAUUGCAGCGUCUCUGGGUGCACUUCGGCUAGAAGCCCCGCUUCCCAGGUUCUUUUGUGGUCUACCCCUUAAUGGAGCACUGCUUGCCUUUACUUUUUACUUUCUCUCUCCCAUCUCAGGGCAAUCAUGAAUAAAGUGGUCUAGUGACUUACACUUCUAGCAACCCCUCCUGUCUUCACAUUUCAACUCAAUAACUUUCCUCCCAUAGUCCACUACAACACUAUGAGAAGUCAACCAAUCCAUCCCAAGGAUUACGUCAAAUUCAUUAAACGACAAUAACAUCAAGUUAGCCGGAAAACAAUGACCUCUAAUUGUCAAAGAACAAUCCUUACACACUUGGUCCAUUAAUACAUAUUUACCUAAAGGGUUAGACACUUUGAUCACAAACUCAGUGGACUCUACUAGCAUGCUCAUAUGAGGUACUAAUUCCAUACAAAUAUAAGAGUGGGUAGAUCCCGGGUCAAUUAAUGAAACAACAGAUAUAUCAUAGAUAGAAAAAGUAUCCAUGAUCACAUCGGGAGACUCUGCCUCUUCCCGAGCUCGAAUAGCAUAAUUCCUUGCAGGCGCUCUACCCUCAGACCUCAUUGCAGCGUCUCUGGGUGCACUUCGGCUAGAAGCCCCGCUUCCCGGGUUUUUUUGUUGUCUACCCCUUAAUGGAGCACUGCUUGCCUUUACUUUUUACUUUCUCUCUCCCACCUCAGGGCAAUCAUGAAUAAAGUGGUCUAGUGACUUACACUUCUAGCAACCCCUUUCGUUUCCUCGGCACUCGCCAAAAUGACACCUGCCACACUACUAGCAUUCUCGCCUAUUUGGCUGAGCACUACCGACACUCGCAACAGAAAUGGUCUGGGCUCUAGAAGUUGUAUUCUGUCAGUUCUUGUUUCUAUUUGAAAACCCCAACAAAACAUUCGAUCGAGUAGCAAACUCUUUUGAUCUUUUAGAUGAGAACUAAUAUGAUUUCCCCAUCUGUCUCUUCUUUGAAUCCCGCAACUCAAUAGCUACUUUUCUCCUUUCUUUUACUAGCUCCUCAGCCUUCCAUGCUCUCUCGACGAGUACUACAAAUUCUUUUAUCUCUAAGAUGCCAACAAACACUCGGAUGUCUUCAUUAAGUCCAUCCUCAAACCUCUUACACAUGGUAGCUUCAGUGGAUAUGCAUUCUCGCGAAUAUUUGCUGAGUUUCACAAACUCACGUUCAUACUCCGUCACAGUCUUAUUACAUUGCUUCAACUCUAAAAAUUCCUUCCUUUUUUGAUCCAUGAACCUCUGGCUAAUAUACUUUUUACGGAACUUUUCUUGGAAAAAUUCCCAAGUUACUCAUUCUCUCGGUACCACGGACAUGAGAGUAUUCCACCACUGAUAUGCUGAAUCCCAUAAAAGUGACACCACACACUUCUCGGUCCCUUGUUUCUGGAUCUUGUCUACUAGAGGCUUCUCUCUUCUAAACAUGUCCGCGCCUUGCAGAGCAACUGGGGCAUACUGAAGAAUCGAGGGAGGUGGGGGAGGUAGAGUGUUCGGGAUCGCACGAACGAACUCCGUGUACCAAGCAUCUAUCAUCUGAAGGUAGGCUUCUCUAGCCCCCUCCGCCUUGGCCCAUAGUCAUGGGAUCACUCUCAACGACGCAGUCCCUUCGGUAAGAGCCGGUGCAUUACUUUCCACGUCAUCCGCCGUGGCUCUAUCAGAAUCCAUUUACCAUAUAAAAACAUAAUUUAUAAUCGUUAAAAUUCGUCACACUAUCAAUAUACAAUUAUGGAAUGUAUAGCUAGACUCGUACUCUCGCUAGCUUAGUCCUAGAACCGACUAAACCAUAGCUCUGAUACCACUAAAUGUAACACCCUAUACUCGUAACCCACGCUGGGUCAGAGUACGAGGCAUUACCUAAUUUUAUCUUAUGCAUACAAACAGCCUCAUGUAACACCUUUAACCUGUAUCCGCCAUCGAAAUAAGGUUUCGGAGCAUUACUAAAAUUUGCAGAUCACUUAAAAAGAAUUCAAUUAAAUACUUACUGAUUCAAUGCAUCAUAUAAAUAAAUAUAUUACCAUUCAAUCAACAGCUUGGCACUUGUCUAAGCAUCAAACAGCAACAUUGUUAGUAUACUAGUACAUAUUUCAAAUAAAUUCAACAUUGAUAUACUUAUUUUCUCGACAUGUCACACUUGAGUUUUAAUAAUUGUUUUUACUUACAUAAUUUCCUUGUUUCAACAUAUUAAAGAUAAUCAUAUAUGUACAUGUCAUGAAACAUAUCAUUCUCUUACCGUUUCUUCAUAAGUAUAUAUCAUUCAUUUCAUUAUAUCAAUAUUUCAUGCUCCAUCAUUUCCAUAUAUUUUAUGUAUAUUUAUUCCAGUAAUAGUUUAUAUCAAACUUAACAUAAAUUAUAUUCCAUGUACCUAUACUUAUUCCAUUUAUCUAUCUUCUUAAUUAUUUCAUACAACUAUUUUGUACAUAUAUUUCUAUAUGACCAAUUCUUGUAAACAUUUCAUACAACCAUUUUGUAUAACCAAUUCAUAAAACCAUUCAUCAUUUGAUACACAUUACCUGAAUAUUGGUUGUUCAACAGAUGUCUUGGCGUCUCUCAUCCACGAUCUUAUUUAUCUUUGACAUGAUGCCAUAGUGUCUUUCAACUAUGGUCUUACUCACUUUCUGUCAUGUUUCCAUGGUAUCUUUCAACCAUGGUCUUGUUCAUUUCAUAUCACGUUGCCAUGGUAUCUUUCAACCAUGGUCUUAUUCAUUUCAUGUCACGUUGCCAUGGUAUCUUUCAACCAUGGUCUUACACAUUUCAUGUCACGUUGCCAUGGUAUCUUUCAACCAUGGUCUUACACAUUUCAUGUCACGUUGCCAUGGUAUCUUUCAACCAUGGUCUUACACAUUUCAUACAUGUUGCCAUGGUAUCUUUCAACCAUGGUCUUACACAUUUCAUUUCAGAGAGCACACUCCCGCGAACCUCAUCCUUACAGCGGGAUUACCAGUCCAGGCUAAAUCCCCUGCAACGACAAUUACUCUAAUGAGCUUGGAUCUAAAUUACCAGUCCAGGCUAAAUUCAGACCCUAAUUCGGAUUACCCAUCCGGGCUAAAUCCAUUUUACACAUAUUCUUUGGGAGGGCUAUAUCAGGAUAGGAUCACCCGUCUGAGCUAGAUCCUUUUUACCGUCAAUUCCUUUUCAGAUAUCCAUCGAAAUUUCCUUUCAUUCAACUAGGAUUUCUUCCCCUUUUAAUCAAAUAUAUCAAUGUUUCAUAAAUUUUCAUACAAUGAACUUUCAAAUCAUAUUCACAUCAAUAACAUACAUUUCAAGCAUUUAAGAAUAUAAUUCAAGUUACACGAACUUACCUCAUUGCUUGUUUGUGUUUAUAAUUUCAUUAAUUCGAUAUCUUUUCUUUUCCACGAUCAAGUCUCGUAUUUGAGUCGUCCAGAUUCUUAUAAAUAAAUUUGAUAAUCAUUUUCAUUCGUUUCAUAUUUUAAUGCAUUUAAUUAAUACUCUAGGCAAAAUUAUCAUUUUGCCCCUAAACUUUUAAUUAAUGACGAUUUCAUCCUUAGGGUUAGGAAAAUAAAAUUCUUGCAAUUUAAUCCUUACUUCCAGCUAUUAUUCUCAUACAUAUUGAUAACAGUCCAUGAAUUCUCAUACAAUAUCAGAAUUUUCCAUAAUUUCAACACUUUUCAAUUUAAUUCCUAAAAUAUAUUUUCCCCCGAUCUUGAACUAAAUUAAUAAUUUCAUUCAAUUUUGUAAUUUAAAUAAUAAAAUAAUCCAUUUCAUGCAAUUUGGUCAUUUCUAACAUUUUUACAAAAUUGCCCAUAAAGUUUUACUUUUAUUCAAUUUAGUCCCUGAGCCUAAAACAUGCAAAUUAGCCAUGCUAGAUGAAUAUUCAUACAUAUUUUUCCUCCUCCUCUCCAUUCCACAUCCUUAGUGUAUAUAACACACUUGUAAGUAACAUUAUCUAUAAUUUUUAUUAUUUACUUUUAUGAAUAUUCAAGCUGUCCAUCUGUUUCAUAUUCACAAAAUUAUUUAUAUCUGGAGCUAUAGAACUCCAAUUUAAGAUCCAAUGAUUUUCCCUAAAACUAGACUCAUAUAAAUUCUUACCAUAAAAUUUUCAGAAUUUUUAGUUUAGCCAAUAAGUAUAGUUUAUUCUUUAAAGUUACCCCUGUUUUGCUGUCUGACAGUUCUGACCCUUCUUUACUAAAAAUUAAUUAUCUCAUCAUACAGGAUUCAAAUGAUGUUCCAAUUUUUUAUUUAAAAUAGACUCAUUCAGGAUUCUAAAAAUAUAAAUUUAAGCCCAUAAUUAUUUUUAUCCAAUUUUUUAUGAUUUUCCAAAGUCAGAAUAGGGGAACCCGAAAUCAUUCUGACCUUGUCUCACAAAAUUUAUUAUAUCUCAUGUUUUACAAUUCCAUUUCUUACAUAAUUUCUUCUAUAAGAAACUAGACUCAAUAAGAUUUAAUUUCAUAUUUUAUUCAUCCUAAAAUUAUAUUUAUAAAAUUUUUGAUGAUUUUUCAAAUUUAGACUACUGCUGCUGUCCAAAACUGUAUUAGUGCAAGAUAAUAAUUACCAUGUUUAUAACACCCUUAUUUUCUUUUUUCUACACUAUUUCUCAUCACUUUCUCUUAUUUUCUCUUCACUAACAUAUCAAGAACAUAGGACCUUAUGUAAGAAAACUAUACUAUAACAUUAUUUCCAUGCUUUCUCAAUAAUAACAACUUAAAAAUAUAUUAAAAUCUUGAUGUACUUACCUUUUUCUAUUGAUUCCAAUCUUUAAUUUGAUUUUCUCUCUCCUCCAGCUUCUAUUCCUUGAAUCCAAUUUGACAUUCUAACUCCCCAUAGUCUCCUUAACAUUUUUCUCUCUUGGUAGCUAUAGAAAUUCUUUUGAUUUCUAGGUGAAAAUGGUGAAUUUUUGGUGGAAGGACCAAAUUGUAAAGAAAAGAAAACUUUUUUUCUUUUCUUCUCUUCUAACGUUUGCAUGCAUGGAAAGAUGAUGAGAAUUCUUCACCUUUCCUUCCUCAUAUACUAAAUAAAUAAUAAUAAUAAAAUAAUAAAUAUCUCAUUAAAAUAUUAAUAAAAUAAUAUUUAUCUAAUUAAUUAAUUUAAAAUAUCAUCAACAUAAUCAUUACAUUCUAGAAUUCUCUCUCUUACUAAUUGACCAUUUUGCCCUUCAUGAUCUUUUAGAAUUCCAUCCUUGAGCCAUCACUUAAUUUGGUAAACUUGCCAUUUAGUCCCUCAUAAUUUUUCACCUAGUCAAUUUGGUCCUAAUUCAUCCAUUUUCCUUAGUUUCUAGAUCAUUCUACCCUUAAAAUAUUUACACUAUUGGUCCUUCAAAUUUUUCAUAUUUACACUUUAACCCCUUAAAUUUUGGAUAUUUACUCUUGUGCAACAAGGCUUUUCUCAUCUUUAUAAUUUAGUCCUUUCUUGAAUUAAUAUAUCAUAAUAUACUUCCCAAGGUUGACACAACUCAAAAUUUUCCUUUUUGUCACUUUAUUUUCUUAUUUUACUAUAUCGAGGAUAAUAUCUUACUGCAAAAAUUUUCGGGGUAUUACACCUCAAGUCAUAGAGACUUGGUCCAAAUUAAAAAAUUUUCAAUUUCUACCUUAAACUUCUUAUUAUGGGCCUAGGAGCACCAAAUCGACCGUUAAAAACUAAUCGAAACCAUUCUGGGUCCUUAAACCAACCUUAAGAAAUUUGCCUUAAAAUAGGGCACAGGCCCGUGUGAAAGGGUAACACGCCUGUGUGACCAUUUCGACAUGGUCAUGCUAGUGGUCCAUGUGGCUCACACGGCCUAAGCACCUUGGGGCACGCCCGUGUCCCCGAUAAACCGUAAUUUAUUCAUAUUUUUAUCCCAUGCUUAGCACAUUUUAUGGAUGAUUUUUCCUUAAAAUUGGUGAAUUCGAUGCUCCUAAUGCCUUAAUUUCAAGUUUUAUACUUAGGUGAGCAUAGGAGAGUGAAAGGAACGAGAAACAGGCCAAAAACGGAGAAAAUUCGCCAACGUACGAAAUCAACACGGCCUGGACCUCCUCACACAGGUAGGCCACACGGUCGUGUCAAUUUGGCAGAAUCAAAGCACGACUCACACAAAUGGACCACAUGCCCGUGCCUAUUUAACAAGCUUGACCACGGCCUGAAGUAAUCACACACGGCGUGUCAGACUGGCCUGUCCCUGCUGAGCCCAAGUUUAGUCCAAUUCGGAAAAGGCCAAUUUUGAGGGUUCUUAGGCAUUCUAAAGCCUAUAAAUACACCUUAGAGGAGGAGGAAAAAGGGACGCACAGGGAAGGAGGCAGGGAACUGCUCAAAGAAAGCCAAUUGAUCCAUCUCAGAAGUCAGAUUCAUCAUCAAAACUAAAGAUCUCCCUUCAAUUUCUCUUCAGGAGUUUUGGGUUUUCUUUAUGUUUUGUAUUCAUUAUUCUUCUAAGAUGUUUACCUUUUUAGUUAUGAACUAAAACCCCUAAAUACCUAAGAUGAAUGAAACCUAAGACAGAUCUUGUUAUUAUUAUCUGAAUUGUAUGAUAAAUAUUUGGCUUGUUCUUAAUUAUGUGUUCUUAAUUCUUGUCUUGAUAUUCCAGGAUAUUGAUUCAAGUUAAGCUCUUAUUCAGAGGAGGAAUAGACCCUGUCUAAGAGUACAUUGUCAUAAUUAAACGGAGUUGAUUGCGCACCUAGAGAUAGGGUGACAAGAUUUUGCCGGAUUAAGGUGAAACCUAAUAAGUGGAUCCAUAGAUCGAGUUAAUACAACCCUGGGGAGUUAAUUAGAAAGAGAUUUCAAUUAUUCAACCUAGGGUUAGACGUUGUUAGUCUCGAGAGGGAUAAUAAUAUAACUUAGGGAUUUCUAUGGAUCAAGUCAAAUGAAUAAAACGUCCGAUUCAGAGUCAAAUAAAAAGUGAAGUCUAGGUGGAUUUUUCCUUAGGUAUUGUCUUGAUUCAAUCGUUUUUCCAAAAAGUAAUUCCCCAAUUCUAUUUUCUGUGAUUUCUUAGUUUAGUUAAUUAGUUAGUUAAAACAAAACCCACUAUUCUUAGGCUAGAUAAUAAAAAGAUAGUCAUUACUAGUACUUUUAGUUCUUUUUGGGUUCGACAAUCCAAUCUUGCUAAAACUAUACUCCUGUUUGAUAGGUACACUUGCCUUCAUCGGGAUAAUAGUUAGUUUCAAGAACGAUUCAUUAUAAAUAUUUAAAACUUGUCACGAAUAUCACGUAUCAAGUUUUUGGCACCGUUGCCGGGGAACUAAGAUAUUAGGAACACUCAAUUUUUAUUACUUUAGCCAUUUUACUUUUAUUGCAAUUUAAAUUUUUAUUUUCUUUUCUAAUUCUUCAUUUAUUUUCUUCUGGCAGGUUUUUUUAUAGUUUAUGACUAGAAGAAACCCGUCAGGACCAUUACUUUUUGACAGUGAGAUCGAUCGUACAGUUCGCAGAAACCAAAGAGAAAUAAGGCUAACCUUAAGAUACAAAGAGAACGAGCAAGAGGACGAUAUUCAAACCCCAACCGAGGAGAUGGCUAAAAACCAAGAAAAUUCGCUAUCUCCUGCAAUUGCUCUUAAUCAAAAUCCUGCUCUGCGCACUUUUUAUGAUUAUGCUAAACCUAAAUUAAUAGGAACUGACUGAAGUAUAGUUAGACCUGCUAUUUCUGCAAACAAUUUUAAACUGAAACCUAACACAAUUCAAAUGAUACAACAAUUUGUUUAGUUUGAUGGUUUGCAGGACGAGGAUCCCAACACUCACUUGGCAAAUUUCCUAGAAUUUUGUGAUACAUUUAAAAUCAAUGGUGUUUCUGAUGAUUCCAUACGUCUUCGGUUGUUUCCCUUUUCAUUAAGGAAUAAGGCUAAACAAUGGUUGAACUCGUUACCACGAGGGUGAAUCACUACGUAGGAACAAAUGAUCGAAAAAUUUUUAUUAAAAUAUUUUCCACCUUCUAAAACAGCCAAAUUACGUAAUGAUAUCUCUUCUUUUGUGCAAAUGGAUUUAGAAACACUCUACGAUGCAUGGGAGAAAUAUAAGGACCUUUUGCGAAGAUGCCCUCACCAUGGGUUACCACUUUGGCUACAGGUUCAAACGUUAUCCUUCGACUCGGCAAAUGAUUGAUGCAGCCGCUGGAGGAACUAUCAAUAAUAAAACACCUGAGGUGGCUUACGAAUUUGUUGAGGAAAUGUCACUAAAUAACUAUCAGUGGUAAGUUAUGAGAACAAAGCCAACGAAAACAGUUGGUGUUUUCAACCUCGACGCGGUUACUAUACUAUCUAACCAAGUAGAACUCUUAAAUAAAAAGAUUGACGGUUUGUGUGGUUCUACUCAGGCACAUCAGUGAUGAGGUGCGAUUCGAAUGGAGGAAGAGCAUGCACAGAAUAUCAACCCUUCAACCCUAGCAUCAAGGAGGAACAAGUCCAAUAUGUGGGUAACAAUAACUCUAGAUCCCAAAAUAACCCAUAUAGUAACACUUAUAAUGCAGGUUAGAGGAACCAUCCCAAUUUCUCGUGAGACGGUCAAGGAAAUCAAAGGCCACAACAUCCUCUGGGCUUUCAACAACCACCUUACCAGCAAGAAAAGAAGCCAAACCUUGAGGAGAUGUUAACCAAAUUCAUCUCGGUGUCAGAAACUCGUUUUCAGAAUACUGAGACAGCACUCAAAAAUCAACAAGCAUCGAUCCAAGGGCUCGAAACUCAAAUUGGACAGCUUGCCAAGUUGAUUUCUGAAUGACCACAAGGUAGCUUGCCAAGCAAUACAGAAUCUUACCCAAGGGAGCAACUCAACGUGAUUACUGGUCAAGAUGAGGAAGGGUUAGUCACACCUGAACCAGAACCAAGGCAAAAAACUGAGAUAAGCAAAAGUAAAAGUGAGGUAAACCACAAUGAGCAAAAACCGGUAAGUACAGAAUACAAACCUCGUGUGCCAUACCCUAAUGCUACAAGGAAAGACCGUUCAGAUGAACAAUUCGGUAAAUUCCUUAAACUCUUAAAAAAAUUACAUAUUAACUUACCGUUUAUUGAAGCUCUAUUGCAGAUGCCAAGCGCAAUGAAAUUUUUAAAGGAGCUUUUAGCAAAUAAGCGGAAGUUGGAGGAGACUUCACAUGUGAAGCUAAACGCAGUUUGCUCAGCUAUUCUACAGAAUAAACUACCCAACAAAUUGAAAGAUCCGGGGAGUUUUACAAUUCCUUGCUUACUUGGUAGUUUAGAUGUUAAUAAUGCAUUAGCUGAUUUAGGGGCUAGUAUUAACAUCAUGCCUUACAAAAUGUUUAAACAAGUAGGUCUUGGGAAACCGAAACAGACUAGGAUGAGCAUUCAAUUAGCAGAUAAAACUAUAAGAUUUCCUAAGGGUAUUAUUGAAGAUGUGCUAGUUAAAAUUGAUAAAUUUAUAUUUCCCGUUGACUUCAUUGUUCUAGACAUAGAGGAGGAUAACAAUACCCCUUUGAUUUUAGGAAGACCCUUUUUAGCAACUGCUAGAACGAUUAUUGAUGUUGGUACAGGUGAGCUCACACUUCAUGUGGGAGACGAAACAAUCACCCUUCAAGCUCACAAUUCCGGCAACACAUCAAAAAUAUAAGGUGAUUGUCUAAACCAUUCUACUAAAACUGACAAUAUGGUGCAACCUACUUUGCAGGAAAUGAGUUUGAAGGAAGUACAUGAGCCAUUUUCAGGCAAUAGUAGAGGACCUAUUCGUGAAGAACGAAGGCUACAAAUCUAGGAGCUAGAUUAAUGGCAGACACAUAAACCAAGAACACACGAUAAACCAAAACUAUGCCAGAACAAGUUUAACACCUUUCCAAAUCAACUUAAGGUUGGAGAUAAAGUUUUAUUAGAUGCCACAGAUCCUCACAUUAUCACUGCCAAAACGAAUGAAGAAAUCUCUCUUACGGUACUUAGCAUUAUCCUAUUUGGUACAGUCGAGGUAAAUUAUCCCAAGUUUGACACUUUUAAGGUAAACAAUACCUUCCUAAAACCUUAUUUUGAUGAGAUUCACAGCAGGAAUGAGGAGUAUAAACUCCUCGAACCACCACGACCAUUCAAUGGAAAGGUAAGUCGAGCUUAGACUAUAAAUAAGUGCUUUUCAAGAGGCAACCCAAGCAAUAACAAUAUUAAUUUCUUUAAAUUUUAGUUUUAACAUCUAAUAUACUAACCGACUCAUGGAAACGUAGGCUUUCGAAAGCACACACGGCGAAGAACACGGGCGUACGACACGCCCGUGCCAAGCAAUCGUGGGCGAACUUGCCAAUUUAACACGGGCGUGCGCCUUCCUACACGGGCCUGGGAGAAGCGAACGAAGAUCAACACAGCUGUGCAACAUGGCUGUGUACACCAAUGCCCCUAAUUUCGAAAAAUACGAAACACACGGGCUGAGCUUAGAGCACACGGGCGUUCCCCACGGCCGUGUGCCCCAAUUUCUCUAUAAACACCUAUUUUUUAUUUUAUUUUAUUAUUAUCUCUAUAUUUUGAAAUUAUUAUUUUUUAUUUUAUUUCCUUUUAAUACUAUUUCAUCCUAAGUUUUUACAAUUUCUAUUCUCCGGCUAUUUCAUUACGAGUAAUUAUGCUUCAGUAUACCUCUUAAAGAAUUCCUGAUUUGCGCACAAUCAGAAAGAGCUCCAAAGCUUACUAUUAUUUAGGAACUUGAAACUCCACUGGGAAAGAACUUAUGGACUAAUGAACCUCUACCACCGCCGGAGUAUCCUCUUCCACCCUCAUGCCGAUUAUUCUCCAAAACUCCGGUUUAAGGAAAUUCAUUCAUCACUUAGGAAGUCUUACUUCUCUCCCUAUCUUAUAUUUAUAUUCUUUUCUAUAUAUCUAUCUUUGUACAUUGAGGGUAAUGUACAUCUUAAGUGUGGGGGGUAUUCAUUUCACAAUCAGAAAAAUCCCUGAAUGAUUGCCUUGUUCUCUUGAAAAGCUCUCAUAUCAUAUUUACGAUAAAUUUUGAUUGAUUUAUGACUUUUAUUGAUAUAUCUUGAAUUAAAACAUAGGCAUUUAUGCAUUGAUUGUUUAAACUUUAAGACAUUAGGGAAUCAAGCAUGAUAAAUUGAUUUUUGAAGAAUUAAAAACUUUUAGGUUGUUUCCCUAAGUUUAGGUAUUAUCUUGAGUUGGAAUUCACAAGUUUAAACAUCAAAAAGCCAUAAUUUUUGUGAGAUCUUGAGCCUUUAGAGCAUCUAUUAUUUCUUUCAUGCUCACUUUCAUUAUGAGUGCGUCGGUAUUGCAUUGCUAUUCUAGAACUUGCUUGAUUAUGCAUGUCAAGACCACACCAUUUGAUUUGAUAUCUCAAAAUGAUAAAGGCACUUAGGUUUAACCCACUCACUCCAUAAAAGCCUACCUUCACAAUUGACCCUUAGUGAACCCCCUUGAGCCUAACAACCCAUUCAUUGAUUUACCCUCAAUAUUAACCCAUAACUCAUUAUUGUUGAAACUCCCUAAAUUAAUUUGAUCCAUAUUUUUGUCAAUAUUUGAGUUGGAAUAAUUGCUUAGCUAUGUUUUAUUAUAUUUUGUAAUUACUUGUUCUAAAAAAAAUAUACAUGUAUACAUAUUAGUAGUAGUGAUCUUCUGAGCUAAAGAAGUUAAAUUCCAUAUUCUGAGAAAAAAGGCUCUGUUGUACGCAAUUGAUGACUAGUCAUUUUUCUAGCUAGGCAAUUUUUCAAUUCAAUCUCGAUUCUAACCCUUUCUUUCAGCUUGUGACCACAUCCUCUAACCAAAGCCGCGUUACAACCCUCUAAAGACCUUUUGAUUGAUGUUUCAUCUCAAUUUAUAGUGGUGGAGAUUUGAUUUUCAUGCAAGCCUAUGGUAAUGACUUUUCAUUAUUGACUAUUGAGUGCUUCAUUUAUUAUCCUUAAACACCUUGAGUGAUUUGAGUGAAUCUUUAGUGAGGAUGUGAAACUCUGUGACAUUUUGAAUCAAAGGUAAUUACUUAAAUGAGGGGAGACACCUAUGUUUUCAUGAUAAAAUGCUCAACUUGGAAUGUUUAAAACUUUGAUGUUCUUUCAGUUGAAUUUUCAAUGUAUGAUUACCUAUGGAUUAUUUUGAGAUAUUAUCGAUAAAAAUUAUAAGUUGAGAAGAAUUUAUUUUGAUUAUGAGUUGAGAAUUUUGCUUGAGGACAAGCAAAUGCUAACCGUAAUUCAUACAUAUUUUUAUCCCAUGCUUAGCACAUUUUAUGGAUGAUUUUUCCUUAAAAUUGGUGAAUUCGAAGCUCCUAAUGCUUUAAUUUCAUGUUUUAUACUUAGGUGAGAAUAGGAGAGUGAUAGGAAUGAGAAACGGGCCAAAAACGGAAAAAAUGGGCCAACGUACGAAAUCAACACGGCCUGGACCUCCUAACACGGGCAGACCACAUGGCCGUGUCAAUUUGGCAGAAUCGAAGCACGACUCACACGGGUGGACCACAUGCCUGUGCCUAUUUAAUAGGCUUGACCACGGCCUGAAGUAAUCGCACACAGGCGUGUCACACGGGUGUGUCCCUGCCGAGCCCAAGUUUAGUCCAAUUCGAAAAAGGCUAAUUUUGAGUGUUCUUAGGCAUUCCAAAGCCUAUAAAUACACCCUAGAGGAGGAGGAAAAAGGGACACACAGGGAAGAAGGCAGGGAACUGCUCAAGGAAAGCCAAUUGAUCCAUCUUAGAAAGUCGGAUUCAUCAUCAAGACUAAUUUCCCUUCAGGAGUUUUGGGUUUUUCUUUAUGUUUUGUAUUCAUUAUUCUUCUGAGAUGUUUACCUUUUUAGUUAUGAACUAAAACCCCUAAAUAGCUAAGGGGAAUGAAACCUAAGACAGAUCUUGUUAUUAUUAUCUGAAUUGUAUGAUAAAUAUUUGGCUUGUUCUUAAUUAUGUGUUCUUAAUUCUUGUCUUGAUAUUUCAGGAUAUUGAUUCAAGUUAAGCUCUUAUUCAGAUGAGGAAUAGACCCUGUCUAAGAGUACAUUUGUCAUAAUUAAGUGGAGUUGAUUGCGCGCCUAAAGAUAGGGUGACAAUAUUUUGUCAGAUUAGGGUGAAACCUAAUAAAAGGAUCCAUAGAUCGAGUUAAUGCAACCCUAGGGAGUUAAUUAGAAAGAGAUUUCAAUUAUUCAACCUAGGGUUAGACGUUGUUAGUCUCGAGAGGGAUAAUAAUAUAACUUAGGGAUUUCUACGAAUCAAGUCAAAUGAAUAAAUCGUCCGAUUCAAAGUCAAAUAACAAGUGAAGUCUAGGUGGAUUUGUCCUUAGGUAUUGUCUUGAUUCAAUUAAUUUUCCAAAAAGUAAUUCCUCAAUUCUAUUUUCUGUGAUUUCUUAGUUUUGUUAAUUAGUUAGUUAAAACAAACCCCAAUAUUCUUAGGCUAGAUAAUAAAAAGACACUCAUUACUAGUACUUUUAGUUCCUUUGGGUUUGACAAUCCGGUCUUGCUAAAACUAUACUACUGUUCGAUAGGUACACUUGCCUUCAUCAUGAUAACAGUUAGUUUCAAGAACGAUUCAUUAUAAAUAUUUAAAACCUGUCAUGAAUAUCACGUAUCAGUCCCACACCUGUGUAGAAUUAAAUUUAAAUUCACACCUACAGGGGUUUUCAAACGGCCAAACACACGCCCGUGUCAAUAUCCUGUGUCCCUCACACGGCCACGACACGCCCAUGUCUUAACCCGUGUGCAAAAAUUGGGUAUUUUGUUUCUAACGUCAGCAUUCCUAAAUUGUCACACGGCCAAGGCACACGCCCGUGUACUAGACCAUGUCCUCCACACGGCCGUGUCUCUGCCCAAAUGUUUAUUAUCAUGCAUACUGACUUGAAAUUUUUACGUGCAGGGGUCACACGGCCGGACCAUACGCCCAUAGGGUUGACCGUGUGUCACACACGGCCUAGACACACGCUCGUGUGUCUACCCGUGUGGACAACAUAAGGCUAUUUACCAAACCUCAUUGCCACCAUUGCAUACCUAUUUUCACGUAAAUACCAGCCAAUACCAAAACAAGCAUAAUUUCUAAAAUCAAAUCAGCCACAAUAGACAUUCAUUCAACCAUGUAGAUGCCACUUUUAUAAACUCAAAAUAAAUAUUAGCCAUCAUUCAUGACUUAAUACUAAGUGUGGGAUCUAUCCCAAACCAACACAUUUGGCCAAAUUUCCAAGACUCAAAAAUAUAAGUUCUAAUCCUAUACAUGCCAUAUUCAAAAAUAUAAAUCCAACUAUACCGAAUGUUUCGGCUAAAAGUGUGAUAGAUGUCUCUGACUUUCGGUGAUUCUUGAACUAGUUAGGCGGCACUAAAAGAAAUGGAAAGGAAAGGGAGUAAGCAUAAAGCUUAGUAAGUUGCACAUAAAUAAAUAUACAAAAAUAAGUCUACAAUUUACCUACAACUUAUGAUACCAAAGUGGGCAUAAGCAUGACUUACUCUUUACUUCAUACAAAUCACAUAGCAUAUACAUUGAGUUCACAUCUUAUACAUAUGUAUCACUUAGGUAUCUGUAAUACUCAUAAUACAGUUAUACUUUUCUCAUUAACUUAAAUUUAUAACUCUUGUCAUUGAACCAUUCGGAACACUAUCAGAUAUUCCAUAGGCCUCAAUCAUGGGUAAAGUGCCGAUGCCAUGUCCUAGACAUGGUUUUACACUAGCUAUCAUCUUCGAGGCCAAUGCCAUGUCCCAGACAUGGUCUUACACUGACACAUCGCAUAGCCAAUGUAUGUCCCAGACAUGUCUUAUACUGGCUUACGUCCCGAGGCUGAUGCAUGUCCGAGACAUGUCUUACACAAGCACUUGUCUCAAUACCAAUGCCAUGUCCCAGACAUAGUCUUGCACUGGCUCUUAUAACGUGGCCGAUGCAUGUCCUAGACAUGUCUUACACUAGUUCACACAAAUGACCCAAGUGAUACGACAUGAAUAUACGGUUUACUUCCUAAGGUCCCAACGGGAAUUCUACUAUCUCAAUGAUCACUAAACAUUCUCAAUCUCAAAAUUAAGCAAUUCAUGUCACAUCUAUUCAAUGAUAAUUUAAAUAUGGAUAGUAGCAAUGUAGUUAUAUUAUUUACAUACAACUUACCUCGGAUUUUAAAAUGUAGCGACUAUACAGUUUAGUCGAUUUUCUUGGCUUUCCCCCGAUCUUGGUUUGAAUUUGAAAUUUUUUUAUCUAUAUUAGAAAAAUACACUCGUUUAGUCAUUAAUUACAAUUAGGCAAUUGAAAAUUCACAUUUUCGAUAAAAUGACCAUUUUGCCCCUAGACUUUGGCAAAAUGACCAUUUCCCCUAUGCCUGCAAAUUGAUUUUUAUCAAAUUUCUUCGCCUCUUAAGCUUAGCUGAACUCUUUUUACUCUUAUAUCAACCUACAAUUCCCACUAUUUCACACACUUAUCACUUAUUUUGCAACUUAUGCAAAAUAGUCCCUUUAGGUGUUUUCAUGCUAACACCUUUUACAAAAGUUGUUUAUAAGACAACCAAGACUCAUUUUCUGUAACACCCCCUACCCGUAUCCAUUACCGGAAUAGGGUACGAGACAUUACCGGAGUUUACUGAACAUUUUUAGAUAAUUCUGAGUCAUUUAUUAUUCAUAUUUUAGAAAUAAUCAUAACGUCUCUCUAUUGGGCCCUCGAAGCCCCAAACAUACACUAGAAACCAACCGGAAUUAAAUCGGGAUUAUAAAAAAAAUUUCGCAAAAUCUUAAAUUUUAUUUUCAUCUAAGUACUUACUAUUUCAAUGCUCCUUAUAAUUAAACAUGUUACCAUUCAAUCAAUAGUUUGGCACUUGUCUAAGCGUCAAACAACAUCAUUGUUAGUAUACUUGCACACAUUUCAUCUAAAUUCAACAUUAAUAUACUUAUUUUCUCUACAUAUCGCACUUGAGUUUAAUAAUAGUCUCAACUUACAUAAUUUCCUUGUAUCAACAUAUCAAAGAUAAUCAUAUAUGUACAUGUCAUGAAACAUAUCAUGCUCUUACCGUUUCUUCAUAAGCAUAUAUCAUUCAUUUCAUUAUAUCAAUAUUUCAUGCUCCAUCAUUUCCAUAUAUUUUAUGUAUAUUUAUUCCGGUAAUAGUUUAUAUCAAACUUGAAAUAAAUUAUAUUCCAUGUACUUAUACUUAUUUCCUUUAUUUAUUUUCAUAAUUAUUUCAUACAACUAUUUUGUACAUAUAUUUCCAUAUGACCAGUUCUUGUAAACAUUUCACACAACCAUUUCAUAUAACCAUUCGUCAUCUGAUAAGUAUUACCUGAAUUGUUCAAUAGAUGUCAUAGCGUCUCCCAUCCACGGUCUUAUUUAUCUUUGACAUGAUGCCAUAGUGUCUUUCAACUAUGGUCUUACUCAUUCAUUUUCUGUCAUGUUGCCAUGGUAUCUUUCAACCAUGGUCUUAUUCUUUUCAUGUCACGUUGCCAUGGUAUCUUUCAACCAUGGUCUUACAUAUUUCAUAUCAGGUUGCCAUGGUAUCUUUCAACCAUGGUCUUACACAUUUCAUAUCAGAGAGCACACUCCCGCGAACCUCAUCCUUACAGUGGGAUUACCAGUCCAGGCUAAAUCCCCUGUAAUAUAAACUCAUAGAGUAUUGUCGGGAUUACCAGUCCAGGCUAAAUCCCCUGCAAUGACAAUUACUCUAAUGAGCUUGGAUCUGAAUUACCAGUCCAGGCUAAAUUCAGACCCUAAUUUGGAUUACCUGUCUGGGCUAAAUCUAUUUUACACGUAUUCUUCGGGAGGGCUGUAUCAGAAUAGGAUCACCCGUCCGGGUUAGAUCCUUUUUUUUACCGUCAAUUCCUUUUCAGAGAUCCAUCGAAUUUUCCUUUCAUUCAACCGGGCUUUAUUUUCAAUUUAUAUCGAGUAUUAGCAAUAUUUCAUCAAUUAUCAUGAAUUGAACAUUCAAAUCAUAUUUUCAUCACAUAACCACAUAUUUCAAGUAUUUAAAAUACAAUUCAAGUUACACAAACUUACCUCAUUGCUUGUUUGUGUUUAUAAUUUCAUUAAUCCGAUAUCUUUUAUUCUCCACGAUCAAGUCUCAUUUUUGAGUUGUCCGGAUCUUUAUAAAUAAACUUGAUCAUCAUUUUCAUUCAUUUCAUAUUCUAAUGCAUUUAAUUAAUGCUCUAGGAAAAAUUACCAUUUUGCCCCUAAACUUUUAAUUAAUGACGAUUUCAUCCUUAGGGUCAGGAAAAUAAAAUUCUUGCAAUUUAAUCCUUAUCUCUAGAUAUUAUUCUCAUACGUAUUGAUAACAAUCCAUGAAUUCUAUAAAAUAUCAAAAUUUUCCAUAAUUUCAACACUUUUCAAUUUAAUCCCUAAAACAUGUUUUCCCCCAAUCUUGAACUAAAUUAAUAAUUUCAUUCAAUUUUGUAAUUUAAAUAAUAAAAUAAUCCAUUUCAUGCAAUUUGGUAAUUUCUGACAUUUUUACAAAAUUACCCAUAAAGUUUUACUUUUAUUCAAUUUAGUCUUUGAGCCUAAAACAUGCAAAUUAGCCAUGCUAGAUGAAUAUUCAUACAUAUUUUUCCUCCUCCUCCUCUCCAUUCCACAUCCUUAGUGUAUAUAACACACUUGUAAGUAACAUUAUAUAUAAUUUUUAUUAUUUACUUUUAUGAAUAUUCAAGCUGUCCAUCUGUAUCAUAGUCACUAAAUUAUUUAUAACUCGGUUUACGGAACUCCAAAUUAAGAUCCAUUAAUUUUUCCUGAAACUAGACUCAUAUAUCUUCUCACCAUAAAAUUUUCAGAAUUUUUAGUUUAGCCAUUAGGUAUAGUUAAUUCUUUAAAUUCACCCCUAUUCUGCUAUCUGACAGUUCCGACCCUUCUUCACUAAAAAUUAAUUAUCUCACAGUACAGAACUCGGAUAAUAUUCCCGUUGAUUUCUCCUCAUAAUAUACUCAUUAUGAAUUCUAAAAAUAUAACUUUAAGCCUUAAUUAUUUUUCUUAAAUUUUUGGUGAUUUUUCAAAGUCAGAACAGGGGAACUCAAAUUCAUUCUGACCUUGUCUCACAAAAUUCAUUAUAUCUCAUAAUUUACAAUUCAAUUGCUUACACCGUUUCUUCUAUAAGAAACUAGACUCAAUAAGAUUUAAUUCCAUAUUUUAUUAAUCCUCUAAUUCAGUUUCUAAAAUUUUUUGUGAUUUUUCAAACUUAUACUACUGCUGCUGUCCAAAAUAGUCUUAGUGCAAAAUGUUGAUUUUCUACUUUUAAUUUCAAUUUAAUCCUAACUAAAUUCACUUACUUUUCUAUCUUAAUUCAUACUUUAUUUCUACUCAAUUUUUAACUAAACUCAUACUUAACUAUUAAAUUUCCAGCAUAUUUUCCUAAUUUCGAAAUUUCAUCAAUUUAGUCCCUACAACAUAAAACUUAUGAAUUAAUUUACAAUUCAAUCCUUAUUUCAUUACUAACUUGAAAUCCUAUCAAUCUAACCCCUAAUUCAUCUUUUUAUUCAACAUGAUCAAUAUUUAAAAAUCUAAUAACUUUCAAAAUAUUCACUUAAUUUCUUCAAAACCUUGUCCCAAAGCUUCCAAAACUUCAAAAUUAAGUAAAAAUGGCUAAAUUGACUUACCUAUUUAACUUUCAAGCCUUGAAAUCCCAGUUUUUCCCUUUUUCCUUCUUUCUUUUUUUUUCCUUCCUUCUUUCUUUCCCUUGCUCUCUGUUUCGAUACUAAUCGAUAGGGCCUUAUUGGUAAGUGCUACAAGAUCUCGUGCAUUGGAACCCACGGUUAUGGACCCGAAUCCAUUAGUAUGGAACAUUUUCUUUUCCAAGUGAAAUCCCCUAGUAUAUGAAAGAGUGAAAAAGUGCUUUCGUUGUUGUGGAAUAAGAAGCCUUCGUAUCUUAAUACAUGUAUUUAAUUUAUUCGGGGCUAUUAGAGUGGGAUCCACUUUUUGGGGAAUAUGAGUCGAAGCAAUAACAAGUAUAUAUAAUAAUAACUUAAUAAUAGCUAUAAUAAAAUAUCUAUUUAAUAUCCAAUAUCUAUUUUACAUUUGUAUACACAUAUAUUAUUACAUUUGUCUUUCUUUAAUCUAUUUAUUAUAUAAAUAUAUUUUACUUAAUAAUAAUAUAUAAUUUAAUAAUAUACUUAUAUAAUAAGUAAAUAUACAUGUAUUUUACAAAUAUAUGUAUAUUAGUAUCACACAUGUCACUAUACAUACCAUACAUUUGUCAACUUUUUAUUUAUUUAUCAUAUAAUAUUAAUUUAAUAAUAAAUACAUUAAUAUUUACUUAAAUAAUAAGCAAAUAAAUAUAUGUAUUACAAAUGUGUGUAUUAUAUUUAUUAUACUUGUAUUUUAUUUUUUCCAUACACUUGGCACUCUUUUUGGUUUAUUUACUUAUUUAGUCCUUUUAAUUUUCUUUAUUCUAUAAUUAAAUUUUCACACUUCAUUCAAUUUAAUCCUUUUAUCUAAUUAUCCUUUAUUUAAGCUAAUUUGCUUCAUUAAACUUUAAUUAAUCACUCUCUUAACUUCGUAAAUAUUUUUAAUAAAUAUUUACAAAUCUAUUUUUCAGAAACGGAGACCCGAAAAUACACUUUUUUGAUAACUGUAAAAAUUCGGGUCAUUACAUUUUCUUCCAUAAAAACUCAGAAAACAACAUAAAUUAUUUCAUGGAAAAACCCUAAACUCUUGAUCAUUUUUCAAGAUAGCACCCUCAUUUGAAAACUCAUGCUUCAAGGGUCUCAAAAGUACAAAAAUAUUUUAAAAAAGCCGUUAGGAUCACUUACUUGAGUGCUUCAAAUUGCUGCAAAUUUUUGAAGCUUAAAACCCCAAAAAUGGCUGAUAUUUUCAGCUAAGAAGAAAUGGGAAAUAGGGUGAUAUCAUUUCCUUUUUCUAUUUUCUAUUUUAGUCAAAAUUGGUCACCUUAUCCCACCAAAAAUUGAAAAUUUUGACCACACAUGUCUCCUAUGGCCGGCCACCCUAUUUCUAGGGGUCUAAUUGACCUUUAAAUGCCCCCAAUUUAGUUUCUCUAGCUAUUUAACACAUUUAGCUAUCAAUUUAGGACUUUUACACUUUAUGCGAUUUAGUCCUUUUUUCACAAUCUGGCUCACAAACGCUAAAAUUGACUCACCAAAUUUUUCAUGUACUAAUAUAAACAUGCUAUGAAUCUAAAAUAAUAAUAAAAUAAUUUCUCUAACUUUGGAUUUGUAGUGCCGAGACUACUAUUCCGACUAGGCCCUAAAUCAGACUGUUACACCAAGUCACACGUUCUUUCAAAACCACCGAUACUAUGUAUUCCACCAGUGAUAUACGGUGUCUCGAAGUAAGGAUAUGGCACAUUUUAAACAUUCAUCUAGGGUACAAGAUAGCUCAUCAAACACGCGGAUAGUAUUAUCAAGCCAGAAUUUAGCUCGCUCAGCAUAAUCAUCAUCAGUAGCUCUGAAUUCUUCAUCCCCGUGUUUUUUGAUUUUAUCAAUAGUAGGUAUAUGUAAUCUCAACGAAUGACUCACUUGAGGUAUAGCAGGUACCGGAGAAGGAUUAAUGGAGGGUGGAGGUUGUUGUGCAUUCGGAUUAGUCCGGAUAUACUAAGUAAACCAGUCGUUCAUCAUUUGGUAAAGGCUUGUUUAGCCUCACUCCCUUGGUUACUCGAACUCGGUCUAGAAUCAACCGGCGUUGUCCCUUGCGUGGGAGUAGGUGCUAUACUCUCGACAUCAUCAACUACGGCUUUAUUGGGAUCCAUUUACUACACGAAAACACAUUCUCAAAUGUUAGAAGUCGUCACACUAUCGCAAUAUAAAAUAUGACAUGUAUAGCUAGACUCACGCGAGCUACGUUAGUCCUAGAAUUGACUAAACCGUAGCUUUGAUACCAAUCAAAAGUAAGACCCCUACCCGUAUCUGUCGCCAGAAUGGGGUUAUGAGAUUUUAGCAGUCGAGACACAAAUUUCGAAAAAUCAUAUAAAUACACUUGCACAAACUUUUAAACCAAUCAAAUAUUAAUAUAAAUAACCGAUUUAAUUUUUUUGCGAAUCAUUUCUAAAAGGAAAUUCAAAAUUCGUAUACAAACAACUUCAAUACUAAUCUUGUUUGACCGAAUAAUAAACUUAUUAAUCAAUCAACUUAUGACCAACAUUUAAGGACUAACCUAUACACUACUCAGCAUCCAUUUUUAAUCAAGUAUGACAUUUAAACAUCACAUAAAACUCAUAUAAUCUUCAUAAUUUACUAAUGCACAAGUCACUAUUCAUUUGGUCAUUUUUCAAUGCAUUAGCCGAUUAAAAAUAUGUAUAACAAAUAUGCUUUAACAAUUGUCAACUUUCAAUUUUAUUCAAUCACUAUACAAGUCAAUGCAUUCCAAAGAACUAAACCAAUAUAUAUAUAUCAAACAUAAUUUGUCUAACAUUUUAACAUACCAUAACCAAAUAUAAACAUGCUAAUAUCACCUAUCAAGCAAUAUAACAAAGAUCAUAUAUUUGACUAAGUACAUAAAUAUACAUAUUUCUAAGAUUUAUGUCAUAUCAAACUUAUUACAUCAUAUACAUAUAUAUAUGUCGAAUCAUGUUAAAUACAUAUACUAUACAUUUACCAAAACACAACUCAAGACCAACUUGCUUCUUAUCAAUUCGGUAAUAAUAUUAACCAUGAAAAUCAUAUAAGUUCUAAAUACUUUAAAAUAAGCCAAUACGUCUCUUAUAAAGCCAAUAUACAUAUAAACAUCAUUGUCAUUUUACUACAUUAGUAAACCAAAUCAAUAAACCAUUCAUAAAGACAAAUCAUACCAUAUAACAUGCACAUCAAAAUGAACUCCAACCAUGUUUGGAUAUAACCUAAUCAUCUUUAAUACCAAUUCAAAUAAUAAUUCCUUAACUAAACAUACCAAUCAAAUUCACAUACAUGUUUAUCUAUGCAUGAACUAUAACUGAAUUAUCCAAACAUAAUACCAUACCGAUUCAAUCAAAAAUCACCAACCAUUCUCAAUAUGUAAAACACAUAUAAACUUGACUAAAGUUUCUUCUACUCUCAUAGCAUAUUAUCCAUUUUUGCAUGGCUUAAUAUAUACAUAACUUCGAUCUGAACAAAAUAUAACCUAGUGAUAAACCGUAAUUUAUACAUAUUUUUAUCCCAUGCUUAGCAUAUUUAUGGAUGGUUUCUCCUUAGAACAGGUGAAUUCGAUGCUCCUAAUCCUUUAAUUUCAUGUUUUAUACUUAGGUGAGCAUAGGAGAGUAAAAAGAGCGAGAAAGGGGCCGAAAACGGAGACAAUAGACCCACGUGGGAAAUCAACACAGCCUGGACUUUCUCACACGGGCGUGUCACAUGGCUGUGUUCCCUGGCAGGAUUGAAGCAUGACUUACACGGGUCUACUACACGCCCGUGCCUGUUCAACAGCCUUGGCCACGGGCUGGAGUAAUCGCACACGGGCGUGUCACAUGAGUGUAUCCCUACCGAGCCCAAGUAUAACCGUAUUCGAAAAAGGCCAAUUUUGGGGGCUCUUAGGCAUUCUAAAGCAUAUUUAAACACCUGAGGAGGCACUUAGAAGGGGGACGCAGAGUAGGAAAUAAGGAAUUACUCAAGGAAAGCUGAUUGAUCCAUCUCAGAAGCUGGAUUCAUCAUCAAGACUGAAUACCUCCCUUCAAGUUCCUUCAGGAGUUUUGGGUUUUCUUAUGUUUUGUUAUCUUUAUGCUUUUGAGAUGUUUUCUUCAAUAAGUAUGAACUAAACCCCCUAAAUACCUAGUGGGAAUGAAACCUAAGAUGGAUCUUGUUAUUAUUAUCUAAAUUGUAUGAUAAAUAUUUGACUUGUUCUUAAUUAUUUAUUCUUAAUUCUUGUUUUGAUAUUCCAGGAUAUUGAUCCAAGUUAAGCUCUUAUUUAGAGGAGGAAUAGACCCUGUUUAAGAGUAAAUUUGUCAUAAUUAAGCGGACUUGAUUGCACGCCUAAAGAUAAGGUGAUAAGAUUUUGCUGGAUUAGGGUGAAACCUAAUAAAGGAAUCCAUAGAUCGAGUUAAUACAAUUCUAGGGUGUUAAUUAGAAAGAGAUUUCAAUUAUUCAACCUAGGUUAGAUGUUAUUAGUCUCAAGAGAGAUAAUAAUAUAACUUAGGGAUUUCUACGGAUCAAGUCAAAUGAAUAAAUCGUCUGAUUUAGAGUCAAAUAAUAAGUGAAGUCUAGGAGGAUUUUUCCUUAGGUAUUGUCUUAAUCAAUCGAAUUUUCCCAAAAGUAUUUUCCCAAAUUUUCUUUCUGUGCAUUCUUAGUUAGUAAUUAGUUUAGAUAACCAAACCUCUUAAUUUUUAGGCUAGAUAAUAAAAAAGAAGUAACUACUAGUACUCGUAGUUCUUUUGGGUUUGACAAUUCGGUCUUGCUGAACUAUGCUAUUGUUCGAUAGGUACACUUUCCUUAAUCAUGAUAAUAAGUUAAUCUCAAGAACGAUCCUUUCAUAAAUCUUUAAAACCUGUGAUGAAUAUCACGUACCAAGUUUUUGGCGUCAUUGCCGGGGAACUAGGAUAUUAAGAACACCUGAUUUUUAUUACUUUAGCCAUUUUAAUUUUAUUGCAAUUUAAAUUUUUAUUUUCUUUUCUAAUUCUUCAUUUAUUUUUCUUCUGACAGGUUUUUCUAGUUUAUGACCAGAAAAAACCCGUCAGGACCGUUACUGUUUGAUAGUGAGAUCAAUCACACAGUUUGCAGAAAUCGAAGAGAAAUAAGGCAAAACUUACGAUACACUGAGGAAGAGCACGAGGACGAUACUUCAACCACAACCGAGGAGAUGGCUGAAAACCAAGAAAAUCUACUACCUCCUGCGAUUGUUGUUAAUCAAAAUCCUGCUCCGCGCACUAUGUAUGAUUAUGCUAAACCUUCUUUAAUAGGAACUGAAUCGAGCAUAAUUAGACCUGCUGUAGCUGCCAAUACUUUUGAACUGAAACCUAACACAAUUCAAAUGAUACAAAAAUUUGUUCAGUUUGAUGGUUUGUAGGACGAAGAUCCCAACGCUCACUUGGCAAGCUUUUUGGAACUAUGUGAUACAUUUAAAAUUAAUGGUGUUUCUGAUGACGCCAUUCUCCUUCAGUUAUUCCCUUUUUCGUUGAGGAAUAAGGCUAAACAGUGGUUGGAUUCAUUACCAUGGGGGUCAAUCACUACUUGGGAACAAAUGAUCGAGAAGUUUUUAUUAAAAUAUUUUUCGCCGGCUAAAAUGGCUAAAUUACGUAAUGAUAUCUCUUCUUUUGUGCAGAUAGAUUUAGAAACACUCUACGAUGCAUGGGAGAGAUACAAGGACCUCUUGAGAAGAUGCCCUUACCAUGGGUUACCACUCUGGCUAUAGGUCCAAAUGUUUCACAAUAGCUUGAACUCUUCGACUCGACAGAUGGUUGACGGAACUGCUGGCGGAACCAUAAAUAAUAAGACACCUGAAGAUGCCUAUGAAUUUAUAGAGGAGAUGUCACUGAAUAACUAUCAGUGGCAAGUCAUGAGGACAAAGCCAACGAAAACAGUCGGCGUUUAUAACGUCGAUUCAGUCACCAUGCUCUCUAAUCAGGUAGAACUCUUGAAUAAGAAAAUUGAUGGUUUUCUUAGUUCUUCACAGGUUCACCCAGUAAUGUAGUGCGAAGCGAGUGGAGGUGGAUCAAGCAGUUCAGAAUACAUGGGUAACAAUUCUCGAUCUCAAAACAUUUCUUAUAGCAAUACUUACAAUGCAGGUUAGAGGAACCACCCAAAUUUUUCAUGGGAAGGCCAAGGGAAUCAAAGACCACCACCUCAGGCUUCAAACAACCACCCUACCAACAAUAGAAAAGGCUGAACCUUGAAGAGAUGCUAACAAAAUUCAUCUCAGUGUCAGAAACUCAUUUUUAGAAUACCGAGACGGCACUUAAAAAUCAACAAGUGUCAAUCUAAGGGCUCGAAACUCAGACUAGACAGCACGCCAAGCUGAUUUUCGAAUGACCACAAGGUAGCCUGCCAAGUAACACUGAAUCUAACCCAAUGGAGCAACUCAACCCGAUUACCAUUCAAGAUGAGGAAGGGUUAGUUGAAAAACCAAGGCCAGAAACGGUGGUAAGCAAAGGUAAGAAUGAGGUAGGCCAAGAUGACCCAAAGCCGAUGAGUACAAAAUAUAAACCUUGUGUGUCAUACCCCAAUGCAACAAGGAAAGACCGAUCAGACGAACAAUUUGGUAAAUUCCUUAAACUUUUAAAGAAACUACAUAUUAACUUACCGUUUAUUGAAGCCCUUUCCCAGAUGCCAAACGUAGUCAAUUUUUUAAAGGAGUUUUUAACAAAUAAACGAAAGUUGGAUGAAGCGUCGUAUGUGGAGUUGAAUGCAGUUUGCUCAACCAUAUUACAGAAUAAGCUACCCAACAAAUUGAAAGAUCCAGGGAGUUUUACGAUUCCUUGUUUAAUUGGUAGUUUAGAUGUUCAUCAUGUAUUGGCUGACUUAGGGGCAAGCAUUAAUGUUAUGCCUUAUAAAAUGUUUAAACAGCUAGGUCUUGGGAAACCCAAAGAAACUAGGAUGAGCAUUCAAUUGGCUGAUAAAACCAUUAGAUUUCCUAAGGGUAUCAUUUAAGAUGUUCUUGUUAAGAUCGAUAAAUUUAUAUACCCAGUAGACUUUAUUGUUCUAGACAUGGAAGAGGAUGGUAACGCACCUUUAAUUUUAGGAUGACCCUUUUUAGCGACUGCUAGAACCAUUAUUGAUGUUGGUACAGGUGAACUCACACUUCGUGUGAGAGAUGAAACAAUCACCCUUCAAGCUCGUAAUUCGAGUAACACAUCAAAAAUUGAAAGUGGUUGUAUAAAUCAUUCUACUAGUACUGAUCACGUGGUGAAACCUUCUGUGCAGGAAACAGUUUCGAAGAACGUAUAUAAGCCGUGUUCAAACAACAACAAGGGACCUAUCUAUGAAGAACGAAGGCUACAAAUUGAUGAGCUAGAUGAAUGGCGGACACAGAAAUCGAGAACAACCGAUAAGUCGAAACUGAGCCAGGACAAGCUCAAUACUUGAUAAAUCGUAAUUUAUACAUAUUUCUAUCCCAUGCUUAACACAUUUUAUAGAUGAUUUUUCCUUAAAAUUGGUGAAUUCGAUGCUCCUAAUGUCUUAAAUUCAUAUUUUAUACUUAGGUGAGCAUAAGAGAGUGAAAGGAAUGAGAAACGGGCCAAAAAUGGAGAAAAUGGGCCAAAGUACAAAAUCAACCCAGCCUGGACCUCCUCACACGGGCAGACCACACAACCGUGUCAAUUUGACAGAAUCAAAGCACGACUCACACGAGUGGACCACAUGUCUGUGCCUAUUUAACAGGUUUGACCACGGCCUGAAGUAAUCGCACACAGGCGUGUUCCUAUCGAGCCCAAAUUGAGUCCAAUUCGGAAAAGGCCAAUUUUGAAGGUUCUUAAGCAUUCUAAAGCCUAUAAAUACACCCUAGAGGAGGAGGAAUAGACACACAGGGAAAGACGCAUGGAAUUGCUCAAAGAAAACUGAUUGAUCCAUCUCAGAAGUCGAAUUCAUCAUCAAGACUAAAGAUCUCCCCACAAUUUUCGUUCAGGAGUUUUGGGUUUUUCUUUAUGUUUUGUAUUCAUUAUUCUUCUGAGAUGUUUACCUUUUUAGUUAUGAAUUAAAACCCCUAAAUACCUAAGGGGAAUGAAACCUAAGACAUACCUUGUUAUUGUUAUCUGAAUUGUAUGAUAAAUAUUUGACUUGCUCUUAAUUAUGUGUUCUUAAUUCUUGUCUUGAUAUUCCAGGAUAUUGAUUCAAGUUAAGCUCUUAUUCAGAGGAGGAAUAGACCCUGUCUAAGAGUACAUUUGUCAUAAUUAAGCGGAGUUGAUUGCGAGCCUAGAGAUAGGGUGACAAGAUUUUUCUAGAUUAGGGUGAAACCUAAUAAGGGGAUCCAUAGAUCAAGUUAAUGCAACAUUAGGGAGUUAAUCAGAAAGAGAUUUCAAUUAUUCAACCUAGGGUUAGACUUUGUUAGUCUCAAGAGGGAUAAUAAUAUAACUUAGAGAUUUCUCCGGAUCAAGUCAAACGAAUAAAUCGUCUGAUUCAGAGUCAAAUAACAAGUGAAGUCUAGGUGGAUUUUUCCUUAGGUAUUGUCUUAAUUCAAUCGUUUUUCCAAAAGUAAUUCUCCAAUUCUAUUUCCUGAAAAUUCUUAGUUUAGUUAAUUAGUUAGUUAAAACAAACCCCAUUAUUCUUAGGCUAGAUAAUAAAAAGACAGUCAUUACUAGUACUUUUAAUUCCUUUGGGUUCGACAAUCCGGUCUUGCUCAAGCUAUACUACUGUUCGAUAGGUACACUUACCUUCAUCGUGAUAAUAGUUAGUUUCAAGAAAGAUUCAUUAUAAAUAUUUAAAAUCUGUCAUGAAUAUCACGUAUCAAGUUUUUGGCGCCGUUGCUGGGGAGUUAAGAUAUUAGGAACACUCGAUUUUUAUUACUUUAGCCAUUUACUUUUACUGUAAUUUAAAUUUUAUUCUAAUUUUUAUUAUUACUAAUUCUUCUUUUUCCCUUUUUUCUGGCAGAUUUUUAUAGUUUAUGACUAGAAGAAACCCGUCAGGACCAUUACUUUUUGACAGUGAGAUCGAUCGUACAGUUCGCAGAAACCAAAGAGAAAUAAGGCUAAGCUUAAGAUACACAGAGAACGAGCAAGAGGACGAUCUUCAAACCACAACCGAGGAGAUGGCUGAAAACCAAGAAAAUUCGCUACCUUCUGCAAUUGCUGUUAAUCAAAAUCCUGCUCCGCGCACUAUGUAUGAUUAUGCUAAGCCUAAUUUAACAGGAACUGAGUCAAGUAUAGUUAGACCUGUUAUUGCUGCAAACAAUUUUGAACUGAAACCUAACACAAUUCAAAUGAUACAACAGUUUGUUCAGUUUGAUGGUUUGGAGGACGAGGAUCCCAACCCUCAUUUGGCAAAUUUCCUAUAAUUUUACGAUACCUUUAAAAUUAAUAGCGUUUCUGAUGACGCCAUUCGCCUUCGGUUGUUUCCCUUUUCGUUAAAGAAUAAGGCUAAACAAUGGUUGAACUCGUUACCACGAGAGUCAAUCACUACUUGGGAACAAAUGACUGAAAAAUUUUUAUUAAAAUAUUUUCCACCGGCUAAAACAACCAAAUUACAUAAUGAUAUCUCUUCUUUUGUGUAGAUGGAUUUAGAAACACUCUACGAUGUAUGGGAGAGAUACAAGGACUUUUUAAGAAGGUGCCCUCACCAUGGGUUACCGCUUUGGCUACAAGUUCAAAUGUUCCAUAAUGGCCUAAAUCCUUCGACUCGACAAAUGAUUGAUGCAGCCGCUGGAGGAACUAUCAAUAAUAAGACACCUAAGGCAGCUUACAAAUUUAUUGAGGAAAUGUCACUAAAUAACUAUCAGUGGCAAGUUAUGAGAACAAAACCGACAAAAGCAGCCGGUGUUUUCAACCUCGACGCAUACUAUACUAUCUAACCAAGUAGAACUCUUAAAUAAAAAGAUUGACAGUUUGUGUACUUCUCCUCAGGUACAUCCAGUGAUGAGGUGCGAUUCGAAUGGAGGAGGAGCAUGCACAGAAUAUCAACCCUUCAACCCUAGCAUCGAGUAGGAACAAGUCCAAUAUAUAGGUAACAAUAAAUCUAGAUCCCAAAAUAACCCAUAUAGUAACACUUAUAAUGCAGGUUGGAGGAACCAUCCCAAUUUCUCGUGGGGCAGUCAAGGAUCAAAGGCCACAACAUCCUCCGGGUUUUCAACAACCACCCUACCAACAGGAGAAGAAGCCGAACCUUGAAUAGAUGCUCUCAAAGUUUCUAUCGGUGCCAGAAACUCAUUUUCAGAAUUCUGAGACAUCACUUAAGAAUCAACAAGCUUCGAUCCAAGGGCUCAAAACUUAGAUUGGACAGCUCGCUAAGUUAAUUUCCGAACGACCACAAGGUAGCCUGCUGAUCGCGUGAUUUCAUGAUAGGUUUUAAAUAUUUAUAAUUAAUCGUUCUUGAAACUAACUAUUAUCGUGAUGCAGGAAAGUGUGCCUAUCGAACAGUAGUAUAGUUUUAGCAAGACCGGAUUGUCGAACCCAAAGGAACUAAAAGUACUAGUAAUGAUUGUCUUUUUAUUAUCUAGCCUAAGAAUAAAGAAGUUUUGUUUUAACUAACUAAUUAUCUAAACUAAGAAUACACAGAGAAUAGAAUCGGGGGAUUACAUUUGGAAAGCGAUUGAAUUGAGAUAAUACCUAAGGAAAAAUCCACUUAGAUUGUACUUGUUAUUUUGGCUCUGAAUCGGACGAUUUAUUCAUUUAACUUGUUCUAUAGAGAUCCCUAAGUUAUGUUAUUAUCCCUAUUCAAGACUAAUAAUGUCUAAUCCCUAGAUUGAAUGAUUGAGACUUUUCUCUAAUCAACACCCUAGGGUUGCAUUAACUCGAUCUACGGAUCCUCUUAUUAGGUUUCGUCCUAAUCUGGCAAAAUCUUGUCACCCUAUGUUUAGGCGCGUAAACAACUCCUCUUAAUUAUGACAAAUGUACUCUUAGACAGGGUCUAUUCCUCCUCUAAAUAAGAGCUUAUCUUGAAUCAGUAUCAUGGGAUAUCAAAACAAGAAUUAAGAAGACAUAAUUAAGAAUAAGUUAAAUAUUUAUCAUAUAAUUCAGAAAAUAAUAACAAGAUUCGUCUUAGGUUUCAUCCCCCGUAGGUAUUUAGGGGAUUUAGUUCAUAACUAAAAAGGAAAACAUCUCAGAAGAAUAACGAAUACAAAACAUAAAGAAAACCCAAAACUCCAGAAGGGAAAUUGAGGGGAGAUCUUCAGUCUUGAUGGUGACUACGACUUCUGAGAUGGAUCAAUCGGCUUCCUUCGAGUAAUUCAUUCCUUCCUAUUCGUGUCUUCCUUUACUUUCCUCCUCUAGGGUGUAUUUAUAGGCUUUAGAACGCCUAGAAACCCUCAAAGUUGGUCUUUUCUAAAUUGGACUCAACUUGGGCUCAACAGGGACACGCCCGUGUGACACGCCCGUGAGAGUCGUGCUUCGAAUCUGCCAAAUUGACAAGGCCGUGUAGUCUGCCCGUGUGAGGAGGUCCAGGCCGUGUUGAAUUCGUACUUUGGCCCAUUUUUCUCUAUUUUUGGCCCGUUUCUCAUUCCUUUCGCUCUCCUAUGCUCUCCUAAGUAUAAAACAUGAAAUUAAAGCAUUCAGAGCAUCGAAUUCACCGAUUCUAAUGCGAAAUCAUCCAUAAAAUGCGUUAACAUGGGGUGAAAAUAUGUAUAAAUUACGGUUUAUCAAAUACCCCCACACUUAAGCAUUUACUUCUCCUUAAGCAAAAUUCUCAACUCAUAAUCAACAUAAAUCUUUCUCAACUUAUAAUCUCUAUCUAAAAUAUCUCAAAAUAAUCCAUAGGUAAUCAUACAUUGAGAAUUCAACUAAAAGAUCAUAAAAGUUCCAAACAUUCCAAGUUGAGUAUUUAAUCAAGCAAACAUAGGUGUCUCCCCUCCUCUAAGUAAUUACCUUUGAUUCAGAAUAAUACAGAGUUUUACAUCCUCACUAAUGAUUCACUCAAAUCACUCGAGGUGUUUAAGGACAAUAAAUGAAGCACUCAAUAGUCAAUAAUGAAAAAUUAUUACCAUAGGCUUGCAUGAAAAUCAAAUCUCCACCACUAUAAAUUGAGAUGAUACAUCAAUCAAAAGGUCUUUAGAGGAUUGUAACGAGGCUUGGUUAGGGGGUGUGGUCUCAAUCUGAAAGAAAAGGUUAGAAUCGAGAUUGAAUUAAAAAUUUGCCUAACUAGAAAAAUAGCUGGUCAUCAAUUGCGUACAACAGAACUUUUCUUAGAAUAUGGAAUUUUAACUUCUUUAGCUCAGAAGAUUACUACUAUUAAGAUGUAUACACUUUUUUUUAAGAACAAGUUAAAUACAAAGUAGAAUAAAACUUAGCUAAGCAACUAUUUCAAGUCCAAUCUCGAUAAAAAAUUGGGGACCAAAUUAAUUUAAGGGAUUUCAACAAUAAUGGGUUAAGGGUUAAUAUUAAGGGUAAUACAAGAACUAGCUUGUUAGCUCAACGGGGUUUACUAAGGGUUAAUCGUGGAGGUAGGCUUUUCAUGGCAUGAGUGGGUUAAUCCUAAGUGCCUUAAUCAUUUUGACAUAUCAAAUCAAAUGGUGUAGUCUUGACAUGCAUAAUCAAUCAAGUUCUAGAAUAACAAUUCAAUACUGACGCACUCAAAGCAAUAAUAAAAGUGAGCAUGAAAGAAUUAAUAGAUGCUCAAAAGGCUUAAAAAUCUCACAAAAAUUUUGGCUUUUUGAUGUUUAGAACUUGUGAAUUCCAAAUCAAAGUAAUACCUAAACUUUGGGGAAACAACCUAAGGUUUUAAAUUCUUAAAAAUCAACUUAUCAUGCUUGAUUCUCUAAUGUCUUAAAGUUUAAACAAUCAAUGCGUAAAUGCCUAUGUUUUAAUUCAAGAUAUAUCAAUCAAAAUCAUAGAUCAAUCAACAUUUAUCCUAAGUAUGAUAUGAGAGCUUUUCAAGAGAACAAGGUAGUCAUUCAAGGAUUUUUCUGAUAUUGAAAUAAAUACCCCCACACUUAAGAUGUACAUUGCCCUCAAUGUACAAAGAUAGAUAUAAGAAUAUAAAAAUAAUAUAGGGAGAGAAGUGAAACUUCCUGGGUGAAAAAUGGAUGAAAUUCCUGGAUUAGCGAGAGUGAGUUGUUGGAAAUAAAGCUGGAGGACAAACAUGAUUCUGAAGAACAAAAGGAGAAUUGGGGGAAUAAUUUGGUAGUAAUCAUAAAGAUAAGUCGUGUUUAAAAACAAAAGAAUCUUCAAAAAUUAAUGAAGAAAAAUAAAAGAAGAUAGAUAAUUUAAUUUUUUCAAGUGGCACGGCCAGUUCACACGCCCGUGUGGAUUGUGUCCAGCCCGUGUUUGUCACGAAGUGAGAUAUCUUCACACGGCCUUCGGGCACGCCUGUGUGUCUAGGCCGUGUGGCUAUAUGAUCAUGUUACACGACCGUGUGAGAUGUGGUUCACUUCUCCCACGGUCGUGUAGCUAUGCGCAUACCCAUGUUAUUUUUCACCAAUCGAGUCGCAGGAAUCUAACAUAUUCAUAUUUAAUGAUUUUCCACAAAGUGGUGACGAAAGGUAUAACUUGUACAAAUCUUUCCAGUUUGAAAUUUGAUCGAAUGGGUCAACAGAAUCGUUUGAUUAGUUCUGCUAAUGAUUCCAACCAAAAUCUGGUUUUUUGGCACAACAAUAACUUGUAUUCUCAAAUGAUAGCGGCAAGAUUUGCAGUCAUUGUGGAAAUUCCAUUUUCCUUACGAUUAAUAUCUUACUCACAAGGGGCAGAAGUCAUAAAAUCUCAUAAUUUACAAUCAACUCAUUCAAUAUUUCCUUAUUCGAACCCUCAGUAAACAAGAGUCUACAUAGCAGUUCCAAUGCUACGCCUUGAACCACUCGGCCAUCUCUCCUACAUAAUUAUUAUGUUCGAUACCCCGAGCGAAUAGCGAGUUAUUUAUAUUAGAUUGUUCGAUAGGUAUGAACAAUAUCAAUUCUAACUAGGAAACUUGCUAUAAAAAUAGAAAACUUUUCAUCACUUUUUUUAUCCCUUUUUCUCACGGGUGGUAGACAAGGGCGUGUCGCACGCCCGUGUGCAUUUGGCAGAUUUGAUCAUGGCCAGGUCGCACGUUCGUGGCCACUUAUCACAUCCCGUGUUGGGUAAGAUAACUUUUACCCUGUUUUUAUAUGGCUGUAUCGCACGGUCGUGUUUUCGUCCGUGUUAAUCCCCCGGCCUUAAGCACGGCCGUGUGAUCGGCCGUGUGGAGUUGGGAACCUGUGCUUCAAAGACUCUGUUAGUGACCUAAAUGUUUAAAAUUUGAAAUUUAAAUAAUUUAAAACCGUUAGUACUCGGGUUGCCUCCCGAGAAGCACUUGUUUAUAGUCUAAGCUCGACUAUUACCUUGUUGGUUUAUUCAUGGCGAUUUGUGGAGCCGUAGAUCAUUUCCAUCUUUUUUAAAAUUCUCAUCGUUAUAAAGUUUGAGAAGAUGUCCAUUUACUUUGAAAGUACCGUGUGAUGUGUGACUUACCUCUAUUGUGCCAUAUGGCAGAACAGAUUGAAUUAUGAAAAGUCCUGACCAUCGUGAUUUAUGUUUCCCAGGAAACAAUAUGAGUCUUAAGUUGUAUAGGAGGACAAGAUCUCCAACUUCAAAUUGUUUUCGUUGCUUUAAACGAGUGUCAUGGUGCCGCUUUGUGCUUCCUUGUAUAGGCAUGAGUUUUCGUAUGCAUUGGCUCGCCACUCAUCAAGUUCAUUCAGCUGCAUCAACCUAUUUUUUCCUGCAAGUUCGGGAUCAAGGUUUAAAAAUUUAAUAGCCCAAAAAGCUUUAUGCUCUAGUUCGAAUGGUAGAUGACAAUUUUUCCAUAAACAAGUCUGUACGGUGAUGUCCCUAUGGGGGUCUUAAAAGCAGUUUUGUAAGCCCAUAAGGGAUCAUCUACUUUCAUUGCCCAAUCUUUUCUGUUUGAUUCUACUAUUUUUUCAAGGGUCCGUUUGAUUUCUCGGUUUGCCACUUCAACUUGCUCAGUAGUUUGAGGAUGGUAUGGGGUGGCUGUUCUAUGAUGAACUCCGUAUUUCUUAAGAGUUUUUUCAAAUUGGGUAUUACAAAAAUGAGUGCUCCUGUCACUGAUAAUUGCUCUAGGCAUUCCAAACCUCGAGAAUAGUUUCUUAAGGGAACGUACUACCACUCUAGCAUCAUUAGUACGUAGAGCUUGGGCUUCCACCCAUUUGGACAUAUAAUCAAUUGCUACUAGGAUGUAUUUAUUCCCAAAUGAACUGGGGAAUGGGCCCAUGAAAUUGAUACCCCAAACGUCAAAUAUUUCACAUGAAAGCAUACAGUUUUGAGGCAUUUCAUCACGUUUAGAUAUGUUACCUGUCCGUUGGCAUUUGUCACAGGAAGUAACGUACCUGUUAGCGUCUUUGAAUGAUGAGGGCCAGUAAAAACCUGAUUCAAGUAUUUUAUGUGCGGUUUAGUUCCACUAUAGUGUCCUCCAGUUGGCUCUGAGUGAUAAUGUUCCAGUAUUUUUUAUGUUUCUGAUCUUGUAACGCAUCUUCUAAUGACUUGAUCUGCACAUCUGUGAAAAAUAAAGGGGUCGUCCCAAAAGUAGCUUUUCACAUCAUUAAAGAAUCGCUUCUUUUACUGGUGUGUUAACCCGUUUGGGAUAAUGUUAGCGACUAAAAAAUUCGCGAUGUCUGCAAACCAAGGUACCUCGAAGUCAGAUAUAGUGAAAAAUUAUUCUUCAGGAAACGAAUCAUUUAUUUCAACUUCAUCUAGUUUUUUGGUAUUGAGUUCUCAAGCCUGGACAGAUGAUCAGCCGCGAGAUUUUCAGCUCCUUUCUUAUCCUGAAUUUCCAAGUCAAAUUCCUGCAAUAGGAGAAUCCAUCGAAUGAGUCGAGGUUUUGCAUUAGUUUUAGUUAAAAGGUAACGAAGGGCGGAAUGGUCAGUGAAAACAACAACUUUAGACGAUAUGAGAUAUGACCGAAAUUUAUCAAAUGCAAAAACCACAGCUAGCAAUUCUUUUUCUAUAGUAGUAUAAUUCUCUUAUGCAACUGUCAAAGUUUUGCUAGCAUAAUAGAUCAGUUGAAAAUGCUUGUCUCUUCGCUGUCCCAAUACUGCACCUACUGCAAAAUCACUCGCAUUACACAUUAAUUCAAAUGGUAAGUUCCAAUCAGGUGCAAUUAUGAUUGGAGCAUUAAUUAAUUUAUCCUUUAAAGUAUUAAAUGCUUCUAAACAUUCCUAAUUGAAAUUAAAAGGUAUAUCUUUUUCUAGCAAUUUAGUCAAAGGCUUAGUUAUUUUAGAAAAGUCUUUAAUAAAUCUUCUAUAAAAAAACAUGUCCUAAAAAGCUUCUAAUAGACUUAACCGAACUAGGAGACGGUAAUUUUUCGAUUGUUUCUAUUUUAGAUUUGCCCACUUCAAUCCCUUUACUGGAAAUUUUAUGCCUUAAUAUAAUACCUUAUUGAACCAUGGAGUGACAUUUCUCCCAAUUAAGGACAAGGUUCGUUUCCUUACAUCUUACUAAAACUCGUUUUAAAUUUUUAAGACAGAGAUGGAAAGAGUUACCCAAUACCGAGAAAUCAUCCAUAAAUACUUCUAUGAUAUCUUCUACGAGUUCGUCAAAUAUGGCCAUCAUACAAUGCUGAAAAGUGGCAGGAGCAUUACAUAAUCCAAAAGGCAUUCUACGAUAAGAAAACGUACUAUAUGGGCAUGUGAAUGUCAUUUUUUUUUUAUCUUCAGGAGCUAUUGGGAUCUGGAAGUAACUAGAGAGUCCGUCUAGAAAGCAGUAGUACAUAUGCCCGGAUAAUCUUUCCAACAUUUGGUCAAUGAAUGGCAAGGGGAAGUGAUCUUUUCUUGUGGCAUCAUUCAGUUUCUUGUAGUCAAUGCAAACUCUCCAUCCUGUGAUUGUCCAUGUUGGGAUUAAUUCAUUCUUCUCGUUGGUCACAACCGUCAUGCCUCCUUUCUUAGGGACAACCUGCACUGGACUUACCCAAAAACUGUCAGAAAUAGGGUAAAUAAUUCCAGCAUCUAGAAGUUUUAUUACCUCAGCUUCAACAACUUCCUUCAUGUUGGGGUUCAGUCGUCUUUGAGCUUGCACACACGGUUUGUAUUCAUCUUGCAUCAAAAUUUUGUGGGUGCAAAAAGAAGGGCUGAUUCCUUUAAUGUUAGAAAUUUUCCAAGCUAUGGCCUUUUUAUGUUCUUUUAAUACUUGGAUUAAUUCUUUAAUACUUGGAUUAAUUCCUCUUUCUCCUUGGGUUGCAAGUUAGAAGCAAUAAUAAUUGGUAAUGUAGAAUUAUUUCCAAGGAAUGCGUAUUCCAAGUGGUUUGGUAAUUGUUUAAGUUCCAUUUGAGAGGCUCCUCAAUAGAGGGUUUUUGCUUAAGUUCAUCAUUUAUCUUAAUGCCCUUAUAUUCUACUUGUCUUGAAGAAUAGUCAUUAGGUUCAUCAUCUGUCUCCUCUUCUUGAGCUGGAUACAGUUCUGUCGUCUCCUUCUGUACAAUUUCUUGAAAAGAGUCUUGAGUAGUAUGAUCAAUAGAGUCAAUAAAAUAACAUGAAUGAUCCUGUUCCCUAGAGAACCUCAUAGCAUCAUAAAUUUUAAAGAUAAUCUCCUCGUUAACUACUCUAAGUACCAAUUUACUGUCACCCACAUCGAUUACAGCCCUAGCAGUGGCUAAAAAUGGGCGCCCUAAAAUUAAGGGUACUUCCACAUCUUCAUCUAGGUCAAGCACAACAAAAUCAACAGGAAAUAUGAAUUUAUAUACUUUCACAAAUACGUUUUCUAUAAUACCCCUAGGAUAUUUAACAGAUCUAUCGGCUAAUUGAAUACUCAUCCUAGUAGGUUUAGGUUCCCCAAGACCAAGUUGUUUGAACAUUUUAUAUGGCAUCAAAUUAAUGCUAGCGCCUAAAUCAGCUAGUGCUUUCUCAACAUUCAGACUACCAAUUAAGCAAGGGAUAGUAAAACUUCUUGGAUCUUUCAGUUUGGUUGGCAGCUUGUUUUGGAGUAUGGGUGAGCACUCCUCGUUGAGUUCUACUGUAGAUAAGACCUCAAAAUUCGUUUUAUUUUUUAGAAGCUUCUUCAAAAAUUUUGCAUAUGUAGGCAUCUGCGAAAUGGCUUCAACAAAAGGUAAGUUGAUAUGUAAUUGCUUAAAAAGUUCAAGAAACUUACCGAAUUGUGCAUCAAUGAGAUCUUUUUUCAAUUUUGCUAGGUAUGGAACUGGUGGUUUAUAUUCCUUCAGCACUGGUUUGUCACUAUUUUCAGGUUUUUCUUCCCCACUUUCGCUUACUACGGCUUCUUGUGCUAGCUUCUUUUCAGAUUCCACUAACACUUUCCCACUCCUUAGUGUAACUGCUUUUACAUGCUCUUUUGAUUUGGUGUCACUAAUUCCGAAAUCAAUUUGGACAGCUGGCCUAUCUGAGUUUCGAGCCCUUGGAUCGAUGCUUGUUGAUUUUUAAGUGCUGUCUCGGUGUUCUGAAAACGAGUUCCUGACAUCGAUAUAAACUUUGAGAGCAUCUCUUCAAGGUUCGGCUUCUUUUCUUGAUAGUAGGGUGGUUAUUGGUAGACUGGAGGUGGUCUCUGAUUUCCUUGGCCUCCCCAUGAGAAAUUUGGAUGGUUCCUCUAACCUGCAUUAUAAGUGUUACCAUAUGGAUUGUUUUGAGAUCGAAAAUUAUUACCCAUGUAAUUUAACUAGUUAUUCGUGUUGUGGCCAUAAGGUUGGUAUUCUGAAUUGCUUGAUCCACCUCCACUUGCUUUGCACUGCAUUACUGGGUGAACCUGUGAAGAACUAAGAAAAUCAUCAAUUUUCUUAUUCAAGAGUUCUACCGGAUUAGAAAGCAUGGUGAGCAAAUCGACGUUAUAAACAUCGGUUGUUUUCAUUGGUUUUGUCCUCAUGACUUGCCACUGAUAGUUAUUUAGUGACAUCUCCUCUAUAAACUCAUAAGCAUCUUCAGGUGUUUUAUUAUUGAUGGUUCUGCCAGCAGCGGCGCCAACCAUUUACCGAGUCGAAAGAUUCAGGCCAUUAUGGAAUGUUUGAACCUGAAGCCAAAGCGGUAACCCAUGGUGAGGGCACCUUCUCAGUAAGUCCUUGUAUCUCUCCCAUGCAUCGUAAAGAGUUUUUAAGUCCAUCUGCACAAAUGAAGAGAUAUCAUUACGUAAUUUGGCCGUUUUAGCCGACGGGAAAUAUUUUAAUAGAAAUUUUUCGGUCAUUUGUUCCCAAGUAGUGAUUGACCCUCGUGGUAAUGAGUUCAACCACUGUUUAGCUUUGUUCCUCAAUGAAAAAAGGAAUAACCGAAGACAAAUGGCAUCAUCAAAAACACCAUUAAUUUUAAAUGUAUCGCAUAGUUCCAAAAAGUUUUCUAAGUGAGCGUUGGGAUCCUCAUCCUGCAAACCAUCAAACUGAACAAAUUGUUGUAUCAUUUGAAUAGUGUUAGGUUUUAGUUCAAAAGUAUUUGCAUCUACAGUAGGUCUAACUAUGCUCAAUUUAGUUCCUGUUAAAGAAGGUUUAGCAUAAUCAUACAUAGUACGUGGAAUAGGAUUUUGAUUAACCGCAAUUACAGGAGGUAGCUGAUUGUCUUGGUUUUAAGCCAUCUCUUCGGUUGGGGGUUGAGUAUCAUCCUCUUGCUCGUUCUCUGUGUAUCUUAAUCUUUUCCUUAUUUCUCUUUGGUUUCUGCUAACUGUGCGAUCGAUUUCUUCGUCAAAAAGUAGUGGUCCUGAUGAGUGAUAAACGCAAAAUUAUACAUAUUUUUACCCCAAAUACCUAGCAUAUUUAUGGAUGUUUAUUACUAGAUUUGUGGAUUUUGGUUCCCUUAAUCCGGUUAUUUCAUGUUUUGUACUCAAGAGCACACCAAGAGUCAAAAGGAGCCAAAAACGAGCCAAAAAGAGACAAAACGGACCAAAUCGAGAAGAUGACACGGCCUAAGCCUUGCCACACGGGUAUCUCACAUACCCGUGUCUUUCUAGGGUGUCAACCAAGGCUUUCACGAUUCACACGGCUUGGCCAUUGACCUACACGGCCGUGUGCAAUUUAAUAGAUCGAACACAGCCUGGCAAUCAAGUCACACGGCCGUGGCACAAGGGCGUGUCCCUUUUUCAAGGAGUUGUAUUUUACACGGAAAAGGAUACUUCGGGAGGAAGAAAGCCAAUCCAAAACCUAUAUAAACACCCUAAGUAUGACUUAGUAAGGGGUCCCUCUAGAACUUUUUUGGAGUACAGAACCACACGCCGAGAAUUACUUGAAGGAAGCUAGACGAUCCAUCCCAAAAGCUGAGCUACUUCAAGACUAAAGAUCUCUCUUAGAAUACCUUCAAGGGUUUUAGAUUUUUCUUUAUGUUUUGUUAUUUUCAUACUUUUGUGAUGUACUCUUAUUUUAUUAUGAGCUAAACCCCUUAGAUACCUAGGGAGGUUGAAACCUAUGAUGGAUCUUGUUAUUAUUAUCUGAACUGUAUGAUAAAACUUGAUUUUUUUUCUUAAUUAUGUGUUCUUAAUGCUUGAGUUAAUAUUCCGGGUAUUAAUUCAUGAUUUGAUGUGCUUAUGCAGAUGAGCAAAAGUCCCUGUCUAAGAGUAGAUUCAGCAUAAUUAAGCGGAGUUGAUCGAACGCCUAGAAAUAGGGUUACGAGAUUUUGCCGAAUUAGGGUGAAACCUAAUAUGGGAGUCCAUAGAUCGAUUUGCUGCUUCCCUUGGGGUUUUACUUAAGAAAGAGAUUUCAAUUAAUUCAACUGAGGGUUAGACGUUAUUAGUCUCGAAAGAGAUAAUAAUAUAGGUUAGGGAGUCUCACGAAUCAAGUCAAGUGAGUAAAUCAUCUGGUUCAGAGUUAGAUAACAAGCGAAAUCUAGGUGGAUUCCUCCUUGGGUGUCGUCUUUAUCAAUUACUUUUCUUCAAGUCUUUUUUCAAACUUUCUCUUUGCUUUAGUUUAAUUAGUUAAUUAGUUUAGUUAAUUAGUUUAAUAAACAACCCAUCUUUAUUUCUAGGUUAAAUAAUAAAAAGAUAGUUAUUACUAGUACUUUUGGUUCCCUUGGGUACGAUAUCCCGGUCUUGCCAUUACUAUACUAUUGUUCGAUAGGUGCGCUUGCCUUUUCAUCGUGAUAAUAGUUAGUCUAGGUUUGAUCUUCAUUAUAAAUAUUUAUUACUUGUUACAAAUCACGCGAUCAAGUUUUUGGCGCCGUUGCCAAGGAAUUAAGAAAUUAGGAACGCUUAAUUUUUAUUACUUUAACCAUUUAUUUUUCUUGCAAGUUAAUUUUAUUUCAUUAUUAUUAUUAUUUAUUGAUUUACUUUUUCUUUCUCUUGGCAGGUUUUUAUAGUUUAUGACUAGAAGAAACCUGUCGGGACCAUUACUUUUUGACGAAGAAAUCAAUCGUAUAGUUCGUAGAAACCAAAGAGAAAUAAGGCGCAGCAUAAGAUACACGGAGAACGAGCAAGAAGACAAUACUCAACCCCCAACCGACGAGAUGGCUAAAAACCAAGGCAAUCAGCUACCUCCUGCAAUUGCGGCUAAUCAAAAUCUUACUCCACGCACUAUGUAUGAUUAUGCUAAACCUUCUCUAACAGGAACUAAAUCUAGCAUAGUUAAACCGGCUGUAGCUGCAAAUACUUUUGAACUGAAACCUAACACAAUUCAAAUGAUACAGCAAUUUGUUCAGUUUGAUGGUUUGUAGAAUAAAGAUCCCAACACUCACUUAGCAAACUUUUUGGAAUUUUGUGACACAUUUAAAAUCAAUGGCGUUUCUAAUGAUGCCAUUUGUCUUCGGUUAUUUCCUUUUUCACUAAGAAACAAAGCUAAAUAGUGGUUAAACUCGUUACCAUGAGGGUCUAUCACUACUUGGGAACAAAUGAUCGAAAAAUUUUUACUAAAAUAUUUUUCGCCGGCUAAAACGGCUAAAUUACGUAAUGAUAUCUCUUCUUUUGUGCAGAUGGAUUUAGAAACACAUUACGAUGCAUGGGAGAGAUACAAGGACUUACUGAGAAGGUGCCCUCACCAUGGGUUACCACUUUGGCUUCAAGUACAUACAUUCCACAAUGGUCUGAAUCCUUCGACUCGGCAAAUGGUUGACGCAGCUGCUGGCGAAACCAUCAAUAAUAAAACACCAGAAGAUACCUAUGAGUUUAUAGAGGAGAUGUCACUGAAUAACUAUCAGUGGCAAGUUAUGGGGACAAAGCCAACGAAAACAGCUGGUGUUUUUAACGUCGACUCAGUUACUAUGCUGUCAAAUCAGGUAGAACUUCUCAAUAAAAAGAUUGAUGGUUUACUUGGUUCUAUACAGGUACAUCAAGUAAUGAGGUGUGACUCAAGUGGAGGAGAUGUGCAUACGGAAUAUCAAUCCUUCAAUCCCACAACCGAAGAGGAACAAGUCAACUAUAUGGGUAACAAUAACUUUAGGUCUCAAAAUAACCCAUACAGUAAUACUUAUAAUGCAGGUUGGAGGAACCACCCAAAUUUAGCCUGGGUGGACAAGGAAAUCAAAAGCCACAAAAUCCUCAGGGUUUUCAAUUACCACCUUAUCAACAAGAGAAGAAACUGAACCUUGAGGAGAUUCUCUCAAAAUUCAUAUCAAUGUCAGAAACCCGUUUCCAAAAUACCGAGAUAGCACUUAAAAAUCAACAAGCAUCGAUUCAAGAACUCGAAACUUAGAUAGGCCAGCUAUCCAAACUAAUCUCCGAACGACCACAAGAUACCUUACCAAGUAAUACUGAACCUAAUCCAAGAGAAAACCUCAGCGCAAUUAGUACUCAAGGUAAGGAAGGAUUCUUUGCGCCUGACCCAGAAUUGAUGCAAGAAACUGUGGUGAGCAAAGGUAAAAGUGAGGUCAGUCAUAACAAAAUGGUGAAUAAAGAAUAUAGACCUCAUGUGCCAUACCCCAACGCGAUAAGGAAAGAUCACUCAGACGAACAAUUCGGUAAAUUCCUUAAACUUUUGAAAAAAUUACAUAUUAACUUACCGCUUAUUGAAGCUUUGUCGCAGAUGCCAAAUACAAUGAAAUUUUUAAAAGAUCUUUUAGUAAACAAGCGAAAGUUGGACGAAGCAUCGUAUGUGGAGCUAAACGCAGUCUACUCAGCUAUUCUACAAAAUAAGCUACCCCACAAAUUGAAAGAUCCAGGGAGUUUUACAAUUCCUUGCCUAAUUGGUAUUUUAGAUAUAAAUCAUGCAUUAGCUAAUUUAGGGGCUAGUAUUAACGUAAUGCCUUACAAAAUGUUUAAGCAACUAGGUCUUGGGAAACCUAAACAAACUAGGAUGAGCAUUCGAUUGGAAAAUAAAACAAUAACAUUUCCUAGGGGUAUUAUUGAAGAUGUACUAGUAAAAGUAGAUAAGUUCAUAUUCCCCGUUGAUUUCGUUGUUCUAGACAUAGAGGAGGAUAAUAACACCCCUUUGAUUUUAGAAAGGCCCAUUUUAGCAACUGCUAAAAUAAUUAUUGAUGUUGGCACAGGUGAACUUACACUUCUUGUGGGAGACGAAACGAUCACUCUUCAAGCUCGUAAUUCUGGCAUCACAUCGAACAUUGAAGGUAAUAGUCCACACCAAUCUACUAAAACUACAAUAUGACUUUGCAAAAAUUAAGCUUCAAAGAAGUUCAUGAGCCAUGUUCCAGAAAUGAUACAGGACACAUUCAUCAAGAACGAAGGCUACGGAUAGAGGAGCUAGACGAAUGGCGAGCACACAAACCGAGAACACAUGAUAAACUGAAACUACGCCAAAACAAGCCCGAUACCUCUCCUAAUCAACUUAAGGUUGGUGAUAGAGUCUUACUAGAUGCCACAGAUCCUCACAUUGUCACUACCACACUGAAUGAGGAAAUCCCUCUUACGGUACUCAGUAUUUUUUCAUUUGGUACGGUGGAGGUGAGUCACCCCAAGUUCGGCACUUUUAAGGUAAACAACACCCAAUUAAAACCCUGUUUUGAUGAGAUUGAUAACAAGAAUGAGGAGUAUAAACUCCUUGAACCACUCUGACCAUUCACUAGAGAGGUAAUUCGAGCUUAGACUACAAAUAAGUGCUUCUCGGGAGGCAACCCGAGCACUAGCAUAUUUUGAUUUCUUUAUUUUUAAUUACUAACACUUUAAAUCAUUAACUUUAUCUUUGAAUUGCAAAGUUUUUUAGCACACACGGCCAUGCACACGGGUGUGCCUAAAGCCGUGGCCAAGCAGGGGAAGAGACACGACCGUGCAAUACGGCCAUGUGGAAGCAGGACAUGAUUUCCCAAAAACACGGGAUGUGAUAAAUCCCCAUGGCUGUGGGUGAACUUGAUAGGUGAACACGGGCGUGAACACGGGCAUGGAAAUGGAAAAACACAGGCGUGCCAAGGGUAAGGCUCGAUUUUGUUUCUUCGACAGGGGCGUGAGACACGCCCGUGCCAUUAAGCCGUGGACAACAAUACACGGGCAUGGUACCUUAACACACGGGCGUGGGAGAAGCGAACAAAGCUAGGCACGACCGUGCGACAUGGCCGUGUACCACACAUGCCCCAGACACACGGGCGUGGGAUAGUAGUCGGGCACGACCUAAAUUGCAAAAUUUGAAAAACAUGGGCUCACCUUCAGAGUACACCGGUGUGGCCCUACACCGUGUGCACCUCCCCUAUAUAAGUAAAUCACUAUUCAUUUUCUUCUCCCUUUCAAAACCCUAGCCGAAAUCUCCCCUUCUCUACUCCCUAAUCCCUAUUUCAGCCACCAUUCCCCAGAUUUUCACUUCCUCAACCCCCAAACCACCUUAAACUCCACUCCCCCUGCAUUAAUCCUCACUUUCCCUUCUCUUUUCCCUCCAUUUUUCCUCCACACAGCUGUAUCCCCAAGCCAUACGCCCGUGCUCGCCUCCAACACGCCCGUGCGCCACCCUACAGUAGCUUUUGGUUCACUUUCUCGACCUUGUUUUUCCAAUUUGCAUUACUACAUUGGUAUUCUAUAUGCCUUACAAAUAUAUUGUUACUGUUGCCAAUUUGUUCUGAAUAAGUUAGGAAUUUGCUUUAGUAUUUUCUAUAUUUUAAUUGUUUAAGCUACUAAAUAGCAUAUACUAGUUUUAGGAUUCUUGCUUAACUGAUGAUGCAACUUUGAUUCCAGUAAAUGUUUUUGAAUAAUCAUAUAAAUUUUUCACCUCUCGCUUGAUAUCGUUAAAUGUUAACACAUCUUGGACCUACUAUAUCAAUGCUCAUACAUUUUCAGGUACAUUAUAUCAUCAUCGAGAGGCAAGAAGGCCGCGGUCCCAUCCUCAAAGAGACGUAGGGGAUCGGGUUCUUCCUCGGUACGGGCUACAGUCGAAGUUCGGCACCCAUUCUUUGAGUUUUCGCAAGCUUCGCAGGAAGAGCUAUUUCAGAUACUACGCGCACGACCCCUCACUACAGGUCGCUGCAUCGGCUAGGCUGCCUAGAGCAAGUCCAACUAGCUGAUACCAUCCGUGCCCUCCUGUCUACAGACCCAUGGGAAUGAUUCUUUUCUAUUAUCGAACAAACUUAUUUAGAGCUAACUUUAGAAUUAUGCUCUACUUUUUAUUUACAAGUGGUGAUGACGAACAAUGACGACCCCGGCACCAUUCACUUCCGAUUAGGCGGUCUAGUUUGCGCAAAGAGUGUCCUAGAGUUUGGAGUCGCUCUGGAACUUUACACCAAUGAGUUUAUGGAGGAGGAGGACAUGAAUGCACUACCACGCAAUAUCCACAUUUCUCCCUCCUUGUGCCGGAAGGCUUUGCACCACUCUCUUCCACCUACGACCCCAGCCGCUCAAAGGCCUCAGCUCUCGCCCCUUUCAUACGAUAUCUCCAUGCCAUAUUAGCACACACCAUGACCCAAAGGAGAGAGAGCACUGGCGUCGUCAACACCUACGAUGCCUACUAUUAUGGUGCAUGGCGAAUGCACACGUGACUAACUUGGCAUACUUUAUCGCUUUCGCCAUUUGCCAUCAGACCGAGCGGUAUCGGAAGGGAGUAAUCUCUACCGGCCCUUACGUGACGUUCCUUGCCAGACACUUUGGCCUCCUCAACACCGUGGCCCAGUCAUCAGCACUUACACUGAUAGGUCAGAUGUCCAUACAGGACAUUACGACUAUGUUACACAUGAGGAUGAUCGAGCGCCAACGUGGGACCGAUCCUUCUCAGUACCAUCUCACUCAUGCCAUUGACGAGGAGGAUCUUGAGGAUAUUCCUGAUGAUGUCCCCUUACAGCACGAGAAGCCUUCUACCACGCCACCUACGGAACGACCAGUUCAUGCAGCUACUUCAUUGGCACACCUUUUUGACCGACUCGCUCACUUUGAGUAGUAUUGCACUACACAGUUCAAGAUAAUUCACGAGCGAGAUCGGUGACGUGAUAAACAGAUGGACGACAUGCAGGCCAUGAUGCAGCAGCUGUGCUAGCACUUUCACAUCGCCACUCCAACGCCACCACCUGAGGGCCCCACCGACGAGGAUCAUUGAAUCCUCCUAUUAUUUUUAUUUUUAUUUUUAUUUUUAUUUUUAUUUUUAUUUUGAAAGACAUAUCUAUAUUAAAAAAUUUUACUUUUUCCAUUUUUCUGGUAUUUCUAACAAGUAAUCCCACUACGCUCUCUUCCACACCAACUCUUAAUAAGCUUUUCAUGAUUCUAUAGACUUCCAAGCAAAGCUACUAGGAAUAUUUUACGGAAUGAGGAAACAAAUAGGGAACAAUACCCAAUGAGUGCCAUGUUCAACGACCCAAUUUCUUCAUCUAGCCAAGAACAGUAGCAGCUACCACUUUCUCCAAACACUCCAGCCUCAGAAUCAAGCUCCGCAUCCAUAUAACAGGGAGUUUCAUCUCUUUCCCUCUUAUGAUUUUCUUUAUUCUGAAUAUUCUAUCUUUGUACAUUGAGGGCAAUAUACAUCUUAAGUGUGGGGGGUGAACAUGAACAUGAUACCUAACUUUUUGCAUUAUUCUUAAAUCCCUGAAUUUGGUCUUGUGCUUAACUGAUUCUCUCAUAAUCUUGAUCGAAUAAAUUCUGAUUGAUCUAUAAUUAUUGUUGAUAUGUCAUGAAUUAGACCAUGGGAAUUAUGCAUGAUUAUUUGAUUAUAGGACAUUAGAGAAUCGAGCAUGAUAAGUUGAUAUUUUGAGAACUAAAAUUUUUAGACUAUUUUCCUAAAUUGAGGUAUUAUCUUGAGAUUAGUAUACAGGAAUGACAUCACAAACCCAAAUUUUUGGUGAGAUUUUUUAGCCUUUUGAGCAUAUAGCUUUCUUUCUUGCUCACUUCUUUUGUAGUUUGAGUACGUGUACAUUGAACUGUUAUUCUAGAACUUGCUUCGAUUAUACAUGUCGAGAUCACACGUAUGAUUUGAUAUACUAAGAUGAUAAAGGCACUUAAGAUUUAACCUACUACUCCAUAAAAAGCCUUCCCACAUAAUUAAACCCUUAGUGAACCCCCUUUGAGCCUACUAACCUUUUUUAUUAAUUAACCCUCAUCAUUAACCCAUUAACCCAUUAUUGUUAAAAUCCUUUUACUUAAUUUACCCUUUUUUAUCGAGAUAAAAUUUAACAUUGUUACCUCACUAUGUUUACCAUUUUUUGUUACUGAAUCAUGAAGUAUGAUUUCUAUAUUGUAUUGACUUGAUUUGUUCUUAAAAAAAAGAGCUUAUGUAAUAUAGUUCUAGAUAUUUGUUUUUGAUUCAGUAAUUAAGUUUUUUAUGGUGGGGUAAUAUAUUGAAAUUAUCUCGAUUCUAACCUUUUUUCUUUUCAGUCUGUAUCCAUACCCGUAACCUAAACCUCGUUACAACCAUGCAAAGACCUUUUGAUUUGUGUAUCAUAUCAUUUACAAGUGGUGGAGAUUUGAUUUUCAUGCAAGCCUAUGGUAAUAACUUCUCAUGUUAGACAAUCGAGUGCUUAAUCUUGAACCUUAAACACUUUGAGUGAUAUGAGUGAAUCUUUAGCGAGGAUGUCAUCUCCUAUAUAUUUAGGACUAAAGUUAAUUAUUUAGAGGAAGGAGAUUACCUAUGAUUUUAUUAUCAAAAUAUUCGAUUUAGAUUGUUUGAGGCUUUUAAUGCUCCUAUAGUUGAAUUAUAACUGUAUCAUUUUCCGUGGAAUAGUUUGUAACAUUAUCAGUAAUGAUUAUGUGAUUGAAAGGAAUGAAUUUUAGCAGUAAAUGAGAGUUUUGCUUAAGGACAAACAAAUGCUUAAUUGUGGGGGUAUUUGAUAAACGCCAAAUUAUACAUAUUUUUACCCUAAAUACCUAGCAUAUUUAUGGAUGUUUAUUACUAUAUUUGUGGAUUUUGGUGCUCUUAAUCCAGUUAUUUCAUGUUUUGUACUCAAGAGCGCACCAAGAGCCAAAAGGAGCCAAAAACGAGCCAAAAAGGGACAAAACGGGCCAAAUCGAGAAUAUGACACGACCUAAGCCUUGCCACACGGGUAUCUCACAUACCCGUGUCUUUCUAGGGUGUCGACUAAGGCUUUCAUGAUUCACACGGCCUGGCCAUUGACCCACACGGCUGUGUGCAAUUUAAUAGAUCGAACACAGCCUGGCAAUCAAGUCACACGGCCGUGGCACAAGGGCGUGUCCCUUUUUCAAGGAGUUGUAUUUUACACGGAAAAGGAUACUUCGGGAGGAAGAAAGCCAAUCCAAAGCCUAUAUAAACACCCUAAGUAUGACUUAGUAAGGGGUGCCCUCUAGAACUUUUCUAGAGUACAAAACCACACGCCGAGAAUUACUUGAAGGAAGCCAGACGAUCCAUCCCAAAAGCCGAGCUACUUCAAGACUGAAGAUCUCUCUUAGAAUACCUUCAGGGGUUUUAGAUUUUUCUUUAUGUUUUGUUAUUUUCAUACUUUUGAGAUGUACUCUUAUUUUAUUAUGAGCUAAACCCCUUAGAUACCUAGGGGGUUGAAACCUAUGAUGGAUCUUAUUAUUAUUAUCUGAACUGUAUGAUAAAUACUUGAUUUUUUUCUUAAUUAUGUGUUCUUAAUGCUUGAGUUAAUAUUCCGGGUAUUAAUUCAUGAUUUGAUGUGCUUAUGCAGAUGAGCAAAAGUCCCUGUCUAAGAGUAGAUUCAGCAUAAUUAAGCGGAGUUGAUCGAACGCCUAGAAAUAGGGUUACGAGAUUUUGCCGAAUUAGGGUGAAACCUAAUAUGGGAGUCCAUAGAUCGAUUUACUGCUUCCCUAGGGGUUUUAAUUAAGAAAGAGAUUUCAAUUAAUUCAACUGAGGGUUAGACGUUAUUAGUCUCGAAAGAGAUAAUAAUAUAGGUUAGGGAGUCUCACGAAUCAAGUCAAGUGAAUAAAUCAUCUGGUUCAGAGUUAGAUAACAAGCGAAAUCUAGGUCGAUUCCUCCUUAGGUGUCGUCUUUAUCAAUUACUUUUCUUCAAGUCUUUUUUCAAACUUUCUCUUUGCUUUAGUUUAAUUAGUUAAUUAGUUUAGUUAAUUAGCUUAAUAAACAACCCAUCUUUAUUUCUAGGUUAAAUAAUAAAAACAUAGUUAUUACAAGUACUUUUGGUUCCCUUGGGUACGAUAUCCCGGUCUUGCCAUUACUAUACUAUUGUUCGAUAGGUGCGCUUUCCUUUUCGUCGUGAUAAUAGUUAGUCUAGGUUUGAUCUUCAUUAUAAAUAUUUAUCACUUGUUACAAAUCACGGGAUCAACGGGUUUCUUCUAGUCAUAAACUAUAAAAACGUUCCAAUAGAAUGAAAAAGUAAAUUAAUAAAUAAUAAUAAUAAUUAAAUUGCAAGAAAAAUAAAUGGCUAAAGUUAUAAAAAUUGAGCGUUCCUAAUAUCUUAGUUUCCCGGCAACGGCACCAAAAACUUCAUCACGUGAUUUCGUGAUAGGUUUUUAAUAUUUAUAAUUAAUCAUUCUUGAAACUAACUAUUAUAACGAUGCAGGCAAGUGUACCUAUCGAACAAUAGUAUAGUUUUAGCACGACCAGAUUGUCAAACCCAAAGGAACUAGAAGUACUAGUAAUGACUGUUUUAACUACCCUAAGAAUAAAGAGGUUUUGUUUUAACUAACUAAUUAUCUAGACUAAGAAAUCACAGAGAAUAGAAUUGGGGCAUUACUUUUGGAAAACAAUUAAAUUGAGACAAUACCUAAGGAAAAAUCCACCUAGACUGUACUUGUUAUUCUGGCUCCGAAUCGGAUGAUUUAUUUAUUUAACUUGUCCCGUAGAGAUCCCUAAGUUAUGUUAUUAUCCCUAUUCAAGACUAAUAACGUCAAAUCUCUAAAUUGAAUAAUUGAGACUUUUCUCUAAUCAACACCGUAGGGUUGCAUUAACUCGAUCUAUGGUUCCCCUUAUUAGGUUUCACCCUAAUCCGGAAAAUCUUGAAUGUCUAGGCACGCAAACAACACCGCUUAAUUAUGACAAAUGUACUCUUAGACAGGGUCUAUUCCUCCUCUGAAUAAGAGCUUAUCUUGAAUCAGUAUCCUGGGAUAUCAAAACAAGAAUUAAGAACACAUAAUUAAGAACAAGUUAAAUAUUUAUCAUACAAUUCAGAAAAUAAUAACAAGAUUCGUCUUAGGUUUCAUCCCUCUUAGGUAUUUAGGGGAUUUAGUUCAUAACUAAAAAGGAAAACAUCUCAGAAGAAUAACGAAUACAAAACAUAAAGAAAACGACGUGGCACCUUCCCUCCUCAGUACCGUCUCGCCCAAUCCACCGAGGAGUAGGCCCCCGAGAACAUUAUUGAUGAUGUCCCUCCACGUCACGAGGACCCACCGUCUCAGCCACCACCUCUUUCUCGUCCAGUUCAUGCGGCGGCUUCAUACACUGACAUCUUUAAAUGCCUUACCGUAUUCAAGCAACAGUGUUUUUAGCGUUUCGAUAACAUUGAUGCUACUCUGCAGCAGAUUUGUCAGCACUUCCACAUCUUAUCGCCAUCCCCACCUCGCGAACCAUCUAGCGAUGAAAAUGUUUAAAAGCUUUUAUUUAUUAUUUUAUGUUUUUACUUUUAUUUUAUUUUAUUUUAAGACUACUUUUUAUUUUUCUUUCGCCUUAUUUUUAUUAGGACUUAUAAUUAUUAUUUUAUAAUUUUUAAUUUCGGCUAAUUCAUAUUGAGUACUUAGUCUUCCUUAUAUAUUUCCUAAAAGAGUUCCUGAUUCUAUCACAAUUAUAAAGAGCUUCAAAGCUCACUAUUACUCAAGAACUUGAAACUCCACCGGGAAAGGUUCUCAACGACUGUCAUGUCCUGCAAGACCACAACCAUAGCUACCACCAGAUAUAAUAUUCUUUUGGCGCAAGACUUAUGGACUAAUGAACCUCCACCACCAUUAGAGUAUCCUCCUCCACUCUCAACCCGAUUACUCUCCAAAACUCCAGUUCGAGGAAUUCAUUCAUCAUUCAGGAAGUUUCACUUCUCUCCCUAUUUUUUGAUUAUAAAUCUAUCUUUAUCAAUAUAUCUACCUUUGUACAUUGAGGGCAAUGUACAUCUUAAGUGUCGGGGGGUCUUUUAUAUCAGAAAAAUUCCUGAAUUUUGUUUGAUUCUCAUGUGAUCUUCUCAUAUCAUUAUUAGAAUGAAUUCCAAUUAGUCUAUAAUGUUUAUUGAUAUAUCUUGAAUUAAAACAUAGGCAUUUAUGCAUUGAUUGUUUAAAAUUUAAGACACUAGGGAAUCAAGCAUGAUAAGUUGAUUUUUGAAGAAUUAAAAACUUUUAGGUUGUUCCCCCAAGUUUAGGUAUUUUUUUUAUUUAGAAUUCACAAGUUUAAACAUCAAAAAGCCAUAAUUUUUGUGAGAUCUUGAGCCUUCAAGAGCAUCUAUUAAUUCUUUCAUGCUCGCUUUCAUUAUGAGUGCGUCAGUAUCGAAUUGCUAUUCUAGAACUUGCUUGAUUAUGCAUGUCAAAACCACGCCAUUUGAUUUGAUAUGUCAAAAUGAGAAAGGCACUUAGGUUUAACCCACUCACUCCAUAAAAGCCUACCUUCACAAUUAACCCUUAGUGAACCCCCUUGAGCUUAACAACUCAUUCAUUAAUUUACUCUCAAUAUUAACCCAUAACUCAUUAUUAUUGAAAUCCCCUAAAUUAAUAUGAUCCCUAUUUUUGUCGAGAUUUGAGUUGGAAUAGUUGCUUAGCUAUGUUUUAUUCAAUUUUGUAAUUUAACUUGUUCUAAAAAAAAUAAUAUAUGUAUACAUAUUAGUAGUAGUGAUCUUCUGAGCUAAAGAAGUUAAAUUCCAUAUUCUGAGAAAAAGCUCUGUUGUACGCAAUUGAUGACUAGUCAUUUUUUUAGUUAGACAAUUUUUCAACUCAAUCUCGAUUCUAACCUUUUUCUUUCAGUUUGUGACCACACCCUCUAACCCAAGCCACGUAACAACCCUCUAAAGACCUUUUGAUUAAUGUUUCAUCUCAAUUUAUAGUGGUGGGGAUUUGAUUUUCAUGUAAGCCUAUGGUAAUGACUUUUCAUUAUUGACUAUUGAGUGCUUCAUUUAUUGUCCUUAAACACCUCGAGUGAUUUGAGUGAAUCUUUAGCGAGGAUGUGAAACUCUGUGAUAUUUUGAAUCAAAUGUAAUUACAUAGAUGAGGGGAGACACCUAUGAUUUCAUGAUAAAAUACUCAACUUGGAAUGUUUGAAACUUUGAUGUUCUUUCGGUUGAAUUUUCAAUGUAUGAUUACCUAUGGAUUAUUUUGUGAUAUUAUCGAUAGAAAUUAUAAGUUGAGAAGAAUUUAUUUUGAUUAUGAGUUGAGGAUUUUUCUUGAGGACAAGCAAAUGCUUAAGUGUGGGGGUAUUCGAUAAACCGUAAUUUAUACAUAUUUCUAUCCCAUACUUAGUACAUUUUACGGAUGAUUUUUCCUUAAAAUUAGUGAAUUUUAUGCUCCUAAUGUCUUAAAUUCAUAUUUUAUACUUAGGUGAGCAUAGGAGAGUGAAAGGAAUGAGAAACGGGCCAAAAAUGGAGAAAAUGAGCCAACGUACGAAAUCAACACAGCCUGGACCUCCUCACACGGGGAGAUCACACGGCCAUGUCAAUUUAGAAGAAUCGAAGCACGACUCACACGGGUAGACCACACACCCAUGCCUAUUUAACAGGUUUGACCACGGCCUGAAGUAAUCCCACACAGGCAUUUUAAAGCCUAUAAAUACACCCUAGAGGAGGAAGAAUAGACACACAGGGAAGGAAGCAGGGAACUACUCAAAGAAAGCCGAUUGAUCCAUCUUAGAAGUCGGAUUCAUCAUCAAGACUGAAGAUCUCUCCUCAAUUUCCCUUCAGGAUUUUUUGGUUUUUCUUUAUGUUUUGUAUUCAUUAUUCUUCUGAGAUGUUUACCUUUUAGUUAUGAACUAAAACCCCUAAAUACCUAAGGGGAAUGAAACCUAAGGCAGAUCUUGUUAUUAUUAUCUGAAUUGUAUGAUAAAUAUUUGACUUGUUCUUAAUUAUAUGUUCUUAAUUCUUCUCUUGAUAUUCCAGGAUAUUGAUUCAAGUUAAGCUCUUAUUCAGAGGAGGAAUAUACCCUGUCUAAAAGUACAUUUGUCAUAAUUAAGCGGAGUUGAUUGCGGGCCUAGAGAUAGGGUGACAAGAUUUUUUCGGAUUAGAGUGAAACCUAAUAAGGGGAUCCAUAGAUCGUGUUAAUGCAACCUUAGGGAGUUAAUUAGAAAGAGAUUUCAAUUAUUAAACCUAGGGUUGGACAUUGCUAGUCUCGAGAGGGAUAAUAAUAUAACUUAGGGAUUUUGACGGAUCAAGUCAAAUGAAUAAAUCGUCCGAUUCAGAGUCAAAUAACAAGUGAAGUCUAGGUGGAUUUUUCCUUAGGUAUUGUCUUAAUUCAAUCGUUUUUUCAAAAGUAAUCCCCCAAUUCUAUUUUCUGUGAAUUCUUAGUUUAGUUAAUUAGUUAGUUAAAAAAACCCCAUUAUUCUUAGGCUAGAUAAUAAAAAGACAGUCAUUACUAGUACUUUUAGUUCCUUUAGAUUUGACAAUCCGGUCUUGCUAAAGCUAUACUACUGUUCGAUAAGUACACUUGCCUUCAUUGUGAUAAUAGUUAGUUUUAAGAACGAUUCAUUAUAAAUAUUUAAAACCUGUCACGAAUAUCACAUAUAAAUACCUCACCAAAUCAACUUAAGGUUGGAGACAACGUACUACUAGAUGCAGCAGAUCCUCGCAUUACCACUUUUGAACCUAAUGAAGAAAUUCCUCUUACGGUACUCAUUAUUUUCCCAUAUGGUACAGUUAAGGUAAAUCAUCCCAAAUUCGGCACAUUUAAGGUAAAUAAUACUCGUCUUAAACCUUAUGUUGAUAAAGUUUAUAGGAAGGAUGAGGAGUGUAAACUCCUCGCUCCACCUUCACCAUGCAAAAGUGAGGUAAGUCGAGCUUAGACUAUAAAUAAGCGCUUCUCGGAAGGCAACCCGAGCCUAACAGUGCCAAUUUCUUUAAAUUUUAGUUUUUACCAUCUAACAUACUUUCAAAACACCACACGGCCAAGCACACGGGCGUGCAUUAGGAAUUGUGAAAAUAGGGCAAGAUUUUUUCCCAACACGGGAUACGAUAAGUUGCCACGACCGUACGACAUGGCCGUGGGUGAAACUGCCAAAACAACACGAGCGUGCGGCACGCCCAUGCCUCGAGACCGUGGUUGAAACUGAGAAUGUAACACGGGCGUACGACACGCUCGUGCCAUCCACUCGUGGUCGACACUGUAAAAACGAACACAGGCAGGGACCUAUGUACAUGGGCGUGGGAGAAGCGAACGAAGCAAGACACGACUUUUCGACAAGGUCGUGUGCACCCACAGGCCCAAAAAACACGGGCGUGGGUCAAAUGUCAGACGUGCCCAAAUUCAAAAUUCGCGAAACACACGGGCAAAAAUUAGGCCACACGAGCGUGUCCCACGGCCGUGUACCCCAAAAUCUAUAUAAACCCCUCACUAUUCAUCAUCUUCCACCCUAAAAAUCCCUAACCCUAGCCGUUGCAACUACAUACGCCCUUCCCCCACGCCCAUGCGUUGCCUACAACACCGAUUCCGACACCCCAAGCUCCUUCCUUUUGCAUUUGUUUACUCUUUUCUCUCUAUUUUCUCUAAAUAUGCUGCUUAUUUCAUGAUUUCUCUACUCUAUUGAACUAUUUUGAAUGAAUAUUCAUAGUUAGAAUAUUAAAAUACUCAUUCUUAUUUAUAAAAAUUUUGUCAUUUUAGUUACUCCAUUAUGCUUUACUUUUUCAUUUUUCCUAGUUCCAUGAAAUUUAUGCAUACCCGCAUGCAUUCAUUCAUAUUCUCGUUACAUUAUUCCCAUAACACUAUAACUUGAUAUUUUUAGUAGUUUUGUUUACUUCAUCCAUUACAUAAGUCCCAUGAAAUCUUCCUAUUUAGUUUUGUGCUUCCGUGCUAUUCUUGGGGCAUAUUGGUUGAACUUCGAUUUUUUAAUGCAGGCACAAUGUCGUCCUCACGUGGUAAAAAGAUCAUUGUUCCCUCCUCGAAGAAGAGGAAAUGAGCAGCGUCAUCCUCGGGUCCUACCACGGAGAUUAGGCACCCAUUCCUCCAGGUUCCCUUGGGACCCCAGGAGGAAUUAUAUCAGAUAUUAUAGGCCAGACCCCUAGGUGUGGGCCACUGUAUUGACUGGACCGCACUCGAGCAGAUUCAAUUGGAUGACGAGGUCCGAGCCCUCCUAACAACUGACCCGUGGGGGCUCUUCUUUCAGAUUGUCGAGCCGACAUAUCUCGAGUUUACAUUGGAACUCUGCUCGACGUUCCAUCUUCAGACCGUCAUGACAAACUUAAAUAAUUUUGGAACAGUCCAGUUCCGCCUUUGUGGUCUAGUACACUAGUUGAGCGUGCCCGAGUUCGGGAUUACACUAGGGCUAUACACAGAGGAAUUCAUGAACGAUAAUAAACUCAACACCCUCCACCACCACAUCCACUGCUCCCCCUCAAAAUGUUGGAGGGACCUCGUCCCUGCCUCGGCCACCCACGACCCUAGCCACUUCAAGGCAUCAGCUCUCCCUCCAUCCUUGAGGUAUCUACAAGCCAUCUUGGCUCAUACUCUGACAGGGAGACGAGAGAGCACCGAUGUUGUCACCACACACGACGCCUAGUUCUUAUGGAGUAUGGCGAAUGGACACGUCAUCGACCUCGCCUACUUUAUUGCCUUCGCCAUUCACCACCAGACAGAGCGGCACAGGAGAGGGGUCAUCUCUAUCGGACCCUAUGUGACUCGACUGGCUCGGCACUUUAGGCUUCUCAACACAGCAACCCAAUUAUCCUCCAUCACUCUCAUCGUCCAGAUGUCCCCACAGGGCAUCUCGAGCAUGCUAAAUAUGAGGAUGAUCGAGAAACGACAUGGCACCUACCCUCUUGAGUACCGCCUCGCCCAGUCCAUGAGGAGGAGGAUCCAGAUGACAUUGCUGAUGAUGUCCCUCCACGUCAUGAGGACCCACCAUCUUAGCCACCACCCCCUCUCGUCCAGUUCAUGCGGCGGCUUCAUACACUGACAUCUCUGAGCGCCUUACUCGAUCCAAGCAGUAGUGUUUUCAGCGCUUCGAUAACAUUGACACUACUCUACAGCAGAUUUGUCAGCACUUCCACAUCUCAUCGCCACCCCCACCUCGCGAACCAUCUAGCGAUGAAGAUGUUUAAAAACUUUUAUUUAUUAUUUUAUGUUGUUACUUUUAUUUUAUUUUAAGACUACUUUUUAUUUUUCUUUAAGUUUAUUUUUAUUAGGUUUUAUAAUUAUUAUUUUACAAUUUUUAAUUUCGGCUAUUUCAUUACGAGUAAUUAUUCUUCAAUAUAUAUUUCCUAAAAAAUUUCCUGAUUCUAUCAUAAUUAUAAAGAGCUCCAAAACUCACUAUUACUCAGGAACUUGAAACUCCACUAGGAAAGGUUCUCCACGACUGCCAUGCCCUGCUCGACUACGACCAUAGCCAACUUGAGAUAUAAUAUUCUUUUGGCGCAGCAUUUGUAAAACCCAACCUCUACCACCACCGGAGUAUCCUCCUCCAACCUCAUCAUUACUUUCGCCAUUUAUUCUCCAUGGCUCCAAUUCAAGGAGUCCAUACAUCAUUCAAGAAGUUUCACUUCUCUCCCUAUCUCAUGAUUAUAUAUCUAUCUUUGUCAAUAUAUGUCUCUUUGUAUAUUGAGGGCAAUGUACAUCUUAAGUGUGGGCGGGUCUUUCAUAUCAUUAUUAGAGAUCCUCGAAUUUUAUCUUAUUCUCAUGUGAAUCACUCAUAUCACUAUUAGAAUGAAUUUUGAUUAAUUUAUGAUUUUUAUUGAUAUGUCUUGAAUUAAAACAUAGGUAUUUAUGCAUUGAUUGUUUAAACUUUAGGACAUUAUGGAAUCAAACAUGAUAAGUUGAUUUUUGAAGAAUUAAAAACUUUUAGGUUGUUUCCCAAAGCUUAAGUAUUAUCUUGAGUUGAAAUUCACAAGUUUGAACAUCAAAAAGCCAUAAUUUUUGUGAGAUCUUGAGCCUUUAGAGCAUAUUUCAUUCCUUUCAUGCUCACUUUCAUUAUGAGUGCGUAAGUUUUGAUUUGUUAUUCUAGAACUUUCUUGAUUAUGCAUGUUAAGACCACACCAUUUGAUUUGAUAUGUCAAGAUGAUAAAGGCACUUAGGUUUAACCCACUCACUCCACAAAAGCCUACCUUCAUAAUUAACCCUUAGUGAAGCCCCUUGAGCCUAACAAGCCAUUAAUUGAUUCACCCUCAAUAUUAACCCAUAACCCAUUAUUGUUGAAAUCCCCUAAUUUGAUCCCUAUUUUGGUCGAGAUUUGAUUUGAACUAAUUGCUUAGUUUUGUUUUUCUCUUCUAUGUAUUUGACUUGUUCUUAAAAAAAUGAAUGUACUUCAAUACAUAUUAGUUGUAAUGCGUCGUUUUUGAGCUUGAAUGUUAAUUUCAUAUUCAGAGAAGAAGCUCAAUUGUAUUCAAUUGAUGACUAGUUAUUUUUCUAGCUAAGUGAUUUUUCAAUUCAAUUUCGAUUCUAACCUUUUCUUUCAGCUUAUGACCACACCCCCUAACCAAAGCCACGUUACAACCCUCUAAAAAGACCUUUUUGAUUGACGUAUCAGCUCAAUAUAUAGUGGUGGAGAUUUGAUUUUCACGCAAGCCUAUGGUAAUAACUUUUCAUAUUGACUAAUUUUAUUAGUGUCCUUAAACACCUUGAGUGAUUUGAGUGAAUCUUUAGUAAGGAUGUUAAACUCUCUGAUAUUUUGAUCAAAGGUAAUCACUUAGAUGAGGGGAGACACAUAUGUUUUCGCGAUAAAAUGCUCAACUUUGAAUGUUUGAAACUUUGAUGAACUUUUAGUUGAAUUUUCAAUGUAUGAGUACUUAUGGAUUAUUUUGAGAUAUUAUUGAUAGGGAUUAUAAAUUGAGAAGAAUUUAUUUUGAUUAUGAGUUGAGGAUUUUUGCUUGAGGACAAGCAAAUGCUUAAGUGUGAGGGUAUUUGAUAAACCGUAAUUUAUACAUAUUUUUAUCCCAUGCUUAGCACAUUUAUGGAUGGUUUCUCCUUAGAAUUGGUGAAUUCGAUGCUCCUAAUCUUUUAAUUCCAUGUUUUAUACUUAGGUGAGCAUAGAAGAGUAAAAAGAGUGAGAAACAGGUCAAAAACGGAGAAAAUAGACCCACGUGGGAAAUCAACACGGCCUGGACUUUCUCACACGGACGUGUCACACGGCCGUGUCCCCUGGCAGGAUUGAAGCACGACUUACAUGGGUAUACUACAUGCCCAUGCCUAUUCAACAGCCUUAGCCGCGGGCUGGAGUAAUCGCACACGGGCGUGUCACACGAGUGUGUCCCUGUCGAGCCCAAGUAUAACCCUAUUCGAAAAAGGCCAAUUUGGGGGGCUCUUAGGAAUUUUAAAGUCUAUUUAAACACCUGAGGAGACACUUAAAAGGGGGACGCAGAGUAGGAAGUAAGGAAUUACUCAAGGAAAGCUGAUUGAUCCAUCUCAGAAGCUGGAUUCAUCAUCAAGACUGAAGAUCUCCCUUCAAGUUCCUUCAGGAGUUUUGGCUUUCCUUAUGUUUUGUUAUCUUUAUGCUUUUGAGAUAUUUUCUUCAAUAAGUAUGAACUAAACCCCCUAAAUACUUAAGGGGAAUGAAACCUAAGACGGAUCUUGUUAUUAUUAUCUAAAUUGUAUGAUAAAUAUUUGACUUGUUCUUAAUUAUGUGUUCUUAAUUCUUGUUUCAAUAUUCCAAGAUAUUGAUCCAAGUUAAGCUCUUAUUCAGAGGAGGAAUAGACCCUGUCUAAGAGUAUAUUUGUCAUAAUUAAGCGGAGUUUAUUGCAUGCCUAGAGAUAAGGUAAUAAGAUUUUGCCAGAUUAGGGUGAAACCUAAUAAGGGAAUCCAUAGAUUGAGUUAAUGCAAUUCUAGGGUGUUAAUUAGAAAGAGAUUUCAAUUAUUCAACCUAAGGUUAGACGUUAUUAGUCUCGAGAGAGAUAAUAAUAUAACUUAGGGAUUUCUACUGAUCAAGUCAAAUGAAUAAAUCGUUUGAUUCAGAGUCAAAUAACAAGUGAAGUCUAGGUGGAUUUUUCCUUAGGUAUUUUCUUAAUCAAUCGAAUUUUCCCAAAAGUAUUUUCCCAAAUUUUCUUUCUGUGCAUUCUUAAUUAGUAAUUAGUUUAGAUAACCAAACCUCUUAAUUUUUAGGCUAGAUAAUAAAAAGAAAGUAACUACUAGUACUCGUAGUUCCUUUGGGUUCGACAAUCCGGUCUUGCUAAACUAUACUACUGUUCGAUAGGUGUACUUGCCUUAAUCGUGAUAAUAAGUUAGUCUCAAGAACGAUCCUUUCAUAAAUCUUUAAAACCUGUCACGAAUAUCACGUACCACCUAGCUUAUACAUGCCAUAGGUUCGAGUUUAACUUAUCAAAUACCAAAAACAAUCGAUAGUGUGAUGGACUUUGCUGACGAUCCCCGAGCUCGUAACUAAUCUCCAAUAUCUAUAAAAUAGAGGUAAACAUACACACACAAAGUAAGCAAUCAUAGCUUAGUAAGUCAUAAGCAAAUAAACAACUCAAUAACAUAAUCAACUCAUUUAAACCAAACCAAACUAUACUAUCAUAAUCAUAUUAAAUCUCAAACUUAAGAUUUCAUGAAUAUCAUAUAUUUUCACAUAUAAACUUAUUUGUGGCUGAAUGUAUAUAUAUAUAACAAAGUAUCUUUCAAUUUCAAAGCCAAGAUAUUAUUAUAACCAAGUACAUUUAUACACAUACUCAUGAGUCAAAUAUAACAUUACAUACAUAUACAUAGCAUAUGGCCGAAUAUACCUCACAAAUGCACAUAUGUUCACAUUAGUCACUUAUAUAAUUUGCAUCAAAUAUCUAAUGGUCAACUUACCUUAUUUUCAAAUAGGUAAUAAACUAACUCAUAUCUGAUCAUUUUAGCUUGUUUUACACCUUCGAUCACAACUUAUCAUUGCCCGUUGAACUAUUCGAAAUUGGAUAGGAUACUCGGAUAAUCACAUAUAUCGUACAAUGCUAACGUCCCAGACGUGGUCUUACAUGCUAUUUCAUAUCGAUGUCACUGUCCUAGACAGGGUCUAACACGAAUCAAAUACGAUGCCAAUGUCCCAGACAUGGUCUUACACGUAACCACGUAUAUCGAUGCCAAAUCCCAGACAUGGUCUUACACGAAAACACAUAUCGAAAUUCCUAUGUCAUGACAUACGACAUAGCUCCCAAGCUUAUUUACAUUCGGCUAACACAUAUAUAUUUCCACAUAGUUCCUUUCAGCAUAUAACCCGUAUUUAAUAAAAUAAAUAACAUUUAUUUUCUUAUUAACUUACCUCGGACGAUGAAAAUCGGAACGGCACAACUAAUCGACAACUUUAGUUUUCCCCCGAUCCAAAUCCAAUUUCCUUGGUUCUUGAUAUAAACAUAUUCAAAUUAAACUCAUUCAAACAUAUUUUUACUCAUUUUAGUCCAAAAACACAUAAAUGGGAAAAUUACAAUUUUACCCCUCACAUUUUACACAUUUUACAAUUUAGUCCAAAUUGCACAAAACACAAAACAUGCAAAAUUUGCAUAUACCAUGCUUAGGCCUAAUGUACCAUGUGUUCAAACAAGUCCAUAAAUUUCAUUUAUUUCACACUUUAGUCCCUCAAUUUAUCAUUUUUACAAUUUAGUCCUAAUUACUCAAAAUCAUCAAAAAUUCCAAUACAAAACAGGUUAAUCUAAAACAUAUCUUUCAUAUUUCAUCAAAUAUCAUCACAAAGCUCAAAUAUUCAUCAAUGUAAUAACUCAAAAUAUUCAUCAAAAUCAAAAAUUCAAGCAUGGGCUUUGUACAUUACAGUAUAAAAAUCUCAAAAACGUAAAAAUUAUCAAAAACCGAGCUAGUUACAUACCUUGAUUAAGCUAUCAAAUGGCCGAACCCUUAAAAGCUUUCUUUUCUUUUCUUUUUUCUUUAGUUUCGGUCACCAAGAACAAAAUAUGAAUGCAUUAUAAUUAUUUUAUGUUUUAUGAUAUAUUAACAUAUUAAUAAAUUUACAUAUUUAACCUUUAUUAUAAAAUAUAAAACAAUUAUAAAUCAUGGUCAUUAUUGUCCACUACAUAUAAUUAUGGUUUAAUUGCAUUAUAAAUGCUUCAUAUUAACAAGACAAGUUCAAUUUGGCCACAACAUAUUAAAACAUCAAAUUUUCAUUUUACACGAUUAAGCCCUUUUAUUAAAUCGAGCACUCAAACGAUAAAAUUAAAACACGAAAAUUUCACACAUAUAAAUUCACACAUAAUAAACACAGAAAUUAAUUUUAAAAACAUUUUUUGACUCGGAUUUGUGGUCCUGAAACCACCUUUUCAAAUAGGGUCUAAAUCGGGUUGUUACACUGCAAACUUAUACAACAAGCAAUUCAACUACCAAUCUUUCAACCAAUCUAAAACAAAAUUAGAUAUACUCAAGACAUGUUAAAACAACCAAUCUAAUGACCUAACCAAUUUACUCUCAUAAAUACUUCAAAUAUAACAUUCUAAUCAAUCCAUUAUUAUCACUAUUUGAACCAAAUCUAAUAUCAUACUAAUUUCAACCAUAACUUACCAUUUAAUAGCCAUAACAUAAUGAUCGCAAGGUUUCGUGACAGGUUUUAAAUAUUUAUAAUUACUCGUUCUUGAACUAACUAUUAUCGCAAUGUAGGCAAGUGUACCUAUCGAACAGUAGUAUAGUUUUACCAAGACCGGGUUGUCGAACCCAAAGGAACUAAAACUACUAGUAAUGACUGUCUUUUUAUUAUCUAGCCUAAGAAUAAAGAGGUUUUGUUUUAAUUAAAUCUAAACUAAGAACUCAUAGAGAAAAGAAUUGCGGAAUUGCUUUUGGAAAAAUCGAUUGAAUGAAGACAAUACCUAAGGAAAAAUCCACCUAGACUUUACUUGUUAUUUUGGCUUCGAAUCGGACAAUUUAUUCAUUCAACUUGUUCCGUAGAGAUCCCUAAGUUAUGUUAUAUCCUUAUUCAAGACUAAUAAUGUCUAAUCCCUAGAUUGAAUAACUAAGUUUUUUUCUCUAAUUAACACUCUAGGGUUGCAUUAACUCGAUCUAUGGAUCCCCUUAUUAGGUUUCACCCUAAUCCGGAAAAAUCUUGUCACCUUAUUUCUAAGCGCACAAUCAACUCCACUUAAUUAUGACAAAAGUACUCUUAGACAGGCUCUAUUCCUCCUCUGAAUAAGAGCAUGUCUUGAAUUAGUAUCCUGGGAUAUCAAAACAAGAAUUAAGAACACAUAAUUAAGAACAAGUUAAAUAUUUAUCAUAUGAUUCAGAAAAAAAUAACAAGAUUCGUCUUAGGUUUCAUUCCCCUUAGGAAUUUAAGGGUUUUAGUUCAUAACUAAAUCAGAAAACAUCUCAGAAGAAUAAAAAAUACAAAACAUAAAGAAAAUCCAAAACUCCUGAAGGGAAAUUGAGGAGAGAUCUUCAGUCUUGAUGAUGAAUCCAGCUUCCGAGAUGGAUCAAUCGGCUUCCUUCGAGUAAUUCCUUACGCCCUCUUCUCCCCCUUCUUUUCUUCCUCCUCUAGGGUGUAUUUAUAGGCUUUGGAAUGCCUAGAAGCCCUCAAAAGUGGCCUUUUCCAAAUUGGACUUAAUCUGGGCUCGACAGGGACUCGCCCGUGUGCGAUUACUUCAGGCCAUCUUCAAGCCUGUUAGAAUGGCACGAGCGUGUGCUAUACCCGUGUGAGGAGGUCCAAGCCGUGUUGAUCUCGUACUUUGGCCCAUUUUCUCCGUUUUUGGCCAGUUUCUCAUUCCUUUCGCUCUUCUAUUCUCUCCUAAGUAUAAAACAUGAAAUUAAAGCAUUAGGAGCAUCGAAUUCACCAAUUCUUAUGGAAAAUCAUCCAUAAAAUGCAUUAAACAUGGGGUAAAAUAUGUAUAAUUUACGGUUUAUCAAAUACCCCCACACUUAAGUAUUUACUUGUCAUCAAGCAAAAUUCUCAACUCAUAAUCAAAAUAAAUUCUCCUCAACUUACAAUUCCUAUCGAUAAUAUUCAAAAUAAUCCGUAGGUAAUCAUACAUUGAGAAUUCAACUAAAAGGACACAAAAGUUUUAGACAUUCCAAGUUGAGUAUUUAAUCAUGCAAACAUAGGUGUCUCUCCGCAUCUAAGUAAUUACCUUUGAUUUAGAAUGUCACAGAGUUUCCCAUCCUCACUAAAGAUUCACUCAAAUCACUCGAGGUGUUUAAAGACAAUAAAUGAAGCACUCAAUAGUCAAUAAUGAAAAGUCAUUACCAUAGGCUUGCAUGAAAAUCAAAUCUCCACCACUAUAAUUUAAGAUGAUACAUCAAUCAAAAGGUCUUUAGAGGGUUGUAGUGAGGCUUGGUUAGGAGGGUGUGGUCACAAGCUGAAAGAAAGGGUUAGAAUCGAGAUUGAAUUGAAAAAUUGUCUAACUAGAAGAAGAGUGUAACAGCCUAAUUUUCAGUGGUGUCGGAAAAGUGAUUCGAGAUCACUAAAUCCGAAAAAUGAGUAGGAAAUAUUAUUAAUUUAGUGAGUAUAAGUUAAAUGUGAAGUUGGGAAAAAUUUUGAAAUAGUGAAUAGUGUACUAAAAAUAAAUAUUAAAAUAAUUAGAAUAAAAAAUGAGGUAUCGAGACCUCGAGAAUUUUAAAUCGAGCCAUAAAUAUUUUUAUAAAUAUUUAUGGAGUGUUAAUAAGUUAGUAUUAAAGUUUCGUCAAAAAAUUUUAAAGUUCUGAUAGUUAAUUGAACAAAAAGGACUAAAUUGUAUCAAAUGCAAAAUUGUGGAAAAUGAUUAAAUAGCAUAAAUGAUAAAAGAAAGAGGGUUUAAAAGAAAAAUAGACCCAAGGUCUCUUUGGGAUGGACAGCAAGGGCAUGAAAUCAGCAAGAAAAUAAGGAGAAUUAAGGGUAAAAUUGGAAAAUUGUAAAAUUUACUUAAUAAAGCUAGGACUAAAGUGGAAUUAUGUAGAUUUCUCUUUAUUUUUCUGAAUUAUCAUCAGCAAAAACACCAUUGAAGAGUUCCCUUAAACUGGUUUUCAUAUUUUUCCUUCAAGUAAGUUCAAUUCUUGAUUAUUUCUUAAAAUUUUUGUGUUUUUGUGACUUUUACAACUAGGUCCACUUGUUGAAUUCAUUAGUUUUUGAUUCUAUGAAAGAAAUUGAAAGUUGCUAUGAAUAUCUGCUGGAAGAAUAUGAUGAUUUGGCAUGGAAUUAGAGCUUUAAAUUGUUUAUAUGUUGAUUUUAUUGAAAGAAUUGAAUAGAAAAUGAAUGUUUGGGACCUAAUUGUAAAAGAGUUUGAAGUUAGAGUUUUAUGUGGAAAUAAUGAAUUUAAAUAGCUAUGAAAUAACUUAUAAUGUCUAGGAAAAGUAUUAAUUGAGAAAAUUAUCUUAAUUGAGGGGUUAAUUAAGCAAGGACUGAAUUGUAUGAAUUGUGAAAUUUGGGGCAAAAUGGAAAUCAACAUUUUGCACUAAAACUGUUUUGGACAGCAGCAGUAGUCUAAAUUUUAAAAAUCACCAAAAAUUGUAGAAAUGGAAUUAGAGGAUGAAUAAAAUAUGAAAUUAAAGCUUAUUGAGUCUAGUUUCGUAUAGAAGAAAUGAUGUAAGCAAUGGAAUUGUAAAUCAUGAGAUAUGAUAAAUUUUGUGAGAUAAGGUUAGAAUGAUUUCGGGUUCCCCCGUUUUGACUUUGUAAAAUCAUCAAAAAUUGGAUAAAAAUAAUUAAGGGCUUAAAUUUAUAUGUUUAGAGUCCUGAAUGAGUCUAUUUUCAAUAAAAACAAAUGUAAACAUCAUUCCAAUCCUGUACGAGGAGAUAAUUAUUUUUUGUAAAUAAGGGUCGGAACUGUCAGACAGCAGAACAGAGGAGACUUCAAUGAAUAAACUGUAUUAAUUGGCCCAACCAAAAAUUAUGAACUUUUUAUGGUAAGAAGAUAUAUGAGUCUAGUUUUAGGUAAAAUUAGUGGAUCUUAAUUUGGAGUUCCGUAUCUUUAGAUAUAAAUAAUUUAUUGACUAUGACACGGGUGGAUAGCUUGAAUAUUCACAUAAGUAAUUACUGAAAAUUAUGGAUAAGGUUACUUACAAGUGUGUUGUUUAUACCAAGGAUGUGGAUGGAGAGGAGGAGGAGGAGGAAAAAUAUAUGAAUAAAUCAUGAAUAAAUUGAUCACAUGCCCGAUUAUAAUCGAUAAGUGUUGGAUUAGAAAUGAUAUAAUGUUUUAUUUGGAAUAUUUAUUAUGAAAUUAUGAUUAUCGUUAUAAUACAAAAAUUGAACUUGUGAGAUUAUAUGGCUAAAUUUUAGUGAUUAUUUGUUAAUUUUAUGAAUUUCAUGAUGUGUUAUUUCAUAUUUAUUGAUGUUAAAAUCGUGAAUAAUGUAAAAUCAUAAAAAUUGAAUAAAUGAUCAAAUUGAGCAUUUCAGUUCAGUGACAAGAUGAAUUGAAGGAAAAGACCAUGAUUGGACCAUGGCAACAAGUGAUAAGUGAUAGCUUCGGCUACACUUAUCUGAUCAAGGACAAAUGAAAGUGAUAAGUAAUAGCUUCGGCUACACUUAUCUGAUCAAGGACAAGUGAAAGUGAUAAGUGAUAGCUUCGGCUACACUUAUCUGAUCAAUGACAAAUGACAAGUGAAAAGUGGUAGCUUCAGCUACCUGAUUAGUGAAAAAUGGUAGCUCCGGCUACCUGAUCAGUGAAUAGUGGUAGCUUCGGCUACAAGUGACAAGUGAUUUUCGUAUAAGACCAUAUCUGGGAUAUGGCAUCAGUGAGAUAUGUGAUUCGUGUAAGACCAUAGCUGGGCUAUGGCAUCGAUAUGUGAUAUGUGAUUACGUGUAAGACCAUAGCUGGGCUAUGGCAUCGAUAUAUGAAUAUGUGUAAGACCAUAGCUGGGCUAUGGAAUCAUUAUGUGGAGAUGUGUAAGACCAUAGUUGAACUAUGGCAUCGAGAAAAUGAAAUACUCAAUUCCGUAAGACGUUCACUAAUUUGACAAAGUUUGGUAAGUGUUACAUGGAAUUAUGUGAUACAAGGAAGUACGAGUUGAUAAGAUAUGAGUAUAGAACUUGGUUGAUAAAUGAAUUCAUUUGUGAUUAUAUAAUUGUUCAUCUUGAAUGUACUGUCCAUAUGUAUUGAUAAUUCAAAUGUUUUAAUGAAUAAAGUUCCUACAUGGAAUAAAUUGAACACGAGACAAAUAAUUAUGAAAUUGAACUCGGAAUUCAUGAAAAUGACGGUUAUUGAUAUAUGAAGACAUGAGAUAUUGAUAUAUGAAUAUGGAAAAUUUUUGAUAAAUGCGUUUAUUCAUAAUUAUGGAAUUAUAUACCUCAUGUGUAUUAUUUGCAUAAAGAUGAUAUUUCAAAUACUUUGGUUAUUUAAGCUUAAAUAUGAAAUAGUAUGAAAUCAAGAUAAGUUGUUAUGAAAAUAUAUUUAGAUUACAGAGAUAUGACUGAUAUAUGUUGUAUGAUUAUAUAACGUGAAAUUGUGUAUAUAUAUGAGAAAUUUAAUGAGAAUUGAGUUCAUACACGUUUCUUGCUAUUUAUAUGAAGUGUAAGACUGACAAGGGUGAUGAAGUUAUAAACAGAGAGUUACACGGGUUGAAAACACGGGCGUGUGACUCUCCAAAGUGUGAAAAUUUUCUAAGUGUUGCAAAAGUUUCAUAUGUUUACGGUUAGGUCCCGAACCAACCUGAAUGUAUGUUUUGGGCCUCGUAGGCCCAUAUAAGGGACGUUAAACAUAUGUAUGAAAGUUUUUAAUUUAGAAGAAAUUUUAUGGCUGAUUUUUACAUGAUUGAUCAUAUUAAGUUCGAUAAUGCCUCGUACCCUAUUCUAGGCUCGGAAUACGGGUAGGGGUAUUACAAAGAGUUAAUCUUCACUUGCGUACAACAGAGCUUCUCUUAGAAAAUGAAAGUACAGAUAUGUAUACAUAGUGUUUUUUUUUUAAGAACAAGUUAAAAUAAUAUAGACUAACUAUUAAGAACAAAACAUAGCUAGGCAGUCCAUUCAACACAAAUCUCGACAAAAAUAGGGAUUAAUUUAAGGGAUUUCAACAAUAAUAGGUUAAAGGUUAAUAUUAAGGGUAAUACAAGAAAUGGUUUGUUAGGCUCAAGGGGGUUUACUAGGGGUUAAUAGUGGAGGUAGGCUUUUCAUAGCAUGAGUAGGUUAAUCCUAAGUGCCUUAAUCAUUUUGACAUAUCAAAUCAAAUGGUGUGGUCUCGACAUGCAUUAUCAAGCAAGUUCUAGAAUAACAGUUCAAUACUGACGCACUCAAAGCAAUAAUAAAAGUGAGCAUGAAAGGAUUAAUAGAUGCUCAAAAGGCUUAAAAAUCUCACAAAAAUUAUGGCUUUUUGAUGUUUAGACUCGUGAAUUCCAAUUCAAAGUAAUACCUAGACUUGGGGAAAUAACCUAUAAUUUUAAAUUCUUAAAAAUCAACUUAUCAUGCUUGAUUCUCUAAUGUCUUAAAGUUUAAAUAAUCAAUGCAUAAAUCCCUACGUUUUAAUUCAAGAUAUAUCAAUCAAAAUCAUAAAUUAAUUACAAUUUAUCCUAAAUAUGAUAUGAGAGUUUUUCAUGAGAAAAAGAUGAUUAUUCAGGGAUUUUUCUGAUAAUGAAAUAAAUACCCUCCACACUUAAGAUGUACAUUGCCCUCAAUGUACAAACAUAGAUAUUAAAGUAUAAAAAUAAGAUAGGGAGAGAAGUGAAACUUCCUGUAUGAUGAAUUCCUCAAACUGAAGUUUUGAAGAGUGGUCGGUUCGAGAGUGGAGGAGGAUACUCCGGCUGUCAUAGAGGUUCAUUAGGCCAUAAGUCCUGCGCCAAAAGAAUAUUAUAUCUAGUGGUAGCUAUGGUCGUGGUCGAGCAGGACAUGGUAGUCGUAGAGAACCUUUCCCGGUGGAGUUUUAGUUACCAUGUGAUGAUAAGCUUAAGAGCUCUAUAUAACUGUGAUAAAAUCAGGAACUUUUUAGGGGAUAUUAGGAAGAAUAAGUACUCGAAAAGAAAUAACCGAAAUUAAUAAUUAAAAAAAUAAAAUUCCAAAAUCUAACAAAAAUAAAAAGUAGUUUCAAUAAAAAUUAAAAACAUUAAAUAAUAAAUAAAUAUUUCUAAACAUCUUCAUCGAUGGAUGGUUCGCGAUGUGGGACUGGUGAUGAGAUGUGGAGGUGCUGACAAAUCUGUUGUAGAGUAAUAUCAAUGUUGUCAAAUUGUUGAAAACACUGCUGCUCGAAUCGGGUGAAGCGCUUAGAGAUGUCAGCAUAUGAAGCCGCCACAUGAACUGGACGAGAAGGUGGUGGUGGCUGAGUCGGUGGGUCCUCGUGCUGUGGGGGGACAUUAUCAGAAAUGUCCUCGUAGGCCUCCUCCUCGGUAGAUUGGGCGAGACGAUACUGGGCAAGGUAGGUUCCUCGGCGCCUCUCGAUCAUCCUCAUGCUAAGCAUGCCCGAGAUGCCUUGUGGAGACAUUUGGCCGAUAAGAGCGAGGGAUGAUUCUUGGGCCGCGAUGUUGAGGAGCCCGAAAUGUCGUGCCAACCUAGUCACGUAGGGGCUAAUGGAGAUGACCCCCUUCCGAUGCCACUCUGUUUGGUGCUGAAUCGCAAGGGCGAUAAAAUAGGCAAGGUCAAUGGCGUGCCCUUACGACAUGCACCAUAAGAAGUAGCGGUCGUGGGUGUUGACAACGCCAGUGCUCUCUCACCUCCCUGUAAUCGUGUGAGCUAAAAUAGCGUGUAAGUACCUCAGGGAUGGUUGGAGAACUGAUGCCUUGGAGCGGCUAGAAUUGUAAGAGGCCGUGCUAGGGGCCAAUGUGUGCCAACACUUCGAGUGAGAGAAAUGUAUGUGGCGACUAAGAGCAUGUAGUUCAUUCACCUCUCAAAACUCCUCCGUAUAUAGGCCUAGAGCAGCACCGAACUCUGAGACGCUUAGCUAGAGGAUUAAUUUGCCUAGGCGAAACUGAACCGUGCCGGGAUCAUCAUACCUUGUCAUUACGGUCUGCAGAUGGAACGUUGAGCAUAGUUCCAUCGUGAGCUCAAAGUAUGUCAGCUUGAUAAUCUCGAAGAACAACUCCCAAGGGUCGAUGGUUAGGAGAGCUUGAGUCGCGUCAGCCAUCUGGACUUGUUCUACGGCAGCCCAGUCGAUGCAGCGGCCCGUAAUUAAGGGUCGGGCUAGAAGUAUUUGGAAUAGUUCUUCUUGGGGCCCUCGGGGAAACUGUAGGAGAGGGUGACUGUAACACCUCCUAACCCCAAACCAUUACCGAAACGAGGUUAUGAGGCAUUACCGGACAUAUCAGACAACUUACUAAUAAUUUACAAUUAAUAUAACUUUUAUGGUAUAAUAUAAUAAUUGAGUCCCUAUCUUGAACUCUCAAAGUUCAAGCACGUGUUAAAAGUAGAACGGAACUUGUUCGAAUAUUCUGAAUUUUUUUUUUAUAAAAAUUUCGGUCUGCUUAUUUUUACCUAAAACCUUCUGCAAAUUCAAACUAAAACAACCAGCACCAAUUUUUCACAUUCAUAUAACUAAUAUUUAUAUCAUUAACAUAAUUUCAACUUAAUAACUAUCAUAGCAUCAUUCAAAAUUGAUUAAAAACUUCAUUCAUUUAACAACUUAAUGUUCAUGUAUCAAAAUAUCAUAUACUUUUCUUACCAUUUCAUUUAACCAUCUAAAUCUUAUAAUUCAACCUUCACUACCCAAAGUAAUAUGCAUAUUCAAGUGACUAUAUAACACCUAUGUACAUGCCACCUUUACCCAAAAGAAAAAUAUACAUCACCAAAUUUGUGUUGGAGUCAGGAAUGUUCUGGAUGCUGAACCGGGACAUUUGACUUCUACUAACCUGUGCACGGAAACAACCGUACGCUGAGUAUGGAUAUACUCAGUGAUAUUACCAUAAUUCAAAUUAUAUCAACAAUAGUAAAAACAUAAAUAUUAAAAUACCUAACAAUUAAUGUCAUAUGUACUAAUUCAUAAAUCAAUGUAUUUUCUCAAACUUAAAUUUAUAUCACUUAUGAAUAUACAUUUCAUACUUUUCUCUUAUUAUCACAAUUCCAAUUUCAAUUCGUAAUUCAAUUUAUUUUUCUCGUUUCAAUGCCUCAAAUUCACAUUUCAAUUUUUCACCCUAUUAACGUAACUCGGACUUUGGCGGAUACACGGAUCCAACCAAACACACCAAUAUGGCACCCAGUGCCUCAUCGGAUAGUUCGAAGUAAUAGUUGACACCCAGUGUCUCAUCGGCCUAGCCGAAGUAAAGUUGGUACCCAGUACCUCAUCGAAUCUAUCCGAAGAAAUAUAGUGACACCCAGUGUCUCAUCGACUCGAGGUCGAAGUAUCCCUGAACACUUCCAAUCCUAUGGCAUGCCAACUAUAUCGACUCAGCCCGACUAGUUAAUAGGGUAUUCAAUUCACUUUCUCAAUCCUAUAUCACUUUCAAUUCACAAUUCAAAUCACCAAUCAUUUUUCAAUCAAUACGCUUUUCAAAUAAUUACAUCUUCCAUAAUUCACUUAUUCAAUUCAAUUUGAUUCAAUUUGCAUCACUUUAAUUUUCACUCAAUAUUCAUAUCAAUUUCACAUACUUACCUCAAGUCUUACUUACCAUACAUAACAAUAAAAAAAAUUCAGCAACAAUAAUAAUUAAAAUUCGAAUUAUAGUAAUACACACCGUAAUUUUCCCGUUUUAGUACUCGAUGACUUUCUCCUUUCCUUUCGAUGCUGAUGCUUCAGGUUCUUCGUUGGCUACGAAAAUAAUAAUUUAUAAUCAUCAAUACAACAUGAUUCAAUUUAAUUCAUGAGCCUAAACAUGCAAAUUUAAGCAUUUUUAAUGUAUAUAUAUAAUUUCACCAUUAAGCUGUCUACUUGAGUCAUUGUUACUAAAUUAUUUAUAUCUUGAGCUACGAUACUCCAAAUUAAUAUCCAUAAAUUUUCCUUAAAACUAGACUCAUAUAUAUUCUAAUCAUAAAAUUUCCAGAAUUUUUGGUCUAUCCAUUUAAUACAGUUUAUUCGUUAAAUACUCCCCUGUUAUUUCAUUUGACAGUUCUGACCUCUCUCUACUAAAACAAAAUUAUCUCAUUAUACAGAACUCGAAUAAGGUUCUUGUUUAUUUAUUUUGAAACUAGAUUCAUUAAGGAGUUAACAUAUAUAAAUUACACUCCAUAAUAAUUUUUGUACAAUUUUUAGUGAUUUUCUAAAGUUAAAACAGGGCAUCUCGAAAUCACCCUAAACCAGUAUUACAAAAUUUCAAAUAUCGCUUGAUUCAUCAAUUAAUUGCUUACACUGUUUCUACUAUAAGAAACUAGACUCAAUAAUAUUUAAUUCCAUAUUUUGUUCAUCCUCUAGUUCAAUUUAUAAAAUUUUUAGUGAAUUUUCAAAGUCAGACCAUUGCUACUUCCCAAAACUGUUUUGAUGAAAAAUGUUAAUAACCAAAUUUAUAACACCAAUUCACACCUUAUUCCUAUUCAAAUUUCAUUUAAACUCAAAUUUAACUAUUAAAUUUUCAACAUAUUUUCUUAAUUCUGAAUUUUCCUCAAUCUAGUCCCUAAAACACAAAACUUAUAGCUUACUUUGCAAUUCAAUCCUUAUAUCUAUUCUAACUUGAAUUUCGUUCAAUUAAACCCCUAUUUCAUCAUUUUAUUCAACAUGAACUUUGUUUAAAAACCUAAGAACUUCCAAACUAACAACUUAAUUUCAUCAAAAACUUGUUUUAAGACUUCUAAAAUAUCAAAAUUAUGAGAAAAGGACUUGAUUGAGCUUACCAAUUAACUCCAAGCUUCAUAAACCUUAUUUCCCCUUUUCUUUCUUCUUUCCUUUCUUUCUCCCCUGUUCUUCUCUGUUUCGUUUGCUUUCAUUCUGUUUCUUUUAACUGAUUUGUUUCUUUUAUAUAUAAUAAUAAUAUAAUAUAAUAUAAUAUAAUAUAAUAUAAUAUAAUAUAAUAUAAUAUACUUAAUUAUUAAAUAAAUAUAUAUUUUUUUAAUCAAUAAAAUCUUUGAUAUUUUCCACGUUAAACCGCCUCAGCUAUAGGAAAUGGUUUAAUUUCCUCUUAAGUCCUUCUAAUUUUUCUUUAAUCUAUAAUUAAACUUUUACUCUUAUUCAAUUUAAUCCUUUUUACUAAUUACUCUAAAUUAAGCUAAAUUUACUUAAUUAAAACCUAAUUAAACACACUACUAGACUCAUAAAUAUUUUUAAUAAUUAUUUUCGAACUUAUUUCACUAAGACGGAGGCCCGAUAACACACUUUUCUGGUGCCCACGGAUUUUGGAUUGUUACAGUGACGGAUUUCUGCGGUUGGGCCCGAGGAAGAGGACGCUCCCUUCCUCUUCUUCAAAGCAGGUACGGUGGUUUUCUUUCCUCUUGACGAUGACAUGGUACCUGCGAUUAGAAUCAUCAAGUCAUCUUGAUGAGUGGUCAAAGUAAAAGGAAUACAAUUUUCAACUAAAAAGCAGACUUUUAGCCACAACCAAACAUAACUAAUAUAAUAAUUUCGUCACUUUGUAAUUGUAUGUAGUAAUGGCAUAUGUAAAAGAAUGAAGCUUUCCUAACAACAUGAAAUGUAUAAGAAAUAAUUAAACAAUGCAAAUUACAUGAGAGAUAUUGGCAUGGGAAGAUCAUGAGAAUGAACAUGGUAAAAUCGUGGGUAUGAAGUUUCCUAAUCUAUUGAUUUAACAUGCAAUGUAUAAUAACUAACUAAAAAUGCAAACUAAAUGAUAAAGUAAUGAACAGAAAUGGAAGAUAGUUCAAAAGAAAUGGAAAUUAUUGUAAUAAUAAGCAUUAGUAAUAAGUAAAAUAGAAGUGAAGAGAAUAAACAAAUCCUAAGGGAGAGAGAUUAGGCGUCAAAAAUGAAAUUGAAGGCGGCGCACGAGCGUGGCAGGGGGCCGUGUGGAGUUGCAAUGGCUAAGGUUAGGGUUUUUUGAAUGGGGAAGAAAAUGAAUAGUGCAGGGUAUUUAUAGAUUUUGGGGCACACGGCCAUGGCACACGCCCAUGUCCCCCAAUUUCAGCCCGUGUGAUUCGCAAAUUUCAAAUUUGGGCACGUCUGACAUUUAAUACACGCCCGUGUUCCUCGAGCCUGUGGGUUCACACAGCCGUGUUGCACGACCGUGCCUAGCUUCGUUCGCUUCUCCCACGCCCAUGUGUUCAAGCUCCACGCCCGUGUUAAUUUAAUAGGUUCGACCACGAGUUUUAGACACGGGCGUGUCGCACACCCGUGCUAGUUUCUCAGUUUCAACCAUGGGUUUUCCACACGGGCGUGUCGCACGCCUGUGUUGUUUUGGCAGGCUCGACCACGGCCGUAUUGCACAACCGUGGCGUUUAAUCGUAGCCCGUGUUGGGGAAAUCUUUUACCUGUUUUCACACAGCCUUAAGCACACCCGUGUGCUUGGCCGUGUCUCUGUGGAAACAUCUGUAUUCAAGAUUUCUAUUUGUAAGUUAGGAGUUAAAUACCAAAAUUCAAAGAAAUUAAUAUUUUUAGUGCUCGGGUUGCCUCCCGAGAAGCGCUUAUUUAUAGUCUAAGCUCGACUUACCUCUCCGUUGUAUGAUCAUGGUGGUUCGAGGAGUUUAUACUCCUCAUUCUUGCUAUUAGUCUCAUCAAAAUAAGGUUUUAAACGGGUGUUGUUUACCUUCAAAGUGCCAAACCUGGGAUGACUCACCUCCACCGUACCGAAUGGAAAAAUACUGAGUACCGUAAGUGGGAUUUCCUCAUUCAGUGUGGUAGUGAAAAUGUGGGGAUCUACGGUAUAUAGUAAGACUUUAUCACCAACCUUAAGUUGAUUUAGAGAGGUAUCGGGCUCGUUUUGGCGUAGUUUCGAUUUAUCGUGUGUUAUCGGUUUAUGUGCUUGCCAUUCGUCUAGCUCAUCUAUCCGUAGCCUUCGUUCUUCAUGAAUUUGUCCUCUAUCAUUUCUGGAACAUGGCUCUUGAACUUCUUUGAAGCUCAAUUUCUGCAAAGUCAUAUUGUCAGUUUUAGUAGCUUGGUGUGGACCACUACCUUCAAUGUUCGAUGUGAUGCCAGAAUUACGAGCUUGAAGGGUGAUCAUUUCGUCUCCCACAUGAAGUGUAAGCUUACCUGUGCCAACAUCAAUAAUUGUUUUAGCAGUUGCUAAAAAGGGCCUCCCUAAAAUCAAAGGGGUGUUAUUAUCUUCCUCUAUGUCUAGAACAACGAAAUCAACGGGAAAUAUGAACUUAUCUACUUUCACUAGUACAUCUUCAAUAAUACCCCUAGGAAAUCUUAUAGUUUUAUCUGCCAAUUGAAUGCUCAUCCUAGUUUGUUUAGGUUUCCCAAGACCUAGUUGCUUAAACAUUUUGUAAGGCAUGACGUUAAUACUAGCCCCUAAAUCAGCUAAUGUAUGAUUUAUAUCUAAACUACCAAUUAAGUAAGGACUUGUAAAACUCCCUGGAUCUUUUAAUUUGUGGGGUACCUUAUUCUGUAGAAUAGCUGAGUAGACUGUGUUUAGCUCCACAUGCGACGCUUCGUCCAACUUCCGCUUAUUUACUAAAAGCUCUUUUAAAAAUUUCAUUGCAUUCGGCAUCUGCAACAGAGCUUCAAUAAACGGUAAGUUAAUAUGUAAUUUAUUCAAAAGUUUAAGGAAUUUACCGAAUUGCUCGUCUGAGCGGUCUUUCCUUGUCGCAUUAGGAUAUGGGACACGAGGUUUAUAUUCUUCAUUCACCGUUUUGUUAUGACUUACCUCACUUUUACCUUUGCUCACCACAGUUUCUUGCAUCAAUCCUGGCUCAGGCGCAAUGAAUCCUUUCUUAUCUUGAGUACUAAUUGCGUUGAGGUGUUCCCUUGGGUUAGGUUCAGUAUUACUUGGUAAGCUACCUUGUGGUCGUUCGGAGAUUAGUUUGGAUAGCUGGCCUAUCUGAGUUUCGAGUCUUUAUAUCGGUGCUUAUUGAUUUUUAAGUGCUGUCUCGGUAUUUUGGAAACGGGUUUCUGACGCUGAUAUGAAUUUUGAGAGCAUCUCCUCAAGGUUCGGUUUCUUCUCUUGUUGAUAAGGUGGCUGUUGAAAACCCUGAAGAUUUUGUGGCUUUUGAUUCCCUUGACCAUCCCAGGAGAAAUUUGAGUGGUUCCUCCAACCUGCAUUAUAAGUAUUACUGUAUGGGUUAUUUUGAGAUCUAAAGUUAUUGUUACCCAUAUAGUUGACUUGUUCCUCUUCGGUUGUAGGAUUAAAGGAUUGAUAUUCUGUAUGCAUACCUCCUCCACUUGAGUCACACCUCAUUACUAGAUGUACCUGCGUAGAACCAAGUAAACCAUCAAUCUUUUUAUUGAGAAGUUCUACCUGAUUUGACAGCAUAGUAACUGAGUCGACGUUAUAAAUGCCGACUAUUUUUGUUGGCUUAGUCCUCAUGACUUACCAUUGAUAAUUAUUCAGUGACAUUUCUUCAAUGAAUUCAUAAGCCUCUUCAGGUGUUUUGUUGUUGAUGGUUCCUCCAGCAGCUGCGUCAAUCAUCUGUCCUGUCGAGGGAUUCACACCAUUGUAAAACGUUUGAACUUGCAGCUAUAGAGAUAACCCAUGGAGAGGGUACCUUUGAAAUAGAUCGUUGUAUCUCUCCCAUGUAUCGUAAAGUGUGUCUAAGUCUAUCUGCACAAAAAAAAGAGAUAUCAUUACGUAACUUAGCCGUUUUAGCCGGCGAAAAAUAUUUUAGUAGAAAUUUUUCGGUCAUUUGUUCCCAAGUAGUGAUAAACCCUCGUGGUAACGAGUUUAACCACUGUUUAGCUUUGUUUCUCAGUGAAAAAGGGAAUAACCGAAGGCAAAUGGCAUCAUCAGAAACGCCAUUAAUUUUGAAAGUGUAGCAAAAUUCCAGAAAAUUCGCCAAGUGAGUGUUGGGAUCCUCAUCCUGCAAACCAUCAAAUUGAAGAAACUGUUAUAUCAUCUGAAUUGUGUUAGGUUUCAGUUCGAAAUUAUUCGCAGCGAUAGCAGGUCUAACUAUACUUGAUUCAGUUCCUGUUAAAGAAGGUUUAGCAUAGUCAUACCUAGUACGUGGAGCAGGAUUUUGAUUAACUGUAAUUGCAGGAGGCAGCUGAUUGCGUUGGUUUUCAGCCAUCUCUUCGGUUGGGGGUUGAGUAUCGUUUUCUUGCUCGUUCUCCAUGUAUCUUAAGUUUCGCCUUAUUUCUCUUUGGUUUCUACGAACUAUGCGAUCGAUUUCUUCGUCAAACAGUAAUGGUCCCGACAGGUUUCUUCUAGUCAUAAACUAUGAAAACCUGCCAUGAGAAGGAAAAAGGAAGUUAAUAAAUAAUAAUAAAAUUAAAUUCAAUUGCAAGAAAAAUAAAUGGCUAAAGUAAUAAAAAUUGAGUAUUCCUAAUAUUUCAGUUCCCGGUAACGGCGCCAAAAACUUGAUCGCGAGGUUUCGUGAUAGGUUUUAAAUAUUUAUAAUUACUCGUUCUUGAACUAACUAUUAUCGCGAUGUAGGCAAGUGUACCUAUCGAACAGUAGUAUAGUUUUAGCAAGACCGGAUUGUCGAACCCAAAAGAACUAAAAGUACUAGUAAUGACUGUCUUUUUAUUAUCUAGCCUAAGAGUAAAGAGGUUUUGUUUUAAUUAACUAAUUAUCUAAACUAAGAACUCACAGAGAAAAGAAUUGGGGAAUUGCUUUUGGGAAAAUCGAUUGAAUUAAGACAAUACCUAAGGAAAAAUCCACCUAGACUUUACUUGUUAUUCUGGCUCCAAAUCGGACGAUUUAUUCAUUCAACUUGUUUCAUAGAGAUCCCUAAGUUAUGUUAUUAUCCCUAUUCAACACUAAUAACGUCAAAUCCCUAGAUUGAAUAAUCGAGACUUUUCUCUAAUUAACACUCUAGAGUUGCAUUAAAUCGAUCUAUGGAUCCCCUUAUUAGGUUUCACCCUAAUCCGGCAAAAUCUUGUCACCCUAUUUCUAGGCGCGUAAUCAACUCCGCUUAAUUAUGACAAAAGUACUAUUAGACAGGGUCUAUUCCUCCUCUGAAUAAGAGCAUGUCUUGAAUCAGUAUCCUGGGAUAUCAAAACAAGAAUUAAGAACACAUAAUUAAGAACAAGUUAAAUAUUUAUCAUACGAUUCAGAAAAUAAUAACAAGAGUCGUCUUAGGUUUCAUUCCCCUUAGGUAUUUAGGGGUUUUAGUUCAUAAGUAAAUAAGAAAACAUCUCAAAAGAAUAAAGAAUACAAAACAUAAAGAAAACCCAAAACUCCUGAAGGGAAAUUGAGGAAAGAUCUUCAGUCUUGAUGAUGAAUCUGGCUUCCGAGAUGGAUCGAUCGGCUUCCUUCGUGUAAUUCCUUACCCCCUCUUCUCCCCCUUCAUUUCUUCCUCCGCUAGGGUGUAUUUAUAGGCUUUGGAAUGCCUAGACGCCCUCAAAAGUGGCCUUUUCCGAAUUGGACUUAACUUCGGCUCGGCAGGGACACGCCCAUGUGCGAUUACUUCAGGCCGUCUUCGAGCCUGUUAGAAUGGCACGGGCGUGUGCUAUACCCGUGUGAAGAGGUCCAGGCCGUGCUGAUCUCGUACUUUGGCCCAUUUUCUCCGUUUUUGGCCCAUUUCUCGUUCCUUUCGCUCUCCUGUGCUCUCCUAAGUAUAAAAUAUGAAAUUAAAGCAUUAGGAGCACCGAAUUCACCAAUUCUUGUGGAAAAUCAUCCAUAAAAUGCAUUAAACACGAGGUAAAAAUAUGUAUAAUUUACGGUUUAUCACAUAAAAUUAACACAUAUAUUCAUAUACAUAUAUAACCAACCAAUUCAACUUAUGUUAUUAUUUACAAUCAUUUUCCUUAAAAUGACAAACAUAAGACAUCUUAGGUACAUGUCAUUACCAAAAAGAAACAUAUUUCACCACGCUUGAGUUCGAGAUCUCGGAUGGAUGCUGAUUCAACAAUUUGAUUUCAACCUAACCUGUGCAUGGAAACAAAUCGUACGCUGAGUAUAAACUCAGUGGUAUUUCUAUAAUACGAAUAUUUAAAAGGAAAUAACAUUAUAAAACAUACACUUUAAACCAUAUAAGAACAUUAACCAAUCAAUAAUUCAAUCCAUCCAUUUAACUUUCAUUUCUCAUCAAGCUAAAUCAAAUAGCUUUUCUCACUUCGAUUGACAUAUUAUUUAAUAAUAACAAAACUCUUUUCAUGAACCCUUGGUUCAUGCAUUUCACUUGUAUAAUUCAACCUAAUGUCCAAUUCCAAAUUCACAUACAAUAUCAUUCAAUAUCAAUCUUAUUGUCAAUUCAUUUAUUUACCCCUAUUAACACGACUCGGACUCGAAUGGAUACACGGAUCCAACCAAAACACACCAGUAUGGCACUUAGUUCCUCAUCGAAUUCGAAGUAAUAAAUUGACAUCGAGUGUCUCAUCGGCCAUGCCGAAGUAAGUUGGUACCCAAUACCUCAUCGAUUUUAUCCGAAGUAAUAAUGUGACACCCAAUGUUUCAUUCGACUCAUGGUCGAAGUAUCCCUGAACUUUUUCAAUCCUAUGGCAUGCUAACUAUAUCUGACUCAGCCCGAUACAGUUAAUAGGGUUUUCAAUUUCAAUUUCUCAAUUCAAUUUCAAUCAAAAUCCACACCAAUCACAAAUUGUCAUAAUUUCAAUUCAGUUAUUUACAUAUAAUCAUAAAAUUCAUUCUAUUCAAUUCAAUAUCACAAUAUCAAUUACUUACCUCAAUCUACUUGUCAUACAUAAUAAAUUCAACAAUUAAUUAUUAAAUUCAGAUUAUAGAAAUACAAACCGUAAUUUUCUGAGUCAUUCCUCGUCAACUUUCUCUUUUCCUUUCUUAGCUGAGGUCUCCAUCACAACGUCAGCUACGGAAAUUAAAAUAAUUUAAAAUCAUCAAUACACACAAUUUCACAUUGAAUAUUUAAUUUUAUACUCAACUUUUGCAUAAAUUAUAAUUUAGUCCUUAAAUCAAAACUAACUUUUUUUUCUUAUAAAACUAAUUUCAUAUCUUAUUCAAUUUCCACUUAAACUAAAUUUAACUCUCCAAUUUCACCAUGAAACCCUAAAUUUUAAAAUUUUACGAUUUAGUCUCUAUUAUUUCAAAACUUAUAAUUUAUUUUACAAUUCAAUCAUUUUCUCAAUUCUAUCUUGAAAUUCUAUCAAUUUAAUCCCUAAACUUUAAUUUAUUCAACAUGAAUAACAUCUAAAAAUCCAAUAUUUUCCAAAAUUUUGACAUGAACUAGAUAGUAUUUAAUACUAUGACUUCAAAAACAUAAAAUUUUCAAGAAAAUGAAUUAAAUUGACUUACCAAUUUGAAUUUGAACCUCAAAACCCUAAUUUCUCCCUUUCUUUUUCUUUAUUUCUUUCUUUUUCUUUCCUAUUUCGUUUGCUUCUCUGUUUCUUUUCUAUUGUUUUAUUUCUUUUAUUUAUUUUAUUAUUAAACUAUUAUAAUAUAAUAUAAUAUAAUAUAAUAUAAUAUUUUCUUAAAUAGUCAGUAGAUAUAUGUAUUACAAAUGUAUGUAUGUAUUUAUUACACAUGUAUAUUACCAUUACUAUACAAUUGUUACAAUUUGGUUUAUUUAUUUAUUUAGCCCCUUAACUUUUCUCUAUUUUAUAAUUCAACUUUUACUCUAUAUGCAAUCUAAGUCAUUAUACCUAAUUAUUCUUAAUUUCAACUAAUUCACCUAGCCAAAACUUAAUUAAUCACACAACUAACUUCAUAAAUAUUUUUAAAUACACUUUCUGGUAACCAUAAAUUUCAAAUCAUUACAAAGAGAAUUCUUAAUCUUUCUUUCCUUAUAUGCUAAAUAAAAUAAUAAUUAAAUGUCAAAUCAAAAUAUUAAUAAACUAAUAUUUAUUUAUUUAUUUAAUCUAAAAUAUUAUCAACAUCAUCAUUACUCUUCAAAAUUAUCUUCCUUGCUAAAUGAUCAUUUUGCCCCUUAUGAUCCUUCAAACUUCCUCCAUUGAAUCAUCACUCAUUUUAAUAAAAUUUUAAUUUAACCCAUCAUACUUUUUCCACUUAUUCAAUUUGGUUUUAAUUCAUCCAUUUUCCUUAGUUUCUAGAUCUUUCCACCCUUAAAAUAUUUAUACUAUUAGUACUUUAAAAAUUUUAUAUUUACACUUUAACCCCUUAAAUUUUGAGUAUCUACUCUUAGGUCACAAAACUUUUCUCACUUUUGUGAUUUAGUCCUUUCUUGAAUUAAUACAUCAUAAUAUACUUCCUAAACAGAUUUUGUUGACAUAAUUCAAACUCCCCCCCCCCUUUUUCAUUUUAUUUCAUUAUUUUACUGUAUCAAAGAUAAUAUCUCACUUUCUUACUGUAGCAAUUUAGGAGUGUUACAUAACAUCCCUAUAAUUGAUAUAUAAUAAAAGUAGUAAUAAAUUGAAUAAUGUAUAAUUGAUUUUUCGAUAAAAUGAGAAAAUGAUAUAAAACGAAUAAAAGAGAAUAUUGAGGAGUAUUAAAAUGAUAAUAAUAAUAAUAAUAAUAAUGAUUAAGAAAUAGGCUUUAGUAUAUUGAUUUAAAGUAAAGGCUAAAUCGUAAAUAUGUGGAAAGUUUUUGGCUCAAGUGUAAAUAUUCAAAUUUUAGGGGAUCGAAGCGUAAAAAUAAUAAACUUGAAGACCAAAAGUAAAAAUAAUCCAAUUUACUAAGACAUGGAAUUGGCAUGUAAGGACCAAAUUGAAUAGGUGAAGAAUUGUGAGGGACUAAAUUGUAAUUUUACCAAAUUAAGUGAUGAUUUAAUGAUGGAAGUUUGAAAGAUCAUCAAUGGUAGAAUGGUCAAUUAGCAAUAGGGAGAGUUCUCGAAUAUAAUAAUGAUGUUGAUGAUAUUUUAGUGAUUUUUUAAUUAAUUAAUUAGUUAAAUAUUAUUUUAUUAAUAUUUUGCUUAGAUAUUUAUUAUUAUUUUAUUUAGAAAAAUGGUAGUAUAAAAAGAGAGGAAGGAUGAAAGAAAUAGAUCAUCCUUCCAACAUGAGUGAAAGGUUGACAAAAGAAGUUUUCUUUUCUUUACAAUUUAGUCAUUUGCCAGGAAAUCCUACCUUUUUACCCAAAAUUUUUAAAAAUUUCCUUAGAUAUUAAAGAGAGAAGAUGAAGUAUAGAUUUUAGAGAAUAUGGUAAUCAAUUUAGAAGCAAGAAAAUAGUAGAUAAAAGUGGAGAAAAUGCGAAGAAAAAGGAAGGAAAGUGGUGAAGAUGAGAAAUGCAUGGAAAUGAAGAAGAGAUGAAGAAAUUCUUGACAAAUGAGGUAAGUUUUAUACUAAACCUACUUGUAUUUCAAUAGAUUGAGUUAAAGAUGUUUUGAGUGAGAUGUAUGAAACAUGUAUUUAAUCUAAAUAUUAGAAAUAAAAAGUAUUUGAUGAAGAAUAGAGACUUAAAACACUUAAUUGGUAAGGGAGAAUAUGAUUUGUAUGGUGAAUAGAGACUUAUUACAUAUUCAUUUCUUAAUCACAUUCUCUCUUACCAAUUUAGUGUUUUAGGUUUCUAUUCUUCAUCAAAUACUUUCUAUUUCUAGUAUUUAGAUUAAAUACAUGUUUCAUACAUCUCACUCAAAAUAUCUUUAACUCAAUAUAUUUAAAUACAAGUAGGUUUAGUAUGAAACUUACCUCAUUUGUCAAGAAUUUCUAAAUUUCUUCUUCAUUUCCAUGCAUUUCUCAUAUUCACCACUUUCCUUCAUUUUUCUUCUCAUUUUCUCUACUUUCAUCUACUAUUUUCUUGCUUCUAAAUUGAUGACCAUACCCUCUAGAAUCUCUUCUUCAUCUUUUCUCUUUAAUAUCUAAGGAAAUUUUCAAAAAUUUUAGGUAAAAAGGUAGGUUUCCAUGGCAAAGGACUAAAUUAUAAAAAAAAAACUUUCUUUCUCACCCUUUCACUCACAUUGGAAGGAUGAUAAACUUCCUUCAUCCUUUCUUUUUUUUACUCUACCAUUUUCUAAAUAAAAUAAUAAUAAAUAUCUAAGUAAAAUAUUAAUAAAAUAAUAUUUCACUAAUUAAUUUAGAAAAAUCACCAAAAUAUCAUCAACAUCAUCAUUACAUUCUAGAAUUCUCCCUCUUGCUAAUUGACUAUUUUACCCUUUAUGAUCUUUCAAAAUUCCAUCAUUAAUUCAUCACUUAAUUUGGUAAAAUUACAAUUUAGUCCCUCACAAUUCUUUACCUAUUCAAUUUGGUCAUUGCAUGACAAUUUCAUAUCUUAGUAAAUUAGAUUAUUCUCACUUUUGGUCUUUCAAAUUUCUCAUUUUUACACUUUGAUCCCCUAAAUUUUGAAUAUUUACACUUAAGUCAAAAACUUUUCACAUAUUUAUGAUUUAGUCCCUUCUUUAAUACAUCAUGUCAUGCUUCUUGAUUUAACUCUCUUUUGGUAUACUGUAACUUUCAUUUUCUUUAAUCUUAUACCUUAUUUCGUUAAGAUUUUAUCUUAUAUUAUUUAUGAUCACGGGGGUUUUGAGGAUGUUACAGGUAUGAUAACUGCCACGACUUUAGAAUCUUGUCAAUCAAAAAAAUGAUAUUAGGAAUCUCAAUCCCUGUGGGAUCAACAUUGCUUCUCUAUACUAUUUUUUAGUUUAAUUAGAGCAUAAGAAAUUUAUAUUUGGUGGCAUUGAUAGCCAUCAAUCUCCUAAUAAUAAUCUAAUUGGUUAAAAUAUGCCAUAAGUCUAUGUACCUUUUGUAAAUUUAAAAUUUAGUCUCUAUACUUUUAUUUUUAGAAAAUUAGCUCUUUUACUUUUUAAAUUUUAAAAUUCAGAUCCAACUAUUAAUAUUGUUAAAAUUAUUUUACAAAUCAGGUUAAUUAUAAAGUCGUUCUUUAGUUAUAUAGCUAACAAGUAUUUUUUUAAAUGUCACAUCAAUAAAUUUAACAAAAAAAUUAAUAAUGCCAAUAGCUGAACUUAAAUUUUAAAAUCUGAAAAUUAAAGAACUAAAUUCCUAAUAAUAAAAAUACAAAGAAUAAAUUCUAAAUUUAGAGAGUUAUAGCAUAUUUCAAACUUAUCAAAUUUACGAUUUAACGUGGUUAAUCUCCAAAAUGAAAAGAAAAAGAAAUCCGUAACACGGCCAGGAGGCGACGACCCACCAGCAGACGCCGUGUAAUGAUCAAAUAAUUUGGGAGUGAUGUCCCACCAAUUCAGUCAUUAAAGUCUACACCUCAAAGCUUAGCCACCGUCCAUGAGUUGAACCAUGCCUCAUUUAUUUUCAUCAUCUCCUCCUAUCUUAUUAUGCAUGCUUUUACUGCUCAUUAAAACGACGAGCUGCAGCAGGUCAACUUAAGAUUGGAGCUUUGUCUUGUCAAUGGAUUUGGUUUCAGGUUUGAUCACUUAUGGGUUUGGGGUCAUUUUCCCAUUACUCUGCUCUAUAUUUGAGAAUCAAUAUCAUGAUUAUGUUCAAAUUCAAUUCUUUGAAGUAAUUUUCUUUUUCUAGAAUUAAUAGUUUUAGACCACAAUAUUAUUAUAUAUUGUAUAAUAAUAUCAUUUAUUAGUAUGUAUAAGAAUUUAUUUAAAUAUAGAACAUUCAAAAUAAGUUUAACUCUAAUUUUUAUGCUUGAAAAAUAGAUCUUUUUAUUCUUUUUAUAAUAUUAUUAAUUGUCCAAAAUAACCGAGUGAAGUUAUUGGAAUGAAAACCCAAAUUGAGACGUAGGGUGGGUGGUGACGAGUAGCGAGUGGGUCAAUCUGCCUGGCCGAAAUGAGUUGGUUCCAGCAUUUGUCAAACACACAUAUCUCUGCUUUCACAUGCUAUUUUCUUCUCCCCGGAUAUUGGCGUUGGAGAACAAAGUAUGUUUCUAUUGCUGAUUGGUUGGCCAAUAGAAACUUGGUAUUCGUCGAAUAGACUUUGUGCAUAUAGGGGAUCUUAGCAAUUCGUUUAAUAAAUUAUAUUAAUAACCAUUCAAUUAUAUUACGAUUUUUUUCCCUUACAAAAUAGUUAUCUGAUUAUUUAAUUUUGUCAUUUUUUAUCACCAGUUAACUAAUGACGGUAGCUUUAAAAAAUGGGUAUGAUAACAACUUUAAUCUUUAAUAUUUAUAAAUUAUGUCAUUUUAAUAUUGAUUCUAAAAAAAAAUUUAACCCUUGACAAUUACAAAUUCUAUAAAUUGGUCUCUCUUUUUUUUGUUGUUUUGCUUUUUAUUUUUGUUAUAUUAAGGGUUAAUCUUAAAAGAAUGAGAAAAGAUAUAAAUUAUAAUCUUAAAUUUUUUGAUGUUUUCAUUUUUUGUCUAUUUGCAGUCAAAUUUAGCUAAUAAAUUUAUUGAUUUAGCUUUUUUAAGUGAAAGGAAUACAAAGAAAAACAAAUUUGUAAAAAAGACUAAAUUGCACAAUGUGUAAAUAUUAAGGUUAGAUUUUUAGAAUCAAAAUUAAAUUGACUCAUUAUACAAAUUUGAAAGUUAAAGUUGUUAUUUUGUCAAUUUUAAAAGCUUAUACCAUUCGUCAUAUGGUGACCAAAAAAAGACAAAAUUAAAUAGUUGAGUGUUCAUUUUAUAACUUUUCAUAAUUGAUGGCAAAAAAAAUUUAAUAAUUAAAUAUAAAAAAAUAAAUAAUAAUUAAGUGACUACUAAUAUAAUUUACCCUAAUUUUUUUAUGUAAUUACCUUUUCCUUGAUUAGUUGCUAGUUAAUUAGUUUAGGGACUUCUCCUCUUAAUUUAAUAUUUUUUACAAUGAAAAAUAUAUUAUGCUAUUUUUAAUAAAUUAAAAAACAAUCGCUUAACUCUGCUAACCAUUAAUGCAAUAGCAAAUGACAAACCAAUUACUUAUAAAUGAAAUAUAAAUGUAUAUUAUAUAAAACAAAAACAAAAAAAAAACCCUAAAAAUUUUCUAUAUAAAAUAGAGCGAAAGAAGUACUGAAUUUUUAAGUAAUGAUUAGCGCUAUUAAUUUAAAAUAAGAAAAAGCAAAAAGAAAAGCUUUUGACUAAAUGGCUUUUUGGGUUAUUAGAUAUGAUCCACGUGGGGCCCAAAAUUUUAGUGGGUCUGUUCUGUCUGUCUCCCAAAAUGAAAUUUUCAAAACUAGUAAUCAAUUUGUUUUUCAUUUUUAAAUAAUAAAAAAAAAGGAGUACUUAAUCUCUGCUUACUAUUCAGGCAAGAAAAAACAAUCUCCGCUUUCCGUAAUUCAAAUCUUCAAUCCACCAAUAAAUUGUGAUUUGUUUAAUCCAUUGCCAACUUUGAGAUGUCUUCUGGUUGAAUUUUAAGCUCUAAUCAUAGGAUCCAGCCUGAUUUAUAUAAUAAAUAAAUUGCAACCCAUUUGGUAUUUCGCCUAACACAAUAAUUAUUUUUAUUUAAUCACACUUCCAGUUAGUUCGAUUAGUAUAAAUAUUAUUGUUAAUACAAGAGAAUAUGAGUUCAAGUGUAUUAAAAUGUAUUGUACUUCUAUUUAUGAAUUGAGAAAAAAUUAUUAAUGAUUUUAGAUAUUUUAUCAAAAAAAUUAAUAUGAUCCAAACCUCAUAAAAUUAUUUUAAAAAUAGUAGUUUUACCUCUUGUUUUCAAUCAUACUUUUUUAAAAAUAAAAUUAUUUUGCUAUGAAGCAUUUCUAAAACCCUCUUUAAAAUAAUUAAAAAUUUCUAUUAUUUUAAAAAAAUAAAAAUUAUUUUUUAUAAAUUUAUAUUAUUAAAAGAAAAAAAAAUUGGUAUAUUAGUAAUAAAGUUUUUAGAUUCUACAAACAAAGUGAGAGGUUGACAAGUAAAAUAUUUAAAAAACAAUCGUGUGUAAUUGUGGAAUAAAGAAAAUAUAAUAUUAGUGUCCAUUGUUUAAUAAGUCUUCAAUUUUAGAAGUUUUUGUUUGCUCUUGUAACACGUUUUUUAGUCUUGUUUGUGCAUGUAAUCUUAGCUUUACAAGUGAUUUUAGGGAUGAUUUUGUUGUCGUCCUCUCUAGUUUGAUAAAUCCUCGAUUUUUUUGUCGAUUGUCGCUAACCACUUUGGACCAUCCGGGGCUGAUUUCCUUAUCGUAUUUGGUGUUUGCAAUCACUCCAGAUAUGUCGUGCUUGUGGAUGCUGAGGCUAAAGUUUUUGUUGUGUUGAUGAAGCUUGUAAUUCACCAUCUAUGACGAAUGCUUGUUAUUAUUUUAUUAAACUAUAUGGUUACAUUCAUUCAAUGAAUUAAUGAAUUUAUCUUUAAAAAAUAUUAACCCUUAUUAUAAUAUUUAAUAUUAAAUAAAUCUAAUUUUUCCAAAAAAAACAAAUCUAAUUUUAUUGAAAAUUGAUUUAAGAUAUUACUAAAUGACAUUUAUUUUCUUUAAAAGUUCCAUAUUUUUCGGCUUAAAAACUUGUACUGAAAUUAUUUAUUCUUUUUUUUUAUUCUAAAAUUACUUUAUUCUAAAAUUCAUUUAUUUUAUCAUAAAAAUUGAUGUACAUGAGCCAACUAUACAAUAAUCCUUUACUAAAAUUAUUUUAAUCUGCCAGUCUCUCUCUGACCAUCCCACUUUCUUUCCUUUCAAUUUUUUUUAUUACAAUUAUUUAAGCGUAGUUAUGUUUUUCUUUUCUUUUUUUGGGGGGUAUUUUCUUCCAAGCUGUAUUUCUGGUGUCCAAUGUAAAUGAGUGAGAAAAGAAAAAGAAAAAACAAGAUAUAACUUUCCCUUUUGCCAAACAAAAGAAACGUUACAAACAGCAUAGGAAAGUGGAGGCAGUGGACACUCAGGAAUUUCUAUCUUUAUUUUUCUUUUCUUUUUUGUUCCCUUUUGAUUCAAACUUUGAUCUCCCUCUGCCUCUGCCUUCUCCAAAGCCUCACCUCAGCUUUUCCUCGUCCAACUCUCUUCUAUCUCUUUCUCACUCUCCAUAACUAAGAGUGUGUUUCUCAAGGCAUUUUGGCUUUAUUUUGGGCUUGGUUUGCUUUGAGGUAAAGAUCUUCGAUUAAUUGUUAUUGGGUAAUUGAUUAAGUUUGGAUGUGUCUUAACACCCUCGACUAGUUGAUUUUUCUUUUACAGUGGACAGAAUCAAUUUCUCCUUUAAUUUCUUGUGUGUAAUUAUAGACUGUACCGGUUUGUUUAAUAGAUGCUCCAUACUGAAAAUAUAGUGAAUGAUUGUUUGUUUCUGGUGUUUUGUUGGCUUGUAUUAAAUGUCUUUAAUAGAAGUUUUAUUGCUUGGUGAGAUGGGAGGGAAGGGUGUUUUAGCCCAGUAGUAGUAGUGUGAUUAUAAAUAAGAAAGGGAACUGUUCUGGAUUUUUUUUUCUUCAAAAAUUUUCUUUAAGUGUGUUUUUUGAGUUUUGGAAAGAGAGAAGAGCAAGAAGACCCUAUUUGGUUAUUGUGGAGAUCUGGGACUUGUUUAAUCUGUUAUGCCCAAUGAGGACUUUCUUUCCCUCUGAUUCAUGUAAAGAGUCACAGCUUAAUGCUAUCAACCCUCAGUCUUGGCUCCAAGUUGAAAGAGGGAAGCUUUCAAAAUUAUCUUCUUCUCAUACCAAUUCUUCAUCCAUGUAAGUAUUUGUUUUGAUUUAAUGAGUUUCUUCUAGUUUCCAUUUAUUUUUUAUUUUUUUUUUUGGAAGUUGAAUUGAGAUUGUUUUCGUAAAUUUGCUGUAGAGAAUCAUUUAUCAAGGUUCCUGAGCCACCGAUAUUGCCCUUCUUUAAACCUAUUGACUAUGUAGAGGUUUUAGCUCAAAUUCAUGAAGAGAUGGAGUCAUGUUCUCCUCAAGAGAGGUCGACUCUUUAUUUAUUACAAUUUCAGAUCUUUAGGGGCCUUGGAGAAACCAAAUUGAUGCGAAGAAGCCUCCGCUCUGCUUGGCAGAGGGCUGGCACUGUCCAUGAGAAGCUUGUUUUUGGGGCAUGGUUAAGAUAUGAAAAGCAAGGAGAAGAACUUAUUGCUGACUUGCUUGCGACUUGCAAUAAGUGCGCACAAGAGUUUGGGCCAGUAGAUGUUUCUCAGCUUCAAGUCGAGGUGAAUGGCUGUUCGAAGGAGACUGUUGUGAUGAAGGGGGACAAGAGCCUGGAAAAUGUGAACUUUAAGAUUGGUGAUGAGAUAAUAGUUUGUGAUAGGCAGAAGAUUGCUUCUCUUUCGGCCCCAUUUCAUGCUAUGCUUAAUGGGUACUUCACUGAGUCGUCUUCUCAGGACAUUGAUUUAUCUGAAAACAAUAUCUCCCCAUUGGGUAUGAGGACAAUUGGUGAGUUCAGCAUCACAGGCAGUUUGAGUGAAGUUCAUCCUGAUCUUUUAUUGGAAAUACUAGUUUUUUCAAAUAAGUUCUGUUGCGAAAGACUCAAAGAUGCUUGUGAUAGGAAACUUGCAUCUUUGGUUUGCACCAAAGAUGAUGCUGUGGAGUUUAUGGAAUACGCCAUCAAACAGAAUUCCCCUGUCCUGGCAGCAUCAUGUCUGCAAGUUUUCUUACACGAACUGCCUGAUUGUUUGAAUGAUGAACGGGUGGUGGAAAUAUUUAGCCAUGCAGAUAGACAACAGAGAUCAAUCAUGGUUGGACUGGCCUCAUUUUCGCUGUAUUGUUUGUUAAGUGAAGUAGCUAUGAACCUUGAUCCCCGAUCUGAUAAAACUGUUUGUUUCCUAGAACAAUUGAUUGAAUCAGCUGAAACUGAUAGAGAGAAAUUGCUAGCUUUUCAUCAGUUGGGAUGUGUAAGGCUUCUGAGGAAAGAGUAUGAUGUAGCAGAAGGUCUUUUUGAGAAAGCUGUGAGUUUGGGUCAUGUUUACUCCAUUGCCGGUUUGGCUAGACUGGGUUACAUUAAGGGUCAUAAACUCUUUUCUUAUGAGAAGCUCAGCUCUGUGAUUUCUUCUGUUAACCCACUGGGGUGGAUGUAUCAGGAAAGGUCAUUAUACUGUGAAGGUGAUAAAAGGUCAGAAGACCUUGAGAAAGCAACCGAACUUGACCCAACUCUCACAUACCCCUACAUGUAUCGGGCUGCUUCCCUAAUGAUGAAACAGAAUGUUCAAGCUGCUCUUGCUGAGAUCAAUCGUGUUCUUGGGUUUAAACUUGCAUUAGAAUGCAUGGAACUCCGAUUCUGUCUUUAUUUAGCUAUCGAGGAUUACAAAGCAGCCAUUCGCGAUGUUCAGGCAAUUCUAACACUUUCCGCAGAUUACAGAAUGUUUGAGGGACGAGUGGCAGCAUCCCAUCUCCGUACACUUGUGCGUGAGCAUGUUGGCAGUUGGACAACUGCAGAUUGUUGGAUGCAGUUGUAUGAUAGGUGGUCUUCUGUUGACGAUAUUGGAUCUCUCUCCGUAAUCUAUCAGAUGCUAGAAUCUGGUGGGGCAAAAGGUGUUUUAUACUUCAGACAAUCAUUGCUUCUCCUCAGGUAUGCACAUACUUCCAGUCUUUUAUGGACCUUCUGACAGAAGAUAUUUUAAUUUAAAGGUCUGCAGCUUUACUCCCCCCCCCCCCAAAUUUUAUAGCAUCAUUUUCUUCCCCAUCUAUCCACUAUAUAUGCUCACCCCCCCCCUCCUUCUUUUCAAUUCAUCUUUUCUCCCCGUUGCCAUUAGUAUGGUUUGCUGUAUCAUGCUUAAAUGACUUGCAAGAACUUGUGGCUUCACUUGAUCAGGUUGAAUUGUCCUGAUGCUGCGAUGCGAAGUUUAGAAUUAGCUCGUAGACAUGCAUCCAGUGAGCAUGAACGCCUGGUUUACGAGGGAUGGAUCCUAUAUGAUACUGGUCACUGUGAGGAAGGGCUUCUAAAGGCAGAAGAGUCUAUUAAAAUUAGUAGAUCCUUUGAGGCGUUCUUCCUUAAAGCAUAUGCAUUGGCUGACUCUAGUCUCGAUUCAUCUUGUUCUUCAACAGUUAUUUCACUGCUUGAAAAUGCCUUGAAAUGCCCCUCAGAUAAUCUUCGGAAAGGUCAAGUAAGGUUUCCUUUUCCCUACCCCUUUCAUCAGAAAAUAUGCUAUAUGUAACUACACUUUACCAUAUUUGCCUUGAUAUAUAGCAAGGCUUACAUCAUGACAAAUUUCAUGUAGUUUUGCUGGGAACCUAUUCCCUUUUAACUUGGUUGAGUUUGCCCUAAUGAUGGUAAAUGGUUACCACAUUCUACCAAAGAUUCGAAUGUUGUGCUUGUUAGUGGUCCGUGGUUCCAAUUUUGGUGUUGAAAAACAUGGGUUUUCAGCAUGUCUAAUCUUGGUUUGAGUUAUUUUCUCAGGCUCUUAAUAAUCUGGGAAGUGUCUUGGUUGAUUGUGGGAAAUUAGACUCAGCAGCCGACUGCUACAUUAAUGCCCUUAAAAUACGUCACACGAGAGCCCAUCAAGGCCUUGCACGUGUCCAUUUUCUCAAAAAUGAUAAGGCCACCGCAUAUGUUGAAAUGACCAAACUUAUUGAAAAGGCUAAAAAUAAUGCAUCCGCAUAUGAGAAGAGGUCCGAGUACUGUGACCGUGACCGUGACCUCACAAAGGCAGAUCUUGAGAUGGUCACUCGAAUAGAUCCACUCAGGGUAUAUCCUUACCGGUAUCGAGCUGCAGGUCAGAACAUAUACAUAUAUUAUUAUAAAGGCCAUGUUAGCAAAUUUUCGAACUAAAGGCUGUUUUGGUUGUGUUUAUCAAACAGUGUUAAUGGAUAGCCGCAAGGAGAAGGAAGCCAUUGCAGAACUGUCAAGGGCAAUUACAUUUAAAGCAGACCUUCACGUUCUACACCUACGAGCUGCCUUCCAUGAGCAUGUUGGUGAUGUCUUGGCUGCCCUUCGAGAUUGUCGAGCAGCUCUCUCUGUUGAUCCUAACCAUCAAGAAAUGUUGGAACUUCACAGCCGUGUCAACAGCCAUGAACCAUGAAUCUCUGUUUUUUUUUUUUUUUGGUAAAAAUGCGAAAGGGGAAAAAAUGGAAAUUAUAACUUAUAUAUGGAAAAAGCAGGGAAGGGGGAAGAGAUUUUGAAUUGCAUGAUAUCAUUGUAGUUAUUAUCAUCAUCAUAACAUGAUAUGUUACCUUUGUAAUUUAUCCUGUAAGAAAUUUUGGUCAAUGCCAUGUUAAUCUUCUUCUGCCAAAAAAUCAAAAGGCUUACAAUUUGACGCGUUAAUAAUGUGGAGUUCAUGACUCUGAUUCUAUAUAUGAAGUUUGCGUACGCCAAAAAUUGUGGAAGUUUCAGUACUAUUUUUUUCUGAAUAAUGGUUUAAUUAAUAAAUAAAAAGGCCAGCAGCUAAAAAUGUCUAUUUAGUAUUUGGUUUUUGGAAGCAGAAAAUAUUUUUAAAAAACCUCCCUCAAAAGAGAGCUAUUGGUGUUGGAAAAAUGAGAAAUUUCAUUAUAUCUCACGUCGCUAAGGGAGAAAGGGGUUAGAAGGUUUUAAAAGCCUAUAUAAGAAUUGAACUGGUUAGUUUUAACAUGCUUUUCACUUUCUCUCUCUUUAAUGAGUAUUUUCUUUUGGUGUUAUUCUUUUUAUUCUUCUAAAAAGCUUGUUGAAUUUUAUUCUUAAAGACGAUGUCUAAUGUCUAACAUGGCUUAAGCUUAGUUUUUGUAUUUUUCACUUUUUCUUAAAAUCUUUUAAAAUUUUCUAACAAUAUCCACUCACUUUUUUUAUGUCUAAAAAAAGACUAGACUUAGCAUAUAAGAGUAUCUAUUGUGACCCACCUCUUUUUCUUCAGAACCUGUAUGAUUGUAUCUAACUCUUGGUGCUCAUCUCUCUUUUUUUGAGAACCUAUAUGGCAUACAUUCUAACACUUGUGUUGUCCUACCAACACCCCAAGAACCUAUUUGAUGCACAAAUUUCUUCAACACUAAGUGUCGUCUUCUUAAAAAUGUCCACUCAGUUUUUCAUUUUUCCUUAAACUCUUAUCUCUUUUUCCUAAAAACCUACAUUGUGCACAAGUUUUUCUAACAUUUGAGGGGUUUGGUUUGCAAAAUCUUAAAUUACGUUCCGUAAUAGAUUUGCAAGAAUGUGACAUUACGGGUGGAAUAUGAGAUUACCUUGCUUGAUUCAUUUAGCAUGAAUUUAAGAUUCCGAUAUUUGGUUAAUGAAAUGUAAGAUUACCUGGAAGUACAUUUUACUUGUCUUUAAAAAAAAUUAACUAGUUAUUUUAAUAUUUUUUAGUCUCAAUUUUUAUAAAAUUACGAUAAAUUAUUACAAUUUUUAUUUUUUAUUGCAAUUUAUAUAUUAAUAAGUAAAUAUAUUGUGUUGAAUAAAUUUAUAAAUUAUAAUUAUAAUAAUUCAUAAAAAGUAAUUGUAACAUUAACCAUAAUUAGUAUAGUAAUAAAUAAAUUAUGAAAUAAAAUAUAAUGAUUAUAAUUGUAAUUAUGGUGUCUAUUGGGCUAUUGUUAAGAUUUUUUUAAAUUAGUCUUAAACCUUAUUUAAGAAAAAAACUUAAAUUGAUUAGAAUAAUAAAAACAAAAAGCAAAUUGGUACAAAUUUUAAGAUUACGCCCGUAAUUUAAAAUUACCUAAUAAAUGGGUCAUAUUAUAAGAUAGUCGUAAUGUGAGAUUAAGGGAUUGAAAUCCAAAUAUCAUAAUCUCAUUCUAGAAUGUAACAUUAUGAGUCAUAAUGUUAUAUUCGGCGAACCAAACACCCCUUUGGUGUCAUCCAACAAGCAUCCUAUCAUUACCGCUCUUUCCUAGAAACUUAUUUGGUGUAAAAAUUUCUCUAACACUUGGUGUUGUCCCACCAACAUCCUACCCUUCCUUAGGAUGUCCAUAUUUUUUCACUUUUCCUUCAAAAUAUUCCAAAAUUUCAAAAAAAGUCCAAUGUCCAAGAAUGAGUGCAUGUCUAUUUAGGAAUGAUUUUAUAUAAGAAAGAUUUGGUACUUAAGAGUAUCAUUAUGAUCUAUUUCUUUUUCUUAAAAAUCUACGUACUCUGGACAAAAUUUUCCUACACUUGGUGUCAUCCCACCACCACCUUAACAAAUAGUUAGGAUUAGGGGUGAGCAAAACUCGAUUCGACUCGAAAAACUCGAAAAAAAAUUCGAAUUUCGAGUUAAACGAAUCGAGUUAUUCGAGUCAACUCAAAUUUUUUUUCGAAUUUCGAGUUCGAAUCGAGUUGAGUUUUCGAAUUCGAAUAACUCGAAUAAUUCGAAUAAUUCGAAUAUCAAACUAUAAUAUUUUACAUUUUUACCCCAAACUCCCAAACCUUUUUACUUUUCCCUUAAAACUUUUACUCCUUCCCACUUUCCCCCUAAAACUUUUACUCCCCUUCAAUCCUAACCCCCCAAUCUACCCAAAAUCCAUUUACCACUAAAAUUUUACUCUCCCAUUUACUUUUUCUCAAAAUUUUAUUCCCAAAAACACUCAAAACUUUUUAUUUUCCCCCAUAAUUUUUACUCCCUCCCAUUUUCCUCUUAAAAUUUUUACUUCCUUUUAAUCCCACCUCCCAUCUACCCCAAAUCCACCCCCAAAUUUUUUUUAAUAUUUUCCCUCCAAAAUUUUACUCUUCCCUAUUUACUUUCCCUCAAAACUUUUAUCUCCCAAAACUUUUUAUUUGACCCUAAAUUUUUACUUCUCACCCUAUACUCUCAAAUAAAAAAUUAAAAUUAUCUAAAAAAAAAUCACUAAACAUAAAUAGUAAUAAUUUUAUUUAUAUGUACUAUUUAUAUUAUUAAAUUAAAUUUCACAUUUUAUAUUAUUUAUAUUAUUGGAUUGUUUAGUCAUAUUGAAUAUUUAUAUUAAAAUUAAAUUAUUAAUUAUGCUAUUAAAUAUUCAUGUUAAAAUUUUAUAUUGGUAUCAAUUUCACAUUUUAUCUUUAAAAUAAUUUUUAUUAAAAAAUCACAUUUUUACAUCUAAUAUAUUUUUUAAUUCGAAAAUACAUAGUGACAAGAAUCUGAAGAUAAUUGAAGCAACUAAGCAAACAAAGAAGUUAACCCGUAUAUUUAAUUAAGGUGGAUAAAUUUUAUUACGAUGGGUGACAGUGGUUAUAAGGACCCAAAAUUAUUUUUUAAAAUUUAACUCGAACAAUUAUAUUCGAUUCGAUUCGAUUCGAAUUCCAUCUCACUCGACUUGAUUCGAGAAAAUUUCAAAUAAAGUUAGGAUGAUAAAAUAAAAUUCGAAAACUCGAUUAACUCGAAAAUUUUCGAUUCGAUUCGAUCGAAUGCUCACCCCUAGUUAGGAUUAGUUUGAAUAAGUGGUGCAUUUAUCUUUGGUAAGGUCAAAAAUAACGAUGAUGGUGAGGUUAGUUACUAUAGCUGUAAGAUAAAAAAUUUCACCAUACCAUAAACAUUAAAAACAGCGAUGAUAGUGAAAUUAGUUACUAUAACUAUAAGAUGAAAAAUUUCACCAUGCCAUAAACACCAACCAAAGAGGCCUCAGUUUGUUGCAGGAGACACCAAGGAGUUAAGCCCUCCUCAUAAAAAACCUUGCAAACAACAAGCAGAAAACAGAAGCAAUGACUAGCUCAUUUCUCAGUUCUAAUUUAUUUGACCAAUUAUUUUUACUUAGUCAACCUACUAACACAUGAAGGAUGAUUACCUUAUAUUAUCCCUUAUACACCAGUAAGUUAAAAUAAUUACAGUGGUUUUUGAGAUGCUACUCUAUGCGUUUAUAAUAUAUUAAAAAUAAUAAAAACCACAGCAAGAUUCAUUUACAAAGUUUUUUAUUUUUAUUUUACUAACAAGAUAUAAAAUAAUUAUAAAAAUUAAAUUUUAGUGCUUUCAAAUUAAAUCCCAAAUACAUUCAAGAUGAUAACUAUCGCAAUUCAAUAUAUAAAUAUAUUGCAUUUGUACAUAAAAUUAAAUUAUCCUUUUUAUAUACAAAUGCACUCAUGAAUAUGUUAAUAUAUGAAUUCGAAUCUCUAAACCAAUAUUUAAAAACAAAAAAAAAAAUUUAAAAAUCUAAAAGUACCUAAAAGAAUACAAUUACAAUUUAUGUAUUCAUAAUUAGAUAUGCUAUUUUUAUACAGGUCGAAUCUUGAACAAAAGCUUUUUGACAGCCCAAUCUAAAUAUAUUAUGAUAUUAAAAAAUAUAUUAUAUUAUUUAUAUAUGUUAAAUAAUAAUUUUUUAUAUAAUUAUAUUUAUUUUAAAUUAUUAACUAAAUAACAAUUAAAUCUGUUAUCCAAACCCUAAAAGAAAAAACUUACCCAACUAAAUAACUCAAUCUAAAAUAUAAAAUUUUAAAAAGUAUAUUUAAUACAAUAAAAUAUUUAUUAUAUUUAUGGUAGUCUUUUUUAAUAAAAAUAAUUUUUUUAUGUAUUCUUAAUGUGUUAGAAAACUUUUAUUUUAGCAUUUUUUAGUGCAUUUAGUAUAUUAUAUUUUUAAAAUUUUUUUAUUUUCAAAUAGAGUUAAAUAUAAAAUUGGUACUCGAAUUUGUCCAUUUCUCUCAAAUUGGUACUUAUGGUUUUUUUUUUGUCCCUGAAUGGUAUCUGAUUUUUUUCCCAUCAACUAAAUCAGUACCUGAGUAUAACGCCGUCAAGUUUAGGACACAUGACAUAAAUGACAUGAUUUUUUUUUGGAAUUCCUUUUUUGUUUUUUCUUCUUUAUUCUUCCUUCCUCAACCUAAGUUGCUACCUCCGUCGUUGCCAAUAAUUGGCCUCCUUUUCGGCCUGAAAAUGGCACCAGAGUUGAGCUCACUUUCACUCAUUUGAAAUUAAAAUUUUCAAUGAAUAACCCAGAGACCACGAAGAAAUUGAAUACAACUGAGCAUCGAAGCAUAAUACUAAUAAUAGAAAAAAAAAUUAAAUGAACUUUCCAUUUUGUGAACAGUCAAAAGUAAUGUCCCAAGAUUCAAUAUUUCAGUUUUAUCAUUUGAUUCUUCCCGGUGACAAAACAAAACAAAAUGUAUUCCAGAGCUAUUUUUAUUUGAGAAGAAAUUAUAGCUAAAAAAGAAAGCAAAUAAAAUCGUGCAAACCCAUUAAUUUGAUCAAGAAAUUAAAGAGGAAUAUAAAGUAUUUAAAAAAAGUGCGUGUGAGAGAGAUUACAGAUUCCAAUGAAAAAUUUGGGUUUAAAGAUUCAACAACAUCCAUUACUUUGCUCUUCGAGCUUGCUACAGCUUCAUCAAUGGCGGAAUUCAUUAUUUCCUCCAAAUCUUUGCCUUUAAAACUAACAUAUUGAUAGCAAGAUAAAUUUGUAUUUUUAAUAUAUUUAUUUUUGGCUAAUUAUAGAAUAAAAUGCUAUUAAAUUUGGGUUUUCUUAUCAAGAAUGAAGUUGGUGUACUAAAUUAAAUUGAAACUAAAAGCAAAGAGAAGGGCUUGAUUGAAAGAUUGAAGAUUCAAAGAUAACUAGAUAAAGAUCGAAAGGUUAAAGAUUUUUUUUUUAGGUGGCUGGAUAAAAAUUGGGAGAUUUUUUAUAUUGUUAAAAUUUUGAAAUUAAUUUGAAUUUAAUUUCUAAUUUAAAUUUGAUUUUAAAAUUUUGUAUUUAUUUAGUGAUAAUAUUUAAGAAAAAUCUAGCUAAGUUUUAGCACUAAAAUUGUGUAUAAAUACCUAACAACUACAGCCAAAUACACACACUUGGCUUUUGGAAUUAAUCAAAUUCCUUUAUUUUCUUUCCAUUCCUGCAUCACUUUUCAUUAUGCCAUUUCAAUUAUGUUCCUUUUACUUUCAACUUUUUAGUUUAAUUACCUUCCAAUGCCCUUCCUUUUUCCAUCUUCCAUCAUUUCAUUUAAACUAUUUAUUUUUAAGUAUGAUUCUUUCCAUAAUUAACUAAACCCUAUUUAGUCUUAGUCAGGUUAUCACUUUGACAAAGUAAUUGUGAGAUGAGAACGCACACUAAAUACUUUGCAAUGCGGUAUUCGCUAUCUCUUUGGUAUAUGAGAUAGUACAAAUUCGUCUUUCAAAGUUGAUUCGACUUCAAUUCAAAAAGCAUGUUGGGUUGGAAUUGUUUGGCGUAUAGUUGGGAAGUUAGUCGGCUGUGCUGUAUUUAAAAUCCCGCGAACAAAUUGGUGUGUUCAAUUGGAGAAAGCUAGUUGGAUUCCGUUAAAAGAAAUAAUGAUUGGAUUUAAACAACCCACACGGUUGAGGCCGUUAAUUCGAGUUGGGCUUUUCAGAUUGUAAGGCUGUCGAAGUCCUAAAUUGCAGGUACGUGCCACGUGGUUGGAAAUUCGACAAGGGUCGGUUUGCAGGUGAUACCAGGAUCGACUACGAGAGGAAGACUUGGCAAUUUGAAGGAUCCUCGAUUGCUAUAACCAACUUAUCGCUUGGAAAGGAAAAUCUAUUUCAAGGAUCGAUUCAAGAUUGAAGUAUACCGAAGCUAAGGCUAAGCUUAAAAUUAUUUUAUUUACCAAUUUACUUUAUUUGCUUAAAUUUAUUUUUUUGCAAUUUCAAAUAUGUUUUUAUUUUAUUUCCUUAUUUUAUUAUCUUUAUCAAUUUAAACCCCCUCCCCAUUUUUUUUAGCACUGCUACGCACAGGUCGUGGGCACGAUUGUGAUCAUGACAACGAUUCUAGUCACGAAAAAAGGCAAAAUUAGAUAGCUUGUCCCUGUGGAUUUGACCCUACUGCUUUAUACUGCUAUUUCUGUUAUUUUGUCAUAGGAAUUUAUAUUUGGUGGUUUUGAUGCCCAUCACAUAUCUUUCCAACAUCAUCUUCCGAGAACCACAUGAUUUUAAAAUAGUUGGCUCUCAAUCUGAGAUUUUGAAAUAGAUGGAUCUAAGUAGUGUUUUAGCUAUUUCUUAAUCUUAAGUGGUGUUUUCAAUAAUUGAAUCCAAACUAUCAUUGUCCAUUUUAGUGCUAAAUUCACCAAAUGAUCAUGAAAAAUCAAUACCCAUUUUCUGUUAAACAAACUUGAUAAUUUUAGGUAGUCAUUUUAUCAUACACAGAGCAACAUUUAAAAAAAAAACUGCACACAUUACCUCAAAAUCUUGAAUUGUAUAAGAGCUAGAAAAAGAAACAAAAAUGGAAAAUUGGAUGUUGGGGUUGAUUUUUGAAUUUUGAUAUCAGUUUUCUUUUUUCCGUCACUUUCUCUCUAUUUUUUUCCUUAGAAAAAUGAUGAACUGAAAUGAGAAAAUUUGAGUCUUUAAGAUUGUCAAAGAUUUUGAGGAUUUCGAUCAAGAAAGCCAAUCUUUGUGGGUUAGUUUGAAAAGGGGAGGAGAAGUGGUAGGGGUUGGUUGAUGGUGAUGUUGCGUGCUCAAAGUUGAAUUAGAAAAGAGAUGUAGAAGGCAGAGAGAAUAGAGAAGAAAAGAGAGUCACACAGAUGAGGAAGAAUAUUGAGUUUUCAUUCCGUAAUUUGAUAAUUGUUUUUCCCAUACGACUCAUGCUUAAAAGAUAAAACUAACAAGAAAAAUGACAUGGCAAUUUCUGUUGAACCCAAACGCACUGUCUAACUUACCCCCUACGCCCCGUUUUGUUGUUCACUUCUUAGAAUUAAAACUCUCCUUUUUACUUAAAUGAACUAACUGAUAAUAACUAACUUCUUCCUAUAUCUUUUAUUCUCCUUUUUCCUUACUUACUUUCUAGCCCAUAACAAUAUUCCCUCCCAAAGAAAUGUUCCUUGUCCUCAAGGAUGAAAAUGGGGAAAUUUGGUUUGAAGCAAGUUUAAAGAUUCCCAUGCUACAUCCUCAAGAAAAGAGUCAACCCAUUUGACUACUACUUCAGUAACAGCUUCGUUGAAUAGCAGCUUGGUCUGGAACUCUGAGACGAAGGGGAACCAUGCCAUUAUAACUAUUGGUGCAAACAGUAACACACCCAUCAUGUAUUCAUACCCUCUUGCUAGUGCCUUCACUGACCCCCACAUUCCUACUUCCUUCACCAGUGUCUGGCAUGCUUGUGAUAUCUGCAUAAGAGCCCAUCUUAUAGGCAUAAAGGCUAGUAUGAUCUGAAAGAUAUCUCCAACUGUGGGAUUAAGGAAAUAAAACAACAUUGUAAUGGUGACUAUACACCCAAUAAACAGUAGUAGCUUAAGAAGUCUAAACAUUAGCUGGAAGUCUGCACUGAACUUCAUUCUCCCCAUCGACACUAUCUUCCAAAUAAUCAACACCGCACCAAUGGCUAGCCAAGAAAAACCUUAAACCACAAUGCUCUGUCGAAUACCUUAUUUGUUACUGGUGGUCAUGUUUAGAUGAUACACAAUUUCAUACUGGUUAAUGAAGAAGCGUAUUGAAAGUAUAAUCUCAAAGAGACAUUUUAUUAAUCCAGUGUGGCGCAGGUGCUCCUGUUCUUCCUCCCACCAAGAUUUCCAGCUCUUAACGGAGGAAACUCCAAUACCACCUUUGCAACUUAUCCACUUUGACCAGUCUUCCUAAUCUUCUACUAUCUGUUGCCAUUCAAAUCCUGAUAGAUUCAGAAGGAAAAGAGCAAACAGCAAGGAUAAAACUAAGAACCCCAUUGAAAAUUAGAGGAGUGCAUAAGAGAUACCAUCAUCUGCUGCAGAACCAUACAGCCUGUAACAUAUAAGCAAUACCAUUAGCUCCAGCCCUUUUACAAAGUGGCUUCUUGAGUACAAGCGAUAGUCUUCUACGAAUUUCUCAUGCCGCACCAUAAAACCACUCCCUAUUGCUCUGUAUUUAGCCCUACCAUUCAAAAUAAUGUGCCCAAAAUAAUGGACUCUUGUUCCAAAGGAGAAAGUGAAGAACACGGAUGGCAAAUGAAGCUGCAUGAUUAUUGUAACGUCCUCUAACCCUAUACCGUCACCGGAACAGGGUUACGAGAUAUUACCAGUUAGUACAGUCCAAUUUCGGUCAUUAAUUAAAAUAAAUAUUUACACACAUCCUAGUUUUAAGAUGUCGUCCCUUUAAUGGGCCCUCGCGGUCCAAUAUGAACAGUAAAUUCAAUUCGGGACUAAUUUAGAAUUACUACAAAUUUUUAGUAAAUUUCAAAAUUCAUACUACAUACCGUUGCCAACCAUAAUUUACUCAUUUCAUCAAUACUUUUACAACCUAAAUGACUCUCAUUAAACAUCCUAGGUACAUGCCAUUAUCAAUACUCAACAUACUUUACCUUAAUGAAUUCGGGAUCGUCUUGGGAUGCUGAUUCAACGUACUAUCUUUACUUAACCUGCGCACGGAAACAAACCGUACGCUGAGUAUGGUAUACUCAGUGGUAUUUCUAUAAUCCAAACAAUUAAUAAUAUAACAAAUACUUAAGAUCAUAAUAACAAUUACAAUUAUUCGAUUAUUUAUUCAUAGAUAAAUUUCAACUACUUACCAUAUAAAUUUUAUGCAAAUCAUAUAAUAAACACAAUAACAUAAUUGUUCAAUUCUUAACUAAAUCCAUUAUUAUUUACUCCAUUCUUUCACUUACUACUCGGUAUAGCUUUCCUUAAUUUACUCACAAUUCAAUAUCAUUAAACUAUAUUCAACUAUACACUUAUCAAUCAUAUUCCAUUUUAAUUCAUUUCAAUAACAGUCAAUUUCAUUUAUAUCAUAUCAACUUACUAUCCCUGAUAGCUUUCAGUAUAUACAUACGAUUCAUAUAUCUCAAAUCACAUUUCAAUUCAUCAAGUGGCAUCAUAUAUCAUCAAUUCGAACUCCAAUCAUUUCAUGAACCUUUGGUUCAUAUUUUCAAUUUCAUAUCUAAAUUUUUUCAAUUCUCAAUUCAAUUUCUCGUUCAUUUCAAUAGCUUGAUCAAUCAAAUUUAUUUGAUUUAUCUUUCACUUAUUUACCCCUAUUAACAAACCCGAACUUUGACGGAUACACGGAUUCCAACCCAAACACACCAGUACGGCACAUUGUGCCUAAAACGGUACAUAGUACCUGAUCAGUAUACGACACAUAAAGUGCCUAAAAUGACACAUGAGGUGCCUGAUACGACACACGAGGUGCCUGAUACACGACACAUAAAAUGUCUGAUCGAUAAAGCCGGCAAAUCCCGUACACUUCCAGAUCCUUUGGCAUGCCAAUUAUAUCCGACUCAGCCCGACUAGUUAAUAGGGUAUUUCAUUCACUUUCUCAAUUUAAUAAUUCUUUCAUCAAUAUAUCAUUCUGAUAAUCACAUAUAUUCAUCCAUUUUCACAAUCCAUACAAUUUCAUUCAAUUCAACAAUAUAUUUCAAUUAUUCACAUUAAUUCAUCAUAAUUCAAUACAAUUCAAUUCACUUUUCAAUAUCAAAUAUUCAAAUAUCACAAUCUCAUAUAUUCAUAUCAAUUUCCUCAUAUUUCCAAUCAAUAUAUUUUUCAAUAUAAUAUUUAUUCAAUAUUCAAAUUUCUACAUAAAUCAUAUAUAUUAUAUAAUUCAAUCAAUAUAAAUUCAAUCAAAAUAAUUUCAAUCAAUAUAAAUUCAAUAAAUUCAUCGCAUACCAAAAUCAAUCCGUUCCAAUUGUAAAACAUCAUAAUUCUAACACUAACAAUUGCCAUAUGUAUAUAAAUAUAACAAAUAAUAACUAAGUUUGGAUUAUAGAAAUAAAAACCAUAAUUUUCGAGCUAACUCUCGUUGACUUUGUCUUGUCCUUUCUUAGCCGAGAUUUCCGGUACCACAUUGACUACGAAAUUAAUACAAUUCAUAACCAUUAAUACAUUACUAAUUCAUAUCUUGAGUUACAGAAUUCUAAAUUAAGAUCCGCUAAAUUUUUCCUGAAACUAGACUCACAAAUCUUCUUACAAUAAAAUUUUCAGAAUUUUUGGUUUAGCCAUUAAGUACAGUUUAUUCUUCAAAUUCACCCCUAUUCUGCUGUCUGACAGUUUCGUCCCUUCUUCACUAAAAAUUAAUUAUCUCAUAGUAAAGAACUUGGAUAAUAUUCCCGUUGAUUUCUACUGAAAAUAGACCCAUUAGGGAUUCUAAAAAUAUAACUUUAAGCCUCUAAUUAUUUUUAUUCAAUUUUUGGCGAUUUUCCAAAGUCAAAACAGGGGAACCCGAAUUCAUUCUGACCUUGUCUCACAAAAUUCAUUAUAUCUCAUAAUUUACAAUCCAAUUGCUUAUAUAGUUUCUUCUAUAAGAAACUAGGCUCAAUAAUAUUUAAUUCCAUAUUUUAUUCAUCCUCUAAUUCAAUUUCUACAAUUUUUGAUGAUUUUUCAAACUUAGACUACUGCUGCUGUCCAAAAUAGUCUUAGUACAAAAUGUUGAUUUACUUUAAUUUCAAUUUAAUUCUAACUAAAUUCACUUACUUUUCUAUCUUAAUUCAUACUUUAUUUCUACUCAAUUUUUAACCAAAAUUAGACAUAAUUAUCUAUUUUUCAUCAUAAAACCAUAAUUUUGAAAUUCUUUCAAUUUAGUCCUUAAAGCAUAAAACUUAUGAAUCACUUUACAAUUCAAUCCUUGUAUCAUUUUUAACUUGAAUUUCUAUCAAUUUAGCCCUUAAUUCAUCAUUUUAUUUAACAUGGAAAAUAUCUAGAAAUCUAAUAACUAUCAAAAUAUCAACUUAAUUUCAUCAAAACUUUGUUCUAAAACUUCUAAAACAUCAAAAUUAAGUAAAAUGGCUUGAUUGACUUACCUAUUAAAGCUUAAAGCUUCAAACCUUAAAUUUUCCCUUUUCUCCCCUUCUUUCUUUCUUUUUCUCCCCUUCCCUCUGUUUCGUUUCAUUCUGUUUCUAUUUCCUUUCAUUUGCUUCUUUAGUUUAUAUAUAUAAUAUAAUAUAAUAUAAUAUAAUAUAAUUAAAACAUAAAGUAUCUUUAUUAUAUAAUAAUAUAAUAAUAUACUAAACAUAAAAAAAGAAUCUUAGAUUUUCUUCACGAUAAACCGCCUCAAUUUAUACUUUUUGUAUAAUUGCCCUUUUAGUCCUUUUUAUUUUCUUUUAAUCUAUAAUUCAACUUUCACACUUUAUUCAAUUUGGUCCUUUUACUUAAUUACUCUUAAUUAAAUUAAAUUCACUUAAUUAAACUCUAAUUAACCACUCAUUUUACUUCGUAAAUAUUUUUAAUAAAUAUUUACGAAUCCAUUUUUCAGAAACAAAGACCCGAAAAUACACUUUUUCGGUAACGGUAAAAUUCGGGUCAUUACAAUUAUGAUAUCACCUAAUGCAGUUUUAAAUCCUCUCUCCAAUCUAAUCUCCAUGACCAUGGAUAGUACUGUUAAGAUACCUAAUUAAACUAUAGGAUGUGAAGCCAUGGCUGCCUUUAGAGAAUUAUUUCCCCUGGCUGAAGCAUACUUUAGUAUUGCCUCUUCUAAACCACUCAAUGACAAAUAAAGUCUUCCAUACAGGAAAAAGUAGACUGUAAAGACAACCAACAUUGAGCUGAAAUAAGAUCCAACAAUGGUAAAGUAGCCGGACAACAUACGAAAAAAGUCAAAACGAUGGCCUAAUCUGUAGAUAUCUCUGCUGAGUGUCUGCUCUCCGUUACCACUCGCCACUUUCGCUUCAAAAAGUGAGAUUUGGUUUAACCCAACAUCCCUACCUUUCCCAACCUGAAUAUAUUCAUAAUGAGUAAUGUUCCCUCAUCUCAAGGUUGAGUUAAAACCAGCAAAGAUGUCCUCGCUCAAGUUGAUGCCACAAGAACCCUUGUUGAUGCCUAAAAGAUACUAUCGAACAUAUCUAGAUAACCAUAAUAAAAACGAACCUUGAGUGGUCUUGCAAGAACUCUUUGACCAAUGGUGACAAGGCUUGUUUCUUGAUUUGACAUGAACCAAGCUAAAGAAGAAACACUUCUCGUAAAGAUGUACUCACGAAUUCCUAAAAUUGUAGGUGGCCUUACUCCAUAACCUCAUUAAAUUCAACCAAAAGAUUACGUAAUUUGAAUGCUUCUUCCAAGUAAUUGUCCUUCGCAGAUGCUCCCAUCACAUAUGACUGAUUCCUUAGAUGCACACUACUCGCAUCAACAGCAUUUGGUUCCAAUAGAGCCUGUGGUAACUCCUUGUCCUUAGACAAAAACCCAAGAGGAGAUCUUAAGACCCCAUUUUCUUUGUCCGUAGCCCUAUUAGCUGGAGGUCCAUUUGGUGAAGAUCCAAAAUACUGACUUAGCAAGGCCUGGAAGUCCCCAUGGAACUCAUCCUUGAAUUCUUGGAACCGAGUCUCCAUCUUAGUCUCUAAACGAACCAUCUCCUCUUGAAUUUUAGAAAUCUCCUACUGCAUGCCGCCAACCUCCUUUUGCAGGCGUGUUAAAACACUGUCAACAGCCAUCACAGAGAUCGUGAAAACUCUGAUACCUUUGUUGUGUGCUCAAAGUUGAAUUAGAAAAAAGACGAAGAAGGCAGAGAGAAUAGAAAAGAAGAGAGAGUCACUUAGAUGAGGAAGAAUACUGAGUUUUUCAUUCCGUAAUUUGAUAAUUGUUUUUCCCAUACAACCCAUGCUUAAAAGAGAAAACUAACAAGAAAAAUGACAUGGCAAUUUCUGUUGAAUCCAAAUGCACCGUCUAACUUACUUCCUAUGCCCCAUUUUGUUGUUCACUUCUGUUAGAUAAAAUGGCAGCAACAACCAAACAAUGAAACACUAAGAGCAUAAGCUCUUCAAACAGCAAGCAGAAAAACACAAAGCAUCAAGAGCAUAAGCUCUCGGUUGACAAGCAAAAGGAAAAAAAAUAUGUUUGAUUGAAACCGAAUGAUAAUACCAUUUUCAUUUCAUUUCAAAAUAUAGAGUUACAAAAGUGGAAUGUUUACCUAACAAUUUCCACUAAAUUUGGCAACUUGCCAAUUAAUAAUUAAAAAGAUGAAAGCAUAUUAGCUAUCAUUAUGAAAGCAUAUUAGCUAUCAUUAUGUUGUUUCAAUUAUAGCUAUCAUUAUGAAACCAAGUUGCACACCAACUUGUUUCAAUUACAAAAGAUUACAAAUAUUAAAAAUAAACAAAAUAAACAAAAUGCACCAAGUUGCUCCUUUGUUACUUUACAGUCCAUGUUCAACACUCCUCCUUGGACUGUAGGCAACAAACACCAAUUGAUUUCCUUAGAAAUUCAAACCUGAUUGUGCCAAGAGGCUUUGUCAAAAUGUCAGCCAAUUGAUCUUGUGAGCUACAAUGUAUUAGACUCACUUCUUUGGAUUGGACAACUUCUCGAACAAAGUAAAACUUGAGCUUAAAAUGUUUGGUUUUGCCAUGAAAAACAGGAUUUUUAGAGAUGGCAACUGCUGACUGGUUAUCCACCAAAAUUUCAGUAGGCUCGAGCUGUUCUUCAUUCAAAUCACAUAGCAACUUCCUAAGCCAAAUGGCUUGAUUCACUGCUGCAGCUGCUGCUAUGUAUUCGGCUUCAGCAGUAGACUGAGCAACAGUUUGUUGCUUCUUUGAACUCCAACUGAAAACUCCCGAACCAAGUGUAAAGAAGUAGCCUGAAGUACUUCUCAUAUCAUCAACUGAUCCACCCCAGUCACUAUCUGAGUAGCCAGUUAAUUUUAGCUCACUUCCUUUCUUGAACAUUACACCAAACUUCAAAGUACCUUUGACAUACCUGAGUAUUCUCUUUGCUGCUUUCAAAUGAGUUGUAUUGCAGCUGUGCAUGAAUCUAGACAGUAGACUAACUGAAUGCAUAAGGUCAGGUCUAGUUGCUGUCAAGUAAAGUAAACAUCCAAUCAGGCUUCUAUACUCCUUUUCAUCUACCUUUUCUUCAUUUCCAAAGCUGCUUAGUUUCUCUCCCACAGCUAAUGGUGUGCUCACUGGUUUGCUGUUUUCCAUAUGAAACUUAGUGAGAAUUUUCAAGGCAAAUGCAUGCUGGCUGAUAAAAAUGCCUUGAUCAGACUGGUCUACUUCCAUACCAAGGAAGUAAGUCAUGAUUCCCAAGUCUGUCAUGUCAAACAUGUCUUGCAUAUUCUUCUUGAACUCCUGAAUCAAAUCGACCCUGCUUCCAGUCACUAAUAGAUCAUCUACAUAUAUUGAGACAAUCAGCAAAGUCUCAUCUUUGGACUUCUUUAUAAACAAAGUUGGCUCACUCAAACUUUUCUCGAAAUUGAGCUUAGACAGGUAAGCAUCUAUCCUGUCAUACCAGGCUCGAGGAGCCUGUUUUAGUCCAUAGAGUGCCUUCUUCAGCUUGUAAACCUUGUCCUCAUUUCCUUGGACUUUAAAUCCAUCAGGUUGUUCAACAUAAAUCUCCUCUUUAAGGAAGCCAUUCAAGAAAGCUGACUUGACAUCAAGCUGAUGGACCUUCCACUGUUUCUGUGCAGCCAAAGCAAACAGGAGCUUUAUGGUGUCCAGCCUUGCUACUGGAGCAAAUGUCUCCUCAAAAUCAAUGCCAAACUGUUGAUUGUACCCUUUCACCACAAGCCUUGCCUUGUGCUUGUUCAAAGAGCCAUCAGCAUUGAAUUUGGUCCUGAAAACCCAUUUGACACCUUUGACCUUCUUCUGAUCAGGUCUGUCUACCAGAUCCCAAGUGUCAUUCUUAUGGAUCAUGUCGAUUUCAGCCUCCAUAGCCUUCUUCCAGCUCUUGCUUCUUGCAGCUUCUUCAUAGCUUGAAGGCUCAACAAUGGCCACUUGCAUCUUUGGUAGAUAUCAGCAAUAGACCUGGUCCCUCUCACAGGAGUAUCAUCUACAUUGGCAUUACUGACUUCAUUUUCUGCCAAUUCCAGAUUGUUGUCAAUCUGCUCUUCUUCAAACUGACUUGUGUUAGAGCCAUCUAGACUCCAAAACCUUCCUUCAUCGAAUUUGACAUCCCUGCUUACCAAAAUCUUAUUGGUUAAAGGAUCAAAUACUCUGUAGCCCUUCUUGCAGCUACUGUAGCCAACAAAUAUACCAGGAACUGAUCUCUUCUCAAGCUUGGUUCUUCUUUCUGCAGGGACAAGUACAAAACACAUGCAACCAAACACUUUUAAAUGGGAAACUGUUGGUUUAAGAUCAUACCAUGCUUCAAAAGGAGUUUUAUCAUUUAAAGCAUGUGUUGGCAGCCUAUUGAGCAGGUACACUGAGGUGUUGACACCUUCAGCCCAAAAAAUGUUUGGAAGCUUGCUUUGAAACAACAAACACCUGGUCAUGUUCAUCACUGUUCUGUUCUUCCUUUCACAUACUCCAUUUUGCUGAGGAGUAUACACUGUGGUCAAUUGAUGAUGAAUCCCAGCCUGCUCACAUAGCUUAUGAAAUCUUUCAGACAAGUAUUCAGAACCAUUGUCUGUCCUCAAGGCCUUAAUCCUGCAGCCUAUUUGAUUUUCUACCAAUGCCUUGAACUUUCCAAAAACUUCAAACACUUCUGACUUUUGUUUCAUGAAAUAAACCCAGCAAAAUCUGGUCAGAUCAUCAAUAAACAGUAUAAAAUACUUACUGCCAUUCAGUGAAGGAGUCUUCAUUGGUCCAUAGAAAUCUGAGUGCACCAAUUCAAGUCUUUCUCGAGCCCUCCAUGCUUGGUUUACUGGAAAAGGCAACCUGGCCUGAUUACCAAGCUGACAUACUUCACAAACAGACUCAUUUGCAUCAACCUUAAUCAUGUCCUCUGUCAAACUCAUCUUGUGCAGCAAAUUGAGUGACCUAAAAUUGACAUGGCCAAAUCUUCUAUGCCACAGAUCAGCAUUGUCAACUGAACUUGUAUAGGCUCUUCUCUCAAGUUGGCUCACAUCCAACAUAAAACACCUAUCUGCCAUGGGUGCUGAAACAACUUCUCUACCAAGAAUAUCAUUAAUAACACAAGAAUCAUUCUUGAAAACUAGAGAGUAGCCUUUCUUAACCAGCUGACCUACACUAAGUAGAUUUUGAUCUAUUUCAGGUACAUAAAGCACAUCUGAAAUAACCUUGUUACCUGAACUAGUGUUGAUCACAACAUCACCUCUGCCUUUAGCUUCAAUCAGAUUCCCAUUGCCUAUUCUGACCUUUGAAGCAAAACUCCUGUCAAGAUCCUUGAACAGUCUCUCAUUUGAUGCCAUGUGAUGUGAGCAGCCACUAUCCACAAGCCAACUGCAUUUGGAUUUGCUUGUGGUUGUAGAACAUGAGGCAGUGAAGACAUGCUCCUCCUGAACUUGAAGAUCUUCAGCAGUCUUGGCUUGUACUGGCAGAGUUUGUGACUUUUCUUGAUUUCUACAAAUCUUUUCAUGAUGACCAUACUGCUUGCAGCUCUUGCAUUGGAUGUCUGGUUUGUUCCAGCAAUACUUCUCCAAAUGGUUAGUCUUCUUGCAGUGAACGCAUGGUGGAAACCUCCUUCUACCGACAUCUUUCUUUGAUCUUUCCCUCUUUUCAAACCAAGGCUUCUUAGCUUUCUGACUUGAGCUGGAGCCUUCUUUGACCUUUGCUUGAAAAGCACCUUCAGGACUUUCCUCCUGCCUACUUGCUCUUCUCUGCUCAAGUGCAUAAAGUGAGUUAACCAACUCAGACAAAGAAAUGGUUGUGAGAUCUCUCGAGUCCUCCAAUGAGGAGAUUUUUGACUCAAACCUUUCAGGUAAUGUGGUAAUAACCUUCUCAACAACCCUGCUGUCACUGAAAUCUUCUCCAAGGAGUCUAAUAUUAUUGACAGUAGCCAUAAUCCUAUCAGAAUAUUGCUUGAUAGUUUCUGACUCCUUCAUCUUCAAAUUUUCAAACUCCCUUCUAAGAUUAAUUACUUGUUGCUGCCUUGUCUUGUCUGAUCCCAUGAACUCCUCUUUCAGCUUGUCCCAAGCUUGUUUGGGUGAGUCACAGGCCAUGAUGCGAGUAAAAAUUACAUCAGACACUCCAUUCUGUAGGCAGGCCAUGGCUUUAUGCUUCUUGGCUCGCUCCUCACCAUGUUGCUUGAUCUGAGCAAUGGUUGGAUUUGCUCUCAAUGGUAGUGGCUCGACAUCAUUUUUAACUGCACUCCACAGAUCAAGUGCUUGGAGGUAAGUUUUCAUUUUAACUAUCCAAAUGUGGUAGUUUUCUCCAGCAAAAAUUGGUGGUGGAGGAGGUGCAAAGCUCAUGUUGCUGAAAUUAAUUUUGCAGAAGCAAAACUGACUUUGUUUUGAAAACUAAAACAAAACCACAAAGGUCCUCAAAGAUAGGAUGCUCUGAUACCAUUUGUUAGAUAAAAUGGCAGCAACAACCAAACAAUGAAACACUAAGAGCAUAAGCUCUUCAAACAGCAAGCAGAAAAACACAAAGCAUCAAGAGCAUAAGCUCUCGGUUGACAAGCAAAAGGAAAAAAAAUAUGUUUGAUUGAAACCGAAUGAUAAUACCAUUUUCAUUUCAUUUCAAAAUAUAGAGUUACAAAAGUGGAAUGUUUACCUAACAAUUUCCACUAAAUUUGGCAACUUGCCAAUUAAUAAUUAAAAAGAUGAAAGCAUAUUAGCUAUCAUUAUGUUGUUUCAAUUAUAGCUAUCAUUAUGAAACCAAGUUGCACACCAACUUGUUUCAAUUACAAAAGAUUACAAAUAUUAAAAAUAAACAAAAUAAACAAAAUGCACCAAGUUGCUCCUUUGUUGCUUUACAGUCCAUGUUCAACAACUUCUUAGAAUUAAAACUCCCCUUUUUACUUAAAUGAACUAACUGAUAAUAACUAACUUCUUCCUAUAUCUUUUAUUCUCCUUUUUCCCUACUUACUUUCUAGCCCGUAACAGGUGACUGGGAAAUGAGAAUGAAGACCAAAAGGGUUUAGAAGAUGUGAUUUUGGUGGUGAUUGGAUGGUGAGAAAAUGAGGGAAAAUUUUGAAGGUUUUUGAUAAAAGAAAAAAAGAUGAAGUGUAGAAGUAGCCAGAAAAGAAAAACAAAAAUAAGAAAAGAAAAUGAGGGAAAAGAAAAGAGGUACAAGAGGACACUACGUGGCAGUGCAUGAUUGGCUAGCGCUACCACGUCAGUAAAAAGUUAACGGCGUCAGACUCGAGUACCAAUUCAGUUGACAAAAAAAAGUUCAGGUACCAAUCCGGGACUAAGAAAAUUUAUAAGUGCCAAUUUAGGAGAAGUGGAUAAAUUCGGGUACCAAUUUUAUAUUUGACCCUUUUAAAUAAAAACUAAUAUUAAAAAUCAAAUAUGUACAAGUCAAAUUAGGCUCAAGUUUACUUUUAUUAAAUUGAGUUGGACUUGGACAAAAAAAUAAACUCAUUUUUCAGACCGACUCAAACUCAAACUCAAACUUAGAAAAUUAAUUUAAUUACUUUACAUAAAAUCGACCCAAUUAAUGAUCAUCUCUAUUCACAAAACAACCAACGUUUAACUGAAAAAAAAACCUUCAAUUAACCUCCUCAAUUGGGUUGCUGGCAAGUAAUUUCAAAUUAAAAAUGGGUAUUGCACCACACAUUGCCCUUCAAGUUCCAGAACUUUCUAAUGACCACACAAAAUCUGGCUGACUCUUGCUAGCCCAAAUCCAAUGAAGGAGAAUGAUACACGAUCUAAAUUCAUUUAAAAAAAAAAGAAGAAGAAGAAGCUUAUUUAUAUUUAAUUAAAAAAAAGUUAAUUUCAUCACGUUAUUAUAAUUACACACAGAUAAAACCAAUAAAAAAAAGGGUGUGAGUCUAUACACAUAUGACAUAUCUAAUCUAUUAUAUUACAUAAUAUCUGUACUUAAUCCCUUUAUUUACGCGGAUUUAUUAGCUUUUCCCUUUUUUCUUUCCUUUUUCUUUAUAUAACUACCAUACUGGACUAUAACGGCAUAAACUACCUUCUCAAACAAGAAUCCGUCCACCACAAUAAAAUCUAUAAUCGUAUCAGUUCUCUUUGGAUACACCUUCUUUUUUUUCUUUCAAGACGUUAGUUUGGAAUAUAGGAACCGUCCCCUGUUCUAAAGUUCCCAAUUUUUUUCUUUCCUUUCGACCCCUCUGCGUUUGAUCAAAACAAAACUUCAGCGAUAAACUUAUAAAUCGCCAAAACAAGAAAUCAAAUUCAACAAGGAAUUACAUCAAGUCGUGUUCUUUGAAGAAAAUUUCUUUUUACACCAUGAAUCCAUAUUUUCCGGUAAAGGAAGAGUACCCGAGUUCAAGUUAUUCACAGUCCGACGAUGAUGCGCCACGGAUGAUGGAGCUGCCGCAACCGGUAGAGGGUCUCCACGAUUCAGGGCCGCCGCCAUUCCUUACCAAGACCUUCGACAUGGUGGAUGAUCCUAGUACUAACUACAUAGUUUCUUGGAGCAGCGGAGGCAGCAGCUUUAUUGUAUGGGAUCCUCACUCUUUCUCCACUAAUCUCCUCCCUAGAUAUUUCAAGCACAAUAAUUUCUCUAGUUUUGUUAGGCAGCUCAAUACUUAUGUAAGUGUUUCUUAUCUUAUCCUUUAAUUUCUGUUCUCAAUUUUGAAUCUUCUGUUUUAAAUCCUUAUUUCUCCCAAAUAUUACUGCAUUACUGCUUCUUCUUCUUCUUCUUGUGUGUGUGUGUCUUCUAAAAUUUCCCUGUUUCAGCUAUCUUUCAUUUUACGCGAAUUAAUUCAUAACUGCUCUGGGAUUAAAGCCUGUUUUCAGUCCAAACUCUGGAGCAAAAAUGGUUGCUCACUUGGUCUUUUUGGUUGUUAUUUUUUCACCCCCAAUAGUUCUUUUGGAAGUGGGACCUUGCCCAAUUAUUUUUGGAUGGCAAGACUCGGAAAUAAAGGAUUUGUUUAUUAAGUGUAUUGUCUGCAUGCUCUUUGUCAAGUGAUUGAAUCGUUUACAUAGUCUAUCUCUGUCGUCAAUGAAAUUAAAAACAAGUUUUUUGUUUCUUCUGUCUCAAGUUUUUGAUUGGUAAUUGUGUGAUUUAAUUUGCCCUGAAUCUUUGAUGGUUGAUAAGUUGAUAGUUUGGAAUUUUUCAUUUUCCUGCAGGGUUUUAGAAAGAUUGAUUCAGACAAAUGGGAGUUUGCCAAUGAAGGUUUUGUCAGAGGCCAAAGGGAUCUUCUAAAGAGUAUUAGGAGAAGGAAGACCACAACUUCUCAGCUCCCAACAUCUCAACAAGCUCUUGGUCCUUGUGUUGAAGUUGGCAGGUUUGGACUAGAUGGAGAAGUUGAUCGUUUGAGGCGUGACAAUCAGGUCUUAACGAUGGAAUUAGUGAAGCUAAGACAGCAGCAACUGAGCACUCGAGCUUAUAUUCAGGCCAUCGAAGAAAGGCUGCAAUGCACAGAAAAGAAGCAGCAGCAAAUGAUGUCUUUCUUGGCAAGAGCAAUACAGAAUCCGUCAUUUCUGCAGCAGUUAAUGCAACAAAAGGAGAGAACAAAGGACCUUGAAGAAGCGAUGUCUAGGAAAAGGAUGCGGCCAAUCGUUCAACUACCUCUUGGUGUAGACGUAGGUGAAUCAAGCCGCGGUAGCGAUGGGACGAAUCCUGUUAAAACUAAACCUUUAGAAUUUGGUGAUUAUGGAUACCAAGUAACAGAAUUGGAAGCACUUGCACUGGAAAUGCAAGGGUAUGGUAGGACAAGAAGGGGGCAAGAGGAAUCCCAAAAUGGGCAUGAGCAUCGAGAGAGCCAUGACAAAGAACUUGAUGAAGGAUUUUGGGAAGAAUUAUUGAAUGAGAAAUUUUUAGAGUUAGAUAUACCAGGAACUGAACUUGCUAGAGAUUAAGAUGUGAAUGUGAAUGUGUUGGCUGACCGGUUGGGCUAUUUGUGUUCAAGUCCGAAGUACAGAAAAUAAACACCUAGAUUCCAUAGUAUAGCUACUUAUAAGCACUAGAAUGCCAUUCCCUCGGUGACAGAUUCUCUUUGGUGGGAGGUCUUAUCACAUCCAGCAUGUUUCUUUUACUUCAUCCCUAAUAUUUUUCAUCAAACGGGUCUUCAAAAAAGAGAUAUGUCAUCAUCAUCAUUGCUUUUAUGCUUUCUUGUUAUUGACAGGAUAGGGGGAAUUGCAUACCAAGAACCGUGCCCGUGGAAAAUCACUCUUGUUACUGGUGUUUCUAACCUCUUUUCUUCAUCUGCCAUUCCAUUUUUUCCCCACUUCAAUAAUAACUUCACUUCUUAUCUUUCUCCAUCUCUGGUUAGGUUUUGCAGCUGUAGAUUAUAGGACCUGUGGUGGUCACCGUCAUGACUUGGUUUCAAGGUUCUUGGUUUUUUUCCCCCUUCAUUCGUUUAACCCCAUGAAAAACACCCUGUGUACUAUCCAGAAAAUAUUUAAUUCAUUAAUUUAAUUGGCUACACUCGUUUAAUUAUAUUCUUGGCCUUAAAUGAGUGUAGAUUGUUCUCCUGAAGCAGUUGAAAAUGGACAAAAUUAGGAGCCAGUUGCAAGAAAACACAGCAAUGAUCACUUGGUAGUUAUUUUGAACUUUUUUGUCGGUUUCAUAUUUCGUGUAUUUAAAUUGGUGUCUUCUUUCUUAUGAGACAGUAGUAAAAGAGAGACGUGGUCGGUGAUAAUGAACAAUCAUGGGGUCUUAACAAUUGUACCAACGAAGAUAUUUUCAUGGCAACGGCUAUUGGAUUCUCAUUGGUCGCUUUCCAAUCUUUUCACCUACUUUCAGAGCUCUCAACUGGUAAUAUACAUAUCUACAAAUACCAAACAAAUGAAUCCGUUGCUUGCUUUUGCUCAAUUCUCCUCUAAUAUAGAUAAAAUCCCAGAGUUCCCUGAUAAACUCUUGAGAUUAUUAUUAUGGUUUUGUUGAUUCGUCUAGGUGCUGUCUGUAUCUUUAUAAAGAAUAACAUACAUGAUCAUAUGCUCAAAUGUGACUUUCAUGGUGUCAAAUAUUUUCUCAUUUUUUGUGGCUGAAAUUGCAUGGGCGGAUAUGUUGGCUACUAGUUUGCGCCACAAAUCCAUUGAAAUUUGGAAGUGUUCCAAAAUGGGGCUAAAAAUUGUCCCUGCAAUAAACAGUGAAACGAUCGGAGUCAUGAUUUCCGCUGAGUCACACUGAUUCAUCCUCGUAAUUUCUUUUGAAAAUAAUUUUGGGAUUCCAACACGUAUUGAAUGACAUUUUCUUUUUGUUACUUUUGAAUCUCGGAAUAUAUGUAUUAGGGGUAAAGUAAAAAAAUUUAUUUAGGGGAUAGAAACUAAAUUAUAAUUUUUACAAUAGUAAAAAUAUAAUUUUUAAAAUAUUAAGUUAAAAUUCUAUUUUUUUAGUGGCGUUAAAAUAUAAUUUUAUCUUUAUUAAUUUAAAAUUUUAAAAAUUUUAAGUAGUCAAAAUGAAAAUUUUUUCAUUUUAAGAGGAUUGAGGAUCAAAUGAGUACAGAAUAUGAAUAUGUAUUAGGUUACAAUCUUAUUUUAUUAACACAUAUAACAUCCUUGUAAGUCACUUGUGAAAUAUUUUUAUUUUAAUAACAGUGUUAGCUUUGAUUUUUCUUUUUAAAUUUACACACUUAUUUUUGCACAUGAUUCAUACAUUUUUAUUAUAUUUUUAUGAUAUUAUAAAUGAGGAUUUUUUAAAAAUAUUAAUACUAAUAUUUUUUGGUGAAAAGAAAAGAAACCGAGCAUAUAAAAAACCCAGGAAGCAAACAAGGCUGACUUUGAAAUUGAAGCCAUAGCAUCCCAAAGCAAACAAAAAAGAACUUGGAGAAAUAAUUACAAUAUAAAGUCAUUAGUUACAUUAUAAAAAUUGUGAAUAAUGAAUAUAAAUAUUUUAUAUGGAAAAAUUUUAAAGUGAAAAAGCUAUAAGUAAAUGAGUUUUCGAAUUUUUACUAAAUGAGUAAUAAAUCAAAGUAUAAUAUAAAGAAAAUUAAUUUAAAACUCUGAAUACAAAAUUCAAAAUCCAAAAUUAAUUUAAAAUUCUGAAUACAAAACUCAAAAUCCUAAAAAGUAAAUCAGUAAAUAAAACUCUUAAAUUUAAUAGGACAUUCACAAAAGGGAUAUAAAAUACUUUCAUGAUUACUACAAAACUCAUAUACUACUACAUUUUGACAUUUCAAAAUAAAGACACAAAUUAUAUUUAAAUAGACAUAUUAAAAUAUCUCUAAAAUAAUUAAAGUUAUUAUAGAUAUAUAAAAAUCUCCAAGUUUAUCAGCUAUUACCCAAAAAUCUGCCCAAACAAAGCUGGAAAAGAAAUAUUUUAUUCAGAUUUUUUGUCCAAAAUUCAAAAUGUGAGAGUUGGCCCACCUUUCAUUAAAGGGAAAGGGCAAAAGUAGAUUUUUCUAGCUGAGCUCCAUAGGCUUUAAAAAAUAAAAGAAACUUUUACUUCUACGGAUGUUUUUUUCUUUGAAUUUUGAUAUCACAUAAUUGCAUGUACUUUCCUUCUUCUUUUUUUCCUGCUAUAAAUUAGAGCCAAAUUUCCACAUUUUAUCCUUUAUGGUUUUUAAAAAAAUAAAAUAUAAUUUAUAAAUAUCGAAGAAUUUUUUUAAAAUAUGUUUGUAUGAUUAAUAUUUUAAUAAUUUAAUUAUUAUAUUUAUUUUCUAUCAAAUUAAAAUUUUUUAACUAUUUUUUUAUAUAAGAACUUUUAAUUGUUCAAUAAGUAUCACUAUAUACAAUAUUUAAAAUUAAUAUGAUAGACAUAACAUAUACAAUUAUAUCAAUAAAUUCAUGGUUGUAAAUUUUGAUGAAUGACAAUUUUUAAAUCUUAUUAAAAUUUAAUGCAUUAACAACUCUUAUUAUAGUAUAAAAAAUUUGACACAUUCAGAUAUUUGUGUUAUCAUAUUAUUUUGUGAGGCGUUAAAAUGAAUAAUAAGAACUGAGGUGACUCCCAGUACUGUUUGGGCCCAAUAACACAAUAUCUAUCUACCCAGGCUCAGAGAAGAUAGGAUGGAGUUUGGACCAUAAACGACAGAAACAAAAUGAAGCCAUAAAUACAAUAUAACCAUCUGGAACUAAAAUUAUCAAAUCGAAUUCACUUUCUUCGUCCCAUUAGGUUAAAUAUCUUGCACAUGUUGAACCCAACAUCAUAUGAUCGAUAAUAUGUUCUAACAUGAGGGUUGGUUCUUGCCUUUGGCUACAAUUUACCAUUUUAAACCAUAAUCACAUGCAUGGUGUAUGCGACCCGAUUAGUUGCCAUUUUUGUUAAUUGUGUCAUAAAGUUGCUAACCUUUUAUCAGUGUUUUUGGAUGAGAAAUGGAGACACCUCUUUUAUGGUUUAGGGUUGCAAAGGGGUUCUGUUCCAAGGAAACAAUGCAUGACAUGUGAGUUUUUGUCUUUUGGACAAGGCAAGUUUUUCUCUGUCCAUACCAUUAUUAUUAUGAUGGUAUACAAUUGUCUUCAACUUUUAUUAUUACUGCCUGAUCUUAGCAUAGGUUCUAAAAGAUGGAAAACAGGAUAUCUGUGGAAUUUCUCUGCGGGGGGGUAAAAAGUUAUUCAAGUUUUCAGAAAUGAUUGAAGUCCACAAAAAUAUUAGGAUCAAGUAGAUAUAAUGAAGUUGAAGAUGAAGAUAACAUGUAUAUAUAUUCUAUGUAUCAUAUUGGUGCAAACCAGCAAGACCGUGAAUGGAGGGACCAAAAAGAGCAAAUAAAUUUGUAAUCAUGUCAUUAUUAUUGUUAUUGCAAUAAUAAUAGUCUUGAAUUCUUGAUAGCAUGGUCCUACUUCUGCCCUCGUCUCAUCCGUGACUCUUUCUACUUAUUAUUUACCACAAUCAACAUCUUCGCUUCACUGCCAAUAUGUGAUUAGAUUUGAAAUUAUAUUUUAUAAUAAAUUUGUACAAUAAAAAAAUUUAAAGAGAAUUCAGAUGAAUAAUUAACUGCAAUCAUUAUAGAAUAUUUUGUACAAAAUUAUGAAUUUUCUAAAUAUAGACAAUCAAAUUUUAUCAGGAUAUAUAUCAACAUAACAUGAUAAAAAUAACUAAGACUCAAUCAUAUAAAAAUAACAUAAACAUAUCUUGGUUUUCAUGGAAGGUUAAAGCUCUUGUUAGAACUCGUUUGGUAUGGGUUUAAACCGUGUAAUCUCCAUUCUCUACCCUAAUAUUGUAUCAAAAAAAUAAGAUAUAAUGACUUUUUGGCCCUCCAAUUUUACAAAAAAUAGUCAUUUAGCCUUCCAUUAAUUUUUUUUCACCUCUUUUAGCCCAUGAAUUUGUAUUUUUGUCAAAUCACUUCAAAAUGGAUAGAAAAUUUAAUGUUUUUUAAUUUUGCUAAUGUGGUAUACAUGUGGAUUGCCACAUAGAUGACACAUUAGCAUUUAAUUAAUUUUUUAAAAUUUAAAAAUAUAACUUUUAUAUUUUUUUAAUAAUUUUAAUGAUUUUAAUAUUUAAAAACAGUUUUUAUAUUUUUUUGAGUUUUUAAAUUUUUAAAAAUUAAUUAAACGUUGACAUGUCAUUCACGUGACAAUCGAUGUGUAUGUAAUGUUAACAAAGUUAAAAAACAUUAAACUUUUCAUUCAUUUUAGGUGAUUUGACAAAAAAAAUGUAAGCUUAAUGGUUAAAAAGACAAAAAAAAAUGAAAACUAAAAUGUUUUUUUUUUUUUGUAAAGUUGAAGGGUCAAAUAAAUCAUUAUACCAAAAAAUAACAUAAGCAUAAUUCAAUUACAUGAAUAUGUUAAAAUCUACAUAAAAAUAAUUAUUAUGUGUAAUAGAAUACAAAUACGAUUAUUAGAUGAUUUUCCAAACGCAAGUUUAAUGUGUCAAUUUAUAUAAGUAUAUAAUAUCUAGAAUAUAUUUUUGGCAAAAAGAAUAUGAUGAUGCAUGACAUAAAAGUGAAAAUUAUUUUAAUAAUGUUAAUUAGACUUGAUAAUUUCGGAUAUAUGACACAAUUAGGUAAAAGUAUCGCAAAGAUCUCUAUACUAAAGUUAGAUUACGUUUUGUUCAUCUACUUUAAAAAAUGGACAAAUUAGUCCAUGUUCAUUAGACCAAAGAGUAAAUUAGUCCUUUUUGUUAAAAAUUUCAUCUAUUUGUACAUAUAAAAAUUGACAUACCCGACGGAAUAACCAGAUAAUGAGACGUGGUGUGCCACAUGUACGUUUUGCUGGCAUGUAGAAACCAAUUUUUGUUAGUAGAAAUUGAUGGUGUUUUUAACAAAAGGCCCAAUUUGCUCUUUAAUCUAACGUAUUAGGAUCAAUUUGCUAAUUUUUUUUAAUAAAGAAAACAAAAUACAAUCAAACUUCUAAUAUAAAGGCCUCCAUGGUAUUUUUAUUGAACUAAUACACCCAAAAAGAAAAAACACAACUGAUGAAUGUGUAGAAAUCUAAUAUAAAAUAGAUUAUAAACAUAUAACUUCAGAUAAAUAUAUAAUACGUUGAAUAUUAUUACUACUUAAAAAUAAUACCAACAUGAUACAAAUAAUAGACAUGUUUCUCUUUUCCUUUUUUCUUCUUAUUUCUUUUUCUUUUUUUUUCUUUCUAUUUGAACAAAAAAAAAGAUACAGAGAGAGAGAGAGAGUAAGAAAUACCUUAAAUUGUCCUUCAAAUUUUAAUUUAUACAUAAGCUUACUUGUCUUAAGAUUAUGCAUCUCCACUUCAAAUUAAGCAAUUGUGUUUAAUAGAUUAAUAAUUAUAGAUUUAGUUUUUAUUUGUUCUUAUACAUUUCAUGGAAAUGACUCUAACGCAAAAGGAAAAUUGCAAGAAUACUUUUUGUAAAAAAAAAAAAUUCUCAUACCAUCAUAUUUUAGGAAUUACUUUUUUUUUAUAAGUUAUUUGAAUGUGGAUAAUAGAUGUAAUGACCAAUUUUGGCCCGGGCCCGCUAAAACAAACCCCAAACCUAUAUAUAUAAAAUAAAUAAUAAUAAUAAUAACACGGUCCAAUUACAGAAACCAAUAGCCCAAACUAACAGCCCCAAACCAGCUACAUAACCCCUAGCCCAACAAUUAAACCUAACCCACACUUACAAGGCCCGAUAGGCCCAAAAUAUUAAAAUUAGACAGAGCCCUAGCUGUCUACUUGCGCCGCAGCAGUCCGAGCCCCCCAGCGCCUCCGUCCACGCCAACCCUGGCCACCGUACGCCAGCACAGCCCUCGUACGCCACGCACGCACUCCGUACCUGCAAACAGACAAGGCAAAACAAAAAAUACGAACAAAAAAAACAGCGGGGCAGUAGCAAAUAGGGAAUAUUGUAUUAUUUUUCUCUUAUUUUCUUCCUUUUUCGCCUAUAAAGGCCUAAAAAAAUCAUUGUAUUGAGACUACGAAUAGAUUCAACAAAAAAAGAACAAUCAAAUAUAUAAAAUCGAUCAAGGUGAUUUUUCGAUUAAAAUCUCGGAUUUCUUUUAGUUUCGUUCGCCUGGGUUUUGUGUUCAUAUAUUCGAAAGAAAAAAAAGGGGCUUACCUUCGUUUUUGGUUCCCUCGAAUCCUCACUGGCUUCGUUGCAAUCGGAGUUUGGGUGUUGAUUCUGAGAUCUUUGAGCGUAGCCUUGGAUUCGUGAUUGGACGGAGCCUGAUUAGGCUUUAGCGUGAUGACCGGCGGCUAAACAUGGAGGCCAAACGGCAGUCCAAGGGCGCCUCUUGAUUCAGCCGAAUGAGAGGGGAAGAAAAGGGGCUUUAGGAUCUGUUUUGUUUUCUUUUCAAAUGGCCAAGAAUCAGUUUAGGGUUUGUUUAAAUUUUGGUUUCUAUAAAACGAAGGAAAUGACGUCGUUUUAGGCCAAUUCCUAUGGCUUCAAAACAGUGCCGUUUAAGAGCACCAACCCGAUGACCCGGCCCACGUUCGGACGAGACCCGCGCUUUUGGCCUUGGAGGGUUAAUUAUGCAUUAAGUCCUCUCCUUUUGCGUGCGCAUUCAAUCACGCCUUAUCUAUUCCGCUUCAUUUUUUAAAUUAGCCCUGUAAUUUGCGCGUGUUUGCGCUUUAGUCUGUGUCUCUGCUCUGCGUUUUAGAACUUGGGUUAUUUCCAAUUCUAGUCCUUUUACAUUGACGCGCAUCACACAUUGGCCCUCUUUUGAUUAUUUUAUUUAUAAACUAGCCUAUUCAUUUUAAUCGUAUUUUAAUUGAGUCCUUUUAAUUUAGUUCAUUAUCUUUUUAAUUCGUUUAGCAUUUAUUUUAUUUUCAUAUACAUUUUAAAUUAUUUUGAUAAUUCACUCUUUUAUUAUUAAACUAUUAUCUUAAAAUUACUUUGUAUAUCAUGUUGUGUCAAAAUUUUGUAUAAUAUUUAAUUUACGUUUAAUUUAUAUUAAUAAUGUAUGAUUUAUGAUAAGUGUAGUUUAUUUUGUACACAUUAUUAGUUCUAUGUUAUUUUACACAUAAUUUCUUUUAAAUCUAUUUAUUUGUAUUUCUUUUCAAAUUUAUUACGUAUAUAAUUUAUUCUCUAAAAACAUGUUUUAUAAUUUCCUUGUUAUUUAAAAUUAUUUCAUGUAUAUAUUGUUUUAUCAUAUAUUGGUUUGCUAUUUUGUCAUGUAUAUUGUUUAUUCUUUAUCUUUAUUAUAUCUUCAUUAUAUAUAUUUACAUUGAUUUUCAUUAUUGUAUAUAUCACCACCUUUAAGUAGAUAUAUUUUUUUUUUUAAAUAUAUAUUUUUGGUAUGUUAUUUGCUCCAAAUCUCUUCUUCCACAAUGUUUACUUUAAUAUUAUUUAUUAGUCUUAUUUUUAUAUGCAAAUCAUUUCAAACCCAUAUGUUGCUCAUUUGUAAUUUUUUUCAUAUUAAAUAGUUUUCAAAUUGUUUCCAUAUUGUUUUGUAUAUUGUUUAUAUUGUUUUGUUAUAAAUUUAUUUUCAUACUUAUAUAUAUGUAAAUGUUUCCUAUAUUAUCAGUUUUGAAUGGUUGAACAUUAUGCUUUUACAUGCAUUGUUGAUAUUCUAUUAUUUUAUGUAUUUCAUCGUACAUUUCCUUUUAAAUCAUUUUUUAUACAUAUACAUAUAUAAAUUAAAAAGAACCUAUUAUGUAUAUAGUUCAUUACACAAAAACAUAUUUUAUUACAUAUUCUUUUGUUAUUUAAGAACCUUUCAUGUUUUGUAUAUUAUUUAAGUUUUCUUUCAUUUUGUAUGUAUAUUGUCAACUGAAAAUAGAUGUUUUAUUUUGCAUGCUAUUCGAUUCAAGAUCAUUUGUAAUGAUUAUUUAUUUAGUAUUUUUAUCUAUGUAAAUUGUUUUAAAUUCAAGCAUGUAGUAUUCGUUCAUCGAUUCAUCUUUUUUUAUUGUCUUCUAUCAUAUUAGUUUUAUUUUGUUUGGUACAUUAUGGGGAAAUUGUUUUAUAUUAUUUCAUGUAUAUUGGUUGCACAUUAUUAAUUCGCCUUCUUAUGUAUUAUUAUACCAUUUAUUGUUCACCCAUGCAUGCUGUCGUUGCAUUAUUUAUUUGUUCAUUAUUGCCAUGUCAAUUAUUCUCCAUGCAUGAUUGAGAUUGAGCUAUAUUUCCAAGCUAAUUGUACUUAGUUGUAAGUGUUUGGUAGUUGGUCAAAUAAAUCGUAUUGCCUCCACUCUUCCAUAGUCGUAUCUUAUGCGUACACCUAUUACCUCAUAUCAUUGUUUUCCACUUGGUUUUUGAGAUGCGAUUCUAUAAAAUCCAAAUUUUUAUGAUUAAUUUCGUCUUAUUUCGAGUCGAAUUAAUACGUCUUAAGCUAGCUUUAUAAUCAUUCAUUCAAAAAUUCUUUAAAACGAAGAUGAGAUUUGAUAUUUGACAAUUCGCGAAAUCGUGCCCUAACGUGUUGGGUUGCAACUUCGCGUUUGCUCAAAACAAUCGAAUAUCAUUUCAAAAUUUCACUCAUGUCUUUUAAAAUCCCUUAAACGAAGGCGAUAUACGAUAUUUGGCAAUUUGUGGAAUCGUGCCCUAACGUGUUGGGUUGCAAUUUUGAUUGUUUAAAAUAAUCAAAUAUCCCUUCAAAAUUUCACUCAGGUCUUCUAAAAAUCCUUUAAAACGAAGGUAAUACUCGGUGUUUGGCAAUUCGGGAAUCGUGUCCUAUCGUGCUGGGUUGUGAUUUCUCGUUUGUUUAAAACAAUCGAAUAUUCCUUUAGGUUUGCAUUCAUGUUUAUUAAAAACCUUUCAAAAUGAAGGCGAUGUUCGAUGUUUGGCGAUUUGAGAAUCGAGCCCUAUUGUGCUGGGUUGCGCUUAUUCAUUUGCUCAAAACAAUCGAAGAUCCCUUCGGAAUUUCACUCGUAUUUUCUAAGGUGAGGCAAUGUUCGAAGUUCGAAAAUUCGAGGAAACGUGUCCUACUAUGCUAGGUUUCAAUUCUUUUGUUGGACCAAAUAGUUGGGCAUCCUUUUGUUAAUUUCAAAUUAUAAACUUUCAGACGUCGAAACAAGAAGAUUUUGACAAUCAACUCGAGUUAUUCAACUGUUAUAAAAAAAGAACUACAUUUCAAAAACAUUUUUAAUUUUAGACAUAAGGACAGUAUUUAAUCAAUUUGGUACCAAUUUUGGGCGUAAUGAGGGUGCUAAUCCUUCCUUAUACGUAACCGACUCCCAAGCCUGUUUUCUCAUAUUCUCGUAGACCAGAACUGUUAUUUUAGUAAACCAAAAAUGUUUUAUUAAAAUAACCAAAUUCUUAGGUGAUCCGAUCACACCAAAACAAAAGGGUCGGUGGCGACUCCAUGCAUUUAUUUUUCAAAAGUCGAUUUUCCCUUUUUCUUAAAUAUUAAAUUUUUUAAAUCGAGGGGUGGUUUCGACAGUAGACAAAAAAAAUAUACGUUAUUUGUAUAAUUUAAUUAUACCAUCAUAGUAUAACUGCAAGAAUAUUUUUUGUCUUCUAAUUUUGUUUUUUUAAUCUGUCGAGUGGUGAUUCAUUAAAAUAUAGGUUUCAUUUUUUUCUGAAAAUGAGACUAUUUAUACUUUUUAUCGAACACAAAGGCUGGAGUCCAACUGUAAAAAAAGUCAGCGCUCGUGAGUCGUGACUGCCAACAGAAACUGUCGUUUUUUUUUUUUUCGUAAAAGAAGAAAAAAUAAAUAGUUAAGAAGAGGGCUAUCUGUUUAGCUUUCUCGUGAGACCUGACUCAUUUAGUAGAACUCAAUGUGGGCCCUGUCCUAUCGUCCUCGGCCCCACCUUCGUACCCAUAUAAAUCAGCCCUACCUUCUGUUUGGGCUCUAAAAUUUAAGGCCACCUCUUUCAGUCCGACUUCACCUCUGAAGCCUACUGGUUUUAGGGACCUUCUUUAAUCUUGGAACUCCUGUUUUUUGUAUGCCACGAAACAAACCUGCCGCCUCAUACUCGCCCCAACGCUAUUGCGCUGACUACUGAAUCCCAAUCCUUUUUUUUAUAUCCCGUUCAUGUGACAUUCGAUGCUUUGAGCUUAUUAUAUAAGUUAAAAUAAAAAUAGCUGAGUUUGGGUAACAGAAUCUUGGUUACAUAAAGAGUACACACGAGAGUAUGAUAACAAAAUUUCCACGAAAACGGAGAGGAAAGCUCAAAUUUUGAGUAAACCUUGUUUGUGUUGUUGCACGGCAAGUGAGCCAAAACUGCAUGCGAGAAUCUGGUAAUAGAAGGAACCCGUGAAUCAGGCAUGGACCCCCCCACCUCCCCCCUUUGCAACUAGGCUUUGCCAUUCUUUCCCAAUCCCUAUUCUCUACACAUUCAAAACAGAGCAAUAUAUAUAUGUGUGUGUGUAGAAAUAUUUACUAAAAUGAAUUGCCAAUAGAAAGACUAUAAUUAGAUGGUUAUCAUAACUCUGCAUGAAUACAAGAAUAGCUUGGAAAGCUAAAAGUUUCUUUUAUUUGUGUUGUUGGGAUUUUGGCCAGUUGCCUAUGAGCAUGUGGCAAUCCCUGCACCCUAAUUGGUGGGAUUUUCUUUGUUAAAAAAACUUGAAAACCCAAACUUUGAAUUGGUCCAAUUGGUUCGUUAGCAUUAAUGUUUUUAGGCACUUGUUUGUAGUCAAGAUUUUAAAGUCGAAUCUUUAUUUUCAAUAUAUUAAGUUAGGCUUCCAAAAAGACUAGCAGACUAACAUUAGAGCAAAGACCACCCUAUUCCAACUUUGUCCUCUACCUACCAGUUCAAGAUUUUAUAACAAGUCAGCCAAAUGGGGUUUCCAUUUUCCUUUCUCUCGAUAUAUAUAUCUUUUUGCCCAAUUACCAGUCAUAAAGCCUAUAUUCAAGCCAAACUUCUUGUCCCAACAAAUCCUUUUUCUUUUUGGCUGUUAUUUGUUUUAUUUACGAGAAGGAAGAUUUUAGCUACCUUGGACAGUCAAAAAAUAAUUCAGAUAUAUAACAUCUGCAUUCUUAAAUCUUACUAAUUAUUAACGUAUUUUAGAUUAGCUUGAUGGCUUUUAUUAGUGAGAAAACUCCACAUUAAUUAAUUGGAGAGAUGACGAGUACAUGUAGUUUGUUAAGUUGUGGUAAUAGGAUACAUACCAAGAAGAGACGCAAGGUGAAUCAAUGACCACGCGUAUAUAAAUAAUUAUCAUGAAUCUCACUCAAAGUUCGGAUAUGAGAACAACCCCCUGCCCAUAGUAUUCCAAAGUAAUUAAUGUGUAAGAAGAAGAAGAUAUGCAUAUAAUAUGGUAUAUCUAAUUGUUUCAUAAGGGUCUCUCGAAAUGCAAAAAUGGGUCCUAUCUCUUACACACGUCUCUAUUUUUUAUGAUAAUUAAUAUAUAUGGGGAUUGGUUUGCAUGGUUUGCUUUUGCUCCCUCUGCCUCUGCCCCUGUCUCUAAGUCAUAGUUCGGACUAAGAUCUGCUGCCAAUGCCCACGCAUGCCCUCUAAGGAAGAGAAUCCUCCUUAUAUUUUACAUGCAUUAUUUUUAUAUCCAUUAAUAAACCAAAAUAAUCAAAGCUAAGAUACUACCAGCUGGUUGCGACAAAUUAAUUAAGGGGAUAGAAUGGUCAAUUUGAUGCUAUCUCCCCAUGCUUUACAUUUAGGUUUGGAAUAACUAAAGUUACAUAAAGGAGAAAAAAGAAGAGAGGCCUUCCAAAUUCCCCUUUGGUGGGGUUUGCUUGAGCACUUUGUAAGAGAGUAAUGUAACAAAAGAAAGACAAAAAGGGGAUAAAAAUCAUCAAACACAUGCAUUUUGGAACUAAUUUUGUAAAAGAUAUUCAUUAAGAUUCCACAAACUCAAUCUAAGAUAUAUAGUUUUUGAGCAUCAAUGUGGACAUGAUGCAGUCAAGCUACUAAAAUUAAUUUUUGGAAAAUAUGAGUUGCUUUUACAUUACCCAUUCAAUCUACUAACAAUGCCAGGUUUAAAAGGUGAUGAGAGUCAAUCAAUUGAUUAAUCAUGUUAGUUGAGGGGGGUAUUGGAAAAGGCUAUUUCUCAAGCUAGCCCUUUGCCUUUACCACCCCUCGAAGCUUUUUUUAAAUUUCUGAUCAUUGUUCUAAAAUGAUCAUCUUGUGGUAAGUAAUGCAAUGCCUCGUUUUAAUAUUAUCAUUCCAUUCAAAUGGUUUGGGUAUUUUAUAAUUGGAACAAAAGAAAAAUAUUUAGAAAGUGCCGAUGCGACGUCUGAGUUCAGAAAACAAAUUAUUAUUAAAAUAAUAAUUGAGAGAAUUUUAGUACCAAAAAGAAAAAUCCGAAUCAAGUGGGCUGAGUGAUACUUCCUAGUCCUUGCUUUGAGCUGCCUCUUUUCUCUUUCCUUCCUUAUUAUUAGUUCUAAGAUUUUUUUCCCUUUGGGUUGCUUUUUCUACCCUGGAAAUUUAUAUAUUUUAAUAUUUUUGGGGUGUAAUUUUAUCACCCCUUCUCUAAUCUCUCCUUAGUCUGCCACUUUAAUCAUCACCUCCUGCACUCUACCCUGCCACUGAAACUUCCUCUCUUAUAAUAUUCUCUCUUACUUACUCCCUCAAUCUAUAUAUCUGUGAACCCUUAUAUACACACAAAUGAAGAGGGUUCUAAGGUAGUGGAGGUUAAUAGAAAAAAAACCCAUUUUUAUUGUCUUCAUUUCCUCAUGUUUUGAUUGCAUGAUGAGAGCAAUUCUCAGCUCUUGGUGGUUUUUCUAAGAAACAGAUAAUAGAUAUACAGGAAAGACAGAUAUAUAUAUGGAUUGCGUUGGCAGGUUGUUCAGAGUAAUCCAUGGGUAGAUAGCGACUUGGAGAAUAACCCAUCAUCAUCUGUUCACGAGAUUGUGCUUUUGCCACCCAACGAGUGAUGCCUUCCUGUAUCUACAUGUCACUGCCACCUGUUCAUUAACAAAGCUGUAUGUGUUUAGUUUGUGUCACCAGAGCUGGGGGAUUCUAUAUUUCUGACCGACCCCUUUGGUCUUUCUUGGUUGUUCCUUUCAAAGGUGCAAAAGUGGUCACUCUUUGAACAACAUAUCAAAUCAAAACAAAACAAAGAGAGGGUAUCAGACUCGUUUUUCUGGGGUUUUCUCUUGUUUUUCUUUCUUUGGAGUUUUCUUCUUCUUCUCAGGCAUGUUUCCUGCUGCAACUAUGUCCAGUUCUACUUCUUUGUCUGAGGAAGCUAAUGUUUCUUCUGGUACUAGAGUUCAAGACUUUGGUGGCUUAAAUCCUAUUGUUACUCACCAGCAGCUGCCACAGAAAAUUAAGAAGAAAAGAAGCCUCCCUGGAAACCCUGGUACUACUUUCUUCUUAUCUCUUCCGGUGUUUCUAUUUAGGCUUCAUGUUUUGGUCUUUAAUAGUUUUUAUUCUAUUACAGACCCAGAUGCUGAAGUGAUUGCUUUAUCUCCAAAGACGCUAUUGGCUACCAACAGAUUUAUAUGUGAGAUCUGUAACAAAGGUUUCCAGAGAGAUCAGAACCUUCAGCUUCAUAGAAGAGGACAUAACCUUCCAUGGAAGCUGAAGCAAAGAAACAGCAAAGAGGUCAAAAAGAAAGCCUAUGUUUGCCCUGAGCCUACAUGUGUCCACCACCAUCCUUCAAGGGCUUUAGGUGAUCUUACUGGCAUCAAGAAACACUAUUGCAGAAAACAUGGAGAGAAAAAAUGGAAGUGUGAGAAAUGCUCCAAGAUCUAUGCUGUUCAAUCAGAUUGGAAGGCUCAUUCUAAGACCUGUGGAACAAGAGAAUACAGAUGUGAUUGCGGAACCCUUUUCUCAAGGUAUAUCUCUUUUUAUCCUUUUUUUUUCUCCCAACAAAAAAAAAACACUUAAUUGAAAUGUUUGAUCACUUUUUCUUUUAUCUCUUUUAUUUACCAUUCAUCCCUUUGGACUUCAAUGGAGGAUCCAUACAACUCUUGGUCUUUAGUUUCAUGCGGGAAGUCUUUUGUGUCUUUAGGGCCGUUUUUGUUUGUUUGUUUAGAGGGGGGUCGAGGUUUUUGUUUUCUUGUAGUUGUUUCUCUUACACAAGAGUCGGUAAGCUAUGCAUGGAACAUAUCUGGAACUUAAAUGCAGUGCCAGGUUACGUUUCAUCGAAAUGGACACCAUUAAAGACAAGUGUCUGUUACUGGGUAACCCUUGCAAGAGAAACUGAAAGCAAUAUAUCUCUGAAAUCUGAACCAGAUGCCAUGUUCUUAUCUGAAAAAAAAUUAAACUAGAUAGUUAAACGAUAAGGAACAUUCAUCAUAUACUGUAGGAUAAUCUUAGUUUUGAACACCCAUUAUAUUUAAUGAAAAGGGAAUAUUACACAUUAUUCAUUCUAAUAAACAUGGGUUUUUAUCAGGCCAAACUCAUGCAAUCUUUUACCCUGUGUGUUUCCCGUUGAUUAGAUUGUAAUGGAAUGGGACUGCAGUCUCAAAAACAAUGAUGGAUAUAUCCAAAGAAAAAGCAAAAGAAGUUUAAUAAUUGCUUUUGGGAUUUCAUAGUUUGAGAAAUCCGUGACGAAAAUUUUCAUGUAGUAUGCCAUUAUUAACUUGCAGAAAUCACUGAAACUCUGAACUUUUUUCAUCAUGAUGUAAAACUGAUAAAUCUGCAAAAAUAUCUGUUGCUGAUUUUGUUUUUGUUUUCCCCUCCAUCUAUUAGAUUCAUGCUUCAAUUGCAUAUCUUUGUGUACAUGCAUGAAAGAGCACUAGCUUUCCAUCAUGAUUUUUAUCAAGUUCUUGAAAAUUUGAGCCAUCUUUGCCAUGCAUACACAUCAGUUCACUGCCGGCCAUAUGUCUCUCUUUCACUUGACCUUUACAUUUGACCAACAAAGGUAGUUUCUCCUUUAUCUUUCUGUAAACUUUAUGACAUUUUAAGUCUAUCCAAUGCGCAUGCACGAUCCUAGGCUUAUACUUUUCUUUUAGCUUUCUUUCUAUUCCUCUCUUCUGUCAAAAUCCCACCUUCACUUUCUCUUUGUUUCACAACUGUUUGAUUCAUUUCCUCACAUGAUCCUUUGCUGGUUAAUGCAAAUUACAGAUUAUUAUUGCUUAAUCAUAUAUUAUUAAUGAUCAAGUCAAAAGGAUGAAGGCUUGUGAAACUCGUGCAGGAAGGACAGCUUCAUAACUCACAGAGCGUUUUGCGAUGCAUUGGCUGAAGAAAGUGCAAGACUCUCUGCCAACCAACUUGCCGCCGCCGCAAAUCCAGCUCUCAACCCAUCUUCGCUUUUCCCUUUCGAAAACCCAUGGGACCCUAUUCAAACCUCUAACCCUAACCCUAAUGGCCCACUUCAAGUCAAGCCCGAGUCUCACCAUCUCACGCCAUACUUCCAAGAACUGCCACUCCCGCCUCCAAAGGCCCUGUUCACCUCACCUUUCCAAAGCCUCCACGUCAGCAACAAUCCUCCCUCCAAUGCUGCUGCCACGUCGGCCACUCCUCAGUUGUCAGCCACUGCACUCCUUCAAAAGGCUACCACCGCUGGUGCCACCGCCACGCAGAUAAAGAACAACAAUUAUUACUACAGCAUGGCGACUCAUUUAUACCCAGAUUUCUCGGGUUUCACGGCUGCAGACCUGGCCACGUGGCAAAAGAGCAGCGACCGUUUCACCAGGGACUUUCUAGGAUUGACCAGGGACAAUCAAGGUGGCAAUGGGAACGUUAACCUUAGCAUGAACCCGAGAGAUGUAUUAAGCUACACCGGGGGAGUGGAGUUGCAGCACUUUGAGAGAGGCCAACCCCUGUUGAGGCCCCAAGGUUUUGGAUUCCCUGAGCCCUACGCCGCUACUUCGGAAACCUGGGGUGAUUGUUAAAAAAAAAUGAAUAAAAAAAAGGGAAAAUAAUAAUUUAGAGAGCCCUUUAGAAUGACAACAAUGCCCUUCCCUAUAAGGGCGACGUAUAAUCCUUAGAGUACGUAGUUAGCCAGCUUCUCCUCUUCAAACCCCCCCCCCGGGGCGGGGAAAGAAAAGAAAUUUUAAGUAAUUUAUUUGCAUUUGUUAAAUUGUUUUGUCUUCUCUUGAUGUUUGGAUUAAUGUUUAAUGGUGGCAAACAUGUUUCAUGAAGGUCAGAAUCCUUUAUUUAAUUAGGAAAAAAAAUGUAUGUGUGUAUGAAUGGAUGAUGGUAGUGGCAUUUUUGUAUUUUUACAAGUUGGAAAAAAAUUAUGCGUCAAAUGUAAAACCAUUUAUGUAAAUGCCUCUCAAACUUUAUUUUCUGCCUUCUCCAUGACAUGAAUCAUAUUUAUUAUUAUAACCAAUUCGAGAGAAACUAAGGUAGAAACAAAAAAUCCCAUUUCUACUUUAUUUUAUUUUCUGCUCUUCUUUUUUAAAAUUUAUAAGUUGCAUUCAUCUUGAGCAUCUAUGUCAGGUCGACUUUUUGGGUUGAAAGAAUGGAGAAAAAAGACGAAUGGUUUGUGAAUUAGCCAUCAGUAAGUUUGAAGUUUAAUUUUUUACUAGCUAUAACCAGCAAAAAUUGAAUAUCCUAUGAAAAUAUCUUGGAAUUUUGUCGAUAACAAGCUCUUAGCUCGAUAAGUCAAUGAUAAGUUCGACUGUCGAUUCUCUCUCGACAGGAAACUACUUGAAAAUUAAGAUUUAUAGCCACGAUUAAUAUUUUAAGUUGCUAUGUAUAUAUUCAAGGGACAUGGUGACUAAACUUUUGGGUUCCUAAGAAACCAAGUAAAGGAAAGAAUAUUCUUCGGUCUUUGCUCUUUCUUGCAUGUGAUAAUGCGACUAUUCUCUCUCUCAAUGAUGCCGACCCUACACGUUUCAUGGAAAUUGCCAUACUUGUCAUGCAUGCACGCCAAUUACAAUUGUACCCUUCAUUUACAACAAAAAGAGGACACAGCUGCCAACACGAAUGCUCAUCACUAAUUCCCCCCAUUUCUUUUUAAAUACCCAAUGGAAAACGAUAGUUUAAAUGUUUGUAAUGUAUAAUAAUGAAUAAUCAUUAUUUGUCAUUCAUCAAGAAAUUGGGUGAUCCUACAUGAACCAUGAUACGUAACCCUGAAUUUGGAUGUCUGUGAGUAUUAAAUAUUUAAUAUUUGCAUAGCAGCAGCCUGUAUCUGAAUUAAUUAACUGAUAAUAAUGCAGGUUCUGUCCAUCUUUUUCUAGAGAGAUGAUACAAAAGUUAGGUCCAAUAGGAGGAGCCACGAAAGCAACGUCUUGAUAAAUAAUAAUACCUCAUUACCCGAUAUCUCUUGACUAACCUAUAUUAAAGAGAUAGUUUCCAAUUUGAACAUCAUUUACAUCCACGACUAGGAUGGCUCAAUUCAUUCUCACAUUUAGAAUUUAAUUAGUUAAUUUAUCUACUAAAUAACCCAAUUUUUAUAUUCAAUUAUUUUUAAUCAAUGUCGAAUUUGAAUUGUAGAUUUUUAUACUAAUAAAAUUAGACAUUAAAUUAAAUUAUAGAAUAUAACCAAACAGACCACACCAUUAUUAUAGUGUUGAAGUAGUUUGCUAAUUCCCAAAAUCAAUCACAUCAGUUUUUUCUUAUUUCCACCUCAGCUAGCCAUCACACUUAGAAAACCUAUUAAAUACUAAUGUGAAAUCAAUUUCCAAUGAUUUCUUUCUCUCUUUUUUUUCGAAUAAUAUAAUACGAAACUUAAGUAGGCUUUUGGUAAAGAGGCUGUGUAAAGACAUGUUGCAAGCGUGACGAGUGAAAAGGUCUGCGAAGUUGAGUGGUGUGUGAAAUUGUGCAGUUGGUGUGUUGGUGGUCCGCUACUUACAUGACCAAAAGAUGAAGAGGGAAACAAAUGUCAACGGUUAUGAAAAAGAUGCUCCCUAAAACCUUCAAAGUUUGGAUCAACAUUUCAGUCACUUUUUUUUUUCCCUUGAAGGCCUUUUAUCAAUUUCUGUGCACGUCCCCAUAUCCAACAGCUUUUGGCUGGCUGCUCAACAUUCAUUAUAUUACGUUCGCAUAUAUAACAUGUUGGCCUCUUCUCCCUGCUUGCUAUGAUUGAACCACAAACUAAUCCAAUCCAUUUGCUUUGCUUCAACAUAAAAUUUUGAAUUUGAUCUCAUCAAUUAUCGAAUUGACCCUAUCGAGCAAAUCAAAUUUGAAAAAUCAUAUGUUUGUUACAAGUAACUCGAGAACUUAAAUCAGGUUUUUUAUAUUAUUUCAAUUAUCAUACAAAAAUUUCGAUUCAAAUAAUUGAGUUUGAAUAAAAUCAAACGUGAGAACAAAAACAAUUUUUUUUAUCAAAUGUUGAAUCGAGUCAUCUCAAAUCUAAUUUGAAGUUCAAAAAUGAAAUUCAAGAACUUAAAUCUAAGUGCUUGAUCCCAACUCAGUUUCUUUCCCUGCAUCUGCAUGUUUGAGAUCUUGCUUUUACACUGGCUCGGUCUACACACAGAUUAUUAGUACUACAAAUAGGUAAAAGCACCAAAGUGAGGUUAAAGAGAGAAGCUCAACUUUUGCUUAGUAACAAAUGGUUUAUGAGUCAAUUGUUAGGGAAUCAAUCGAAUCCAUUACCUACUCUUUAACAACUUUAACCAGUUACUAAGGAAAAAAAAAAGAUUCUGACAAUCCAUGUUAAAAUAUUCAACCAAAGAGAGAAAGAAAAGCCGAGAGGAGCCUUGGGAUUAAUGAAAGUGGAAAUUCAGUGCUUAUGGGUAUUAUCCCCAAGCUUUUAGAAAGUAUAUGUGAGAGUUGCAGGGUUAAGGUACAAUAUAUAUCCCAUUUGCCUACUAAAAAAGACUGCCUCUUUUUUUCUUUUUAUUUAAAAUCUCACUCUGCUACACAAUCAGACAAACCAAAAGCUUCUCUUCUAUUCCCCUUUCCUCUCUCAAAUACCACUCUGCUUAUGUCACCUUCCAUAAGGGAAUCUCAUCUCAACAAACCUUACUUUCACCCUUCCAGUCCUAAUAAUUACCAAACCCUUCUCUUUUUUAUUUUUAUUAUGCUUUUCUUUUCUUUUCUUUUCUUUUACCGUCUGCUGCAAAAUCCCCUCUUUUUCCACACCCCCCUCGAUAUUAACAUUUGCACUACAAUGAAUACAUGAAAUAGAUACUUGCAUGGUUUCUUCAUUCUAAAUAAUAAUAAUAAUAAUAAUAGCAUCUUUAUCCACUGCUGCUUAAGGCAUUUACUGUUAAAUCCCAUUUUCAUCAAUUCUUUUUUAUUUUCAUCCAUAAAAACUUUAUGAAUUUAGCUAAUAGAAGCUUAGCAAAAGACUGUCAUAAGAGAGGCACCUAAAUCAAAGACACUAAUGUAUAGUCAUUUCUAAUUCCCCAGCAUUAUAGCAAUCUCCAUGGUCAUUCUAAAAGACAAAAUAAUGCAGAUUGGUUUUAUUGCGUGUGUUGGUAGUUUACCACUUAUAGGAAGACUGCUCUACCUCUACUUCCUUCUCCUCAAUGCAAUUCAAGGAUCAAUUGAGUACAUAUUCAUCUCAAGCUAAUUAACAGAACCCACAUUGUGCUUACCAUUUUCAUCUAGUUUAUGCACGAGAGUUUCUUCCUAAAAUUGUUGUUUAUGCAACCUAUACAGUCUUAAUGGAACAUUCAAAUAAGGAAACAAAAGAGUUUUGUAAUUUAAAUCAUACAGCAUCUAAGCAUAACUGAGAUAUGCUGCACUAAUGAUGGUUCAUAUUCUAUAAAAUUGUUGAUGACUCACAUGUAAAAGUACUGAUUGCGACAGAAAGCUUCUGAAAUGAGUAUGCACCAAUCUACAAUCCCGAGAUCAUCAUGGGACCAAUUCCAUAAAGAAAAAUGUGUCAAAAUGUCUCGCCCAACACACAGUUUUGGUGCCUCAAAAUCCAGCCUCCAAAUAUUUAACCUAACAUUUUUUAAUACCUGCAUUAUAAAAGUGUUAGACUAAGAAUGCAAUGUUUAUAAAUCUAAUAUAUUAUGGGGUUGGAUGCAUCAGAUUUCAGCAAAAUUUACUAAUUUUGGAUCACCAAUUUUCUCAGAGCAAGAUUCCAAAUCUUCAAAAUGUAUGCACUAAAAUGUCAUUGGACCAGCCUGGAAGAAUUUUACAGUCAACCUGCAUAAUUUUGAUCUGUGCCAUUGUAGAACAUGCUAAAGCAAUGAGGCACUCACUCCUGCUAGGGAAAUAAUGAUGGAAAAGAAUAAAGAACAAAAUGAAAAGAAGUGCAGCUAUAGGGAAAGAUAAAGACCAUUCUUUUUUUUUUCUUUUGUGGGGGGGGGGGGAGGAUGAAGGUUCAAAAUAAAUUGGAUUUGUUCUGCCCAGCUGUAAGAAAGGAAAGACAGCCCAAAUAAUAACCAGUAGAGCCUAAAUUCUGAUGACUAUGCAUGGAAAUAAACAUUAACAUGAUUAGGCACAAUGGUCCAAGAGUAACAUUAUUUGAAAUAAUCUAUCUAGAGCAGUACAAAGUAGAAUCAAAUGGUGACCACUUCUUUGUCAAAAAGAAACACGCAAUUUACAGGGUUUUCAACACUUUCCUCAUAACUGAAGAAGCUAGACAACAGAGAUUAUAACUGCUGGAAGAAUGGAAACAAUUAACCUAGCAAGCAUCUAUUUUGUUUUAACCUUGAAAACAAUUUUCUAAACCUUUAUGCAACUCCAAUUAGGCCCAUCACAGUAAACCACAAUGAUGGAUUGAUUUUAGUAACCAACUGCAGUUCAGGCUGAUUGCAUUUAUUCCUCCAAUCAGUUCAAACCACCCAACCAUCCACCCCACCCACAGUUGAAAAGUGAAGUUAAAUGAAACAUUUGUUAGACCCGAAAUUGAGGAGAAAGGUUUUUCUUAUAAGAAUAUCUCAUUAAAGAUGACAUCUCAAAUCUCAGAAACCAUAAAAUCAUUACUACUGAUAUUCUGUUCUGAAAGAAACGGUUCUUCAAGGUUAAAGCAUCCCCAGGCAAGCAAAUGACUCUUUCCCACUUAGAAUGGCAUCUAUUGCUGCAAAUAGAUUAUCAAAACACCAUAGAACACUUGAUAGUGUUUGUUUAUAAAACCAUGAAUAUGAAUAACAUAGUGACGCCAAAAACCAUUACAUACAUUAGAAAAGAAUAAUUACAUCAGAAAACAAGAAAAGAAAUCAACAUGUACCAAUCUUCUUCCUUGUUCUGCUUAUCUAUCUCAUAUGUAAGGACUUCUGCAUCCAUUGGUGAAAGCAAGUGCAGUAUUAGAGCUUCCCAAGUUAGGAGGAAGUUGUGCUGGAAAUUGACAGCGCGCGAGUGGAUUACCAUUCCUUAAUAAAAAAGUAAGAACAACAAAAGAACUAGAAAGGUAGAAAAAUGAAUGCAACCAAUAGGUAACCUGUAAUCCAUUCAUCAUGCUAUUGUUUUAAGUUCCUUCAUGCAGAACUCAAUCUUCUCAUAUUUAGUUUUUCAGAAGUGUUAAAACAGGACAGAAGCCUCACUUAGAUAAGCACCAAUUCAAAAUAGCAUUAACAAAAAUCCCAAGCACAUGCUAAAAGUGUAAAUAUUAUUUAGAGGGGAUUACAACUCACCACCAUGGCAAGAACUAUAGCCAAAAAGAUGCCUGGUUCAAGGAUCCCGUCAAUUUUUGUCACUGGAUCAUCUUGUAAAUGAAAAUGUUUCAGUCAUUAAAGUUUUGUUUUGCUCAUUUGUCAGCAGACCACAUCAAAAAAUUUCUUCAUUAGACAAAACUGGUUGAUUUUUUAUCAGAACCAUUAACAUGGUCAUGAACUAAAGAAACUAGCUCAUGAAGAGCCUGAAGACCAUAGGAUGCCAGUUCAUGCAAAAGAAAGCUAUGAUGUUGUUCCUUUCCUUUCAACUCCUUUCUCCAACUAGCCUGAUCCAAGUAAUGGUUUACAUGAUCUGAUAAAAAGGUUUUGAAGUUUAACUCACAAAGAAUGGCUGCAGAACAUAUCAACACCUUUUAUUUCCUAUCAAUUAAAAUAAAUCAGUAGCUUUCAUUUCCUUAUCAAUUAAAAGAAAAUAUAAAAGCUAAAAUGACCAAAUACAUCGUAUGAUAGGUUUCUCAGCAUGUUUGUCUGUUCUUGCUUUGGUGAAAGCAUGUUUAUCAGAAAUUGGCUGUUUUUACAAGGCAUCUCUGCUAGAUUCCCCUCCUCUAUCCACAUAGCAGUAGAACCCUUGAGAAGUACUUUGCACUGUCCUAGUUUCAAAAAUGGAAUACUUGACACAGUUGUGGAUGGACUUGGGAAAAUUAAAAAAGAAAAUAACAACUGAACAAGCACAGAUUACAUUACAUUUCAAUAAAAGAAAAGAAUAAGCUGUAAAACAUAAGAACAAUGCUGUUUAGUGCAUUAGCCAAUAUGACUAAUGCAACAUCUAUCAUGGUUUUUAACAGUGAGGUUGACUCCUGAGCAUGUAAGGCGGCAGGUAGGUCUUGGUUUCUGACAUUCAGCUGGUACAUAAAUAACAAGAUGAAAUAUACGAAUCAACUCUGCUAUUAGUGGUGGACUAAGAGCUUGAGCAAUAACAUAUCGGCAAGAAAAAUAUAUAAUGGUUGGUGAGUUUGCAGAAUAAACCAAACAGGCAGCUUGGAACACUAAUAGCAACAUUUAAGUUUUUACGGUGAAGUUACUAGUCAAACUUUACUGAACGAAAUCAUCAAAAAAAGGACAUUACCAAGUUCCCCAAAUCUUUUGAAAAGUAUAAAAUUCACCUUCAAAUAAUUUUUCUUUAUCACUAUGUAUUAGGAACAGAUGCCCUCAGUCCCUCAUAGUAUAUGCUUCGCUUGUUAAAACUCACAGAAAAGAUGCAAGGAUCAAACAAGGAAGACAAGGUACGUUGAAGCCACAAACAUGUUUCUUUAUUUACAAUUAUGUGCAUGUAAAGCAAACAACCAACGCGGCCAUCACAAGUAACCAAAAGAGAGGAAAAAGAAAACAACCACCUCAGCUAGGGUUUAUGUAUCUGUUGUACUUCUUAUGAAGCAACCUUAGAAAUUAUGAGUAUGACAAUGAAAUUUUAACCAGUAGUACAUAGUCAAGAUUCUUUUUUGUCAUCCUAUAUAUGCUUGUGUUAAAAGGAAUUGAAAUUGUCAUAUCAACUUAUGCCUUACACACAAGCAUUAUGAAUUAUCAAUUGUCAUCCACUUUUAUGCCCAUGAUAAUGCUUAAAUUAAAUUGAACUGAGUCUAGUCAAAGCCAAACAUAAGCAUUCAUGUUGUGGCUUGCAACCCCUUGGAGAUAACAUGAUCAGACAUAAGAAGAAGAUUAUCAAAUAUCAUGUUAGUUGAAAGCAAUUAAUAAGAUCACUGGAUAAUCAUACAGAGAAGUGAAGAAAGAAUAAAGGAUAACUAACUUAAGGGAUAAAAGACCACAGACGUGAGACACCUGAAUUUUGCAUCCAAAACCAAAAAAUAUUUCCAAUGUCACAGAGAAAACAGUUGUCGGACACUUUCUACCAAAACAGUUCCCCUCCCACACCCCCCUCAAAAGAAAAAAUUACAGUUAUCCUAUAUCAAAGCUGAGAAUGCAUUGCUGGGUAAUAUGAGUUUAUGGGGGGGGGGGGGGGGGGGGGACAACAACAACAACAACAACAAACCUUGUUUCCUUUCAAAGACUAUACAUUGAAGAUUCUGAUGAGGAUCAGAGUGAGUGCUUGAUCUAGCUUGCGCAUUGCUCAUCCGCAAAUUAAUAGAAGGAUAUUUUAUCCAAAAUUGCAGGCUGUGCAUAUCAAGCAAUUGCAGUCAGAAUUUCCCUGCUUACCUUGUCCUUCUUUAGAAGCUACCUAAUAAACAGUAGAGAUGGAAGGAAAUAUGUGGAUCAAUAGAAUGCGCCUCCCUUGGAGUUUCCAGUUUAACCCUCUCUUUGUUCUCAUCUUUUAUAAUUGGAAAAAGAAUCAAAAGUAUAAAAAUUCAACCAUCAUAUUAAUGCUUUAAAAGAAAGAAAAAAAAAUGAAGGAUGAAUAGUACCAAGUAAAAAUCUAUCAUAUUAAUGAAAACUUGAAAACAUAUAGUUGCAAAAAAUAACAACAGAGAUUUCAGCAAUUAUAAAACAUAGGUAGAAAAAGAUUUAUCGUGGAGCAGAAUCUAGAAAAGGUGAUUCACAUCGCUUUGUGUUAGAUUCUUGGUUGAUGCUCUUCUGAAUUAGAAUUAAAGCUGCAAAAAAGUGUCAGCAUUUUAACCGUGCUAUUUACAAAAGUCAAUAAAAAAGGGAAAUGCUUAUGGAACCUAUAAAUAAUACAUGACAAAAUGAUCAUGGUUCUGUCAUCCAUAAGAGAAAAUACAUCAUAACCCUCUAUGCAUAUAGAAUGUAAGAAUUACCCUCAUAGCUUUUAUGAUCACUAUAAAACACCAAUGCAGUUUUAGACAACAUACCCUAUGUUAAAACAAUUGAAGGAGCAAAUAUAUAUACAUGUAACAACUUAAAUAACAACUAAAGGAGGAUUAAAAUGAAAGAACGAUAAUUUAUAUGGGAUGAAAUGUGAUUGCAACUAAUGGAGGGUAUAUAUGUAAUAACUUAAAUAACAAAUAAUGGAGGACUAAAAUGAAAGAACGAUAACUUAUAGGGGAUGAAAUAUGAUUGCAACCAAAUAUGGAUGCCAAAAAGAUAAUGUUACCAAGAAAGCCAACAAGGAAAGUAGUUGAAAUACAUACAUUUACUUGAUUGGUUGCUUACACACUACACUUGAUAAACGAGAGACGCGUGGCCUAUUUAUAGGCUUCAUAAGUCGGUUAUGCAAUAGAUUUUUUAUUUAUUUUAAUUAUAGGAAAAUCUAGAAAUAAGAAAUGAUAGACCUUGUGAGAAAUAUCUAGAAAGAGAGAGAGAAACCAGUGAGCUUUUUUCCCCCCAAUGACUUUUCUCUUUCAUUAUCGCCCUUAAGGUCAUUCCGAGUCAUUUGCAAAAUUCUUCAAGCUUGUGUUCAUUGAGUCCUUUGGUAAACAGAUUGGCAACUUUGUUUCCGUCUGAAUGCACUUUAUCUAAAUUUCACUGCUAUGUACUUUCAUGCGAAUAUUGAGAGUUUAUUGCUACAUACUUCGUCUGUGCAUGAAAGACUGAAUUCUCUGCCAACCAAAUUGUUGACUGGUUGCCACGAUACAUCUUUUACUGCAUGUCAACAGGUUGAUUUAGAUAUUUCAAGAGUUGUACUAACCAGCUACAUUUUUGAGUUGUUACUGUUGCUGCUGCUCUGUAUUCGUGCUAUUGUGCUUGAUAGCAACACUGUAUUUUAUCUCGUACUGCACCAAAAGACGAUAAUGGACCUCAGAUCUUGUGGUUGAUGGUCUUGUGUCAUGAUUGCCAAGCAAAACCUGCAUCAUAAUGUCCUACUAAUUCACACGACACCUUGCUCUCAAAGUAUAAACCAUAAUCAAGUGUGCCUUUCACACACCUCGUUAUUUGAGGCUAAACAAAAUCACUAUCUUUGAUAUACACAAACAACCGGUGAGAGUCUGAUAUAUCUCACCCUGACAACCAAAGACACCUCACUUAGAAGCAGUACAUUGAAUAAUGAGGUAUGUCAGAAGCACACUUGAAUAUGGUCCAUACUAUGAUACUACUUGUUAAAACAAUUGAACGAGCAUUUGAUAAAAAUAAUAAUAACUUAACUAACAACUAAGGGAGAACUACAAUGAAAGAACGUGAACUUAUAUGGGAUGAAAUAUAAUUGUAACUAAAUAUAGAUGCCAAAAAGAUAAUAUUACCAAGAGAGUGAACAAGGAAAGUAAUUGAAAUACAUAAACUUAAUUACUUGAUUGGCUGCUUCCAAACUACACUUAUGAAAUGAGAGAUGUAUACAAUAGAUUUUUUAUCAUUUUAAUUAUAGGAUAAAUAUAGAAAUGAUAGAACUUGUGAGAAAUAUCUAGAAAGAGACAGAGACGAGUAGGUGACACCUUUAACAUCCUACAUCAUGAAUGAUCCUACACGCUCCUAAAUCACUAUUCAUAAACAAGAAAAAUAAUACAAUAAGCACUUCAAUUUAAUCAAAUAAAUUGCACAGCGCCAUUAACAACAACUGAAUCCCAAAAGCCAAGUUUCAAAUAUGGCAAUCAAAAUUAUUCAUGAGCUCUUGUUUAUUAAUAAAACCUAUUAAUUGACUAAUCAUAGAUGUAUAUGCGACAAACGCGAAAUGAUAGCCAUUUUGGAGUUCAAACUCACUUGCAUAAUUUUGAAGCUUAGAAUAGACAUUCUUUUAACUCGGAAGAGAAACUUAACAAAACAAUUCCAGACUUUUCUAAAAGAAAAAAAUUAAAUUAUUAUAAAUUAAAAAAAGGAGAAGGAAAGACUGAAAGAGAACCUCCUAAAGCCAAGGCCGCCGUUAGAAGGAUUCCACUUGGAGGCAACUUUUCCAGUUUCCAUUCCUCAACACAUCCAAUCCAAAAACGAAAACAAAUCAGUAAGUGGAAAUAAAUGCCACUGCAUAAUUAGCAGAAACUAGAAGAAGAAGAAGAAACCAAACAUAGCGAAGAACAAAACAAGCUUUUUAACCCUUAAGUUUCGGGUUAGCUGUUGGAGCACUGACUGCUGACUGAGUCAAAAGCUUUCAUCAGGGUCUUAGUAGAUUGGCUUGUAAUUGAAUUAUAAAAAGCAGCUCAGUUUAUUUGGGCUUGUUGGGCCUUUCAUGGGCUAUUCAUUUGCCCAAAGGAGACCUCAAUGGUCCCACUCCGAACCGGAUCACGACUCACGACUUUGUAGUAUUUUUUCAUAAUAAGAUUUAUUUACUAUUUACAGAUAUGGAUAAAUUUUUAAAAAAAUUAUUGUUUUGGUUAAUAAUUAAAUCAACCAAAUCCAGGUAUAAUUUUUUUCUGGUAUUUAUGUCAAUUUCUACCAUCACAUACGUUUCUUUGUUGUGUUGGUGAAUACAGCAAGUGAAAGCACAAGUUUUUUUUUCUUGUAGUUUAUGGCUGCUUCGAGCGUGGUUCACAUUGGUUACAGUCGAUGUUUGUUCAGCUCCAUUGACAGUUGCUUAGAACUGAAUCACAACUUUAUGAUAUUCAAUAUGUUAUUAUAUUGAGGUUUUUAUACCAGUAAAUAAAACAUUGGAGAUCACUUGAGAAUCAAAAAUCAAUGAUGAAGUAUGCAAUAAUUAUGCCCUGCGCAUGAAACAAACAAGUUUUUUUCAGUUUCACCCUUUUAUUCUACUGCUACGACAAAAGACGCUGAGAAAAUGCCACGGAUUGCAGGUGCAUUGUAUAGCCUUUAUAUAUAUAGUCUACUGGGAAGUUGAGCCUACUGAGCAAGGCAGGGCAACAUGAUGCCUCUAUUUCUCUUUUCUUUUCUUUUUUUAAAUGAUGGGUGAAUUUUUUUAUCUCAUUUUCCCCAACAAACAAAAACAAAAAAGCUAAUCCAAAUUAAGUAUUUCAACUUAAAUUCCAGCGCCACGUAUUUGGUUUACUUUCGAAGGAAGUCAUUCCAUUCAUGUUAGGUGUCAUCUAUUGGUCCUUCUUCCCCCCACAUAUCUAUAUACUUUUCACUGGCAUCUGAAACCUCACUAUGUUUAAGUAGCACAUGUUUGAGUUGGUAAUUGGUAUGUGAGAUUUUGGCAUCUAUCAUUGCAAAAUGUAGCGUGUAAUUUUUUUAAACAUUUCAUCGAAAAUAUUAAUUAGUUCACGUGUUAAUAUAUAUAUAUAACAUAUAAUAAAUAAUAAAAUCUAUGAUUUAAAAUUAAUUAAUAAUAAUACAUGUAAAAUAUCUAUGGAUUAAAAUAAAAAAAAUAAAUAUAUAUACAAUUAAUAGAAAUAAUAAAAUAUACAUAAUAAAAAUAAAAUUUACAAAACAUUUUAAGAUAAAGUUUUGAUUAAGUAGUGUUGCUAAAGUUGUAUUAAUGCAAAUAAAGUGUCAUAGCUUCAAAUUACAUCAUAUGUGAGCUAGUUAUUCAUUUUAAAUAAAAAAGGUGAAAGUGUUCUCAUGGUAGUGUAACUUAUUUUAAAUAUAUAGUAUGAUAUUUUCGUAAUUUUUUCAAUCGAGUCAGCGUUUAGUUGACUCAAUCAUGGGUUUAUCUAAUAAUAUAGAAAUACAAUUGAUGGAAGUAAUAAUAUAUGCAAGAUAAACCUAGAGUCUAUAAAAUAAAUUAAAAUAAAACUUUUAUUAAGUGGUCAAAUUAAGUUUUUUAUCAACGCAAAUGGUAUGGAUUUAAAUCUCAUCACAUCUAAAUUGUUUUUUUUUAAUAAAAAGACUAAAAUGAUAUAAUUUAUUUUAAAUACAAAAAGAUAUUUUCGUAACAUUCCUAACCGAGCUAGUGCUCUAUUGAUUCGUAGCACUAACUCAAUUAGAGACUUAAAUGGUAGCUUAGAUUGUAGAAACAAACUCAAAAUUUUUACAUUAGAUUGAGAUAAAAAUAUAUAUUAAAUUAUGAUUUUAAAAAAUAAAAAUCAUUUAUUAUUUUUAAAUACAUUAGCAUUAAAAAUAUAAUCAAUUUUAAAAAAAGACAAAGAAUGAAGGAGAUCGGAGUCUUAGCAUCCCCCUCAUUGCGUGCAAACAUUAUUAUUUUCAUCCAAGUGAACUUUAUAAGUUAUUAGUUUAUAACUCACCAUGAUGUGAGUAAAAAAUUAUAUAAAAAAACAAAUGAAGCUUAAGUGUCUCAAGUUUAAAUUUUAUUAUAUAACUAUUUUUUUCUAUAUUUAUAACGGACUUUUUUAUAAUAAUUAAAUUACAUGAGGUGUUGGGGGAGAGCCACUAAUGAUGGAGGUUUAAUGUGAUGGUUUUAGUAGAGCGAUGCCUAAUAGUUUUAUUUGUAUCUCCAUUAAUCAUAGAAAACGAGAUAUUUAUAAGAGCGAGUUUAAAGAGAAUCUCUCAUAUUGUGAAUAUUUUCUUAAUACAAUUCAAUUUAAUUUUAAGUUAGGAUAUAGCCUAGAUUUACUCUAACAUGAGUUUGGUGAGCUUAGAAACUCAAAAACAUUAAUAAGAUUGUAUCAUAUGUGACGGUUAUCUUUGAAAGCAUCUAGUGGAUUUGACUUGUUCAAUAUUUUUGCAAAAGUUGGUAGGGAGGACACCCUGUUCUUAAAAAACCAAAAGGUUAGUGGGGAGGUUGGCACUAUUACUACACCAAGCAGAACAACACUGACUCCUACUCCAAGGAUUACUCCCCUAAUUACUUUUAUGCCAGUUGUCGCAACUCAUUAUGUUUUGAUUAUGUUGACUAUUGAUACUCCGCCUUCAACGUUACCUACUUAUCAGUCGCUGACCUUGGUGACUGUCCUUGAAGCAAUCAACUUGAAUGCAUUACUAGGGAUACGCCUCAUCUAGAGGCCUUUCUCAUGUUAGCUUAUCUCCCUUCUAUCGCCCAAACUUUUUUAGUUUUUUAAUUUCAUCAAUGUCUUAUUAAUUGUAUAUAUUUUUCAUAUUGCAUGCCUCUCUAGAAGGGUAUUGGGUAUUUCUCUAUUUUUUACAAUUGUAAUUAAGAGUCACACUGUUCAUAACAACAUCGUGUGGCAUUACCUUGUUGAACGUUGGUCCAUUUACAAUGUCCCAAUUUCCCUUGGGGUGGGAAUAUUUGUUUUCGUGCAAAAUAUAGUCAGAGUCACCUUAAGUUAUUUCAUCAGCCGUUGACCAAAUAUGAUGUUAUAUGUUAAUGGUUGGUCGACCACCUGAAAUUUCAUCAUUAUUGUGACAUUGUGCUCUCUUUAUUCAAUGAUAACUCGUAAUGUAAUUGACCACUUUACUUCGAUGAGUUGAUUUAUUGAACCUAUAUAUGGGACUAACUUUUUUCAAUUAUCAUUAUUCAAUUUCAUUUGCUGAAAGACAUCUUUUGCAAUAAUUCUACUGCAUUACAUAAAACAUGUUAAUAUCAUAUUUAAAUUCGAUUAAAUCAAUGCUUAUUUUUAAUCUUUUCUUUUAAAAAUGAAAUUAUCAAAUCAAAUGUUAACUUCAUUCAAAUUUCAAAAUUAAGCGGAACAACUUCUUUAAACAAAGUUUUGGUGAGCCGAAGGGCAUGGUCCCACCAAUGUGAAUCUUUUAACUCUCAAGUUCCUGUCUACGAUAUUAAAUUACUAAUCAAUGACUUUCCAAAUUAGCAAUUUGGUCGCUAGAUCCGGUGGUACCACUUCCAUGGUAUUGUUAAAUGGCAAGUGACAGUAAAUUUGAACAAAAAGAAAAUGUCAAUAAAUAGGAACAAAUAUAAAAUUAUGUUAUUGUCGUCAACUAUGAAAAAAAUAAUAAAAUUAAAAAAAAUGUCAAUAAAUAGGAACAAGAGAGAAGAUGUCAAUAAAGGUAUAAUUAUUUUGUUGAUAAAAUUAAAGAGCUAAUGCUUAAAGGUAGGCCAAUUCAAAAAUUGAAUUUUUCAAGCUACCCUAUUUACAAUUUGCGCAAGUAAUGUUAUUAAUCAACCAGGAAUUGGAUAAAAACUAGGAAAAAAAGAUAAAAGGUCAGCAAAUGUGAAAAUUGAAAAAGCUUAAAACCAGUUUUAGGCCGCGACUCCCGCGCCAUCUCAUGUUCCUAAAAUCAUAGGCGUGGGCUCCACUUUUACGCGCUUUGCAUUGUAGGUGGACCUCAUCACUGAUCUCUCCACUUUUAAAUAAUAUUUUUUUUAUUCAAAAUUUCCCCUCAUUACUAUUUCCACUCGCGCAGAUUGGAAUGUUUGACACUUAACUCCUUCCACGUUAAUCCAUCAUUUGACACAUAGGUUUGGUUUUUCUUUAUUUUUAAGUGUUCUAGAGAGAUGCAUACAACUCAGAAAUUUUAUACUCGUAUUUUUAAGGUUUGUAGUCUCAACCUUAUUCAACAAUGUGAAUCACUCAUUGAUAUUUAGGUAAUAUUUGUUGUUUUAUCGUAUUUUGAUUUCGUUCAAAUGUAAUUUAUUGUAAUAUAAUUGUCAGAAAAUUACUUUAUAAUAUUUAGUAUAUAUUAAAAAAUAUUUAUUACAAUAUCAGAAAAGUAAUAUUAUCACAGGUUGACUAAAUACUUUCCUAAUAAUAUAAUAAUAAUUUAUGAUUUUAUUUUUAUUAACUAAAAAAUAAUAUGUAUUUAUUUAUAAAAACUAUUCUUGACAAAUUUUUAGAUUAAAUAUUUAAUAAUAAAUUUUAAUUGAUAAAAUUUAAAUUAUUUUUAAUUUAUAAUUUUAAUUUAAAGUAAAAUUAUUUUAAAUUUAUCUUGCAUGUAUUUUGUAAACAUAAUAAUGCAUAUGUAAAAUCAUGGAGAUGUAAAAUUUGUUUUGAAAUAAAUUAAAAAAAAAUUGAAAUCAUGUUUUUGGUUAACUAAAGGCUAACCCAUAGGUGAUUUAAUCUACAAUUUCUACAUAACUUAAAUGAAGCAAUUCUACCCAUGUUUUAUAAUAUAUAUAUAUAUAUGUAUGUAUGUAUGUAUUUCGUGCAAAUAAAAGUGUUCGGUCAAAUUUGUAGAUGCAAAAGAAAUAAAAUCAGAGAAAAAACUUACUUACGAAUAAUCUAUUGAAAUAAUGGGAAAAAUCAAGUAAUAGAAAUUAAGGUUUAUUACUGGACCAAUACCUUGAACCAAUAUAAAUUAAGGUUUAAUAUUGUCUUAAUUUUUUAAACUUUCCAAUCUACAUGAGAAAGUCGUUUUCUCACAUUUUAUCAUGGGAAUUACAUUAUCAUGUUCAUGGGAAAGUAACUUAUAAGGGAAAAUUAGAUUCUAAUGAAAGUAAAUAAAAUUUGACAUAUCAAAUAUUAUAAUCAUUUUCCAACUGUUAAAUUCACAUGAAAGUAAUUUCUUUCCAUCUGUUAUAGUAUGAGACUAUACAUGUGAUUAAUGUGUGAUUAGUUAGGUAGUUAGGCAGUUAACAAGCUGGUAAAAUGUUAACAGCACUGAAGGAUUUCUCAAGUGUAUAUAAACGUGUAUAUGGGCACAAUACAAAGCAAGCAAAGUUGAAUAAUAUUCUUUGAAUAAAUCUUUUUCUAUUCUCUGUAAACUUUCUUCAAGAGUUUAUUAGCUUACUAGGUUUCUAUCAUGGUAUCAGUGGCACGAUGAUUCUCGGGCAUGGCUACCACGCAUUCCGCCGAAUCUGAUUCCGUUGAGCCUAAUGGCUCAGUGUUUCUUGGUGAUCGUGUGGUCACCUCGUUUCCUCGGCAUGAGGUUCUGAAACUUGAUGUUGAUUCAUUUAUUCAGUGGCAAUAGCAAAUCCGUCUCAUUCUUUGUGGUUAUGGAUUACUCAGUUUUCUUAAUGGUACAUUGAUGGCUCCACCGAGGUUUGUCCAGUCCUCCGAUGGUACUCUUGUCACCAAUCCGUCUGCAUCAAUUUUUUAUCAACGAGAUAAUCUACUUACCUCGUGGCUAUUGUCCACGAUAAGCUCCUAUUUUUUGUCUUCCUUCAUGGACGUUCGGGUUGCCAGUGAUGUCUGGAUCAUGGCAAAUAGCUUGUUCGCGGUCGAUACUAGUGCGAAGCAGUCGUAGUUGCGCCAUGAGCUUCAUUCUCUCCUGAAAGGUAAUCUCUCUAUUCGGUUGUAUGUUGACAAUAUCAAAAACUUAUGCGCUCUCCUUGUAGCGUCUAGAUCUCUGACCUCAGAGGCCGAACGGAUGGCGGUUCUCUUUGCUGAACUCUCCUCUGAGUUUGAGGCCAUCGUCUCUUCUGCGCCGCUCUCCCCGGUCUCAUUACCUUUUCAACGACUUGUCGAUGCUCUGCUUGAAUAUGAAGCUCGACAAAUUCGGUCCGUUCAGGAUGUUUUAGUUGCUGCGAAUGUUGUUGAGGGGACUCGGUUGUAGCCGACAGACGGGGCCUUUCGUGGUGAUCGCUCAUCUGUUCGUGGCCAUGAUCGAAACUUCCGUCCACGAAACCAAUGUCAGAUUUGCAGUAAGUUCGGUCAUCUCGCGCAGCGGUGUUACUACAGAUAUGAUCGUGAUGAGCAGUCGCAGUUGGAAGCACCCGUGGUGCGACAUGGUAGAUCUGUGUUUGGUGCGGUUAGGGGAGAGUUGGAGCGUGAGAACAGACCUCCUAAGUAUGGUCAAAAUUGGGGGUCUCUUGGUCAAAAUUAGAAGUCUCAAUUUUGGUCAAAUGGUGGAAUGGAUAAUGUUGUUCCACGUGGGCCACAUGUAGGCUAUAGAAAUAGUGGUUUCCAUCCGUUUGUCCAAUAUGGUAAUGGGCAGAAUAAUAUUGAUGGCCCAAAUUUAAAUUUUGGACCUUAUAGACGUGAUUUUAGUGUUGGACGACGUACUCUUGGUCCACAAUUUGGUGGUGAUUUUUUGGGCCACCCGUAUGGUGGGCUGGCUUCCAUAUCAUGUGGGCCUAGUGGGUCAGUCCAGUCUCUUCCAAAUGAUAAUCAAAAUUUGCUUGGGCCCUCUGCUAACUGUGUAAAUGUUAAUAGAUCCUAGUAUACUGUUCCUGGGGCUCCGUGGCGAACAAAACCGUGUGCUCGCAUUUUUAAUAUGGAUUCAUCUUCAUAUGACUCAUCUCAAUUUGUUGGGAUUCCUCCCAAGCUUCCUGAGUUGUACGCUUCGGAUUAUUCUGAUGCUACAACAUAUGAUUCCAAUUUUAAUACUACUGACUUUUAUGUUCCAUUGCCAGUAGGAAGUACGUAAUGGUGCCCGGACUUAGGGGCUACUCAUCACGUCUGCAGAGAUACUUCAGAUUUACAUAGUUCCACCCCGUACUUAGGUAAAUCCUCUCUUUUAAUGGGUAAUGGGGUAUCCACUGAAAUUUCCUCUAUUGGGAGUGCAAUUAUACCUACGAAGCAGAAAUUACUACAUCUCUCGAAUGUGCUGUUUGUGCCAAGCAUUCGAAAGAAUUUACUAUCUAUAUCUAAGUUUGCUACUGAUAAUAAUGUGUUUUUUGAAUUUCACCCCUCGUAUUGUGUGAUUAAGGAAAUCCAAACACAGGAAAUCUUAAUGCGGGGCCAAGUACGUGAUGGGCUCUACCAUUUCUCUGCAGGUUUAGGAAAUUUGUUCUCUUCUGUUCACAGUACUGUUCUUCAAGGUUGCUCUCCGACUGAUGAUGUUUUUAGCUUGUGGCAUAAAAGGCUAGGUCAUCUUGCUGAUAAUAUUGUAAAAAAUGUUCUUGAAAAAUGUCAGAUUUCUUUAAAUAAAAGUCAUCUUGAUGGUGUUUGUGUAGCUUGUCAGAAAGGUAAAUCACAUAAGUUGCCAUUUUCACAUUCUAGCACUAAAUAUGUUGAUUUGUUUGAAUUGGUUGUUUCUGAUUUGUGGGGACCAGCCACUGUUACCUGUGAAGGGAAUUUGUAUUAUGUUUCUUUCAUUGACAUGACUAGUCGUUUUACCUAGGUCUAUUUGAUAAGUGUUUUGGUCAAUUUCAGAAGAUGAUUUUCACUCAGUUUGGAAAGCAUAUUAAGAAAUUUCAAAGUGAUUGGGGAGGUGAGUUUCGUGCAUUUUCCUCCGUUUUAGGUAAUCAGGGGAUUCUUCAUCGAGUUUCUUACCCUUACACGUCUGAACAGAAUGGUGUUGCUGAGCGUAAACACAGACAUAUUGUGGAGACUGGUCUUACUCUUCUGGCUCAGGCUAAUUUUGUAACGUCCCCUAACCCUAUACCGUUACCGGAACAAUAUUACGAGACAUUACCAGUCAGUACAGUCCAAUUCCGGUCAUUAAUUAAAAUAAAUAUUCACACACAUCCUAGUUUUAAGAUGUAGUCCCUUUAAUGGGCCCUUACGAUCCAAUAUGAACAGUAAAUUCAAUUCGAAACUAAUUUAGAAUCACUACGAAUUUUUAGUAAAUUUCAAAAUUCAUACUAUAUACCGUUGCCAACCAUAAUUUACUUAUUUCAUCAAUACUUUUACAACCUAAAUUACUCUCAUUAAACAUCCUGGGUACAUGCCAUUAUCAAUACUCAACAUACUUUACCUUAAUGAAUUCGGGAUCGUCCUGGGAUACUGAUUCAACGUACUAUCUUUACUUAACCUGUGCACGGAAACAAACCGUACGCUGAGUAUGGUAUACUCAGUGGUAUUUCUAUAAUCCGAACAAUUAAUAAUAUAACUAAUACUUAAGAUCAUAAUAACAAUUACAAUUAUUCAAUUAUUUAUUCAAAGAUAAAUUUCAACUACUUACCAUAUAAAUUCUAUACAAAUCAUAUAAUAAACACAAUAACAUAAUUGUUCAAUUCUUAACUAAAUCCAUUAUUAUUUACUCCAUUCUUUCACUUACUACUCGGUAUAGCUUUCCUUAAUUUACUCACAAUUCAAUAUCAUUAAACUAUAUUCAACUAUACACUUAUCAAUCAUAUUCCAUUUUAAUUCAUUUCAAUAACAGUCAAUUUCAUUUAUAUCAUAUAAACUUACUAUCCCUGGUAGCUUUCAGUAUAUACAUACGAUUCAUAUAUCUCAAAUCACAUUUCAAUUCAUCAAGUGGCAUCAUAUAUCAUCAAUUCGAACUCCAAUCAUUUCAUGAACCUUUGGUUCAUAUUUUCAAUUUCAUAUCUAAAUUUUCAAUUCUCAAUUCAAUUUCUCGUUCAUUUCAAUAGCUUGAUCAAUCAAAUUUAUUCGAUUUAUCUUUCACUUAUUUACCCCUAUUAACAAACCCGGACUUUGACGGAUACAUGGAUUCCAACCAAAACACACCAGUACGGCACAUUGUGCCUAAAACGGUACAUAGUACCUGAUCAGUAUACGACACAUAAAGUGCCUAAAACGACACACGAGGUGCCUGAUACGACACACGAGGUGCCUGAAAUACGACACAUAAAGUGCCUGAUCGAUAAAGCCGGCAAAUCCCGUACACUUCCAGAUCCUAUGGCAUGCCAAUUAUAUCCGACUCAGCCCGACUAGUUAAUAGGGUAUUUCAUUCACUUUCUCAAUUUAAUAAUUCUUUCAUCAAUAUACCAUUCUGAUAAUCACAUAUAUUCACCCAUUUUCACAAUUUCAUUCAUUUCAACAAUAUAUUUCAAUUAUUCACAUUAAUUCAUAAUUCAAUACAAUUCAAUUCACUUUUCAAUAUCAAAUAUUCAAAUAUCACAAUCUCAUAUAUUCAUAUCAAUUUCCUCAUAUUUCUAAUCAAUAUAUUUUUCAAUAUAAUAUUCAUUCAAUAUUCAAAUUUCUACAUAAAUCAUAUAUAUUAUAUAAUUCAAUCAAUAUAAAUUCAAUCAAAAUAAUUUCAAUGAAUAUAAAUUCAAUAAAUUCAUCGCAUACCAAAAUCAAUCCAUUCCAAUUGUAAAACAUCAUAAUUCUAACACUAACAAUUGCCAUAUGUAUAUAAAUAUAACAAAUAAUAACUAAGCUUGGAUUAUAGAAAUACAAACCGUAAUUUUCGAGCUAACUCCCGUUGACUUUGUCUUGUCCUUUCUUAGCCGAGAUUUCCGGUACCACAUUGACUACGAAAUUAAUACAAUUCAUAAUCAUUAAUACAUUACUAAUUCAUAUCUUGAGUUACAGAAUUCUAAAUUAAGAUCCGCUAAUUUUUCCUGAAACUAGACUCACAAAUCUUCUUACAAUAAAAUUUUUAGAAUUUUUGGUUUAGCCAUUAAGUACAGUUUAUUCCUUAAAUUCACCCCUAUUCUGCUGUCUGAUAGUGUCAUCCCUUCUUCACUAAAAAUUAAUUAUCUCACAGUGCAGAACUCGGAUAAUAUUCUCGUUGAUUUUUCCUGAAAAUAGACUCAUUAAGAAUUCUAAACAUAUAACUUUAAACCUCUAAUUAUUUUUCUUCAAUUUUUGGUGAUUUUCCAAAGUCAGAACAGGGAAACCCGAAUUCAUUCUGACCUUGUCUCACAAAAUUCAUUAUAUCUCAUAAUUUACAAUUCAAUUGCUUAUACCGUUUCUUCUAUAAGAAGGUAGACUCAAUAAUAUUUAAUUACAUAUUUUAUUCAUCCUCUAAUUCAAUUUCUACAAUUUUUUGUGAUUUUUCAAACUUAGACUACUGCUGCUGUCCAAAAUAGUCUUAGUACAAAAUGUUGAUUUACUUUAAUUUCAAUUUAAUCCUAACUAAAUUCACUUACUUUUCUAUCUUAAUUCAUACUUUAUUUCUACUCAAUUUUUAACCAAACUUAGACAUAAUUAUCUAUUUUUCAUCAUAAAACCAUAAUUUCUAAAUUCUUUCAAUUUAGUCCUUAAAGCAUAAAACUUAUGAAUCACUUUACAAUUCAAUCCUUGUAUCAUUUUUAACUUGAAUUUCUAUCAAUUUAGCCCUUAAUUCAUCAUUUUAUUUAACAUGGACAAUAUCUAGAAAUCUAAUAACUAUCAAAAUAUCAACUUAAUUUCAUCAAAACUUUGUUCUAAAACUUCUAAAACAUCAAAAUUAAGUAAAAAGUGAUUGAUUGACUUACCUAUUAAAGCUUAAAGCUUAAAGCUUCAAACCUUCAAUUUUCCCUUUUCUCCCCUUCUUUCUUUCUUUUUCUCCCCUGCUCUCUGUUUUGUUUCAUUCUGUUUCUAUUUCCUUUCAUUUGCUUCUUUAGUUUAUAUAUAAAAUAAAAUAAAAUAUAAUAUAAUAUAAUAUAAUUAAAACAUAAAAUAUCUUUAUUAUAUAAUAAUAUAAUAAUAUAAUAAUAUACUAAACAUAAAAAAAAUCUUAGAUUUUCUUCACGAUAAACCGCCUCAAUUUAUACUUUUUGUAUAAUUGCCCUUUUAGUCAUUUUUUAUUUUCUUUUAAUCUAUAAUUCAACUUUCACACUUUAUUCAUUUUGGUCUUUUUACUUAAUUACUCUUAAUUAAAUUUAAAUUCACUUAAUUAAACUCUAAUUAACCACUCAUUUUACUUCGUAAAUAUUUUUAAUAAAUAUUUACGAAUCCAUUUUUCAGAAACGGAGACCCGAAAAUACACUUUUUCGGUAACGGUAAAAUUCGGGUCAUUACAAAUUUACAGCUGGGUUACUGGGGUUAUGCGUUCUGCAGUGCGCUUCAUCUCAUUAAUCGAUUACCCACUCCGGUUCUAGAAGGGAAGGCCCAGUUUCAAAGUCUGUUUGGUCGCGAACUGACUUACGAUCAUUUCAGAGUGUUUGGUUGUUGUUGUUUUUCGUACUUACGUUUGUUUGUUAAACACAAGCUUGAGUUUCGGUCUUAGCCGUCUACAUUCCUAGGGUAUAGCCCGCAUCAUAAAGGCUAUUUUUCUCUAACGCCAGAUGAGAAGGUCAUUGUUUCUCGACAUGUUGUUUUUGAUAAAAAUCAGUUUCUGUUUCAGCUUUCUACUACUACCGGUGAUAAGUUGUCUCUGAAUACUACUACGUAUGUAUCUGUUGUUCGGUCUGUUAUCCCUAAAGAGACUCGUCCGGAUCCUGAGUCUGCAAUUGGAGCUUCUCUAGAUAGUCAUAAUGGUGACACAACUCAGCAUGAUUCUUUUGCUCCGUGUAGUACUUCUCAACAUAGUUCCGAUUCAGGAUCUGUUGUUUGAGAGGAGGUUCUCGCUACUGCAACUUUUCCUACUGAGCAUCUUAUUGUUUCUUCUAUCUCUACUACUAAUACUUAUGCUAUGGUUACCGGGUCUAAAGCUCAGAUAUUUAAGCCCAAAGCAUUGUGUGCAGACAAAGUUGAGGUUGAGCCAUGUUCUGUUGAGGAGGCCCUUGCUCAUCCAGACUGGCGUCUAGCGGUCCAAGCUGAGUUUGAUGCUUUACUAGCUAACUCGACCUGGGAGCUUAGUCCCCUCCCUCCUGGACGGAAAGUGAUCGAUUGUAAAUGGUUGUUUAAGAUCAAUAAGAAUCCUGAUGGGACGAUUAACCGAUGGAAGGCACGAUUGGUCGCCAAGGGGUGCUCACAGGUACCUGGCUACUAUUUUAAGGAGACGUUCAGUCCUGUAGUCAAACCUACUACCAUUCGAGCCAUCCUAUCUAUUGCUGUGACCAAGGGUUAGCAUCUCCGGCAGGUUGAUGUCAAUAAUGCCUUUUUGAAUGGAGAUCUAACCGAUGACGUGUUUAUGCAGCAACCUCCCGGCUUUGUGCAAUCUGGUCCAAAUGGUGAAAAGUUAGUAUGUCGUCUGACUAAAACUUUGCAUGGCUUACAACAAGCUCCUCGUGCCUGGUUUGACAAGUUAAAACAGCUCAUUAUUUCUGCUAGGUUUACGUUGUCAAAAUUAGAUGCUUCAUUAUUUGUUCGGUCUUCUUCUGGUCACACUUUCUACGUUCUUGUAUAUGUGGAUGAUAUUGUUAUCACUGGCAGUUCAUCUGAUGAAAUAACUUGUUUUAUUCAGUAGCUACACAACAAAUUUGCUCUAAAGGAUAUGGGUGAGCUCCAUUAUUUUUUGGGAAUUGAAGUCAGUAGAUCUUCCUCAGGCAGUCUUCAUUUAUGUCAGUGCAAAUACAUUCAUGAGCUUUUUACUCAGAGUUCUAUGACUAAUGCCAAAAGUGUUCAUACACCGAUGGUAAGCUCUUCUAUGUUGUCAAAAUGAUGAGGGUGAACCCUUUGCUGAUCCAACUGAAUAUCGCAGUAUUGCUGGAGCUCUUCAAUAUAUCAUUUUAACACGGCCAGAUAUUACAUAUGCUGUUAAUCGGGUGUGCUAGUUCAUGCAGGCUCCCACUACACUACACAUGGUAGCGUUAAAAUGAGUUUUACGGUAUUUAUGUGGUACUCUUUCUCAUGGCUUGCUUUUUCGAAGAUCUAAUAGGCUGUCUUUGGUUGGUUAUGCUGAUGCAAAUUGGGGAUUGGAUUUCGAUAAUCGUCGGUCUAUUACGGGAUACUGUGUGUAUUUUGGUCACACACCUAUUUCUUGGUGUUCUAAGAAACAACAAGUUAUUUCUCGGUCUACGGCAAAUGUUGAGUAUCAAAGUUUAGCAGUAGCCACUAGUGAUGUUACGUGGCUGGUCUCACUGUUAACAGAGUUAAAACCAAGUUCGGUUGAUCUUCCGACAAUGUGGUGUGAUAAUUCUAGUGCCGUAGCCAUUGCAGCUAACCCUGUUCUGCACUCUAAGUUCAAACAUGUUGAACUUGAUCUGUUCUUUGUUCGAGAGAAGGUGGCUAGUGGCGAAUUGGUUGUUGGAGAAAUUCCCGCAUGUGACCAAGUGGUGGAUAUUCUAACUAAACCAUUGUCUGUUUUGAUGUUUACCCGAUUUCGUCAUCUUCUUCAAGUCAUCCCAAUCGAGGAAGCUGGAUGAAUGUUAUAGUAUGAGAUUACACAUGUGAUUAAUGUGUGAUUAGUUAGGUGGUUAGGCAGUUAACAAGCUGGUAAAUUGUUAACAAUAGUGAAAGAUUUCUCAAGUGUAUAUAAACGUGUAUAUGGCACAAUUCAAAGCAAGCAAAGUUGAAUAACAUUCUUUGAAUAAAUCUUUUUCUAUUCUCAGUAACUUUUCUUCAAGAGUUUAUUAGCUUACUAGGUUUCUAUCACCAUCGUAUCAAACCCUACUUUAAGUUUUAAUAUUUUAUCUUGUUAAAGAAGCAAAUACCCAUAUUAAAUUACGAUAAUUUUUUUUAUAUAAUUUAAUGAAUAUUUAACACGUAGUCAAUAUGAUAUCAUCUUCCUAUCACACAAAAAAAUGUAUAAAAAUCUAAAAACUAAUAUAUUUUUAUUUUCAAUAAAUUAACUAUAAUUUUUUUUACGUAGUCAAGUAAUGUUUUCAAGUUUUAUUUAUUUAUUUAUUUUUAUAAAAAAUACUUUUUUUUAUAAAGCAUCAUAAGAUAUUGUUUUGUGCCAAAAAUAUUAUGGGCGUUUUAAAAAAAAUUGGUCUAAGUAAUGGAGAUAGUAUUUGAAUAUUAAAUUACAUAUUAAAAUAAAUUUAUAUAUUAAAUAAUAUAUUAAUCAAUUUAAAAAUUCAUCAAAUCCAUAGCCCAGCUUGUCGUUUUCUCAUGAAAACAUUAUUGUAUAACAUAUUUGUUUUCCAAAAUCUAAUUUUAAUUGACCAAAAAUUAAUUUACUUUCUAAAAAAUAUCUCUUUUUUUGGUAAAUGAAGAAGCAAAGGGAAAUUACUAGCAAUCAUUCUCGAAGUAGCCAAAUUUUGAUAGUGAUCAUGCGGCAGGUGUAGAAUUUCAUCCGAUGGUGUAGUAAAGAUAUGCAAGCUACAGUAUAUUUGCCAAGCUUGCAGUCGGUCCAUUCGCUACUCAAUUUCCCUUCUGGUAAACACGUACCAAUUUAAUCUCCUAGUUAUGUUGAAGUAAACUAAAAAAAUUAUAUAUUUUAAAGUAUAAAUAAUUUUAUGGGAUCAACAUGAGAGUCUUCAUUUGAACUGUAAAGCGAUCAAAUAAAAUCAAUCACAUCCAUCUCAUAAAAAAAAAAGUAGAAAUUACUUACUCGUUUAAUCAAUUCAUUUUUUUAAGAAAAAAAUUUUAAUGCUGAAAAACUCUUAAAUAAUUAUAAAAUUAAUUAAGCUUUUAAUUAAAAAUUAUAUUUUAUUAACGUCUUAAUAGAAAAUUAGCAAUAAAUUUAACUCCUGAAAUAUAAUUUUUUUAAAUUCCUAAUAGCUUGUUAAGUGGUAAUAGAUGUCAUCACGUUUGGUGCUUUUCAAUUGUGUUACAAUGAAUUAAUUAGCCUUUUUUUUAUCAUUUAUGAUGAUUUUUAGUAUUUUAAUCUCGAAAUUACUAAAAUGUUAUAAAAACAAUAAAAAUAACAACAUAAUAUGAAAAUAUAAAAAAAUAUUAAAAUGAUAAAAAAAUUAUUGAAAAUAAAACAUUUAAUAUUUUUUCAUAAAAAACUAUAAAAUUUUUAAAAAGUUAUUUAAAAAUAUUAAAUUUUUUAAAAAUUUUAAAAUUACUUUUUUUUUCCUUCACACCUCACAUCAUGGUCCAUCCUUAAUAACUUCUCAUGAUCAUAUUCCCAAAAUUAAAAUUAUUAUACAUCACUCACCUCAUGUCAAUAAAGACUAAAUUUAUUAUUAUGAAACUUUUUACUGGACAUCUUAUUUAAAUCCAAACAGUAUCAUACUUCAAACUCCCCAUUUAUUUAUUACCAAAACUAGAGACGCCAAACCUUCAAGAUAAUUUUAAUAUUUUUCCACGGCUGUUUAUGUUUUUAAUAUUUUUAUAAUUUUCUAAUUUUUUAAUACAAUUUUAAUAUUGUGUAUGUAUUUUUCUAUAAUCUUUUAAUUUUCAUAACAUUUUAAUAAAAUUUUAAUAUUUUAAAUUAUUCUAUAAAUUUUAUACUUAUAUAUUUAUAUGCUUUUAAUUUUUUAAAAUACUUUAAUAAUUUUUAUAUUUAAAUGUUAAAAACCCUCCUAAAAUAAUAAAAAAUAAAUUAAGCCAUUGUAAGAUAAUUUAAAAAUCAAUCAAGUUGCCACAUUAGCAUUUUUCAUGUCAAAAUCAUGUCGGUUAUUUUAACCACAUUAAUCGUCAACUUGCCAUGAAACCAAUUAAUGACCUGUAAGAGAUUUUGGUGAAAAAUUAUAUUUCAAGAAUUUAAUUGAUUGUUAACUUUUAAUCUAAAUAUUAAUUAAAUUUAAUUUUUUAUUAAGAGCCUAAUUAAAAUUUUAAUUAUUUUAUGAAUUUUUUUAAUAUUUAAGUAGAAAAUUAAAUCAUGUAAAUUAUCUUAUAUAAAAUUAUUUAUAUUUAAAAAAACCAUAAACUUUUAUUUAAGAUGAUAAAUAUAUUUCAAUAUUUGUUUUCAUGAAACAAAUUAAUCUAUUAUUAAUGCCACUAUAUAAUAAUUACUCAAUUAUUUUUUUAGACAUAAUUUGUUACAUUGUUACUAGAAUUAUAAAAAAAAAAAAACAGAUUAGGAAACAAAAACAUCAUGUAUACUAUCUUUUGCCGGUGGGCAACGCGCGAAUGUUCCAUUGUGAAAAAGUACUAAUUCGUGACAAAUUGUUUAAAAUCCUAAUUGGGCCAUCGUCACGGGACUGGCGGGAGAUUAUAAUUCUAAUAUAUGCAAAUCACGUAUCUAAAUUUAAAAAAAUACGUGUGUAUGACUGUGGGGAAGACAUUCAUGCCGAGUUUAAAUUCUAUUAUUUUAUCUUUUAAUAAAUGUAAUGAUAAACAAAUUGUUGUAUUUAUGUAAUGCAUAUUAGAUUAGCACCAGCCAAGGCGAUUUUCCUUCCUUAAAAUUUAUUUCUCCAUUUAUUUAGUCACAUGCAAACUUUUGUUGACCCAUUAGUAUCCUUUUAAACAUUUUUCUUAAUGAAAUUCCAAAACAUAUAUAUCACAAUUUAAAUACUACUAAUUCUGUUCUUUUAAUUCCACAAUUUGUUAAUUUUUAAGGUUUGAAUGAAGCAGCAGAAUAAAUCAAUUAUCUAUAUACAGUUGCAUAUAAACUAUCCCAAUUAGUUUGGAAACUAUCCCAAUUAGUUUGGAAACCUCAAAUUGAAUCGUUUUACUAAAUCCAACUUAUUAUUGAGAUUGGCUUUAUCCAUUUUAAUCAUAUCCAAAUUUGAAUGUCUGUUUUAAACACCUUUUGUUUUUCCUUCAAGUUACUGGUUAAAAAAAUACAUAAACGAUCAUUGCAUAAGCGGCACUUCCUCCAUAUUUUUACCAUGCGUAAAGAGCAACACGGCAAAAUGAAAAUGACCUCAAAUUAUUCUUUUUUUUGGGGGGAUUUUAUAUUCAGAGAGUUUGGCAGUCAUGCAACACUUGAAUUGCCAUCUUAUUUGACAGAUUCUGGGGACUGCUUCGCAAAUCUCAACUACUUUAUAUUUUUUUCCCAUAAGGAAAAAGGAACUUGGGGUGAAAGGAAUGAAGGACUUGACUCAUUUUCCCUAAAUCUACACUGCUGUCUGUAUCUUGGGUAUAAAAUUAAGGCUAAUUUACCAGCCACAACCGUAAAUUAGGUCCUCUGUCGGAUUUCAAUUCACCUAAUUUUAUCCAUUGGCUUUGACAUGCAAGCAAGGAAUGUCCAUUCCAAAACAAGCAAAAUUACAUAGUUUAUCUGUUAUUUAUUUAUUUAUUAUAAACAUAUAAUAAAAUAUAUAGUUUAUCUGUUAUUUAUUUAUUUAUUAUAAACAUAUAAUAAAAUAUAUCACGGGGAAAGUAAAUCAUACAGCCAGAUAUGAUAAUUAAUGCAAUGACCGGAGUUUUAAAAGCCACAACCGUCUUAAUAAAGGCCUUGCAGUUUUCCUUUUUAUUAUUAAACGCAUUUCAUUACCAUUUGAUGCAUGACAGAAGCUGAUUGAAAUAUUACAUAAAUUAGUAUAAAUUUGUAAUUCUAUUUUCACCAGUAAUUUUUUUUUUUAAAAAAAAGGGUGUUUGUCUACUUCAAGUAAUGGAAAGUAAAGUUGAAAUUUGAAAUUUAGCUUUAUCCGUUAAUUUUUUAAAUUUAAUAAUAGUAAUUAAUUAAUUAGUUAUUAUUUAAAAACAAAAGCAUGCCUUGGAUUUGUAAGUGGAGACACUUUAAAGAAAGUUAUCUAUUAUUUGAUUUGCCUUUGUUAUUAAGGAAUACCAUUUGGAAAAUGAAAUCCCUAAUAAACCGGCAAAACGGGUUUAUCCUUGAUUUAAAAUGCCUUCCAUUUUGCGGGAGCAAAUAAAGGCCGGAACGAAGCCGUCACGUCUUGCCCGUCAAUCUCGACGUGCCACGUGGCUUUUGGAUCCUAUGCUGACGUGGGCAGAGUAACAAUAUUUCCCAUCUCAAAACAUUAUAAAAAAGAAGACGGUGUGAAUAUGUGAUAGUAAAUUGUUUUUAAAUUGCACAUAAAAAAUUAAUUUUAUCACCAAAAAACAUGAAAUUUUAAUUCGAUAUGUUUAUCCCAAUAUAAAUUAAUUUAAGUAAUAAGAGUGAAAAGUCUGCAGAGAAGGAAAGAUAUAGAACGAUAAACAAGGCGGGAGUGGCCGUCCAAAACCAACAGAGAAAAAAAAUAGACAGAAAAUCAAUUUAAGUGUCGAUGAUCAUAAUUAUUUUAUGCUGAACCGAAGUCGUGUUUUUUUUAGCUCAUAUAUAUUUUAGGGUUGAAAAAAAAAAACGACUAGUAAUUUGAAAAAAAAAAGACGACAAAAAGGAGAACUGAGAAGAAAAAGGGCAGAUUAAUCCCAGAUCCCGGUCUGCUUUGAAGCGUCUUCAUAACCCCAUAGAUCCGAUAAUUGCAUUUCUUUUUUCAGCUGUAUUGACACGGUUUCUUUAAGUUUCUAGUUACUUUUUUCUUCACUUUUUCUUUCUGGUUUGGUUUUAUUUGAUUUUGUUUUGGGGGUUUGAAUGUAGUUUUAUUGGAGUUUUUUUGAGUAAUCGGAGACGGAGGUGGAAUGAGAUCCUUCUUGACGAGAUUCUAGGAGGUAGGGAUCUGGUGCUUGAGGAGGCGUCGGCGGCGGCGUCGGAUGAGAGGAGAGAGGCGCAUGUAAAUGUUUCAAGGAUCCAAAGGGAAAAAGAUGAAAUGGGUAUCAUUGCUUAAGGACAUCAAGGAAAAAGUCGGUUUAGCUCAAUCUCCUACUCCAACUGCCACUGCUACAACUGUUUCUUCUUCGUCUUCUGCUGCUGCUUCGUCUUCCAAUCGCGAUACCAGUGCUUCCUCAACUCUCUACGACUACGUUUCCUCUCCAUCGAGGUUCGAUUUAUUAUAUUUUUCCUAUUUCAGAACUUUUGAAAAUUUAUUGACUUUUUUCUCCGUUUGCAUUUUUAUCAGUCAAUGAUGAUUCAAUUUAGGAGAUGAACUGGUAGAGUCGUGGUUGCGUGCUUUAUUUAUUUAUUUUAAUCUUCUUCUAUCCUUUUUACUUGCAGUUGACUCUUUUUAACGUUGAUCUAAUGUAUUUUGGUAAAUUAGAAGUACACCUUCAGUUAUAUCGAAUGCCUUUGUCGAUUUCUUUAUGUUUUUGAUAAUAUAAGCUUUGAUGAGAUGUUCUUUAAGUAUACUGUUUCUUUUUCUAUAAUAAACAAGAUUGAAAGAUUUAAGUUUAGAUGUGAAAAGUUUUUUUUUUUGGGUACUGUUCGAUGUGCUAGUGUGCAUGUUUGAACUUAAUUUGAGGGUGCCAAUGCAUAGUUUUGUGGCUAUUGUUUUAUUUGCCCAAGCAAAGAGUAUUCUAUUAGUUUAAGAUUGCACAAUUGAGUUAACUCAAGCAAAGUCCGGAGUUCUGUAUUGCCCCUUAUAUUAAGGGUCAUAAGAGAUUGAAAAUAUAGAAGCAAACGAGAAGGGAAGAAAUAGUGACAAUAUGAGUUAUAGAAUGAUCCUAUAAAAGUUGAUAAUAAGUCUAGUACAAAGGAAGGGGAGGGGGGACCUAAAUUGGUGUUGGAGGACAGUCCUAUUAGUGUGAUGGGAAUAACAAUAAGAAUUUAUUAGCAAUUAUUGGAAAUAUAAUAGCCUGACUGUAGGAUGAAUGCUACUUCUCUAUUAAUUAUUGUUGUUGUUAUCUCUUUUUUUUUUUUUUCUAUCUCCUUAGUUUCUAAGCUUUGUUGCAUCUUUUCUUUGUUUCUUAUGUCGAAAUGUUUCACUUACUAUUGAAUCCAUCUUUUCAUGUUCCUAACUUCCUUCCUUGGCAUUUUGAAAUGACUUGACACCUAUUGUCAAGUGAUCUAAAUGGGAGGUAAUGGAGAUCAGUCUUAAGUGUGAGGCUGUGUUCUUUUCUUAAAUUUUUAGGCUUGAACUUUGUAUUGUCAUAAAAUGUCACAUUAAUAUAAUCUAUCACUAUAUGUUAGAAACUCUUUAGUUACAAAUGAGUCUUGCUAUCUCCUUUUUCUCUUUGUCGCAAAAUAUACUUACUUUGCCAUGAAACUAUGGGGCACAGUGCAAGCUUCUUUCUUAGUCCUGUUAUAACAAUGUGUUGAGUAUGAGAAUACACUAUGUGGUGGCACCUUUAUUGUUGUUUUUAUGCGGUAUCUGAUCUACUCAUAUUCCCGUUACGUUUUGUCGUGAUUAACUGACCAGAUUUUUUUUAAAGUCCGCUCACAAAAUUAAAUUACAUUUUACACUUGCAAAGUGCUUUAUUUUCUCUACUUCCACUUCUUUCACUCAAUGGAUGUGAAUUUAUUUCUAUGUAUAUAUUUUUACUUGUGACAGCAGAGACAAACAUGAAUUGGAGUUGGACUUCAAGAGAUUCUGGGAAGAGUUUCGCUCAUCCAAUUCUGAAAAGGUUCAUUCUCAUCUAUGUUUUAACUCCUGACACUCUUUUAUGUGGCAUCUUGAUUCCCUUACAUGUUUAUUCUCUAUGCAGGAGAAAGAAGUGGUCUUGAACUUGACUAUAGAUGCCUUUUGUAGAUUAGUCAAGCAGCAUGCCAAUGUAGCCCAAUUAGUCACCUUGUAUGAUUGCUGAUCCUCCUAUCUGCUUUCUCAAUAUUGUAUAGUUUUUUUUUGGGUCUGGAAUUAAGGAGUUCAACUCUUUUCUGAUCUUUUAGCACAGCUUAUAUGUACACUUUCAUGUUGUUAAGCACUGCUUUCAUUGGUUGCUCUGUUCCAUCCAUUCUUCACAUGUUUGUUUAAUUACUGGGAAAAUUUCCUUCUGUAACAUUAAUAUUUUUUUUCUAUGUUUCGUCAGAAAGUAUUUUAAUGUGGAGAUGGCCUUACUCUAAAGUUUUCCCUCAAAAUUCAUCAUCUUAAUGUUUAGUCGUACUUUAUGAUUCAUUCUUGUUUGGACUUGAUCUUAUUGCCAUUAGAAAGAUCAUGUCCUCUGUAUUUUCUAUCAUUGUUCAGAUUUAUCAUUUAUGUUGUUGGCUUUAAGUUUUAGCUACUAAGACCCAUCCUAUGCAAUUUAAAACAAACUUUGACUACUCAAACUAUGUAGAAACUUGCUGUUUACUUAAGUCUGACGAGGAUUGUUGUAAUAAAAGUAAAGUCCUUGUAAUAUUUAAAAUUUUCAUCAGCUUCUGUUUCAAAUCUCAUUAAGAAAUUGUCAACUUAUAAAUUUUUUUGCGCCUUUUGAAUAAUUCUUUUAUCUCUCUCCUUAUGGAAUAGUUAAAUUGUUUCUUUACAGUUUGCCAAAUAGUUACCCGCUCUGCACUGUACAUCUAGUGCUAUUAAUAGUUGACUAAUGUUAAGUUCUUUAAUUAAUUACAGGUUAGUAGAAACACAUAUAUUCUCUUUUGUUGUGGGAAGAGCAUUUGUAACGGAUAUUGAGAAGUUAAAAAUUAGCAGCAAAACAAGAUCUUUGGAUGUACUGAAAGUUCUACGGUUUUUCUCAGAAGUCACUGAGGUUUGGCCCUGGGAUCAAAGUGUUUACAUCUCUGAAUCUAAAAUAUCCCUGUUGUUUUCGCGUUUGGAGUUACGUUUAUUUGUGCUUAUUUGCAGGGUGGCUUCAGUCCCGGUUCAAAUUUGUUGACUGCUGUUGAAAUGCUUGUGUCUGGGGUAUAACUCGUUAAUUUAUAAGAGCUUAAUUGUUGUUCUAUAGGUGGAAUCAUGUGUUCCUAGUUCUUUUAAAUAUCAUUAAUUGUUAAUUUUUCUGUUGUUUGCAGCCUAUUGAUAAACAAUCUCUCCUUGAUUCUGGGAUAUUUUGCUGUCUCAUACAUGUUUUGAAUGCGCUUUUGAGUCCUGAUGAGGCCAACCAGAGGCUGAAAAUUAAUUACACUGAGGAACCAAUGCUAGCUGAAAAGGAUUCCGCUGCUGAUGUUGGGCAAGCCCGCCGACUUGAGGUGGUUUUACUUUCGAGAUUACUUGAACUAUGAACUACUUUAUACAUAUUCUAUAUAUAUACACGUAUGUAUGUAUGUGUGCUGCAUAUGUUUUGGCACGUGCAUGUACUUUUUUCUCUUUACUAUUGUUGAUUAAAAUUUUAAAAGAAAUCUUGUUGUACAAAGCUGAUUUUUGUUAUCUCUUUUAUGACUAAUCUAUUCUUUAAACAUCUAAUUACAUCUUUCCUUUUUGGGAAAUCCCAAUUUUGUUUCAGUUUACCUUUCUUGUAAACAAGUCAUGUCUUGAACACAGUUGACUUGAAUAAAGCCUUUUGGUUUGACUUGAAACUUAUUCUAUUAAUUCAGGUAGAAGGAAGUGUGGUGCAUAUUAUGAAAGCAUUGGCAAGCCAUCCUUUAGCAGCACAGAGUUUGAUUGAGGAUGAUUCUCUGAUGUUGCUAUUUCAGAUGGUUGCCAACGGGUCUGUAACAGUCUUCUCUAAGUAUAAGGAAGGUCUUGUUUCACUGCACAUCAUACAACUUCAUAGACAUGCUAUGCAGGUAAAUUUGUUUUGCUUUACAAUAUAAUUGUUAAUUUGAAUCAGUUUCAUGUUAGCUUCACGUGAUGAUUCUUAACUGGUAUAAUUUUGCUGUUCUUCUAGAUCCUUGCACUUCUUUUGGUCAAUGAUGACGGAAGCACGGCCAAAUACAUUCACAAACAUCAGCUGGUAUGUGUUUUUGUGGGAAAUUUAAAGAGUAUAUCUGAAGAACUAUUGUUGCUUGCUGAAUGCCAUUUCAUUUCUUUUAGUUUCUUUUAAAUAUAAUUUUCCAUGCUUUAGUGGAUCCUUAGUAAUUGGAUCGAACAUUGUCUUUGCAUUUAAGGCUUUCUGAUAGUUGAUUUUGGGUUUAGCUGUGAAGACUGAAGAAUAAUAUUGGCAGUAAGGUAUGAGUUAUGCAUUUAUUUGUAGAGUAAUUUAGACCAAAAUUUAGAGUAGCAGAGUUCAUGCCUUCAGUGAAGGUAGGUCCUGUGUUAACUAAUGGCAGAAAAGUUCCGGUGGCUUUUUUAGGAGUGCGCAAUUGUAAAUAUAAAACAGUAGGAUGCUUUAUUAAGUCUCUUAUUUUUUUAUUUUUAUUUGUUUAUUUAUUUUUUUGGUAUUUCCCUUGAGUUUGGGCAUCAACCGACCAACUCAUAUCUAGCAAUGAUGGUUGUAACUCAAUCGACCAGCUACUUCAUUGCUUUAGAGUUUUAGUUUCCAUUAAUUCAUUGGAGAGAGGGAUCUGGUGAGAAAAAUAACAAUGUUGAUUGGUAUGUAUUUCCAUUAUUGUUGAUGUGGUUUUUUUUUAAGACAAAGGCUUAACAUAAACCGUGAGGGUGUAAACCUUCUAAUUUUAUUUGAAAAUGUUCUUCGGUACUUUGUUUCAAUUUAGUGUUUAUAUGUCUUUCUCUUAUUGCCUGCUUAUUUUUUUUAUAGCUUCACCUUGAUGCAACAAUUUAGAUGGUGCCUUUGGGAACAGCUCCUUUUCUUCCAGUUUUUUUACAUGACAGAAAUAGGAAGGGUUCUGAUAAUAAGCACUUGGUGACUUGUGAGAGAUUGAGAUAUUUAUUUUGAGGAGUCUUUACUCUGCCUUUCAAGUGUCUUCUUUCUAUAUGCUUAGCUUUCUGCAUUCUUUGGAAUUUUUUUAUAUGACCUAUAUACUGGAACAGCUAUUUUUUCUGUAUACUUCUAUUAUGCUCAUCAUGCAACCAAGUUUGAUAAUUUUGUUUUGUUUUAUUCUUUUUCUUUCAGUAAUCUUGUUAUUUAUAUUUUAUGUCAAAAUGUGUCUGGUCAAUUUUUUCCUUGUUGUCUUGUCAUUGGUAAAAAAUAUGCGUUUUCAUUUGUUCACGUGCUGUUCUCUUGUUGUGCAGAUUAAAGUGCUUUUAAUGGCUGUUAAGGAUUUUAAUCCAGAUUGCGGGGACCCUGCCUACACUGUUAGGAUUGUGGACUUGUUACUUGAAUGUGUGGAAUUGUCCUAUAGACCAGGUAAUUGGUUUGUGAAUUUUUCUUGCAGAAUUGUUUUUCUAAAAUUAUGGUUAGUGUAGGGAUUUUGUAAUGUAUGGUAAGCUUUGUGGUCUUAGCUACGGAAAGAAAUAAUCUUUUAGCUGCUCUUUCGUUUGAUGAUUGUUAUUCGAGAUUUGUCCUUGAUUUGUGUUUAUUGCUGAUAUCAUGAACUUCGAUUUGUAGAGGCCAGUGGUGUCAGGCUUAGGGAAGAUAUACGUAAUGCCCAUGGUUAUCACUUCCUUGUUCAGUUUGUUCUAGUUCUGUCUUCAAUGCCACAGAAUCAAGGCAUUCAAUCUAUUUAUUUGAAGCCUCAUGUUGACAACGAUCAGGGUCAUGCUUUUGAUGAAGCUCCGGCUAUGGAUUUCAUAGGAAAAGAGGACCCUUCUACUGAACAUCUCUCACCCACUUUGACUAGGCUACUUGAUAUUCUUGUUAACCUAGCUCAAACAGGUCCUGCUGAAAACAGAACGUCAAAAAAUUCUCACACCAAGGCCAGUGGUCAUAGCAUAAGUCAAACAUCAACUACUGACAGACUUGGUGAUAAGUGGGAACAGGGAAAUAAUAAAGUUAAAGACCUUGAAGCUGUUCAGAUGUUGCAGGACAUUUUUCUCAAGGCAGAAAGCAGGGAUUUGCAGGCAGAAGUAUUAAACAGAAUGUUUAAAAUAUUUUCAAGUCAUAUUGAAAACUAUAAGUUGUGUCAGCAAUUGAGGACUGUUCCUCUCUUGAUAUUAAAUAUGGCUGGAUUUCCUUCAGCGUUGCAAGAUAUAAUUCUGAAAAUUCUCGAAUAUGCUGUGACCGUGGUGAAUUGCGUUCCUGAGCAAGAGCUGCUUUCUCUAUGUUGCUUAUUGCAGCAACCAAUUGCAUCCGAAUUAAAGCUCACCAUCCUUUCUUUUUUUGUGAAGCUCUUAUCGUUUGAUCAGCAAUACAAGAAAGUCCUACGAGAAGUAGGUGUGCUGGAAGUCCUUUUAGAUGAUCUGAAGCAACAUAAGUUUCUUUUGGGUCCCGACGAGCAUGGUGGUGGUGCCAGUCAGUUGGAGAGAAAAUCCAGCUCGAGCAGCUUCCAGAAACACUUGGACAACAAGGAUGUUAUUAUUACUUCACCCAAGCUCAUGGAAUCUGGUUCAGGAAAGUUCCCUAUAUUUGAAGUUGAGAGUACAGUUGCUAUUGGCUGGGAUUGUAUGGUUUCAUUAGUGAAGAAAGCUGAGGCCAACCAAGCUGCAUUUCGAUCUGCCAAUGGUUUGACCACAGUUCUUCCCUUCUUGGUGUCCAACGUUCAUCGUCCUGGUGUCCUACGGAUAUUGUCAUGUUUGAUCACUGAAGAUGCUAUGCAGGUUUGUUAUGAUGCAUGCUCAUCUGUUUGUCAUAGAUCUUACAUUCAAGCAUGUUAUUCUUCGCUUUUUUAACCUUUUUUUUAAUUUUACUUCAAUGAACAUCCUUUGAUCUUAAGCUCCAGUUUGUUUAAUUUUAAAUGUCCUUGUGAAUGUUUUCAUGAAUGAGUGAACUGAUAUUGUUAUGCAUUUGUGGUUUAUCACACCAUAAUUGUUUUCUCGUUCUUUUUCCAGGGUCAUCCUGAAGAAUUAGGAUCACUUGUUGAAGUUUUAAAGAGUGGAAUGGUUACAAGUGAUUCAGGACAUCAAUACAAGCUUCAAAGUGAUGCAAAAUGUGAUACAAUGGGAACCUUGUGGCGCAUUCUAGGAGUAAAUAAUGUUGCUCAGAGAGUCUUUGGUGAAGCCACUGGAUUUUCUCUUCUGCUAACCACCCUCCAUAGUUUUCAGGGUGAUGGUCCCUCAGAAGAACCUUCUUUUUUAGUUUACUUCAGAGUCUUCACAUAUUUAUUGCGCCUUAUGACAGCAGGGGUGUGUGGUAAUACUAUUAAUAGGACAAAACUGCAUGCUAUCAUAUCAUCACACACAUUUUAUGAUCUUCUAUCUGAGUCUGGCUUGCUGUGUGUGGAUUAUGAGAAGCAAGUGAUACAUCUAUUGUUGGAACUUGCUCUUGAAGUUGUCCUUCCACCUUUCAUGACACCAGAGAGUGCCAUAUCAGCAGAUAUGGCUGAAAAUGAGUCCACUAGUUCUGUUUUGACCACUUCAUCUGGUUUGGUUAAUCCUGACAAGGAGCGUAUAUACAAUGCUGGUGCUGUUAGAGUUCUGAUCCGUUCGUUGUUGCUUUUCACUCCUAAGGUGCAAGUAGAAGUGCUGGACCUUAUUGGGAAACUUGCUCGGUCUUGCCCCUUCAAUCAAGAAAAUCUCACCUCCGUAGGUGAGAAAGAAUCUUCUAUUGCCUUUAUGCUCUUUCUGAAUUACACAUUAAUUUCUUAAUACUUCUUUUGUAAUGCAUGUAGGUUGUGUGGAACUUCUUCUGGAGACAAUUCAACCCUUCCUUUCAAGCUCAUCGCCGUUACUCUCUUAUGCUUUGAAGAUUGUAGAGAUUCUAGGGGCAUAUAGGUACGCCAUGUGGUCAUGUCUAGGAAACAUUACUUUUGUUUGUCCUCUAUUAUUUUCUGAAUAAGGUUUUGAUUUCUGCUGAUAGGUUGUCUGCAUCUGAGCUCCAAGCACUUGUAAGAUAUAUUCUGCAAAUGAGGCUCAUGAAGUCAGGUCAUACAAUUGUUGAUAUGAUGGAGAGGUUAAUUCUCAUGGAACAUACGGCCUUGGAAAAUGUUUCUUUGGCUCCAUUUGUUGAGAUGGACAUGAGCAAGACUGGGCAUGCUUCGGUUCUGGUGUCCAUGGGAGAAAGAUCUUGGCCUCCUGCUGCUGGAUAUUCAUUUGUUUGUUGGUUUCAGUUUCAAAACUUUUUGAGAACACAAGCAAAAGAAACUGAUCCUGCCAAAUCUGGUCCUUCAAAUGACCAGCGUAUCCUCCGGAUGUUUUCUGUGGGUGCAGUAAAUAAUGAGAAUACUUUCUAUGCAGAACUCUAUCUUCAAGAAGAUGGUGUUCUUACCCUUGCCACCAGCAAUUCUUGCUCCUUAUCAUUUUCUGGAUUAGAACUGGAAGAAGGCCGGUGGCAUCACCUUGCUGUUGUUCAUAGCAAACCAAAUGCUCUUGCUGGACUAUUCCAAGCUAGUGUUGCCUAUGUUUAUCUUGAUGGGAAGCUAAGACACACAGGAAAAUUAGGAUAUUCACCCUCUCCCAUUGGAAAACCUUUGCAGGUAGCUAUUGGGACUCCAGUUACUAGUGCAAGGGUUGGUGACUUUACAUGGAGACUCCGCUCUUGCUAUCUCUUUGAGGAAGUGCUCACACCAGGUUGUAUUUGUGUCAUGUACAUUCUUGGUAGAGGAUAUAGAGGGCUUUUCCAAGAUGCAGAUCUUCUCCGUUUUGUUCCCAACCAGGCUUGUGGUGGUGGUAGCAUGGCUAUCUUAGAUUCAUUAGAUGCUGAAUUGGCUGUACCUCCUGGAAUGCAGAAACUUGACAGUGCAAGCAAGCAGGAAAACUCUAAGGCAGAUGGAAGUGGAAUUGUGUGGGAUUUGGAUAGAUUAGGAAACCUUACGUUUCAGCUCUCUGGGAAAAAACUCAUAUUUGCAUUUGAUGGAACAUGUGCGGAGGCUGUUCGAGCAUCUGGUACAUCUUUCUUGCUCAAUCUGGUCGAUCCCUUGUCAGCUGCUGCUUCUCCCAUUGGAGGUGAAUAACAUUUUCUGUCUUCUAUGUGUAACUGUGUGAGAAUUCAUCUUAACUAAGUUAUUCUUCCAUCCCUUAUCUCUGCAGGUAUACCACGAUUUGGGCGUCUUAAUGGGGAUAUCUAUAUCUGUAGGCAAUGUGUUAUUGGUGAUACCAUCCGGCAUAUUGGUGGGAUGUCUGUCAUUUUGGCACUUGUUGAGGCUGCUGAGACUAAGGAUAUGCUCCAUAUGGCCCUUUCAUUUCUUGCUUGUUCACUUCAUCAUAAUUCUCAAAAUGUAAAAGACAUGCAAACAUACAGGGGAUACCAUCUACUAGCUUUAUUCCUGCGUCGAAGGAUGUCGUUAUUUGAUAUGCAGUGUCUUGAGAUAUUUUUCCAGAUUGCUGCAUGUGAAGCAUCAUUUUCUGAACCAAAAAAAGUGGAACGAAUCCAAACUUUUAUAUCAUCUACUGCAUCCAUUCAUGAAACUGGCUUCGAGGAUCUUAAUUUCACAAAGUUCCGUGAUGAAACAUCUUCAGUUGGAUCUCUUGUUGACAUGGAUGAUUUUUCUGCCCCAAAGGAUUCAUUAAGUCAUAUUUCGGAGCUAGAAAAUACUGAUAUGUCUGUUGAAACUUCAAAUUGCAUUGUCUUGUCAAAUGCGGAUAUGGUAGAACAUGUUUUGCUUGACUGGACACUGUGGGUAACUGCCCCGGUUUCCAUUCAAAUUGCACUGUUAAAUUUUCUAGAGCAUCUUGUUUCCAUGCAUUGGUACAGGAAUCACAACCUUACGGUUCUUCGACGAAUCAACCUUGUUCAACAUUUACUGGUAACGUUGCAGCGUGGUGAUGUUGAAGUUCCUGUUUUGGAAAAAUUAGUUGUACUACUUGGGGUCAUAUUGGAAGAUGGGUUCCUGGCAUCUGAACUAGAAAAUGUGGUUAGGUUUGUUAUUAUGACAUUUGAUCCACCUGAGCUGAAACCACAACAAAUAAUGCGUGAAUCCAUGGGAAAGCAUGUCAUAGUCAGGAAUAUGCUUUUGGAGAUGCUUAUAGAUCUUCAAGUGACGAUCAAAACAGAAGAGAUGCUUGAGCAGUGGCAUAAAAUUGUCUCCUCUAAAUUAAUAACAUAUUUUCUUGAUGAAGCUGUUCAUCCUACUAGUAUGAGAUGGAUCAUGACUCUUCUUGGUGUGUGUCUGGCAUCUUCUCCCACUUUUGCUCUUAAAUUUCGCACAAGUGGAGGUUAUCAAGGUGUAAUGCGUGUGCUUCCCAGUUUCUAUGAUUCUCCUGAUAUAUACUAUAUCUUAUUCUGUCUGAUAUUUGGGAAGCCUGUUUAUCCAAGAUUGCCAGAAGUCCGUAUGCUGGACUUUCAUGCACUAAUGCCAAGUGAUGGAGGCCACUUGGAGUUGAAAUUUGUAGAACUAAUGGAAUCUAUAAUUGCUAUGGCAAAAUCUACCUUUGAUAGGUUAAGCAUGCAGUCAAUACUUGCUCACCAAACUGGAAAUAUUUCCCAACUUGUUGCAGAACUGGUGGAGGAAAAUGUAGACAUGUCUGGGGAGCUUCAAGGUGAAGCUCUCAUGCACAAGACAUAUGCUGCACGCUUAAUGGGUGGAGAGGCAUCUGCUCCUGCUGCUGCAACAUCAGUUCUGAGAUUUAUGGUUGAUUUGGCAAAGAUGUGCCCUCCCUUCUCUGCUGCUUGCAGACAAGCUGAGUUUCUAGAAAGCUGCAUUGACCUCUAUUUUUCUUGUGUUAGGUUUGUCUUUGAUUCUCCAUUUAUACUUGGACAUUUGGUUUUACAUUAAUGACGUAUUUAAUAUUUAUAUAAUGUUCCUGAAAAUAUAUUUAUUUUAAUGUAACUAAUGCUUACAUGAUCUCCAAUCUGUUUCACAAGAAAUCUUAUUUUUGUUUGUGUUGUCUUGUAGGUCUGCUCACACUGUGAAGAUGGCAAGAGAGCUCUCUACAAAGACAGAAGAGAGGAAUUUAAAUGAUUGUGAUGAUGGUAGUUCACAAAAUACAUUCUCUAGCUUGCCUGCUGAGCAGGAACAGUCUUCCAAGACAUCAAUUAGUUCUGGAAGUUUCCCUCAAGCACAGGUCAGUUCAAGUUCUGAAGAGAUGCCUGUUGCUUCGAAUUACAUGGCCAAAGAUAAAGAAGAGAUGAAGCAUACUUCAUCUCAGGAGGAACUAAACAAAUCAUUGCAGGAAGAUGUGCAAGUUAUUCUGAGCGUAGAAGGCGAUAGUGUUGAUCAGGUUUCUGCCACUUCAAGCACAAACGACUUCAAUUUUCACGGUAUCAAAGACAAUCCUACAAUUCGGCCACCAGAUUCCCAGAGUUCUGCAUCUCUUGUUAUCCCGGAUUCUCCUAUUUUAUCUGAGAAAUCUAGUUCCAAAAUCCCCCACUCUCCCUCUUCAUCUCCCCUGGUUGUUCUGACUUCUUGGUUAAGUGUAAACCAGAAUGAAUCCAAAAAUCCCAUAAUCACCCCAACUUCCAUGGACUCUUCUGUUAGUGGUUUUGAUCAAUCCUCAGACUUGAAGUGUGGUUCUCAAGGGCCAACAGUUGCAAAUAUGACAUUUUCUGUUACACCAAAUCUUCUUCUGGAGAUGGAUGAUUCUGGCUAUGGUGGUGGCCCUUGUUCUGCUGGUGCAACUGCUAUGUUGGAUUUUAUAGCUGAAGUGCUUGCUGACUUUUUAACAGAGCAAAUAAAAGCAGCACAAGUUGUGGAGAGCAUCUUGGAAAUGGUUCCACUAUAUGUUGAAGCUGAAUCCAUGUUGGUUUUCCAAGGUUUAUUUUUUACUAGAUUAAUGAACUUUGUUGAAAGGCGUCUCUUGCGUGAUGAUGAAGAAGAUGAUAAAAAGCUGGAUAAGACCAAAUGGUCCUCAAACUUAGAUGCUUUAUGCUGGAUGAUUGUUGAUCGUGUUUACAUGGGAGCUCUUCCCCAACCUGGUGGUGUGCUGAAAACUCUGGAGUUUUUGUUAUCAAUGUUGCAAUUAGCAAACAAAGAUGGUCGAAUUGAAGAAGCAGCUCCAACAGGCAAGGGUCUUUUGUCUAUUGCAAGAGGAAGCAGACAACUUGAUGCUUAUGUAAAUUCAAUUCUUAAGAAUACAAAUAGGAUGAUACUGUACUGCUUCCUACCAUCAUUCCUGAUCACUAUAGGAGAAGAUGAUCUCCUUUCCUCCUUGGGUCUGCUGAUGGAAUCUAAGAAAAAAUUGCCAAUAAACUCUUCUCAAGAAGAUCCAGGGAUUGAUAUCUCCACAGUUUUGCAGUUAUUAGUUGCUCACCGACGAAUUGUAUUCUGUCCUAGCAAUUUUGAUACUGAUCUAAAUUGUUGUCUCUGUGUAAAUUUAAUUUCUCUACUUCGUGACCAGCGGCGAAAUGUUCAGAACAUGGCAAUUGAUGUUAUAAAGUAUUUGUUGGUUCAUCGAAGAGCUUCUUUGGAAGACUUGCUUGUCUCUAAACCUAACCAAGGACAGCACCUAGAUGUACUGCAUGGUGGUUUUGACAAAUUGUUGACUGGAAGCUUAUCGUCUUUCUUUGAUUGGUUUCAGAACUCUGAACAGAUGGUAAAUAAAGUACUGGAGCAAUGUGCGGCAAUAAUGUGGGUACAGUAUAUUGCUGGCUCAGCAAAAUUUCCUGGAGUAAGAAUUAAAGGCAUGGAAGGUCGUCGUAAGAGGGAAAUGGGAAGAAGAUCACGAGAUACUUCAAAGGUUGACCUAAAACACUGGGAGAAAGUGAAUGAAAGGAGAUAUGCAUUGGAGGUGGUUCGUGAUACAAUGUCCACUGAGUUAAGAGUUGUCCGUCAGGAUAAGUAUGGAUGGGUUCUCCAUGCUGAGAGCGAAUGGCAAACCCAUCUCCAGCAACUUGUACAUGAACGUGGAAUAUUCCCAAUUCGUCAAUCCUCUAUGCCAGAAGAUCCUCAGUGGCAACUUUGCCCCAUUGAGGGACCAUACAGGAUGCGCAAAAAGCUUGAGCGCUGUAAAUUGAGAAUUGAUAGUAUCCAAAAUGUUCUUGAUUGGCAGAUGGAAUUAGGCGAGACUGAGUUCUCCAAAGUGAAAAAUGAGGAUGGUCCUGAUGUUUCUGAUUCUGAUUCUGAAGCAAUAUUUAAUCUUUUGAAUGAUAGUGUUGAACAGAAUGGUGUUGACACUGAGCUAUAUGAUGAGUCAUUGUAUAAAGAGUCAUAUGAUGUGAAGGAUGUAACAUCUGUUAGAGAUGGAUGGAAUUAUGACAGAGAUAGUAGUGGGAAUGAAGAAGCUAGUCUUCACUCAGCCCUUGAGUUUGGUGGGAAAUCCAGUGCAGUCUCUGUCCCUAUAUCUGAUAGCAUGCCUGGAAAAUCUGAACAUGGAUCUCCUAGGCUGUCAUCUUCUGUUAAAAUGGAUGAAGUCAAAGUUGCUGAGGAUAAAUCAGAUAAGGAACUAAAUGAUAAUGGUGAAUAUUUAAUCAGACCUUAUCUGGAACCUCUUGAAAAGAUAAGAUUCAGAUAUAACUGUGAGCGAGUAGUGGGUCUUGACAAACAUGAUGGCAUAUUUCUGAUUGGGGAGCUUUGUUUGUAUGUAAUAGAGAACUUUUACAUUGACAGUUCUGGUUGCAUCUGUGAGAAGGAAUGCGAAGAUGAUCUCUCUGUUAUUGAUCAGGCAUUGGGUGUAAAGAAGGAUGUUAUGGGUUGUAUGGAUUUCCAGUCAAAAUCAGCUUCAUCCUGUCCCUCACCUCCCAAGACAUUGGUAGGGGGCAGGGCCUGGGCCUACAAUGGUGGUGCAUGGGGAAAGGAGAAAGUGGUCAGCAGUGUUAAUUUACCUCACGCUUGGCGUAUGUGGAAGCUUGAUAGUGUUCAUGAGAUUUUGAAGCGUGAUUACCAGCUUCGUCCUGUUGCUGUUGAGUUAUUCAGCAUGGAUGGAUGUAAUGAUCUCCUGGUGUUUCACAAAAGAGAGAGAGAUGAAGUAUUCAAAAAUCUGGUUGCAAUGAAUCUACCGAGGAACAGCUUGUAUGUAACCUGGAAUUCAUUUUUCUCUUUCUUUUUAUUAUGUUUCUACAAUGGCUUUGCGAUGUGGUAUUAACUGCUUCUCAAAAGCAAGCUGCAAUACUCAUGUUACACAAAAGGGCAUCCCUUUGUCUUUCCUUUUAUCAUCUACCUGUGGCAAAUGAAUUUUUUCUCUUUUUCUUUUGAUGUUCUUUUCUUUGCUGCACUUAAGCUUCAUCCCUGAAUUGUUUGUUUUUCUUCUUUAUCUUCUGCAUCUUGGAAAAGAUCAUUCACAUUUGUUAUUCUUUCCCUUGUACCAGGUUGGAUACGACCAUUUCAGGAUCUACAAAACAGGAAAGCAGUGAGGGUGGCCGUCUUUUUAAAAUAAUGGCUAAAUCUUUCUCAAAGAGGUGGCAAAAUGGAGAAAUCAGCAAUUUCCAGUACCUCAUGCAUCUCAAUACCUUGGCGGGACGUGGAUACAGUGAUCUUACUCAAUACCCAGUCUUUCCAUGGGUUCUUGCUGACUAUGAGAGUGAAAAUCUGGACUUGUCAGAUCCCAAAACCUUCCGCAAACUUAACAAACCAAUGGGUUGUCAGACACCAGAAGGGGAAGAGGAAUUUAAGAAAAGGUCAAUUCUAAUAUUUUCCAAAAUCCUUCCACUUAAAAGGAAAAAACAAUUUAAUAAUUAUCCUGUAUAUGUUCACCAUUUUUGGAAUGAUCAUAUCAUGGCUGGCAUGCUUGUUUUGCAUUGUCUUUAAAUAUGAAGUUGUAUGCCUAUACUGCUUAUCGUUCCAGUUCUCUUUCUGUUUUUCAGAUACGAAAGCUGGGAUGACCCUGAGGUCCCAAAAUUUCAUUACGGUUCCCAUUAUUCUAGUGCUGGCAUUGUUCUCUUUUAUCUUCUUCGCUUGCCUCCAUUUAGUGUGGAAAAUCAGAAGCUACAGGGUGGCCAGUUUGAUCAUGCUGAUCGUCUUUUCAAUUGCAUAAGAGACACUUGGUUCAGUGCUGCUGGGAAGGGUAAUACAUCAGAUGUGAAAGAACUGAUUCCAGAAUUCUUUUACAUGCCUGAAUUUUUGGAAAAUCGCUUCAACCUUGACUUGGGGGAGAAGCAGUCAGGGGAAAAGGUCUUGUUAAAAUUUUAAAUCUUAAAUUGUGUUUAUGAUAUUUGAUCUUUAUUCUGUUGUUUGAUAAUGUGCCAAAAUAAACUUGAUUCUAAUUUCUCAUUUAUUUUUUUCCGUUGUUUGUAUUACCCAGGUUGGAGAUGUUGUCCUACCUCCUUGGGCUAAAGGCAGUGCUAGGGAGUUCAUCAGGAAGCAUAGAGAGGCCCUAGAAUCUGAUUUUGUCUCAGAAAAUCUGCACCAUUGGAUAGACCUCAUUUUUGGAUAUAAACAAAGGGGAAAGGUGGGUAUUGGCACUGUCUGUGAAGCAUAUUUAAACCUCAAUUUCAUGUAAUUUGUAAAGAUUGCUACUCAUUUUAACCCACAUGCACACUUGAAAAAGAUGAUUAAAGUACUUAAGUUUUCUGUCAUAUGCAAUACCUGCUGAUAUAAUUUGCUUUGUCCUUUUCUGGAUUGCUGUGAAGUUAUACUGGGUCAGUCGGUAUUAUGUUUGUUUUCUCUCUUUCUUUUCCUAGUCUGACUUCAUGUACUGCCCCUUGUAUAAGCAAUGCCAAGUUGUCAUUCCAAGAUAAUGUCUUAAAUCUUUUCAGUUUUCUUCUUUAAUCCUGUUUAUUGUUGUUGUAACUGACAGGCGGCUGAAGAAGCUGUUAAUGUUUUCUACCAUUACACAUAUGAAGGAAGUGUAGACAUAGACUCGGUUACAGAUCCUUCAAUGAAAGCCUCCAUUCUAGCUCAGAUCAAUCAUUUUGGACAGACACCUAAGCAACUAUUCCUCAAUCCCCAUGUGAAAAGGCGGUCUGACAGAAAGCUUCCUCCUCAUCCGCUGAAGCAUUCAGCUUUUCUUGUUCCACAUGAAAUACGGAAAAGCUCUUCUUCCAUUUCUCAAAUUGUCACUUUCAAUGAGAAAAUUCUUGUUGCUGGGGCAAACACAUUGCUUAAACCUAGAACAUAUGCCAAAUAUUUUGCAUGGGGGUUUCCUGAUCGCAGCUUGAGAUUUAUGGGCUAUGACCAAGAUCGUCUCCUUUCAACACAUGAGAAUCUUCAUGGUGGCAACCAAAUUCUGUGUGCUGGUGUUAGUCAUGAUGGUCAUAUUUUGGUGACUGGCGCCGAUGAUGGUUUAGUUUCUGUUUGGAGAAUCAGUGAGGACGGUCCCCGUGCCUCUAGACGAUUGCUGUUGGAAAAAGUGCUUUGUGGUCAUACAGCUAAAAUCACAUGUCUUCGUGUCAGUCAGCCUUACAUGCUGAUUGUGAGUGGAUCAGAUGACUGCACUGUUAUCAUAUGGGACCUAAGCUCAUUAGUAUUUGUUAGGCAACUGCCUGAGUUCCCAGCACCAGUUUCUGCAGUUUACGUGAGUGAUUUAUCUGGGGAAAUUGUGACGGCUGCUGGAAUUCUGCUUGCUGUUUGGAGCAUCAAUGGGGACUGUCUAGCAGUAAUUAGUACAUCCCAGCUGCCAUCUGAUUCUAUACUUUCUGUUACAAGCUGUACCUUCUCUGAUUGGCAGGACACAAACUGGUAUGUAACGGGUCACCAGAGUGGGGCUAUUAAGGUCUGGCAUAUGGUUCACUGCACUGACCAAGAUAAGACCAACAGCAAGUCAAAUAUGAUUGGAACAGGAGGAUUAGAUUUGGGCAAGCCUCCAGAAUACAGAUUGGUGCUCCAGAAGGUCCUGAAGUUCCAUAAACAUCCAGUUACUGCUCUUCACUUAACGAGUGACCUGAAGCAGUUGCUGAGUGGUGAUUCUAGUGGGCAUCUGCUGUCUUGGACAUUACCGGAUGAGAGCUUGAAAUCCUCUUUCAAUCAAGGGUGAUGAUGUUGAAGUAGCAUGUGUGUGAUUUUCAGCUCUAGGAUCAGUUCCUGGUUGUGUUAAAACCCUAAUCAGGUCUGUGCAAGCAUUUGUGAGAGGAAGUGGUUCUUUGUUCAUCAUAUAACAUGAAAAGGAAAAGCAAGACAACAGGGCUGGCCAGGUAUUGUAACAGGACAAGCUGGGAUAAUUUAUGGAGAUGAGGUGGGGAAAAUUUCCUCCAACCUUGCAUAUUAUUAUUUAUGUUGAAAAUUAGAAAGCAUUUAAUGGCUUGAGCUCUCCAUUGCGAUGGUGGAAUUACAGGCGACUCUUUUGUUGUAUUUUUGGCAACCGGGGGAUAUUGCUUUUGAAAAUAUCUCUCUUCUGGUCUUUUGCAUGUAAAUACAUGGAAUUGUUAACAGUGUGUAAUGAAGUUGUAUAGCAGAAAACAAAAUUGCAUUAGAACUGGAUCAUUUGGUGGAAUUGGUCUGGUUAUAAUGGACGAAGGGAUAGUUUGUAGGAAUUUUUUGAGUGUAGUACUUUCGGCUAAAAUUCCCAUUUUUAUUGUGAAUCAUAGUUUGAAUUCUUUGGAGAAUUUGAUUAGUAUUUUUACCUUGAACGGCGGUGUGGCAAGGUGUUGAGUUUCUGCUGCCGCUGGUUUACCCUUCAGAGCCUACUACCUGUUGAAAUCGAAUUUGCUGUUGUACCUGUUUCUGCUUGCAAAUUCCACGAUUGCACCAAUUUCAAUAUGCUAACUCCUUUCCUCUCCAGAUUUUGUUCCAUCCAAUUAUGUUAUUCCAAGCCUAUAUAAAGUUUCACCUCUCAAAUUCCCACCGUUCUUUCUUCUUCUUCUUCUUCUUCUUCCUUUUUUAUUUUUUUAUUUUUAUCAUCAGGUGCUAUACAAAUGAAGCUUUGCGUUUCUUCAUGAUUUUCAUAAUGCUGCUAGAAAACCUAACCACCCCAACUUUUAUUGAUCGAAAUUCUGUUAAUUUAUUGAAAUUGAUUAUGAACGAAUUCAUCAAAUGAAAUUCGAUUUAUUAAACUCAAUAUCUUUUAAUAAAUGUUUUUAUUUGUUCAACCAAAAUACCAUAACAAAUCAAAACAUGUUAAUAACUUUUAAAUAGGGAAUUAAAACAAACUAAAGAAAGAAAAACAUAUUAAAAAUAUUAAAAAUAAUAAUAUUUAGGGUGCCUUUGAUUUGUUGAAUUUUAAAUUACAUUUCAUAAUAAGAUGUAAGAUUACAAAUGAAAUGUAAUCUCUUUGUUUGAGUGCUUGAUUGAUGAGAUGUAAUAUCUCGUUAAAAUAAAUUUUACUAUAUUGUUUUUGUUAUAGAAUUGUCUUUUAUAAAUUUACUUUCUUUCAUAUUUUUUCUUCUCGAAUUUUCAUAACAUUAUAAUAAUUUAAUAGAUUGAUUUUUUAUUUCACUUUAAUUUUAUGAGAUGAAUCUCUUUGCUUCCCAUGUAUCCUAUCUCUCUACUCAGCAAAGGAAAAAAAGAAGAGGGUGAGCAAGUUGUUUCUUUACUUUAUAUUUUUGGUUAGGUGAAGGGUGAAAGCAUGCGUUGCUAACUUUAGCUUUUCGUUGUUCCCUUGUUUAUUAUGCCUUCCUUUUUACACAUCACCAGGUGAAGCUGUUCUUUACAUUUGAAUGGGAUAUAAAUUAUUUGCAGCACCGUGCGUGCGUCUGUGAACUAUUAACCUCGUAUGCCGUACAUACUGCCUUAAUAGCUCCCCUUCUGGUUUUUUCAAUCCUAUAUCUAGUCAAAUGAUGUUAUUGAACUGGUAAUAUGCCACUCUGUGUUUUUUUUUUUUUUGUUCUUACCAAUCUUGGGUAAUCUUAUACCUUAAUCCCACAUAAAACAACCAAUCGAAGAACGAUAUAAUUAACUGGAAAGGCCAUAGUUGAAGGAGACCAAUUUGGUUACUGAAAUUCAAUUACGAAAAAAUGAUUUUCCAUUAGCCAAAGUAAAUUUCUCGGCUGAAUCAAAAACGAAAUUCUGGAGCAAGGAGAUGUUCUAUAAGACUGAAUAAUGGGAAGUGGAAAUCUAUAUGCAUUCCUCUUACUUUUCUCUUUACAUUUACAAAUGAAAAUUUUUAAGUCAUUGUUGGCACCCCCAUUUGAGCCAAAUUCUAAGCAACAAAUUUUUUUCCUAUCUAUUUAAAAGUAAUGAUAUAUCAACUCUAGAUUUUGGAUACCUUUAUGAUGUUGACUUUGCAAUGGCAUGCCUCUAUUUGGUUUCUUUUGUCUAGAGGUACUAAUGAGUUGAGUCGAGUCGGAUUUAUGUAAAGUAUUUAAAUUAUUUUUUUAAGUUUAGGUUCAGCCCGAAAAUGAGUUUAUUUUUUUACCCAAGUAUGAUCUAAUUUUAAAUUAGUAAAAUUGAGCUCGGUUUGAUUCACCCAUGUUUAAUUUUUUAAUUAAAUUUUAUUUAAAAUUUUUUUUAAAAAAAUAUAAUACUAAAUGCACUAAAAAAAAGGCUAAAAUAAAAGUUUCUAAUAUAUUAAAAAGUAUUUAUAUGAUAAGCACUACCAUACAUAUAAUAAAUAUUUUAUUAUAUUAAAAAACACAAAUAAAUAUUAUAAUGCUUUAUUAUAUUAAAUAUAAUUUUUAAAAUUUUAUAUUUUCAGUUGGAUUAUUUAGUUGGGUAAGAUCUUUUUUUAGGUUUUAGGUAAUAGAUUUAAUUGUUAUUGGGUUAGUGAUUUAAUAUAAAUAUAUAUAAUUAUUAUUUAACAUGUAUAAUUAAUAUAUAUUUUUUAACAUAAUAUAUUCAAACUGGGCUUGGGCUCAAGCUCUAAUAAAAAAAAAUCUGACCCAAUGCUAGGCCCAUAUAAAAAAACGAGUGUUAAAUUUUGUCCAAACUCAUUUUUUAAGCUUCAUGUAUUUAUCUAAACCUUUUUCAUUUAAACAAAUCAUUGAACCAGGGCGGGUUUCACAUACAUCAGCAGCUAUAGUUGUGCCUAACCCUACCAUCAAACGCUUAAAACAAAUAGUUUUACUUAUUUGAUGUUAAUAGGUAUUUAUUACAAAUUAUAUCAUAGUAAAUGUUAGGUUUUCCAAAAGCAAAUAAUAAAAGAUUGUGAAAAUCAGUACAUUACAACUUUACAAUCUUUUUAUCAACCUGUUUUCUCACUUUUUAUUGAUUAGACUCUUAAGUGCUUGAUCAAAGAUUAUGUCUCUUUUUUUCUUUUGCUUAGAUGCAAACAGAAGCAAGGCUUAAAUUUACAUCACCUUUAAAAACAGAUCAUCAAUUACAAUUUCUUAUAACCAUUUUUUUUUUGCCCAAUAAUUUAUUAAAAGAACUGAUUAAAAAUUGGCACAGCAUGUUUACUACUAAUAAGUCAAUUGUCAGCAAUUGGUAUUUUGGGAUAGCAGGUAUUAUUUUAAGAAAAUGAAAAGAUGAAGUAGCUAGACAUGUAGAUAAAGAAGGAAGACUGUGUGAAAAAGUUCAGAACUUUCACACUGCCCUUUGUCUGUGUGCAUGGCAUUGGCGUGGCCAUCAUAAUAUUCAUUUUGUCUCACUUUGGACCACUGCCCUCUGUUAUCAUUUGCUCUUUUUUUUUUUUAAAUAUUAUAAACUAUACUUUAUUUCCUAAGCUUUUUCAUCAUAACUUAACUACUCUUGCUUAUAAAUAAUCAACAAACAAAUCAUCAAAAUCACUCAAAUCCCCCCCCCUCUCUCUCUCUGUCUCUAUAUAUAUGCCCUUAUUUCUCUCAUAUUAAUCUGUUUGAUAAUUAUUGAGAUGAGUAGAUUAGAUAAAUGUGUUUGUUUGGGUUGAAGAGGUGGAUGAUUAGAUUACGAGGGUGGCGUGAACCUACAAGCAGUUGAAGCUGCCAGCAUGAUCUAAACUUCCUUCUCUGUUGAGGGAUAGAUGGGAUCAUGUGGUAGCUUCACCUGUUGUUGGGAUCACGAGCUUGAUAGAUAUUCACCACUACAUCAUCAUUUCCAGUUUUCUCCAUCAUCACUGAAGAAAGGACGUCAUUAGAUCAUCUUCUAUUGCAGGCUGCCCCAUAUAUGCAUUUUCAUUUCUCUCUUUCUAUUUUAACUCUUGCUUUUCUUGCCUUUUUUUAAUUUUUUAUUUUUGGGUAACUUUUUCGAGGCUUGGGUUUGAGUUUGACUGUCCUUUUUUCUGCUUUCAUAUUAUGUGUCAAUUGGGUGCAACCGCAGCAGCCGGUUGCAGGUUUUAGUCCACAUCUUCUAGAGGGAUUGAAUUACUUUUCACAUUAAGCAGAAAAACACAAAGAUCAAAGCAUUUUUUUUAUUAGGGUAUGUUUGAAUCCGUGAUCUAAUAUGAACAAAAACUUAAGCAAUCUAAAUCAUUUGUCCCGGUGACUAAUGGAUAAAAAAAGAAAAAGAAAAAGGGUCAUAGAAGGUUGAGCCAUGCAACAGGACCAAGUACGUGGUACAGCAUAUUCCCCCAUUCAUCACUUCUCCUUUUGGUUGUUUGGGGAUGUGUGGUUGGUGUUGGAGGGAAUCUUAAAAGCCCCAAAGAAGUUAAUGUUUAGGGUUUUCAGUGGCAGAGUUUCUCCCAACUCUAAAAGGUUACUUGGUAGGUACUUUUGAGAUCCCAUCUUUAUCCCCUCAAGCAUGGAUAGCUUCUACAUUUCCCUUGUCGGGGGCUUUUUUUUUUUUUCUCACAAUGUUCAUUGGCUGCUUGACCAUAAUACUACCGAAAGAGAGAGAGAGGAGAGAAUGAAACAUAAUAUAAUAUUAUGAAACUUGGUAGUAGUUUUUUUUUUUUAAAUAAAAGGUUCAUUGGGUAAUUCAUUAAUCUUUAAGCCACCUUAAGUCCUCUAACCCACUUAAGCCCAUGUGGCUCAAAGAUUCUUUUAGCUUAUUACCCAUUCAGACUACAUAUUUAAAGAUAACACAAAAAAAAACCCUUAAGUUCAGACCUCAUUUAACAAAUAGCUCAACAGAUCAAAUCAUUACAAAAAUAAUUGAGUUUCAGAACUACUGCAUAAGAGUCACUCUCGAUCUCUAUGUUGCAGAGCUCUCCUCAUGUGCAAACUUUAGUCCCAUUAGCAAGGCUUAGGUCUUCGCCCAUGUGGCGCUAUGCAAUCCGGCCAUCGGCUGCACAAUGCGGACCCUCAUGAGUUCAUUCAAGUCAUGCACAAUGGCGCCCAAGCUCGCAUGCUAGCUCGACGAAUCAUGGACUGCAUGUUAAUCUUAUGGUUUAAACUCCUGGAAUAGUAUUCAGUUAUGGCCGCAACCUAGAGUAAUGUCCGUAUUGUAACGGUUUUGAAAGCUAUCGUACCACAAUAUUGGCACAACGUGAUGGAGGAAUCGCAUCAUGAUUGUUGUGGUAAAAAGCCGUCACAUAACACUGCAAUAAUUCUCUACUUAAAGAAUAUGCAUGAUCUUUUAUGUUACAAAAAUUAUAAGGAAUUGACAAAUUAGACGAAGAAGUUAUAUGGAAGGAGAAAUGGAAGCUAAAGGUGUAAAUUUGGGGGUCUUGAUCUUGGGCUUUGGGGGUUUAAUUGAGAGAGAGAAGGAAGGUAAGUUGAAGUUGGAGUUUGAAGGAGGAAGGUGGAUUGAAACUCGAAGGAGGACGGUUUGAUUAAUGACUGAUUUAAAUUUCAAUGUAGCAGAGUAAUUAUGGUAAAUAUGUUUAAUUAAUGAAAAACUAGAUUCCCUCAACAAUAUAGGUUUUUAAGUGUUAAAAGAAAUUUAAGUGGUUAAAAAAAAAUGUUAAAUAGUUGAAUAGAGAAGAUUAUUUUUAAUUUAAAUUAAAUAACCUAUAUGAAAAAUUGUGAAAUUUCAAAUGUUGAUUUUAUGGCCAUACCCUUAAUAUUCGGUAACAAUUCAGUGACUAUAACAAAAUAUGUAGAUAACAUUAGUUUUAAAAUUUGAUAAUCAAAGUGUAAUUUAAAUUAUAUAUAAAUAAUUGAAUUUGUAAUUUAUUCUAGAUUUAAGAACAAAAUAAUACUUAAUUAAUAAGUAUUAGAUGUAGUAGUAUGAUAAAUUUAAAACUUUAAUCAAGUAGGUCUUACACGGAUAUAAAUCUAUAUACUUAUAUUUUAAUUAAUUUCUUUUAGUAAGUAAUUAAUAUUCCCCUGGCCAAAAAUGAAAUUUAAUAUUCGGAAUUUUUAAAUAUUGUGAGUUUUAUUCCUUAAACUUUAUAAAACAAUUUAUUUGUCGUGUUACAUAUUAUUUUUAUACAUGUUUUAAAUUGUAACGAAAUAGUUAUUAUAUCACUACUUCUAUUAACUUCAAUAUUUUUUUUGGCUUACUAAAAAGCUCUCAAAUUAAAAAUAAUAAUAAUUAAAUCCCUAUUUUUUUUUACACUUACUUUCACAAUGUAAUAAAAAUACUCUAAAUUUGUUUCAAAAAAAAAAUAAUUAAAUCCCUACUUUUUUUGCAUUCAAUUGAGUUUGGACUGCGCUUUAACUUUUUUUAGUUAAAGCUAUUUGUGCCACAAUCACGAUGUGACAUGUGGGAAAAAAGUAAUAAAAAUUAAAAAUAAAUAAAAUUUAUAAAAAUAAUUAAAUUUUAAAAAUUUAUUAAAAAUUUUAAAAAUUGUAAAAAAUUAUAAAAUAUAUACAAAUAUAGAAAAAAGUUAUAAAAUUUUAUAAAGUUGUAAGAAAAUUAUAAAAAAUGUAAAGAAAUAUAAAAUUCGUAAAAAAAUUAUAAAAAUUAUCGUACUAAAAAAAGUAUUUUAUAAUUUUUCUAUAACUUUUAUUGAUUUUUAUUUUUUAUCAUUUUUCAUCAUAUGUCACGCUGUGUUGCGGCACAUGAUGGCUUUAACUGAAAAAAAUUUGGGGUCGUUAGUUUAACGAUCAACGGUUAAAAGGUCUUUUUGAUGUCUUUUAUAAUUAUUUAUGAUUUUAUAAAAUUUUAUAUUUUUAUUUAAAAUUUAAUAAUUUUUAUAACUUUUAUUUAUUUUUAUUUUUUAUAAUUUUUUGCCGCAUGUCACUCCGUAGUUGUGACACAGGUCGCUUUAUUUGAAAAAAAUUAAGGGUAGUUAACUUUAAUAAUUAACUGUCAAAGUUAAUGGUCAAAUAGCCUUUUUAAUGCAUUUGACAGUUCAAGUACUCAAUUGAGUGCAAAAAGAAAAAUUAGGGGCUUAAUUACUCUUUUUGAAAAAGUUUGAAGGUCUUUUUGAUACAUUUUAAAAAUUCAAGUAACCAAUUAAGUGCAAAAAAAAGGGAGACUUAAUUUUUUUUUGAAAAAGUUUGAGGGUUUUUUACACCAUUAACCUUUUUUUUUUGCCAAAAAAAUAGUAACACCAAUGUUUAAACAUUAACGACAUGUUUGGUUCAGUAGAAUAGAUAGCACUGUAAUGGAAUAGAGUUAUAAUUUAAAAUUCAAUUGUUUAGUUGAAUAGAAUAGAAUAGAACUGUAAUAGUAUUCUUGUGUUUAAUUGAAUGAAUAGAUGUUGUAAUAAUAUAAAGAAAAAAGAUGAAAUGGUAAGAGUACCUUUAGCAGAAUUUUUGUAGGUAAAUAAUUAUUGUUAUUAUUGUUAAAUUUUUAUAGGAUUAUUAUUAAAUAUAAUUUAAUAAAAAUAAAUAUAUAUAAUUUAACAGCAUUCUUAAUUAAUUAUUUUUAUAUUAAAUUAUAUUAAAGUAUUUCAGAUAUUUUAUUUUUUAUAUUUUUUGAGUCUAAGUUUUAAAGGAUUAAUGUGAAAAUUAAUUUUGUUUUCGUUAUUUUUCUUUUUUGGUAAAAAGGAAAUUAUAACUUAAUUAUAAACCACUAAAAAAACUCAUCUCGUUGUUCUUAUCAAUCAACCGCAACCCUAUUUAUUUGUCUCUUCUAAGCUUGACUAUUCCGUCAGCAAUACUAUUCUCUUCUCUGGGAAUAUGUUGAAGGUUCCAUUUACUCAAAACCUUCAAAAGCAAAAUAAUUCUCGUAACUAAAGCAGAAUUAGAACCAUCGCGAACUCCAUCAUGAAUGAGAUUGACAGCUUCAAGGUUAUCUAUUCGAAUGAUGACUUUCCAAAAGUCGCGAUCAUAAUUUUAUUUUGUUAUUUAAUAUUACAUGAAAUAAUCAUUCUUUAAUGAUACUAAAGAAUUAUUAUUUUGAUAAGACAAGAAUCGGAGAAAUAAUAAUAUUCUAUUAAAAAAGUAUUACAUUCAACCAAAUAAGAAAAAAAAAAAAUCCUUGGAGUGCUAUUCCUUUCCCCACCCAAUCAUGUUGUAAAAGGAAAGGAAAAAAGAAAAUUACCGUGUAAACAUUUUAAUUUUUUCCAUUCAUUCCAAUUUGUCACUGCUGAUGUCACAACCACAACUGGACUUCGCGUCAUUGGGAAAAUUGCAAAAUACGUAAAACAUGGUUUCGAGUGCCAAUCGAGAGGAAGCUAAUUUUUUUUUUCAAAUUUACAUUAUAAAAUUUUGGGAGUUAAAAUAAAUUUAAUUUUUAUAAUUUGAAAAUAUUAAAUAAUAAAUUUAUCAUUUUUGAGGUGUAUAUUUUAAAUUUUUUAUUAAUUUACUCAAAUUUUCAUUCAUAAAUUAUUUAUAAAUUUCAACCUCUAUAAAAUUGGGAAAUGGGUAAAGAAUUGUAAGUAAUUUUUAGAAUUUGACUAAUGUGAACAAAGAAAAGAAAAUUAAAAAAACUUGACUUCAUUUAAAGGUUUAAUUUAACUUAAAUUUAAAUUUAAUCAGAUACAAUGAGACCAUGGAAUAUCGAAAGAUAAAAAAAAAAGGAUAGUUAUUUGCAGUAUGGUACAAGCUGAGGAUAUAGGAGAAAUAAUUCCAUUCUCCAACCAAAAAAAAAAAAAAAGUUAAAAGAAUAACUGGAAAAUGAGUUAGAGGUAUUUAGAAGGCCAUCAUCAUCAUCUUUGCAAACUCCUCAUAGCUGACUACUCCAUCUCCAUCCACGUCGGCUUCUCUUAUCAUCUGCUCUGCUUCUUCCAUUGUUAAUCUUUCUCCCAGAUUCAUCAUCACUUGUCUCAACUGCAUGGCAUUUAAUUCAAUAUGAAUUCCCUCCACUUGUCAAAUUAGAUAAGUGAUGGGUAAGCAAUGUUUUUACCUCGUUUGCUGAUAUGAAUCCAUCUUCAUCUCUGUCAAAUACUUUGAAAGCUUCUUGUAGUUCAUCCAUCAAGUUUUCCUGUCACAUUUAUGUACAUGCUUCAUUCUCCACUAGUCCACUUUGUUAAGCUUAAAAAGAAAAAAAGAGCAUCACUUGCAAAUAAAAAUUGUUUAAAAUUUACCUUCAUUUUACUUGCCAUAAUAUUUAAGAAAUCUUUGAAAUCGAUGGUCGUCCCAUUUCCUUCAACAUUAGCCUCACUGAACAUGCCUUGAACUUCUUUUGUAGGGUUUACAUCUAAUGUUUGGAUCACUGCUGCCAACUCUCCCAUGGUAAUGAACCCUGCAUUAAUGUUCAACAUAUAGGUGUGAAGGGUAAACUUAAUCUUCACUAAUACUGAUUAAGAUAGAAAACGUACGACAGUAUGGGCGUACCAUCUGAAUCUUUAUCGAUCAAGCAAAAGGCUUCACGAAACUCAGAAAUUUGAUCUUCUGUCAAUGUAUCUGCCAUUCUGGUUUUAGCGAUGAAAUAGGAAAGAAAUGAAAGGUAGAGGAAUAAGUUAGUUGCCUCCUUGUAUGGAAGAAUAUAAAUAGGGGAGUUGGUAUACUUCAGCCAAAAGGAAUUGGAAAUAUUCAAACACGCUUGAGUUUGAAUUCCAUUCAAAGCAUUAAAUUUUUCAGAAAAUUAUUGAAGCCUUGAAUCAACUCCCAGGAAAAAGGUUUAGAAUUUCCAUCAAAUUCUGUGUCUUGGACUUGGCAUUCCAUCCUAAAUUCAGCUACACCAUGACUUUUUAUCUUUAAUUACUACCAUUUUUUUUUUCUUUUUUUGGUUCACAUCAUAAUCUUUGAUAAAGUAGAUCUUAUAUCUCUCUAUGUCUUCUCAUAUCAUAAUCAUAAUCGUGUUUAAAAAUUAUAUAAUCAUAUAAAUUUUGACUCUCCCUUCUCCUCCUUUUUUAAAUUUUUUCUAAAAUAUAUUUUAAAAAGGAAGGAAUAAAAAAUGCGACAUUCAACUAAUUCUGGUCAGAGUGGUUAUUGUAAUAUGAAGAUUUUUCUAGCAUACGAUUCAGGUUUCACACCGAUGCAAUUUCUUUCCUUCACAAAAAAUAAUGGUAAUUGGAGCAAACAUUCAUUUAAUCACUUUUCUUCUUUUCCCCCUCUCUCUCAUAUGUAUAUUAGAUUAGUUUACUUCUUACGCGUCUUUUUUCUUUUUUUUUGGGUUCUGAACUUCUUACGCGUUUCAAAGAAGAAAACCUAUAAUUUUGGCUUUAUAACUUUAGGGAAUUUGAUUUAAGACUAUUUGCUUCUAUUUUGUAGAUAUAGAAAAAUUAAACGAAUUUUAAAUGAUGGACAAAAUCAAAACUAUUUAUUAGAGUGUUGCGAUAAAUACAUUGCGCGAGAUUAUUGUUGAUAGAGACAAUCAUGAAACAAAAAACAAAAAUUAUUCAUUAUUUAAUAAUAAUAGAAAAGGAUUUUGUUUAGUUUUAUAUCAACACCAAUAAUUUCUUACUUUACAAUUUCUGUAUCCAUAUUAAUUAUGAUUAUCAUAUUCAGAUUGGACCAACCGAUUGAACCAAAAAAUAAAUGUCCAAUCGAUUUAACUCGCGUACCAUAAAACCGAAAAUAUUUCAAACCAAGAAAGAAAAAAAUUGUUGAACUAGUAAACAAGACUGACUAGACAGGGUAAAAGAUCCAUUACAGAAUUGUUUGAACUAGUUGUUAUUAUUUAUUUGUAUUUAUGAUUUUUUUUUUUAAUUUUAUGAAAACUGAUUACCACAUUUUUUAUUGACAAAUUUAACGGAUGUACUGGCUGCGUAUCAGAGGCUCAUAUUUCGCUGCCAGAAGGCAAACGAGAUCAUGUAGUAAAAAACCAGACAGCUUUGGGAGAUGCAAAUUAAACAAGGGCAACAAGCUUCACUUAUAAGUAAGAAACGAAACGGGUAAUGAAAAUGCUAUCACAAACAUUUGCCAACUACCCCUUCUGCCUCUAGUAUGUUUCAGAAAGCUGAUAUGGUAAACUUGUUCAUAGAGGCUGAUCUGCUGAAUUGAUCCCCAGGGUGAUCUCUGGACUUUUUUUAUUUUCUAAUCUCUUGUUUAUCUAUGAUAAUUCAGCUCUGAACAAAGAAAACAGAAAGCUAAUAUGUUACAUGAAAACAGGCUUGAAGAUAUGAAUCACAAACAGGAUAAUAUUAGAUGAUAAAACACAUAGCUAGAAGAUGUCUUGCAUUACAUACGCUAUGACUAGAGAAAUAUAGGCAAUUUGGAAGGGCAGCAGCAGGUAUGGCCGCUGUUUAGAUUGGUUGACCUUCCGGCACAAUUUGAUCCUUCAACCACAUAUAGAUAGGUACCAAUACAUAAUACGUAGCUGCCAUGGUACCCAGUAUAAAGCGCAACAGGAAUGUUAAUGGGUUUAUCGGUUUCGAUACAUCCUCUGCCUUCGGGCCAAGCUGAAAAGGAAAGAUAAAUGAGAAGCAAGAGAGUUUAGUAAUAACACGAAAUGGCCUCACGUCUACAUGAAAUGCUAUUUUCUGAAAGUUUCACUAUUACAAAUACAAUACAAGUACAAACAAAAGUCCACCCAAUUACAAUGUAGAAUCAAACUAGUACGAAAUAUUCAGACCAAACCGGACAAAAUUCACACAUGGUAGGACUGGAAACCCACAUAUCGCAAUUGCAUAUGGUGAACUCGAACUUAGAUAUUCAAAGACCCAAGACUUCCGCCUUAACCAACAAGCGGAGGCCUCAUAGAAAAAAGGAUUAAGUAACCUGCAUUAUCGAAGGAUAUUGUUUUGCACCACACACACACAAAGUACCCAUGUAGAAUGUACUUGAUACAAUGACUUCAUAUUAUGAAAGAAGGAGGGAAGGGGGGUGACUUAUGUUUAGUUAAUAGUUACCGAGGGGAAGAAAAUUUAAUAUUUAUAAACUGGUGAUUGAGAGUUAAUGCUGAGCAAACAGCAAAAGCAGAACCAGAAUUUCAACAAUAUUGAAGACAAGGAGAUUGAGGCAGUUCCAACAGAGUAAUAUAAGCUUAUGAUUAUGAGUCCUUAAACUGGAGGCUAACAUAGGGGAACUCUGUACGAUACCCUUACCUCAGAUAUCAAAUCCUUUGCUCAUAAUACGGGAUGUUCAAGAUAUACAAUACAUGCAUGGUCAACAAUAGAGAAAAAGUUCAACAAAAUGAUGCAGCGAGCCAUUUCCCACAUCAAAAAGUGAUUACCUGCAAAGGAGAGUCCCCAGAUGCAGGUUUGACACCAGUUACAGAGCACCCCAUGAUCAAACCAUGUCUGCGAACUCCACGAUACCACUUAGGGCCAAUCCUUUUGAGUUGGACAUCCUUAAAUCCAGCCUUUUCAAACCACUCAAUGUACUCUUCCUCCUUAGGGAAAAGCAUCCAAACAUCCGCAAAGAAGCGUGACAACCAGAAUGUAGGGUACACAGGACCAAUCAGACAAGCUUUUCCUCCUAGUUUCAACACCCUGUAUGCUUCCUUGAUGCCCCGUUGUGGGUCUGGCCAGUACUCUAUGCUGAAAAACAUAACAGCAUGAUCCCAAUAAAACUUCAUCAAGUUACCAUCUCCCCACCCUUAAAUUCAAAAUAAAUCAUCCAUGCAAACCAGCUAGCAAAUUACCAUAUUUUAUGAUUAUAGAUUAUGUACUCCGAGAUGCCCCAAUUGACAGUAUCUUCUACAAAAUCGUAUCGUAGAGACAAGAACAAUAAAACCAAUCUAUAAUGACAAGGCCAAUUAAGCCAUCGUGCAUAACAAUUACAAAGAGCACCAUCCAACCACAAACCCCCAAAAUUUUGCAUCUUAUUGUGAAAACAUAUAGUCAGUGCAUUUCAAGCAAACAAAUUCCAGUAACACCAAAAGAGUUGGAAAAAUGUACCUGCCAGCAGACACAUAUCUGUCGGCAUAAUCAGUACGGAAGGGGAGAUCUUCUGCAUCACCUUCAAUUAUCCUGCACUCCUUCAGAGACUCCUUUUGCUUAGCCUUGGCAAGCUGGUGCGGAGAUUGGUCGAGAAUUGUAACGUUCUUAGCAUCCACAUGCUUAACGAUACCCAAAGUAGUGAAACCAGUUCCACCACCAACAUCUACAACAAUCAUGUUCCUGUUGUUAAGAUCGGCUGGCUCAAGUGCAUCAUCCCUCAUGUCUUCAGUCCAGUGACCAGGGUUUAUCACAUGGUCAUAUAUAAUUGAGAGGAACCUGUAGAACCAAAAAGCCUCCUUUUUGUGUUGUAUGAAUCUUGGUUGUGAAGCUGGCCUUGAUGCUGAUAAGCCGCACUUUGGAGCCAUUGUUGUUCCUGGCCUGGAGAUCCUCGCACUAGAGGCUAAACCCAAAUUGGAUAAGUGUUUCCCAUGAAAACCUGACCCUAAAAAAUCAAUCCUAUUUGGGGUUACCCCCUAAUGAGAGUGAAGUUUUCUGCUCCAUUGAGCAUGGAAGAAGCCAUGGAUUAAGCAAGCAAAAAAAAAAAAAAACCCACGAUUUGAAAAGCUGCAAUCUUUACUUGUUGAAAGAUUUGAGCAAAAUAUCAAUUACCAAGAUAAACACCUUAAGGGUAAACGAGAUUGGAGCAAAAAAAGGGUACCGUUUUGGGCUAGCUAGUUUUAGUAUUUUAGCGUCUGGCUUUCUGCAACUUUGGUUGAGACUUAAAGGAAACGGACACCACAGCUUUUGGACUGGACUCUGCUCUCUGGCGGUUUCAGUCUGCAGGUUUGUUUAUUUAUUCUCUGUAAUUAGAAAUUGUUUGUAAUUCUAGCUUGAAUCAAUUAUUGUGCUUAUGUUUGUGAUUAGGAAUUAAUGGUUCAAAUGUAGUGAAGUAAGAGAAGUAAAUCAGCUGAUGUUGGCUAUACAAUACGCUUAUUUGUCAAUCGUGGUUCGUGGACUCUUUACUCUCCUCAUGUUCCUAAUCCAAUUUAUAUUUCCUUCUUUUUGUUUCAUUUCUCCAACGACUUUUCUUCCUUUCUAAUGAGAAAUGAGAAUGACGUAUACAUGAAAAUUCUUUGAAAGAGAUGAUUUAUGGUAAUUUCAUUUUCUCUUUUAUAAUAUUUCAUUCCUUUCUUUUUCAUUUUAAGUUUAAAUUCAUUUCCAAGAAUUUUAUGUAAAUAACAAUUGAAUAUAUCAAAUUCUUGUACCAAAAAUAAAUAAAUCAACUUCUUGUCUAAUAUUUCAGUUAGCAAUUUCCUUUUAAAAAAAAAAUUUCCUAAAUUUUGACAAAAAGGGCAUAAUUAUAGUUAUAAAAUAUACCUAUCCAUAGGUACAACUGUUAAAGAUCCACUCAAAAUUUAAAAAAAUUCAGAAAAAAAUAUAAACUCAAAAAUCAAACCCGUUUAAAAAAUAAACAUGAGUAAAAAAAUUUUAACCCUGGGCCGGCCGAGAUUUUUUCAACCUUAUUCCCAGACUCCUCCCUAUUCCUAAUUCCCCUUUCUAAUUUAUUUGGCUAUUGUUUUUAAAGUAUCUCCAUAUUUCUUUAGCUUUAUUUUUCUUUUUUCUUUUUUUCUUCUCUGGUCUCCCUGGUUUAAAACAAAAAAAAAAAAAAAAAACAUGGGAGGUACGCAAGAACCUUCUGUUCAUUUAUGAUAUAUUCUUGCAUAUUGCUUCUUUUUUUUAUUUUCAUUUUGUUUGUGUUUUUUCAGCAUUGGGUUCUCAAAGAAUUUUAGAAUAUUCAUAUGUUUUUAUGCUUUGAUGUUAUAUGUGUAUAUAUGUAUAUUGUGUGGAUGCUUUGAGUUUAAUUUUAAGGUUUAUUUUCAUAAAAUAAUUAGCAUUUGAUGAUUUUCUUCUUCCUUUUUUGUGGGUUCUCAGGUACCAAAGAUUCUGCUCGCUAUGGUACUUUUGAAUGCAUCCUUUUUGGACAUUUAGCCUUUGAGUCCCUCAUUUGUUUAUGUUUUGCAGCUUUGGGUUUAUGUAUUUAUACUCAUGUUUGAUCUUUCUAGGCCUCUUUUCAUAUAUAUAUAUAUAUAUAUGAUGCAUUUGUAAUCAUUGCUGUUUCUUGCCAUCUUGUUCUUUAAUUUCUUUUCAUUCAAUUUGUUCACACUAUCUGUUUGUUAAAAUUUUCCACUUGUAGUGGUGAAACACCAAUUCACAUCAAACUAACCAAGAAAGCCUCUGAAAGAGGAGAUGGGAACCUUUUCGUUUUCGCAAUAUACGGAGACGGCAACAUCGAAACGCUUUCGCCGACAUGACUGCAACUUGUGGUAAUCAAAUCAUUCAUUUAUUUGAUAUAGAAAAACAUCAAUGAUCUUUGCUAAAAACAUGUUGGUGUCACUUUUCGGAUAGGUGAAGGAAGGUAUGCAGAAGUUUAUAAAGGGAAAUUGAAAACUGGAAACCCCGUUGCGAUUAAGCGGCUAAACCAUGGUCCGUUGGAAGAGAUGACCAUCGAUUUCUUAUCUGAGCUCAGAAUUGUAGUUCAUGUUGAUCAUCCAAAUAUUGCUAAGUUGAUUGGUUAUAUAAUAUAUUUUUUAAAUUUAUUUUAUAUAUAUAUUGAAUUCAAUAUAUAGUAAUAAGGGUAGGUCCGAAUUUAGCAUAUAUAAAAAAGGUCGGAUUUAAACAAAAAUUAAGCUCCCUUUCAGGUCAGUUCCAAGCCUAUCAAUCAAUCAGAUCUAAAAUUUUAAUUAGGUCUAUUUUUUGAACUUAACUUGACGUCAUGUAUGAACACUUCUAAGUAGAAUUAAUCCCAAAUUCUAAUUAAAAAUUAGAAAAGAAAAAUGAUGAAUUUGGGUCUUCGAAGAGAAAAACUCAAAAGGCCAUAGGCCUAUUGCCUUCUCCCAUUAAAUUUAUUAAUUUGAGCCUCGACGUAGUCCAACAAUCCGUAGUCCAAGAAAAAUGGAUGAACUACAUCUCUUUUUGCUUUUAAACAUGAAUUCUGUUAAAAUUUAAUGAUGUGAUUAGCGUUCUUAAAAUAUGAUUGAACUGGUUGAAUUGAAAAUUGCUCAAAAUUAAUAAAAUUGCUUAAAAAUCAAUAGUUGAAUAAUUUCAUAAAAUUUUUAUUUUAAAAAAAAUUAUGAAUUUUUAAUUAAUUAAGUAAUUAAUUAAUUGUUGUUAGUUUAGUAAUUGAAUCGAUUGAAUCGGAAAUCAAUGGUUUGAUCAAUUCAACCACUUGUCCAAUUAUUGAAUCACUGUACGUGAGAUUCUAAGAUUGUACUAUGUCAUCACUUAAGAAUUUAUAUAAAAUGAUGACAAACAUAUAAAAUGAGUAAUUAAAGUGAAAGUAAUUACCAAAAAUAAAAGGGUGAUUGACAGGUUAUAUUAUAUUUUAAAGGCAAACAAGGUGUAAAUGAAUUAUGAAUUUAUCAUAUAAUAAACUCUUGGACAAUAUCUUUGAUAAAAAAUAAAAAGCUUCGACGAUAUCAAAAGGGAAAAAGGUUCCAGUAACAGCUUUUGGAUUCUCCGCCAUACGAUGAUAAAACAAGAAAAAAACACCUCAGAUCUUAACUUCUUAUUCUGACUUUUAUAAUUCUUGUUCCCUUAAUCACUCUCGAAAGACAUGAAAGACAACAAGGUCAUUGAUGUAUUUUUAUACCUGCGUCGGCUUAGACAGAAAAAUUUACAAAGACGACAUGAUCCAGACAUGUCACAACAAUUUUAGAAACCUUUUUUGCCAAUGAACUUGGCAAUAUAUAAGCACUUCUCGUUUCUGUUCUUUUCAUCCGAGCCUACAUCAUUUAUUUCAUACAUACCGAACUCCGACGUCUUAAUUGUUAAGCCUCACACACAAACACAGUAGGUCCAACACAAAAUGUCUCUGCCGUCUAACUUGAACCCUGAUGAGGCUAGUCCGCCCUGGCUGAACAAAGGUGAUAAUUCUUGGCAGCUAACUGCAGCUACCCUGGUAGGUCUCCAAAGUGUGUCGGGUCUUGUAAUCCUAUACGGUAGCAUAGUGAAAAAGAAAUGGGCUGUGAACUCAGCCUUCAUGGCACUUUACGCCUUUGCAGCGGUUCUUGUAUGUUGGGUUGGGUGGGGUUACCGGAUGGCAUUCGGGGACAAGUUCAUUCAUUUCCUAAGAAUGCCUAAUAUUUCCUUGGACGCUCAGUACCUCAUCGAGCAGGCUUUUCUCGGAUAUUUACCAAAUGCAACCAUGAUCUACUUCCAGUUUGUGUUUGCAGCUAUCACUUUGAUUCUGGUGGCUGGGGCAUUGCUUGGAAGGAUGAAUUUCCUUGCAUGGAUGUUGUUUGUGCCACUUUGGUUGACAUUUUCCUAUACUAUAACUGCAUACAGUAUUUGGUGCCUUGAAGGGUGGCUAUCUAAGAAAAGCAUCAUCGAUUACUCUGGAGGAUAUGUUAUUCAUUUGUCUUCUGGUGUAGCUGGUUUCAUUGCAGCUUACUGAGUAAUGACUAGAAUAUUAUAUUACACAAUCAAUGUCGUUCAAUUUUUAAUAAGAAAAAAAGGGUUUUUAAUUGAGUCAAUUGUUGUAUAAAUUGGUGAAGGUUGGACCAAGAACCACCAAGGACAAGGAGAGGUUCCCACCAAACAAUAUCAUGCUGAUGCUGGCAGGGGCAGGACUACUUUGGAUGGGAUGGACUGGUUUCAACGGUGGUGAUCCCUAUACCAUCAGCACCGAUGCAUCGUUAGUCGUCCUUAACACCCACGUCUGCACGGCCACAAGUUUAUUGACAUGGCUCAUGCUUGACAUUAUUUUCUUUGGAAAGCCAUCAGUGAUUGGAGCCACACAGGGAAUGAUCACUGGCUUAGUUUGCAUCACCUCUACAGCAGGUAAAAGACCAUGAGCUAUCGUAAUAACGUGCAUGAUAUUACCUAUAGAUGCAUGACAUGACAAUGCAUUUAUAUAUCGAUAGUAACCAAAGAUUUUUGUCAUCUUGCUUUGGUUAGGAGUGGUGCAAGGUUGGGCAGCAAUAUUGAUGGGGAUGAUGUCUGGUAGCAUCCCAUGGUACACCAUGAUGGUCCUCCACAAGAAGAUAGGGCUCCUCAAGCAAGUCAAUGACACUAUGGCGGUAUUCCACACGCAUGUCGUAGCAAGUAGCCUAGGAGGCAUCUUGACUGGCCUGUUUGUGGUGCCUAAGCUCAACCGACUUUUCUACAUGGUAGACAACUGGCAACACUACAUUGGUUUUUUCUACGGACUCCAUACAGGUCACACCACAGCCGGGUUCAAGCAACUCGGUAUUCAAUUGCUAGGAAUCGUAUUUGUAGUGCUCCUCAACAUAUUCACCACUAGCGUGAUAUGUCUGUUAAUCAGUCUAAUCAUUCCACUGAGAUUAGCUGAGGACGAAUUACAAACCGGGGAUGACGCAAUCCAUGGAGAGGAAGCUUAUGCACUGUGGGGUGACGGGGAGAAUUAUGAAUCUAAGCUGAAUUCCAUUUAUGAAGAAUUCCCACCACCAUCAAAAGGUGGUGAGGUUCAAAUGAAUCAACUGGCUUGAUUUGAUCAUGUGUGCUUCACAGUCACACAUUGUGGCGAAUUGGUCCCAUAACUUCUUCUGAAUGUUUGUUCCCACUUUCUUACUGUAUUGUCGUUUUGAUUGUCGUUUUUCAUUUCUAAUGAUUAGAUUCCACGUAAGUCGGUUGAACCAGGAAAGCAAAAAGUGAGAAAUUAAGGUGCCCAUCGAUAGAAAUAAGAACUCUACCAAGCUUUCACUAUUGUAUUUCUUGUUGAAUACAAUCAUAUAUUUUGGUGCUAUUUCAACUUUGCAUUUUCCGUUCAGCUUUUUCUUUUUUGUCAAUUUAUUUUUCUAUUGUAUUGGAGACACUCUUAAUAAAUACAUCUUUGACAUUGUCUUAUAAUGUCUACGACACCAAACCAAUUUAUACCAAUUAACCCAAAGUCAAUUCAACAGUUAGAGAAGUUUGUCCUUUAAAAUGAAAUUUGUUAUUUUGCAUAGCACUCUUGUGAUUGUGAAAGCUUCUACAUUAGUAUCAGUACUCAAAAAAUUCCUAAUGGAGAUGGUUGGGGGGAAAAGAGAAAAAAUGAAAUACAAUGGAUUGAGACAAACAAGAGCCGAAAGGAAUGACUAAAGUGUCUAAAUGCAGAUGAUGGUAUAAUAGAAAUAGACAGCAGUGAUAGGAAAAUUUUCCAAACAAGGGUGGACCGAUUUUCCCUAUCAAUAACAAAAAGGGAAUUUUUCUCCGCUUGUAACACCCCUUACCCGUACCAGAGACCAGGAUAGGGUACGAGGCAUUAUCAGAAAAAUAUACAAACAUCCAACUAAAAUAUGGGCUAUAAAAUUUCAUUUUUAUUUCGAAACAUUCAUUCACAUGCACAUAGAUCAUAAAGCAAUGAAUCAAGCACGCAUAAUCAAUUAGACUUACAACCCAAUAAUCGAAUAUAAACCAUAUGACAUGGCUAUAUACGAUUUAACCAUAAUAAGCCAAUACGUUUGGCUAAAUCAUACUAACAACUAUCAUACAGACUAAAUCUCUAUACAUGUCACUCACUUGAAAACACUUGAAGUUUAUCGACGCUACACAUCAAUGUUCUGAUAGUGUGAUGCUACUUCCGACAAUCUCCAACCUCGAGCCGACCUGUAAAUACUAAAAAAAUGGAGAGGGGGGUAAGCUUUACGCUUAGUAAGUCCAUAUGAAAUUAAUAAGCAAUUUACCAAUAUGUUUCCUUAGCUAAACAACUAUAAUUACACUUUUAUUCAUAUUCUGGUCAAGCUGUCUACACGAGUCAUAGUCGGUAAUUUAUUUAUAACUCAAGAUACAGGAUUACAAUAAAAAUUUCAUAAUUUUUGGUCAGGCCAAUUAAUACUGUUUAUUCAUUGAAUUCUCCCCUAUUUCGCGGUUCAAUAGUUCUGACCACUCUUCACUAAAAUUUAAUUAUCUUUUGCUACCAAAUUCAAAUGAGGUUUUCGUUUCUUUCUUCUGAAAAUAAAUUCAAUAAGGAAUCCAACCAUAUAAAUUAUGUUCCUUAAAUAUUUUUGUACAAUUUUUUAAUGAUUUUUAUAUUUCAGAACAGGGGAUCACAAAAUUAGUCUGAACUAGUCUUACAAAAAUAUAAAUAUCUCAAAAUACAGAAUUCCUUUGUUUUCUCUGUUUCUUUUAUAUGAAAAUAUAUUCAAUAAGCUUUAAUUUCGUAUCUCAUUCCGCUUCUACUUUAACUUCUACCAUUUUUGGUGAUUUUCCAAAGUCACUCCCCUGCUUCUGUUUUAGACUGUUUAUCCCAAAUUUCAUUCCUUCACUAAAAUUUCUUGUUAUCAACUUUCAAGAUAAUACUUAUCCAUAUUCAUCUUAUCAAAAAUUUAGUCACAUAUCUAACUCAUAAUUCAAAACUCAUAUAUUCAUAUUCUGAUAUUAUCCCACAUUUUUUUACGUUAAAUUUCAUUUAGCAAACUUGUUUCUCCCGGUGAACACUUCGGAAAGUAACAAUAUCCGGUGGUUUUAGCACAUAGCUCCACUUUCCGUAAUCAAUGCCCAACUUAGUGGUAUAUGCACAUAACACCAUACUAUUGGGCUAACAUGCAAUUGUGGCAUACGCACUUAGCGCCACUUUUCAAAUUAACAUGUAUAACUGUGGCAUAUCUACUUAGCACCACGUUACAUGUUUAACCGUGGUAUAUCCACUUAGCACCACAUUAAUGAAUCGAUAUAUGUAACCGUGGCAUAUCCACUUAGCACUACAUUACAUGUAUCAAUAUGUGUAAUCGUGGUAUAUCAACUUAGCACCACGUUACACGUAUAACCGUGGUAUAUCCACUUAGCACCACGUUUUUCCAUUCCGAAGGUUCAACUGAGAUUUCCUCAUUUAAUCUAAAUUCAUCAACCACAAAUCACCGUUUGUGUCCAUUAAUUGAACAAUACUAAAACUUAUAUCACAUGUCACAAAAUAAAAUAUUAUAACAUAAUAAAACAAUAUAUUAUUUACAUAUAAACUUACAUCUCAUAUACUAUCAAAGCAAUAACAUUAAAAUACACAUUGCAUUAUUAAAAAUCAUAUGAACUUACCUCGUAUACGAGAAUGGUCAUUUUUACCAUUUAAGUCCACUACUUGGUAUUUUCUCGAUUUUAGCCUGAAUCUCGAUUUUCUUAAUAAUCAAGCUUGGAAGUUUUACAAACCAUAGCCAUGUCUUCCAUCUCCAUAUACGGUUAUAGCAUGAGAAAAAUAAAGAAGAUGACAUCUUUUUCUUAGUUAUUUUGGCUUUAUUUGCCAAAUUACUAAAAUACCCUUAAUGAAAAAUAAAUAAAAACAUACCAUGCCAUGUCCAUUUUUGUCCACUAAUUACAAAAUAGGCUAUUUACCAUUUAAGGAUUUCCAAUUUAAAAACCCAUUACUCACAAGUACUUAGUACCUUUGUGAACUAGAACACACAUUUUGCAACCUUUCACAAUUUAGUCCUUUUGACUAAAUUGAGUAUCUAAACGUCAAAAUUUUUGAACGAAAUUUUCACGAAAUUAUCCCAUAAAAUCGUAGACCAUAAAAAUAUAAUAAAAAUAAAAUUUUUUUCAUCGGAUUUGUGGUCCCGAAACCACUGUUCCAACUAAGCUCAAAAUCAGGAUGUUACGCCACUGGCCGCCUGCUACAAUUUCUCCACUUUUUCUCAUAAAAUAAUUUCAAUUAUUAGUCUACUUCAAGUUCGGGACAUUAGAUAUUAAAUGCCACAAGAUUAUCAAAAUGGGUUGAUUAGGAAUUAGGAAAGGAAAGGAAAAAAAGGUUGUCCAUUGUUUACAAAUAUUAUUAUUUUAUUUUUGUGUGUGUUUAUUUUUUAGGAAACUAGCAAAAGCAGAACAGCUUUCGAAGAAAACAGUGAGGAAGAAAUAAGUCGUUUCGGAGUGAGUAAAUAGAAAGGAAAAUAAAUAAAAGAUCAAAGCUUUGUAAUAACUUCAGAUCUGCAGGUUUUUAAAAGAGUUGGUUGCCUUUUGACUGUAUGCUGUGAAAAAAAUUCAAAAUUCUAAAAAGUAACUGGAAUGAUUCGCUGUCGUUUUAGAAUGAGCAAGCCGCAUUGAAUUUUUGGAUCUUUGAAGCCAGGCAGGGCAGGCGAAAGUAGUAAUAGGUCAGAAACGAUGUCGUUGGCGGAUGAACAACAACUAUCCGGUUCUGCAACUGAUACCAGAGGCAAGCAUCGAAUUCUUGCUGAACUUAAGUGUGUCAAACAAGAAUCCAAGUUCCUCGAGGUUAGCCUUUUCUUUUUAUUUUUCAUGUUUCUAUUUUUGCUUUCCUUCUCCCUCUUUUUUCCUCUUAUUUCUAGAUUUUGCUGCCUCUUGUAAACUUUUUUUUCUAUAAUUCUCAUAUCCAACUGAAAUUUUGUUGAAUGGUAUUAUUUGGGUAAUAGUUUUAGUUGGAAGCCAAGCUCUUUAUGCUUGAGUUGAGGAGGAAAGUAUUCAUGGUAGAUCUUAACAUUGGGUUGGGAACACAAGACAACCACAUCCAAAAGCUAGCUUUCGAUAGGAGAGUCAAAAGUCCAAAUAAACUUCCUAUAAAAUACUAUAAAUUUAAUGCGGUAUUUAAGUCAACCAUCCACUAGAAUCCAAGCAACCCUAUAGGUUGGCUUUGCAAUUUAGAACCACGCCCUAAAAACUAGCUUCCAGGGUGAAAGACCUCGGCUCCAUACAAAACUCUCACUACUAUAAUUGUGGAAUUCAAGUAUCCUACCUAGCAGUUAGUAUCAUGAGUGGUUAAUAGUUUUCUUACCACUUACGUGAGGUCUAAUUUAAUAGGCUUCUGAUAAAAAUUUUAGAUGUUGUACUGGAAUACUGUAAUUUUUUUUGCAAAAUAGUAAUUCUUGGAUUUGCAAAAAUUUGCUAGGGAUGUUGCAGAUAUGCUCUUCAUCAGGUUAUACUGAUGUUUAGGAAGUCCCUAUUGGAGGCGGGAUAAAGUUCCAGAUCAGUCAUGUUAUGGUCGCUCUAUAUGGGAUGUGCUAAACUUUUUUUUUCCUUUUUUACCUAACGAGAUAACCUUUAGUUCUUAAAACGCCAUAAUCUGAAUUCUGAACUUUUUUGGUCUUGAUUGCUUCCCGUAUUUGAAGAAUUAAGGUGAUAUUCAGUGUAAAAAGGGCUGGAUGAAUCCUGUCAUGACUAAGAGCUUUUGGAAUUAUUAUUCGACUUUGACUUUGACUUGCUGAUCUUGCUAACCGUCACUUUGAUUGGUCAUGCUUUUAGCAAUGUUAUGCACUUGCACCACGUAAUAAAACCUAUAUAGAGUGCCUCAAUUUGCCUUAUAUUAUCUUGUACAUUAGCACCCCAUAGACUAGCCUAAUUAGUAUAAAGUUGCUGAUCAUAGGCUCAUAAAUUUAGCUUUUGUCGUGUCUCAUUUUUGCACAUCUUUACUGCUUUCUUAGGCAGAUGAUGAUUUCUAAUUGACAUGUCUUACUUUGAGCAAUGUCAAACUUUAGUGACUCAAAAAUUUGCUGUGGGCUGAAAAGGUAACACAUUACAGUUUAGUAUGUCUUAUUCUUUCAUGUAUUUUUCAUUUUUCCCAGGAAUAGAUGGAAGAGCUUGAGAGAACUAACAAUGUAUCAACAUUGUCUGAGGAGUAAGUAUAAUAAUUUUCUUUCCAAGGAAGUUGCACAAGUAGGUAGGGGAAGGAUAGGAUGUUGGGAUCUAAAUGGUUAUCAUUUUAUCACACAAAAAGUUGUAUGCUAACCAGUUUGAUUGGAAUUAAUAUCUAUCUCUUGUUUCCUUCUCAGGUUGCUGCUUAUCAUGGAGAGAAGACCUGAUCCACUACUCCCAUUAUAAUUACAACUUGUUUUGUUCUUGUAACUUUUGUUGUAGAUAAAGUUGCAUUUCCUUCUAAUUCGUAGGUUUAUUCUGAUCACAGAACAAAUGGUCCUAUAAACCCAUCUUGGGAUAGAUGGUUUGAAGGGCCCCAAGAUGCCAAAGGUUGCAGAUGCCAGAUUCUCUGAUUUGAGGCAAUCUAACAUUUGUUCCCAAGACAUGUUAAAAUGUUACAGCUGAGUUGUUUAUGUUAACAAAUGUUUCAAUCAACAAUGGGCAAUACCAAAAAGUUAUGGAUGGCUCAGAUUAAAUUCUAUAAUUUACUUUUCUGAUUCAGAUGAAAUUUGUAUAUCAGAUGCAUCUCUUGCAGAUAUGAGCUUCCAAACAGAUUAUUCUUCUCUUUGUUUAGCCUCUUCUCGAAGUUGUUCUAUAUAUUACCUGAUUCUAUGAACUUGUUUCAGGACAGUAAUCCUGAUAUCUAUUCAUGAAAUGAAAAUCCAUGGUAUUAAUGUGCACAAUUUCAACCCAUGUUCAUGCAAUCAUUUCAAAGUUAAGAAUGCAUCAGAGAAUGAGACAUGGCGAUGAAUUAACAGGAACUAAGAAUUGGAGAAAGUUAUUUCCACAUACAACUGAUAUUACCAAAGCAAAAUGACAUUCAAGUUAUUCAGUCAAAUCAAUCUUUAAAAGGCAUGAGUUCCCAUUAUUGGCCCAUUAAGGUUAAGCUCUGCCUGUAUGAGAUUUAGAUGCAAUAGCUCUCACAUAUCUAAACUGUCAAUGGUUGAGCAGUUCCAUAGGCAAGAUACAGAUACAAGAUCAAAGAACUUGAGCAGACAAAAGGUGUCUCAGCUGGAAUAGGUGUUCCUCAUCUGAAAUCUUACGGCUGAGGCAGAGAUUUGUAAACAGGGUUUCCUGCUCCCAAGAUAAAGGACCUGAAGCAAACAAUGCCUCCAUUGUUGACUUGUAAGCACAAAGCUCUAGUUCAUGGAUAUAGUAUACUUUGUUCACAGAAGGCAAGGGCAAGUCUCUUUUGCCACACAAAGAAGGGAAAGCUGACUCAGCAUCGAAAUUAUCAGGUGCGUUGUCCAACAAUUUAUGAGAGAAUGGGAUGACACAGUCACCGUUAAAACUACAGCUAGCAACAGAGCAUUGAUCAUUAUCUUCAGUAGACCAAAUAGGCCUAGAAGAAUCAUAUAAACAGCGAGGAAAUUUUCCUUCCAUUCUGCUAUUCCUGUUAGUUGAUUGCUUAAUGAAGUUUUCAUCAACCGCUACAUGUGAGCAAGAAAUAUCUAUCUGCUUAUACGAAGGAAGAGUUCUCUUUCCAUCACAGCCUCUAGAAUAUAGAGAGGUUUCCCCAUGUUGUAUUCUUCAUAUUUAUGGGCAUAGCCUUUACUCUUUGCUCUCACAGGCAGCAGCUUGGUGAUAUUAUGAGCCUCACCAUUAUUAUAUUCUCCCUCUUUAUACCUUACUUUAGAUUGCAUGGUAAUGCUAAAAUGCAAUGAAGUCCUAAAACGCAAGCCACCAGCUCGGUAUGGAGUUUUUGGUGUAAAAUUCUCAGCAACCUGCAAUGUAUGUAGUCUGGUUUAGAUAUUCUGGUUGGUUCAACACAUUAGUUAGGACUUAUCAUAUGAAGUUUUUUUCUUUAAACUCUCUCAUAAUACCAAAUCUUAAGAACUACUAUGAUUAUUAUAAGAAAUAAUAGUAAAGAUAAACCGCAAGCAAGAAUCAAGUAUACACAUUUAGACAAGAAUAUAGGAAAAAGCAUGAUGAUGUAAGACAUCUACCUUCCUUAUUACUAUCCACAUGUUGUCAUGCUAAGCCUGCCUAAUCCUUAAACUUGAUGCAUGAAAUUCCUUAAGUUGUAUGGACCCAAAGAACUUAAUGACAAAUCGGCUGCUGUUGUUUAACACUUUUGCGACCUUUGCAACCCUCCAACACUGAGUAUCAAACACCUUAACUAUAUCCCCAACUACCCAACGCUUACCAUUUACACUUAGAGGCAGGGGUCUAACAUCCAUCCCUCGCACCUUCUCUACGACUCAUUUUGCUUCGUGGUCCAUGAGCAGUUUUUACCUAACAAUAUAGUUGUCACCAUCUGCUAAAAUUAUAUUACUAGUAAACUAGGAGCCGUAUGGAUCAUGUUCUCUUCUUAACACCUCCACCAAGUUCCCUUUUUUGAACUUCAUAUUGUUCAGGCUUAAUCCUGGAUAAAAAUAGUAAAAAGAAAAUAGAAUUAAUAUCAUAAAUGUGAGAACUAUAAUAUCUUAAGGUUUAAUUACAAAGAUCAAGAUAGAUGCUUGAAAUUUUAUGGUGUGAGAGUUGCAGCUAGGCGUACCAGAUCAAGGGGGUAACUCAUUAAAAGUGUUGGAAAGGUGUAAAAUUUUGGAACUUCACGACUUAAUUCAGCAAUAAGACAUGAAACCAAUAAUCUUGAAGAAUUACUUAUAUAAGAAAACUAGCCAACAGAUAUAAUCAAAUCUAAAUCAAUUUAUUUCUCCAAAAAAGGAAAAAAAAUCUAAAUCAAUUCAUUAGAAACAAGUAUCCCAACCUUGAUUAUAUGUUAUUCUGGGAACUUAGAAAUAUAAUUGAUUCAACAAACAGGGAUACCAUUCAUCAUAUUCUACACCAAACUCAGGUGAACUCAUGGAAACCAGGUUUUUCAUUGACAGUUGGGUACAUAAAUCAACUCAUGUUUUAGCAAUUCCCAAAUAUACCCAAAAAAUGUAUUUGUUUUCUUCAUUUAAUUUUAAAAAGAAUUUCUUUAUUAGAAAAACUGAAAAAUGCAUUAGUUCAAAAAGAGAAAAAGAAAAGGAAAUAAUACUUGCCCAGUAUUUAAAAUCUUAUAAAGUAUAUGCUAAAAUAAAAACAGACUGACCCAAAUUAAAUUUAACAACCAAUACAGAACUUUGUUCAAUCCAAAACAUUUAAUUAAUUGAAGGAGACUGACCUGAGAGUAAAAGAGAAGAGAUGGAAACGAACAGGACGCAGUCACUAACGCAUCUUUAAGCAAAAAAUGGCUUUAUUUUCGCUCUCUUUCGAUUAUUUGUUUUAAGUACAGCGAUAAAUAAAAAUUACUAUUAAAAUACUAAUUAUUGAUUAGGAUUACCUUCAGCCUUUGUAUUUUGUUAGUAACUUAAAAUGAAAAAUUUCAAAAUUUAGGUAUUAAUCACAUUAUCGACCAAACUUUCGGGGGUCUUGCCUAAUUGUAAUCAUAGGGAUCAUAUAAUUUCUUUUUCCAAAAUUAAUAUUUUUGCUAGUAUGAGUCUUCUCCUCCAUCUUUAAUGGAUGCCAAAUGGUCCAUUUGCGUUUCUUUGUAUAGUUUCAUCGUUUUGGACUAAAUCUUUGCUUUGUCGUAACUUGGGCUUCAUUACAACCUUAAAACUCCCAUGUCAUCCACUUUAUUGGUGGGAUUGGCACAUUAUCAUGGUAAUAGGAUAUAACAUUACAAUAUUUGGUAUAUUGUGAAAUUAUUAAUUAAAAUUUUGAGAAAGUUGGAAUAAUAAAGGCGAUAUUAGUAUAAAUUUAUAGCAUUUUCAGGAAGUAGUUCAUGAGUGGAAUAAACGGGUUUAUGGAAAUAUUUUUGUGCGUAAAUGAAAAUUGAUUUCUGAGUUAAGUCAGCUACAAAGAAUUUUGGAGUGGAGAAGUUCUUCUGGACUUCGAUAUCGGGAAUUGACACUUUUUCAGGAAAUUAAGGAAGUUCUAAAGUACGAGGAGUUAUUGUGGUUCUAGAAUUCUCGAUCUAUGUGGCUUAUGAAUGGUGACAGAAACACGAGCUAUUGUCAUAGUUGAACAUUGACUAGGCGGAGAAAAAAUAGAAUUGAGAGUCUUAUUAUUGAAUAUGAUUGGUGUUUCAAUGAUGAGGUGUUGAAUAAUCAUGUUGUGGAUUUUUAUAAAUAUCUUUACACUAUGGACUCUUCAGUUACUGAUGACUUUUCAUGUCAUGGUAAAUUUCCCCAAAUCUCUUCUGAUGAGUUGGGUAAUUUAUUAUUGACGAUUUCUAAUUAUGAAGUAAGAAGACGGUUUUUGGUAUGGCUCCAUUAAAAGCCCCUGGAGUGGAUGGUUUUUAGGAAAAAUUGUUUUAGCCUCAAUGGGAUGUUGUUAAGUCGUCAGUUUGUUAUCUUGUUAAGAAAGUGUUGACAAGGCAAGAUCUGGAUCCUAAACUUAACAGGACUUUGCUAGUUUUGUUACUCAAGUCUCAAAAUUUUGAAAGGGUUUCUUAGUUCAGACCUAUAAGCUUAUGCAUGGUGAUGUAUAAAAUUAUCAUGAAGACUUUAGUUAAUAGAUUGAGGUCUUUAAUAGUGAAACUUUCUAGUCCAAUCAAGCAAGCUUUAUUCCAGACAGAUAUAUAACUGAUAAUAUAGUGAUUGUGCAAUAAGUGGUACAUUUGAUGAAAGGUUUUCGAGGUACUAAGUAUGGUAUGAUGUUGAAAAUUGAUCUAGAGAAGGCAUAUGAUAGAAUCAAGUGGGACUUUUUAAAAGAUUCCCUAUUGGAGGUCGAUUUUCCUUCAUUAAUAGUCACUGUGAUUUUGAAUUGUGUGUCUACAUCAACUUUUCAUGUUCUUUGGAAUAGUGCUAUUAUAGAUUCUUUUUGGCUUACUCGUGGAUUAAGAUAAGGCAAUCCGCUAUCUUUUAUCUGUUCUUUAUUUGCAUGGAAAGAUUUGGGCAUCUAAUUAGAGAGUCAUUUGAAUAUGGUGUUUGGAAACCACGUCUUCUAUCAGAGAGUGACCCGACCUUAUCUCACGUAUUUUUUACAGAUGAUCUUAUUUUGUUCUGUGAGGCUAGUAGAGUUCAAGUGGAUGUUGCUAAUAGUAUUUUGGACACUUUUUGCUACUUCUUGAGUCAAAAGGUGAACAAAAGUAAAUCACAAGUCUUUUUCUCUUUUAAUACGCCUAAAGAUCUGGUUAAGGCUAUUUGUAAUGAUGUGGGGUUUUCCUGUGUGGAGGAUAUGGGUAUCUAUCUUGGAAUGUCACUAUUCCAUAAUAGAGUUACAACAAGUACCUUUGCUUUCAUAGUGGAUAAAAUAAGAAAAAAGUUGUUAGGAUGGGAGGCGAUAAGGCUUUCACUGGCAGGUCGUUUAACAUUGGUAAAAGUAGUUCUUUUGGCUAUUUCUAACUACUUUAUGUAUACGGUUCUUAUUCUUGUUUCUGUAUGCAGGGAGAUUGAACAAAUUGCCAAAAAAUUCCUUUAGGGAUCUAGUUCUAAUUCUAGAAAGCUAGUUUUAGCAUCUUGGGAUGAUUUUUUUCCAUCCUAUUGAUGUUGGAGGAUUGGGAUUAAGGAGUUUAGCUGACCAAAAUAAAAUUUUCCUUUUAAAUUUUGGUUUUCAAAUUUUAUCUAAAACAGAUGCUUUGUGGGUUAAAGUGUUGAGAAACAAAUAUAGUAUACAAUGAUUGCUGCCAAAUUCUACUUCCAGAAGUAACUAUCUAUUUCUUUGGAGAUCGUUGAUGAAGGUAUGGCAUGAAGUUAUAGCUAAUGUUUACUGGUCUAUUGGGAAUGGUUAUCUUGUAAAUUUUAGAAUGAUGUGUAGGUUCGGCAAGUAGGGCCACUUCGAUUGCUUUAUGAAGGUUUUGGACAACUGAAUGAUACCUUACGAGUAUGUGAUUUUGUUACAAAAAGUGGAAGUUAGGAUGGGUGUCGUUUGAAAUGUCUUGUAUCGGAUCAAAUUAUCACACAAAUUGCACCUAUCUUACCUCCUUUUCCUAAUGCAGGUCAAGAUUGCUUGGCAUAAAAAUGGAUGAGGAAAGAUGUAUUUUUCGCUGUUGAAACUUAUAGGAACAUGUUUCACUUCGACAAUAGGGAUGGUUCUGAUGUUUGAAAGACAGUUUAGAAAGUGAAGACAUCUUAGAGGGUUCGGGUUUUUUUAUGGCUUUUAUGGCAUGAUAAACUAUUGACUAAUAGAAAACGAGUGAGGAAACACAUGACAAGCGAUGGUGGUUGUCCUAGAUGUAGUUGUGUUCUAGAAACACGUUUACAUGUCAUUCGGGAUUGCACAUUCUUUAAAUCAGGAUGGUUACCAGAAGUUCCAAGGCGAGUGCAGGGUAUUUUUUUUCAAUCUUCUUUCAAGGAGUGGUUUUUAUGGAACAUGCUGAAUUUAGGAAACUAUGGUAACAACGACAUAGUUUUCUCAAUAAUUUCCUGAUUGGUUUGGAAGGACCGUAAUUGUCACAUCUCAAAAAUAAGCCUAGAAGAAAUAGGAAUAAAAUUUAGAUUUUUACUUUUUUAAGUAUGGAGUAAGAGAACUUAGAAUGCCUUAAAAAUUAUUUUUGUUAAAGAAUUAGUAAGAAUGAUUUUGUUGGUUCAGUGGUAAAGUCUUAACUUACCCAUAGGUUUUAGGUUUAAAACCCCUUGUGCACCAUUCAGUCAAAAUAUUUUAUUUUCUUACUUUUACCCUAUAAAAGUGCCAAAUUUUCAAAAUACCCAACCUAAAACUAUUUUUUUAAUUUAGCCCUUAUUUAAAAUAGUCUAAAUUCUACAUAAAUUUCUAAAACCUAUUUCAAUUAGGGAAAAAUAAGUUUAUAAAUAAAAAAAUCUUUUCAAACCCUAGAAUUUUUAUCUAGCAAAUUUUUCAAAAAGAAACUCCCAAGUUCAUCUUUUUCUCCACCAUUACCAAAACAAUCUUCAAGCAAAAGAAUUCAAAGUUUUCAAAAUUGCCCCUCUCCUCUCGAGUAGAUCAUUAAUAUCUUCACCCAAAUUAAGGUUUUUGUGUCUUAACAUCAUGUAUGGGAUCUAAACUUAAAUCUUUAUGUAUAAUUGAGGUAGUAGAAAGUAAAGGACUUGUAUAGGAAAGCACCCUAGGAGAACCCCAUGUAUGUGUAAUCCCUUAUACGCGAGACCAUAUAGGUGAAUUCCUUUAGAGAACUCCUUGUAUGUGUGAACCCUUUUGCAUGUAAAACUCAAUAGGCAAACUCCUUUGUAUGCUAAUCCUUAUAGGCGAACCCCUUAUUGCGAACUCAUAUGCAAAGCCUUAUAGGAAUUGAUAUAUGAACCCUUAGGAUAUUUAUGCGAACCCUACAUGUAGUGUAAGCAUACUUAUAUGCGAACCCUAAUGCAUGUGAACCCAUAUGCGCGAACCCGUGUAGGCGAACCUCUGUACACGAGCCCAUGUAUGUAAAACCUUAUAUAAAUUGUUAUAUAUGUGAAUCCAUAUAUUGAACCAUAUAGGAUUUAAUAUGUGAACCCUAUAUUGCUUGCGAACCCUAAAUGUUGUUACAUGCGAACCUAUAUGUUUAUAUACGCAAACCUUGCAUAUUGAAGUAUGUGAACCCUGUAGGUUAAAUAUGUGAUGUAACAUCCCGAUUUUGGGCCCAGUCAAAACAAUGGUUUCGAGACCUCCGUGAAACUGUAGACCAUGAAAAUAUAAUAAAAACAAGAUUUACUACGUCAGAUUCGUGGUCCCGAAACCACUAUUUUGACUGGGCCCAAAAUCAGGAUGUUACAUGCGAACCCUACAUACUAUAAUAAGUGAACCCUGUAUGAUUGGUAUGCGAACCCCAACAUGAGUUGGUGUGCGAGCCCCUAUGUACGAACCCUACUUGCAAACCUAAUUGCAUGUGUUAGCCGAGCUAGGCUCUUUAUUUCACAUGUUGAUGAUGUACUUGCAAAAUUGUUUUUAGUUUGCAUGAAAUUAAUUGUGUAUGUGAAAUUGAUGUGAAUAGAUGCUUGAACACACACCAAUCAAUGAUAGUAUGAAAUAUUGAAUGUAACAUCAAUUGAUGAUAAAAAGCAUAAUUGCAAUUCAAAGCUUGUUGAUUGUUGAUCGUGUUGUGCCAAUGUCGGACUAAGCUUUAAUUGAUUAUUGGUUUUUGCUUUAUGAUGUACUUUUUUUUACCAAAUUUUGUUUUUCUUAUUUGAGAAAGUUACAUUAAUGUGUUUGAUUUAUUAAUCACUUUGCUAACAAUGUGUUGCCUUUUAAAAAAUACUCCACCAAAUAAAAUAUAAAUUUAAGUAUUUUUAAUAUUUUCAAUGAUAUUUAUUAUUAACAAAGGUUAGUUUAUUAUUAAUAAAUAAAUAAUUUUAUUUACUUAUUUUUAAUAAUACUGAUUAAUAUAUUUUAAAAGAAAAUAAAUCUAUAAAUUUAUCUCUUUUAUCAUGAUUAAGUUGAAAAUAAAAUUUAAAUAUAUAAUAUGUAUUAAAUUAGUAUAUACUUUAUAAUUUGAUUCAAUAGUAUGUAAGAAAAAGUUAAAUAAUUUUUUUAUGAUUUUAUGGUGAAAAAUAUUGCGUAAAAAUAAUGAAAAUAAAUAAAUAAUAAAAAAGGGUGGUUUUGUCUCAAAAAUAAAUUUUAACUUUCCACCUACAAGAAAAAAUUACUUUCCCACCAACACAUUCUCAUGGUUGAAGGAAAGUAACAUUUUUCGGAAAGUUUAUAAUAUUUAGCAUACCAAAAUGGGAGUUACUCUCCCACCAAUUAAAUCCUCAGGAAAUUAAUCAUCUUCUAAGAAAUAAUUUUUUAAUUCUAUGUUUGAGUAAAUUUUUUUUGUUUGAAUAAUUAAAAUUAGAAAGUAAAGUAAUAUUUACGACCCUUAUUUAGUUAAACUAUGGAAAGUAGAGGAAAUGUUUGACUAUAAUGAUCAUUUUUAAUUAUAUCAUUUUUAUAAAAUAAUUUAUAAAAUAUUAAUAGGAUAAAAAAGAUAUUUUGCAAUUUUAAAAGAAAAACAAGUUAACCAACCAAGGGAAAAGGUGUGCUACUUUACCUUGGGUUCCUUUCCGCCUUUUACUGCAAUCCGAAUACCAUAAGUCCUAACCUUCUUUUACACAAGUAUGAUUUUUUAUACGUGUCGCUCUCUAGUUUCAUUAUCUGAGUUUUAUUCACUUCAUUUGGAUUGUCUGUUUAUAUUAUAAUAAGUUUAAUUUUCUUUACAAUUACUCGAAUAAUUCAUUUGUACUAAUAAUUUGAUACUGUGUGGUUACUUAGAUAUAUAUAUAUAUACUUUGGUUGUAUUGUACUCGUAACACUUUUAAAAAAUAUGAAACGGCAUGGGUUAAUUUAUCAAUGUACAAAUUUUUGCUUAACUUGUCGGUAGUAUUUGUAAAUUUUGAAUUUAACCUCCUAUUUUUAUUUCAGAUAAUUUAAUACCUUUACUUUUUAAAUUUAAAAAUAUAAGUCUAAUUAUUCAUUACAAUGUCUUUUUUUAUCAUAUGACUACUUUUUUAUUUUAAAAUAGUACUCCCAAUAAAUUUAAAAGAAAUUUUAGUUGAUAUUAAAAAUUAAACUUAAAUUUUUAAAUAUAAAAAAUUUUAAUUUUUGAAUAUAUAAAAAGUUACUUAUAUAGCAUAUUUUAACCAAAUUUAAAAUUUAAAAAAUUUCGAGGAAAGAUUAUGAUUGCCUCACUUUUAAAAAGUUGAUUGCUUUACUUUGAUAGAAGUUUCCAUACAAAGGAUUCAGGUUUGUAAUUGUUUGUUUUAAUAAUGUUAUUUUCAAUUUUUGAUUAAUUUAUUUUUUUUUAAAUUUAAUAUUCCACUAACUCUUAUAUAUAUAAUUUUUUGAAAAUAAUUUGUUAUAUAUAAUUUUAAAGUUAUUUUCAAUAUAAAUUAUUUAUUUUUACAUCAUAAAAAAUUAAAAAUAAUUGUAAAUUAAAUAAAAUAAAAAUUGCUUAAGUUUAAUGCGAGUAAUUAUAAUUAUUUAACUUGUAAACCAAAUUAUCUAAACACCAUAAUUUGGUUGGAUUUUCGAUUUCUCCAAUUUUUUAUUCUAACUAGUAAAAAUGGUUUCAUGUAAUUAAAGAUGCACUUAAGGGUCGACAAGGAAAAAAUAUCAAGCUAUUGUUUUUCUUGGAGUGAUUUGCAUCAAUUUUUAUUUUCUUAAAAUUUUUAUUUAGAUCUAGUAUAAGUUUUUUUAAUUUUUUUUAAAAAUAAAAAUUAAAUUGAUAAAAUGUGAAAAUUUGAGAGCUAAAUUUGUUAAUUUUUUUAGAAUUAAGAUCAAAUUUAUAGAAUUUGUAAAUAAGAAAGAGUUAUAUUUAUUAUCAUGUGAAUAAGGAAUGAUAACAUUUGCAUUCUUAAUAAUUUAAUGGAGAAAUAAUCAAAAUACAAAUAUGAAUAAUGUUAAUGACUAACACUAUGUUUGGAUUGAGGUAAGGGGAAGGAAAGUUAAGUAACUCAAUGGAAAGAAUUUUUCCCUUGUUUGCAGGGGCAAAGGCAGAAUUUUUUUUAGGGAGCUGAAUUUUAAUUUUUAUUUUUACAAUGAUAAAAAUGUAAUUUCACCAUUUGAAUAGCAAGUAUCUUUAUAAUUUUUAAAAGGACUAAAUCAAAUUUUUAUAAUUUUUUAAGAGACCAAAGUAUAAUUUUAUCUUUAUUAAUUUAAAAUGCCUAAAUAAAAGUUUUUCCAUUUUAAGAAAGUCCGAGGGCUCCUGCCAGCUCACUGGCUAUGCCCUUACUUGUUUGGAUAACCUAUUUUUUACAUAGUAGAGAAAGUUAAUGAAGUUGAGAAUCCCUUGCUUCCUCUUAUUUUCUCUCAAUUUUUUAUACCUUAAUUUGGGGGAAAAUGAGAAAAAGAGAAACAUAAUUUUUUUUAAAAUGUCACUUUUAUCUUUUGAUAAUUUUAAUGACCCUUUUUACUUUGAAUUUCCUCCUAUUAAUGCAUUGAAAUUUUUCUAUUUUUUUAAAACUUUAAUACUUUGGAGAAAGGAUUGUAUGAAACAAGAGCAUUAUGUUAUCCCGUAUCCCUUUCCAAUUAUGUAACGAUGUUUUAAAAAAAAAUUUCCACCUUAUUGAUACAUAAUUUUGGUAAAAAAAAAAUUAACCAAAACCCUGAACUUGGCAUAUUAGUUUAAAGGUCAAGGUUCAAGGUUUGAGUUCGAAGUUUGAGUUUGAGUUCAAGGUUCAGGUUUGGGGUCUAUGGUUUAUUUUGUAACUUUUUAUAACACCAAUGAUUAUUUUACAACUUUUUAUAAUUGAUGACCAAAAUAACAAUUUAUUAACAAUUUGAUAAUAAUGAUAUAUUUGAGAAAAGUUGAGUUAACGGGACAAGUUAAUGGCAAGGUAGCCUAAAUGAUAAUUUUGAAUAGUUGAAUAAUUAUGGGGGUAAAUUAAAUUAGACAUGUCCAUGGGUCAGAUUACCCGAUUUGGCCAAAAGGCCCAUCCGAAAAGUAAAAGGAUUUGGGUAAAAAUAUAAGCUCAAAAAAUAAGUUUGGGCAAAAAAAUUAAUGCCCAUUUAAAAAUUUGGUUGAGCCCCGAGUAAGGCUUUUUGGCCUAGACCCGGCCCAGAUAAAAAAUCUAUUGUUUUGUUGUUGUUAUUUUCCACUGUUUUGUUGUCAUUUCACUGGGUUUUUUUACCAAUAUAAUAUAAAAUAAUUAAAAAAAUACCAAAAUGGUACUAAGGCCAAAUUAUUGACGGAAAUGGUAUGGGCAGGGUGGUGCCAGCUAUGGCAAUGGCGUGACCACCCUGCCAGCUGACAUCUACAGUAAAAAAAAAAGCUGAAAAAAUUGAAAACUGAAAAAAAAAGUUGAAUCUGAAAAAAAUUUGAAAAAAAAAAUUAAAAUACUGGUGAAGCCUCUUCCAGAGGCAGCACCAGUUGGUGACAUGGUAGAGGCGGCACCCACACCCCCAAUCCCUUAUUUAAACCCCUCAGUGUUAAAACGAAGCAAAUAGCAGUGAAAAAAAACUUGCAGAAGAAGAAGAGAGGGAGAAGAGAAGAAAAAAGAUAGAAGGAAAAAAAUUUCAGUAAAAAAAUAUUACAGAAGAGAAUAGAGAGAGAAGGAAGAAAUAAAAGGUAUCUUUUUCUUUUUUUUGUUAUUUUUAAAUAGAAUAGAAUAUGAUAAGAAAAAAAUAUUUUGUUAGUAUUAAUAUAGUUUGUUUAAUGUUAUUUUUGUGUUUUGUUUUAAAAGUUAUUUUGUUUAUUGUGAUUUUUUAGUAAGUUUUGUAUUUAGAUUAAUUAUGUGUUUAUUAUGAAUGUUAUGUUUUAUUUUAAUAUAUUUAAAAUUGCAUAUUGAUUAAUUAAUUUUUUAUUUAAGUAAUUUAUUUGCUGUUCGAAAUUAUUUUGGGAAAUUUUGUUUAUUUUUUAACAUAUUGAGUAUUGAAGAUGGAUAAUUAGUUUUUCGUAUGCAUUUAUUUCGAUGAAAUCAUCUUGACAACAACCGUUGGAUGCAUAUUUGAAUGUCGGCAAUAAAUAGAAAUGAGAUUUAAUAGAAAUGUCUCGUUGGAUGAUAUGAAGGGAAUGAUUAACGCAAAAAUUGUUAGACGUUGUGGGAGAAAGAUCUCAAAACUUUUCUACAAGUUUUUAAUUUCGACAGAUCCCAUCAAAUUCACCGAAAUGAAACUUGUAGACGACGAAGACGUUGAGACAAUGAUCGCUCUUUACUGUGGGAAUGAGAGUGACAAAAAUGCACCGAUUCACUUAUUUGCUGAGUUACUGGUACAGAGCAAAAUGAUGAUCUCAAUGCAUAUGAUGAAGAACAUGGAGUUCAAGAACCGUGUAUGGUGGCUCCAAUAUCGUACGUGUUGAUGGUGAAUCGACUAUACGUGGGAUCGAUAUUGAUCUUAAUGUUACACCCGAUAUUGAUGUGGUUGGUGAUGAUGGAUACGAUAGUAAUGAUCCUUGUGAUCAAGAGGUUGAUAGUGAUAGUGAUCCCGAUGUAGAAGAUGUCCCCGAUGAUAUUGACGAUGAAAACGUGAAUGACGAUGGAAACAUUAACGCGUCAUCGGUUGGGAACCAGAUGCGAAGUAUUAUGAUACACAAUAAUCCUGGGCCACAUAUGUCACUUAUAGACCCCAACACGGUGUAUGCAGCUGAGUUCCCGGAGUACCCUAAAAUACUUCCUGCUCACCGGCUGGCCGUAAGUUCCAAACCUAAGGAGUUGUUCGUAGGCCAUAAAUUCGAAAGUAAAGAAGAGUGUGUUUUUGCUAUUAAGCAGUAUAGCAUGAAUAUAUCAGUGGAUUACAAAGUUGCAGUGUCUAAACCGAUAUUAUACAUUGGGGAAUGUUAGAAGUUGACGGAAGGUUGCAAUUGGCAGGUACGAGCUACAUUUAUUCAAAAUUCGUAGAUGUGGGAGAUACGUAAAUUUGCUGGGCCUCACACAUGCACAUCAACACGUAUGGCAAUGGAGCAAUUGUAUGGGGAUUUCGAUACUGAUAGCCGAAAUGCAGGCACGAUUUCAGUAUCGAGUAUCAUAUCGAAAGGCGUGGAUAGCUAAACAAAUGGCAAUGGAGCAAUUUUAUGGGGAUUUUGAUGCAUCGUAUAACGAGCUACAGGGAUGGAUAGCCGCUAUGCGAGAGUACGUGCCGAGGACUAUAAUUGAGUUACAGACACGACCUUAUUACGGACCAGAUGACCAACUACAGUCGGGAAAAAGAAUUUUUCAUCAGAUGUUCUGAACAUUUGAUCCAUAUGUGCGCGCAUUUCCCCACUGCAAGCCGUUUGUGCAAGUGGAUGAGACCUGGCUAUAUGGAAAAUAUACACAGAUCUUACUUCUUUCGGUUACUCAAUACGGAAACAGGAUCGUGCUCCCGAUAGCAUUUGCCAUCGUAGAUAAGGUGUGGUCCUAGGGGUAUACAAACUUUUUAAUAUCAAAACCCCAAGAGACCCCUAAAAUUGAAGGUUCGAUGGUGUGGUCUUAGGGGUAUAUUUCUGUAGAAGUCGACGUUCACGUUGUGGGUGAUUAUGACGACCAACAUCUUCUUCAGUCGCAGGUGAGGGUGUUUGACACAUGGAAGAAAAAUUGUAAUACCCCUACCAGUAUUCAUUGCCGGAAUAGGGUACGAGGCAUUACCGGAGUUUACAAAUUAAUUUUUUUUUAUAUUCAAUAUAGCCCCUUUAUAAAUAUCUAACAUUCCCUGCAAUAUUAAAUCGAGACCAAUCCACAUCAACCAAAUCAAUUCAACAUAUUUUCAAGAUAAAUUCAUGCAUAUUUAUAAGAUAACGUCAUCACAUAUCUAAAACCAGGUUUGUUAACCAUACUAAUGGCUAACUUUACAUUCAUUUCACGUUAACAUUUACUUUGUUAGCUUAUACAUGCCAUUGAUUUCCAAAAUAAAGUUUCUUUAUAUACUGAAAUCCUGAGGUUGACAGUGUGAUGUGUCUCCGACCAAAUCCGACCUCUGAGCUCUUAACACUACAAAACAGGAAAAAAGGAAACGGGGUAAGCACUUUGUGCUUAGUAAGCUCAUGUAACAAGAAUUAUACUUACCUAAUAUUUUCAAUACAAUACAAUAAACAUCCAUAUAUCCAUUCAAUGCAUUAUUACCCUAAUAUGCACAAACUCAACAUUCAAGCUAAUACAAUAAUUUCCAUGUACCAAUAAUAUAUAUCAUGAUUGAUGAGCUCAUCAAUAUCAUAAUUUCCAUUUCCUUAUUAUUUUUCCAUAUUUAUCCCGUUGAAUUUAUCAGAAUUUCGAUGGAUUUUCAGAGGUACACAUUUAUUGUACAAUUCCGGGUCCGUCAAUUCAUAUUCAUGUGCGCACAUAUCCAUUUCAGAGAGCACACUCCCGCGAACCUCAACCUUGCAGCGGGAUUACCAGUCCAGGCUAAAUCCCCUGCAAUAUAAACUCAUAGAGUAUUGUCGGGAUUACCAGUCCAGGCUAAAUCCCCUGCAACGACAAUUACUCUAAUGAGCUUGGAUCUGAAUUACCAGUCCAGGCUAAAUUCAGACCCUAAUUCGGAUUACCCGUCCGGGCUAAAUCCAUUUUACACAUAUUUUUCGGGAGGGCUAUAUCAGGAUAAAAUCACCCGUCCGGGCUAGAUCCUUUUUACCGUCAAUUCCUUUUCAGAGAUCCAUCGAAUUUUCCUUUCAUUCAAUCGGGAUUUCUUCCUAUUUUAUCAAAUAUAUCAAUGUUUCAUUAAUUUUCAUACAAUGAACACUCAAAUCAUAUUCACAUCAAUAACAUACAAUCUUAAACAUUUAAGAAUAUAAUUCAAGUUACACGAACUUACCUUGAUACUUAUUUGUAAACAAUAAAAAUCUACUAAUCCCAAACUUUUUCCUUUCCUCGAUCUACUUUCGUAUUUGAAUCUUCCGGAUCUAAAUAAAUAAAUUUAAUUUUCAAUUUAAUACAUUUCAUGUUCAUAUGCAACAUUCUCUAUAAUUCAACUAUUAUUUAUAGUUCAUUCAAAGCUGUCUACUUGAGUCAUAGUCACUAAAUUAUUUAUAACUUGAGCUACGGAACUCCAAAAUAAGAUCUGAUAAUUUUCCCUAAAACUAGACUCAUAUAUAUUUUUACCAUAAAAUUUUAAGAAUUUUUGGUUUAUCCAAUAAGUACAUUUUAUUCUUUAAAGUCAACCCUGUUCUGCUGUCGACAGUUCUAACCCUUCUUCACUAAAAAUUAAUUAUCUCUUCAUACAGAAUUCAAAUAAUGUUCUCAUUUGUUUCUAUUAAAAAUAGACUCAUUAAGGAUUCUAGAAAUAUAAAUUUAAGCCCAUAAUUGUUUUUAUCAAUUUUUUAUGAGUUUUCGAAGUCAGAACAGGGAAACCCGAAUUCAUUCUGACCUUGUCUCACAAAAUUCAUUAUAUCUCAAAAUUUACAAAUCCAUUGCUUACACUAUUUCUUCUAUGAGAAACUAGACUCAAUAAGCUUUAAUUCCAUAUUUUUUUCAUCUUAUAAUUUGAUUUCUACAAUUUAUGGUAAUUUUUCAAAGUUAGUCUACUGCUGCUGUCCAAACUGUUUUUGUGCAAGCUGUUUAUUACCAUUUUUUCCCCUAAGCUUUUAAUAAAUGAUAAUUUCGUCCGUACUCAAUUAGCCUCUCAAUUGAGCUGAUUUUUCUCAAUCAACAUUUUAUUCUAUCACCUUAAACUAGUUUACAACCUUUAGGAAUCAGAAUUUCAGCGAUAGACUUUAAUUCCAAGCAUUUUCACAAUUAGGUCCUAAAAAUCAAUUUCUAUUGAAAUUACAUAAUAAAAUCAUCUCAUAAACAAAUUAAAGCUUUAAUUUCAUUCUAUUUAAUCAUAAAAUUACAGCACUCAACCAUGGUGACUUUCAAUUUCAUCCAUGAAAUCAAAAACUAAUGAAUUUAAUAGUAGGACCUAGUUGUAAAAGUCUUAGAAACACAAAAAUUACAAGAAAAAGGCAAGGAUUAACUCACUUGGUGCAAAAAUUAUGAAAUACCAGCUUAUAUAACCCUCCUAUGGUGUUUUUAGCUGCUGGAAUUGAAGAGAAAUGAAGAGAAAUCUAGAUAUUUCCUAUUUAGUCCUAGUUUUAUUUAGUUAAUUUUGCAAUAUUCCAAUUUUACCCUUAAUUUAUCAAUUUUUCUGCUGAUUUCAUACCCUUGCCAUCCAGCCCAAAUAACUUUUGGGUCUAAUUGCCUUUUAAAUCCUUUCUCAUUAGAGUUUUAAGCUAUUUAAUCAUUCUAGCAACUUUUACACCUAUUACAAUUUAGUCCUUUUCAUUUAAUUGACUACCCAAACAUUAAAAUUUCUUAACGAAAUUUUAAUACCACAUUAAUAACAUUUCAUAAAUAUUUAUAAAAUUGUUUUGGACUCAGUUUUACGAGAUAGAGGUCUCGAUACCUUGUUUUUACCCAAUUUCUUCAAUAAUUUCUUUUUCUAUCUAAUCACUAAAUCGGUAAAAUUUUUCUAUCAAUAUUUUCAUACGAUUUUCCUAUCAUAUUAAUUUUCAUGCAAAAAUAUUGAAAUAAAUUUCUCUUUAAAUCAGAUUUGUGGUUACGAAACCACUGUUCCAAUAAUUUUGAAUUUAGGCCAUUACAACUCUCCCCCCUUUAAGGAUUUUCGUCCUCGAAAAUAUUACCAGUAAAGAGAUUUGGGUAUUGUUUCCUCAUUGCCUCCUCCGGUUCCCAUGUCGCUUCCUCAAUCCCGUGCUUUUGCCACAAUACUUUCACCAAAUUUAUCUUUUUAUUUCUAAGCUCUUUUGUCUCUCGUGCCAAUAUCUUGACCGGUUCUUCACUGUAAGUCAUAUCCGGUUGAAUCUCCACUUCUGUCGGAGAAAUAACAUGUGAAGGAUCUGAUCGAUAUCGUCGUAACAUAGAUACAUGAAAAACAUUAUGGAUUCUAUCAAGUUCCGGUGAUAAUGCCAAUCGAUAAGCGACCGGUCCAAUUCUUUCUAUGAUUUCAUAUGGCCCGAUAAAUCUUGGACUCAGUUUACCCUUUCGACCAAAUCGGAGGACUUUCUUCCAAGGAGACACUUUCAGGAAUACCUUGUCACCGACUUGAAAUUCAAUCUCUUUUCGUUUAAGGUCGGCAUAUGAUUUUUGACGAUCGGAAGCUGCAUUUAGACUAUCUCGAAUAACCUUUACUUUUUCUUCUGUUUCCCGGAUCAAAUCAAUCCCAUGUAUCUUCCUUUCACUAAACUCUGUCCAAUAUAACAGUGUUCUACAUUUUCUACCAUACAAAGCUUCAUAAGGAGCCAUGUUAAUACUGGACUGAUAACUGUUAUUGUAAGCAAAUUCAAUCAAAGGUAGAUACCUCUCCCAAUUACCUUCAAACUCUAGUAUACAACAUCGGAGCAUAUCUUCCAAUACUUGAAUUACACGCUCAGAUUGACCAUCUGUCUGAGGAUGAAAUGCAGUGCUGAAAUACAACUAAGUACCCAAGGCUUCUUGCAAUUUGUCCCAGAAACUAGACGUAAAUCGGGGAUCUCUAUCUAAUAUAAUGGAGACAGGCACUCCAUGUAGCCUGACAAUCUCAGAUAUGUACAGUUCAGGUAGUUUAUCUAAAGAAUAAUCCAUACGUACCGGAAUAAAGUAAGCUGACUUUGUCAAUCAGUCUAUAAUCACCCAAAUAGCAUCUUUUUUCCUCGGAGACAAAGGUAACCCCGAUACAAAAUUCAUAGUGAUUCUUUCCCAUUUCCAUUCCGGUAUAGUAAUUGGCUGAAGUAACCCCGAAGGUACCUGAUGUUCAGCUUUAACUUGCUGACAUAUUAAACACCUUGAUACAAACUCAGAUAUAUCACGUUUCAUUCUCGACCACCAGUACAUCUUUUUCAGAUCAUUAUACAUUUUAUUACUCCCCGGAUGUACAGACAUAGUACUGCUGUGAGCCUCGCAUAGAAUCUUCUGUAUGAGCUCUGAAUUCUGAGGUACACAUACCCUACCUCUGAAUAAUAAACAACCAUUAGAACCAAUCUGAAAUUCAGAAUCAUUACCUGACUCACAUUGUGCCCGUUUAACUUGUAACUUCUCAUCAUUCUUCUGAGCUUCACAUAUUUACUGUAAAAAUGUCGGUUUAGCUCUUAAUUCUACUAGGAUUGAACCAUCAUUAGUCAAUGAUAACCGGGUAUUCAUAGCUCAUAAAGCAAACAGAGAUUUCUGGCUCAAAGCAUCAACUACAACAUUAGCCUUAUCUGGAUGGUAAUCAAUAAUCAAAUCAUAGUCCUUUAUCAGUUCAAGCCACCUGCGCUGUAUCAAAUUCAAAUCUUUCUGUGUCAUCAAAUAUUUCAAGAUUUUAUUAUCAAUAUAAAUAUGACAUUUCUCACCGUACAAGUAAUGCCGCCAUAUCUUCAGCGCAAAUACAAUAGCAGCUAAUUCAAGAUCAUGUACUGGGUAAUUUCUUUCAUGUGGUUUAAGUUGUCUUGAAGCAUAGGCUAUUACUUUACCUUCUUGCAUCAAAACACAACCUAAACCAUUUAAUAAGGCAUCACUGUAAAUAACAAAUUCCUUACUCGGUUCAGGCUGCACUAAUAUAGGUGCUUUCAUUAAUAGGUCUUUCAAUCGGUUGAAACUUUGUUGACAUUCAUCAGUCAACUCGAACUUUACAUCUUUCUGCAAUAAUCGAGUCAUUGGAGAAGCUAUCAUAGAGAAUCCCUGUACAAAUCUCCGAUAAUAACUAGCUAAACCCAAGAAACUUCUAACUUCAGAUACAUUCUUCGGUGGACUCCAAUUGACAAUAGCUGAGAUUUUACUUGGAUCUACCCUGAUGCCUUCGGUAGAUACAAUAUGUCCUAGAAAACCCACUUCUCGAAGCCAAAAUUCACAUUUACUGAAUUUAGCAUAUAACUGCUUCUCUCGCAGAAUUUGCAACACAAUUCUCAAAUGUUCUGCAUGUUCUUCUUCAUCCCGAGAAUAAACCAAAAUAUCAUCAAUGAAUACUACUACAAAUCUGUCUAAGUACGGUCUGAAUAUCCGGUUCAUCAAAUCCAUGAAUACUGCAGGUGUAUUAGUUAGCCCAAACGGCAUAACUAGAAACUCAUAAUGCUCGUACCUGGUUCUAAAGGCUGUUUUUGACACAUCUGACUCCUUUACCCGUAACUGAUAAUAACCCGAUCGAAGAUCAAUCUUUGAAAACACAGUAGCACCUUUCAACUGAUCAAAUAAAUCAUCAAUUCGGGGUAACGGGUACUUAUUCUUUAUGGUUACUUUAUUAAGCUGUCGGUAGUCGAUACACAAUCUCAAAGACCCAUCUUUCUUUUUCACAAACAGAACCGGAGCACCCCAAGGUGAAUGACUUGGUCGGACAAAACCCCUAUCAACAAGUUCUUGCAAUUGUGUCUUUAACUCCUUUAAUUCUGUAGGAGCCAUACGAUAUGGAGCUAUGGAGAUCGGAGUAGUUCCCGGAAUCAAAUCUAUAAAAAAUUCCACUUCUCUUUCUGGUGGCAAUCCUGGUAAUUCCUUUGGAAACACAUCGGAAAAUUCACAUACCACUGGAACUGCCUAUAUCUUUGACUCAGAUACCUUGGUGUCGAGUACAUAAGCCAAGUAAGCAUCAUACCUUUUUUUGACAUACCUUUGUGCUGCCAUUACUGAAAUCACAUCAGAUAACCCCUCUGUCUGAUCAGAUUUAACCCAGAGCAACUCACCAUUCUGACAUUUUAGCACAAUAUAUUUUUGUCUACAAUUUACUACCGCAUCAUACUGGGUUAACCAAUCCAUGCCCAAUAUCACGUCAAAUUCAUCAAAUGACAGUAACAUCAAUUCAGCCGGGAAACAAUAACCUCUUACCAUCAGUGGACAAUUUUUACAAAUUUUAUCCACCAACACAGACUGACCUAGGGGGUUCGAGACUUUAACCACAAAUUCAGUAGGUUCAACAGGUAAAUUUUUAACAAUUGCAAGUUUAACACAUAUAUAUGAAUGCGUAUAACCAGGAUCAAUUAAUGCAGUAAUAUCAGUAUCAAGUAAAAAAAAUGUACCAGUAAUAAUAUCAGGUGCUGAGGCAUCUUCUUUGGCACGAAUGGCAUAUGUCCUAGCAGGUGCUCGUGCUUCAAACCUGCCUGCAAUAUCUUUCGUAGCUCAUCGGCUACCACUGACAUUACCAGAUGGUCGAGGUGGUCUACCUCUCGAAACUGGAUUACUCGGCUUCGAUAUCUGUUCAGCUUCAUUUUCACCUCUUUCUGGACAAUUUCUGAGGAAAUGGUCAAAAGAAUCACAUCGGUAACAAGCCCCGCUCUUUAAUCGACAUUCACCAAAAUGAGCUUUAUUAUAGUACUGGCAUCUCGGCUUAGGAGUGCCAACACUACCAACACUGGUCACUGUUGGAGUAGAAGGUCUUGGAUUAGUGCGUUGAGAACCUCGCUCUCUUCCCAAAUACCUAAUGGCUGAAGUAGAACGAUCCUGAUACUUCUUCAAUUUCUUUGAAGCAGAAAACUGGGAUUUUCCCAUCGGUCUUUUACUAAAAAUUCGAGCUUCCCUCUCAGCCUGUUUCUUUUCUUUGCUCAAUUCUUCUGCUUUAUAAGCUCUCUCUGCCAAUGUAGCAAACUCUCAAAUUUCAAGAAUUCCGAUCAGUAGUUUAAUGUCUUCAUUUAACCCUUCUUCGAAUCGUUUGCACAUUUCAGCUUCUGACUGUACCCAUUCUCGAGCAUAUUUACUCAAUCGAACAAAUUCUCUUUCAUAUUCAGAUACUGAUCUGUUACCCUGUUUCAACUCAAGAAGUUCUUUUCUUUUCUGAUCGAGAAACCUCUGGCUGAUAUAUUUUUUUCUAAACUCGGUCUGAAAGAAUUCCCAUGUAAUUUCUUCUUUCGGAAAAACUGAAGCUUUAGUAUUCCACCAAUGGUAAGUUGUGUCUUUUAGCAGUGAGACGGCAUAUUUCAAACAUUCUUCUGGUGUACAAGAUAAUUCUUCCAGAACCCGAAUAGUGUUUUCUAACCAGAAUUCAGCCCGUUCAGAAUCAUCAUCAACUGCUGCUCGAAAUUCUUCGGCCCCAUAUUUUCGAAUUUUAUCUACUGGAGCUUUUCCUUUUCUGACAGAUUCAGUACCUGCACCCUGUGGGAUCUCGGGAACCGGUGAAGGAGCAGGAGGGGGAGCUUGAACUUGCUGCACUACAGGGUUAGUUCUUAAAUAUUGAUUAAACCAUUCAUUCAUCAUUUGAAAGAAGGCUAUUUUUGCCUCCUCCCCUCGACCCUCUGUCUCGGGCCUUCUACUGCUAGUUUCUUCUCUUUGUACUGAAGCCGUAGCAUGACUCCCAGCUUCCUCAGAUUGAGCUCGGUCGGAUGACAUUACUAUAAGAAAAACACAUUUUAAAUGGUCAGGAGAUAUCACACUAUCAAUAAUAAUUUAAAUGACAUGUAUAGCUAAUCCCGUAUUUGCUACAUCGGUUCUAAAACCGGCUAAACCGUAGCUCUGAUACCAAUAAAUGUAAUACCCCUACCCGUAUUCAUUGCCGGAAUAGGGUACGAGGCAUUACCGGAGUUUGCGAAUUAAUUUUUUUUAUAUUCAAUAUAGCCCCUUUAUAAAUAUCUAACAUUCCCUGCAAUAUUAAAUCGAGACCAAUCCACAUCAACCAAAUCAAUUCAACAUAUUUUCAAGAUAAAUUCAUGCAUAUUUAUAAGAUAACGUCAUCACAUAUCUAAAACCAGGUUUGUUAACCAUACUAAUGGCUAACUUUACAUUCAUUUCACGUUAACAUUUACUUUGUUAGCUUAUACAUGCCAUUGAUUUCCAAAAUAAAGUUUUUUUAUAUACCGAAAUCCUGAGGUUGACAGUGUGAUGUGUCUCCGACCAAAUCCGACCUCUGAGCUCUUAACACUACAAAACAGGGAAAAAGGAAACGGGUAAGCACUUCGUGCUUAGUAAGCUCAUGUAACAAGAAUUAUACUUACCUAAUAUUUUCAAUACAAUACAAUAAACAUCCAUAUAUCCAUUCAAUGCAUUAUUACCCUAAUAUGCACAAACUCAACAUUCAAGUUAGUACAAUAAUUUCCAUGUACCAAUAAUAUAUACCAUGAUUGAUGUACUCAUCAAUACCAUGAUUUUCAUUCCCUUAUUAUUUUCCAUAUUUAUCCCGUUGAAUUUAUCGGAAUUUCGAUGGAUUUUCAGAGGUACACUUUUAGUGUACAAUUCCGGGUCCGUCAAUUCAUAUUCAUGUGCGCACAUUUCCAUUUCAGAGAGCACACUCCCACGAACCUCAACCUUACAGCGGGAUUACCAGUCCAAGCUAAAUCCCCUGCAAUAUAAACUCAUAGAGUAUUGACGGGAUUACCAGUCCAGGCUAAAUCCCCUGCAACGACAAUUACUCUAAUGAGCUUGGACCUGAAUUACCAGUCCAGGCUAAAUUCAGACCCUAAUUCGGAUUACCCGUCCGGGCUAGAUCCUUUUUACCGUCAAUUCCUUUUCAGAGAUCCAUCGAAUUUUCCUUUCAUUCAAUCAGGAUUUCUUCCCAUUUUAUCAAAUAUAUCAAUGUUUCAUUAAUUUUCAUACAAUGAACACUCAAAUCAUAUUCACAUCAAUAACAUAAAAGCUUAAACAUUUAAGAAUAUAAUUCAAGUUACACGAACUUACCUUGAUACUUAUUUGUAAACAAUAAAAAUCUACUAAUCCCGAACUUUUUCCUUUCCUCGAUCUAGCUUCGUAUUUGAAUCUUUCGGAUCUAAAUAAAUAAAUUUAAUUAUCAAUUUAAUACAUUUCAUGUUCAUAUGCAACAUUCUCUAUAAUUCAACUAUUAUUUAUAGUUCAUUCAAAUCUGUCUACUUGAGUCAUAGUCACUAAAUUAUUUAUAACUUCAGCUACGGAACUCCAAAUUAAGAUCUGUUAAUUUUCCCUAAAACUAGACUCAUAUAUAUUUUUACCAUAAAAUUUUAAGAAUUUUUGGUUUAUCCAAUAAGUACAGUUUAUUCUUUAAAGUCAACCUUGUUCUGCUGUCGACAGUUCUGACCCUUCUUCACUAAAAAUUAAUUAUCUCUUCAUACAAAAUUCAAAUAAUGUUCUCGUUUAUUUCUAUUAAAAAUAGACUCAUUAAGGAUUCUAGAAAUAUAAAUUUAAGCCCAUAAUUGUUUUUCUUAAAUUUUUAUGAUUUUUCAAAGUCAGGACAGGGGAACCCGAAUUCAUUUUGACCUUGUCUCACAAAAUUCAUUAUAUCUCAAAAUUUACAAAUCCAUUGCUUACACUAUUUCUUCUAUGAGAAACUAGACUCAAUAAGCUUUAAUGCCAUAUUUUUUUCAUCUUCUAAUUCGAUUUCUAAAAUUUAUGGUGAUUUUUCAAAGUUAGUCUACUGCUGCUGUCCAAACUGUUUUGUGCAAGCUGUUUAUUACCAUUUUUCCCCUAAGCUUUUAAUAAAUGAUAAUUUCGUCCGUACUCAAUUAGCCUCUCAAUUUAGCUGAUUUUUCUCAAUCAACAUUUUAUUCUAUCACCUUAAACUAGUUUACAACCUUUAGGAAUCAGAAUUUCAGCAAUAGACUUUAAUUCCAAGCAUUUUCACAAUUAGGUCCUAAAAAUCAAUUUCUAUUGAAAUUACCUAAUAAAAUUAUCUCAUAAACAAAUUAAAGCUUUAAUUUCAUUCUAUUUCAUCAUAAAAUUACAGCACUCAACCAUGGUGACUUUCAAUUUCAUCCAUGAAAUCAAAAACUAAUGAAUUUAAUAGUAGGACCUAGUUGUAAAAGUCUUAGAAACACAAAAAUUACAAGAAAAAGGCAAGGAUUAACUCACUUGGUGCAAAAAUUAUGAAAUACCAGCUUAGAGAACCCUCCUAUGGCGUUUUUAGCUGCUGGAAUUGAAGAGAAAUGAAGAGAAAUCUAGAUAUUUCCUAUUUAGUCCUACUUUUAUUUAGUUAAUUUUGCAAUAUUCCAAUUUUACCCUUAAUUUAUCAAUUUUUCUACUGAUUUCAGACCCUUGCCGUCCAGCCCAAAUAAAUUUUAGGUCUAAUUUCCUUUUAAAUCCUUUCUCAUUAGAGUUUUAAGCUAUUUAAUCAUUCUAGCAACUUUUACACCUAUUACAAUUUAGUCCUUUUCAUUUAAUUGACUACCCAAACAUUAAAAUUUCCUAACGAAAUUUUAAUACCACAUUAAUAACAUUUCAUAAAUAUUUAUAAAAUUAUUUUUGACUUGGUUUUACGAGAUAGAGGUCUCGAUACCUUGUUUUUACCCAAUUUCUUCAAUAAUUUCUUUUUCUAUCUAAUCACUAAAUCGGUAAAAUUUUUCUAUCAAUAUUUUCAUACAAUUUUCCUAUCAUAUUAAUUUUCAUGCAAAAAUAUUGAAAUAAAUUUCUCUUUAAAUCGGAUUUGUGGUUACAAAACCACUGUUCCGAUAAUUUUGAAUUUAGGCCAUUAUAAAAAUCAUAUGGCUCGAAUGGCAUCGAUGAACUUGAGCCAGGAGGAGUUCCAUGCUGCGGUGGAUACAACCCAAUAGAAGUGGAGUACUGCAGUGGAUACGAGCCGGAGGUAAUGCUAUAAUGUGGUGGAUAUGGGCCAGUAGAAGUGUUGUACUGCGGUGGGUACGACUCAAAAAUAUCAAACCCGUAAUGGUAUCUGCCUCUUGACGAGACCGAGAAAUAGUCAUUGCCCGGCAAAUCCGGAUGAUAAGAAGUAUCAGCCGAAUGUGAAUACGAUGACGAGCCCGGGAAAUUGUCAUUGCUCUGCAAAUCCGGAUGAUAAGAAGUAUCAGCCGAAUAUGAAUACGAUCACUCAGACUCGACCUCUGGCUUUAGGUCAAGCUCGAGAUCUGGCUGUGGAUCGUGCUCUAUAUCGACCACUCACUCGUAUGCCUCAGAUCCCUGCACGUGCGAGGGGACUAUAGUCGACUACCCACCAAGUAAAUAUGGCUUCCCUAUACUAGAGUACCAUUGUAUGUACUCUAACGAUGGUCGCAAAUCAGUAUACAUAUCCAUCUGAGGUCUUUGAGACAUCCGAUUCUCCCACACCGCAACAAAUCUCCGGUGCGAAACUCCCCAAUGUUGUCCAUGUUUCGCUCUCUUGUUGAUGCUGUGAACCUCCUCCACCUACAUUGGAGGAUCCGGGAUAUACUGGAUGCAACCAAACUGUCGUAGUACUCGAUCCCCAUGGUACCACUCGACUACAUUGAAACUGAUAAUUGGUGUGUUAGUGCACCACAAUUGAGAAUCAACAUAGGCAGACGAGGGUAUAAUAGCCGCAAUUUCUGGUCUACGAUAUGGCAUCCAUAUAAACUGCACGAUUAAUACCAUGGUUAAAAUGUAACACGGUUCGAGUAAGAUAUACAAAGUAAUUACAUGUCACGAAUAUUUGAAUAGCUUACCCCUUCCCCAGUAUGUUGUUCAAUCAUCAGACGAUAUAUCGAGACAGUGUAUAACCUCCCGGUACCCGGAUAAAUACUUCAUCUACGAAAACAAUUUUCAAGUAAAUAUAGUAUCGUUAGAAUAGUAUCAUUAUAAAGAAGUUGUCAAUUAAUAACAAGUUAAAUUUUAUCACCUGUUAACUAGCGGAAAUACGUAUGGUUGGUGACUAACCGAUGCCAAGAAUGACAUCCGAUAAGGAGCCCAUGAUUGCAACAAUACAAGGCAUCCGCCUAUGUCUACGGCAUUAGGCUUUGUCGUCCGACAAAGCUCACGAUACAACAUAGCCAGAAUUGCAGAACCUCAACUAUACGAGCGAACAUUACUCAAAUCAGCUAACAGAGGUAAAUACUGGAGAUGAACCUUGUUGUUGUUCGAAUUGGGCAUCAGUACACCCCCUAUGAUAUGCAUAAUGUAUGCUCGAGCUGAGCACAUCAACUCUUCUUCAGUGGCAUUAACUGAUAAAUGCUCAAAAUUAGCUUUUAGCCAUGUAAAUUUCAACUCCGAAAAAUUGGACUCAGCAUCGCCGGGCGAGGCUCCUAAUAGGCUAUAACAAAGUGCAGCCGGCUCAGUUAUCGUACUUACGCCUGUGAUGGCAUCCGCGUCGAUUGGGAGCCCAAAGUGCAAUGCAACAUCCUCCAGAGUGACAGUGCACUCCCCAUACGGUAAAUGAAAUGUGUGGGUCUCCGGGCGCCAACGCUCGACCAAUGCAGAUAUCAAAUCAUACCGCAAAUCAAACCUUCGGGUCAAUGCUGCUAACCCGAAUCCAGCUAGCUCCAAGUAGGGCAUUAGUCGUGCUUCUGGCCUAUAUCCUAAACCAUUCACCCGGCCCCUUAAUACGCGGUAGGAGUCCUAAAAGUGUUAACUUACAGAAAAUAGUUAUAGUAACAUAAUUUUUUUCCUUAAAUUACGUAGAUCUUUUUUUAAUAGAACCCGUGAUUAACAAAUAACAAUAUUUUACCAUAUUAUUAACAGUGUCACAUAUGUGAGGAAGAUCCUUCUUGAUCAAUGAAGCCAUUGCGAUGCCUGCAAUUUCAAAAUAAAUUUCGGUUAUUAAUUUUAAUAUUUGAUGGAUUUUAAAUAUUUAUUAGAAUAACUAAAUUUUAUAUAUUGCUUUUAAUUGCAAAAAAAAAUAGCAAACAAUUUUUUCGACAACAUAUUUUUGGCUAUACUACAUUAAAAAAAUAAAUAUAUCCAACUUAAAUACAAAUAUUAUUAUUUUAAAAUGAUAAUAAGUAAAAUAUUUUGGUUUAGAAUAUAAUAUAUAUAAUAUACCCUGCAUGCAGUUCAAUAUAUUUUAAAUUAAUUUUUAUUUAAUAGUAAUAAUUUGAGUGAUGCAAUAAUAAUUAAAGUUAUGAUAGGUUGUUCAAUAUUAUUUUAAAAUAUAUUAUAAUAUGUAAUUAAUUAAAUUCCUUUCUAAAUUAAAAAGAUGGGAAAACAAGAAAGGUUUAUGUUGCAAUAUUCUUAAUUUUUUAUUCCGUGAUUUUGGCCCUUUGUUUGUAUUUUUUGAAUUUUUGGAUUUUUAUUUUUUAAAAUAUACUAUUUUCAUAUUUUAUUUUUUAUAUUAUUUUAGUACAUAAUGUUUCAAAUGUAUUAUUUUCAUAUUUUUUAUAUUAAUUUAGUAAAUAACUGUGAUUUUGGCCAUUUGUUUGUAUUUUUAAAAUUUUCGGAUUUUAUUUUUUAAAAUAUACUAUUUUCAUACUUUAUUUUUUUAUAUUAUUUUAGUACAUAAUGUUUUAAAUGUAUUAUUUUCGUGUUUUUUUAUAUUAAUUUAGUAAAUAACCCUGAUUUUGGCCCUUUGUUUGUAUUUUUAAAAUUUUCGGAUUUUAUUUUUUAAAAUAUACUAUUGUCAUAUUUUAUUUUUUAUACUAUUUUAGUACAUAAUGUUUCAAAUGUAUUAUUUUCGUGUUUUUUAUAUUAAUUUAGUAAAUAACCGUGAUGUUAGCCCUUUGUUUGUAUUUUUAAAAUUUUUAGAUUUUAUUUUUUAAAAAUAUACUAUUUUCAUAUUUUAUUUUUUAUAUUAUUUUAGUACAUAAUAUUUAUAAUGUAUUAUUUUCGUGUUUUUAUAUUAAUUUAGUAAAUAAACGUGAUUUUGGCCAUUUGUUUGUAUUUUUAAAAAUUUUAGAUUUUAUUUUUUAAAUAUACUAUUUUCGUAUUUAAUUUUUAAUAUUAUUUUAGUACAAUGUUUCAAAUGUAUUAUUUUCAUGGGGUUUUAUAUAUUUUUAGUAAAUAACCAUGAUUUUGGUCAUUUGUUUGUACUUUUAAAAUUUUCAAAUUUUAUUUUUUAAAAUAUAUUAUUUUUUUAUUUUAUUUUUUAUAUUAUUUUAGCACAUAAUGUUUCAAAUGUAUUAUUUUCGUGUUUUUUAUAUUAAUUUAAUAAAUAAACGUGAUUUUGGCCAUUUGUUUGUAUUUUUAAAAUUUUCGGAUUUUAUUUUUUUAAAUUUACUAUUUUCGUACUUUUAUAUUAUUUUAGUAAAAAAACCCGCCAUCACCAUUUUCCCCCAAAAAAUAUUUUUAUUAUUUUUACUAUUUUUCUAAAAGAUUUAAACCCCAUCACAUAAAAAAUAAAAUAAAAUAAAACAAUCAAAAUAUUACAUGCCAAAUAAAUUUUAUAAAAAAAUAUAUCUAAUCAACUUAAAACACACUUAACAAAUAUAUUACAUAAAAUAAUAAUAAAACGUGCAUAUAACAUAAAUAAGGUUUUUUACUUCAAUAAAAAUUAAAAAUAAAUUAGGAAUGUGAAUGAAAAUAUAAAAUAAAUACAAACAUACCUUAAUAUCUCUAUUUAACCAAAUAUCACCUUGCAAAAAAAUAAAUUUAAAAAUUAAAUUUGAAUUAAAUCAAAAUCAGUGAACAAUAACAACAAUAAUAACAACUAAAAUUACUUUAAAAAAAUAAACCUUUUUUUCUCCUUUUUCUUUCUUUUUCCUUCCCUCCCUCUUCUUCUCCUUCUCUUUUUUUUUUCUUUCCCUCACCAACCGAAUCCUUCUCCUUCUUCUCCUUCUUCUUCUUCUCCUUCUUUCUUGUCUUCUUCCCGAAAUGAAGUUGGGGACCAUAAUAUAUGGUCCCAAACACAGAAAAACAAAAGGGGCACUGCAUGAGGCCGGUGCUGCCUCUGUCACUGGCACCAAUGAUGCCGCCUGUGGUAGGCACACCACCAGUUCUAGCCUUUUUUUUUCAGAUUCAGCUUUUUUUUUUAGCUUUUUUUACUAUAGCUGUUUUUUACUGUAAUUGUCAGCCGCCAGGGUGGUCACGCUACUGCCAUAGGCAGCACCACCCUGGCCAUACCAUUCCCGUCAAUAAUUUGGCCUUAGUACCAUUUUGGCAUUUUUUUUAUUAUUUUAUAUUAUAUGGGUAAAAAAACUAUCAUUUCACUAUUUUGUUGCUAUAUUUUUUUUGUUAUUAUUUGGAUAUUAUACAUCUUGUUUUAUUCUUUAUUUUGCUAUUAUUUUAUAAGCAUUUGUUUGUUAAGUUAUACCUAUAUUAGUGUUAUUUAAGUAUAAAAUUUUUUUAAUUUAUUUUCAAUUUGUUAGGAAAUAUUUAUUUUAAUAUUUUUAGUCUUUUUGAUGUAUUAUAUAUUUUUAAAAUUUUUUAUAUAAAAAAAUAAUAUAAAAAUUUUAAUACGAGUAGGUCGGACUAGGCUAAGAUUUUAGCAUUGUUAUUUGGGUCAGAUUUAGGCAAAAUCUUAAACCUAUUUUUUUGGGUCGAAUUCAAACUUAUUAAACAAGUAGGACUGAUCAUGUACACCAUUAAUUUAAAUAAUGUAAAUAUAAAUAUAGAAAAUUGAAUAGAGGUGGUGCGGACAUUAUUAUGGAAAUUGGGAAGUGGAUUGAUAAUUAUUGGUGGGGAAGCAAUGAGAACGACAGCUGUGUUCGUAGUAGUGAGGUGUGACUCCUUCCUUCUUCUUGGUUUUGGACACAUUCUAUUUAUGACUUUUUUUUAAUUUAGGGGAAGAAUGGAUUUGAUGACAAGGGUAAGUUUUUUUUUUUUUUUUGUCAUUACAACAUUAUUAGUUAGAACCAUUCCAUUUAUAUAUGACUAAUUAUUUCCACUCAAUUUGGGUUAUCAAUAUUUAGUUUAAGAAAUAUAGUAUUUUUAUACUUAAUAUUAAAGAUUGGUUUAAGAUUUUUAUGUUCUGAAUUUAAAUAUUAUAUUCAGUCUGUAAUUAUACAUUUUUAAUAAUAUUAAAAGUUUUGAAUAUAGAGGAUAAUUUCAGUAUCACUUCUACUUUGGAUAAUUUUAUACUUAAUAUGAAAUUUUUGACAAUUUAUCGAUUUAAAUAAAAGCUCUGUGAUAGAUUCUUUAAAUAACAUUUUAACCACGUUUAUUUAGGUAAAAUGACAAAAGUUAUAUUUGUGGAUUUUUCAGUUUCAUCCUUAUCUCUUUUUUUUUUCAUUCUCACUCACACUGUUGCAAAAAUUAAAAAUUCAGAUAUCCUGAAAAUAUAAAGAAAAAAACCGUGAACUAAUGAUUUUUUUUUUUUGUCAAACAUGGAAUGACAUCCAAUUCAUGACUUUACUUAUGUGAUAUUACACGUAAUUGAUUAUCUAGCAUUUUACGUUUAUAUGAGUUUGCUUAGAAAACAUUAUCAUCUUUAUAAAAGUUUUCCCAAACUUUGAUAUGCUUCAAUUGGAAAUUUGGAAUCAAUUCUUUGAAAGUCUAGUAAACAAUGGAAAUUUAUUGUUUAGAGUGUAAUUUAUGGGUGUGUAAUGUGUUUUGUUUAUUUUUUAUCUUAUGUUAUAGUAUCUCAUUUUAUCAUUACCGCUGGUUUUACAUUAACCGCAGCUAAACGCACCGCUCAUUCAAACUCGCCAUUAGUCAUUUGAUACAUAAGAAUAGAGAGAAGGAAAAAAAAAACAAAUAGAAAAUAAAUAAACAUAUAAUUGGGAUUUACUUUCAUCAGUGUAAAACUUAAGUCGUUUUAUAUUCUUUCGUAACUUGUUAUAAGAUUAAUAGUUUAACAAUCCAAUCGUUGGAUUUAUCAAUAUAUUUAUACUUAUUGUAAUGGGCCAAAAUUGUCCGGCCCAUGACCCACAAAUAAAUAGACAUAAAUAAAAGUGUAUAUAUCUUUUAACAGCCCAAGAUACAAAAAAUAGAAGCCCAAACACAACUAAACCCAAACCCCAAAUGACCCAAAUAAAACCUAGCCCAAAAAGGCCCAAAACCUUAACACUUUCAGCCAACCUAGGAAACCCUAGCCCCUGAAACUUGCAACAGCCGCCGCUCCAACAGCCUCCGUGUCCCACGCCACUCGGACCUCUAACGCCGCACCACUCGCACCUCCACGUUAGAGCUCACGUCCACCACGCCACCUGCAAUGAAAAAACAGUUGUAAAAAGGCUAUAAAAGCCUCCAAAAAUCAUUGUAAAGGCUAUAAAGGCUAUUAGAGAGCAAUCAAAGCAGAGAAACAUUUUUAAAGGUGUUCUUUUAUUUUUUUUCUACUCUUUUGGUUUUUUUUUUCCGUUUUAUUUUAUUAUUAUUAUCAUUAUUUUUUUCCUUAUCAUUUUUUUCUAAAAAAAGGGAAAGAAAACAAAAAAAGAAAAAGAAAAAGGAAAUUUUACCUUCGGCGCCAGCGGUGGCAUGUGCGGCGGAGGCUUACCGGUCCCCUGGCCGGAUUCUGGAACCCUUCAGAGAAAAUAGGGUUUUUUUUUCCUUUUUUUGAAACUGAGGAGAAUAAUGAAAUUUUAAAAAAAAAUUCAACUUUUAUGGAAGGCCAAAACGGCACCGUUUUGUGCCACAAGCCUAGGCGCCAAAACGGCGCCGUUUAGGCACACGACCCGCGCACGUGACCCGACCCGGAGAGGAUCCGCGUGUUUUCAUUAAUGGGCUAUUUUCCACUUUAGCCCUUUCGUUUUUUAGAGCUUUGCAAUUUAAAUUUUCUUUAUUUCUAAUUUGGCCCCCGAAAUUUUGUUUCUAUUUUAAUUUGAUCCUUGGGCCUUUUAAAUUUGUGUAUUGAGACGGCCCCGUUUGGGAAUAGGGUAUAUUUUCCCUGUGAGUCCCUCCUUUAUGACGCGCGUUCCAAUUGGGUCCCUAGGUUGGCCCUAUCCUUUCAUUAUUUUAAAAUUGGCUACCAGAAUCUCAUCUAAACUCCAUUUUAGUCCCUAUGUGCAUGUUUCUUUGAGGGUUUACCCCUACAUUUCAUUUUCGGUUCCGAUUUAAUUUUUUUAUUUGGUUAUUUAUUUAUCUAUUUCGACAUUUUAUAUAUAUAUUUGAAUUAUUUUAUUCGUUUAUUAUUAUUAUUUACAUUAAAACGGUUCAUUACAAAGCAUUAUUUAUUUUAAAAGUUGUUUUAUGAUUAUUUAUUUUAAGAUCUUGUAUUUUAUUGUUUCACACUUUUUAUAUAUUAUUCAUUUCAAACUUAGUAAAUUUGAAUUUAUAUAUAUUAGUUUAAGUUGUUUUUAAAUUAAUUUUCUUUUCCCUUUUUUAAAGUCAUUGUAUAUUAUUACUGCAUUUUAAAAUCGUUUUGCAUAUCGAUUAUUUUAAAUUAUCUUCUAUUAUUGCCAUUGAUAGAAAUUAUUUUAAAUUUGUUUUGUUAUAUAUUACCUAUUUUCAUCUUGCUUACAAUAGUUUUGUUUUUCUUUUAUUUGUUUUUAUUUCGUUGUUCAAAACCUUUAUUUUUUUUACUCUUUUCAUUAUUUAUUCUAAUCUUUUUCAUAUCCUCUUUUAUCCUUUAUUUUGUUAGAUAUACCAUUUUGUGUCAUCUCCACCAAUUGAAAAUGUUUAGAUUAUAUAUUAUGUGUUUAUUGUAAUCACGGGUAUUAGAUUUCUUUAUUAGUUAUUUGGGAUUCAAUGUUGUGGCAUUUUGUUUAUGGAUUAUCAUUUUGCGUUGUACACUAUCGUAUUUUAUUCACCUAAAAAGUCGUGUUUUAAUAUCAUUUAAGUUUAAAAUCGUUUUACUUAGAAGUUUCCAAAAUCAGGCAAUACUCGAUAUUCAACAUUGAGAAGUUUGUGCCCUAACUUACUCGGUUCCAAUUUUCCUCGUUGAGUCUGAGUAACAAAGUACCAUGUUCAAUUAAAACGUGUAAGUUUCAAAUAAAAGCUUAUUCUCAGGAUUUCGAAGUGUUGUGUCCUAACUCACUGGAUAUGGCUCUUUGUAUCUCGAGAUAAGGAUUUCUAAAAAAUAAAGGCAAUGUUCUAUGUUUGGAAUUUUGAGAAAUUGUGCCCUAACUUACUGGGUUCCAAGUUUUUCUCAGUUGACUCAAAUAAUUGAAUAUCCAUUUAAACUUCACUGCAUGAGUUUUAAAAAGACAAGCUUGGUUUCGAAAAUGUGAAAUGUCGCAUCCUAACUUACUGGGUAUGACAUUUUAUUUCUUCGAAAUAAGAGGGUCUUAGUAUCCAAUUUAAUUCGCUCAAGUGUUCUUUUUAAAAUAAAAUGUCCAUAUUCUAAAAUCUUUUUGAAUUUUCGACAUUAGAACAUUAAUUACCCAAAUAGGUACCAAUAUUGGGUGUUACGAGGGUGCUAACCCUUCCUCGUGCGUAACCGACUCCCGAAUCCAUUUCUCGAAUUUCAAAGAUCGAAGUCAUUGUUUUAGUAAAUCAAAAUGUUUUAUUAAAAUGAUCAAUUUCAGGGUGAUUGUAACACCCCUUACCCGUAUUCCGAGCCUAGAAUAGGGUACAAGGCAUUACCGAACUUAAUAUGAUCAAUCAUGUAAAAUCAGCUAUAAAAUUUCUUCUAAAUUAAAAACUUUCAUACAUAUGUUUAACGUCCCUUAUAUGGGCCUAUAGGGCCCAAAACAUACAUUCAGGAUGGUUUAGGACCAAACCGUAAACAUAUGAAACUUUUGCAACACUUAGAAAAUUUUCACACUUUGGAGGGUCACACUCUCAUGUUUCAACCCGUGUAACUCUCUGUUUAUAACUUCAUCACCCUUGUCAGUCGUACACUUCAUAUAAAUAACAAGAAACGUGUACGGGCUCGAUUCUCAUUAAAUUUCUCAUAUAUAUACACAAUUUCACGUUAUGUAAUCAUACAACAUAUAUCAGCCAUAUCUCUGUAAUCUAAAUAUAUUUUCAUAACAACUUAUCUUGAUUUCAUACUAUUUCAUAUUUAAGCUUAAAUAACCAAAGUAUUUGAAAUAUCAUCUUUAUGCAAAUAGUACACAUGAGGUAUAUAAUUCCAUAAUUAUGAAUAAACAUAAUUAUCAAACAUUUUCCAUAUUCAUAUAUCAAUGUCUCAUGUCUCCAUAUAUCAAUAACCGUCAUUUUCAUGAAUUCCGAGUUCAAUUUCAUAAUUAUUUGUCUCGUGUUCAAUUUAUUCCAUGUCGGAACUUUAUUCAUUAAAACAUUUGAAUUAUCUAUACAUAUGGACAGUACAUUCAAUAUGAACAAUUAUAAAAUCACAAAUGAAUUCAUUUAUCAUCCAAGUUCUAUACUCAUAUCUUAUCAACUCGUACUUCCUUGUAUCACAUAAUUCCAUAUAACACUUACCAAACUUUGUCAAAUUAGUGAAAGUCUUACGGAAUUGAGUACUUCAUUUUCUCGAUGCCAUAGUUCAACUAUGGUCUUACACAUCUUCACAUAAUGAUGCCAUAGCCCAACUAUGGUCUUACACAUAUUCAUAUAUCGAUGCUAUAGCCCAGCUGUGGUCUUACACGUAAUCACAUAUCACAUAUCGAUGCCAUAGCCCAGCUAUGGUCUUACACGAAUCACAUAUCUCACUGAUGCCAUAUCCCAUAUAUGGUGUAAUGGCCUAAAUUCAAUGUUAUCGGAACAAUGGUUUCGUAACCAUAGAUCCGAUUUAAAGAGAAAUUUAUUUCAAUAUUUUUCUUGAAAAUUGAUAUGAUAGGAAAAUCGUAUGAAAAUAUUGAUAGGAAAAUUUUAUCGAUUUAGUGAUUAGUUAGAAAAAAAAUUAUUGAAGAAAUUGGGUAAAAUAAGGUAUCGGGACCUCUAUCUCGUAAAACCAAGUCAAAAAUAAUUUUAUAAAUAUUUAUGAAAUGUUAUUAAUGUGGUAUUAAAAUUUCGUUAGGAAAUUUUAAUGUUUGGGUAGUCAAUUAAAUGAAAAGGACUAAAUUGUAAUAGGUGUAAAAGUUGCUAGAGUGAUUAAAUAGCUUAAGAGUCUAAUGAGAAAGGAUUUAAAAGGCAAUUAGACCCAAAAUUUAUUUGGGCUGGACGGCAAGGGUAUGAAAUCAGCAGAAAAAUUGAUAAAUUAAGGGUAAAAUUGGAAUAUUGCAAAAUUAACUAAAUAAAACUAGGACUAAAUAGGAAAUAUCUAGAUUUCUCUUCAUUUCUCUUCAAUUCCAGCAGCUAAAAACGCCAUAGGAGGGUUCUCUAAGCUGGUAUUUCAUAAUUUUUGCACCAAGUGAGUUAAUCCUUGCCUUUUUCUUGUAAUUUUUGUGUUUCUAAGACUUUUACAACUAGGUCCUACUAUUAAAUUCAUUAGUUUUUGAUUUCAUGGAUGAAAUUGAAAGUCACCAUGGUUGAGUGCUGUAAGUUUAUGAUGAAAUAGAAUGAAAUUAAAGCUUUAAUUUGUUUAUGAGAUGAUUUUAUUAGGCAAUUUCAAUGGAAAUUGAUUUUUAGGACCUAAUUGUGAAAAUGUUUGGAAUUAAAGUCUAUUGCUGAAAUUCUGAUUCCUAAAGGUUGUAAACUAGUUUAAGGUGAUAGAAUAAAAUGUUAAUUGAGAAAAAUCAGCUCAAUUGAGAGGCUAAUUGAGUAGGGACGAAAUUAUCAUUUAUUAAAAGCUUAGGGGAAAAAUGGUAAUAAACAGCUUGCACUAAAACAGUUUGGACAGCAGCAGUAGACUAACUUUGAAAAAUCACCAAAAAUUGUAGGAAUCGAAUUAGAAGAUGAACAAAAUAUGGAAUUAGAUCUUAUUGAGUCUAGUUUCUCAUAGAAGAAAUAUUGUAAGCAAUGGAUUUGUAAAUUUUGAGAUAUAAUGAAUUUUGUGAGACAAAGUCAGAACUUUGAAAAAUUAUAAAAAAUUGAAUAAAAAUAAUUAGGGACUUAAAUUUAUAUGUAUAGAAUUUUGAAUGAGUUUAUUUUUAAUAGAAACAAACGAGAACAUCAUUUGAAUUUUGUAUAAAGAGAUAAUUUAUUUUUAGUGAAGAAGGGUCAGAACUGUUACACAACAGAACAGGGGUGACUUUGAAGAAUAAACUGUACUGAUUGGCUAAACCAAAAAUUCUGAAAAUUUUAUGGUAAAAAUAUAUAUGAGUCUAGUUUCAGGAAAAAUUAACGGAUCUUAAUUUGGAGUUUCGUAGCUCAAGUUAUAAAUAAUUUAGUGACUAUGACUCAAGUAGACAGCUUUGAAUGAACUAUAAAUAAUAGUUGAAUUAUAGAGAAUGUUGCAUAUGAACAUGAAAUGUAUUAAAUUGAUAAUUAAAUUUAUUUAUUUAGAUCCAGAAGAUUCAAAUACGAAGCUAGAUCGAGGAAAGGAAAAAGUUCGGGAUUAGUAGAUUUUUACUGUUUACAAACAAGUAUCAAGGAAAGUUCGUGUAACUUGAAUUAUAUUCUUAAAUGCUUGAGAUUGUAUGUUAUUGAUGUGAAUAUGAUUUGAGUGUUCAUUGUAUGAAAAUUAAUGAAACAUUGAUAUAUUUGAUAAAAUGGGAAGAAAUCCCGAUUGAAUGAAAGGAAAAUUCGAUGGAUCUCUGAAAAGGAAUUGACGGUAAAAAGGAUCUAGCCCGGACGGGUGAUCCUAUCCUGAUAUAGCCCUCCCGAAGAAUGUGUGUAAAAUGAAUUUAGCCCGGACGGGUAAUCCGAACUAGGGUCUGAAUUUAGCCUGGACUGGUAAUUCAGAUCCAAGCUCAUUAGAGUAAUUGUCGUUGCAGGGGAUUUAGCCUGGACUGGUAAUCCCGACAAUACUCUAUGAGUUUAUAUUGCAGGGGAUUUAGCCUGGACUGGUAAUCCCGCUGCAAGGUUGAGGUUCGCGGGAGUGUGCUCUCUGAAAUGGAUAUGUGCGCACAUGAAUAUGAAUUGACGGACCCGGAAUUGUACAAUAAAUGUGUACCUCUGAAAAUCCAUCGAAAUUCUGAUAAAUUCAACGGGAUAAAUAUGGAAAAAUAACAAGGAAAUGGAAAUUAUGAUAUUGAUGAGCUCAUCAAUCAUGAUAUAUAUUAUUGGUACAUGGAAAUUAUUGUACUAACUUGAAUGUUGAGUUUGUGCAUAUUAGGGUAAUAAUGCAUUGAAUGGAUAUAUGGAUGUUUAUUGUAUUGUAUUGAAAAUAUUAGGUAAGUAUAAUUCUUGUUACAUGAGCUUUCUAAGCAAAAAGUGCUUACCCCGUUUCUUUUUUCCCUGUUUUGUAGUAUUAAGAGCUCGGAGGUCGGAUUUGGUCGGAGACACAUCACACUGUCAACCUCAGGAUUUCGGUAUAUAAAGAAACUUUAUUUUGGAAAUCAAUGGCAUGUAUAAGCUAACAAAGUAAAUGUUAACGUGAAAUGAAUGUAAAGUUAGCCAUUAGUAUGGUUAACAAACCUGGUUAUAGAUAUGUGAUGACGUUAUCUUAUAUAAAUGCAUGAAUCUAUCAUGAAAAUAUGUUGAAUUGAUUUGGUUGAUGUGGAUUAGUCUCGAUUUAAUAUUACAGGGAAGGUUAGAUAUUUAUAAAAGGGCUAUAUUGAAUAUAAAAAAAUUAAUUCGUAAACUCCAGUAAUGCCUCGUACCCUAUUCCGGCAAUGAAUACGGGUAGGGGUAUUACAU
rnacentral:lncRNA from 1 species